UUGCUGCAUCGACUUCCUUGUUCUUUUGCAAUUUUCCGGAUACCAAAAUUUCCUCUGCUACAACACUAAUAUCUGACAAAGGAUUCGACUCCAUUGCUAUAGUCUCGGCAUCUUUUGGGGCCUUUUUGGCUGGUUUAGUAUCUGUUUGGGGACCUGAUUUGGCCUCUUCCUUUGGUUUUCUUACACUAGGUCUCAGAAUUGUUUCGGUUUCAGAAUCCACUGGUUUCUCGGGUGCAACCAGUGGUUUCUCAUCAGGAUUCCUUAUCCGACCAUCCCGACUCAAUAGCCGACUGUCCAGAGAUGGCAGAGUUCUUUUCUCAUAAUCAUCCCUGAAGGCUUUAUUGCCUUCCAGAGAGCCAUAAACUUCUCAACCUAAAAGGAAUAUAAAAGAUAAGUGAGCGGCUAAUUAUAAAGCAAAUGAGAUACAUUGGAAGUAACAUUAACAAGCAGUCUCAACAAACCUCCACAAUUGAUAACUCCUCAAGAGCCUUUAUAUCUUUCUGUGCAGCGAGCAGUUUGGCGUUGUGUACAAUGGUACGGCUCUGGUAAAAGUGAGAAUUCUGAAAUUUUGAGAAAGAGUAAUUAAAACGAUUCAUUAGUAACAUCGUGCACAGGAAUAUUGGAAGUAGACAUAAUAUGUAUCAUUUAAUAUCUUAAGUGACACUAGUUAUUCAUGCAUAAAUGAAAAUGUUCCGACAUGGUCAAGUAUUACACGAAACAGAUAUCUUAAGAGUUGAAGCAAAGAAAAGGCGAUACCCCCUGAUCACUUUGUUUCCUCAGCUCCUGAAUGUUUUCAAAAGCUUUGUCCCUCUUCAGGGUCACAGCUUUCAGCUCAUUUUGUAAAGACACGAUUUUAGUCUCAGUUUCGUCCAAUUUAUCUUUAAUUUGCUUUUUUUUGGACCAGACUGCAUGCUGCUCCUUCCUUACUCCAUUCAAAUCGACACCCAUAAGCUACAAUAAACAAAUAUAGCUUUUUUUUUUUAGUGUAACACAAUGGUGCUCUAUAUUCACAUAUAAAAAGAGGAGCAAACUCCGAUGGAUAAAGGCAGAAAAUAGAAUUAUCUUACUUUAACUUGAUCUUGAAUGUCUUCUUUCUGGCCUAAUGAAUCUUGAAUCUUUGAUCUCAUUGCAGCAUUAGCAAUAACUUUCUCGCGGGUUCCCUCCAGGUGUUUGAUUUCUUUAAGGAUUCGCUUCUCCUCACUCAACGAGAUGCCUUCAUGCUGAAUGCGGUAUUGCAAGCUAUGGAUCUGCAAUUCAUAAAUUCCAUUGAAGUGACUAAAGGAGAAAAAGAAAAGCAUUAACUGCGGCAGAAAACAAUGAAUAAAUCUAAAUGCAGUCAAAGUUCAUAGAAGUAUCAUACAAUAAAAUCGAGCUCUUCCUCAGAUGCACAUAAACUAAGUCGAUUAUCAACAUCUUUAUUUUGCGAAGCUUGCCUAAAGCCUGCUGCAGUGGUUCUAUUUCCAUCUUUUUCUCAUCUAAAAUCGUCUUAAAUUGCUCAAAAUCAACAUUCAGCGCUCUCACUUGCGAAAGCAUAUCUGACCGUUCUGCCUGCAUUAGCAUAAAGAUAAUCACAAUUUAGCCAACUGACGGCGCCAUUAUUUUUUACUUCUUUCACAUUUUUUCUCAAAUUCUGAAGGCAAACACAACAAUAACGAAUCAUUAUACCAAUAGCAUAUCUGUAAGUGUCAUUACGUUUCAAGGACAUAAAUUUCAAACAUUCAAAUAAAUGCUUCCGGGUUUAAUUCCCCUACAUUCAUCAUAUUACAAUAAGCACACCGUAAUGACAUAAUGAUAGGGCUAAUAAUUAUCUUAAAAGUAUGACAAUUAAUGGCUACCAUGCUAUACAUCUAAUUGAAAUUAUUAACUUUUCACUCACCCUUUUUGCUUUUAAUUCGUCGGUAAGCUUAAACCGGCUUUAUUCCACUUUUGUAUCUCUUUAUCAGCCUGAUCAAGUUUGGCUUUUAUAGCCGGAUCUUCGUAGAAGCGAUACCUAAUAAAAUGAAAAGAGUGGAUCUGCUUAGGUGCAGGCCACUCGACGACCGCAUCCUUCGGAAAGUCGGGAUCGGAUGCACCAUUCUCUUCUCCUUAUCAGGUUCCUCACUAUGUGAAUCAACUUCAAUGGGGUUAUUAUAAACUGGAUCCUUAUCCAGUUUCCCAUUUUCAUGAAGAAAUGAUUUGUCUACUUCAGUCACUUUGUCAAUAGACAAUUGUGCCAGGUCUGAAUCAACAACCUCAACACCCAUUAGACACAAAAUUGAGCUACCUGAAAACAUCCAAAGACAAAGAUUAUGACACCAUAUAACAACAAAUAUAAAUAUAAAAUAUUAUUUCAUUCAUAAAAUAAAAAUUUUAAAACAGACACCUGAUAGACAUGUAUAAAACAAUAUAUAUUAAAUAAAUAAAUUUUAAAGAACAGUGUAGCCAAUACAAUUUGAAAUGGUGCAAUCUAAAGUCAUUCCUUUAGCUAGUUUUCUCAUUAAUCAGAUCAAAAGAGUGAACAAACAGUAGAAUUGCAAAAAUAUAUGUAUAUAUUCUAAAUAAAUGAUAAACUAUAAUGGAGAAAAACAAUAAUCAGAUAAAAUCUAGAUCAAAAACUAAAUUAUAAGUACAUUAGCUCAUGCUAUAACAAAAGAUCAAGCCUUUAUCCGUCAAGAAAAUUAACAUGCAAAAUCAUAUGACACUAAUGGAAAAGACCCAGAAAUUUACAAACAUGAGAUAAAUGAAAAACAAAAAAAAAACCCCAGAAAUAAAAACAUGAGAAAUAAUUAUGUAGUUUGCAAGGCAGAAAGUUUACAUUUUUAAAAAGAAAAAGUCAAAAUAAGAUGUUUUUGUUGUCGAGAGAGGCAUAGAUACAGAGGUUCUGAAUUAAAAAAAACUUUCAACUUUUUUAUUUUACAUUCGCGUGAUGCCUCAAAUUUUAUAAAGUUUAGGUGUUAAAAGUAAUUUGAUUUGGUGUAGUAGUUAAGUGCCUUGAAUGUUUGCUUUGGGUUUGGGGUUCAAUUUUUUUUGUUAAAUUUUUCCUAUUUAUUAUGGUAUUUGUUAAAUUUUUCCUCUUUAUUAUGGUAUUAUGUUCAACUUGAGCCUUAGGUCUUAUCUCUUAUUUUCAAUGAUGAAUCUACUCGUUCAAUGGUAAGACUUUAGCUUAUCACCAAUUUAAAUUUUAUAAAAUCUGGUAAGUGGGAUUUAGAUUAACUUAAAUCUUUUUAUUUAUUUAUUUUAAUUUAAUUUUACUAAAUCUCUAUUUUUACUCAUUGUUUCAACCAUUCACACUCUCACCCCACUUUGUACGCUACUUUCUUUUGUUUCCCUAUUCUGCGGUUUUAUCUUCUUUUCUCUUCCUUCUUUCUCCUCUUUGAUUAUUCCUGAAUACUACCGUUUAUUUUGUGAGUUCUGUCACUUGGAUCGUAUUCUGUUUGCAGUGUAAGUUUCAUUUGGUAACUUUUGUUCUCUUCCCAUUAAUAGUUUAGUUUUAUUUCGUUUCUUGAACAAAUUGAGCUUAUGUUGGUAUUUUCUGUUCAUUAUCAUGAUUAGUAUUUUUGUGGUUCUCGAUUAGGCAAAAGGUGUGAGAAUCCUAACCCUCUAGCAAUGUAAUCACAAUUUUCGACGUUGUUUUGGAGAACUAAGUAUUCGAAUUCUAUUUUAGGGGCUGAAAUUUUGAUUCAACGAUGUUAUUUUGGAUAAGUAUUGUUAGUUCAUCCAUGUGGUUUGAUGAACGUUUAUAGGAUUCGUGAGUUCCAAUUGAGCGGUUGAUCAAAUAAGCAAUAGGUGUAUGAAAUUAACCUGAAAACUCAAUCGAAACUCGAGAAAAUUAAGGACCACACGACUAUGUGGGUAUUUUGGCCAAUUUUAAGCCCCAAUUAGGGGCCGAUUAAAGGACUCAAAUAUUGGGUCCAUAGCCAUCAUAUAAGCCCAAAAAAAUGUAAGUUUUAGUACGUAUAUAUACAUGGCUAAGCUUAGGAGGUAUGUUAAGUAGGUUGUAUAUAAAUCAUAUGCUAUGUUAUGUUCCUUAUAAAAAUAUGUGUAUGCAUGUCAUACGACUUAUGAUAUAAGUAUUUAUGAUAUUAUAAUUAUGAUUAUGCCUAAGUUUUGGAAUGGCUUAUGAUAUGAUGGAGGAAGUGUUAUAUGAUAGUUUUUACCGCAACUAUGGCGGCUAGACUAUAAAAUUUCCGUUUGACAGCUCAGUUGCAUAUUUAUGAGUGACAUACCACCACAUAUUGGUGUGAUUGGAUGGAUGGACUCUUGUAGUCCUAAUUGGUGAUAUUGCUUGAACGAAGAUGGUAUGAAGCAAUUGGGGGUAUGAUGUCUUAUGAUAUGGGAUAUGAUAUAAUAAGAUAAGAUAUGAAACAUGCUAUAACAUGAUAUGAAAACCGAUAUGAUAUAAGAUAUGCUCCGAUAUGCUAUGAUACAUUCUGAUUUAUAUAUAUACUACAAUGUGUGGGUCAAAUCACACACUGGAUGUUAAGCUCACACGUUUGUUAUUUCUGUUUCAGGUGAUCUUCAGAGUAAGGAUUGGAUGAUGACUAUAGAGCUCGUAUUUCACACUUUCGGUUUAAGUAUGCAUUGGACUCUCUUUUGUUUAUAUGGACUUUUUGGACUUUUGGAUAUUUAAAAUUUAUUUGGGAUGCUAAAAAUUAUUUUGCAUUUAUUUUUCAAAAGUUUUAACUUUUAUCGAUACUUAAAUCAAGACAACUAAAAAUAAACCAUAGUUAUAAGGAAAAUUUGCUAUAAUGCUUUUUGCUGCAAGUUUUAAGGUCAAUUUGCUAUAAUGCUAUCCGCUAUAAUUAAGUUUUAUUGAAAUCUGCUAUGAUGUUUUAUCUCACAAACAAAGUAAGUAAAUUAAAUACAUUUUUGUAAAAUUAACAAAUAUGGUUUUCUUCAAUGUACUCACGGGUUUUAAAAAAUGGUACAUCUUCACCAGGUUAAUCAAACUUGUUUUCUUUUGAGUUAAAUAGUUUUUGCCAAAAUGAAGUAAUAUUGUUUUCACAUACAACGUAAUCUCCACAAUCUGACUGUAACAUCCAAGCAAUGUUUGGGGUGUUAGAAUUAGAGUUUUAAAAAAUAAUUACUUUUUCUUUUACAAGUUAAUGUCAUUGUAGGGUUUGAUUGGUUAUCUUCAACUUUAACAGUUAAGCUUCUAAAGUCGAUGAUCCUAUUUAAAUAUAUAAAAAUUCUUUAUAUUUAAAAGAUGUUCUUAUAAGAAAACAAAGAUGUCAUAUAUGAUUGUUGCAUGUAAUUAUAUUAUUUUAUGAUUUAGAUCAUAUAUGAUUGUUGUCAUGAUAUAUAAGCAUUUAAUUAAUAUUUUAAAGUUUUAAAAAAAUAAUAAAUAAUUUUAAAUAAUUUAAAAAUUUUAAAAAUAAGUUAUAUAUAUUUUUAAAACCUUAAAAAUUAUUUAAAAACUAAUGUAUCAUCCAUAAUAAAUCAUACAUCAUUAACACAUAUUGGGGCAUGCGAAAGCUUUUAAAAAAUUGAACUCAAAUAGUGGUCUACAUGGUUCAUCAAGGCAUGGCAAGUAAGUGAGUUGAAGCAAUUUGUGUCAUGAUUGCCUGUAUUUCUCUCAUAAUUUCUUUGUCACUCUGCCCCCGUGACACAUUGCAAAAUCUCCUACAUUUCAAAUAAACUGAUGUCAAGUAAAACAUUAAAGCAGAAGAGGAUCAACUAUUACCCUCACUAUCUAUUUCAAUGCUAAAAUUCCACCUCUCCUCUCCAACACCUCAUUGGUAGCCUUACUCAUCAUAACCAACACAACCCUUUCUUUUUCCAAUACAUUUCCAGAAUGUACACUUUUAUUAUAAGAAAAUAUCCAAAAACAUUUUACCAGAAAGCUGGGCUGUGGGGUUGGGAAUGAAGGAUUUCACGCCUUCAUCUUUGGGAAGCCCAUAUUUCUUCACUUUGGCAAAACUCUCUUCUGGGUCGAUUCUACAAAAUAUUUAUUAGCUCAUUUUGUGAAAGAGGUAAUUGUGAGAUGAUUGAUCAUUUUGUUUCUACAUUAUAAGUAAAAAUUGUAAUAUAUACCUGAACUUGAGUUGUCAUAUUCUAAUAUUUCUUUGCUCAAUAUUUACUUGAUUGUAUACAUUAGAUUUGCACCCGAAGCAAUAGUUUUAGAACACUUACAGUAAUAGUUUUAGUCUUUCAACUUCAUCAACUAAUCUUUUAUAGUUAUGUGUAUCGAUUGUGGUCAUAAACCAACUAAAAAUCUGAUUAAGGUAUAUGUACUUAUCAAUUAAUAGUAUAGUUACGAUGAAUAAAGAUAUCAUUCCCACGAUGGCUAAAAAUACUAGUAAUUAUUGUCUUUCUAUUAUUUAACCGACAAAUUGGAGUGAUUGAUUAAAACUAAAAUUAAAUUAACUAAUUAACUAAAGAACAUGACAAAGAACAAAUCAGAAAAAUAAACGAUUAACAACCAAAAAGCGAGACAAUACCCAGGAAAUAAUCCACCUAGACUUCAUCUGUCAUUAUCAAUCUAAAUCACGUAAUUUCUUCACUUACUAUCUUGAUCCGUAGAAAUCCCUAAAUUAUGGUAAUAUCACUCUUCAAGACUAAGAGUAACUGACUCUAGAUUGAUUAAUUGAAAUUUCUUUCUAAUUAAAAAUCCUAUUAUCGCAUUAACUCGAUUUAUGGAUUAUUCUAUUAGAUUUGACUCUAAUCCGGUAGAUUUAUGUAAUCCUAUUUUUAGGAUUGUAUGCAACUCCACUCAAUUACGCUAGAUCUACUCUUAAAUAUGGUCUAUUCCUCCUUUGGUUUAAGCACAUAAAACAUGAAUCAAUAGUCUAAAAAUAUUAAACUAUGAAUUAAACACACAUAAUUGAGAACAAGAUCUAAGUAUUUAUUCCAUAAAAAUAGAAAUCAAAUAAUAGAAUCCAUCCUAAGUUUUAUCUCCCUAGGUAUUUGGAAAAUUAGUACAUAUAGUAAAUAAAAACAUCCCAAAAAUAGUAUAACCAUAAGAAAUAAAGAAACUCAUAAUAAACUUCAAAAAAAUCAAAAGGAGAACUUCAAUAUUGAUGGAAAUCUACUUCAAAGUCGGCUUUAAUAGUAUUUUCUGAGUUGCUUUCUUCAAUAUAUGACAACUCACUGAUCCCCUCGCUCAUUUUUUACUCAUUUUGCUUCCAAAUGCUCUUCUAAGUAUAGAAACAUGAAUUUAAAGUAUUAGGAGCAUAAAAUUCACCGUUAACACAUUUUCUCUGUAUAUUUAGCAUAUAUUUGAACUUCGAGUUUCUGCUUUGCAGUUUAGGUUCAAAAAUAUGAACCCAUGUUUUCAAAGGUCUAAUUUUUCCAUGAACAGCCGGAAAUGAAAAGAAAAAAAAUAUUUUAAAAAAAUGAAAGAAAAGAAAAAUGAAAAUAUAGUUUAAUGAGACUUACAUAAAUGUCGGGAUUGAGAAAAUGAUUGUCUAAAAAGAAGCAGAAAUUUGGCCGUCAAGCAGAAAUUUGGCCGUCCAAGCCAUCUUAUUCAGUUCACCGAUACAAGUUUCUCCGCUUAGCCGCCGCUACUCUGAAAAUGACGAAGGACUAACUAGUUUAACAACAGUACCAGUACGACGUCAUAAGAAUGUAUUCUACAUGGCAUUCGUGUCAUCUAGCUAAGUCAAACUACAAAGCUACAGUUAGACUUCGAUUUUAGUUGGGUUUGGUUUCUUAGGUGGAGUUCUAUUUAAACUUGGGUUUUGUUUUCGGUUAAAUUACCCUAUUAGUUACUAAAUUAUAGGUUGCUUUUGUGUUGUUCACUUAACUAAAAAAAAAGUUAAAAUUUUGUUAUUGAAGUAUUCGAAUAUUUUCAUUUAAGUCACUAAAACAAGAUCUUUUUAAAUAAGAAAUAAAUAUUUUUUAUAGAGAAAUUUUAUAUAUAAAAAAUAAAAUACUUUAAUUUAAAAGUACAUUUUGUUUAAUCACUUUAAUAGCUUUUGGAGUGAUGAAAAGUCUAAUUUCACUUUCCACCUAAAAUGAUUUUUUUGGUAAUUUUCUUACUGAGCUGGGACUCAAUUGAUAGUUGACGUCAACUCAGUAAAAAGCUUUAACACAGUAUAGAUAAAAAAAAGUUUUAAAUUAAAAUUUUUAAAAGAAUUUAGAGUAAACUACACCAGUCAUUCAACUAUAGGUAAGUUUUCGUUUUAAUCACUUAAAAAAAAUUACAAUUUGAUUACUAAUGCUUUCAUAAUUGUUUUUCUUUUUUGUCAUCCAAUUGUUAAGUCAUACUUGUUUUAGUUAGUAUAAUAAUAAUUUUAGUCCUCAAUUUUUAUAUUUUUUGUCAAUUUGACUCUGAUUUUGUUUAUAAUUACAAAAAAAAACUCACAAUUAUUUAUAAAAUAGAAAAAUGUAUAGAAAAAUUCUAGAAAAAUAAAAUCUUGAAUAUAUUGUUUCAUAACUAAAUUGUAUGAGAAAUAAAGAAAAUUGUCAUUCAAUAACAUCAGAUAAUAAAUUAAAAUAAAAAAAAAGCUAGAUUAUUAUAUGUUUCCUAAAUAUUUCUCAAAACUAAAUUAGUAGUAUUAUCAAACACAUUAAGAAUGAGAUUAAAAUAUGUUAAUUUUGUAGCUUAUCAUACCCCUAAACCACAACUAAAAAGUUUAAUCUGAUAUGGUGGCAUCCACCAUUAAUAAUUGACUCCCAAUUUUGGUUCUUUUUGUCUUGUUUCUCUUUGCACUCGUAGUUUUAGAUCAUCAGAGUCUUCAUGGUGGACCCUAAAGCUUAAAGGAGGCUAAAGAUGGUGGAAUCCAAGGUAGUGUGAAAUAACAUGGUCUUGACCUAUAACACUAAAAUUGCUCUAGCUUAAAUGAAAAUGAAAAUAUUUUGCAUGCAUGAUAUCUUUAGUUUAAAUCUUAUUAUCGAUAAAGUUUUAUUGAUUUAUGAAAAGAUGAAUAUACCUUUGUAAUUAUAUAUCUUACUUUACAAAUAAAAUGUUUUUUUUUAGCAAUUUUCUUAAUGUGUUCGGACUAAUUGAUGGUUGACACUAUGUCAGUAAAAGGCCUAAUACAUAAUAUAGAUUAAAAAAAUUUAAACUAAAAUUUUUAAAACAAUUUAAGGUAAAUUACACCAUUAGUCAUUCAACCAUGAGUAAGUUUUCGCUUUGAUCAUUUAACUAAAAAAAAUUACAAUUUAGUCAUUAAUAUUUUUGACAUUAUUUUUUUAAUCACUUGAGUGUUAAGUGGCACUUGUUUUAAUUGGUAUAAUAAUAAUUUUAGUAUCUUUUUUUUUAUAUUUUCUAUCAAUUUGACUCUUAUUUUGUAUAAAAUUAUAAAAAAAAACUCAAAAUUUUAAAAAUAGAAAAUGUUUAUAAAAAUUCUAGAAAAAUAAAAUCUUGAAUAUGUUGUUGAGUAACUAAAUUGUAUGAGAAAUAAAGCAAAUUAUCAUUCAAUAAAAUUCGAUAACAAAUUAAAAACAGAACAAAACCAAAAAAAGCUUCCUCAAUGUUUCUCGAAACCAAGUUAAUAAUAUUAUCAAGUUAAGUUUCAUGCCCUUGAAGAACAUCUAAAACUGAUAUUACCAAGGCUUAUGAAAUUGACCCUAAUGCCAUUUUUUAGUCAAAAGAAUACAAGAUAUAUAACAAACUUUCCUUUUUCAAACUUAAUUCAAUUUUUCAUUACAUUCAAAUUAUUUUUCAAAACUCAAAUUAUAAAAAUAAAUUAUAUUUAGAAAAAAAAUUUAUAACGUAAAAGUUAUGUCAAGAAACAGAGAAUAAAUAAUUUUGCUUAAUGUUUUUUCUACCUUUUUUACUAAGGAUUGUGUAUUGGAUAUUUCGAUACAGAUAAUAUAGAGAAAUUUUGUACGGCUUAAAAACAAUUAUCUCUCAUUUUCUCUCACUUUAUUUAUUUUUGAAAUUUUUAUCUACUUUUAUUUAAUUUUUUAUUUUAUAAUGUUCUAAAAUUUUAAAAAUAAUUUUAAUUUUUUACCAUUUUAUACAUUAUCAAGAUCAAAUUGACUGAAAGUAUAAAAUUUGAGGAUUAAAAUUGUUAUUAUAUCAAUUAAAAAAGUGUCACUUAACAUUUGAGAGAUAAAAAAAAUUUCAAAAACAUUAGUGAUGAAAUUGUAACUUUUUUAAUUAAGUGACCAAAACAAAAAUGCCCAUAGUUUAGUGACUAAUACUGUAGCCUUUUUUUGGUAAAAUGAAAAUUUGACCCUGAUUUUGUAUUAAAAAAAACUCAAAAUUAUUUAUAAGAUAGAAAAAUAUAGAUUAUUUAACAUAGGGAUUUUUUACCCAAAUCAUAUAAAAAAUAAUUACUUAUGAAAAUGGUAUGGAAUAUAGCUUAAUUACAAAAAUAAGGCAUUUGGUACAAUGUUCUGCUAGUGUCGCCUGGCAUAUUAGUAGUACUAGAUUAAAAUGUGAUGACCUAAUAUAUUCAAGGACUUGAUAUGUAAAUAUCUCAUUUUGGUUGGCUGUUGAAAAUAAGCUAUAAGAGUGUUGUGUGACAGUGUAGCGGCACAAAAUCUUAAAUAGGGUUAAUUUCUUUGUAAACCGUCAUUAUUUAUUAUUUUGUUUUUAUUCUUCUUCAACACCAAAAUCAGAAAGGCUUCUUACCAAUUAAUUCAGGUCAAAUUAUGUCUGGCAUAACAGUUAUCACUAUUGAUAGUAAUUUUCUUUGGCUCAUAUAUAUCUAAUAAAGUGUAAAUUUAACUAAUAAUUAUAAUUUAUAUAUAGUAAAUAUUUUUUUAAAAAUUUUAUAAUUAUAAUUUUAUAUGGUGCCCGUAAAUAAAAUUGAUAAAAAGAAUAUCUGUAAUGGCAGACAGCAAAGAAAAAGCUAAAAGAAACUUCAUAAUUUGCCUGUUUUUAUCUUCAGUUUCUUCUUAUCUCUUCUUCACUGCUUUUAAUUUGUUUCGAUGUCCAAGGUCUAUCACAAAUUUUGAAGCAUCCAGUCAACGUAAUUUUCUUUCAUUUCCUUAAUUCAUGACAUGCUUUUCUUUGCUUUUGAUUAUCUGCUACUGUUAUAGCAGCUAGCUUUGUAAGAUUGUCAAGGACGUGAACUUCACUGCUUCAUUUUCAGUUCUAAUCUCUCAACACUUUUCAGCCACUAAGUCAGGUAAUAGGAUCUGAGGCAAUGAUUUCCUCUACUGAUUAUCAACAGUUUUAGAUUUUAAGACAAGAUGAUCAGCACACAUAAUCUACUCUAGAUUGAAAUUAAUACAGAAAGAGCUACCCAGAAGCAAUAUAAUGUUGAAAUCUCAAACUGUUAACAUUUUAACUCUUCAUAUUCUGUAAUGAACUGGUGCACACUUGAAUCUAGCAUUUUAUAUACAUCGAGAGCUUAAUUCUAGUGACCAGAAUUUCAUCAUGUUUCUGUCUGCCACCCAUCCAUAGCUCCAUCUAAUAAACGCCAUUGCUUGAAACUUGCAUUCAUGCUUACACUGACAAUACUUCAUGAUAUAUCCAAUUCAUUCGCAGAUUUUCAUUCUCUGCUACUGUUAUAUAUGAUUGCAUUGCAGGGACAUAGCAAUGGAAUACGUAGAGCCUGUUGCCGGCAUUGCAACUUGUCUCGGAACUCCUGUUUGUAAAUAUUUGCAAUAUCACAGAAAGCUGAACGAUUAUGUGAGAAGCUUCAAGAGGAUCAGAGAUGAAUUGAAUUGCAAAAUGGAAGAUAUAGAGCUGCAAUUGAAAGCAGAGCUUCUUUCUCCUGGGAGGAAGAUACCAAAGCAGGGAGUUGAAAAUUGGUUGAAAGAUGCGAAUGAGAUGAUUGCGGAAGCACAGGAUGUGGAAAAUAAAGUCAGAAACGGGAGAUAUCUCUGUCGUGCUUGCAACGGGAAGCUGGUUGAUGAGAAGACUGGAGAAAUGAAGGGAUUUCUUGAUAAAGCUCCUAAUGCCUCUGAAGGUCUUGCCAUAGAUGGUCCAAGUGCUGGGUUGCCGCUGCCAACAUCAGAACUAGUUGGAGAGGAAGCUGUCAGAAAUGAGAUUUGGGCAUGUUUGAUGCAGGAGAAGGUGAGCAAGAUUGGGGUUUGGGGGAUGGGCGGUGUAGGUAAAACCACUAUCAUGAAGCACAUCCACAAUGAUCUUUUAAAGCAACAAAGAUUCGAAAGGGUAAUCUGGGUUACCAUAUCAAAGGAGUUCAAUGUAAUGAAGGUACAAGAUGAUAUUGCAGCUGCUUUGAAGUUGAAGGAAGAUUGGCCUAGAGAAGGAGACAAGCUCAGACGAGCUGCAAUCUUGUCAGAAAUUCUGAAGAAAGUAGGAAAGCAUGUUCUAAUCCUAGAUGAUGUGUGGGAUGAAGUCUCUCUAGAAGAAGUUGGGAUCCCUGAGCCGAGUGACAGCAAUGGCUGCAAGUUGGUGUUGACAACCCGUUCGGAGCAUGUCUUUAAGUAUAUGGGCUGCACGGUGAUAAAAGUGAAGCCCGUUUCAGCACAACAGGCAUUGACACUAUUCUUGAGUAAAGUUGGCCCGAACAUAGUGCAAAAUCAAACUUUAAUGCCAAUUUUGAGGCUCGUUGUUGAAGAAUGUGCGGGUCUACCUCUUACAAUUGUCGUCAUAGCUGGUACAUUGAGAGGAGAAGAUGACCCUCUUAUUUGGAAAAAUACACUAAGGGAAUUGAAAGAGAGAAUAGGGAAAGUGCAAGAAGGGGAAGAUAAAGUGAUCGAGAGUUUGAAAGUUAGCUUCAAUCACUUAAAAGACGAGAAAAUGAAGCAUUGUUUCUUACAUUGUGCAUUAUAUCCCGAAGAUUUUGGAAUUGAAAAGCAUGGGCUAAUUGAUAGCUGGAUUGAAGAGGGAUUCAUAGAUGACAUGAGUACAAGACAAGAAACGAAAGAUAAGGGCCAUGUUAUUUUGAAGAAAUUAGAAGAUAAUUGCUUGUUGGAAAAGGUCUCGAGUGUAACAGUGAAAAUGCAUGAUGCAGUGAGAGACAUGGCAUUGUCGAUCACAAGAAUGAAUCCUCGAUAUAUGAUACAAGCAGGUUCGCAAUUAGAAGAGUUACCAGAAAAGGAGCAAUGGAGUCCGGAUAUUGAGAAAGUGUCACUUAUGUAUAACUCCAUAUCAGAAAUUUCCAUAGAUGUGCUGCCCACAAAAUGUCAACUGCUCACAACCUUGUUAUUGCAGGAGAACCCUAUAAAGAAGAUCUCAAGUUCUUUCUUCACAAACAUGCCUUGUCUUAGUGUUCUCAAUUUGUCCUCUACGAAGAUCAAAAGUUUACCAAAUUCCAUCUCUGAACUAAAGAACCUCACAACAUUGUUGCUUUGUGGUUGUGAAGAAUUAAGAGAUCUGCCAUGUCUUUCGAUGCUUCAAGAAUUGAAAAAGUUGGAUCUUUCUGGGACUAAAAUUGAGGAAGUCCCUGAAGGAAUGGAUAUGCUGAUAAAGCUAAGAUAUCUUGAUCUUAGAGUGCGCACUCUGAAAGAGAUACCCGCGGGACUUUUACCAAAACUCGUUCACCUUCAGCACUUGGGUUUUCAUGAGAACAAUGAAAAAACAAGUCUAAAAGCAGAGGAGAUGGAACCAUUGAAGAAGUUGGAGUACUUAACCGGACAUUUCGAAGACAUCAGUGAAUUCAAUAAGUUCAUCUCCUCAAUGCAACAAAGUAAGAAAAAUAUCAUCAAGUACUUUUUACAGGUGGGCUCAUAUAAUGUGUGUAUUGGAAGGGAGAAAAAAGUAACAAUUGGAGGAGUCCAGAAUUGGGAAGGUGAGUUAAUUAUGCACCCAAUUGAAAUUCGAGAUUUGACUAUUAUAAGGUGCGACUAUUUCAGAAACUUAGUCGAUGAUGAUUCUUCCUUCAAAAAUGCGAUUGACUUGAGGGUUUGUAGGAUUUGGGGGUGUGAAGGGAUAGAGUGUGUUGUUUCCCUGUCCUCUUUUGCCUCUUCUUCCGCUCAUCUAUUUCAGAGCCUCGAGGUGUUGUAUCUUCGUGAUCUGCCAAAGCUGAGUGCCUUUAUUAUGAAUGAUGCAGGAAUUGGUUCAGCAACAACAUCAACAUUGGCUCCGUCUGCCACCUUUUCCCAUCUCAAGGAAAUUAUGAUAGUGAACUGCUCAAGUAUGAAGACGCUGCUUCCACAUUGGUUGCUUCCAAACCUCCAAAACCUGGAAGAAAUAGAUGUGGAUGCUUGUAGUCAGCUAGUAGAAAUAUUGGGAGCAGCAACAUCAGAAGUCGAAGAAAAAGGGAGUGAUGCAUUAAUCAAAUUCCAUCUUCCUAAACUGAGAGUGCUGUCAUUCUGGGAAUUACCAAAUUUGAAGAGCAUAUGCAGCAAAAGUGGAGUGAUGGUUUGUGAUUCUCUCCAACUUAUCCAAGUUGCUGGAGACUGUUAUAAACUGAAGAGAAUUCCUCCAUUUGUUCCUCUUGUUGGCAAUGGGCAGCCAUUUGCAUAUGCUCCACCUUCUCUUACCAUCUUCUCAAGCACAGCAUGGUGGGAAUCGUUGGAGUGGGAUGACCAUCCAAACUUUAAAAAUGUUCUUCGCUUCAACCCCCGUUGAGGAUAAGAGGUAUGAACCAUUUAUGGUUUAGUUUAUUUUUUUUAUUUUGAUAAAUCUAAUUUCUCCAUAUUAAUUAAAUUUGAAGUAUAUUUGUGAAGAUGUUGAAGAGAAAGAUAAAAGGGUUGGUGGGAAAGAAGUAGGGGGAGGAUAGUGCAAAAGAGAGGAGAAAAGGAAUGAUGGAAGAACAUGGAGACUGAGGGGCAAAGGUAAAUAAGAAAUCAAACUGUCUCCCCUUUUUAAACAUUUUCCCUCUCUUGCCAUUCCUUCUAUUCUCUUAUAUAUUCUUCUCUAGUAUAUAUAUAUAUAUAUACACUUCCCAAAAUAACCUUCUAAAUAUUUAUUAUUAAAAUAUUUAUAUUAAUCAAAAUGAUUUAAGGUGAGACAAAACUAUGAUCAUAGUUUUAUUUCCAAUAAAAGUUAGGAAAGUAUUGUAAAAAGACAUAAUAUUUUUUAAUUUCCAUGUAAAAUUUCUGGAAACAUUAAGAUUUAAAAAAUAAUAAUAUAGUUAGAAAUUAAUACCAAGAGAGCUACCCAGAAGCAAUAUAAUGUUGAAAUCCCAAACUGUUGAACAUUUUACCUCUUAAUAUUCUGUUGCACACUUGAAUCCAGCAUUUUGUAUACAUUGAGAGGUUAAUUCUGGAUAUACAAAUUUCAUCAUGUUUCUGUCUGCCACCCAUCCAUGGCUCCAUCUAAUAAACGCCAUUGCUUCAAACUUGCACUCAUGCUUACACUGACAUAUCAAAAAGCCAAUACAUUCACAGAUUUUCAUUCUCUGCUACUGUUAUAUUUGCAUGGACAUAGCAAUGGAGUACGUAGAGCCUGUUCUUGGCAUUGCAAAUUGUCUCGGAACUCCGGCUUAUAAAUACUUGCUGUAUCACAGAAAGCUCAAUGAUUGUGUGAGAAACUUCAAGAGGAUGAGAGAUGAGUUGAAUUGCAAAACGGAAUAUAUAGAGUUGCAAUUGAAAGCAGAGCUUCUUCGUCCUCUGGGGAAGAUACCGAAGAAGGGAGUUGAAAAUUGGUUGAAAGCUGUGAAAGAGAUGAUUAGGGAAGCACAAGUUGUUGAAAACAAAGUCAGUAACGGGAGAUAUCUCUGUCGUACUUGCAACGGGAAGCUGGUUGAUGAAACGACUCGAGAAAUGAAGGAAUUUCUUGAUAACGCUCCUAAUGCCUCUGAAGGUCUUGCAAUGGAUGGUCCAAGUGCUGGGUUGCUACUGCCAACAUCAGAACUAGUUGGAGAAGAAGCUGUCAGAAAUGAGAUUUGGGCAUGUUUGAUGCAGGAGGAGGUGAGCAAGAGUGGGGUUUGGGGAUGGGCAUAAAAAAGUAUUAAAAUAGAUCAUUGCUAAUUCUCUGUUUUCUUAAUCGGUAAGUUUCUCUCUUCAAAUCCUUUUAUUUCUUUAUUGAAUCCAUGGCAUAUCAUUUGCAAACCGAUUUCUGUACAGUUUGUUUGUUCAAUUUUCACUUUCCAGUUUUUUUCUUGAUUUAGAUGGAAGAUUCUUUUGCUGCAUUUGAAGAGUUUCUAAAAAUUUUAGUGUUUUCCUAAAUCUAACUUUCUCGACACCAGGUGCACGUAUAAAUUCCUUUCGUGGAGAUUAUUUAUCAUGUUUGUGUGUUUCGUCUUUUGAGGUUGAGCUGUUUUUAUUUUCAAAAAUAAAUAUUUAUUUUCUUUUGCAUUUAUUUCUAAGAUCACCAUAAAUUGUUUAGGGUUGUCGAUUUUGGGGAUUUUAUGGAUAAAUUUUUUUUCAUAUCAGAUGCUCCAACUUUGUGCUUAUGAGUGAUCUUCAAACCUAGGUUAAUGCUGCUCUGACGAAUGAAGAUACUUGCAUGGAUGGAUUCUUAAGCAGGGCUAUGAAUGGGUAUGCAAAGAUGAUGGUGAGGAAACGAAUUAUUAAGAUUACACAAUUGACGAGCAAUGUUUUGGCUCUCAUCAAUAACUACGCUUCAUCUCAGAUCCUUCAUUGAUUUUCUUGAGAAAAUUUUGAUGGCAAGGAAAGCAUUGUGUUUCAUGGAUUUAUGUUCAAUAUGGGAUUUUAUGGUUUUCGAACAAGACUUAAGUUUUUAAGGUACUGUAGAUUGUGUUCUCAAUUCUAUGUUUGUGGUUAUUGAUUUUUGCAAUUGUAUCGGUUUGAAUAUGAAAUUUGUGUUCGUGUAUAUUUAGGGGUUUUUUUAUUGUUCUUUUAGUAAUUUUAAAGCCAUUUACUGAUGUGGUAUAUAAGAGAAAAUAAUGUUCUGUUAGUAUCUAAAUUCAUUUGGACCGUCAUGUCAGAGGUUAAUGUUGACCGUUAAAUAGCUAACGGCCACAUCAGCCUCUAUGUUAAAAACAAACCAAUUUGUUAGAAAUUUAAAUUUUACACUAUAAAAUUAAUUUUUAAAAUUAACUAUUCAAUUUGUAAUUGAUUUUAUUAAAUUAAAAUAUUCACUAAUUUUUAAAAAUAUUCUCCAUGUUAAUUAAAAAAUAUUUAAGAAUUCAGUUAAAUGAUAAUCAAUUUAUAUUAAAAUUAACUAUUCAAUUGGUUGUAUUAUUUCAUUAAUGUUCUUAUAAUAUUAUUUCAUUUUUAUUUAUAGACACCAACUUCAAAAUCAGAAGAGAAUUAAUUUACGAGAAGAUAUGAUUUAUACUGUAAACGAUAAAUAAGAUAUUAUCAAUUGAUAUGAUAAAAAUUUAAAUAAUAUAAAAAGAGUAGCAAAAUAAAUUGAAAACAUUUGAUAUGGUCUAAAUGAACUAUAAUAAAAGGAUUAUAUAUUUUGAAAUGGUGAUUUGAGAGACAACUAAUCAAUCCUACUAUCUUGUCUUUUUUAAAUAAUUUGGGAUCAAAGAUCCAUCAAAGAUGACUCACAUAUGUUUCCCAAAGAUACGAUAAAUAUAUAUAUAUAUUCCUAUCAAGCAAGUUGACAGCUAAAGGGUGCAAUUUUGACGUUGCUAAAUUCUCUAGCAUCAAAGAGGCAAGAUAUGUUGCAAACAAGACAUAAAUUACCAAUAUCAACCCCUACUUUUGUAUGAUAGAGAAAAUAUGAUGUACAAGUUUACAGUCAUGGAAUGUAUUAGGUGCAUUGAAGAUAAUUCGGUGUUAGAAUCAAAGAUAUUUAUCGGUAUUUUUGUUAAUUGUAAAAUUGUGCAUAAACUGGAAAAAAUGUUUGAUUGCCAUUACAAGAAUUUCUUUAAAGUUAAUAGUUUGAAAGAUAAUUUUAAGUAGGAGUUGGAAGGCAUUGCUAUAAAGAGAAUCUAAAGAAAGUAAUUUCAUUUUGAGUUUCAAGUGAAAGGAAUGAAAGAAAGGUUGCUUAAAUAAAUACGGAAUUGGAUAUUGAGCUGUUUUGAAUAGUUGGAGCGAAGGACACAUGGACCAUAUGAAAUUCUAGUCUACCAAAGUAAUGCUAAUCAGAUUCCUCUUUGGAAAUGACCAACUUUUCAAAACAUUGUCAAUCUACCUUGAAAGGUGGCAUCGGUGAAAGAAUCAAUCAUGAAAUAUUAAAAUUAUACUAAAAUGACUAUAAAGAUUUAUUUCCCCCAUAAAUAAACAUAUUCUUAUUCUUCCUUAAAAAUUAACAUGAUUUUAUCUUAAUAUACAUGUAUAUAUAUUUAUGUGUCAAAAUAGCCUUCUAAAAUAUUUAUUUUAGAAAAUAAUUUAUAUAAUACAUAUAAAAUUAAUUAUAAACUUAUUUUGAUAUGAUGUCGAAAUUAAAUAUUAUAAUGGUCCUUUACCACAUUCAACACUAACUUUUAUUUUAUUAUUUUUUUAAAAAUAAACUUUAAAUUUUAUAAUAAACAGCAUACAUAGGCUUCAAAUUUUAAGUUUAAAAUAUGGGAUAAUAGUUUACUAUAGACCCAUCCAUGGGCCCUUGACCAGAGUCGGGUGUAUAUAGAUAAAGGUUUUUAUAAUUUGGGUCGGUCCAACUCAAAUUUAAUUUAAAUAAAAAAAUUAUUUUUAAAAUUUAAAUUUAAUUAUAAAAAUAUGCUUCUUUUUUUUUUUUUGAACAUUGAAACGAACUGUUUAGGUAGAUCGAGUUGGGUUGAAAAUGGGUUUGGACUUGAAAAUUUUAGAUUUUUUUAAGAGAAUAAUAAUAUCAAGGAGUCUAGUAAUUAAAAAUUUUAUAUUAAAUUUUUACUGUUUGAAAUCUUCUAAUAACAUAAAAAAAAAUUUAAACCAAAGUUUUUAAAAGAAUUUAGGGUAAACUACACCAUUAGUCACUCAAAAAAGGGUCAAUUUUCAUUUUGAUCACUUAACUAAAAUAAGAUACAAUUUAGUCACUAAUGUUUCUAGAAAAAAAUUUUGGUCACCCGACUAUUAAGUGGCGCUUACUUUAGCUGGUAUGAUAACAAUUUUUGUCACAUCCCAAAAACCAAGUUCGUAGAAAUUGGGUUUGUCAAACCAAGAGUGGUGACGUCCUAUUUUUGAGUUAAGAUUGUGAAAAUUAUGUUAAGUAAAUUGAUUUGGUUCAGUGGUUAAGUGCUUUGGAUGUGUUUAAGGUCUUGUGUUCAAAUCUUUUCCCUUAAAUUUUCAUUAUUUUUGUCCUAACUUUCAUCUCUGAACAUCUAGCUUAUAUAUUAUUUUUGCUCAAUUGAUAAUUAGAAUGAGUUUACUAGUUUAGUGGUAAGGCUUUAGUUUACUUAGAGGUCUUGUGUUUGAAUCUUAUGUGUGUAAAGUGAAAUUAUUUUUGUUUUUAAACUCUAAGAAUUUUUUUUAUAAGGAUAGCUAAUCAAAUUGAGUGUGGAAGUUUUCCAUUUUCCUACAAACUUUCCCCAAAAUUCGCCUCAUUCUGUCGUCCACUUCUUGCCACAUUGUUCACGUUUUCUUUUCCCUUUUCUUCUUCCAUCUACUGAUUUCUAUUUUCUUUUUGCUUUAGUAGUUUUGGAGCCUUCCUUUCUCAUCUUUGCUCUACUAUUUUCUUUUGUGUUAUUAUAUUGGUACGUUGUUGAAUCUCUGUAAUUCCUUCGGGUAAGUGUUGGUUAUUUGUUUUAUAUAAAUGUGGUGUUGGUUUAAUCUUUCAAGUGAUUGAUGGAUUCAAGUUUGAUCUUUGUAAUGUGUUGUUAGGAGAAGAUCGACAGACUCGUGAAUUGUCUCCAGCGGUUUAAGUGCGGGAAAGGGCUGUUGUUCUUGCAAGGGUAAGUGAUUAAAGUUUUCAACUUGAGGUUGAUUCGGUUGUUUAGGCUAAGUGUUUAGCAUUUGUGAUCGAAUUAGUAACUUGGAUUUAGCAUAUUACUAAUAAUUCUUACAUUCUAAAAUGUCGAUUUAGGUAUUGGAAUCCUCGUAUUGGUGUUAACAUCGAAAAUUGAGCAGGUGUGUAACGGAAAAAUCAAAAAAUAGCGAACGGCAAGAUGUCAAAAAACCCACUAUCGACGUCACACAGCCAUGUGCCAAGUUAUGUGGGUCAUACGGGCUGGGUUAUUUGGGCCAUGUGUGUCAGGCUGUGUGCCAGGCCGUGUGGGGCCAUUUUUCGUAAAAUUCUGUCAGGGUCAUUUUUGAAGUGCAAUUUAAAAUUAGUCACUUCUUAGGUUCUGAAAUGUGUUAUGUAUGCAUUCUGGAUACGAAAUUUGAUAUUUUGUUUCUGUUAAUGUGGUUUUUGAAAGCAUAUUAUUCAAUAUUGACAUUGUACGUGUAACAUUUGAGAGUAUGUCUAUGGUAUAAUUUAUGCUUCUGAUCUGUAAUUUGAGAAUCUAUUUAAGCAUGAUUCAUUUAUGUGCAUCUAAGUAUGUAAAAUGUUUUGAUAUGUGCAUUGGGGUGGUAUGAUGAUGUGAUGGAGGAGGUAUUUGGCAGUUUAACUGCAUACUAAUAUUUAUAAGCCAUCGUUGUCGAGCAACUCGAGAUAACUUAAUUUGUGGUUUAAUAUAACUUAAUUUGUGGUUUAACCUCAUAUCUAAUAUGGUGGAUUGAACUCAUUUAUUGAUUUUGGCAGAAUAUCGCAUUAUUUAUGGCAGCUUGACUAUGACUACGCUAUUCUAAAAAGUGAUAUACGCUCACUUAUUGGUGUGACGGAUGGAUGGGCUCUUAUAGUCCUAUUUGGUGUGUAUUGGUGGGAUGGAGAUGGUGUUUAGUGGAUAGGUGUAGGAUCUAUUUCUGUGUCUGUAUUUGCAUCUGUAUUUGUAUCGGCAUCUGAUUUUAUAUAUGAGAUUGCAUCUAUAUCUGAAAUUGAAAUUAUAUAUGUAAUUGAAUUGUCUCUAUUUAUGUAACUGUUACUGUAUUUGAGUCUAUUCUGCCUGUUUGGGUUGAGUUACACACUAAGCCUAUAAGCUCACCCAAGUUCUUUGGCUUUUCAGAUAAUCGGCAUACUAAGGACCAAACGACGUGCAGAAGCUCAUAUUGGGUUCUCAGUUAUUUAAGUAUGAUGGUUCAUGUUUUUAAAUUAUUUUGGACUUUCUAGAUUUUUUGGGGGGUUGUAAAUCUGUUUCUGUAUUUUGCUUUUACGUUUGGGUUUGCUUAGUUGAAUUUAGUAAUUAUUACUUAAAACUACAAAGUUUUGUGUUUUGCAAAUUAAGUCACGAUUUUCGAAAUUUAAUACUUUGAAAUUUCUGCUGCAAAAUAAAGUAAUCAUUUAAGUGUUUUUCUAUAAUAAAAUAAAUAGUUUUAACGAAUGUUUUCUUAAAAACUAGAAAGUGAUUUGCCAGAAUUAAUAUUGCCAAAACACACGAUUUCAAAUUCAAUUUCUAGGUUUUUAAAUAAGUUAAUGUAAUUCCUCCAAAUUUGGUCAUAACGUCUAGGUCGGGUUUGGGAUGUUACAAUUUUAGUCCUUAAUUUUUAUAUUUUUACCAAAUUGACCCUAAUUUUAUAUAAAAAUUAUAAAAAAACUCAAAAUCAUUUAUAAAAUAGAAAAAUGUACGUAAAAUUUUAGAAAAAGAAAAUCUUGAAUAUGUUGCUGAAGAACUAAAUUGUAUGAGAAAUAAAGAAAAGUAUCAUUCAAUAGAAUCCAAUAACAAACUAGGCACAUAAUACAAUAAAAAAGUUAGACCAUUACAUACUUCCUCAACGUUUCUCGAAACCAAAUUAGUAAUAUUAUCUAGUUGAGUUUCAUGCUCUUGAAGAACAUUUAGAACCGGCAUUACAAAGAUUUAUGAAAUCGACCCGGAUGUCAUUUUUUUUAGUCAAAAGAUUACAAAAUAUACCACAAAAUUUUUUUCAAAUUCAAUUCAAAAUUUAAUUAUAUUUAAAAUAUUUUUCAUAACCCAAUUUGUAAAAACAAAUUAUGUUUCUUCUUCCAUGGUCGAGUUGGGCUUGGAAAAGGUUUUUAUGUCUUGACCCGUUACAACUUGAAUUCAAUUUAAAUAAUAAAAGAUAUUUUUAAAAUUUAAAUUUAAUUAAAAAUAUAAAAAUGUUUUUAAUAUUUUAUUAUUUUCUGAACUCUCAAAUGGACUUUUGGAGUGACCAAGCUAGGCUAAAAAUGGGUUAGGCUUGAAAAAAUUUUAGAUUAUUUAUAAGAGUAUAUCAAGGUGUCUAACAAUUACAAUUUUUUUUUGAAAGGUCUUAAUAACACUAGAAAUCUUAUCACACACAUAUGCAUGUGAAAAUCACGUAUUUAUAACACAGACUGUGUUUAAAAAUAACAUACAAUGAAUACUGAAAAGUAUAAUUUGGAACUAAUUAAUAAUAACACGUGAAAUAUGUAUGAUAUUAAAAUAAAAAUUAGAUUAAAUUGAGAGUAAAACAAAAUCUAAACACAAAAAUACAUCAUAUUAAGAAUACUAAAUGAAUACAAAUGUUUAUCAUUGUUUUGUCUUCAAUCCCGAGUUGGUGAUGCUAAAUCAAUAACAUUAUUUACAUACACAAAUAUAUAAAAACUUAGAACACAAAUGUUAUGACAUGUACAUUUCUGACAUUUGUUAAUUCUGCAUGUGCAUUAGGAUGAGAUUUGUGUUUACGGAGGAAGUGUGGGAGUUUAAUUCAUUUGCCUUAUUUGGUGGCUUAGCCACACAUAUUUCUGCAUUUGGCGAUGAAUCACCUAAUGAUCUGGCAGUUAGGCUGCGAAUACUUUGAAAAGUUUUAUAUCGACACUAAGUGGUGUGUAGGGUUUGAUGGUUAUUUAAUACCCUAUAUGGUGUGUAGGGAUGGUCGGAGAUGGUGCGUAACGGAUCGGAGUAGGAUUGUAAUCUACACCUGAUAUGUUCUGAUUCUGUUUCUGUAUAUGAUAUAUGUCUAAUUGACUUCCAAAAGCAUGUUUGAAAAUUAAAUCUAAUAUUUUAACUCUUAUAAGUUACACAUUGAGCUUGUAAGCUCACUCUCAGUUUCUCUUAUUCUUAGGCAAUCCUUAGAUUUAGGUGGGUAGGUGUGACUGGAGCUCGGUUAAUUAUCUUCUUGGUAUAUUUGUUAUUUUAAUUUGGUUUAUUCUAUGUUGGUUUUGAAUUGUUUUUGGACUGUUUUUAAGUUUAGGUUUAUUUUCAUUUUAUUUAUUUAUUUAAACGUUUUUGGUUGGUUUAAAUUUGAUCUACAAAAUGUUAAAUUACAUAGCAACAAACCGUGUUUUCAAAAUCGAACUCAACUAAAAAUUUUCGCUGCAAACGUAAGUGUUUUACGAGUAAAUAAUCGACAAAUUUAUCGAAAUGGCUAAGAAGGAUAUUUUCCCCAAAUAAACUCGGAUUUUACUUAAUAAGAGCUAGCAUUGUUUUAUAAGUCGAACGGAUUUUGGAUUUUCAAAUAAAUUGUAGUAACAUCUCCAGAUUUGGCCAUAACGUCUAGGCCGGGUUUGGGGUGUUAUAGAGCCUAUAAGCUCACCCAAUGUUUCUAACUUCUCAAUUAAUCAACAUAUUUAGGACCAGAUGACGUGCAGGAGAUCAGAUUGAGUUCUCAAUUAUUUAAGUAUGAUGGUUCAUGUUUUUAAAUUAUUCUGGACAUUCUAAUUUUUUUGGGGGUUGUAAAUCUUUUUCUGGAUUUUGCUUUGCUUAGUUGGAUUUAGUAAUUAUUACUUAAAACUACAAGAUUUUGUGUUUUACAAAUUAAGUCAUGGUUUUCAAAUUUUAGUACUCUAAAAUUUUCACUGCAAAAUAAAGUAAUCACUUAAGUGUUUUUCUAUAACAAAAUAAAUAGUUUUAAUGAUUAUUUUCUUAAAAAUUGAAAAGCGAUUUGCCAGAAUUAAUAUUGUCAAAACACACAAUUUCAAAUUUAUUUUUUGGGUUUUUAGACAAGUUAAUGUAAUUCCUCUAGAUUCGACCAUAAAGUAUAAACCAAGUUUGUGGCGUUACAAUUUUUGUCCUCAAUAUAUAUAUAUAUAUAUUGAUCAAUUUGACCCUGAUUUUAUAUAAAAAAAUUAAAAUCAUUUAUAAAAUAGAAAAAUGUAUAUAAAAUUCUAGAAAAAUAAAAUCUUGAAUAUGUUGUUGAAGAACUAAAAUGUAUGAGAAAUAAAGAAAAUAUCAUUCAAUAGAAUCCAAUAACAAUAAAGAAACAAAACGAAAUAAAAAAGUUCAGUUUCAUGCUCUUGAAGAACAUCUAGGAUUGAUAUUACAAAGACUUAUAAAAUCAACCCGGAUGUCUUUUUUUUCCUUGUCAAAAGAUUACAAAAUAUACCACAAUUUUUUUUCAAACUCAUUUCAAGUUUUAAUUAUAUUUAAAUUAUUUUUCAGAACCUAAAUUGUAAAAACAAAAUGUGUUUCUUCUUCCAUGGUUGAGUUGGGCUUAGACAAGGUUUUUAUGUCACGAGCUAUUUCAACUAGAAUUCAAUUUAAAUAAUAAAAAAUAUUUUUAAAUUUUAAAUUUAAUUAAGAAUAUAAAAAUGUUUUUUAAUAUUUUAUUAUUUUUUGAACUCUCAAAUAAACAUUUCUGGGUUGACUGAGCUGGGCUAAAAAUGGAUUAGGCUUGAAAAAAUUUUAGAUUAUUUUUAAGAGUAUAUCAAGAAGUCUAAUAAUUACAAUUUUUUAAAAAGGUUUUAAUAACACUAGAAAUCUUAUCACACGCAUAUGAGUGUGAAAAUCACGUAUUUAGAACACAUAUUUGUUGGUAAAAAGAACAUACAAUAAAUAAUGAAGAGUAUGAUUCGGAACUAAUUAAUAAUAACACAUGAAAUAUGUAUGAUAUUAAAAUAAAAAUUAGAUUAAAUUGAGAGUGAAACAAAAUUUAAACACAAAAACACAUGAAUAUUAAAUGAAUACAAAUGUUUAUCAUUGUUUUGUCUUCAAUACUGAGUUGGUGUCAUGUUCAUUUGUGACGCUAAAUCAAUGACAUGAUUUACAUAUACAAAUAUAUAAAAAUUUAGAACACAAAUAUAGUUAUUAAAGUUUCAAAUGAAAACAUUAUAACUAAUGUAAAUGAAAAAGCUUUAUAUGCAUGGUGUCCCCUAGUUCAAAUAUCAUUAUGGGUAAAUUUUUAUUGAUUUAUAAAAAAAUAUAAAAUGAUGAAAACACCCUCAUAAACAUAUAUCUUACUUUGUAAAUAAAAUAGUAUUUUUGGUAAAAUUUUUAAAAGAAUUUAGGGUAAAAUUCAACUAUGAUUAAGUUUUUAUUUUGGUCACUUAACUAAAAUAUGUUACAAUUUGAUCACUAAUGUUUUAGAAAUUAUUUUUUUUUUGACACCCAACUAUUAAGUGGCACUUGUUUUAGUUGGUAUAAUAAUAAUUCUAGUCAUCAGUUCUUAUAUUUUUUUGUCAAUUUGACUCUGAUUGUGUAUAAAAAAUUAUUAAAAAAGCUCAAAAUAUUUAUAGAAUAGAAAAAUGUAGAUAAGAUUUCUAGAAAAAUAAAAUCUUGAAGUUGUUGAAUAACUAAAUUGUAUGAAAAAUAAAGAAAAUUAUGAUUUAAUAAAAUACAAUAACAAAUUGAAAACAAAACAAAGUUACAUUUUGCACCUUAUACUUGUUCAUAAUAGCUAAUAUUCACAUAAUUUUUCAAUUCACAGCUAAACAUAUAGAUGAAAUAUUCAAGUACAAUUUACACAUAAUAUAAAACCAGAGAGUAAGUUUCAAAUUUAAUGUCACACCCUGAUACAACUCAUUGACUUGUAUAUUUAAUUUCAAGAUGUAUAUUCAAUACUGACAACUUCAACAAUGCAAAUCCUUUAGUAAUGGGGUGCCAAUAACUAUACCUAACGCAGCUCCUUUACUUGUCUAUUUAAUUUCAGGUUAUGCAUUCUGAUACCCUGCCAACUAUUAUUUUUAUUAAAUAUUAUUUAUUGCCAUCUUCAAUGAUUUUGUUUUGAUCUCCAAGGUCUACCACAACAUUUCAAGCAUCCUGUCAAGGUAAUUAAUUUUCUUUCAUUUGCUUAACUCAUCACAUGCUUUUCUUUGCUCGAUUCAUGACUUUGCAACGAUUCUUUCUGAUUAUCUGCUACUCUUAUCAGCUAGCUUUGUAAGACAGCCAAGGAAGAAGUGAACUUCACUGCUUCAUUUUCAGUUCUAUUCACUCAACACUUUUCAGCCACUAAGUCAGGUAAUAAGAUCUGAAGCUAUGGUUUCCUCUACUGAUUAUCAACAGUUUUAGAUUUUAAGAUAAGAUGAUCAGCAGACAUAAUCUACUCUAGAUUGAAAUUAAUACAGAAAGAGCUACCCAGAAGCAAUAUAAUGUUGAAAUCUCAAACUGUCAACAUCUUAACUCUUAAUAUUCUGUAAUGAACUGUUGCACACUUGAAUCUAGCAUUUUAUAUACAUCGAGAGCUUAAUUCUGGUGACCAGAAUUUCAUCAUGUUUCUGUCUGCCACCCAUCCAUAGCUCCAUCUAAUUAACGCCAUUGCUUGAAACUUGCAUUCAUGUUUUCCUUUUCAUGCUUACACUGACAUAUCAAUACUUCAUAAAAUAUCCAAUUCAUUCACAGAUUUUCAUUCUCUGCUACUGUUAUAUUUGAUUGCAUUGCAGGGACAUAGCAAUGGAGUACGUAGAGCCUGUUGUCGGCAUUGCAAAUUGUCUCGGAACUCCUGUUUGUAAAUAUUUGCAAUAUCACAGAAAGCUGAACGAUUAUGUGAGAAACUUCAACAGGAUCAGAGAAGAAUUGAAUUGCAAAAUGGAAGAAAUAGAGCUGCAAUUGAAAGCAGAGCUUCUUCGUCCUCUGGGGAAGAUACCGAAGAAUGGAGUUGAAAUUUGGUUGAAAGCUGUGACAGAGAUGAUUGCGGAAGCACAGGAUGUUGAAAACAAAGCCAGUAACGGGAGAUAUCUCUGUCGUGCUUGCAACGGGAAGCUGGUUGAUGAAAAGACUCGAGAAAUGAAGGAAUUUCUUGAUAAAGCUCCUAAUGCCUCUGAAGGUCGUGCCAUGGAUGGUCCAAGUGCUGGGUUGCCACUGCCAACAUCAGAACUAGUUGGGGAGGAAGCUGCAAGAAAAGAGAUUUGGGCAUGUUUGAUGCAAGAGGAGGUAAAAGAGAUUGGGGUUUGGGGGAUGGGCGGUGUGGGUAAAACCACUAUCAUGAAGCACAUCCACAAUGAUCUUUUGAAAGAACAAAGAUUCGAAAGGGUAAUCUGGGUUACCAUAUCAAAGGAGUUCAAUGUCAUGAAGGUACAAGAUGAUAUUGCAGCUGCUUUGAAGUUGAACGAAGAUUGGCCUAGAGAAGGAGACAAGCUAAGACGAGCAGCAAUCUUGUCAGAAAUGCUGAAGAACGCAGGAAAGCAUGUUCUAAUCCUAGAUGAUAUGUGGGAUGAAUUCUCUCGAGAAGAAGUUGGGAUCCCCGAGCCGAGUGACAGCAAUGGCUGCAAGUUGGUGUUGACAACCCGUUCGGAGCAUGUCUGUAAGUUUAUGGGUUGUAAGGUGAUAAAAGUGAAGCCCCUUUCAGGACAACAGGCAUUGACACUAUUCUUGAGUAAAGUUGGUGUUGAAGUAAUGGUCAGCAUGCAGCAACCAAGACUGUCAAAGGCACUACAUGCAGAAGCUGCUGGUUCACCUAGUCAGCAAGCUGUUUAUGUUUCAUUUUGUAAUUUUAAGUUAGAGUAAUGUAACUUAGUUGCUUUAUAACUAUGUUAGGUUUAUGUUUAAUGUAAUUUUGAUGUUGACUGAGCUGAUAAAUCAGCUUUGUUUGUUUAUUCAAGCUAAUUAGCACAAGUUACUAUGUGUAUUAGUGGUAGUAGGUGAAGUUUAGGUCAACCUACUGUUUUGUCAAGAUUGUAAACUUGUUUUAUGUAUUGGCUUUGUGCCAUUUUUGGUUUGAUGAAUGAAUUCAAGAAGUUAUCAUCCAUAUGCUCUCCAUUUUUAGUUUUGCUUAAAAAUCCAUUUGAGUUUUCUGCUUUGUUUCUCCUACAAGUCACGAGACUUGCCAUACAAGCAUUCUGCUGAAGCUUGCUGCUGCUGCCUCUUGCUCCAACAAUUGGUAUCUAGAGCCACAUUCUUAGAGGACCUGUUGUAGUUCAGUAUCAAAACGAUGGCAUCAUCAGGUUUUUCACCAGCUUCACCACCUGUCUUCAAUGGAGAGGGCUUCAACAUUUGGGCAGUUAAGAUGAGGACUUACCUGCAGGCAUUCGACCUAUGGGAAGUUGUUAACUCAGAUACUGAGCCAGCACCUCUUCGAGCUAAUCCAACAGUUGCUCAAAUAAGGCAACACACUGAUGAAAGGACAAAAAGGCACAAGGCCAUGUCAUGCAUACAGAAUUGUGUGACAGAUGUGAUCUUUAUGAGGAUCAUGGCCUGUGAGACACCAAAGGAGGCUUGGGACAAGCUGAAAGAAGAAUUUCAGGGGACUGAGAAAACAAGGCAACAACAGCUGCUCAAUUUGAGAAGAGAUUUCGAAAAUCUCAAAAUGAAAGAGGAAGAAACAGUUAAGCAGUACUCAGACCAGAUUAUGGCUGUUGUAAACAGCAUAAGGCUCCUAGGAGAGCAAUUCAGUGAAGCUAGAAUGGUUGAGAAAGUCAUGUCCACUCUACCAGAGAGGUAUGAAGCUAAAAUUUCAUCCCUCGAAGACUCAAGGGACUUGACAACUAUCUCCUUAACUGAGCUAAUCAAUGCCUUGUAUGCACAAGAGCAAAGAAGAGCUAGCAGACAAGAGGAGCACCAGGAAGGGGCUUUUCAAGCCAAAGAAGCCUCGAGCAUCAAAACUCAUAAAGGCAAAAAGUUCUGGAAAAACAGGCCUAAGCCUGAUGCUGCUAGGAGCAGUGACCAACUCUGCAGACAUUGUAAAAGAGCUGGUCAUCCAGAAGAUAGAUGCUGGUUUAGACCAGAUGCAGUAUGCCAACACUGCAAGAAAAAAGGCCAUGUUGAAAAAGUUUGCAAGAAUAGAAGCAAACCAAGACAGAAUCAAUUUCAGCAACAAAAGGUGGAAGCUCGAGUAGCUGAAGAAAGCAGUGAUCAAGAAGAACAUGUUUUUGCUGUGUCAUGUGCAGGAAAUCAGAAGAAGGGUUCAAAGGGCUGGCUUCUAGACAGUGGGUGCACAAACCACAUGUCACCAGAUGCAACUAUCUUCAAAACCCUGGACAGAACCUGCAAAACCAAAGUAAAAAUUGGAAAUGGUCAGUUAAUCAAUGCUGAAGGAAGAGGAGAUGUGCUGAUUCAUACUUCUACAGGUGGCAAAAUCAUUUCAAAUGUACUUUUGGUACCUGAAAUCGAUAGGAACCUUCUCAGUAUAACUCAACUACUUGAGAAAGGUUACUCAGUUGUUUUCAAGGAGAAAGAAUGUCAAAUUUUUGAUCCAAGUGGAUCAAAUCUUAUAACAGUCACCAUGACUGAUAAAUGUUUUGAAGUAGACUGGCCAAAUGACUCACAUUCAGCCUGCAUAGCCUCCACUGAUGACUCGAGACUCUGGCAUCAGAGGCUUGGAAUGCAAACUACAAAUCCAUAGCCCGCAUGGUCAAUGAAGGUCUGGCAGAAAAUUUCAUUGAUUCAGUGAAGAAUGAUGAGCUUUGUGAGAUAUGUCAGCAAGGAAAAUUGGCAAGAUUGCCAUUUCCAACAAGCACAACAUGGAGAGCAUCAGAGAAGCUCCAGCUUGUGCAUACAGAUGUGUGUGGACCAAUGAAGACUGAGUCUCUCAAAGGAAGCAGGUACUUUAUUUUAUUUAUUGAUGACUUAACAAGAUACUGCUGGAUUUAUUUUCUAAAACAGAAAUCAGAAGUACCAUCUAUGUUCCUGAAGUAUAAGGCUGCUGUUGAAACUGAGUCUGGUUGCAAACUUAGAGCAAUGAGGUCAGAUAAUGGAACUGAGUACACCUCAGCUCAGUUCCAAGUCUACUGUGAAGAAGCAGGUAUCAAACACCAGUUGACUAAUGUGUAUACACCCCAACAGAAUGGGGUCAGUGAAAGGAAAAACAGAAGCUUGAUGAACAUGGCAAGAUGUCUUCUGUUUGAGAAGAAUUUGCCCAAAAGUCUGUGGGCUGAAGCUGUUAACACAUCAGUUUAUCUCCAAAACAGGCUCCCAACCAAGGCUCUGGCUGAGAAGACUCCAUUUGAAGCCUGGUUUGGGUUUAAGCCAUCACUGGCUCAUCUCAGAACCUUUGGUUGUCUGUGCUAUACUCAAGUUCCAGCUGAGAAGAGAAGCAAGCUAGAUAAAAGAGCUCAAGCAGGGAUCCUGAUCGGCUACAGCUUGGUUAAGAAGGGCUACAGAAUUCUAGAACCUGCUACAAACAAGAUAUUGGUUAGCAGGGAUGUUGUUUUCAAUGAAAAAGGACACUGGAAUUGGGAGAAGGCUGAACCAGAGGCAGUGGCUGAAGAUUUGGCAGUGGACCAAGUUGAAAAUGAUGAAAACACACCUGAAAUGGAUGUAGAUGAUGUUCCAAUCAGAGGCACUCGAUCACUGGCUGAUGUUUAUGAAAGAGCACAAGUGGCUACUGUUGAACCAAGUUGCUUUGAAGAAGCAGAAAACCAGGAGGACUGGAAGCAAGCCAUGAUUGAAGAAAUCAGAAUGAUUGAAAAGAAUCAGACCUGGAGUCUGGUUGAUAAACCAACAAACAGGAAAAUUAUUGGUGUCAAAUGGGUUUAUCGAGUAAAAAACAAUGCUGAUGGUAGCCUAAACAAGUUAAAGGCUAGAUUGGUUGUGAAAGGCUUCAGUCAAAGUUAUGGAUCAGACUACCUGGAAACCUUUGCACCAGUGGCCAGGCUAGACACUAUUAGACUGCUAGUUGCCUUAGCAGCACAAAAACAGUGGCUGAUACACCAACUUGAUGUAAAAUCAGCAUUUCUGAAUGGAUUCCUUGAAGAGGAGAUUUAUGUGGAGCAACCUCAAGGUUUCAAGGUGUCUGGCAAAGAAGAUAUGGUGUACAAGCUCAACAAAGCCUUGUAUGGCUUGAAACAGGCUCCAAGGGCCUGGUAUAGCAGAAUAGAUGGCUAUCUGACCAGUCAAGGAUUUGAAAGAAGUCUUAGCGAGCCAACUCUGUAUGUUAAAUCAACUAGUGCUGAAACUCAGCUCAUUGUCUCAAUAUAUGUCGAUGACCUACUGGUGACAGGAGGAGAUCAUGAGAUGCUAAGCAGUUUUAAAGUCAAAAUGCAACAGCACUUUGAAAUGUCAGACUUGGGAUUGAUGUCUUACUUCUUAGGCAUGGAAGUAACUCAAGCUAAGAAUGGGAUUUGGCUAAGUCAAAAGACCUUUGCUAUGAAGGUUCUCAACAAAUUCUCAAUGGAGAAUUGCAAAGCAACCAGCACACCAGUUGCUGUUGGAGAAAAACUCUCGAGCCAAGACAAGCAUGAAAAGGUUUGUGAAACAACCUAUCGAAGUCUAGUUGGAUGUUUGUUGUAUUUGACUGCUACUAGACCUGACAUAAUGUAUGCUGUGAGUCUACUCUCGAGGUUUAUGCAUUCUUCAAAUGAAAGUCAUUUUAGAGCUGCAAAAAGGGUUCUAAGAUACAUCAAAAGAACUUUGUCCUAUGGAAUGCAGUUUACCAAGGCUGAGAACUUGAGGCUAGUUGGAUAUUGUGACAGUGACUGGGCUGGUUCUUUGGAUGAUAUGAAGAGCACUACAGGUUAUGCAUUCAACAUAGGCUCUGCUAUGAUAUGCUGGAGCUCAAAGAAGCAAGGAGUAGUGGCUCAGUCGACUGCAGAAGCAGAAUAUGUGGCUGCUGCUGCAGCAGUCAAUCAAGCCAUAUGGCUUAGAAAAAUUUUGAAAGAUAUAAUCAUGAGCAAAAGGAAGCAACUGAGAUAAUGUGUGACAACCAAUCAGCAGUUGCUAUUGCAAAGAAUCCUGUUUUUCAUGGAAGGACCAAGCACUUCAACAUCAAACUUCAUGCAGUUCGGGAAAUGGAACAAGCUCAUGUUGUUAAGCUGAUACAUUGCAGUUCUGAAGAGCAAAUUGCUGAUAUUUUAACAAAAGCACUAAGUGUUUCCAAGUUUCAACACCUGAGAGCUAAUAUGGGAGUUUGCAACAUGCUAACCAAGGAGGAGUGUUGAAGUAAUGGUCAGCAUGCAGCAACCAAGACUGUCAAAGGCACUACAUGCAGAAGCUGCUGGUUCACCUAGUCAGCAAGCUGUUUAUGUUUCAUUUUGUAAUUUUAAGUUAGAGUAAUGUAACUUAGUUGCUUUAUAACUAUGUUAGGUUUAUGUUUGAUGUAAUUUUGAUGUUGACUGAGCUGAUAAAUCAGCUUUGUUUGUUUAUUCAAGCUAAUUAGCACAAGUUACUAUGUGUAUUAGUGGUAGUAGGUGAAGUUUAGGUCAACCUACUGUUUUGUCAAGAUUGUAAACUUGUUUUAUGUAUUGGCUUUGUGCCAUUUUUGGUUUGAUGAAUGAAUUCAAGAAGUUAUCAUCCAUAUGCUCUCCAUUUUUAGUUUUGCUUAAAAAUCCAUUUGAGUUUUCUGCUUUGUUUCUCCUACAAGUCACGAGACUUGCCAUACAAGCAUUCUGCUGAAGCUUGCUGCUGCUGCCUCUUGCUCCAACAGUUGGCCCGAACAUAGUGCAAAAUCAAACUUUAAUGCCAAUUUUGAGGCCCGUUGUUGAAGAAUGUGCGGGUCUACCUCUUACAAUUGUUGUCGUAGCUGGUACAUUGAAAGGAGAAGAGGACCCUCUUAUUUGGAAAAAUGCACUCAGGGAAUUGAAAGAGAGAAUAGGGAAAGUGAAAGAAGCGGAAGAUAAAGUGAUCGAGAGUUUGAAAGUUAGCUUCAAUCACUUAAAAGACGAGAAAAUGAAGCAUUGUUUCUUACAUUGCGCAUUAUAUCCUGAAGAUUUUCAAAUUUGGAAGUAUGGGCUAAUUGAGUGCUGGAUUGAAGAGGGAUUCAUAGAUGAUAUGGGUACAAGACAAGAAAUGAAAGAAAAGGGCCAUGUUAUUUUGAAGAAGUUAGAAGAGAAUUGCUUGUUGGAAAAUACUACCAAUGUAAAUGGUCAACCUUGCGUAAAGAUGCAUGAUGCAGUGAGAGAGAUGGCAUUGUCGAUCACAAGAAUGAAUCCUCGAUGUAUGAUACAAGCAGGUUUGCAAUUAGAAGAGUUACCAGAAAAGGAGCAAUGGAGUCCGGAUAUUGAGAAAGUGUCACUGAUGUAUAACUCCAUAUCAGAAAUUUCCAUAGAUGUGCUGCCCACAAAAUGUCAACUUCUCACAACCUUGUUAUUGCAGGAGAACCCUAUAAAGAAGAUCUCAAAUUCUUUCUUCAUAAACAUGCCUUGUCUUAGUGUUCUCAAUUUGUCCUCUACGAAGAUCAAAAGUUUACCAAAUUCCAUCUCUGAACUAAAGAACCUCACAACAUUGUUGCUUUCUGGCUGUUAUGAAUUAAGAGCUCUGCCAUGUCUUUCGAUGCUUCAAGAAUUGAAGAAGUUGGAUCUAAGUUGGACUAGAAUUGAGGAAGUACCAGAAGGCAUGGAUAUGCUGAUAAAGCUAAGAUAUCUUGAUGUUCAAGUGUUCACUCUGAAAGAGAUACCCGCUGGACUUUUACCAAAACUCGUUCACCUUCAGCACUUGGGUUUUCAUAAGGACAAUAAAAGAACCAGUCUAAAAGCAGAGGAGAUGGAACCAUUGAAGAAGUUGGAGAACUUAACCGGACAUUUCGAAGACGUCAGUGAAUUCAGUAAGUUCAUCUCCUCAAUGCAACAAAGUAAGAAAAAUCUCAUCAAGUACGAUUUACAGGUGGGCUCAUCUUUUAUGCGUGCUACAAGAGAUAAAACAGUAACAAUUGGAGGAUUCCAUGAUUGGGAAGGUGAGUUAAUUAUGCACCCAAUUGAAAUUCAACAGUUGAAUAUUUUAAAGUGCCACAAUUUAAGAAGCUUAGUCAAUGAUAAUUCUUCCUUCAAAAAUGCGAUUGGCUUGAGGGUUUGGUGGUGUGAAGGGAUAGAGUGUGUUGUUUCCCUGUCCUCUUUUGCCUCUUCUUCCGCUCAUCCAUUUCAGAGCCUCGAGAUGUUGGAUCUUAGUGAGCUACCAAAGUUGAGUGCCCUUAUUAUGAAAGAUGAAGGAAUUGGUCCAGCAACAACAUCAACAUUGGCUCCGUCUGCCGCCUUUUCCCAUCUUAAGGAAAUUACGAUAGACAGCUGCUCAAGUAUGAAGACGUUGCUUCCACAUUGGUUGCUUCCAAACCUCCAAAACCUGGAAGUAAUAUCAGUGUCACACUGUGAUAAGGUAGCAGAAAUAUUGGGAGCACCAACAUCAGAAGUUGAAGAAAAAGGGAGUGAUGCAUUAAUCAAAUUCCAUCUUCCUAAAUUGAGAAAGUUGAAAUUGUGGAGAUUACCAAAUUUGACGAGCAUAUGCAGCAAAAGUGGAGUGAUGGUUUGCGAUUCUCUCCAAGUUAUCCAAGUUGCUGGAGACUGUUAUAAACUGAAGAGAAUUCCUCCAUUUGUUCCCCUUGUUGGCAAUGGGCAGCCAUUUGCAUAUGCUCCACCUUCUCUUACCAUCAGGUCAUGGAAAGAAUGGUGGGAAUGGUUGGAGUGGGAUGACCAUCCAAACUUUAAAAAUGUUCUUCAACCCCUUUGGAAGGAUGGAAGGUAUGAACCAUUUAUAGCUUAGUUUAUUUUAUUUAAUUUAUAAAUCUAAUUUCUGAAUUUUAAAACCAUUUCAUGUUAUAUUUUAUUUUUGUUAUAAGAUGAUGCUGCCUCCAUUGCCGCCAAAGAAGUAGAAGAGAGUAGCAGCGCGGAGGAUGGUGCAAAAAAGGCGGGAAUAAAAGGAAUGAUGGAGCAUUGAGGAAUUGAGCAGCCACCAUAAUAAUUGACUCCUUUUCCAUUUUAAUAACAAAUUAUUUUAUUUGUAUUUUUAUAUAAAACAAUUAAAUUCAAAUAUUAUAUAAAAAAUCUUUAUAUGUUCUUAAUUGAAUUGAUGUAAUUCGUUAAUUGAAUUUUAAUAUUAUUUUCAUAAAAUAACAAAUAUUAUUUUGAGAAUAUUUUUAUUUUUUACAUAAAAUUUUAAAAUAUAUAUGUACAUGUUGAAAUUUAAAUCUAAAACAUCACAUUCUUUAAUACCUCAAUUCUAUUAUUUAAAAUUAUAGUACUCUUUACUUAUAUUGAUCUAUUGGCAUAAUCUUAAUUAGAUAUGUUUGUAUUGAUCGUAAAGUGAAAUUAUUUUUCUUAACAUUUAUAAUUGAUUAAUAUUAAAAUAUUUGAAAUUAAAAAUAAAUUACUAAAAUUAAUUUUAAAAAAAAUUAGAUUUAAAAUGGAAUUAAAAUAUAAUAUCAAAUUAUUACUACCUUUAUAGUAUAAUUUAUUGGAUAAACUACACCGUAGGUUAUUCUAAAACAAUAUUAUUUCUAUUUUGGUCACUUUAUUUUUUUAUCAAUUUAGUCACUUUAAUUAAAAUAAUUGCUUGAAUUAGACAUUGACAUGACAUUUUUUUUUACUUUUGACUAAAGCUAGGGAUUUUUCUAUUAGCCCAAAACAUUUGUUUUUGUUUAUUUGCAACCACAUAUCCUUGUCGCCACUCAUCCCCUGCUUUCCAUCUCUAUUGCUCCUCACUGCACCAUAAGAACUACGUUUCAUCACAAUGGUGUACAAAGAGUGUUGGUUGUGUUUUGACUAUCGUACAAAUUAGUGUAGAAAUACAAACGGCAAACUUCCAAGUGGAUACUAUUGGGAAACUAUAGGUGAAGUUGGAGUGAAAGACACAAGCCGUCAUGUAAGGACCUACGGCUAUCGUCGAAUCUUGCAUGGCGACUGGGGAUAUGACAGAUUUUUUAGUUCUGACGAGGAACUUGGAUCCGAUAUCCAGAGUCCAUUUCCACUUAUCGUUAUUGUAUAGCUCAGAUUUUUCGCCAAGAAUCUUCUUGGUUAGAACAUAGUCAAUAGCUAAGACAAGGUGAAAGAGAAGCAACAAGGAAGCUAAAAUGGUAACAAGCUUGGGAAAGGAUUGAGUAGAAACUGACUUCUUCAUGGACUCAGUAUGGGAUCCAGGAAGGGAAAAACUCAAUCUUUAAGAACAAAUGAAAAAAACCAAAGGAAUCCGCUUUCAAAUAAAUUUACCUUUGAGGCUUUGUUAGUGUUUUGGAUUAAUUAUAGAGAGGUUCCUAAUUUUAGUAAAAAGUAAAAAAAUGAAUGUCAUGUCAACAAUCAGUUAGUGGGUUAAUGCGAUAGUGACCAAUUCAAAUAAUUAGUAUAAUAAAAAAAUUUGCUCUUUAACUUUUAAAUAUUAUAUCAGUUUGGCAUAAUUUUAAAAAAAUAAUCUUCAAAAUUACAAAUGAUCUCUAUUUCAUCAUCAAAUUUUACCUACCUUUUCUGCUUCCCCACGGUCACUACUAUGGUUGCCUCCAUAUCCUCCUCCACCCUUCUUCAAACAAAAAAAAAAAAAAAAACUUCUCUUUUUUCUUAUUUGAACCUAAUUUAUCGUUAAAUAGUAGUAGAUAUAUUCUGUUUGUAUGAUUUCUGGGUUGACAUAUUCUUUUCAGCUGAAUGCUAAUAAUAACAAUAAUAUGAUGAAACAGUGGAGUAAUUUCUGAUGUGACGGCCUUCAUUUCGCUCACUAGUUGCAUGUUUAUUGUUCAUGCACUGAUUAAACAAGAUUUGAAAAGGCUAAAAGCAUGAGCAUGCAACACUGAAUUGUCAAAUACUCAAUAGUAUAAGAUUGAAAUGGUGUUAUUUUGCAGGAAGAAUGGGUGAUUGCAGAAUAAUACACAAAACAGGCGAGAAGAAAAAUGGGGUAGCUGCUGCGCAAGGACAAGGUUAUCUCUUGGAACUUUCUUCAAUAUCUUCAACAGCAAAGCAACAACUAAUUGCUUUCGUCCACUGCUUGAAAUCCCAAUUCCAUUGUUAGAAUCUCAAGCUCAAACUUCAGAGCAGGCUGCCCCUAACUCUUUUACAGAAAAUGACCUGAAAAAGCCUAAUAAACCCAGUUGUUUAUCCAACUAAUAAUGGGUUCCAACCCUCCUUUUCAGCCACUUCCACCUAGCACACUUGAUUUAUAAAUUUUGAAAUUUAGUUUUUUAAAAUUAUGAUCAAAUUGAUAUAUUAUAUCAAAGUUGAGAGAUAAAUUUAUUGUUAUAUCAAUUUUUUAACUGCCACAUCACCCUCCGAUUAGAGUUUUAAGGCACUUAACGAAAAUGGAUAAAAAAAACAAUCUUAAUUAGUUGAGUGACCAAAUUAAAAAUAAAUUAAUAGUUGGUGACCAAAAAGAAAAGGUACAAUAAUUAGAUGACCUGUGAUGUAGUUUACCCAUAUCUUUUUAAAAGCGUAUAAAUAUUUAUAAAUGUCAUCAUUCGUAUAGAAAUGUCACAAAUAUUAAAUCAUUAAAUUGCAUGUUUCAAAACAAAAUUAUUAAUUCAUUUUUUAAGAUUAGUAAUUAAUAGAAAUAGGAUCAAAAACAUCCAUACUAAACUUAACUAAACAGACUUACAAUUCGGUCACUCAUGUUUUCAGAAUUGUUUGUUUUCUUCACUCGACUGUUAAGUGACGCUUGUUUUAAUUGAUAUAAUAAUAAUAAUUAUAAUAAUAAUAAUGAUAAUUUUAGUUCUCAAUUUUUAUAUUUUUUAUCAAUUUGACCUUAAUUUUAUACAAAAAUUAUAAAAAAACCUCCAAAUUAUGUAUAAAAUAUAAAUUUUUAUAUAAAAAUUCUAGAAAAAUAAAAUCUUGAAUAUGUUGUUACAUAACUAAAUUGUAUAAGAAAUAAAGAAAAUCAGCAUUUAAUAGAAUCUAAUAAUAAAUUAAAAAUAAAAUAAAAAGUUAGAUCAUUACAUGCUUCAUCAAUGUUUCUCGAAAUCAAAUUAGUAAUAUUAUUAAGUUGAGUUUCAUGUCCUUAAAGAACAUCUAGAAUUGAUAUUGCAGAGGCUUAUGAAAUUGACCUUGAUGUCAUUUUUUUUUUUAGCCAAAAGCUAUUAUGUUUCAAACUCAAUUCAAUUUUUCGUUACAUUUAAAUUAUUUUUUGAAACUCAAAUUGUAAAACGAAAUCAUAUUCAAAAGUUUAUCUUCUCUUGUAAGGUAAAAAUUAUAUCAAGAAAUAGAAAAAGUAAAAAACAGAGAACAAAUAAAUCAGCUUAAUAUUUGUUUUCUAUGUUUGUUUUUAAAGAACGAGUAUUGGAUAUUUCGAUAUACAUAAUAUAGAGAAUUUCUGUAGGGUUUAAAAACAAUUAUCCCUCAUUUUCUCACACUUUAUUUAAUUUUGAAAAUUUUAGCUACUUUUAUUUAAUUUUUAAUUUUAUAAUGUUCUAAAAUUUUAAAAAUAAUUUAUUUUUUUACCAUUUUAUAUAUUAUCAAGAUUAAAAUGAUUGAAAAUAUAAAAGUUAAGAACUAAAAUUGUUAUUAUACUAAUUUAAAAAGUACCACUCAACCAUAUAAGUGACAAAAAUUUUUUUUUUUAAAAGCAACUUAAAUUCAAUGAUAUAACUUAUCGAGAAAUUUAUAUAUACUUAAAUAUUUAUAUAAAAAAUUAAAUAGAUUUAUUCACAUCUUACUAAUGUCCAUAUGUAAGAAAUUGUCCAAAAUUGAAUACUGACAACUUCAAGAACGCAAAUAAUUUAGUAAUGGGGUGCGAAUAACUAUACCUAAUGCAACUCCUUUACUUGUAUAUUUAAUUUCAAGUUGUAACUUAUAACUAUGCAUUCUUAUACCCUGCCGUCCCAACUAUUAUUUUUAUUAAAUAUUAUUCAUUGCCAACUUCAAUGAUUUUGUUUUGAUGUCCAACGUCUAUCACCAUAUUUCAAGCUCAUUUUCUUUCAUUUGCUUAAUCCAUCACAUGCUUUUCUUUGCUUGAUUCAUGACUUUGCAAUGAUUCUUUCUGAUUAUCUGCUACUCUUAGCAGCUAACUUUGUAAGACAGUCAAGGAAGAAGUGAACUUCACUGCUUCAUCUUCAGUUCUAUUCUCUCAACACCUUUCAGCCACUAAGUCAGGUAAUAAGAUCUGAAGCUAUGGUUUCCUCUACUGUUUAUCAACAGUUUUAGAUUUUAAGACAAGAUGAUCAGCAGACAUAAUCUACUCUAGAUUGAAAUUAAUACAGAAAGAGCUACCCAGAAGCAAUAUAAUGUUGAAAUCCCAUACUGUUAACAUUUUCACUCUUAAUAUUCUGUAAUGAACUGUUGCACACUUGAAUCUAGCAUUUUAUAUACAUCGACAGCUUAAUUCUAUCAGUCACCCAUCUAUAGCUCCAUCUAAUAAACGCCAUUGCUUGAAACUUGCAUUCAUGCUUACACUGACAUAACAAAAAGCCAAUACAUUCACAGAUUUUCAUUAUCUGCUACUGUUAUAUAUGAUUGCGUUGCAGGGACAUAGCAAUGGAGUACGUAGAGCCCGUUCUUGGCAUUUCAAAUUGUCUUGGAACUCCUGCUUGUAAAUACUUGCAAUAUCACAGAAAGCUCAACGAUUAUGUGAGAAACUUCAAGAGGAUGAGAGAUGAGUUGAAUUGCAAAAUGGAAGAUAUACAGCUGCAAUUGAAAGCAGAGCUUCUUCGUCCGCUGGGCAAGAUACCGAAGAAGGGAGUUGAAAAUUGGUUGAAAGCUGUGAAAGAGAUGAUUAGGGAAGCACAAGUUGUUGAAAACAAAGUCAGUAACGGGAGAUAUCUCUGUCGUGCUUGCAACGGGAAGCUAGUUGACGAAAAGACUCGAGAGAUGAAGGAAUUUCUUGAUAACGCUCCUAAUGCCUCUGAAGGUCUUGCCAUGGAUGGUCCAAGUGCUGGGUUGCCACUGCCAACAUCAGAACUAGUUGGAGAAGAAGCUGUCAGAAAUGAGAUUUGGGCAUGUUUGAUGCAGGAGGAGGUGAGCAAGAUUGGGGUUUGGGGAUAGGCGGUGUGGGUAAAACCACUAUCGUGAAGCACAUCCACAAUGAUCUUUUGAAACAACAAAGAUUCGAAAGGGUAAUCUGGGUUACCAUAUCAAAGGAGUUCAACGUAAUGAAGGUACAAGAUAAUAUUGCAAGUGCGUUGGAGUCAAAGGAGUAUUUAGACAAAGAAGAGGACAAGCUCAGACGAGCUGCAAUCUUGUCAGAAAUGCUGAAGAACGCAGGAAAGCAUGUUCUAAUCCUAGAUGAUGUGUGGGAUAAAGUCUCUCUAGAGGAAGUUGGGAUUCCUGAGCCGAGUGGCAGCAGUGGCUGCAAGUUGGUGUUGACAGCCCGUUCGGAGCAUGUCUGUAAGUAUAUGGGUUGUAAGGUGAUAAAAGUGAAGCCCCUUUCAGAAGAAGAGGCAUUGAUACUAUUCUUGAAUAAAGUUGGACCUAACAUAGUUCAAAGUCCAACUAUAAUGCCUACUUUGAAGCUUGUUGUCAAGGAAUGUGCGGGUCUACCUCUUACAAUUGUCGUGGUAGCUGGUACCAUGAAAGGAGAAGAUAACCCUCGUAUUUGGAAAAAUGCACUCGGGGAAUUGAAAGAGAGAAUAGGGAAAGUGGAAGGAGUGGAAGCUGAGGUAAUCGAGCGCUUGAAAUUUAGCUUUGAUCACUUAAAAGACGAGAAAGUGAAAUAUUGUUUCUUACAUUGCGCAUUAUAUCCCGAAGAUUUUGGAAUUGAAAAGGAUGAACUAAUUGAGUGCUGGAUUGAGGAGGGAUUUAUAGAUUAUAUGGGUACAAGACAAGAAAUGAAAGACAAGGGCCAUGUUAUUUUGAAGAAGUUAGAAGAUAAUUGCUUGUUGGAAAAUGAUACCUCUCAAUUUGGUUUACAUGUUAUAAAGAUGCAUGAUGCAGUGAGAGACAUGGCAUUGUCGAUCACAAGAAUGAAUCCUCGAUAUAUGAUACAAGCAGGUUUGCUAUUAGAAGAGUUACCAGAAAAGGAGCAAUGGAGUCCGGAUAUUGAGAAAGUGUCACUUAUGUAUAACUCCAUAUCAGAAAUUUCCAUAGAUGUGCUGCCCACAAAAUGUCAACAGCUCACAACCUUGUUAUUGCAGCAUAACCCUAUAAAGAAGAUCUCAAUUUCUUUCUUCACAAACAUGCCUUGUCUUAGUGUUCUUAAUUUGUCCUUUACGAUGAUAAAAAGUUUACCAAAUUCCAUCUAUGAACUAAAGAACCUCACAACAUUGUUGCUUCAUGGCUGUUAUGGAUUAAGAGAUCUGCUGUGUCUUUCGAUGCUUCAAGAAUUGAAGAAGUUGGAUCUUUCUGAGACUGGAAUUGAGGAAGUCCUGAAGGGAUGGAUAUGCUGAUAAAGCUAAGAUAUCUUGAUGUUCGAGUGUUCACUCUGAAAGAGAUACCCGCUGGACUUUUACCAAAACUCGUUCACCUUCAGCACUUGGGUUUUCAUAAGAGCAAUAAAAGAACAUGUCUAAAAGCAGAGGAGAUGGAACCAUUGAAGAAGUUGGAGUGCUUAACUGGACAUUUCGAAGACAUCAGUGAAUUGAAUAAGUUCAUCUCCUCAAUGCAACAAAGUAAGAAAAAUCUUAUCGAGUACUAUUUAGUGGUGGGCCCAUAUAAUAUGGGUCGUGGAAGGGAGAAAACAGUAACAAUUGGAGGAGUCCAGAACUGGGAAGGCGAGUUAAUUAUGCACCCAAUUGAAAUUCAAGAGUUGAAUAUUGUAAGGUGCGACUAUUUGAGAAACUUAGUCGAUGAUAAUUCUUCCUUCAAAAAUGCGAUUUACUUGAGCAUUUUUUAUUGUAAAGGGAUAGAGUGUGUUGUUUCCUUGUCCUCUUUUGCCUCUUCUUCUGCUCAUCCAUUUCAGAGCCUCGAGAAGUUGGAUCUUCUACAUCUUCCAAAGUUGAGUGCCUUUAUUAUGAAAGAUGCAGGAAUUGGUUCAGCAACAACAUCAACAUUGGCUCCGUCUGCCACCUUUUCCCAUCUUAAGGAAAUUAGGAUAGUGAACUGCUCAAGUAUGAAGACGUUGCUUCCACAUUGGUUGCUUCCAAACCUCCAAAACCUGGAAGAAAUAUUAGUGGAUAUUUGUGAUGAGUUAGUAGAAAUAUUGGGAGCAGCAACAUCAGAAGUUGAAGAAAAAGGGAGUGAUGCAUUAAUCAAAUUCCAUCUUCCCAAAUUGAGAAAGUUGUCAUUCAGGGAAUUACUAAAUUUGGAGAGCAUUUGCAGCAAAAGUGGAGUGAUGGUUUGCGAUUCUCUCCAACUUAUCCAAGUUGAUGAAGAGUGUGAUAAACUGAAGAGAAUUCCUCCAUUUGUUCCCCUUGUUGGCAAUAGGCAGCCAUUUGCAUAUGCUCCACCUUCUCUUACUAUCAGUUCAAGCACAGAGUGGUGGGAAUCGUUGGAGUGGGAUGACCAUCCAAACUUUAAAAAUGUUCUUCGCUUCAACCCCCUUGUGGAGGAUAAGAGGUAUGAACCAUUUAUGGUUUAGUUUAUUUUUUGAUUUUGAUAAAUCUAAUUUCUCCAUAUUAAUGAAAUUUGAUUUAUAUUAGUGAUGAUGUUGAAGAGAAAGAUAAAAGGGUUGGUGGGAAAGAAGGAUAGUGCAAAAGAGAGGAGAAAAGGAAUGAUGGAAGGAAGAGGUUAAGAGGCAAAGGUAAAUAAAAGAUCAAACAGCCUCCACUUUUUAAACAAUUUCCCUCUCUUACCAUUCCUUCUAUUCUCUUAUUCUUCUCUAAAUAUUUAUUAUUAAAAUAUUUAUAUUAAUCAAAAUGAUUUAAGGUGAGACAAAACUACGAUCAUAGUUUUAUUUCCAAUAAAAGUUAGGAAAGUAUUGUAAAAAGACAUAAUAUUUUUUUAUUUCCAUGUAAAAUUUCUGGAAACAUUAAGAUUUAAAAAAUAAUAAGUGCUUGUUUUUUUUAAAACUUAGUAUUUAUAAAAAAAAUAUAAUUGGAUUCAUUCAUAUGUAAACGUAACAUAUUUCUAAAAUUAAAUAAUAUUUUAAAUUAUGAGGACUAAAUGAGAAAAUUAAAAAGGUGAAAUCCCUUUUAAAAUAAAUUAAAAACAUUAAGGGGAUUAUGUUGCAAAUAACCCCUCCACAUUUCCCAUAUAUAAAAGAAAAUUUCCUUUUCUUUUAAUUUGAUUUGGUGUGGUGGUUAAGUGGCAUGAAUGUUUGCUUCAGGUCUUGGGUUCAAUUUUUUUUUUAAUUUUUCCUAUUUAUUUUGGUAUUAUGUUCAAUUUGAGCCUUAGGGCCUAUCUCUUAUUUUCAAUGAUGAGUCUACUGAUUCAGUGGUAAGACUUUAGUUUAUCAUCAAUUUAAAUUCUAUAAAAUCUGGUAAGUGGGAUUUGGAUUAACUUAAUUUUUUUUAUUUUUUUAUUUUAAUUUAAUUUUACAAAAUAUCUAUUUUCACUCAUUGUUUCAACCGUCCACACUAUCACCCCACUUUGUAUGCUACUUCCUUUUGUUUCCCUAUCUUCCUUCUUUCUCCUCUUUGAUUAUUCCUGAAUACUGCCGUUUAUUUUGUGAGUUCUGUCACUUGGAUCGUAUUCUAUUUGCAGUGUAAGUUUCAUUUGGUUACUUUUGUUGUCUUUCCAUUAAUAGUCUAGUUUUGUUUCGUUUCUUGAACAAGUUGAGUUUGUGUUGGUAUUUUCUAUUCGUUAUCAUGAUUAGUAUUUUUGUGGUUCUCGAUUAGGCGAAAUGUGUGAGAAUCCUAACCCUCCAGCAAAGUAGACACAAUUUUCAACGUUGUUUCGGAGAACUAAGUAUUUGAAUUCUAUUUUAGGGGUUGAAAUUUUGAUUCAAUGAUGUUAUUAUGGAUAAUUAUUGUUAGUUAAUCCGUAUGGUUUGAUGAACGUUUAUAGGAUUCGUGAGUUCCAAUUGAGCUGUUGAUCAAAUCAGCAAUAGGUGUGUGAAUUUAACUCGAAAACUCAAUGAAAGCUCGAGAAAAUUGCGAAACAAGGGUUGUUUUCGAAACUGUCCAACGCCACAUGGCCAUGUGGUAGGACGUGUGGAGCACACAGUCGUGUGAAUUUACACAGCUUGUGUCCGUAGGCUAUGUGAACGACACGAGCUAGCUUUUUGAGCUGUGUGAGCCACAUGACUAUGUGGGCAUUUUGGUCAAUUUUCAGCCCCAAUUAGGGGGCGGAUUAAAGGAUUCAAAUAUUGGGUCCAUGGGCAUCAUAUAAGCCCAAAAAAAUGUAAGUUUUAGCACGUAUAUAUACAUGGCUAAGCUUUGGAGGUAUGUUAAGUAGGUGGUAUAUAAAUCAUAUGCUAUGUUAUGUUCCUUAUAAAAAUAUGUGUAUGCAUGUCAUACGACUUAUGAUAAAUGUUUUUAUGAUAUUAUAAUUAUGAUUAUGCCUAUGUUUUGGGCUAGGUUAUGAUAUGAUGGAGGAAGUGUUAUAUGAUAGAUUUUAUCGCAACUAUGGCAGCUAGACUAUAAAAUUUCUAUCUAACAGCUCAGUUGCAUAUUUAUGAGUGACAUACCACCACAUAUUGGUAUGAUUGGAUGGAUGGACUCUUGUAGUCCUAAUUGGUGAUAUUGCUUGGACGGAGAUGGUAUGUAGCAAUUGGGGGUAUGAUAUGAUAUGAUAUGGGAUAUGAUAAAAUAAGACAAGAUAUGAAACAUGCUAUAACAUGAUAUAAAAACCGAUAUGAUAUAAGAUAUGCUUCGAUUUGCUAUGAUACAUUCUGAUAUAUAUAUAUAUAUACUACAAUGUGUAGGUCAAAUCACGCACUGGAUGUUAAGCUCACACGUCUGCUUAUUUUGUUUCAGGUGAUCUUCAGACCUAGGAUUAGAAUAUGACUCUAGAGCUCGUAUUUUACUCUUUCGGUUUAAGUAUGCAUUGGACUCUCUUUUGUUUAUAUGGACUUUUUGGACUUUUGGAUAUUUUAAAUUUAUUUGGAAUGCUAAAAAUUAUUUUGCAUUUAUUUUUCAAAUGUUUUAACUUUUACCGAUACUUAAAUCAAGACAACUAAAAAUAAACCAUAGUUAUAAGGUAAAUUUGCUAUAAUGCUUUCUGCUGCAUGUUUUAAGGUCAAUUUGCUAUAAUGCUGUCCGUUGCAAGUUUUAUUGAAAUUGGCUAAGAUGUUUUAUCUCACAAACAAAAUAAGUAAAUUAAAUACAUUUUGGUAAAAUUAACAAAUAUGGAUUUCUUCAAUGUACUCACGGGUUUUCAAAAAUGGUACAUCUUCAACGGGUUAAUCAAACUUGUUUUCUUUUGAGUUAAAUAGUUUUUGCCAAAAUGAAGUAAUAUUGUUUUCACGCACAAUGUAAUCUCCUCAAUCUGACUAUAACAUCUAGGCCAUGUUUGGGAUGUUAGAAUUAGAGUUUUAGAAAAUAAUUACUUUUUCUUUUACAAGUUAAUGUCAUUGUAGGGUUUGAUGGGUUAUCUUCAACUUUAACAGUUAAGCUUCCAAAGUCGAUGAUCGUAUUUAAAUAUGUAAAAAAAUCUUUAUAUUUAAAAGAUAUUCUUAUAAGAAAACAAACAUGUUAUAUAUGAUUGUUGCAUGCAAUUAUAUUAUUUUAUGAUUCGGUUUAUAUAUGAUUGUUGUCAUGACAUUUAAGCAUUUAAUUAAUAUUUUAAAGUUUUCAAAAAUAAUAAAUAUAUUUUUAAUAAUUUUAAUUUUUAAAAAAUAAGUUAUAUAUAUUUUUUAAACCUUAAAAUAUUUUUAAAAAACUAAUGUAUCAUCCAUAACAAAUCAUACAUAAUUAACACAUAUUGGGGCAUGGGAAAGCUUUUAAAAAAUUGAACUCAAAUAGUCCUCUACAUGGUUCAUCAAGGCAUGGCAAGUAAGUGAUCGUUUAUUGAAAGAAAUCCGUUUAUAGCAAUUGGGCCUGGGAAGCAAACAGGAGAAGUCCACUAGCAACAAACAAACCAAAGUAAAUCAAAAACAAAACAAAUUGGAAAAACAAAACAGCAAAAAGGGAAAAUUAAAACAGAAAUCGACAAACACCGUCUUCUCCAUCCAACAAGUCCCCAGGCACUGUGUGACUCCACCAAACCCCAAUGAAAUAAACGGUAAAGAUCUUCCAAAUCCGACAACAACCGGAAAAGAAAGCAGUUGAGAAUUGCCAUCUUGUAUAAGUAUUUCUCAACUCCAUCACUGAAAUAGAAAAAAAAAGGUUAUGGAGGUUGCCCACACCGACGAUCAGAGUCGGCCACUUCCAGAGCUUUCAAAGGCGCAUCUUCCAUCCAGAAUGAAUCCCCUUCUACUCGCAUACCCUCAACAGCCGAUGCAUGCGCUGCUCCACUCCCUUCUCUCGCAAUGAACUGGAAUCGACAGCAUUGGAACUUUCUGGCCAGGUUCUUCGCAUCCCAGGUAAAUGGUCUAGUCUCCGAGUAAUCCUCGCUUAAUUUUUGAAUAUUAUUUACCACCAGUCUCGAAUCACUCUCAAGAAUCACCUUUGAAAAACCCUUAUCCAGGGCGAAAUGGAGCCCAUGCAAGUAAGUGAUAGUUGAAGCAACUUGUUUCAUGAUUGCCUGUAUUUCUCUCAUAAUUUUGUUGUCACUCUGUACCCGUGGCACACUGCAAAAUCUCCUACAUUUCAAAUAAACUGAUGUCUAGUAAAACAUUAAAGCAGAAGAGGAUGAACUAUAUAUUACCCUCAGUAUUUGUUUCAAUGCUAAAAUUCCACCUCUCCUCUCCAACACCUCAUUGGUAGCCUUACUCAUCAUAACUAACACCACCCAUUCUUUUUCCAAUACAUUUCCAGAAUGUGAGGAAUGCCCUACACUUUUGUUUCUACAUUAUUAGGAAAAAUUGUAAUAUAUACCUGAACUUGAGUUGUCAUAUUCUAAUAUUUCUUUGCUCAAUAUUUACUUGAUUGUAUACAUUAGAUUUGCACCCGAAGCAAUAGUUUUAGAACACUUACAGUAAUAGUUUUAGUCUUUCAACUUCAUCAACUAAUCUUUCAAAGUUAUGUGUAUCGAUUGCGGUCGUAAACCAACUAAAAAUCUGAUUAAGGUAAAUGUACUUAUCAAUUAUUAGUAUAGUUACGAUGAGCAAAGAUAUCGUUCCCACGAGAGCUAAAAGUGUUAGUAAUUAUUGUCUUUCUAUUAUUUAACCAAGAAAUUGGAGUGAUUGAUUAAAAAUAAAAUUAACUAAAUUAAUUAACUAAAGAACACGACAAAGAACAAAUCAUAAAAAUAAACGAUUAAAAACCAAAAAGCGAGACAAUAUCCAGGAAAGAAUCUACCUAGACUUCAUAUGUCAUUAUCAAUCUAAAUCACGCAAUUUCUUCACUUACUACCUUGAUCUGUAGAAAUCCCUAAAUUAUGCUAAUAUCUCUCUUCAAGACUAAGAGCAACUGACUUUAGAUUGAUUAAUUAAAAUUUCUUUCUAAUUAAAAACCCUAUUAUCGCAUUAACUCGAUUUAUGGAUCAUUCUAUUAGAUUUGACUCUAAUCCGGUAGAUUUAUAUCGUCCUAUUUUUAGAAUUGCAUGCAACUCCACUAAAUUACGCUAGAUCUACUCUUAAACAGGUCUAUUCCUCCUUUAAUUUAAGCACAUAAAACAUGAAUCAAUAGUCUAAAAAUAUUAAACUAUGAAUUAAGUACACAUAAUUGAGAGCAAGAUUUAAGUAUUUAUUGCAUAAAAAUAGAAAUCAAAUAAUACAAUCCAUCCUAAAAACAGUAUAAUCACAAGAAAUAAAAAAACUCAUAAUAAACUUCAAAGAAAUCAAAAGGAGAACUUCAAUCUUGAUGGAAAUCUACUUCAAAGUCGGCUUUAAUAGUAUUUUUCGAGUUAUUUUCUUCAAUAUUAUAUGACAACUCACUCCCCUCCUCUUAUCUUUGUCAUAUAUAUCUUAGAAAACCUAAACAUUAUGAUUUUCUGCGUGUUUAGAGUGCAAUUUGCGAUUUGCACAUGGACUGGCAUAUGGUCGUGUGACAGCCCGUGUGGCUUACUCAGCCGUGUGUCCAGACCGUGUGCAAUGGCCCAACCCAUGUGGCUCCUGAAACUUGCUCCAAUUUUUCGAUUUUCGCUUAUUUUUCGCUCAUUUUGCUCUCAAAUGCUCUCCUAAGAAUAGAAAUAUGAAUUUAAAGUAUUAGGAGCAUAAAAUUCACCAUUAACACAUUUUCUUUGUACAUUUAGCAUAUAUUCAAACAUCGAGGCUCUGCUUUGCAGUUUAGGUUCAAAAAUAUGAACCCAUGUUUUCAAAGGUCUAAUUUUUCCAUGAACUGCCAAAAAUGAAAAAAAAAAAACAAAUGUUUAAAAAAAAAUGAAAGAAAAGAAAAUGAAAAUAUAGUUUAAUGAGACUUACAUAAAUGUUGGGAUUGAGAAAAUGAUUGUCUAAAGGGAAGCAGAAAUUUGGCCAUCCAAGCCAUCUUAUUCAGUUCAUCGAUGCAAGUUUCUCUGCUUAGCCACCGCUGCUCUCAAAAUGACGACGGACUAAUUAGUUUAACAACAAUACCAGUACGACGUCGUAAGGACGUAUCCUACGUGGCAGUCGUGUCAUCUAGCUAAGUCAAACUACGAAGCUACAGUUGGACUUUGAUUUCAGUUGGGUUUGGUUUCUUAGGUGGAGUUCUAUUUAAACUUGGGUUUUGUUUUCGGUUAAAUUACCCUAUUAGUUACUAAAUUAUAAGUUGCUUUUGUUUUGUUCACUUAACUAAAAAAAAGUUAAAAUUUUGUUACUGAAAUAUUCGAAUAUUUUCAUUUAAGCCACUAAAACAAGAUCUUUUUAAAUAAGAAAUAAAUAUUUUUUAUAGAGAAAUUUUAUAUAUAAAAAAUAAAAUACUUUAAUUUAAAAGGACAUUUUGUUUAAUCCUUUAAUAGCUUUUGGAGUGAUGAAAAGUCUAAUUUCACUUUGCACCUAAAAUGAUUUUUUUGGUAAUUUUCUUACCGAGUUGGGACUCAAUUGAUGGUUGACGCCAACUCAGUAAAAGGCUUUAACAUGGUAUAGAUAAAAAAAAGUUUUUAAUUAAAAUUUUUAAAAGAAUUUAGGGUAAACUAUACCAGUCAUUCAACUAUAGGCAAGUUUUCGUUUUAAUCACUUAACUAAAAAUAUUACUAUUUUGAUCACUAAUGCUUUCAAAAUUGUUUUUCUUUUCUGUCACCCAAUUGUUAAGUCAUACUUGUUUUAGUUGGUAUAAUAAUAGUUUUAGUUCUCAAUUUUUAUAUUUUCUGUUAAUUUGAUUCUGAUUUUGUAUAAAAUUAUAAAAAAAACUCACAAUUAUUUAUAAAAUAGAAAAAUGCAUAUAAAAAUUCUAGAAAAAUAAAAUCUUGAAUAUGUUGUUUCAUAACUAAAUCGUAUGAGAAAGAAAAAAAAUCAUCAUUCAAUAACAUCUGAUAACAAAUUAAAAUCAAAUCAAAACAAAAAAAAAAGGUAGAUUAUUAUAUGUUUCCUAAAUAUUUCUCGAAACCAAAUUAGUAGUAUUAUCAAGUUGAGUUUCAUGCCCUUGAAGAACAUCUAAAACUAAUAUUACAAAUACUUAUGAACUUGACCUUGAUGCCAUAUUUUUAGUUAAAAGAAUACAAAAUAUACCAUGAUUUUUCUUUUUCAAACUGAUCAAUUCAAAAUUUCAUUACAUUUUAAUUUUUUUUUCAAAACCCAAAUUGCAAAAUGAAAAUAUAUUCAGAAUUUUAUCUUUUCUUAUAAUGUAAAAAGCUAUGUCAAGUAAUUGAUGAGGUAAAAAAGCAUAGAACAAAUAAAUUUGCUUCAUAGUUUUUUCUAUGUUCGUUUUUUAAAGAAUGAGUAUUAAAUAUUUCAAUAUAGAUAAUAUAGAGAAAUUUUGUAGGGUUUAAAAAUAAUUAUCCCUAAUUUUCUCACUUUAUUUAUUUUUCAAAUUUUUAUUUUACUUUUUUUACUUUUAUAAUUUUCUAAAAUUUUAAAAAUAAUUUCAACUUUUAUCAUUUUAUAUAUUAUCAAAAUCAAAUUCACUGAAAGUAUAAAAAUUAAGGACUAAAAUUGUUAUUAAAUCAAUUAAAAAGUUCUACUUAACAGUUGAGUGACAAAAAAAUAAUAAUUUCAAAAACAUUAGCGGUGAAAUUGUAACUUUUUUUAAUUGAGUGACUGAAACAAAAAUUAGCAAUAGUUUAGUGACUAAUAGUGUAACUUUUUUUUUGGUAUAAUAAUAAUUUGAAUUUUGGCUAUUCCUAAAAAGGGUGAACAUCUGAUCAUAUUUAUUCACAUAUUACAAACAUCCAUAUGUAAGCAAUUCUCCCGAAUUAAAAUCAAAUUUUAAUAUCAACAACUUCAACAACUCAUAAAUAGGAAGAUAAUGUGUUUCAGUACACUUAAAACCACAUCUUUCUAUAUUGACAACAAUUACUAUGACAAUGAAGCUAAGACUCAAUUCACAAUAACUAUAUAUUUUUGUUAUACCUAAUUAAAGUCAUUUAUAUCAGUAUAUUAGACAUUCUUAUACCCUAGUUUCCCAUACUUUCCCAUUAUUAUCGUGAUGAUGAUGAUGAUGAUGAUGAUGUUACAAUUGAGCACCAAGGUCACUGUAAUACUUGUUAGUAUUGUCCAGAAUAAAUGGAAAGGACAUUUCCAUGGAAAUUAGACCUCAUAUCUAUCUUUCAAAUUUUGAGAGCAGAUUAAAGGUUUUAUUAUCAAGUAGAAAUGUCAGUAUGAAAAACCCCAAAUGCCAACUAAUAAUGGCAGACACCAAAGCUAAAAGCUAAAAGCUAAAAGCUUGGAACCCACCACUAAAGUGUAUGCCUCAUUAUUUUGCCUGUUUUUAUCUUCACUUUCUUCCUUUUUUGGCUUUUGUACCCACAACGUUCUUUCUUCUUCACUGUUUUUAUCAAGCAUCCAGUUAGGGUAAUUUCUUUCGCUCCCAAAUAUUUUUUUAAGUAUAAAAAAUUUAAAUUUAAAAAAUUACGAGCAUCAAAUUCACUAAUUUUCAUAACUGAUCAUCUAAAAACAUAUUAAGAAUAAGAUUAAAAUAUACUAUUUUUGUAACUUAUCGUACCCCUAAACCACAACUAAAAAGUUUAAUCUGAUAGUGGACCCUAGAGCUUAAAGGAGGCUAAAGAUGGUGGAAUCCAAGGUAGUGUGAAACAACAUGGUCUUGACCAUAACACUAAAAUUGCUUUAGCUUAAAUGAAAAUCAAAAUAUUUGUAUGUAUGAUAUCUCCAGUUUAAAUCUUAUUAUCGAUAAAUUUUUAUUGAUUUAUAAAAAGAUGAAAAAUAGCUUUGUAAUUAUAUAUCUUACUUUACAAAUAAAAUGUUUUUUGUUAGCAAUUUUCUUACUGCGUUUGGACUAACUGGUGGUUGACACUAUGUCAGUAAAAUGCCUAAUACAUAAUAUAGAUUAAAAAAAAGUUUUAGACUAAAAAUUUUAAAACAAUUUAAGGUAAAUUACACCAUUAGUCAUUCAACCAUGAGUAAGUUUUCGUUUUGAUCAUUUAACUAAAAAAAAAGUUACAAUUUAGUCACUAAUAUUUUUGAUAUUGUUUUUUUAUCACCUGAUUGUUAAGUGGCACUUGUUUUAAUUGGUAUAAUAAUAAUUUUACUCCUCUUUUUUAUAUUUUCUAUCAAUUUGACUAUGAUUUUGUAAAAAAUUAUAAAAAAUCAAAAUUUUAAAAAUAGAAAAAUGUUUAUAAAAAUUCUAGAAAAAUAAAAUCUUGAAUAUGUUGUUUCAUAACUAAAUUGUAUGAGAAAUAAAGCAAAUUACCAUUCAAUAAAAUCCAAUAACAAAUUAAAAACAAAACAACACUAAAAAAAGCUUCCUCUCAAUGUUUCUCGAAACCAAAUUAGUAAUAUUAUCAAGUUGAGUUUCAUGCCCUUGAAGAACAUCUAGAACUCGUAUUACCAAGGCUUAUGAAUGACCCUAAUGCCAUUUUUUUAGUCAAAAGAAUACAAAAUAUACAACAAAAUUUCCUUUUUCAAACUUAAUUCAAAUUUUCAAUUACAUUUAAAUUAUUUUUCAAAACUCAAAUUAUAAAAAUAAAUUAUAUUUAAAAAAAAUUUAUAACGUAAAAGCUAUGUCAAGAAACAGAGAACAAAUAAUUUUGCUUAAUGUUUUUUCUAUGUUUUUUACUAAAGAAUGGGUAUUGGAUAUUUCGAUACAGAUAAUAUAGAGAAAUUUUGUACGGCUUAAAAACAAUUAUCUCUCAUUUUCUCUCACUUUAUUUAUUUUUAAAAUUUUUAUCUACUUUUAUUUUUGAAAUUUUAAAAAUAAGUCAUUUACCAUGAUAACUACAAAAGUGAAGUUCAUAUAAGACAAAUGAAAGCACGAUUCAUCAAUAUACCAAGUAAAAAAAAGUUAAGUCAAGACUUAGAUUCAGUUCAAUGAUACCAUCCACAGUAUGACACUUAAAGGUAUCCAUCCACAAUAAAGGCACCCUUCCACCCAGGGGUGAAACUAGAAAACUUUUUUAGGGGAUGAAAUUAAAUUGUAAUUUAAAAAAAAUAUAUAAUUUUAUCAUUUUAGUAGCCUAUAUCUUUAUAAUUUUUAAAAUAUUAAAUAAAAUUUUUAUAUUUUUAAGGAGAGCAAAGUGCAAUUUUACCUUUACUUAUUUAAAAAUUUUAAGGGGCUAAGUAAAAAAUUUUCCAUUUUAAGGGGGGUCGGGGCCCCUGCCACCACCCAGGUUCGCCCUUGCUUUCACCAGGGGUUCAUUUUCAUUCCACUAAAUGUUCAUUGAUCGAAUGGUGGCUCGCCUUAUUACAUUAGUGUAACGCCCCAAAAUUUUAAUUUUGGGUAUUGUAAAUGUGUGACACAAAAUAUCUAUUUGCUUUAGUGGCUAUGUGUUUUGGGUGUGUUUGGGAGGUCCCAAGUUCAAGCCAGGACUUGGGCAAAUUUUGGUAUUUUUAUGAAUAAGUCUUAUCUUUGGUCAGUAGGCUUUUAAGUAAAAGUUGGCAAAUAAUUAACAAAAUGGGCUGUUAGUCUAGUGGAUAAGUGGAGUGAUGGUGUAAAGGAGGUCUUGUGUUUGAAUCUUGACAUGGGUAUUAUUUUUGCUCGUGAGUCCAGGAGAGUUUGAGAUGGACUAAAAAUCUGAGUAGUGGAUUUAGUGGGGAGUUUGAUGGAGAGAAAUAAAGGAUUGGGGUGGUUAUCAAAUAUUCUGUUCAUCUUAUUUUCUUUCCUUUUUUUUACUUUCCCCAAAAUCCCUCCACCCUUUUGUCGUUUUUCUCUUCAUUGCUGCUGAGUUUUUGCUCUCUUUCACCCUUUAUCUUCUUGAUAUUUCUUUUCCCACUCUACCUUGUGUCACUCCACGUUUUUCUGCGAUCGUUCGGUAAGUUUUAAAUAAGUGAUUUGUCUUCGUUUGUUAACUUUCUUCUAAAGUGUUUUGUUUAUGCCAAUUAAAGGAGGAUUCAAGGGCUCGUAAUCACCAAUCGGAGUCUUAGUUUGAGUGGGAAUUACUGUUCAUCGGUUGAAGGUAAGGUUUAGUCGCUUAUGGGUUAAAACCUCGAUACGAGUUCGAUUUGGGAUCACGUUAUGUGAGAUUAAAUUAGUGUUAUUUGUUCAAUUAUAGGCUUUGGAGUGCUCGGGGACUGUUUUAGCAUAAAAAAUUAGGUGUGUACUUGAAACACGGAAAAUGGGAUUCGGUGAAAAGCCAAAAUUGCUUGCUGUUUGAACAGCUGCAGUAGGCUAACUUUGAGAAAUCACCAUAAAUUGUAGAAAUCGAAUUAGAGGAUGAAAAAAGUGGAAUUAAAUCUUAUUGAGUCUAGUUUCUCAUAGAAGAAAUGGUGUAUGUAAUGGAAUUGUAAAUCGUGAGAUAUAAUAAGUCUUGUGAGACAAGGUCAGAAUGAAUUAGGGUUUCCCUGUUCUAACUUUGAAAAAUCAUAAAAAAUUGGAAAAAAAUAAUUAGGGGUUAAAAUUUACAUGUUUAAAUUACUAAUGAGUCUAUUUUCAAUAGAAACAAAAGUAAUAUUAUCCAAAUUUUGUACUAAGAGAUAAUUAAUUUUUAGCAAAGAAAGGUUGAAGCUGUCAAACAGCAAAACAGGGGUAAGAUUGAAGAUUUUACUGUACUUAUUGGCUGAACCAAAAAUUUUGAAAAUUUUAUGGUAAAAAGGUAUUUGAGUCUAGUUUCAAAGACAUCAAGUGGACCUUAAUUUGGAAUUCUGUAGCUCAAGAUAUAAAUAAUUUAGUAACAGUGACUCAAGUAGACAGCUUUGAAGGAACAUAUAAGUAAAUAGUGAAAACAUAUAUGAAUAUUUAGCUAGCACGUGUUACAUUAAAAAUGGAUCACGCGGCCAUGGCCAAUUUGGGCCGAAUGGGCCACACGAGCGUUUGGGCCCACACGGGUUGGCCACAUAGGCUUGUGAGCCCAAUUUUCUGAAAAUUUCUGUAAGGUUGCACGGGUCGCCCAAGUCGACUGUGGACCUAUUGUAGGGUCGGUAUGCUUUACUUAGACCCCUUUCUGUCUAAUUUCUAUAUCGAGCAUGACUUAUGAUAUCUGAAUGUAUGUACUAUUAAUUGCAUAAUGGCAUGACAUAUUUUACAUGAUUGCAUUGCAUCAGGGUGGGUUGAUGAUAUUUAGAGGAAGUGUCUGAAAGGUUAUUAAGCCUGUUAUCUGACAGCUCAGCUACAAUCUUCUGAUUAUGUGCCGCAUUUCGGUACAGCAUGGUGUGUAGGGAUGGGUGGGUUGAUUUAAUCCCCACAUGGUGUGUAGGGUUGGACGGAGAUGGUGUGUAGAGGCUGGUGGGUAAGAUUAUAAUUUACUGUAUCUGCAUUCUGUAUUUGAUAUGGGCCAAGGCCCUAAUGUAUUUCUGAGACUGUAUCUGAACGGACUAAGGCCGAAACUGAUUCUGUGAUGGGCCCAGGCCCCAGACUGUAUUUAACUGAAUGUUGUUGAAUAUCUGUAUGCAUGUUUUCUGUGUGGAUUACAUACUGAGUUUGCGAAAACUCACCCUUUUUCUAUUUAAUCUCUACAGGUAAUCCCCAAACUUGACGGGUCGCUACAACAGAGGACUCAAAGGUGGCCACACAUAAAUUUUAAACUGUUUUCCGUCAAUGUCUAGAGUUUAUUACUUAUUUUGGGUUUUUGAUGUAACUUUUGGACUAUGGACUGGUUGGCUUUAAAUUUGGGACUUUAUACUAUUUUUUUGGAUUUUUUUUAAACUGCAACUCAACAAAACACGGUUUUUCUAAAAAUUAAGGUUUUCGUAAAUAGAAAUGAUUUCCCUAAAUUAAUUGGUUACACAAGCUUCCGCUAAGAGACAAGUUUUAAAGCAAAUCAACUAAUACUUAUUUUUUCUAAAUUAAAUAAAAGCUAACUAACUAUAACGAUUUUAACUCGACAAUCUUGUCUUCAAAUCCCAUUCCAUGUGACCUCAUUAGAUCCGGCCAUAACGUCUAGGCCGGGUUUGGGGUGUUACAUUUAGCAUAAUCCUGAAUAGUUUCUAUUGCCUUUAAUGUGAACUUAAUUUCAAACGAUUGAUUUACCUUCAAGGUUAACCUAAUUUUAAAUACUCAAACGAUUGCAAUGCUUACAAUGCCAGCAAAAUUCUAAAUAUUUAUGAAUUACAACAAUUUUUGUAAUAAAAAAAUACAAGCAAAUUUUCCUAAAUCUAAUUUACCUGGUUUAAAACUCAAAGUUCCAGAUUUGAACAUGUAAGAUCUAAUAUUACAUCAGACCUUCGAAAAACAAAGACUGGUUUAAAUUAAAAAAAAAACUCUAGAUAAUGAUUUUUUUAAUUAAGAUGAGAGGAAGGAAUUAUCGGACAACAUAACAACACAAGUCAUUAACUUACUAGAACACUAUUAGUUAAUUAACAAUUUAGCUAUAGCUAGUUGGCUAUUAGGAUUUGUUAAAUUAGUGUCAUUAUACAUCUUUUAAAUUAAUGUUAUCUUACAUCUAUUAAAUAUUUAACUUUUUCCACUUUCCUCUUACUCUGAUUUUAACAUUUCAUUACCACUCUCCAAUAUUUAUACCUCUUCUUGCACUGGCAGCUGCAGGUUUUAAAGAUGCCAUAAAUAAGGAUUUCAUAGCUCAAGAACUUGACAAUGACAGGGAAGAUGACUAAGAAGAAGAAGGGGUUGCUAUGGGAAGAUAGGGUUCACUGAUGGGUUGUCACAGUCUUUUUCUCAAGUAAAGAAAUCCAAGCUCAGUUUAUCGGAUGCAUUUAACCGUAAUCAAAAGGGAGUCAUUGCAAACAUAAUCAGCUUAUGGUACCAAUCUUAAGAACCAAGACAUCGAGUUACUAUACUAUGAUGAAGGAUUUCAUAACAACGUCAGAGGGAAUCUAAGGGAUAACAUCUGAAGGAAAUUCAUAUUGUUAAACACAAAAUUUGAAAUUCAUGGCAGAUUAGGUAUCUGAUCAACUAAACAGCUAAAGAAAUUAAAAGCUUGGUAGAUUAUUAUGUUCCAAUGCUACAAAUUCAACUUUGGUUUCCUUACUUCAUUAGACAGUUUCAUUAUAGUUUGCCUAUGUGUAGAAAGCUUAGGAUACGACACAAAAUAUGCAUAACAUUCUAUCCAACAUCAGAAAGAUACAAAAAAAAAGUUCGUUAUCAAAUGAAACCAGGUGAAGUUGCCACACUUACAGAUCACUAAAAUUUUACAACAAUGAUGGAAAUGUCAUCCUUGUUGUUCCUCUCAACAGCUUCCUUAGUUAUGUGCUUUGUAGUAGAUCGAGCAUCCUUAAUGCCUUUGAUAGCAUCGACAGCUUCUUGGUAACGGACCAUUAAAUCUCAGGUUCAACAUGUAGGUUCAAUAAAAGAAAAAUGUGAUUAGAUAGGGCUUACCUUCCAUAAACCAUCACUAGCCAAUAUUAUAAGGACAGUAUCAUCGUCGGUUGUUUUAAUGCUCACAUCUGGCUCUGAAGUAAGAUGUUUCUUUAAACUCUUGUCAUUAAAUGCUCUCGCCACCCCAACUGACCAUCAACACGCACAACAUCCCCUGAAACAAAAACAAUAUCAGGAAAAGAUGGUGUAACCUUAAGUGUCAUCCUUAAAAGAUCAGGCACCCAUUACCUGGAAUCCAAUUUUUUUUACCCAUAUCAUGGUUUCAAACAGGUCAAUAGAAAAUUUUGUAAAACCUUAAAAAUAAUAACCUGUACCACACUAAGGUAUCUCUUGUUCUUAGUGCAAACCAAUUUUAGUUGAAAGAUUUUUAUUCAUAGGCAUGAUUAUACCUCGUAUUUAAACUAAGUUUAGGAAAAAAUAAAAUUGAAAGUGUAAAAAUAGAAUGUCGAUAAUGACAAUAUAUCGCAAAGAAAAGAAAAAGGAAAAAUAAAGAAUACACAGAUUUUUACGUGGAAACCCUUUCGAAAAAAACCACGGGCAGAGGAAAAGAAAAUUCACUAUGUCGAAUUCAAAUGAUUACAAGAGGAGUAGACUAGGUCUAUUUAUAGGCCUAUAAAAUCACAUUCUAAUAGAAGUGUAGUAAGAUUGAAACACCUUAUUCUAAUCAAUAUCAAAUAGAUGUAGUUUAAUAAGGUUUAAAAAACCUUAUUCUAAAACAAAAUAAAAGAAGUGUAGUUCUAUAUAGAUUUUACUUUUAUUUUAUUUUAUCACUGUAUUUUAUUUAUAAAAGGAUUCGGGUCACUCAAUUUUAAGAAUCUCCACCUUGACACGAAUUCUCAAUGAACAAGUUCUUCAUUACGAACUCUCAACGAACAAGUUCUCCACCUCUUCCAUAAAACCCCUUAAGGGUUUAACUUCAAUAAUGAACACAAACCAAGUCUAAGUAAUGCUCAAACUUGGUUAUAGGAAGUGACUUAGUCAUCAUAUCUGUAGGAUUUUCAUGAGUACUAAUUUUGCUCACAACAAUAUCACCACGAGCAAUAAUAUCACGAAUAAAAUGAUACCGAACAUCAAUGUGUUUUGUUCUCUCAUGAAACAUUUGAUCUUUUGUAAGAAAGAUGGCACUCUGACUAUCACAAAAUAUUGUAUUGAUUUGAAAGCCUUCAUUGAGUUCACUAAAUAGUCCCUUCAAUCAAAUGGCUUUUUUACAAGCCUCAGUAAUCGCCAUGUACUCAGCUUCAGUGGUAGAUAAAGCAACUGUAGUUUGCAAAGUGGCUUUCCAACUGAUUGCACAACUUCUCAUUGUAAAGACAUAACCUGUGAGAGAACUUCUUCUAUCAAGGUCUCUAGUAAAAUCAGCAUCAAAAUAUCCAAUGACUCAAUCUCUAGUUCUUCCAAACUGUAAGCAAACAUCAAUAGUACCUCGUAAGUAUCUUAAAAUCCACUGAACUACUUUCCAAUGUUCUUUACUGGGAUUCACCAUGUAUCUACUAACUGCACUAACUGUAUAUGAUAAAUCUAAACGUGAACAAACCAUAGCAUACAUGAGAGAUCCCACUGCACUAGAGUAUGAAACACGUGAUAUGUACUCAAUCUCAUCAUUUGAUUGUGGAGAUAAAGCCGAUGAAAGUCUGAAAUGGGCUGCUAAAGGAAUACUAAUAGGCUUAGCACUCUGCAUAUUGAACUUGCAAAGAACUUUCUCAAUGUACCAGUUCUGACUUAGGUACAAUUUACUUGCUUUUCAAUCUUUGAGAAUCUCCAUACCAAGUAUAUUCUUUGUUGGUCUCAAAUCUUUCACCUCAAAUUCUUUACUUAGUUGGGCUUUGACAUUUCUUAUCUCUCAUUUAUCUUUUACUGUUAUCAACAUGUCAUCAACAUAAAGGAGCAGAUACACAAAAGAACCACCACUGUUUUUCUUAAAAUAAACACAAUUGUCAAAGCUACUUCUUUUGAAAUCAUGAGAAGUCAUAAAGGAAUCAAACCUCUUGUACCACUGUCUUGGUAACUAUUUCAAGCUGUAAAGGGACUUUUUCAGCAAGCAAACAUAGUCCUCUUUUCUGAAACUGUAAAACCCUCUGGUUGUUGCAUGUAAAUAUCUUCUUCAAGUUCUCCAUGCAAAAAGGCAGUUCUUACAUCUAACUGUUCAAGCUCCAAAUCAUGCAUGGCCACAAUACCAAGCAAAGCUCGAAUCAAACUAUGCUUCACAACUGGGGAGAACACAUCUGUGAAGUCUAUUCUUGGAAUUUGACUGUAACGUUUGUAACAAGCCUUGGUUUAUAUCUGAGUUCUUCAACUCCUAGACUCCCUUCUUUCUUUUUAAACACCCAUUUACAACGAACAAUCUUUUUACCUUUAGGAAGUUUCACAAGAUCUCAUGUUUUGUUUUUAUUGAGUGAUUCCAUCUCCUCUUGCAUAGAAAACAUCCACUUUUCUGAGUCUUCACAGCUAGCUGCCUUAGAAUAAUUAGAUGGCUCUUGGUUUGCAUCUAUAUCUUCAGCCACAUUUAAAGCAUAAGCAACUAGAUCAGCCUCGACAUACUUCUUUGGAGGUUUAAUUUCUCUUCUAGUUUUGUUUUUGGCGAUAGAGUAUUGUGGUGAAGAAGCAAUUCUAUUCUGAAUUUUUGCACUGGCUUGAGGAGUCGACUCUUUUGUUGAUUCUAGAUUAAUCUGAUGCUCUACCUGCUUUUGAUUUCCUUUAUUAGAAGAGUUUUUAAGAGAUAAGUUAGGUAGCAUAGCAGUUUCAUCAAAAAUAACAUCUCUGCUAAUCACAACUUUUCUAUUUUCAGGAACACCAGCUUUAUAACCAAGAAAAACACAUUUAAUGGAUCUCGGUUUCAAUUUGACUCUGAUUUUGUAUAAAAUUAUUAAAAAAAACUAAAAAUUUUAAAAAUAGAAAAAUGUUUAUCAAAAUUCUACAAAAAUAAAAUCUUGAAUAUGUUGUUGAAUAACGAAAUUGUAUGAGAAAUAAAGCAAAUUACCAUUGAAUAAAAUCCGAUAACAAAUUAAAAACAGAACAAAACCAAAAAAAACUUCCUCAAUGUUUCUCGAAACCAAAUUAGUAAUAUUAUGAAAUUGAGUUUCGUGCCCUUGAUGAACAUCUAGAACUGAUAUUACCAAGGCUUAUGAAAUUGACCCUAAUGCCAUUUUUUUAGUCAAAAGAAUACAAGAAAUAUAACAAAAUUUCCUUUUUCAAACUUAAUUCAAUUUUUCAUUACAUUUAAAUUAUUUUUCAAAACUCAAAUUAUAAAAAUAAAUUAUAUUUAGAAAAAAUAUUUAUAGCGUAAAAGCUAUGUCAAGAAACAGAGAACAAAUAAUUUUGCUUAAUGUUUUUUCUACGUUUUUUUACUAAAGAAUGUGUAUUGGAUAUUUCGAUACAGAUAAUAUAGAGACAUUUGUAAUGCUUAAAAACAAUUUUCUCUCAUUUUCUCUCACUUUAUUUAUUUUUAAAAUUUUUAUCUAUUUUUAUUUAACUUUUUAUUUUAUAAUGUUCUAAAAUUUUAAAAAUAAUUUCAAUUUUUACCAUUUUAUAUAUUAUCAAGAUCAAAUUGACUGAAGUAUAAAAUUUGAGGAUUAAAAUUGUUAUUAUGUCAACUUAAAAAAGUGUCACUUAACAUUUGAGUGACAAAAAAAAACAAUUUCAAAAACAUUAGUGAUGAAAUUGUAACUUUUUUAAUUGAGUGACCAAAACAAAAAUACCCAUAGUUUAGAGUGGGGGUGAGCAAAAUUCGAUUCGACUCGAAAAAAUCAAAAAAAAAUUUGAAUUUCGAGUUAAACGAAUCGAGUUAUUCGAAUCAACUUGAAUUUUUUUUCAAAUUUCGAGUUAGCAUCGAGUUGCGGUUUCGAAUUCGAAAUACUCGAAUAACUCGAAUAAUUCGAAUAUCAAAACUCUAAUAUUUUAAUUUUUACCAAAUCCCAAAUCUUUUUUACUUUUCCCCCAAAACUUUUACUCCUUCCCACUUUCCCCCCAAAACUCUUCCAUUUACUUUUUCUCAAAAUUUUUCUCCCAAAAACCCUCAAAACCUUUUAUUUUCCCCCAAAAGUUUUACUCCCUCCCACUUUUCCCCUAAAACUUUUAUUCCCUUCCCAUCACACCUCCCACCUCUCAUCUACCCCACACCGUCCCCCCUCCAAUUUUUUUUAAUAUUUUCCCUCCAAAAUUUUAGUCCCCCCUAUUUACUUUCCCUCAAACUUUUAUUCCCCAAAACUUUUUAUUUUCCCCCUAAAUUUUUACUUCUCACCCUUUACUCUCAAAUAAAAAAUCAAAAUUAUCCAAAAAAAAAUCACUAAACAUAAAUAGUAAUAAUUUUAUUUAUAUCUACUAUUUAUAUUAUUAAAUUAAAUUUCACAUUUUAUAUUAUUUGUAUUAUUGAAUUGUUUUGUCAUAUUGAAUAUUUAUAUUAAAAUUGAAUUAUUAAUUAUGCCAUAAAAUAUUCGUGUUAAAAUUUUAUAUUGGUAUCAAUUUCACAUUUUAUUUUUAAAAUAACUUUUAUUAAAAAUAAUAUUUUUACAUUUAAUAUAUUUUUUAAUUCCAAAAUAUAUAGUGACAAGAAUCUGAAGAUAAUUGAAACAACAAAGCAAGCAAAGAAGCUAACCAGUAUAUAAAAAAUUAAUAAAUAAAUUAUGAGGUGAUAAAAGUUAAUAAAAAAUUUGAUUAAGGUGGACAAAUUUUAUUACGAUGGGUGACAGUGGUUACAAGGACCCAAAAUUAUUUUUUAAAAUUUAACUCGAACAAAUAUAUUUGAUUCGAUUCGAUUCGAUUCGAUUUGAUUUGAAUUCCAUCUCACUCGACUCGAUUUGAGAAAAUUUCAAAUCAAAUUAGGAUGAUAAAAUAUGAUUCGUCAACUCGAUUAACUUGAAAUUUUUUUAUUCAAUUCGAUUCGAUUCGAUCAAACGCUCACCCCUAGUUUAGUGACUAAUAGUAUAGCCUUUUUUUGGUAAAAUGAAAAUUUGACCCUGAUUUUGUAUAAUAAAAAACUCAAAAUUAUUUAUACAAUGGAAAAUUGUAUAUUAUUCAACAUAGGGAUUUUUUACCCAAAUCAUAUAAAAAAUAAUUAAUUAUAAAAAUAAGGCAUUUGGUACAAUGUUCUAUAACAAAAUAAAUAGUUUUAAUGAUUGUUUUCUUAAAAACUGAAAAGCGAUUUGCCAGAAUUAAUAUUGUCAAAACACACAAUUUCAAAUUUAUUUUUUGGGUUUUUAAACAAGUUAAUGUAAUUUCUCCAUAUUCGACCAUAACGUAUGAACUAGGUUUGUGGCAUUACAAUUUUUGUCCUCAAUUUAUAUAUAUAUAUAUUUAUCAAUAUGACCCUGAUUUUAUAUAAAGAAUUAAAAUCAUUUAUAAAAUAGAAAAAUGUAUAUAAAAUUCUAGAAAAAUAAAAUCUUGAAUAUGUUGUUGAAGAACUAAAAUAUGUGAGAAAUAAAGAAAAGUAUAAUUCAAUAGAAUCCAAAAAUAAAUUAGAAACAAAACGAAAUAAAAAAGUUCAGUUUCAUGCUCUUGAAGAACAUCUAGGAUUGAUAUUAGAGAGACUUAUAAAAUCUACCCGACUGUCAUUUAUUUUGUCAAAAGAUUACAAAAUAUGCCACAAUUUUUUUUUUCAAACUCAAUUCAAACUUUAAUUACAUUUAAAUUAUUUUUCAAAACCCAAAUUGUAAAAACAAAAUGUGUUUCUUCUUCCAUGGUUGAGUUGGGCUUGGACAAGAUUUUUAUGUCUUGAGCUGUUCCAACUUGAAUUCAAUUUAAAUAAUAAAAAAUAUUUUUAAAUUUAAAAUUUAAUUAAGAAUAUAAAAAUAUUUUUAAUAUUUUAUUAUUUUUUGAACUCUCAAAUGGACUUUUUAGGGUUGACUGAGCUUGGCUAAAAAUGGGUUAGGCUUGAAAAAAUUUUAGAUUAUUUUUAGGAGUAUAUCAAGGAGUCUAAUAAUUACAAUUUUUUAAAAGGUUUUAAUAACACUAGAAAUCUUAUCAUACGCAUAAGCAUGUGAAAAUCACAUAUUUAGGACACAUAUUUGUGUUUAAAAAGAACGUACAAUAAAUAAUGAAGAGUAUGAUUCGGAACUAAUUAAUAAUAACACAUGAAAUAUGUAUGAUAUUAAAAUAAAAAUUACAUUAAAUUGAGAGUGAAAUAAAAUUUAAACCAAAAACACAUGAAUAUUAAAUGAAAACAAAUGUUUAUCAUUGUUUUGUCUUCAAUACUGAGUUGGUGUCAUGUUCAUUUGUGACGCUAAAUCAAUGACAUUAUUUACAUAUACAAAUAUAUAAAAAUUUAGAACACAAAUAUACUUAUUAAAGUUUCAAAUGAAAACCUUAAAUUGUUUUAGUUAUAAUGUAAAUGAAAAAGCUUUAUAUGCAUGGUGUCCCCUUGUUCAAAUAUCAUUAAUAUGGGUAAAUUUUUAUUGAUUUAUAAAAAAAUAUAAAAGGAUGAAAACACCAUCAUAAACAUAUAUAUUACUUUGCAAAUAAAAUAGUUUUUUUUUGUAAUUUUCUUAUUGAGUUAGGACCCGAUUGAUGAGUGACACCAACUCAAUAAAAUAUUUAAUACAUAGUAUAGAUAAAACAAUUUUAAUCUAAAAUGUUUAAAAGAAUUUAGGGUAAAAUUCAACAAUGGGUAAGUUUUCAUUUUGGUCACUUAACUAAAAAAUGUUACAAUUUGAUCACUAAUAUUUUCGAAAUUAUUUUCUUUUUGUCACCCGACUGUUAAGUGGCACUUGUUUCAAUUGGUAUAAUAAUAAUUCUAGUCAUUAGUUUUUAUAUUUUCUGUCAAUUUGACUCUGAUUGUGUAUAAAAUAUUAUUAAAAUUAUUAGAUUUAAUUUCAAGUUGUAACAUAUGAUUAUGCAUUCUUAUACCCUGAUGUCCCAUACUUUCCGAUUAAUUAUUAGAUUUAAUAAUAAAUUUAGCCUUUAACGUUUGAUUAUUUUGUUAAAAUGGCCCUAAUUGUGUUUUUGAUUUUUAUUUUUUUUGCUAUCAACCUUUGUUCUUUUUUUUAAUCUUCUUUUUUUAAUAUAUUUAAUGAAAGUACUUUAAAAAAGUUGACCGCGAAAAUGUGAAAUUUCAUAUGUCAAAUAUUUUUAAUGAGAUAUAAUUUAUUAGUUAAAUAACCCUAUAAGAUAAUUACAUGUAGAAAAUAUUAAAAUAAAUAAUACAUUAAAUUGAAAAAAAUAAUUUAAAGAAAAUAAAUGUAAUUAUUUAAAAAAAACUAACUCAGUAGAAAAACUUCUCAGUAAACAAACAUACGAAAGAUUCAAAACUUUUGAAAGAAAAGAAAUAUUGAAACAAAGGUUGAUGGUAAAGAAAAGCUCAAAAGUAGAAUUAGUGAUCAAAUUUAUCAUUAAAUCUAAUUAUUAUUAUUAUUAUUAUUAUUAUUAUUUAAUGCCAAUUAUAAUGGGUGACAGCAAAGAAAAAAGUAAAAAAAGAUGGAUUUCUUACUCAUAUCCACAACAUUCGUCUUUUUAUACAUGUAAUUAUGCUUUCCCAUUAAUUAUUAAUUAUUUUCUCUUUCUUCUGCUUCUUCACAUAUUGCUAUCACAAUUUUGCUUAUUUCUGUUUUCACCUUCUUCUUCACUCUUUUUAAUUUCUUUUGAUCUCCAAGGUCUAUCACUAAUUUUCAAGCAUCCAGUCAAGGUAAUUUUCUGUCAUUUGCUUCAUUCAUGACUAUACAAUGAUUGUUUUUAUUAUCAGCUACUGUUAUAGCAGCUAGCUUUGUAAGAUAGUCAAGGUAAUAAGAUCUGAAGCAAUGAUUCCUCUACUGAUUAUCAAUUUUAAGACGUACAGGAUGAUCAGCAGACAUAGUCUACUAUAGAUACAAAUUAAUACGAAAAGAGCUACCCAGAAGCAAUAUAAUGUUGAAAUCUCAUGCUGUUGGAACAUUUUACCUCUUAAUAUUCUGUAAUGCUCUUGCACACUUGAAUCUAGCAUGUUAUAUAGUUUGAGAGGUUGAUUCUGGAUAUACAAUGGUGACCAGAAUUUCAUCAUGUUUCUGCCUGCUACCCAUCCAUAGCUCCAUCUAAUAGACGCCAUUGCUUGAAACUUGCAUUCAUGCUUACACUCACAUAUCACAACUUCAUAAAAAAUCCAAUACAUUCACAGAUUUUCAAUGAUUUUGUUUUGAUGUCCAAGGUCUAUCACAAAAUUUCAAGCAUCCUGUCAAGGUAAUUUUCUUUCAUUUGCUUAAUCCAUCACAUGCUUUUCUUUGCUUGAUUCAUGACUUUGCAAUGAUUGUUUCUGAUUAUCUGCUACUCUUAGCAGCUAGCUUUGUAAGACAGUCAAGGAAGAAGUCAACUUCACUGCUUCAUUUUCAGUUUUAUUCUCUCAACACUUUUCAGCCACUAAGUUAGGUAAUAAGAUCUGAAGCUAUGAUUUCCUCUACUGAUUAUCAACAGUUUUAGAUUUUAAGACAAGAUGAUCAGCAAACGUAAUCUACUCUAGAUUGAAAUUAAUACAGAAAGAGUACCCAGAAGCAACAUAAUGUUGAAAUCUCAUACUGUUAACAUUUUAACUCUUAAUAUUCUGUAAUGAACUGUUGCACACUUGAAUCUAGCAUUUUAUAUACAUUGAGAGCUUAAUUCUGGUGACCAUAAUUUCAUCAUGUUUCUGUCAGCCACCCAUCCAUAGCUCCAUCUAAUAAACGCCAUUGCUUGAAACUUGCAUUCAUGUUUUCCUUUUCAUGCUUACACUGACAUAUCAAUACUUCAUAAAAUAUCCAAUUCAUUCACAGAUUUUCAUUCUCUGCUACUGUUUUUUUAUGAUUGCAUUGCAGGGACAUAGCAAUGGAGUACGUAGAGCCUGUUGUCGGCAUUGCAAAUUGUCUCGGAACUCCUGUUUGUAAAUAUUUGCAAUAUCACAGAAAGCUGAACGAUUAUGUGAGAAACUUCAAGAGGAUCAGAGAUGAAUUGAAUUGCAAAAUGGAAGAUAUAGAGCUGCAAUUGAAAGCAGAGCUUCUUCGUCCUCUGGGGAAGAUACCCAAGCAGGGAGUUGAAAAUUGGUUGAAAGCUGUGAAAGAGAUGAUUAGGGAAGCACAAGUUGUUGAAAACAAAGUCAGUAACGGGAGAUAUCUCUGUCGUGCUUGCAACGGGAAGCUGGUUGAUGAAAAGACUCGAGAAAUGAAGGAAUUUCUUGAUAAAGCUCCUAAUGCCUCUGAAGCUCUUGCCAUGGAUGGUCCAAGUGCGGGGUUGCCACUGCCAACAUCAGAACUAGUUGGAGAGGAAGCUGUCAGAAAUGAGAUUUGGGCAUGUUUGAUGCAGGAGGAGCUGAGCAGGAUUGGGGUUUGGGGGAUGGGCGGUGUGGGUAAAACCACUAUUAUGAAGCACAUCCACAAUGAUCUUUUGAAAGAACAAAGAUUCGAAAGGGUAAUCUGGGUUACCAUUUCAAAGGAGUUCAAUGUAAUGAAGGUACAAGAUAAUAUUGCAAGUGCGUUGGAGUCGAAGGAAUAUCUAGACAAAGAAGAGGACAAGCUCAGACGAGCUGCAAUCUUGUCAGAAAUGCUGAAGAACGCAGGAAAGCAUGUUCUAAUCCUAGAUGAUGUGUGGCAUAAAGUCUCUCUAGAGGAAGUUGGGAUCCCUGAGCCUAGUGGCAGCAAUGGCUGCAAGUUGGUGUUGACAACCCGUUCGGAGCAUGUCUGUAAGUAUAUGGGUUGUAAGGUGAUAAAAGUGAAGCCCCUUUCAGAAGAAGAGGCAUUGAUACUAUUCUUGAAUAAAGUUGGACCUAACAUAGUUCAAAGUCCAACUAUAAUGCCUAUUUUGAAGCUUGUUGUCAAGGAAUGUGCGGGUCUACCUCUUACAAUUGUCGUGGUAGCUGGUACCAUGAAAGGAGAAGAUACCCCUCUUAUUUGGAAAAAUGCACUCGGGGAAUUAAAAGAGAGAAUAGGAAAAGUUGAAGGAGUGGAAGCUGAGGUAAUCGAGCGCUUGAAAUUUAGCUUCGAUCACUUAAAGGACGAGAAAGUGAAAUAUUCUUUCUUAAAUUGUGCAUUAUAUCCCGAAGAUUUUGGAAUUGAAAAGGAUGAACUAAUUGAGUGCUGGAUUGAGGAGGGAUUCAUAGAUGAUAUGGGUACAAGACAAGAAAUGAAAGACAAGGGCCAUGUUAUUUUGAAGAAGUUAGAAGAGAAUUGCUUGUUGGAAAAUAAUACCAAUGUACGUGUUCAACCUUGCAUAAAGAUGCAUGAUGCAGUGAGAGACAUGGCAUUGUUGUUGGAGCAAGAGGCAGCAGCAGCAAGCUUCAGCAGAAUGCUUGUUUUGCAAGUCUCGUGACUUGUAGGAGAAACAAAGCAGAAAACUCAAAUGGAUUUUAAGCAAAACUAAAAAAUGGAGAGCAUAUGGAUGAAAACUUGUUGAAUUCAUUCAUUGAAAAUUAAAAUGGCCCAAAGCCAAUACAUAAACAAGUUUACAAUCUUGACAAAACGGUAGGUUGACCUAAACUUCACCUACUACCACUAAUACACAUAGUAACUUGUGCUAAUUAGCUUGAACAAAUAAACAAAGCUGAUUUAUCAGCUCAAUCAACAUCAAAAUUACAUCAAGCAUAAACCUAACAUAGUUAUAAAGCAACUAAGUUACAUUACUCUAACUUAAAAUUACAAAAUGAAACAUAAACAGCUUGCUGACUAGGUGAACCAGCAGCUUCUGCAUGUAGUGCCUUUGACAGUCUUGGUUGCUGCAUGCUGAUCAUAACUUCAAUACUCCUCCUUGGUUAGCAUGUUGCAAACUCCCAUAUUAGUUCUCAGGCGUUGAAACUUGGAAACACUUAGUGCUUUUGUUAAAAUAUCAGCAAUUUGCUCUUCAGAACUGCAAUGUAUCAGCUUAACAACAUGAGCUUGUUCCAUUUCUCGAACUGCAUGAAGUUUGAUGUUGAAGUGCUUGGUCCUUCCAUGAAAAACAGGAUUCUUUGCAAUAGCAACUGCUGAUUGGUUGUCACACAUUAUCUCAGUUGCUUCCUUUUGCUCAUGAUUGAUAUCUUUCAAAAUUUUUCUAAGCCAUAUGGCUUGAUUGACUGCUGCAGCAGCAGCCACAUAUUCUGCUUCUGCAGUCGACUGAGCCACUACUCCCUGCUUCUUUGAGCUCCAGCAAAUCAUAGCAGAGCCUAUGUUGAAUGCAUAACCUGUAGUGCUCUUCAUGUCAUCCAAGGAACCAGCCCAAUCACUGUCACAAUAUCCAACUAGCUUCAAGUUCUCAGCCUUGGUAAACUGCAUUCCAUAGGACAAAGUUCCUUUGAUGUAUCUUAGAACCCUUUUUGCAGCUCUAAAAUGACUUUCAUUUGAACAAUGCAUAAACCUCGAGAGUAGACUCACAGCAUACAUUAUGUCAGGUCUAGUAGCAGUCAAAUACAACAAACAUCCAACUAGACUUCGAUAGGUUGUUUCACAAACCUUUUCAUGCUUGUCUUGGCUCGAGAGUUUUUCUCCAACAGCAACUGGUGUGCUGGUUGCUUUGCAAUUCUCCAUUGAGAAUUUGUUGAGAACCUUCAUAGCAAAGGUCUUUUGACUUAGCCAAAUCCCAUUCUUAGCUUGGGUUACUUCCAUGCCUAAGAAGUAAGACAUCAAUCCCAAGUCUGACAUUUCAAAGUGCUGUUGCAUUUUGACUUUAAAGCUGCUUAGCAUCUCAUGAUCUCCUCCUGUCACCAAUAGGUCAUCGACAUAUAUUGAGACAAUGAGCUGAGUUUCAGCACUAGUUGAUUUUACAUACAGAGUUGGCUCGCUAAGACUUCUUUCAAAUCCUUGACUGGUCAGAUAGCCAUCUAUUCUGCUAUACCAGGCCCUUGGAGCCUGUUUCAAGCCAUACAAGGCUUUGUUGAGCUUGUACACCAUUUCUUCCUUGCCAGACACCUUGAAACCUUGAGGUUGCUCCACAUAAAUCUCCUCUUCAAGGAAUCCAUUCAGAAAUGCUGAUUUUACAUCAAGUUGGUGUAUCAGCCACUGUUUUUGUGCUGCUAAGGCAACUAGCAGUCUGAUAGUGUCUAGCCUGGCCACUGGUGCAAAGGUUUCCAGGUAGUCUGAUCCAUACCUUUGACUGAAACCUUUCACAACCAAUCUAGCCUUUAACUUGUUUAGGCUACCAUCAGCAUUGUUCUUUACUCGAUAAACCCAUUUGACACCAAUAAUCUUCCUGUUUGUUGGUUUAUCAACCAGACUCCAGGUCUGAUUCUUUUCAAUCAUUCUGAUUUCUUCAAUCAUUGCUUGCUUCCAGUCCUCCUGGUUUUCUGCUUCUUCAAAGCAACUUGGUUCAAUAGUAGCCACUUGUGCUCUUUCAUAAACAUCAACCAGUGAUCGAGUGCCUCUGAUUGGAACAUCAUCUACAUCCAUUUCAGGUGUGUUUUCAUCAUUUUCAACUUGAUCCACUGCGAGAUCUUCAGCCACUGCCUCUGGUUCAGCCUUCUCCCAAUUCCAGUGUCCUUUUUCAUUGAAAACAACAUCCCUGCUAACCAAUAUCUUGUUUGUAGCAGGUUCUAGGAUUCUGUAGCCCUUCUUAACCAAGCUAUAGCCGAUCAGGAUGCCUGCUUGAGCUCUUUUAUCUAGCUUGCUUCUCUUCUCAGCUGGAACUUGUGUGUAGCACAGACAACCAAAGGUUCUGAGAUGAGCCAGUGAUGGCUUAAACCCAAACCAGGCUUCAAAUGGAGUCUUUUCAGCCAGAGCCUUGGUUGGGAGCCUGUUUUGGAGAUAGACUGCUGUGUUAACAGCUUCAGCCCACAGAGUUUUGGGCAAAUUCUUCUCAAACAGAAGACAUCUUGCCAUGUUCAUCAAGCUUCUGUUUUUCCUUUCACUGACCCCAUUCUGUUGGGGUGUAUACACAUUAGUCAACUGGUGUUUGAUACCUGCUUCUUCACAGUAGGCUUGGAACUGAGCUGAGGUGUACUCAGUUCCAUUAUCUGACCUCAUUGCUCUAAGUUUGCAACCAGACUCAGUUUCAACAGCAGCUUUAUACUUCAGGAACACAGAUGAAACUUCUGACUUCUGUUUUAAAAAAUAAAUCCAGCAGUAUCUUGUUAAGUCAUCAAUAAAUAAAAUAAAGUACCUGCUUCCUUUGAGAGACUCAGUCUUCAUUGGUCCACACACAUCUGUAUGCACAAGCUGAAGCUUCUCUGAUGCUCUCCAUGUUGUGCUUGCUGGAAAUGGCAAUCUUGCCAAUUUUCCUUGCUGACAUAUCUCACAAAGCUCAUCAUUCUUCACUGAAUCGAUGAAAUUUUCUGCCAGUCCUUCAUUGACCAUGCGGGCUAUGGAUUUGUAGUUUGCAUGUCCAAGCCUCUGGUGCCAGAGUCUCGAGUCAUCAGUGGAGGCUAUGCAGGCUGAAUGUGAGUCAUUUGGCCAGUCUACUUCAAAACAUUUAUCAGUCAUGGUGACUGUUAUGAGGUUUGAUCCACUUGGAUAAAAAAUUUGACAUUCUUUCUCCUUGAAAACAACUGAGUAACCUUUCUCAAGUAGUUGACUUAUACUGAGAAGGUUCCUAUCGAUUUCAGGUACCAAAAGUACAUUUGAAAUGAUUUUGCCACCUGUAGAGGUAUGAAUCAGCACAUCUCCUCUUCCUUCAGCAUUGAUUAACUGACCAUUUCCAAUUUUUACUUUGGUUUUGCAGGUUCUGUCCAGGGUUUUGAAGAUAGUUACAUCUGGUGACAUGUGGUUUGUGCACCCACUGUCUAGAAGCCAGCCCUUUGAACCCUUUUUGUGAUUUGCUGCACAUGACACAGCAAAAACAUGUUCUUCUUGAUCACUACUUUCUUCAGCUACUCGAGCUUCUACUUUUUGUUGCUGAAAUUGAUUCUGUCUUGGUUUGCUUCUAUUCUUGCAAACUUUUUCAGCAUGGCCCUUUUUCUUGCAGUGUUGGCAUACUGCAUCUGGUCUAAACCAGCAUCUAUCUUCUGGAUGACCAGCUCUUUUACAAUGUCUGCAGAGUUGGUCACUGCUCCUAGCAGCAUCAGGCUUAGGCCUGUUUUUCCAGAACUUUUUGCCUUUAUGAGUUUUGAUGCUCGAGGCUUCUUUGGCUUGAAAAGCCCCUUCCUGGUGCUCCUCUUGUCUGCUGGCUCUUCUUUGCUCUUGUGCAUACAAGGCAUUGAUUAGCUCAGUUAAGGAGAUAGUUGUCAAGUCCCUUGAGUCUUCGAGGGAUGAAAUUUUAGCUUCAUACCUCUCUGGUAGAGUGGACAUGACUUUCUCAACCAUUCUAGCUUCACUGAAUUGCUCUCCUAGGAGCCUUAUGCUGUUUACAACAGCCAUAAUCCGAUCUGAGUACUGCUUAACUGUUUCUUCCUCUUUCAUUUUGAGAUUUUCGAAAUCUCUUCUCAAGUUGAGCAGCUGUUGUUGCCUUGUUUUCUCAGUCCCCUGAAAUUCUUCUUUCAGCUUGUCCCAAGCCUCCUUUGGUGUUUCACAGGCCAUGAUCCUCAUAAAGAUCACAUCUGUCACACAAUUCUGUAUGCAUGACAUGGCCUUGUGCCUUUUUGUUCUUUCAUCAGUGUGUUGCCUUAUUUGAGCAACUGUUGGAUUUGCUCGAAGAGGUGCUGGCUCAGCAUCUGAGUUGACAACUUCCCAUAGGUCGAAUGCCUGCAGGUAAGUCCUCAUCUUAACUGCCCAAAUGUUGAAGCCCUCUCCAUUGAAGACAGGUGGUGAAGCUGGUGAAAAACCUGAUGAUGCCAUCGUUUUGAUGUUGAACUACAACAGGUCCUCUAAGAAUACGGCUCUAGAUACCAAUUGUUGGAGCAAGAGGCAGCAGCAGCAAGCUUCAGCAGAAUGCUUGUUUUGCAAGUCUCGUGACUUGUAGGAGAAACAAAGCAGAAAACUCAAAUGGAUUUUAAGCAAAACUAAAAAAUGGAGAGCAUAUGGAUGAAAACUUGUUGAAUUCAUUCAUUGAAAAUUAAAAUGGCCCAAAGCCAAUACAUAAACAAGUUUACAAUCUUGACAAAACGGUAGGUUGACCUAAACUUCACCUACUACCACUAAUACACAUAGUAACUUGUGCUAAUUAGCUUGAACAAAUAAACAAAGCUGAUUUAUCAGCUCAAUCAACAUCAAAAUUACAUCAAGCAUAAACCUAACAUAGUUAUAAAGCAACUAAGUUACAUUACUCUAACUUAAAAUUACAAAAUGAAACAUAAACAGCUUGCUGACUAGGUGAACCAGCAGCUUCUGCAUGUAGUGCCUUUGACAGUCUUGGUUGCUGCAUGCUGAUCAUAACUUCAAUAAUUGUCGAUCACAAGAAUGAAUCCUCGAUAUAUGAUACAAUCAGGUUUGCAAUUAAAAGAGUUACCAGAAAAGGAGCAAUGGAGUCCGAAUAUUGAGAAAGUGUCUCUUAUGUAUAACUCCAUAUCAGAAAUUUCCAUAGAUGUGCUGCCCCCAAAAUGUCAACUGCUCACAACCUUGUUAUUGCAGCAUAACCCCAUAAAGAAGAUCCCAUAUUAUUUCUUCACAAACAUGCCUUGUCUUAGUGUUCUCAAUUUGUCUUUUACAAAGAUUGAGAGUUUACCAAAUUCCAUCUCUGAACUAAAGAACCUCACAACAUUGUUGCUUCGUGGUUGUUCUGAAUUAAGAGAUCUACCAUGUCUUUCGAUGCUUCAAGAAUUGAAGAAGUUGGAUAUAAGUCGUACAAGAAUUGGGAAAGUACCUGAAGGCAUGGAUAUGCUGAUAAAGCUAAGACAUCUUGAUCUUAGUGUGUGGAAUGUGAAAGAGAUACCCGCUGGACUUUUACCAAAACUCGUUCACCUUCAGCACUUGAGUUUUGAUGUGUACAAUGAAAAAACAAGUCUAAAAGCAAAGGAGAUGGAACCAUUGAAGAAGUUGGAGUGCUUUACGGGACGUUUCGAAGACAUCAGUGAAUUCAAUAAGUUCAUCUCCUCAAUGCAACAAAGUAAGAAAAAUCUCAUCAAGUACUAUUUACAGGUGGGCUCAUAUUUUGUGGGUGCUACAAGAGAUAAAAAAGUAACAAUUGGAGGAGUCCAAAAUUGGGAAGAUGAGUUAAUUAUGCACCCAAUUAAAAUUCAAGAGUUGAAUAUUUUACAUUGCGACUAUUCGAUAAACUUAGUCGAUGAUAAUUCUUCCUUCAAAAAUGCGAUUGACUUGAGGGUUUGUAGGAUUUAUAAUUGUAAAGGGAUAGAGUGUGUUGUUUCCCUGUCCUCUUUUGCCUCUUCUUCCGCUCAUCCAUUUCAGAGCCUCGAGGUGUUGCAUCUUCGAUCUCUGCCAAAGUUGAGUGCCCUUAUUAUGAAAGAUGCAGGAAUUGGUUCAGCAACAACGUCAACGUUGGCUCCGUCUACCACCUUUUCCCAUCUUAAGGAAAUUGAUGUACGGGGAUGCUCAAGUAUGAAGACGUUGCUUCCACAUUGGUUGCUUCCAAACCUCCAAAACCUGGAAAAAAUAUAUGUGCGUGCUUGUAGUCAGCUAGUAGAAAUAUUGGGAGCAGAAACAUCAGAAGUUGAAGAAAAAGGGAGUGAUGCAUUAAUCAAAUUCCAUCUUCCCAAAUUGAUAGUGUUGGAAUUGAGCGAAUUACCAAAUUUGAAGAGCAUAUGCAGCAAAAGUGGAGUGAUGGUUUGUGAUUCUCUCCAAUUUAUGAAAGUUGAUGGAGAUUGUGAUAAACUGAGGAGAAUUCCUCCUUUUGUUCCCCUUGUUGGCAAUGGGCAGCCAUAUGCAUAUGCUCCACCUUCUCUUACCAUCUUCUCAAGCACAGAAUGGUGGGAAUCGUUGGAGUGGGAUGACCAUCCAAACUAUAAAAAUGUUCUUCGCUUCAACCCUACAUUGAGGAUAAGAGGUAUGAACCAUUUAUGGUUUUGUUUAUUUUUUUUAUUUUGAUAAAUCUAAUUUCUCCAUUUUAAUAAAAUUUCAGAUAAAUCUGGUAAUGUUGUUGAAGAGAAAGAUGAAAGGGUUGGUGGGAAAGAAGUAGGGGGGGGAGGAUAGUGCAAAAGAGAGGAGAAAAGGAAUGAUGGAAGGAAUGAUAGAGGCAAAGGUAAAUAAGAAAUCAAACUGCCUCCACUUUUUAUACAUUUUCCCUCUCUUACCAUUCCUUCUAUUCUCUUACCACUUUUUAUAUAUAUAUGUAUAUAUAUGUACUUCCCAAAAUAACCUUCUAAAUAUUUAUGAUUAAAAUAUUUAUAUUAAUCAAAAUGAUUUAAGGUGAGACAAAUCUUAUUUCCAAUAAAAGUUCGGAAAGUAAUGUAAAAAUACAUAAUAUUUUUUAAUUUCCAUGUAAAAUUUCUGGAAACAUUAAGAUUUAAAAAAUAAUAAUUGCUUGUUUUUUUAAAACAUAAUAUUUAUUAAAAAAUAUAAUUGGAUUCAUUCAUAUGUAAACGCAAGCAUAAAGAUUAAAACAAUAAUGUAAUUUCAUAAAAGUAUGAUAUUAGAAAUUAAAAGUGGAAAUUAAAUAAGAUGAAUUCCUUUUCUUGAGUAAUAUAAAAAUUGUAGGGAUAGUUAAUAAUAUUAACAUAUUUCUAAUAUUAAAUAAUAUUUUAAAUUAUGAGGACUAAAUGAGAAAAUUAAAAAGGUGAAAUCCCUUUUAAAAUAAAUUAAAAACAUUAAGGGUAUUAUGUUGCAAAUAACCCCUCCACGUUCCCAUAUAUAAAAGACAUUUUCCUUUUUCUUUUAAUUUGUGAUAAGUUGGAAAAUAAAAAAACAAAAAAAAAAAAAACUUAGUUUCCUUUUUUAUUCUUGUUUCAUUUUGUUGUCCGACUUUUUUUUUGAAGCUGAAGAUUUAAAGUUUUUUAGUAUUAAAUACCAAAAUAUCAUAGGUUCUCAAUAAUUAUGUAGUUUGUAAUGCCAGAAAGUUUACAUUUUUUAAAUAUCAUAGGGACACUAGCGUGUGUCCAGACUGUGUGUGACUAUGUUAGUGCAGGGUUCACACAGGCCAAGGACACGAACGUGUGUCCAGGUCGUGUAACUCACUAUUUACAAAAUAAGGAUCUCACGAACGGAUGACACAGCCGUGUGUUAGGCCAUGUGAGACACACGGGCAAGCAAACAGGAAUGUGUCAGGCUGUGUGGGGCUACACGGGUGUGUGGGCCAGUUUACGAAAUUUUUUCAUUUCCUGAACUUCGUUUGAAAUGAAUACAAGCCUUCUGUGAGGCUGUAUGAACUGAAUUAAAUUGUAUAAAUUGAUAUUCUAUGAUCUGAAAUUGAGUACUAAUAAUGUGCGUGUGUAUUGUAUAUGACCAAUGUUAAUAGUAUCGAUCUCCUGUAUUCAAGCAUGAAUUGUAUCUAAAUAUUCACAUUUGUAUUAACUGUCAUGUGAAGUCUGCAUAUGCAUUGGGUGGAAAUUGAGCAAGAAGGAUGUAUUCUGUUCUAACAUAAUGAUUAAAUCACUACCAUAUGUACUCUGAUCUAAUAGCUAGACUGCAAUUUCUGAAACGUGUUAGAUCGACCCUAUAUGGUGUGUAGGAUUGGAUGGGUUAUAAGUAUCCUAUUUCAUGUGUUAGGUUGGUUGGAGAUGGUGUGUAACGGCUGGGAUUAAGAAAAUUGCAUAUGUUCUGUUCUGUUCUGUAUCUGAUUAUAGUUUGAUUUGAUAUCUGUCUGUAUUGUUCUGAUCCGUAAAUUAAUGAGCUAUUUCCUAAGUCUAAAUCGGUAUUUGCACUUGGACAUCUACUGGUUUAAUCCACACUCUAUUGAAUAUGUAUAUAGUUGGUUUCUUUAUGAGAUAUUAAAUCAUUUUUUUGUUGAAUGAAUUAUAGGUAAAUCACAAGCUUAGAGAAGUCGGUGGAUGGGGAGCUCAGUUUCAUUGUUUUAAACUGUUUAGUAGUACUAGUAUUGUUAGUUGUUAUUCAUAUUUUCAAUUUACUUGGACGAUAAACCUCAAAUUUCUUACCUUGUUAGUUCUUUAAAUCUUAUAUGACUCUGAAGGAUUUUAAAGUUAAGUUAUGAAGUUGCUUUAUUAUUAUAGUUCGUUGUAACCCUCCAGGCUUGGUCUUGUCGUCUAGACCGGGUAUGGAGUGUUACAUUCCUUUAUAAUAUUUAGCAAUGCCAACAAUGUUAAAAUUGUAUUGGUAAAAAAAGUAAAUUUAAUUUUAUAAAUAGAUUUUCACAUAAACAUUAAACAUUUUUACUCUACAAAAAAAAUUAAUAUAAAAUAUUUAAAUAAAUACCCAUGAUGAAUACAUGCAUUGUACAAGUUAUAUAUCAACAUUUAACAUUUUAUCCAAAAAGUUAAUGAUACUAACUGUAUAGACUAUAUAUCUAAUAAUAUUACAAAAAUAUAGAGACUAAAUUAUGUUAGAAAUUAAAGUAUAAAGAUUAAAUCAUAAAUUUAGAUAUAAUAGAGGGAUCAAAACUUAAAAUCAUGAAAAAUUCCUUAACAAAAUCUUUCCAUUUAACAACCAAACAUCAUAAACCACCAUUAAACUUCAAAAAUCUACCAUCUUCAUCAAUGACUUCUUCCAAAUCAUUAACAAUUUAACAAAAAAAAAUCCUUGGAUUAGAUAGAUAGAGUUAAAAUGAUCCCAAAAACAUUAAAUUCAUGAAAAACAGAUUAAAAUAUUCUUACAUGCAUUAACCUUAAUGACUGAAAAUGCAAGCUACAAAUAGACUAUUCUUUUCUCUAUUUUCGGCAAGAACACCUAAAAAAGAUGAUAAUUUUCAUUAAUUUUUCUUUUAUGUUUUCUAUUCUUUAUUUUCAUAAGUACUUACUUAUCCUUGUAAUAUAACUAAACAAUGAACUAAACUUAGUCUAUAUUUGUCCACUAAAGUUCUAUAUGGUUUAAUUACCACAUAGAUCCAUCCACUCAAAUAAUACUAACCAUUUAAUACAGUUAACUAUGGGAACUAACUUUUUAAGUUUUUACAAUUUAAUCCUUUUUAAUUAAUUAACUAUCUAAACAAUAACCUUCUUAACUAAAAUUUAAUAGACACUAAUGACCUUGUAAAUACUAAAUUAACCUGAAAAAUGAGAAAACAAUUUAAUCCUUUUUAAAUUAAUUAACUAUUGGCCGGACCCUCGGGCUUUCAGAGAAAACAAAAAGUGGUUUUUUUUUUUUUGAGAAGUGAGAGAAAAUGAAAUUUUUUAAAAAAUUUUGGUUUAUAUAAGGCCUUACAAACGACGAUGAUAUAUAAGCUUGUGAAAGUUAAAGUGAACAGAUGAUGAUAUUUAUAAGUAAAUAUACACUUUGAUGAUGCUUGUUUAUGUGUAUGGUGCCAAAGAUUUGUUGCUUGAAUAGAAAUGAAGGCAUGUCUUUUACCUGUUAAGUUAAUUUUGGUUAUAUGAUGGGCCCUAUAAUGUGGAUAGUUGGGUGGAUAGUAAAAACAAACUGAAAUUAUUCAAAGUUUAAGUGGGAAACCAAAACAGAGUUUAACUGAGAGAAGAAAAAAAAACAAACUUGAUGAACACGUCACCACGUCGUGACGUAGCAUUCUUGUCAUCGUGACAGGGAGAUGUUACGUUGUUGAGAUGAAGGCUUUCUUCUUAUCAUGACAUUGGUUGUUUGUCGCGGCGUUGAGCUUUAUCUUGUUGGGACAUCACUUACUAUUUUGUUUGAAAUGUGAGGCAAACGCCAUAAAGUGUAUAGUGAUAUAGAGCCAUGGUUGUUUGAACCAAGAAUCAGUCAAGGUACUAGUUCGAAGUGAGGCAUCAGACCACUUCACCCGCGAAUCGGUGCAAACCUAUUGAACAAGAUUAAAGAAAACUAGUUUUUUUUUUUAUGAGUUUUUAAUGAUUUAUUUAAUUGAACAAUACAGACUAAUAGUUUACCGGUUCAACUACUUCUAAAAACCUUAGAAUAUAUUUUAAUCUUUAAAUUUUUACUCAAACACUAAUAAUAAAUUUUAAUCUUUAAAUUUAUUUUAUAAUUUAACAUAAAUAGAAAAUAACUCAACCGUACUAGCAUUAAAGAAAAAGGAAAUCCAUAGUGGUACGAGUCACGCAAAGGAAGGAACUGCCAACAUCCUUGAAGCUCUAUAAUUAUCAAAAUUGAAAAACAAAAUGCCAACAUCCUUUAAGCUUUUGCACUAGAAUCGAAAUUAAAAAAGAAAAAGGAACUGCCAACUUUCGUUAAGAACAAGUAGUUGAAACUCUUCGUUGACACCUGAAUAACCAAGGUUCAUCCCUUAUCGUACUCUCCUAUCAUAACGCGACAACAAACUUUGCAUUGUUUCUACUCAAAAGGGUGACAUCAAAAUAUAUUUUGUUGAAUUUGAAAAGGAAAAUUUAAGAACAGUGAAGUACAUCCAACUAUGAAAGACUAACGUUGAGAUUGACCUGGUGCUAAUUUGCACUCAGCAGAGCUCUUGCAUGUCCUUUAGAUAUCUGUAGCUGCUCUGUUAUGCCAAAAUGAGCCAUAAGAAGCCAAACAUGGGUUAGAAGCUCUCCACCCCUUCUCAGUUGAUUAGCAUGCUGAGUUCCCCCACAAUGACUUGCAGCAUAAGUUAGCAUCUCUAACCAAAUUUCUUUAAUCAUCUCCCAUUUUACCUUUUUGUCUGAUAUGCCUUCAAGUGUUGAUGCCAGCUUGCAAGCGUCAAACAACACAGAUUUGCUUUUAUCCCCUUUUACUUUGCUCGGGUCUACAUCGGUCUUCACAUGAAGCAACAUACUGCAAGCAUCCUUCACACUCAUUAAUUGGUAUGCACUUGAAGAGAGCAGCCGUCCUUUAAAGAACCUCCAAGCUUGAAGCAACUUUCUGCAAUACUUGGUUAUUUUAUUCACUCGCUUAGCACUAGAAGAUUCCCGUCUUUCCUUGAAAAACCUCCUGGCCUCGGCUUCAGUGUCUCGAAACCUUAUAAGCCCUAUUCCUGAUGGCAACAUAAGAGGAUAAAAGACAAGGAGGUAUAUCAGGUACUUUGAGAUUAACAGGCUUGCUUCCCGACAUUGUCCAUUUUCAGUAUCACUUUGAAGACCUGAGUUGUAACAAAUCUCUGUAGCAAUGUGCCAGAUAAGAAUACUCUGGUCGAACUCAACAUCAAUACUCCACUCAAGCUUAGCUGGCAAUUUAUCCUCAUGUUUUUGAAGUAUGCUCUCUCCCCUUUGGCGGCAGAAGUCUCUAAGAUUAGUACCUUUUUUUCCCUUUUGCGCUUCAAAUUUCGCUUUGACAUGGCUAAAGAGGGUGUCUCUCAAGGAUCCCUCGAAUUUUACACUACUUCUAGGCGGCCACAUUUGCUGCACCUUUUCAAGUAUUUUAAACCCAGGUCUUUCUUCCAGGAAAUGGCUGAGUAGGCUGUACUGUGAUAUGCGACCAGACCACCUCUUUUGAUCAUACAGGGAAGUCAAACAUCUAGUGGCUCUAAUAAUGAAAGUUCUGUUAUUCUUAACCAACCAAUGGCUCGUCUGGUCUGAGCAAAGUAAUAAAAAUGCUGCAUACAUCUCCAGAAGAAUAGCUACAACAAGCAAAAGAAAAGUGAUGCAUACAUCAGCCUCUUCAUACUUGUUCAGGUUAUCAGUAGAGAACAUCCCCAACACAAGACAGGUGAGAAGGACAGUAGUAAAGCGGCAAACCAAACCGGAACGAGUAUAAUUUACCAUAGCUUUGGUGUAUAGUAAAUCAUACAUGAAUCCUAGUUCAAUGGCCACCACAUCGAAAGCAUCCUCCGGACUCAUGUCCUUGAAUAAAUUUUGGCUUUUCUCCUUGUCUUUAAAGCUUAGGAUGAGAUCUGCAAACAGACGCUUGAAUAUCUGAAACAUCACAGUGGCUUUAAUGAUUUUGUCUUGGUCAGUGCUCCUUUUUUCAGGGGCUGUAAUAUCCAUUUCUUGCUCAUCUUCCUUCACCUCUUCAAUAGUCACCAAGAACCCCUCAAAUUUCCUCAGACUGUAUUCAUCCAUCAACUUGGGGUAAUUAGGACCAGGAUCUGGAGAAGUUAGCAUCGAGUCUCGUAAUUCGCCAGGGCUUGCUCUCCAUAGAGUCCAUGUCCUCUCAGCAUACUUAAUUGAUCCAGCCACAAUCAUUGGAAUGGUUAGCUUGGAGAGAAGGGAACCUGUCCAUGCCAUGAAUAAGAUGUAUAUUGUCACAAUUGUCUGCACAAUUAGUCCAAAAAGGUGCCUUAACCAUAGCUGAUUGUCUUCCAGGGAGUAAGCUGUAAUGGCAUCUGGGCCACCCAAGUGCAGUAGGAGAAAGGGUGCCCACGUUGCUUUAAGCUCAGUGCUCAAGUCAAGAGCUCCUCCCUUAUCAUAUAUUUCACCCAGGUCAUUUGUUAGUAUGCCGAGGGCGAUAGAUGCUAGAGAAUCAGCCAGCAAAUAGGAACACCAAACAGCAGCUCUAAUCCUUCUUUUUGAAGUGCAUUUUCUGCGCUUGCCAAAUAAAAUGAGCAAAAUUUGGACCAGAAGGCUGGUUAAAACCAUUGCUCGGAGCUCCCAUUCCUUCCACAACUUCAUUAAUGAGGGAGAAAAGACCUCCACCAUCUUUCGGCUUUUCUUCACCAAAAUUAAGCUACCAACUACUGCAUAUGCACGAACAAACAAGAAUUAUUCAUAAACUUAACGCAGCUAACUAGUGAUGAUUUUCAAAAAUAAAUAUUCCAUUUUUUUCCAGAAACAUAUUUUGUUCAUUUCUUCCCAUUAUGAAUAUAUAUGCAGAAUCUAAGAAAGAAAAAUUGGUUCCUUACUUGUGGGAAUCAUUGUGAUUGUUAAUGCUUCCUGAUGAGUCUACUCGCAUCACCUAACUGGGUUUUGCUCUGCGAAACGGUUUAGCUAACAUUGAUGGGAAAAGCAGCUUCUUUACUCUAAGCGUCAAUGCGUUAUGCUUAAAUCAAAUAUUCUUAGAGUAUCCUUACAAAUUAGUUUAGAUGUGCCAACGGUAUUUUUACUUUUUUCACAUUUAAAAUUUAAAAUUUAAUCUUUAUAAUUUUCAGACUUUUUACUUAAAAAAUUCUAGUUUCUCUAUUUAAUUUUACCAUUAUCGACUUUAUAAAAAAAGUAAAAUGAAUUUUUAGUCCUUAAUAUUUACAAUUUUUUAUCAAUUUGAUUCUUACCUUUAAAAGUAAAUAAGAAAUUUUUGAAUUUACUUUUUCCAUAUUUUAUUUAAAAAUUUUAAAAUAUAUUUUAAAAAUCUAAAAUUAUGAAAGAAAUAAAAACUAUUUAAAAUUCAAAAAAUAAUCAUUUAAUAUAAAUUUUAUUAAUAAUAUAAUAAAUAAAUUAAAUCACAAAAUAUUAAUGCUAAAAUUAAAAAAUGACACUUUUGGACUAAUGUAAUUUAGAUAUUAAAUAUGAUAUAUAUGAGAUAUUGGUAUUUAUUUUAUUAAUAAAAUAUAAAGAAGCAAAUUACAUAAAAAGAUAAUCAUGUAUGAUCACAUUUUGUUAUAUAAAUCAUAUAUAAUCAUUAAAUAUGAAGCAAUAAAUGCUUUUUAAUUUUUUUAAAUUUUAUUUAUAAUAAUUAUGUUUCUCUAAUAUUCUUUAAAUUAACUUAAUGUUAUGGAUUGAUUUACCCAUCUGUAAUUCAACAGUUUUUUAAAUAUUAUAAUAUACAAAUUAAAUUUUAUAAUUACAAAUGCUUUAUACAAUAAAUCCAAAUGUUUUAAUUUAGAAAUAUAAUUCUAAAAAAUGUUGAAAAUAGCAAUUUUUAAAUAAAUAAUGUAUUUAUUAUUAAAAAAAUAUUUUUAAUAUUAUAGUAUUUAUUUAAUUUAAUAAAAAUAAAUAUUUUUAAAUAUCAAAAACUUAAUAAUUGAAAUUUAUUACGCAAGUGCAUGUAUCAAUCAAGUAAUAAAGUGAUAAAAAUAGGGACAAAACCAGGAAAUUACAUUAGGAGGGCCGAAAUUAAAUUUUAAUUUUAAUAGCCUAUAUCUUUAUAAUUUUUAAAAGAUUAAAUCAAAUUUUUAUUAUUUUAGGGGGACCAAAGUGCGAUUUUACCUUUACCAAUUUAAAAUUUUAAAAUUUCUAAAGGGCCUAAAUGAAUAUUUUUCCAUUUUAGGGGCUAGGUGUAACACCCUAAACCCGGCCUAGAUGGAAAGACCAAGUCUAGAAUGUCAAAUGAACUUACCAGAAAAUAGAUACACUUAAAGUCGGUUUAACUAAUACGUAAAUAAGUCUUAAAAUCAUUAACCACUCAACAUAACACAAUCUUAAAACUCAAAGUCGGAAAACAAUAACAAUUUAAAACACACACACACACAUAUUGAUACAGAUGCAGUUAUCCUACCCCCAUCCGCUACGCACUAUCUCCGAUCAUCCCAACACACCAAUAGGUAUAUAAUACCCCUCCAGCCAUACAUACCUUAUAGUGUCGGCACGACACAUUGUAAUGUUUACAGUCUCACUGCUAGAUCAGAUAUAAUUCUAGGUGGUUUGACCACCAAAUUAGUAUGGAACACUUCCUUCAAUCCAUAAUUCCCACCCCAUGCAAAUGCAGAGAACAAAUGACCAAUAUUUAUGUAUUGUUAUGCAGAUACAAAUCAUACAGUUUCAAUAUAUCAAAGGGUUGAAAUUCUUACGAAUUGUCUCAUACGGUUAUGUAAAACCAAUUUAUAAUCAUAAUAAAGUAGAUCAUAAAGUCCAGUUUAGUUCAUACACAUCCUAUAGACGACUUACACUCGCCUCGCACAACAAUUAUAGCAUUAACAAAAAUUUGGCGAUUCUAGCUCACAUGCCCAUGUGGAUGCCCGUAUGACUCCACACGGCCUGGCACACGACGAUUCUGAGAUUGGUAUUAACAGAGAAGUGCAAAAAUAAUAAUAUUUCUAAACGCAGGAUCAAAGACUCAAACACCAGACCAUAAUGUAUACAGAUUCUUUAUCAUCAAACCAACAGGUUCAUUCUUGAGAUGUCAAUGCAUGAAAUUUAACUUAUGUGACACAUGUAAGUCAAAAGUUCAAUUAUAAUACGCAAAACUUCAAAAAAAAAAAUGUGACUUGAACCUCCAAUCUCAAACACAUAAACAAAGUACUUAAACACAGAUACAGAGACUUAAUUAUUGAUACUACCUAAUAGGAAAACCCACAUUUUUAGGGCGUUACACUGGGGCCCUACCAACCCCCUCUAGAUACGCCACUGGAUAAGAAGAUAUCGAUCCCACAAGUACCAAAUUCUAAGAUGUUAAGUAACAAAUAUUUAGUUUUAUCUAAUUCAAAUUAAUAAAAUAAAAUUUGAUUAGUAGAAAAAUUAAACUAAACAAAUUAUGGACUUGAAACUCUAACUUCUCCUAAUCUAGAUUCAAUCUAUGUAAGUCCUAACCCAUAAUUCAAUGAUAUUAAUUAGACUCUUCCUGUAUCUAGUUAAGUUAAUCUCCUUUCCCAUUAACUGUAUUCCCAUACUAGGCAAGUUAAGUGAAAUCACUAAGAACAAACUUAUUAGAUUGAUUAGGGAAUCAUGUAUAUUUAUAUCUUAAUCACAGAUUAACUCAAUUAAUCUUGAUUUAAUUAGCCUAAAUCUUAACCUUAAUUUUCUCUUCCAUGACAAAUCAAGAUUAUUGAAUUAAUGUAACUUGGUGAUUAGACAAGUAGAUUAAAUAAGCAUAGGACUGAAUAAAUAAUUAAUAAGGAUCGAGCAAUUAAAGAGAAAAUUUAAUUAAUUAACUAAGAAAUAAGAUUCAUUAUCUUUCUAAAAAAAAUUAAAGUUUAAUUCAUAAUAAGUUGAAAAAACAACACAAAAAAUUUAGAACAAACUUGCAUCAAUAAAUUCAGAUAAUUUAUAAAAUGCAUAUAUCAAAUCCAUUGCCAUUUCCUUAAUUCAAUUAGAGAAUAUCAAGAUUUAUUACAUUGUUUGUAAAUUAAAUCAGUAAUAUAAAGUUGAGACUUACCUAAAUCAAAUCGAAAUUCAAUGAUAAAUUAAAUUAAAGAUAAAAGAUUAAACAUAUAAAGUAUGGAACCACCUAAUCAUAAAUUUUGGAAAUAAAGGUGAUCUUAAAAAAUUAUUCCUAAAAAAAAUUCAAUUCCUGCACAUGAAACAUGACUUGACUGGAUUCAACUUUAUUUCCUUUUCAUUAUUUAUUAUAUUUAAUAUUAAUAAAAAUUAAAUAUUUUUUUUUUCUUUUUUACUUUUGGCCUUUUUCUUUUCUCUCUUGCAUGUGGUGACCAGUUUAAUGGGUUAAAAGUUAUCUAAAAAUUUUAUUACAAUUUUCUCAAAAAUCCAAUGCCACACGAUGAAUCUUUUUGUAGACGCCACUUGUGAUUGUCUUUUUGGUUUUAGUUUUUAAAAUUAAAAGUAAUAGAUAUUUUAGAUGCCAAUGAUGAUGAGGUGAGAUAUUACUUAUGACAAUAUAGCAUAUUUGAUGAUUAAUUAUUUAUUUUAAUUACGAUCAAGAAAAAAAUAUUUUAAGUGUUAAAUUGAAAAAAAAUUAAAAGUUAAAAUUAUAUUUAAAUUUUAAUUGAAUAUUAAUUUUGAUUUAAUGCAGUUAUAAAUAUGAAUUUUGAUUUAAUUUUGAUACAUGUGUUAAUUUUCAUUGAAUAAUCCAUUUGAUAGCAAAAAUAAAAAGUUGCCUUAAAAUAUUUUCCAAAUUUGCAGCUGUUUGAAAGCAAUGGAAAUAGGGCUGUCAUCCCGUAAGACAACUUACCCCAAAUUCUUUUGGUAAGUCAUGUUACGGUACCUAAACCCCAAAUGUUUAUUCCCACAACAAUUGCUCUCUCCUAUUCAAACAAUUCUAUGAAUGGAAUUUGGGAAUAAUUGUAUCCAGAAAAUGAACAAAUUACAUGGACAAAGAUGAUGAAUUUUAGAAUACAUGUUACUCUUUGUGUUAUUUUGUUUGCAUAUGAAUUUAGAGCAACAUGUGUCCUUUUUUUUCUCAAUCCCUGUGUUACUGAAUUCAUUUGUUUUUUAGACGUCAUUCAUUUUCUUUUCAUUAUACCUCUUGGGGUCGGUCUUCUUUGACUCUUGUUCAAAGUUCCAACAUUGAGUUCUACUUGUUGAAUGUUGCAAAAAAAAUUUUUAACUUUUGAUUAAUUAUACUCAUUCAUUUAUAGUUAUUGGAACACUAUAAAUAUUUAGAAAUGUUCUAACAAUCUCCCCCCAUUUUCAAAAUAUUUUAGAUUUUGAUAUUCUUAAAAAUCAAUUUGCAUAAAUGAAUGUGUCUUACGAUUGAAUCUUCACUUAGUGAAAACAUGUUAAAGUUAAUCGAAAUUGCAUAGUAGACUAAACUUUGAACCAGCUAUUCCAUGUCUCACACAAUGAUUUCAACAUCAGUCAAUGCAUAGUAUCUAGGGACACAUUAUGGCUAUGUGUUUGUGUCCUCUUUUCAUAACUGCUGUCAGAGUCAAGCCCUUGAACUCCUAGAAAUGGCCAUACUUCCACUCACAUAGGUAGAUUCCAUCAAGAGUGUUCUCGUAAUUAUAACACUAUAACAUAUUUAUGUUAUGGGUCCAUUAAGAGUACAUUACUCACCCUUCCCUUAUCAUUACGAGUACCUAGCACUUUUAUCUUAGGAUGAAUUUAUUUAUAGUGUUAACAGUCACAUUGUAACACCCCAAAUCUGGUCUAGACGUUAUAGUUGAAUCUGGAAAUGUUACAAAGGAGAAUUGUAAAGUCACCCUUGUUGUAAUGAAAAUAUCGUAUAAUUUGUUAUUAAAAGAAUCCACUUUUUAGGAAAACAUUUUAUUAUACACAUCAUGAAACCAUCAAUUGUUUGCCCUUUUAAGUAAAACUAUAAUUUACAACAGAAAAUGAUGUUCGUUAAGUUAUAAAAACUGAGUUGGUGUUCUCAAAAACAUUUGUUUUCGUAAAUUGUUUUAAUAAGCGUCGCAGGAAACUUAAACAAAAAAUCAACGACCAACAACCAAACCAAAAAUUCUAAAGAGUCCCAUAUUUACAAAACUCUCAAAAAUAAUUCAGGAAUUUAAAUAAAUUUUUAAAUAAAUGAUAACACUAUAGAAUAACGUAUUUUUAUGUAUUAAUUAUGUAUUUAUUCUGAGUAUGAUCCUGCUAAUUUGAGUUAUUUAUGAUCUUUUAUUUCAUGGGGACUAAAUUUGAGGCAAAAGCAAAAUUAAGGGCCAAAAGCGUGAAUUUAAAGAUAAAAUGGGCCAAUGUGCAACACAAGGAAAAGUUGGUGCUAAAAGUGCAAGCAUAAAGGACACAAGGGUUGAAAUGUAAAAAGAAGAGAUUUUAUUCUAUCAGGCUCUAUUUUAAUUAUAUUAGGAUAAUUAAUAUUAAGAUAAUUAUUAAGGAUUAUUUAAUUUAGGAUUUUAUUUAAUUUAUAUUUAUUUAUCUUCAAUUAAAUGUAUUUAUCUUUUGAGAGUUAAGUAGGAUUAGACUAUCUCCCCUAGCACUAUGAAUAGGGGGUGAAGUGACUCAAAAGAGAUCCAUCUUUUUCUGUAAACACUCUCUCCCCAAAAGUCUAGGCUUUUGUUCUUCUCAUAUUUCCUUUCAAUUAAAUCUCCAUUUUUAUUAUAUAUUUUUUUUCCACCACAACCAUGAGCCACUAAACCCAUCUAGCCAAAAGUUGUCGAUAUUCCCCAAAAAGGGUUCUUGAGGCUUAGAGUCUGUACUUAGCCUCCUUGCUGAGUAUUAAUCGUUUCUCCGUACUACGGGGUUGAUGCUUCCAUCCAUAUCCCUUAAGAAGUAAACUUUUCAACAUAUGCAAAGGCGGUCUCUUUGUAUGUUUUGGGAAGGUUGCACAGUCAGUUCAUUAGUUUAUUGCAUCUGAGGUUGGCAAGCCCAAGAGACAAAAUGCUGUGAGAUUCGCCAUUGAGAAACAUUGAUCUAGCAUAAGAUGAUCCCACAGAAACGAUUGUUGGCUGAAGUCAGGUUCCACUAAAUCAUAAGUCUAAAUCCUUGGAGCUGGUGGUCGUAGGCAUCCUCUUCCAUUAUAACUGGCUUAUUUGGUUUGGAAAGGAUCAUCUAAAAGCCAAGGAUUGAACCCAAGGCGGAACGAGACAAUUGGAGGUUGGAACCUCCCAUAAGAAUUUCCUUUCUCUCAACUCUAUUUUUAAUUUCUCAAAUUUUUUAUUUAAUAUUCUUAAUUUUGUUUUUAUUUUAUUUUUCGUUUCUACAUCCAAACCUUUAAUUCUGUUAUUUUUUUAUUUUUUUCCAGGAACGCAGGUUUUCUUGGGAAAGAUUCUACUUGUGAUUUCACGGAACAAGAUAUUGUACAAAUCUAGUCCCUGAGGAUUUGACCCUACUUCCCUUUUACUAUUAUUUUUCAUUAUUUAUUAGGGAUAGGAUAUUUUUUGUGCUUUCAACGACCGCAUCAAAUCUUGGCGCCGUUACCGGGAACUGACAACGUACUAAUCUUAUUUUUCUCUUAUGACCAGAUCUGCUCCAGGUACUCUUGUGUUCGAUUCAAAAAUUGAGAAGGCUGCUAGAGCCAAUCGCAAUGAGACAAAGUUAUAAAAAAAAGCAGUAAGCUGUGGUUAGAACUCAAAGUAACCAACUGACAGAAAUCAAAGCCGACAACGAAGCUGAGUCUAGGGUUAACAAAAACCCUACUCAAACACUUGAAAGUGAAAAAGUAGAAGUCAACUCACCAGAAGAAGUGCUUAACGCUAAGAUUAAUGAAAACUCGAAUCUAGCACACCAACCAAUGGCUCAAACGAUUCGGCAACUAGCCGAAGCUCCGACAGAACAACCGCCAUUGUGCAUCACGUAUCCUACUGUGGAUACUAAUUUUGAGUUGAAGUUAGGUUUAAUCCAGUUACUGCCAACUUUUCCUGGGUUGCAAAAUGAAAAUCCCCACAAGCAUCUGAAAGAGUUUCAUAUGUUUUGUCUUAGCAUGGAACCUCAAGGGGUAACUGAGGAUCAGAUUAAAUUGCGUGCUUUCCCUUUCUCCCUAGUAGAUUUCGCUAAGAAAUGAUUAUUUUAUUUACCCCUAGAUCUAUUGAUAACACUCUAGAAUAACAUAUUUUUAUGUAUUAAUUAUGUAUUUAUUCUGAGUAUGAUCCUGCUAAUUUGAGCUAUUUAUGAUCUUUUAUCUCAUAGGGACUAAAUUUGAGGCAAAAGUGAAAUUAAGGGCCAAAAGCGUGAAUUUAGAGAUAAAAUGGGCCAAUGUGCGACACAAGGAAAAAUUUGUGCCAAAAGUGCAAGCAUGGAGGACACAAGGGUUGAAAUGCAAAAAGAAGAGAUUUUAUUUUAUUAAACUCUAUUUUAAUUAUAUUAGGAUAAUUAAUAUUGAGAUAAUUAUUAAGGAUUAUUUUUAGGAUUUUAUUUUAUCUUUAUUUAUCUUCAAUUAAAUGUAUUUAUCUUUUAGGAAUUUAAGUAGAAUUAGAAUAUCUCCCCUAGCACUAUAAAUAGGGGGUGAAGUGACUCAAAAGGGUAUCAUCUUUUUCUUUUUCUGUAAACACUCUCUCCCCAAAAGUCUAGGCUUUUGUUCUUUUCAUAUUUCUUUUCAAUAAAAUCUUUAUUUUUAUUUUAUUUAUUUUCUUUUCUACCACAACCAUGAGCCACUAAACCCAUCUAGCCGAAGGUUUUCAAAAAUCCCCAAAAAGGUUCUUGAGGCUUAGAAUUCGUACUUAGCCUUCUUGCUGAGUAUUCAUCGUUUCUCCGCACUACGGGGCUAACGCUUCCGUCCAAGUCCCUUAAGAAGUAAGUUUUUCAACAUAUGCAAAGGCGGCCGCUUUGUAUGUUUUGAGAAGGUUGCACAGUCGGUUCGUUAGCUUACUGCGUCAGAGGUUGGCGAGCCCAAGAGACAAAAUGGCGUGGGAUUCGCCAUUGAGAAGCGUUGAUCUAGCAUAAGGCGAUCUCACAGAAGCGAUUGUUAGCUAGAGUCAGGUUCCAUCAAAUCGUAAGUCUAAAUCAUUGGAGCUGGUGGUCGUAGGCGUCCUCUUCCACUAUAACUGGCUUAUUUGGUUUGGGAAGGAUCAUCUAAAAGCCGAGGAUUGAACCCAAGGCGGAACGAGACAACUGGAGGCUGGAAUCUCCCAUAAGAAUUUUCUUUCUCUUAACUUUAUUUUAAUUUCUCGAAUUUUCAAUUCAAUAUUCUUAAUUCUGUUUUUAUUUUAUUUUUCGUUUCUAGAUCCAACAAUUUAAUUCUGCUAUUGUUUUUAUUUUUUUUCAGGAACGCAGGUUGUCUUGGGCAAGACUCUGCUUGGGAUAUCACGGAACAAGAUAUUUUGCAAGUCCAGUCCCUGAGGAUUUGACCCUACUUCCCUUUUACUAUUCUUUUCAUUAUUUAUUAGGGAUAGGAUAUUUUUGGUGCUUUCAACGACCGCAUCAAAUUUUGGUGCCGUUGCCGGGGACUGGCAACGUACUAAUCUUGUUUUUUGUUUCUUAUGACCAGAUCUGCUCCAGGUACUCUUGCGUUCGAUUUAGAAAUUCAGAAGACUGCUAGAGCCAAUCGCAAGGAGACAAAGUUACGAAAAAAGCAGUCAGCGGUGGUUGGAACUCAAAGUAAUCCACUGCCAGAAAUUGAAGUCGACGACGAAGCUGAGUCUAGGGUUAACGAAAAUCCUACUCGAACACUUGAAAGCGAAAAAGUAGAAGUCGACUCACCAGAAGAAGUGCUUAAUGCUAGGGUUAACGAAAACCCAAAUUUAGCACACGAACCAAUGGCUCAAACAAUUCGGCAACUGGCUGAAGCUCCAACAGAACAACCGCCAUUAUGCAUCGCGUAUCCUACUAUGGAUACUGAUUUUGAAUUGAAGUCAGGUUUAAUCCAGUUAUUGCCAACUUUUCGUGGGUUACAAAAUGAAAAUCCCCACAAGCAUCUGAAAGAAUUUCAUAUGGUUUGUCUUAGCAUGAAACCUCAGGGGGUAACUGAGGAUCAGAUUAAAUUGCGUGCUUUCCCUUUCUCCCUAGCAGAUUCCGCUAAGGAAUAGUUAUUUUAUUUACCCCCUGGAUCUAUUACAACUUGGGCUGAUCUAUCUCGUUUGUUUCUGAACAGGUUUUUUCCAGCGUCUCGAGCAGCUGAGCUAAGAAGAGAGAUCAUUGGAAUAAGGCAAAAAGAAGCUGAGUCCCUUUACGAUUAUUGGGAGCGAUUUAAGAAGUUGUGUGCAAGCUGCCCACAACAUGGUAUAACAGAGCAAUCUCUCCUCCAAUACUUUUACGAUGGUUUGAAGCCCAUGGAGAUGAAUAUGGUAGACGCUGCUAGUGGAGGAGCAUUGGUCAACAUGACUCCCCAACAAGCGAGAGACUUGAUCUCCACGAUGGCUGCAAAUUCUCAGCAGUUCCGAGCCAAUACUGAACCCCCUAGAAGGGUUCAUCAGCUAAGUAAUUCAACCUUAGAGGAUAAAGUUGAUAGACUUACUAAUAUGAUGAAUUCUCUUAUUGUAGAAAAAGCGAAGACAGCUCGAUUAUGCGGAAUAUGUGCUACACCUGAUCACACAACUGAUGCAUGUCCCAGUUUGUAUGAUGAUGCCACGGCCCAUCUGGAUGCUGUUGGAAAUUUCCCUGGGCCACCACAAAGGCAGUACGACCCCUACGCUAAUACCUACAACCCAGGAUGGAGGGACCACCCUAACUUAAGUUAUGGGGCAAAUCCACGAAAUAACCAGCCAUACCAAAAUCGAUUUUCACAACAGCUGCAAGGUUCAGGUAAUUUUCUAGAAACCAUGGUCAAUAAGUUAGCAGCUAAUGUUCUUGAUUUUCAGCAGCAAAAUCUUAAUUUCCAAAAAGAGAUGAAGGAUUUCCAACAGAAAACUGAGGCGUCCAUCAGAGAGUUGACCACAUCGAUCGAGAAAUUAACCUCUCAAGGGAAGCUGUCGUCAUAAAUAGAACCAAACCCUAGACAAAAUGCAAAUGCAGUGACGUUGAGAAGUGGAAAGGUACUGGAAUCGAUUCCUGACAGGAAUCUUGCCCAAGAAAUUACCUAGGAAAAAACUAAAAAAGACGAACAGGUCCGACCGAAGCCUCUAUUGCCUAAAAUUCAACCUCCAUUUCCAGAACGAUUCAACCAGUGUCGAAGAGGUAAAGAGGACAAAGAAAUCCUCGAAACAUUUAGGAAUGCCGAGAUCAAUAUUCCGCUGUUAGAUGCCAUCAAACAAAUACCACGGUAUGCUAAAUUUCUUAAAGAGCUUUGCACCAACAAGCGAAAAUUGACAGGUAAUGAAAUGGUGAAUGUUGGUGAGAAUGUAUCUGCAGUGUUACAGCGAAAAAUGUCGGGAAAAUGCAAGGAUAGGGGCAUGUUUACAAUACCAUGCAAAAUAGGCCAUCUGGGAAUUAAAAAGGCUAUGUGUGAUCUAGGGGCUUCUAUAAAUGUAAUGCCAUAUUCUGUUUAUGAAUCACUUAACGCAGGUUUUUUGACAAAAACAGGUGUUAUCAUUCAAUUGGCGGACAGGUCUGUUGUGCAUCCAGAAGGAGUCCUUGAGGAUGUUCUGGUAAAAGUUAACGAGUUUAUUUUCCCUGUAGAUUUUUAUGUGAUCAAAAUGGAUGAGGAUAGCACUCUUGGAUCUUCAGAUCUCCUGCUGGGUCGACCGUUCCUUAGUACAGCAAAUACUAAAAUUGAUGUUCGAAGUGGAACUCUCACGAUGGAGUUUGAUGGGGAGAUCGUAAAGUUUAAUGUCUACAACGCCAUUAGCCAUCCAAGCGAAAUAUUGAGCGUAAAUCGUAUCGACAUAAUUGACUCUUUGGUGGAAGAAAAUUUUGAGCCAAUUUAUGGAGAUAAUUCUGAACUUAAUGAAAUUAAAUUUGUUAAUGAGUUAUUAUCUCCAAAUACUAAAUUGUUACCUUUUGUUAUACAGGCACCAGAGUUGGAGUUAGAACCCAUAGAACAGGCAAGGAAAUUAGACAUCCAAGAGUUAGAAGAAAUUCGCAAUGAUGCCUACGAGAAUGAUCACAUUUAUAAAGACAAAACAGAGUUGUUUCACGAUAAUAGAAUAGCUCAGAAGCGUUUUUCGGUAGGAAAAAAAGUUUUACUUCAUAACUCUGUGCUAAAGUUAUUCCCAGGUAAGCUUCGAUCACGAUGGCAGAGACCUUUUAUUGUUACUGAAGUGUUCACACAUGGAGCAGUUGAAAUAGAGAGUGAAGAAUCUGGAAAGCGGUUCGUAGUCAAUGGCCAGCGGUUGAAGCCAUUUUAUGAGAAUUUUCAAGCCCACACGGUUAAGAAAAUCCAUUUGGAACCACCAUAGAACCAAUAACGGCGUCGAGCUAACGACGUUAAACAAGCGCUUGUUGGGAGGCAACCCAAUUUUUAUUUUUUUUAUUAUAUUUUUUCUUUAUUUUCUUUAUUACUUUAUUUUAUUUUACUUAUUUGGAUAUUAAUAAAUUUUUUCUUCUUUUGCUUAGAUAAAACAAAGCAAAAAAAAGAAGCAAACCGUUAAGCAACACUUAAAGCGCAUUGAGGCCUGACUUGAAACCUUUGGCCAGCAACUGACCAAGCUCAUUGCCAUCAUUUGUGAUCAUACGGGGAGUUUUUCUAAACUUUUCUACCUAUUUAUUUCUUUUCGUCCACAUUGAGGACAAUGUGCUUUCAGUAGGGGGAGGUACUCUUCGUUAUUACUAUCAUUUUCUGCUGUGAUUUUGGUUACUGUUGCUGUUGCUGUGAUUAUUUUUGGCUGGUGUUGCUGCUUGAGGCUUGAUUUUGUCCAUCUCCUGCCUCUUUUCAUGCCCAAGAUUUUUACCAAGAAUUGCCUACUGUUUGACCUACAAGCAUGAUUCUUGUUUUCUGAGAAAAUUACGAAUUUUUCAUAAUUGAUGCCAUCUCCACUGUUUUAUUUUUAUUAGAGUAAAAAUAAUUGUGAUUCAUAAAUUUAACUUUAUCUUGCUUUUCGUAAAAAAAUUUAUUAUUAAUGUCAUUUAAUGUUCCGUGGUUAUGAGUGCAACUUAAAAACGUGACUGACUGAGUAACCGGGGUAGGGUGCUUGGGUUGUCAUUCUAUUUCGCGUCAAAAGGUUGUGUGACGUGUUAGGUAAAACUCCGCUAACCGGAAUUAAUUUUUAAGAACAUGUUGGGCUGAGUAACCGGGGUGGGGUGCUUGGCUGUCAUCUCUCUUCGCGUCAAAAGGUUUGAUGUGUUCUUAAGAAAAUUAUAAUAAAUUAGGAGUUUGCUGGGCUGAGUAACCGGGGUGGGGUGCUUGGCUGUCAUCUCUCUUCGCGUCAAAAGGUUCAGUAUAUUCCUAAAGCAUAAAAAAAACAAAAACAAAAAAACAAAAAAAAAAAGAAAAAAAUAAUUUGGGGACUAAAAGAGGAAACAAAUAGGGUGUCUUGGUAGGUUUGGUAAAUUACCUAAUUUUCAUUAAAUAAUUCAAGUUGAUUCUAAUUUUUGUGUGUAUUAAUUGAAAAACUUUUUUUGUUUUACUUAAAGCAAGCUUAGGGUUCUCUUUAUUUUUCAUAUGCAUUUUUGACUGAUUUUUAUAAAACUUUGGAGUUGUAUUUCUUUUAUGGCAGAAUCUAACUUUCACAGUAGAUAGGAACCAUACUUGAGGGCAAUCAUGGGCUAAGUAGGGGGGAUUUGAUAACACUCUAGAAUAACGUAUUUUUAUGUAUUAAUUAUGUAUUUAUUCUGAGUAUGAUCCUGCUAAUUUGAGCUAUUUAUGAUCUUUUAUCUCAUAGGGACUAAAUUUGAGGCAAAAGUGAAAUUAAGGGCCAAAAGCGUGAAUUUAGAGAUAAAAUGGGCCAAUGUGCGACACAAGGAAAAAUUUGUGCCAAAAGUGCAAGCAUGGAGGACACAAGGGUUGAAAUGCAAAAAGAAGAGAUUUUAUUUUAUUAAACUCUAUUUUAAUUAUAUUAGGAUAAUUAAUAUUGAGAUAAUUAUUAAGGAUUAACUUUAGGAUUUUAUUUUAUCUUUAUUUAUCUUCAAUUAAAUGUAUUUAUCUUUUAGGAAUUUAAGUAGAAUUAGAAUAUCUCCCCUAGCACUAUAAAUAGGGGGUGAAGUGACUCAAAAGGGAUCAUCUUUUUCUUUUUCUGUAAACACUCUCUCCCCAAAAGUCUAGGCUUUUGUUCUUUUCAUAUUUCUUUUCAAUAAAAUCUUUAUUUUUAUUUUAUUUAUUUUCUUUUCUACCAUAACCAUGAGCCACUAAACCCAUCUAGCCGAAGGUUGUCAAAAAUCCCCAAAAAGGUUCUUGAGGCUUAGAAUUCGUACUUAGCCUUCUUGCUGAGUAUUCAUCAUUUCUCCGCACUACGGGGCUGACGCUUCCGUCCAAGUCCCUUAAGAAGUAAGUUUUUCAACAUAUGCAAAGGCGGCCGCUUUGUAUGUUUUGAGAAGGUUGCACAGUCGGUUCGUUAGCUUACUGCGUCAGAGGUUGGCGAGCCCAAGAGACAAAAUGGCGUGGGAUUCGCCAUUGAGAAGCGUUGAUCUAGCAUAAGGCGAUCUCACAGAAGCGAUUGUUAGCUAGAGUCAGGUUCCAUCAAAUCGUAAGUCUAAAUCAUUGGAGCUGGUGGUCGUAGGCGUCCUCUUCCACUAUAACUGGCUUAUUUGGUUUGGGAAGGAUCAUCUAAAAGCCGAGGAUUGAACCCAAGGCGGAACGAGACAACUGGAGGCUGGAAUCUCCCAUAAGAAUUUUCUUUCUCUUAACUUUAUUUUAAUUUCUCGAAUUUUCAAUUCAAUAUUCUUAAUUCUGUUUUUAUUUUAUUUUUUGUUUCUAUAUCCAACAAUUUAAUUCUGCUAUUGUUUUUAUUUUUUUCAGGAACGCAGGUUGUCUUGGGCAAGACUCUGCCUGGGAUAUCACGGAACAAGAUAUUUUGCAAGUCCAGUCCCUGAGGAUUUGACCCUACUUCCCUUUUACUAUUCUUUUCAUUAUUUAUUAGGGAUAGGAUAUUUUUGGUGCUUUCAACGACCGCAUCAUCUAUUACAACUUGGGUUGAUCUAUCUUAUUUGUUUCUAAAUAGAUUUUUUUAAAUGUCUCAAGCAGCUGAGCUAAGAAGAGAGAUCGUUGGAAUAAGGCAAAAAGAAGCUGAGUCCCUUUACGAUUAUCGAGAGCAGUUUAAGAAGUUGUGUGCAAGUUGCCCACAACAUGGUAUAACAAAACAAUCUCUCCUCCAAUACUUUUACGAAGGUUUGAAGCCCAUCAAGAUGAAUAUGGUAGACGCCGCUAGUGGAGGAGCAUUGGUCAACAUGACUCCCCAACAAGCGAGAGACUUGAUCUUCACGAUGGCUGCAAAUUCUCAACAGAUUCGAGCCAAUACUAAACCUUCUAGAAGGGUUCACCAGCUAAGUAUUCAACCUUAGAGGAUAAAGUUGAUAGACUUACUAAUAUGAUGAACUCUCUUAUUGCAGAAAAAGCAAAGAUAACCCAGUUAUACGGAAUAUGUGUUACACCUGAUCAUGCAACUAAUAGAAGUCCCAGUUUGUAUAAUAAUACCAUGGCCCAUCUGGAUGCUAUGGGAAAUUUCCCUGGGCCGCCACAAAGGCGAUACGACCCCUACGCUAAUACCUACAACCCAGGGUGGAGGGACCAUCUUAACUUAAGUUAUGGGGAAAAUCCAUAAAAUAACCAACCAUACCAAAAUCAGUUUCCGCAACAGUCGCAAGGUUUAGGUAAUUUUCUAGAAACCAUGGUCAAUAAGUUAGAAGCUAAUGUUCUUAAUUUUCAACAGCAAACUCUUAAUUUCCAAAAAGAGACGAAGGAUUGCCAAUAAAAAACUGAGGCGUCCAUUAGAGAGUUGAUCACAUCAAUCGAGAAAUUGACCUCUCAAGGGAAGCUGCCAUCACAAACAGAACCAAACCCUAGACAAAAUGCAAAUGUAGUGACGUUGAGAAGUGGAAAGGUAUUGGAACUGAUUCCUAAUAGGAAUCUUGGCCAAGAAACUGCCCAGGAAAAAUCUGAGAAAGACAAACAGGUCCGACCGAAGCCUCCAUUGCAUAAAAUUCAACCUCUAUUUUCAGAACGAUUCAACCAGUGUCGAAGAGGUAAAGAGGACAAGGAAAUCCUCAAAACAUUUAGGAAUUCUAGAUCAACAUUCCGCUGUUAGACGCUAUCAAAUAAAUAUCGCAGUAUGCUAAAUUUCUUAAAGAGCUUUGCACCAACAAACUAAAAUUAACAGGUAAUGAAAGGGUGAAUGAUGGUGAGAAUGUAUCCUCAGUGUUACAGCGAAAAAUGUCGGCAAAAUGUAAGGAUAGGGGCAUGUUUGCAAUACCAUGCAAAAUAGGCCAUCUGGGAAUUAAGAAGGCUAUGUGUGAUCUAGGAUGUAAUGUCGUAUUUAAUGUAAUUUGGUCUUUAUAUUUUAGUUUUUAACGUAAUUUAGUCUUUAUAUUUUUAUAAUGUUAUCAAUUAGUUUAAAUAGUUAAUAUGGUUAACUUUUCUAUUAAAAUAUUACGUGGUUAUAUAUAAUUUGAAAGCAAUUUUUAAAUCCAAAAAGUAGGGGAUUAAAUUCUUAAAAAAUAAAAGUAGGAGGACUAAAUUUGAAAUGUAUGAAGUGUAUAUAGACAUAAAGCCAUGGUUGUUUGAACCAAGAAUUGACCGAGGUACUAGUCCAAAGAGAGGCAUUAGACCACUUGACUUGUGAAUCGAUACAAACAAAUUGAACCAGGUUAAAAAACUGAUUAUUAUUAUUAUUUUUAAUUUUUAUGAUUUUUAAUGAUUUAUUUAAUCAAACAAUACAAACUAAUAUCUGGUCAAUUCGAACCAAUUUUGAAAAUCUUACUUAGAAUAACUUUUACUCUUUAAAUUUUUAUUUUAUAAUUUAACACAAAUAAAAAUAACUAAAAGUGAACCAUGAGUAGAUGUAAGCAUGGGUCGUGCCGGGUUUAACUAAAAUUUUAGGCCCGUUUGCUAGGCCCAAAAAAUGGGCCUAAAAUUUUGCCCAAGCCUUACCCGGAUAAAAAUAUUAAACUUGGGCCCGACUCGGCCCGUCUCGCCCUAUUAAUUUUUAUAUUAAUUUUAUAUAAUUUUAAAAAGAUAUAAUACAUCAAAAAUGCUUAAAACAUCAAAAUAAAUAUUUUCCAACAAAUUGAAAACAAGUUUUAAAAAAUAUAUAUACUUAAAUAACACUAAUAUAAAUGCAACUUAACAAGCAAAUGUUUCUAAAAUAAUAACAAAAUUAACAAAUGUCUUUAAAAUAAUAACAAAAUUAACAAUAAAAUAAGUUUUAUACAAUAUCUAAACAAUAACAACAAAAUAGUAGCAACAUAAUAGUAAAAUGAUAGUAAAAUAGGGAGAAAAAAACAAGAAAAUAAUAUUAAAAAAAAGUAGAUUUUUUUUGUCCUUUAGUGGAUUCGGGUCGGGCUCGAAGCCAAAAAUACCUUACUCGAGGCCCGGCUUAUUUUUUUAAUGGGCCUUAUUUUUUAUCCAAACUCAUUUUUUGAGCCUAUAUUUUUAUCCAAACCCCCAUACAUUUCAACCGACCCGGCCCAUGAUCAGGUCUAACCAUGAGUGAACCAUACUAGCGUUAAAGAAAUAGGAGAUCCACAGUGGUACACGAGUUGCACAAAGGAAGGAACUACCAACUAGGGGUGGGCAUUCGAUUGAAUCAAAUCGAAUCGAAUCGAAAAUUUUCGAGUUAAUUGAGUUUUCGAAUCUCAUUUUAUCAUCCUAACUUUAUUUGAAGUUUUAUCGAAUCGAAUUGAGUGAGAUGAAAUUCGAAUCGAAUUGAAUCGAAUAUAUUUGUUCGAGUUAAAUUUUAAAAAAUAAAUUUAGUGUUGUUUAUUUUUAUGUAAUUUUUCAAAAAAUAAUUUUCUUUAAAGUUUUUAAACAUGAUCAUACAACAAAAAAUUGAAGUAAAUAAGUGAAUAAAUAAAAGCAACACAACAUCAACCCAAAUAAACAACAUGAUUCCAAAUAAACAACAAAAAUAAUACAACAAGAUUAUAAUAAAAAAACAUAAGUAAAAGUCCAAGUAAAUAGCAUGAGUCGAAAUAAACAAUUUAGGGUUUUUUGAGAAAAAUAAAUUUUAGGGUUUGAACUUUGAAUGGAAUGGAAACAGAGAGAAGAAGAAAAUAAAUGGGGGUUUUCAUGAUGGAAUUUGCUGGGGGUGAUCUGGGGGGAGAAAUUGGGAUUUGGGAAAUUAAAUCUUUAGGGCAUGGGCAAACGGGCUUGGGGAAGUAGGAAAAAAUAAAAUGUUUGGGGUUGGGAGAAAUUGGCAAUUAGGUUAAAUACUUGAAAGUAAUUAAGUAAAAGCCUAUUAAAACAUGGCUGUGUGUAAGCCUGUGUAGCUCCUAUGCCUUGCUUCAGUUUUCUGGUUUUCACUUUUUUUUCACUCCUUUUGCUCCUAAAUGCUCUUCUAAGUAUAAAAACUUGAAUUUAAAGGAUUAGGAGUAUAAAAUUCACUAUUAACAUCGAAUAAUCACCUAAAAAUGCAUUAAGAAUGAGAUUAAAACAUGUUACUUUUAGCAUUUAUUAGAAUUAUAAUGAUAUUUAUGAAAUUUUUAGUGUAGUAUUAGUUAUACUUUUUUUCAUAUUGGAAAGAAAUAUUUAAUUUUAUAUAGUGUGAUUUUUUUCUUUUAAUUUUUUUAUAGUUAAAUUGUUCAUUUUUAAAAAAAAUUAAAUUGAUUUGUUUGAUAAGAAAAAAAAUAUCCAAGAAGAAUUAACACUUUUUUACGUUAAAAGAAAGGCUGUUCGGAUUUAGAAAUUUCAUGCCCUUAGAGUAAAAUCCUAGAUCCGUCUCUGCUUCGAUAAAUCAUUCUAUCAUUGGAAUAUGGGAAUAAUUGUAUCUACAAAAUGAACAAAUUACAUGGACAAAGAUAAUAAAUUUUAGAAUACAUGUUCUUUGUAUUGUUUUGUUUGCAUAUGAAUUUAGAACAAUAAUCCAUGUAAAGCUUCAAACUUGAGUUUGUUAUUGAAUCAUUUGUUGUUUCGACCUUAUUCAUUUUCUUUUCAUUAUAUCUCUUGGGAUUGGUCUUCUUUUUGACUCUUGUUCAAAGUUCCAACAUAUCUCAUAAAGGAACGUGAGAUUGAGCUAUACUUGAUACAGGGGAAUUGUAGAGUAGCUAUACUUGAUACAGGGGAAUUGUAGAGUCGUUGCUUGCCAAUUUUAGAUUCCACAUUAAAAAUUCUUUUGGUCUUUGUUGAUAAGAAUUACCUACCCCUAUUGAAUUGGAAUUUUAAUGUGAACCAUUGUUUUAAUUUUUUCUUCCUCAUAUGACAUUCAAGUCUAUUUUGAAGUUCAUUGUUUUGCCUCUUAAUCCUUGUGUUCAAGUAAAUUUGUGUUAUUUACAAAUUUGUAGACAAAUUCAUGGUCGUUGCAUACAAUGACUUGUGUUAUUUAUGUUAUAUAUGCUUAUAGAUUUGUGUUAUUUGCAGAUUUGUAUGUGUUCAACAAAUUACCUUGACAUGUGUGCAUCAAGAGUGGUUGAUUUUGUUAGCUCGUUCAAACAAUCGAAAUAUUCAAGAGGAGGUGAAUUGGGCUUUAAAAACUCAUGAAAGCAAAAGAAUAAAGUAUGAAACAUUGAACACAAUAAUUUAGAGUAGUUCAACCCAAUUACCUACUCCACUACCUUGGCUUUCCACAAUUAAGGAUUUUCCAAAAUUUAUUAAUUUGAUGAACCUUUGAGGACAAGGUCUAUCUUUACAACUCACUUAAUAUUUCUACCCAAAUCUUUGUUAGUACAAAUCUCCUAUGAGGAAAAUCUCGAACACACGAACGGAACUCGAACAGAAAAAGAAGAAAUAGGAAAAAGCUCCAAGGCGUGUAUCAAGUCACUAUCUUUAAGGUUGUAUUCGCCCCCACGUAUCUUCGGUGUGCAAACAAGUUCCAAGUAAAUUAACCUCUGGGAUACAAUGAAGCCAAUGACUAUUUGCAUUUUGCAUUGACAAAGAAUAGCCCACUACACACUGAGCAAUGUAUGACAAGAAACUCAAUUUCUAUAAAGGAUUUCUGCAGUAAUACUUUAUAGAAUAAUCUAAUAAUAUUAGAAAAUGAAGGAAGGAAAAAAAAGAAUAUUACAAUUUAUUGGUAUAAUUUCCAAAUGAAAUCACAUUCCUAUUUAUAGGAAUUUUCAUGUCUCUUCAUAGAGACAUAUUUCAUCAAUAAGUGUCUUUCUGAAUAAUAAUAUCUUUAAAAACACAUAAUUAUUCAUUUAAUAUUAUAACUAUUCAAAUAAUAUUAUUUAAAUAGUUAUAAUUCUUUUUCAAAAAUCAAAUAAUAUAAUCUUUUGAUUAGUUACACCCAUUCAUUUAUAGUUAUUGGAACACUAUAAAUAUUUGAAAAUGUUCCAAUAAUCUCUCCCCAUUUUCAAAUUAUUUAGAUUUUGAUAUUCUUGGAAAUCAAUUUACAUAAAUGAAGGUAUCUUAUGAUUGAACCUUCUCUUAGUGAAAACACGUUAACGUUAAUCAAAAUUUCUUGUUAGACUAAGCUUUGAACCAACUAUUGCAUUUGAUUAAUCAAACACAUCCCAUACAAUGAUUUCAACAUCAGUCAAUGCAUAGUAUCUAAAGACACUAUUAUGGCCAUGUGUCUAUGUCCUCUUUUCAUAAGUGCUGUCAGAGCCAAGCGAUUGAGCUCCUAGAAGCGACCACACUUCCACUCAAAUAGGUAGAUCCCGUCAAGAAUGUUUAUGUAAUUAGAACACUCUAACAUAUUUAUGUUAUGGGUCCAUUAAGAGUACAUUAGUCAUACUUCCCUUAUCAUUACAGGUAUUUAGCACUUUAAUCUAAGGAUGGAUUUAUUUAUAGUGCUAACUGUCACAUACUAAUGAUGUUCUUUGUCUCAUUGAACUCAAGACUUGACAUUAUACCAAGUAUUGAGUCGAGUUUCCAUCAUGGAUGUCUCUAAUUAAUGGGCUUGAGUCCCAUCCCUUUUAAGGUCCUUUUUACUACAUCUCUAGUAAAACUUUUUGUCAAAGGAUCCGCUAAAUUUUCACUUGACCUUACAUAAUUAAUAGUGACCACUCCAUCAGAGAUUAAUUGUCAGACAUAACUAUGUCUUAAUCCAAUGUGUCUAGACUUUCCAUUAUAUACUUGACUAUAUGCCUUUGCUAAAGUAGCCUCACUAUCACAACGGAUAGAAAUAGGUGAAAUUGGCUUAGGCCAUAAAGGUACAUCAUAAAGCAAAUUUCUUAAUCAUUCUGCUUCUUUAGAUGCAGUAGCUAAUGCAAUAAAUUCUGCUGCCAUGGUGGAAUCAGUAAUACAUGUUUGUUUCUUGGAACCCCAAGAAAUGGCUCUUCCACCAAAAAUGAAGAUCCAUCCACUAGUAGAUAUAUGAUCAGUAAGAAAGUAGGUAUCCUUGAUAUAGUAAAAUGAGGAAAUAAAGUGACAAAAAGGGAAAUUUUGAAUUAUGGUAACAUUGGGAAGUAUAUUAUGACAUAUUAGUUCAAGAAAGGAUUAAAUCGUAAAAGUGAGAAAAGUUUUGUUGUUCAAGGGUAAAUAAUCAAAAAUUGAAGGGUUAAAGUGUAAAUAUGAAAAGUUGAAGGACCAAUGGUAUAAAUAUUUUAAGGGUGGAAUGAUCUAGAAACUAAGGAAAAUGGAUGGAUUAGGACUAAAUUGAAAAAGGUGAAGAAUUUUGAGGGACUAAAUCGUAAUUUUACCAAAUUAAGUGAUGACUCAAGGAUGGAAUUUUAAAAGAUCAUAAAGGGCAAAAUGGUCAAUUAGAAUAUAGAGAAAUCUAGAAGAUAAUGAUGAUGUUGGAGAUAUUUUAGAUUAAAUAAAUAAAUAAAUAUUAGUUUAUUAGUAUUUUAAUUCAAUUUUUAAAUGAUAUUUUAUUAUUUUAUUAUUAUUUUAUUUAGUAUAUAUACAUAUGUGUGGAAAGAAAGAAAAAAAAAAGCCACUAUCCCAUCAUUUUUCCAUGCAUCAACAUGAGAAGAAGAGAGAAAGAAAGGAAGUCUUACUUUCUUUACAAUUUGGUCCUUCCACAAAAAAUUCACCAUUUUCAUCUAGAAAUCAAAAGAAUUUCCAUAUAUCCAUCAAGAGAGAAAGAUAACAAUGAGACUAUGGGGAACUAGAAUAUCAAGUUGGAUUCAAGAAAUAGAAGCUGGAGGAGAGAGAAAAUCAAGUUAAAGAUUGAAAUCAAUAUGACAAGGUAAGAACAUCAAGAUUUUAAUAUAUUUUUAAGUUUGAUAUUAUUGAAAAAAUAUGGAAAUGAUGUUAAUGUAAAGUUUUCGUAUAUAUGGUCCUAUGUUCUUGAUAUGUUAGUGAAGAAAAAUAAGAGAAAGUGAUGAGAAAUAGUGUAGAGAAAGAAAAUAAGGGUGUUAUAAACAUGGUAAUAAACAUUUUGCACUAAAAUAGUUUUGGACAGGAACAGUAGACUCAAUUUGAAAUAUCACUAUAAAUUAUGAAAAUCGAACUAGAGUAUGAAUAAAAUAUGAAAUUAAAUCUUAUUGAGUCUAGUUUCUCAUAAAAGAAAUGGUGUAAGUAAUGGAAUUGUAAAUUAUGAGAUAUAAUAAAUUUUGUCAGACAAGGUCAGAAUGAAUUCGGGUUCCCCUGUUUUGAAUUUCAAAAAUCAUUAAAAAUUGUAAAAAAGUAAUUAUUGGUUAUAAUUUAUAUUUUUAAAAUCCUAAAUGAGUCUAUUUUCAAUAUAAACAAACAGGGACAUCAUCCGAAUUCUGUACAAAGAGAUAAUUAAUUUUUAGUGAAGAAGGGUUGGAACUAUCAGAGAGCAGAAUAGAGGUGAAUUUAAAGAAUAAACUGUACUUAUUGGCUUAACCAAAAAUUCUAAAAAUUUUAUAGUAAGAAGAUAUGUGAGUCUAGUUUCAGGAAAAAUUUUCAUAUCUUAAUUCGGUGUCCCAUAGCUCAAGAUAAAAAUAAUUUAGUGACAUGACUCGAGUGGACAGCUUUGAAUGAAUAUAUAAUUAAAUGGUGGAAUUAUAGAUAAUGUUACAUAUAGGCAUAUUAUACAUUAAGGAUGUGGAAUGGAGAGGAGGAGGAGGAGGAAAAAUAUAUGAUUAUUCAACCAGCAUGAGUUUUCAUUAAAAAUGGCUAAUUUGCAUGUUUUAGGUUCAGGGACUAAAUUGAAUAAAAGUAAUAUUUUAAGGGUAAAUUUGUAAAAAUGUCAAAAAGUGACCAAAUUGCAUGAAAUGAAUUGUUUUAUUAUUUAAAUUAAUAAAUUGAAUGAAAUAGUAAUCUAUAUCAAGAUUGGAUGGAAAUUCAAGGGAAAUAGAAAAUUACCAAAAUGUCCCUAAAUUUUGGUAUUUCUACAAUUUAGCUUGGUAAGUUUGUGUAACUUGAAUUAUAUUCUUAGAUGAUUGAAAUAUAUAUAUUGGAUUGAGAAACUGAAUUGAAUUGUGAACAUGAGAAAUUAUGAAUUUAAUGAAAUAGAAAUGAAGCUUUGAAUUACAUGAGUAAAUAUAGGGUCUUGUAGGCCCUAUUUGUUACGAAUAUAAUAUUUUGAGGAUAUGUUGUAAAGAAUUAUAAAAGCACGUUAAUAAUUUAAAAGUAUUAAUUCGGAUGAAAUUUUGUAACUCGGUUUAAUACGUAUGCAAAUGUAUGUCUUCUAGUAAUGCCUCGUACCCUAUUUUGGCGUCGAAUACGGGUAAGGGGUGUUACAAUGUGACAUCGCCAGAUUCGGUCAUAACGUUUAGACCGGGUUUGGGGUGUUACAUGAUCUUCCAAACUUGUAAUCCAACUAGCAUCCGAAUACCCUUCUAAAACUGGAGGAUAUCCACUAUAACACAAUCCAUAGUUAAUAGUUCUAUUUAAGCACCUAAGUACUCUAUUCAAUUGCCAAUGCAAACUACUUGGAUUACUUGUGUACCUACUCAAUUUCCCAACAGCAUAUGCAAUUUCUAGUCUUGUACAAGUCAUUAUGUACAUAAGACAACCAAUUAGACUUGCAUAUUUUAAUUGAUCAAUUUUCCUACCAGUAUUAGAUACUAAUUUUAUUUGAGGAUCCAUGGGUGUAGAUGCUGGUAUACAGUUGAAAAUAUCAAACUUUUUAAGCACAUUUUCAAUGUAACGUGAUUGUGAUAAAGCUAUAGUGCUUUCAUCUCAGGUUAUAUUAAUCUCAAGAAUAACAUCUACUACACCCAUACCUUCAUAGCAAAGUUGUUCGACAAGAAUUUCUUUGUGUUUUCUAUUUGUUCCAAAUCCGUGCCAAAAAUGAGCAUGUCAUCUACAUAUAAGCAAAUUAUGACACAUUUUCCAUUUUCAAAAUUGCUAUAUAUGCACUCAUCGGAUUCAUUUAUUUUAUAGCCAUUAGCUAAAACAACAUUGUCAAACUUUUGGUGCCAUUAUUUUGGUGCUUGUUUAAGUCCAAAUAAAGAUUUAACAAGCUUACAUAGCUUAUGCUCUUGUCUUGGAAUAACAAAUCCUUCCGGUUGUUCCAUGCAUACUUCAUCUUCCAAAUCACCAUUUAAAAAUACAGUUUUAACAUCCAUUUGAUGAACAACCAAAUUAUAUAUAAAGGUAAGUGAUAUUAAGAGUCUAAUUGUAGCAAUCCUUGCUACUGGAGCAAAGGUAUCAAAGUAAUUAAUACCUUGUUUUUGUGUAAAACCUUUGGCUACCAACCUUGCUUUAAAUUCAUCAAUGAUUCCAUCAACCUUCAUUUUCUUUUUGAAGAUCCAUUUACAACCUAUUGGUUUGGAACUCGGUGGAAGAUCAACUAAGAUCCAAGUUUAAUUUCCUAUUAUUGAAUCCAUCUCAUCAUUUAUUGCUUCUUUCCAAAAGGCAGAGUCUUGAGAUUUCAUUGCCUCUUCAAAUGUAAUAGGACCACAUUCCGUAUUAUAACAAUAAGGUUUCUUAUUGCAUAUACUUUCGCCCUUUCCUUAUACAAGAAACAUAAUGAAAUCUGGUCCAAAAUCUUUGACCUUUUUAAUCCCCUUACUUCUUCUUAAUUCUUGACAAGAUUCAUCAUUAUUAUCAAUUUGUUCCAAUGGAAUCUCAUUCUCAUUUGAAGAAUGAAUCACAUUGUUGUGGCUAUAAUUAUCUUGGUAUAAAAUUAAAUCUAUUUUCAUCAAAAAUAGCACCUCUUGAUUCAAUAACAGUAUUAAUUGAAAUUGAAUCAUUUGGUUCAAUUACCAUGAACCUAUAUGCCUUGUUAUUAUGUGUAUAUCCUAUAAAUAUGCAUUCAAUUCCACUUUCAGCUAACUUUUUUACGUUCGGGUGUUAGAAUUUUGAUAAUAGUUCUACAACCCCAAACCUUCAAAUAAUUAAAGUUUGGUUUCCUUUUCUUCCAUUGUUCAUAAGGGGUUAUUUAAGUUUCCUUAUUAGGAACUCUAUUCAAUAUAUGACAAGCUGUUAGAACAACUUCUCCCCAAAAACCUUGUCCAAGACCUUAAUAUGAUAACGAUGAAUUUACCAUUUCAGUCAACACUCUAUUUUUCCUUUCAGCUACACCAUUUUGUUGUGGUGUGUAAGGGGCUGAAACUUGAUGGACAAUUCCAAUGGAUUCAAAAUAACUUGGAUUAUAGUAUUCUCCACCUCUAUCCGAUCUUAAGCACUUGAUAAAUGAUUCACACUGAAGUUCAACUUCAAAUUUAUAAACUUUAAAUUUAUCAAGCACUUCAUCUUUUAAAUGCAAUAAAUAUACAUAACAAUAUCUAGAACAAUCAUUAAUAAAAGUAACAAAAUAUUUCUUUCCACCUAAUAUAGGAGUAUUAUGCAUGUCACAUAAAUCACUAUGUAUCAAACCAAGCAAUUUUGUUUUCCUUUUAACCUUAGGGAAAGGUUUCUUGUAAUUUUAGUCAACAUACAUGUAUUGCAUUGUUCAAUAUUAUUAUUAAAAACAAGAAUUGAAUCUAACUUAUACAUGUCAUUCAUUUUUCUAUAAUUCAAAUGACCUAAUCUAUAAUGCCACAAACAAAAAGAUCCAACCAUAUAAGCAGAAAUAGUAUUUUUAUUUUUAUUAAUAAUAUUGAGUUUGAACAUACUCUCAUACAUAUACCCUUUCCUUACAAAAACUCCUCCCUUAGACAAAAUAAACUUAUCUACCUCAAAAACAAGUUUGAAGCCAAACUUAUUCAACAAACUUCUAGACACUAAAUUCUUCCUAACUUCUGGUACAUAAUAUAAAUCAUUUAAGGUUAAAAACUUUCCAGAAGUGAAUUGUAGUUUAACAGACCCUUUGCCUUUGAUUGCUGCGGUGGAAGAAUUUUCCAUGUACAAGAUGUCAUUUUCACAUUGUGUGAACUUUGUGAACAUGCUUUUGUCUUUGCACACAUGUUUGGCUGCUCCGAUAUCAAUCCACCAUGUAUUAUCAUCUUGUGCCAUAUUAAUUUCAGAUAUCAUUGCAAUGAACUUUUCGUUAUUAUCAGCCUUAGAAGAUGAUUUCUUCUUUAAAAAUUGACAUUCAUUCUUGAAAUGUCCCGACUUACCAUAAUGAUAGCAUGAGCCCUUUUGUUUCUUUUUGAACUUAGGUUCUCUAUCAGUUUGUUUGAACUUAUUCUUGAAUGGUUUAGUAGUUUGUACUUCCUCUGUAACAUGCACUUUGGCAUUUUCAGAAUUUAGGUUCUAGUAUUGCUUUCGAUUUUCUUCUUCAAUACGAAGAUGAUUUGCCAAAGACUCAAGAGAUAUUUCCUCUUUCUUAUGUUUUAGACUUCUUUUAAAGUCUUUCCAAGAUUGAGGAAGUUUGUCUAUUAUGGAGGAUACAACAGUCAUUUCAUCCAUUUUCAUAUCAUAUUGCUUGAAUUGAUUCAGCAUUUUUUCAAUAUCACGGAUUUGUUCCAUAACAAAAUGACCAUCAACCAUUUGAUAAUUAUUGAAACGACUGGCAAGAAAUUUCUUACUUGUAACAUCUUCGAUCAUGUAUCUUGUCUCCAAUUUGUCCCAUAAUUCUUUAGCCGUGACCUCGUUUUGGUAAGUGUCGAACAAACCAUCAGAUGAACCAUUCAAUAUGUGGCCCAUGCACAUGUAAUCAGCAUUGUCCCAUUUUUGACUUUCUCGGGUUGCUGCAACAGAUUCGUUAUCAUUCUCUUCAGGUCUUGGAGUAUCCAAAACACAAACAAUCUUCAAAGUUGAUAAUAAGAAGUGCAUCUUUUCUGCCAUCGUCGAAAAUUACCACCAUCAAACCUAUCAAGUUUGACAAAGCUGGAAGCCAACUCCCUUAGUGUUCCACUUUCAUAUGUUGUGGUAGUCAUCAUGAAAUAUAACCUAAAAUUGUUAGUACAAAUCUCUGGUGAGGAAAAUCUCGAACACACGAACGGAACUUGAGCAGAAAAAGAAGAAAUAGGACAAAGCUUCAAUGCGUGUAUCAAGUCACAAUCUUUAAGGUUAUAUUCUCCCCCACCUAUCUUCGAUGUGCAAAUGAGUUCCAAGCAAAUUAACCUUGAGGAUCAAAUGAAGCCAAUGACUAUUUGCAUUUUGCACUGACGAAAGUGGCCCACUACACACUGGGCAAUGUAUGACAAGAAACUCAAUUUCUAUAAAGGAUUUCUGCAGUAAUACCUUAUAAAAUUAUCUAAUAAUAUUAAAAAAUGAAGGAAGGAAAGAAAAAAUAUUAGAAUUUGUUGGUAUGAUUUCCAAAUGAAAUAUUAUUCCUAUUUAUAGGAAUUUUCAUGUCUCUUCAUAGAGACAUCUUUCGUCAAUAGGUGUCUUUAUGAAUAAUAAUGUCUUUAAAAUAAACACAUAAUUAUUCAUUUAAUAUUAUAACUAUUUAAAUAAUAUUAUUUAAAUAGUUAUAAUUCUUUUUCAAAAAUCAAAUAAUAUAAUCUUUUGAUUAAUUACACCCAUUCAUUUAUAGUUAUUGGAACAUUAUAAAUAUUUGAAAAUGUUCCAACAAUCUUAAGAUACAAACCCUCUCAAAAGAGCAAAAAAAAAAAAAAGAGCAAACUAAGAAAUAUUCCUUACAAGAUUAGAAUGUGUGCCAAUUAAGCACUAAUACAAAGAAAAACAUUUGAGUUGAUGGAAAACAAUAAAUACUCACAAGUGUAUUCAAGAAAUAAUGAAGAAUUUUAAGUACAAAGGUUGAUACUUAAUGAUAAAUAUUGAUUUUUUUACUUUGAUAAAAAAAUUCCAUAAUGACAUCUUUGUAUCGAUACCAAGAAUAGGUAUCGAUAAAAAUGUCUAGAUAUCGAUAUUUAUUGAAAAUAUCGAUACUUGUUAUUUUUGCUCAAUGUUUCUGGACUUUGAAACUUAAAAACAAUUUUAUAAGUAAUAGAGAGCAGUUUUUUACUUGUUUAAAAUUUGUUCAAAGUAUUUUCUGAGUGUUCAAAGUGAUUCUCAAAGUGUUUCAAAAUUUUGACUUUAAACUUCAUUAAUUUUUAUUAAAAAAUAAUUUUUAUUCAAAAAUAUUAUAUUUAUUAUAUCAAAAUAUUUUAUGAAAGCUUGGUUUAUCAAGUUUACAUCAUGCCAAGAAAUUUGAAUCAUUUAGCUUUUGUUGUAUAAAUGACUUGGUUUUGGGAAUUUGAAACAAAAAUGUUGUUUUGGAAAAACAAAAUUAUAUUAACUCUAUGUUCAAAUUUGUAUAUAAAAAAAUAUGCUUAUAUAUAUACAUGUUAGAUUGUUUUGACAUGUGGCUGACUUGAUUAAAAAUAUAUAUACAACUUGUAAACAUAUAUUCCAAACAUACAUACAUACAUAUAGAUAGAUAUUUCAUUUGUAUAUCACAAUAAUCAUAACAAGUAAUUCUAUAGAUUGUUUGUGUUUGAUUGAAGAUGAAUAUUUCAUUGUAUAAUAGUUUUUGAAAUUAAUUAAUGAAAAGGAUUGUUCUUUUAGUUAUGAAAAUAUCUAUGUUUGGUUUAUUUCACCUAGAAUAAUUUUCAUAAAAUGUUUACAUAAAAUCAACUAAUUAUACUAAAAAAAUCACAUUUUUUAAAAAAUUAUACUAUUUUUCAACCAAUGCAACAUAUAAAUAUAAAUUAUGUUCCAUCGUCUAUUGAAAUAAUAUUACCAAAGUUCAAUCAAUGCAUCUAUGCUUUAGAUGCUAAAGUGUGGAAUCAAAAUAAAGAGUUAAAAGACUGGAAUAAAAUCUUGCAAAAAAAAAAAAACCAUUCUGGAACUGUUGCUAACCGCUGAAGGCUGAAGACCCUGGAAUUUGUAUCCACUAGCGUUGAGACUUUUCUUCUCCAGUUGCAGAUGCCAUGGACCUGGUCACUUCGAGAUUUCAUUUUCGCCUGAUUUCUUGUUUCCUGUGAUAAAAGGAAAAGAUAAAAAAUGAAUCUUGCAUACACUUACUCUUCAUUAAUUUGAUCCUGCGGUUAAUAUAUCAAAAUAUUUCCAAAUGAAAUGAAAGUAUAGCAUUUGGACAAGUGAGAACUCACUCUUGAAGGAGACAGCUUCAGGUGUUUCUGUAUCGAUUUUUACGUCGCUGCCCAUUUUAUCCUUAACGUAAUCUACAGACCAUUCCAUACCUGUCAAGGUUAAUUUUGUUAAGCUGGUUAAUUUCUCCAGACCAUCAACCUCUUUUAGUUGAUUGCAGUAUCUGAUCUCAAGAUUCUCCAGGACUGGCAUGGUGCCAUCCUCCACAAUCCAAUGCUGCAGUUCCACCAGCUUCCACAAUUUCAAGGCUUGAAGCUUAGGAAACGUGUUCCUACAAACCAUAGUUUUCCCCAAGAAGGAAUGACCAUAGAGCCUAAGGACCUUCAGUUCUUUCAGCUCCGCAAGCAUUUCCAUUGGAUCAUCUGGUAAAUAUGACCCUGACAAAGUAAGGACUGAGAGACUUCUUGGAAGUUCACCAAGUAUCUUUCUCGGCCCUGUUAGUUCUCCAAGCAGAUAUAAUUUACGCAAGCUCUUGAGCUUGUUCAUGCUCUCCAAUUCAAGUUUUGAAGACUCGUGUCUUUCACUUACUGAUCUCAACUUCAAGGACUGAAGAUUUGUUAGUUCUGAAAGCCAGGCAUCUAUAACUUCCAUAGAUGAUUCAUAGCACGUUAAUUUCAAUUUCCUUACACCAACCAACCUGUUCAACUGGUUGUGCAUCGGGAUCUGUCCUCGAAUUUUCAAUCCCCAUAAAGUAUGAAGGUUAGUUGAAGAUCCCUCAUGAUCACAUCCCUUCUGAAUGGACAAGUCAACAUAAACUUCACUCAUAUAGAGAUGCCGAAGCUUCUUUUCCUCCCAAAUGGUGCUUGGUAGAGUGGUUAUAUUAGUAUGUUUUACAUCUAAAGACUGUAAACGAGGGAGCUCGGCAACUGACUUUGGGACUGAAUCCAAAUGAGUCCGUCUUAAACCCAAAUACUUUAGGCAAGGCAGUCUUCCAAUAUCCUCAGAAAGCGCUGGUUUAUAAACACCUUCUAGAUCAAGCACUACAAGCUUUCCAAAACGGUCCUUGACAAUCUUUUUGAGAAGGUCUCCUAUCCCAUCUGCAGGUCUAUCUCCUUUUCUGUCGUAGAAUGAAAUGUAAGAACGUAGAUUUGUCAUGCUGUGUUUUUCAUGCUCGGUAUGGAUGAACAUUUGUAACCCAUCUGCAAGCCUCCGGAUAGGGAUAUUAUACGGUGUUGUAUCGGAAUUGGAUGCGGUUGAACUGCUGCGAAUGCGAUGUAUGUGGAAAAAUCCAAAGUUCUCGGCAUUUGGAGACAAAGCAUCGUGUAAUGCAUUCGGUAGGAGACAUGUUUUGGGGCUUCCAUCUAAGCUCCAUUUAACGAUCUGAACCAAAUUUCUGCUUUCUAGUUGUACAAACUGUUGCAUGGCCAGCUCUUCCAGAGUUUUUGUGUUCCCUUCUGGUGGUAUGAUCAGUCCUUCAGCAAGCCAUAUGAGAAGCAACCUUCUUAUUGGGAUCUCAAAUGAUCUGGGAAAGAGACCCAAAUGAAGAAGACAGUGAUUUAAAGGGAAGCCUAGGCGCUUAUAGGACUCAUCCAAUGUCUUGAGAGGAUUUUCUUCAGUAUCACUGGAUUUUAGCCUCGCAUCAUUUCCUUCUAUCUUCUCUGUCCCCAAAGAAGCCUGUUGAUUGAACUGACCUGCCAAUAGACCUAUCGAAAGAGGUAGACCACGGCCUCUUUGCAUCAAAUCUGACGGCACGUGCACACUUUUUUGUACCUUCUUUGUGAACAAUUUACGACUCUCAUCCUCAUUUAACGGGCGUAGUGGGAGAACUACAGCUGGUGGAUUCAUAUUGUACGCUAGAUACGCCUUGCGAAGGGUGAGGAUCACCCUGCUACCGUUGGAUGAAUUCGGGAGGACUUUAAUGAGUGUAUUCUUCCAUAUCUGAGGCGUCUGUAAAUCAUCUAAAACUAUCAAAUAUCUCUUCCAAUUCAAGAAAAGGUGAAACCUUCUUUGUAGUUGCUCAAUAGAUAAGCUCUGUUUCUGCUUUUUCUUCAUAAGUUGUCCCAAUAAAUCAAGCAGGAGAUUUCUUUCAUCAUAUUCUUGCGGAACAGUGAUCCAAGCCCGACAAUCAAAGUGCUGCUUCGUUGCAAUGCUGUCGUAAAAUGCCCUCACAAGAGUUGUCUUGCCAGAACCUCCCUCACCUAGCACCGAAAUCAGAUAAUGCAAUCGGUAGCUACUUAGUGCGAGUUUCGCUAAUUCCUCUAUCGUAUCCCUCAUCCCUAUGAUUUCAGACUCGUUUUCCAUGAUAUCAGAAACUGAAUUCCACAGUUGUGCAACCUUUCGAUCUACAGUAUCUUCAUGCAGCUGUUCUAAAUCUAAAUCAGGUAACAACUCUAUCCCGGGAGUCAUUUGAAAGACCCAAGAAUUGGUUUUCCGUGCUAUAUCUGCAUGAGGUACAGUAAGAAUCACCCUGCUACCAGUCAAGGAGUUCGGAAGGGAAAUUUUGAGACUUUCCCAGACACUGGAUGUCCAGACAUCACAUAGAACUAUUAGGUACCUCUUCUGAGCUAAGAAAUUGCAAACCAUUUGUCGCAUUGGCUCAAGGGAUAGUUUAAUUUCCCUGACGCCUAUUUGCUUCCAAAUUUCAACUAAAACAUCUAUUUCUUCGAACUCUUCUUGAACAUGGACCCAAGCAGAGCAUUCAAAAUGCUGCUUGACUUCUUUUUCAUCACAUAUUUCCCGCAAUAGAGUACUCUUGCCAACACCCACAAUUGAAAUGAGAAACAGCAACCUGUCAGAAUUGAGGACCGAUUGCUUUAGCUUACUCAUUGCAGCCUUUAUGGCAAUAGUGCUAGAAUCAUUAUCCAAAUAAGUAAACGAUUGAGGCCAUUCUUCUGAAGCAUGUAUUAAUGCUGCAUCACCAACAACACCAUUUUCUCCAAUGAUCCGUGAACUAUUCUGAAUUGCAAGAAUCACCCGACUACCAUUAAAAGAGAAAGGAAAGGCAGGUUUGAGAUCGUUCCAAAUACUUGCCGUCAAAGCUCCAGAUAAAACUAUCAGAUACCUCUUCCCAACUAAGAAAUCAUGAAGCACCUUGUCUACAUGAAGCACCUUGUCUACAUGAAGCACCUUGUCUACCUGUUCCUCUAAGAAAACAUGAAGCACCUUGUAUACCUGUUCCUCUUUCGUUUUGUUAUGCUUAACUUGUUCUAAAAUGGCUUGUAAGAUAUCCUUUGCUUCAUACUCUUUACGAACAUGGACCCAAGCAAUGCAUUGGAAAUAUUGUUUGAUAUCUUCUGAAUUGUAGACUGCCCACAAAAAAAUUGCCUUACUUGAGAAUGCAACUAAAGCCUUGAAGAUGAGAUAUUGAAGCAUGCAUCGACUAUGGACCGGCUGAGCUAAUUUCUUUACUAAAUCAUCCAAAACGAUCGUAACCGGUUUCUUCUCAAACCAUUUUUGGCCAUGAAUUUCAACUUCUGGUCUAACUCCCACAACUUUUGGGCUAGUUGGCUGACCUUGCUUUAUUACAGCUUCAGUGUUAGUCAAUGACUCAUUUGGUUUAACUUUCAUUUGCUCUCUUACUUUGUCCUUCAAUUUCCCAAUCUUUUUUCUUAAUCGCCUUUCGCUCAACCAGCACUUGAUUCUCUCGGAGUUAUACUUCAUAUUGAAACCUCUGUGGAAUUGCAGUAUCAUAGUGUCCGAGAAGGAGUCAAUCAUGUCCUCCACAAGAUAGAUAUCCUUGACAAGCUUCAACCAGUCAUCGAUAGUUUUUUUGUCAAGUACUUGGACGCUCACAGCACUUUCCAAGGAUUUCUGCAUUUCUUGUAGCUCAUUUAUGGAUUUUUCAACUUCACUUUUCAAAUUUGGAUUGCUAGAGAGCAGACGUAAUUUUCGGCUCAAAUGUUCAGUUAUUUCAACAGCCAUGGAGUCUCAGUUAUCAAUCUUUAAUUCUUCUUUUCCUUUAUAAUAUGUGGCUUAACUUUGUCAGUGAUGUCCUGCAUCCUGCUAAAAUACAAUUCUUUAAUUAGUGAAUGAGGUUUGAAGAAGUUGCCUGCCUAAAAUACAUAAAUUUUUAUGCCAAUUAGGCCUUAAUCAGUCUUUCCUAAUUUCAUGAUGAGAGAUCUCCUAACUUCAGCUACUAAAGUUUAUGAUAAUUUAUCAUAUAACAAGAGAGCUAUAUAAAAGGAAAACAGACAAAUUUGGUAAGUUGUGUUAUCCGUGUGUUUGUGUUCUUCAUGCUAAGCAAUUGCGUAAACAAAAACAUUGUAGUUAUUAACAUACAUGAAUUUUUUUCUAAUAUGCAAUAUUAUACAUAAAAUUUUAUUUUAUACAAUUUUAUAAAUAAAAUUUUGAUUUAAUUUAAUUUUUACAAAUCACUAACAAUAUAUCGAAUUAGCACCAUCUUAAGUUGGGUAUUACAUACACCAACAGUUAUAUUAAUCCAAUAUGAAAAUAAAUAUAUGUAUUCAUUUUUUUAGAUGUAUAUAAUUGAAUUAAAAUUAAGGCUUUACGUAUACAUAUGAACCACAAUUCAAGUUUCAUAUGUAUAAUUAUACUAAAUAAAAGUACAUAUGUAUCAAAUUACACAUUAAAGCAAAAUUCAUCUAUAAAUAUGAUAUUUAUCCCCAAAAUCAUAAAAAAAAUUUAAAUGUGUUAAUAGUGUUUAAAUGGUUAUUUUUACCUUCAUUGAACAUAUAGUAUUCUCAUAACUUUUGUUAAGGCUUAGCUCACAAAUUGAUACUUAAUUUUUUUUUUUUAGCUAACUUUUUUUGUCACAAGUGAUAACUAAAAUUUUUCCCCAAAAUUAAUGCCUCCUUAAAUCAAGCAAUUAAAUUUAAUUUUUUAAGAUAAACUAACCUAUAAAUUAAUACUUAAACUGCGCAUUUUUUUUUCUUAUUUUGGUAUUUAAAUAGCCUCAUUGUACCUAAUUACUUUUUCCCCAUGUAAGUACUUAGAUUAAUUUAUUAGUUAGUUAAAAAUAUUCCGUCUAUUUUAAAAAAAAAAACAUUUCAAGAUCAACAUGUAGCAAAAAAAAAAAAACAAAAUGUUAUAUUUUCUCUUAUAUAUAUAUAUAAUAUUUUCUUUUUUCUUUUUUCUUUCUUUAGAAUUGGGCCAAUAGUAGAAUCGAUCAAAUACUAGUUCUCAGUUUGAUCAAUUUGUUCAAUUCAAUUAAAUAAAUUUAUAAAAAUUUAUAAAAAUAUUUUUAAAAUAGAGAAAACUGAUUCAACCGGUCUAUAUCGGUUGACGAAUCAAUCAUUUCAACCCCUAUCUUCAAAUCAAUAUCCCAGCCAAUUAUUGAUUCAACCAACCAAUCCAGUUCUAAAAAUAAUAGUUUUGAUCAAUGAAAUAACUUUUCCAAUCCUGUCAAGUCGAGCCGAGCAAACAGAAGGUAAAGUUUAAAAACAUAAUUAAUUGUGAGCUUUUCAACCUCAGAAGGGUGAAUUUCAAACAAUAUUAUAAAGGAAGAAGAAAAAAAUAUAAAGAUAGAGAAAUAAUGUAAAGGAAAAUUAAAGAAUUAAAGAAUAUUUUUCUAAGUUUAUAUGAAAUGGCAAUUUGUAAUAUUUUUUAAUGGAUAUAUCAUUUUAGUAUAAAAUGGAUAAUUAAAUAAUAAUUUAGGCACUGAUUGUGAUCCAAAAAAUAUUUAGAUACUAAAAGAAAAACAGUAUAAAUUAGAUACUAAUUUGUAGGUUGAUUUUUUUAAAUAAAUUUAAGGGUUUGACUAACAUUGGACUAAUAAAUUAUGUACCAACUUGAAAAAAAAUUGUUAGUUAAACUUUUAUAUAUAUAUAAAAUCAAAACUAACAUUCUGGAAUUUUGAUUUCAAAAAAUGAACUUAGAUUUGUAUAAAGCAACAUCUAAUCCUUAAAUGAUAGAUAUAUAUAUAUUUUUUUUGAAUUUGAUCUUUAAAUUUUUUUUGUUUAUAAUAAUUUCAUAAUUUAAUAAUUCUUUCUAUUUUGAUCCUUAAACUUUGAUUCCGUUAAUAUUUAAUGUUAUCUCCUAAAUAUUAAUAUACUAGUUUUUUUUUUACUCAAAUAUAUGCGAGCUUGAUUGUACAAAAUAGUUAAAAUUAUUUUAUAAUUUUGUAUAAAUUUAAUUUAUGAUUGGUAAAAUAAAUAAAAUAAAAUCAUUUUAUAAUUUUUUAUAAUUUUGUAAUCCAAUAUUUCUAAAUUUGAUAGUGUAUUUUUAAAUAAGUAAAAAGAUAGUUUUGAAAUUUGAAAUAAAUUGCUUAGGCAUAUUUUAAGUUUUAAGAUAAUUUUAUUUUAAAUUCGAAAUAUAAUUUUUUAAAUUAAAAUUAAAAUCACUCCACUUAUAAGUCAACCAAAAACAAAAUAAGGAGAUGAGAAUUUAAAACGUAAAAUUUGCUUUUUAAUUUCAUUUUUUUAAAUCUUUACUUCCUUCUUUUUCUUUAAGAAAAAUAUUUUUAAAUUAAAAAAUCUUAUCCUACAUAUCAUUUAAAUAUUAAUAAUAAUUUUAAUAAAUAAUUAUAAAUAAGAACUUGGAAUUUCCAAAAAUAAAAUUUUAAGUUAUAAUCUAAAUAACACUUUAUGGAUAAUGAAAAAUUAUAAAAAUUAUCUUUUAUAAAAUGAUAUAAAAUAAAUAAAUAAAUAAAAUCAUUACUUGGCAUCAUUUUAUAAUUUUGUACCUUGUUAUAUUAUAUGAUAUAUAUGGUACAUAUAUAACCUAAAAAUACAAAAAGCAAUAUUAAAAUAUUAUUAAAAAUAAUAUUUUAAAAAAAAAGAAUUAUUCGAUGAUGUAAUACAAUAUAAAAGUGCUCAUACAUUAAAACUUAAUUAAUAAGAAUAGCAAAAACAAAUGAAGUAAAAUACCAUAAAAAGAUACAACAAAAUCAUAUAUUUCCUAAAUUCUUAUAACAAGUGAACAAGAAAGAAGUAAGAAGAGUGAGAUUACGUACCGCUAAGUACGAGUGUUGAGGGUGCACCAUUGCAGAUUGUCGUCUGCAAUUCGAACUUCAGGCCAUAGUUUUUAGCUGAUCUGGCCACAAUAGCUUCCCGGAGACCGCCGGUUAAGCUAGGAAAGUGAGAGAAAUAAAGUAAGAGAGAUUAAGUGUUAGGCACAUGUAAAGAAGAGCUGUAAAAUAAGUCCAGUCAAGGAACGUGUUCUUUUACUAAAGAAAAGGAAUGUUUGAAAUGGGAUUAAAUUGUUUCAGUGAAGCAACAGAUUGCUUUUUAUUGGAAGUGAUGUAAAAAGAAGAAAAAACAAUCAUAAUUCAGUAUUUUUAGAACAUCAUAAUGGCUGAAAUGCUCACUUUUGUUUCAAAAGACCAUGAUGCAAGGCACUGGCGAAUCUCGAGAGGGCUUCCAUGGUCCUGGCGCCCCUAAAAUGUAAAAUUAUUAUUUAAUCCUUUAUAUUAUUCUAAAAUUUUUAAAUUAAUAGAUGAAGGUAAAAUUAUAUUUUAAUUCUCUUAAAAUUAUAAAAAUUCGAUUAAUUCUUUAAAAAUAAUAAAGAUAUAGACUAAAUAAUUAAAUUUUCAUAACAUUGUUCUGGCUUCGCCUUUUUUGAUGAGAAUAUUUUGACUAAAAUAUGCAACAAGUUGUUGUAUUCCAUCGGUCCUUAGGAUUGAGGGGCUUUAACCCUAAAGUUUUUAAAUUUUCAUUAUACCCUUAAAAUUUUUUUAAAAUUUUAAUUUUCUCAAAAAUUUUUGAAAAUUCUUUGUAUACCUUUCAUAUUUUUUAGUUACAUCUCUACCAAUGUGAGUAGUUUUUUUAAAUUUCACAAUGUCAUACCAUCCAAUUUGAUAAAAAAAAAAGUGACUAUGUUAACAGUUAGACCUUAAUUUUAAAACUUGAAGAGUCUGGGUAUAAAUUCUAAAAAAUUAAAAGUAUAGAAAUUAAAAUAUAAAUUUAUAAAGAGUAAAGCAACCUAUAACAUAUUUUAACCAUAUAUUUUUAUAUAAAACUUCUUCAAUUGAGUGUCCCGGUUAAAAAGGUUCCAAUUGCUUCUUCUUUUUCCAAAUAAUUGUUUGGCAAGUUAAUUUAUAGGGAAAAGCAAUUUCUAAUUUGCAAAAUCGGGGGUGGAUAGGAAAGUGAAGGUACAUUAGAGUUCACACCAUUACGUUGCCUUUGUCGACUGAAAAUUUUCAGCUUCACACAACCUAAAAAAAUUCAAGAAAGACCCGGUUUUCCGGCCAAAGAAAAACCUAAUUUCCCGAUGGUCAUAGCAGUGAUAGGCCCCUCAAGCAGGGGCGCAGUGGCCAGCGAGCUUGCCAAACACCUCCAUUUCCACCUCAUUGACGAAGAUGAUAUCAUCCCUACUUCUCAACACUCUUUGCCUUCCUCCUCCGCCGCCGCCGUUGCUGAAUCCAAAACUCUCAACUCGUUCUUCGAACUUGUCAUUCAAAUUGCGAAAACGAUCAGGUUGAAUCAGGGGCUUAUCAUCAGCACAAAGCUCUCUCAUAGCUCCCUCAUCGAUGACCUAAAGCAGCUGGCAGGCACUGCUGAUGAACGUCUGGUAAUUGUUCAAUGCAUCGAAGCCCAAGAUGCGAGCUACAGAUACCAAUUUGAAGGAGUUCAGGUGUUCACUGUUGACCCCAAACGCUUCGAUGCCAACAACCUUUUAGCCGAAAUGUCGAGUAAGGUUGCAAAAAGGAAUUCCACUCAUCUGCAUGCUCUGUCUUUGUAUAACAAUUAUCAGCCAUUCACUGAAUCUGGGAAAGGCCUCAAAUGCAAAAGGUGCCUGGAACUCAUUUCAGGCCCUAUGUAUCAAUGCAUGGAGUGCAAUGAAUACAUUUUCCACAAAUCUUGCGCUGAAGAUCCCUGUGAUUUAAAGCUUGUUCGGCAAAGUUGCCCUAAAAAUCUCCGAGCAUCAAAGGAGCCGCCAGGGUAUGAAUUACCUCCGGAGAAACAGAAAAAGUGUGAGACAUGUGAAUUGAACAAGAAGGAUUUCUCCGUUAGUUGUCGUGAUUGUAUCUUCAAAACCAACAUGGAAGGUAAAUUCCUCCCCCUCAUCAUCAAUCACGGAUCUCACUCACAUCCCCUCAAUCUUUUAAUGAUGCCUCCCUCGUAUGAUUACAAGUUCGAAUGUUGCGGGUGCGGUGAGCUGGGCAAAUCCAUUAGCUACAGAUGUUAUGACUGCAACUUCAAUCUGCACGUAGGUUGCGUUUUGUUAGAGCACACUGCUAAAAGCAUCCGCCAUGACCACAAACUUACACUUGUCUAUGAUUCUCUGGAAGUUACCUAUUGGGAUAAAAACAGUUGUGAAUUUUGUAAUAACGAAAGAAAACCAGAACAAUGGUUUUACUACUGUUCAACUUGCGAAAUCGCGGCUCACAUUGGUUGCUGUGCGGUAGAUCAGUCGCAGUGAUCUUAGGGUUUCCAUCGCCAUGACUGCAUAUGGUCAAACUUCAGCAACGCAGAUCGUUCCUUUUCUUUGGUUUUGCCUAAUAAUAUUGCAUGAUUGUUUUUGUUUUAUUUUCGCAUGAUGCCAUGUGUUCACACAUACAUAUUGUGGGCGACCUCUAGAUAGAGACAUGUAAUAUGGUUCGCCUGCACAUGGCACGAAAAUUGUGUACACGAAUCCACUUCGAGUAUACAUGUGUUAAUCCUAAGAUAAGAUACGUGUCAUCAUGCAUUAAGACUGUAACACCCCUUUACCAAUCCUGAUUACAGGAUCAAGUGCUACAUUAGUUUUCAUAAACUCUAAUAGUAAUAUCUAAAUAAAAAUAAUAUUAUAAUUUGCACAUAUUAGUUUCGUUGUUCCAGUAUAUUAAUUAUUGAUACUCGAGAUAAGCUGAAAUAAAAAUUUUCAACCAUUCUUACAUUUAGAACAAUAUACUAAAGCGAAAGAAUGGACAUUGUGAAAAAUAUGGAACGUGGUUGUGUGGAUUUCAGGAACCAUGUUUAAAUUUGAAAUUCAAGGGAUAAUUUGUUAAAUUAGUUCCUAAAGUUUACCUAGUUUAACCCUUGCUCACAUCUCAAAAUUUAAGCCAAUUUAAUUCAAAAAUAAAUCAUAAUUAAGCAUUUUAAAAAUCCGAAUUUCUUAUAUUACUUAAUUAACAUUUGAAUUAUUUCAUAUGAAUUAAGCAGACAUCAAGUUUUACAGUUAAGUCCCAUCACAUUCAACCUUAAUACACACACCUAGGUACAUGCCAUUUACUGAAACAACAGAAAUUAAUACUUUACCCCUUUCUCGGAUUCACUUAUAUGAUUAGACGAGAUGCCUUCGAUCUUCAAAAAUCCCUUUUCUUCUACUCUUAACCUACGCGUAUAAAACACGCGUUAAACUAUUACUAGCUUAGGAAGUAAAACUAAUAUUUAGAUCAUAAUCUAUAUUAUAAAUUAUAACUUAUUUAUUAUUACUACACAAAAUCAUUUAAAUGACCUGUUUGUAUUCAUCAUACAUAAUUUUUCCAAUCGAUUCACUUAUUCUUACAAUUAGGGCCACAUUUAUUAUUUACUUAUUAAACACCAACUAAACAUACUGAUUUAAUUAUCAUCUAUAUAAUACUAGAAUCACAUGAUCCAUUUUAAAUUCUCAUUUAUUCCAUUUAGCUAAAAUUUCGGAUAAUUUACUUUACUUAUUUCAACCAUAUAUUUUCUUAUUUUUCUCAAUUUCAAAUAUUUUCAACACAUAUAAUCUAUAUAAUUCAAUAAUCACUAAAAUAAUUUAUACAUUUUUCAGAGACCCAGUAGACUAAACAAAACACUUAGGAUAUACGGAAUUGAUACAGAGAUGCACUAAAGUGUGCUAAUAGAACAAUAGGCACCAAAGUGCAAACCACUAAGCACCAAAGUGCAAAAUAGUAAGCGCCAAAGCGGGAAACGAUAACCGCGCUAAAAUUUCCUUAAUGGCAUGCCAUCUAUAUCCCAAUAGUUCUAAUCUCGUCUACUUGGGUAAAUUAUAUCAUGCACACAUAUCACUUUUACAUUUUUGCAUAAUGCUUUUACAUUUUCUACCAUUUAAUCCUAAUAACAAUAUUUCGUAUAAUUAUAUCUUCCUCUUUCAUUAACACAUAUAACUUGUCACAAUAUUUAAUAAUCCUCCAUAAUUUCACUAAUAAUUUUUAUUAGACAUUUGACCUAUCACUUUUACUUUAUUUACAAUUUAGACCACAUCAUGACAUUUCAUGUAACAAUGUCUUUCAUUUUUAAUAACAUAUAUAAAAUGUUUCAUUUCUUAGUUUAAUUUCUAUAUUUCACCACGAAUUCUUAUUAUCAUAUUUAUAUAUUAUUCUUAGUCCUUAAGUCAUCAAUUCACUAAAUAGAACUUUCGUAUCUUUUUAAUACAUGUAACAUGUUUCGCUAUUUAAUAUAAUUUCCAUAAUUCAUCAUUUAUUUAUAACUUAUUUACUUUAUACUACUUUUACAUUUUUAAAAAAUAUUAGUCAUUGUAAAGAUAGUUUAUUUAACAUUAUUUUCUACUAACAAUAAUUCAUGUAUCAUAUCUCAUAUUUAUAAAUUUUCCAUAAUUUACUAUUAAUUCUUAUUAUAUAUUUUUUAAAUAUAUUAUUUUUACAUAUUUUACAAUGCAGUCCCUUUCUUUCUCAUAUUUUGUCAAAUAAUCCCACAACAUUACGACAUCAAUCUACUCAUCAAUUAUAUACAUAUAUCAUUUCUACACUCAUUUUAUUAUUUAAAAAUUAUAGUUCUAUUAACUAUUGUACCUCUUAUGAAUUAGUCCUUUAUAUCUUUUCCUUACUUUUCUUUUAAUUUUCUCUAUUACAUUUUACUUAGUCAAUUCAUCAUACCAAUAUACUCAACCUUAGUCAAUUCAUCAUACCAAUAUACUCAACCAUUAUCACAUUUUAUUCUUUAAUUAAUUAUAUAAUAUGUAAAUUUCUAAUUAAACACUAUAUCUAGAUUUAUUCUCAACAAAUUUUACUUAAUAAUUCAUCACAUAUUUAAAAUAAACAAAACUUUAGUUGUACUUACAACUCAAAGUAUGGAAUCAAGCUUUCUUCCUUUUCUUCCUCCUUUAGCUCCUCCUUUGCUUUAAUUCUCUAUUUGUUUCUCUCUUUUCUUCACUUUUUCUUCAUUUCUCCAUAUCAAAAUACACAAUAUUUACACAUUAAAAUCAUAUUCACAUAUCAUAUUUCAUGUUUUUCAAAUAAAACCAACAUGUAUUUCAAGAAAAGUAUAGCUUUCUUACCUUAAUCACUUGUAUUAAAUACUAAUUCUUAUUUUCUCUCCUCCUACACAAGUAUGGAUGCAUUUCUUUUAACAGUUGGGUAGUUACUACACUUCUCUACUAAUUUUACUCUCUAAUUGUGAAGAAAUUUGGAAAAAAAAAAAAGAAAUCUAGCUUAAUUGUUUUCUAUUUGAUGAAAAGGACUAAAUUGAAAGAAAAAUAAAAGUUAAAAUGGUGUAAAAAUGGUGGCUGACGUGAGCCAUUCCAUCCUUUCUUUUCUCCAUUUCUCUUAAAAGUAUCUCCUUUUAUUUUAUUUACCAUUUUGUCCUAACUAUUCACACUUUUUACUAUUUAUCCUUAAUCAUUACCUUCCAUAAUUAUCUUUUCAAUUCAUUUACCAUUUUACCCUUCCUCUUUUCCUAUAAUAACACCCAUGUGUCCUAUCUCCUUUGGUAUAUUUUUACCUUUAUGUCCUCCUCAUUUUUCAUCAAUUUAAUUUAAUCCUUCAACACCCAACUUUCUCACAUUGUCCAAAUACUUUCCACUAAUUUAAUUGAUUCCCAAAAAAAAUCAUAUUAAUAUUUAUACUUUUUCAAAUAUCUUAUGCACCUAUUUUUUUAUAUCUCAUAACUCUUUAAAUUUCCAGUUUCCUACUUUCUCAAAAUUUCGAAUAAUUUAUUGUAUAUAUAUCACAGUUCAAGACUCUGAAAAUUUCUGGGAUGUUACAGACACCUACCUAGCAUACAUGUAUGAACAGCGACCGUAUCAUAUAAAAACAUAACAUUAACCCAUCUGAGAUGACACACACAGAAAAACACUCAACAAGUCACAAUUGUUUUCAUAUUGAUGUAUAUAUAUAUAAUUUUUUUUAGAAUUAGUCCAUAAAUUUAGCAAUUGAUGUUACCUUGGAACAUAAAUUUUUUUGUCCAAAUUAAUCAAUGAGAUUUCUUUUAAAAAAUUGGACAAAAAAUUUCUAACCCAAUGUGAGAAUAAUUAUCUAGUUCAUAUUCCUAAUUCUCAAAUUUAAGGACUAAUUUAGAAAAAAAUAAAAACAUUUACUAAAUUCAAACUUCAUCUACUACAUUAACUUUUCCUAUUCAACCAAGUUGAUGAAAGGAAGAAAAAAUAUACUGCACUACAGAGAUAAGGUCGAAAUUUUAGUUCUAAAUUUUCGAAGAAAAUUUUUUUUUUUUGGUACAUUCAAUUAUAUUAAUUCAAAUUUCUUAGAAUUCUUAAACUUGGAUAGUUUCUCAUCAAAGAAAUUUAACUUAAGAUGCUUGUAUCUUAAGAUAAUCAUAAAGAAAAUAAUUUGAAAGGCGGGUUUGAGAUUUGAAUUGGUUAUUGUUUUUAUAUUAAGGUUUGAAAUUUUUUUUUCUAGUUAGCCCUUGAACUUAACAAUCUUUUCUAUAUUGAAUUUGAACUUAUUUUUAUCCAAUUUAAUCACUGAUAUUUACUUAAAAGAAGUUUAGGCUCGAUGUGGAAACUAUUUCUUAAUUUAGACCCCACUAUAAGAAUAAUUACCGAAGAGACUAACUAAAAAAAAAAAAGUUUAGAACCAAAUGUGAGAUAAUAAUUUUUAAGAGAGAAUCUGGAGAUGUAGUUUAAGUUUAAAGUGCAUUAAGUGUCAAAUUUUUAUUCUUUUUGUGCUUGUUAAUAGGUGUCCUACUUUAGUAUAUUAAUUUGAUAACUUUUUCCAGCUAUGAAAUUAAGAAAAAAUCGCUUUUUUAAUUAUUUUUAAUGAUUUUUUAAGUUUUGUUAUAUAUAUUUAAAAAUUUUAAGUGAAUUUAUUACUUUUUCUUUACACGUGGUAGUAUGUCAUUGGUGGAUUUAAAAAAAUUUAACCGAAGUACAGAAUUAAAAUACAAGGGCCAAAUUAAAAACAAAAAUAAAAUGCAAAGGCUAAACUGAUAAAAUAAAUAAUACAAAUAUCAAAGUUAUAAUUUAAGUAUUGUACAGGGGCCAAAAGCGGUAUUAAGCCAAACUAAAAGAGAAUGAAUUAAAUUGAAAGAGUAGCAUUUGAUGGGGCGAAGGUGGUGUGAAGGAUCAUUUGUUUUUCUAAUGUGGGUGCUCCUUUCCAGUUCUGCACGAGGCCAAGCGGUGACAAGAGUUAACCCAUACCAGUUCACCAACCCAACACAAGGUGUUUAGUUUUCCGUCACUCACAUUUCAAGCAACAAUCUCUGGUUUCGUUCUGUUUUACGACGCAAGAUCUUUGAGAAGAAUCGGGUAGCCAUUGACCAUUAUAAGUAUUUUUCUGCUACAUCAUUCACAAUCAUUACCAAAAUAUGAACCCUAACCUCUAUUCAUUGUUUCUUUUUGUUUUGUUGAUGAAAAUAUUCUUUUACCAGAGUGCAAGGCAUUUGGUGAUUGCUAUUUUCUGCCGCCUCAGCAUCUCCUCAAGGCCAGGUAGGUACUUUUGCAAUACCUAUGUUUUGUUUUGUGUUUAUUUUUUUAGCAUACUCACUUUUUAUACUUUUUAUAAAUAAAAAAAAUUUAAGAAUUAUUCACCAAUUGGUUUAAAAUAAGCAUAUAAGUUUCCUUUUUUUUUUUCCAUUUUUUAAAAAUAUUAGCUGUAAAAAAAAUCUUUACAUCAUCUUUAAUGGAGUAACCGGAAAAAAUAAUGUCAAAAAUAAUAGUAAAUAAUUGUAAUUUUUUAUAAUUUAUUGAUGGAAACGAGAGUUUAUUAAUAAUUAAGUCACUAAAAGGUUAUUAUAAAAGAAUUUUUAUCAUUUUACAUUUUUAUUUAAAAUUUAUAAAAAAUAAUUUAAACCAAAUUAAAUCUAAAAAAACCGAAUAUAAAAACCUUUUUUUAAUAUACGCAUAUAAUAAAAUUUGAGAUUUGAACUCAAACCCUUUUAGUUUUCAAUAUUUAUAUUUUACCAUUCAGCUAAAACUUUAAUAUUUUAUUAUUUAUAAUCCAUUAUCUUUCAAUAAAUCUAAUAUAACAAUGUAUAAGGAUCAUAAUAGGUGUAAAUCAUAAUUAGUUAUCAUUUAGAAAACUAAGGCAUGAAAUAUAUUUACGUGAAAAAGGUGUGGAAAAAGGACAACAAAUAUGUCCAAUAGUCUUGCAUAAAUUGUGAAUUUAAUUCAAAUAUUUUUAAUUUUCAUACUGUUUUAAAACUUUGUUCAGUUUAUUACCAUCAUCAACUACCAAUGAAAAGAAGUUUUAUCUUCCUUCACUGCUUUUCUUUCUCUCUGAUUUUUCAAUGUUAUCUUUUUUCUUUAUACAAUAUUGCUGUUUAAAUAGUGUCAAAUCGGUAUUUAAUAAGUGCUUUAAUCAUUUAUAUUUAACCCAAUUAUUUUAAUAAAUAUCUUAUUUUUAUCUUUUUUCCCCUAUUUUUAAUGGUAAUUAAGAUAAAUAAAAUAAAACAUCAAGAUAAAUUAGUUGAUUUAUGGAUUUUCAGUUAUAUUUUAAAAGAUAAAAUAUAUAUGUUAUAAAUAAAUAAAGCAAUGGAGAAUUGGCCAUUUAAAUUUUAUCAAUAAUAAUUUAUUUUAUUAAUGUUAAUAUAAAAAAUUAGUAGAAAAAAUUAUUCAAUAUUUAAUUUAAUAAAAAAUACCCAAUUAAGAAAUUUUAAUUUAAUAAUGAUCAUUUUAAUUUUGUUGAUAAAAAAAUAAUUAAUAUUCUAUUUCAAUAAAAAAACAAUGAUUGAAUAAUCAAUUUUAGAAAAUUUAAAGGAUAAAUAUAUUGUUCAUUAUUUAUUAAUAUUUUUAUUUUAAUAAAAAAAGCAUUCAAUUCAAUAUGAGAGUGCAUUUGUUUCGGAAAAUGAUUUUUGGAAAAUAACUUAAUUUUUUAGAAAAAUUAAUUUUUAUAGUAUUUAGAUGAUCCUAUGCAAAAUAUUUUCUAUUGUUUGAUAAAUUUUCGUGAAAAUUAUUUUGAGUGAGAGAAACACACAUUUUUAUCUUUUGAUUUUUUAUUGAAUUUAUGUUAUUUCUAUAAAUUAUAUUUUGCUAUGUUUUUUAUAUAUGUGCCAAUGUUUUAAAUUUUUAAAAUACAUCAAAUUAAAUUUAGGGUAAAUUACACCAUUAGUUACUAAAUUAUGGGUAAUUUUCCGUUCUGGUCACUUAACUAAAAAAUCACAAUUCAGUCACUAAAGUUUUCGAAAUUAUUUUUUUGGGUCACCCAACUAUUAAAUGGCACUUUUUUAAUAGGCAUAAUAACAAUUUUAGUCCCCACUUUUUUUUUGUCAAUUUGAUAUUGAAGCUAUAUAAAAAUAUAAAAGAACUCAAAAUUAUUUAAAAAUAGAAAAUUCUAUAUAAAAUUUCUAGAAAAAUAAAAUCUUGAAAAUGUUGUUGAAGAACUAAUAUGUAUGUAUGGGAAAUAAAGAAAAUUAUCAUUCAAUAAUAAAAAAUUAAAACAAAACAAAAAGAUUAAAUCAUUAUGUGCUUCUUUCGUGUUUCUCGAAAUCAAAUUAAUAAUAUUGUAACACCGAUUCCGGUAGUUGAUAUGGACAAGAGACAUUAUUAGAACAAUUUUGGUACAAAAAUCAGUAAUUUAUGUAAUUUAAUAAAUUAAGAAAUUUACUUAUUUGAAUUAAGUGGUAAUAAAAAUAACUAAUAUUUUAUUUCAAUAAAGAAAAUAUUGAAAAAUUAAAAUUUUAUCAACUAUAAUUUAUUUGGACUUUAAUAUUAAUGGUAAUAUAUUUUAUUAAUAGUUUAUUUUAAUUAAAAAUACAAGAUUGAAUAAAUAAUUUUAGGGUAAACUACAAGAAUAGACACCCAAUUAUUUUUUUUUCUAGCAUAAGAGUAAUUAACUCUAGGUUAAUUAAAAAACUCCUAUUAUUAGAUCAAUUCGUUCUAUUAAUUCUCUUAUUAGAUUUGUCUUUAAUUCGGUAGACUUAUAUCGUCCUAUUUCUAGGAUUGCAUGCAACUUCAUUCAAUUAUGCAAUAUGUAAUCACAAGAAUGGCUUCUUCAACCUUAAACUUAUGCACAUCAAACAUGGAACAACACCCUAGAAUUUAAACCCAAGAACAAUUAAGUCUUCAUAAUUGAAAACAAAGAAAUUAAGAUUUUAUUGAAUAAAAGAUAGAAAUCAAACAAUAGAAUUCAUCCUAAGAUUCAUCUUCCUUAGGUAAUAAGAGAAUUAGUUCAUACUUCCAAGAAUAAACACCAAAAAGUAUAAUAUAACCACUAAAAUAAAAAGAAAUCCAUGAUAACUCCAUUGGAAAUUAGUUGGACUCUUGAAUAUUGUUGGAGAAUUGCUUAGAAAUUGACUUCAAUAGUGUUAUUUGAGUAAUUUUCGUGCUAUUCUAUGACGGAUGCUUUCCUCCUCCUUUAUUUCCUUAUUUAUACCUUCUUAAAGUGCCAAAAUUUAAAAAUCGUCACUUCUAGUUAGCACACAGGGUUCCGGAAAUCUACACGUCCUGAACACAUGCCCGUGUGAAUCACAUGGUCGUAUGGGUAGUUCGUGUGAAAAUUUAUCGCAUGUGUGCAACUUCUGAAAUGCUCCAAUGUUGAAAUUUUCACCCGGUUUUCACUCCUAUUGCUCUCAAGUACCCUAUUAAGCAUUAAAACAUGCAUAUAAAAGAUUAGGAGUAUAUAAUUCACAAUUAAUAUCACAUAAUCACCCAAAAAUACAUUAAGAAUGAGGCUAAAACAUGUUACUAUUGACACUUAUCAUAUAUAUAUAUAUAAAAUGACCUUAAGCUUUUCCUCCAAAUAUAUUUGGGUUUGCCAUCAACUCACGUAAAAAAGUUAGGUCAAAGGUUAGCUUUCCCCAUUAAAAUAAACAAUGCAACGCAAUAAAUCACAAACUUAAAAUCAACCAAGAUGGAAGUUUAAUAUUCCUAAAAUUUAUAAUUAAAUCUUGGUUCAAAUUUGCAUCUAACAACAAUGGGAGAAAAGAAACUUGUAACACCCCAAACUCGGCCUAGACGUUAUGGCUGAAUCCGGAGAAGUUACAAAGAAUGGGUUUUGAAAACGGAGUCGCUACGUUAAAUCAUUUCAGCUUAUUAACUCAUAUUCUUUUAUAUCCAUUGUCAAACACGCCAAUUAAUUGAUUUAUUUGCCAAAACAUAUUUUACAUCGGAAGUCUAAUAAAACUGUUAUAUUUUGGAAAUCCAAUUCGUAUUUUUAGAAAAAUCUUUUUGUUUGAGUAAAAUAGUCAUUUGUAUAAACAUUUUGUUAAACCAUGCAAAUAAACAAGCAAACAAACCAAAACCAAAAGUUUAAAAACUGUCCAAUAAAUUACAAACUCACAAUUAAGUCUGAAAUUUAAAUAAAAAUCAUAAUUACUUAGGAUAAUCAGUUCUCGCACGAAUGGUCACCGCUGAGUCUCUAUUGCAUCAAUCCACCUAAGUUUGUGGAUUACCUGUACAGAACAAACAACAUAUGUGAGUUUCGUAAACUCAGUGUGUAACCCAACAGAAAUAGGCAGGCAAAAUAUUCAGAAAUCUCAUGCUAAGUCAAAUACAAAUACAGACUUAUGUCCAUUUUAGAUACAGAUACAGAUAUGCAGAGUCCUACCCCUAUCCUUUACACACCAACUCCGUCCAUCCCAACACACCAUGUGGGGUUAAAAACACCCACCCAUCCCUACACACCAUAUCGUGUCAUUACGACACAUAUCAGAUAAUAUGCAGCCAUGCUGCCAUAAUAUAGGCGUUGAUCGCUAUAUAGAACACUUCCUCCACAUAUACAAAUCCCACCCUAAAAAUAGUUACAGAAAUCAUAUACAGAAAUUACAGAUAUAACAUGCUUAUCAUGCUUGUGUACAAAUUUCAGAUGUACAUAUAUCAGAAUAGUCAGACAUGCAUAAAAGUGUCAUUCUCAGAGCAUACUAUCAGAAUAUGAAAUUGCAUAAUCUAGGGUUUGAUUAGCCCUUACCGACCCUAUGGUAGGCCCACAGUCGAUCGAAACGACCCGUGCAACCCUUGGGAAAUUUUCAAAAUUUAGGCUCACAUGCCUGUGUGGAAUGCCCGUGUAGGCCCAAACGCCCAAAUUGGUCUUGUCCAUGUGGCCCACACGGCCACACUCACACCACCACACGGUCAUGCCUUGCGGACGACCAAGCCUUCGUCGAUCACACGGCUGUGUCUCGCACACGGCCAACCACACGGGCGACCACACGCCCGUGUGGCAUCAACAGAACAGUCGAGCCUUUCGAAACCGCCAACACACUCGUUCACUCGCACAAAUUAGACUGUUGGAGUGGAACUACUGCUUCACCUUCGUCUCCUAAGCAACAAAUUUACAAAACUUCAACCUCAGAAAACAAAAGCUAAAUGAAUACAACCAACCCCACUUACCGGUUUCACGAAGACCAAAGAUUCAAAACGCCCAAGAGCAAGGUUUAAUGACAGAAUCAGAAGGCGGAGAAGGGGGAGUUUACUACUAUUUUGCCAGAAAGUAGAAGAAGAAAAGGAGAAGAAAAUCAAAGGGAAUUUCUAUUUGGGAAAAAAAAGGUUAGAAACAACGGAUUUUGAGAAAAGAAUAAAAAAUAAAAAUAAAAUAAUUUUAAUAUAAUUUGAAACCUCAAAUCCUACUAAAUUUCACCCACUAACCACAUACAACUACCUUGGAAUUUUGGCUCUACCGAAACUCUUCCAAACAACCGAGCAAAAAUUAACACCCUUGCUAAAGCAAGACCUCCAACACCCAAAUCCCUUACCACUCAAACCAGUAGGCUCAUUCCGAUAUAAAUUAACAAACAAUAUUAUAUAAACCACUUGGACCAAAAAUAACAAAAUUAUCAACAGUGAGACUUGAACCCAAGACGUCAUAUACACACACCUAAAAUACUUAACUACUGAAGCAAAUACACACUUAUAUUAGAUACUUACAGAAACAUAAAUAAAUUUAUCAUGGCGUUAGAAAACUCCCCAUUUGCAAUCGAAGUAACUAUAAGAUUCCCCUGAUUGUAUAACUUUUAUAAAAUAAAAACAUUUUAAACCUUGAUAAACAAGCUGAAAUAACAAAGCAGAAAAAGAACACCAAAAAUCUAAAUUAUAUCUAAAAAGAAAGUCAACUCAGUUUUUCAACUAACUUAAAAUUGAUAUUAAGGAAAGAGAGCAUCUGGUCAAAGGUAAACUGUAGAAGGAAAAGAGAUGUAAAUUGUUAUCUUGAUAGAAUAUAUAAACAUAUUAAAAUUUUGAUAACUAAAUGAAAAAUUUUGUGAAUAUUUGUUGAAUUUUUUAGAUUAAAGAUGAAAUUGAUAGGAUGUGUAAACAUUGAGAGGUUAAAAUAACAAAUUUUGAGAUAUAAAUUUAUUGAAUAUUUUUAGAUUUAAGAUUAAAUUGAUAGAAUGUAUAAAUGAUGAAAGGCUAAAUUUGUUACUAGGUGAAUAUAAAAAACAUUUGUUAAACUUCGGUUACUGAGUUAAAGUUGAGUUACGGUCAAAUAACUUGUGAGUGACUAAAAUGUUUAAUUUUUAAAAGUUGAGUGAUUGAAUUGAAAAAAAAUAAUAGUUGGGUGACCAAAAUAAAACUAAGUGUAUAGUUAGUUGACUAUUCUUAUAAUUUAACCACAUUUUUAAAAAAAAAAUUAGGGAAAAAUGUAUAAUAGUUUUAGAACUGGAUCCAUUCGUAGAGGUGCAAAACUAAAAUAAUUUUCAACCAUUGCAUAAUUUUUUAUAUAAUUAAUGUUUUAACAAUCCAACCAUUAUAUUUUAUUUUCCAUUUAUAUAGAUCAUACAUAUUAAAUUUUACAUAAAUUAGAAAUUUCAACCUAAUAUAUGUUAAUAUGAACAAUAUUUUACAAUGAGCUGUGAUAUGAUUGCUCACUUUAUCUCUCAACCAUGUAAUUGGGGGUUUGAUCCCCACUCAUUGGAAUUAAACAUAUUUUAUGGCUAACCAUUUAUUUUUUGGAAGAGCACUCAUGACAAGGAGAUUAAUUACUACUACUGGUAGAUAUUUUAUAUCGAUAUGAUAAAGAUAUCGAAUUGAUUCAAAAUUAUACACAAAUAUAAAUAUCUUGAUAAAUUCAAUUGUUGAAUUGUUAAAACAUUAAUCGUAUAAUAAAAUAUUAAUUGUGAAAGUAUUUAAAAAUACUGGUGUAAGUCCAACCCUUUCCUAUUUACAUAGAUUAUUACAUUAAAUUAAAUACUUACAUUUUAUUAUGAAAUAUUGUAAUAUUUUAGUUUCAAAUAAUUAUCGUGUAUGCUGGAAAAAAUUAGAACAGAAAAAAGGUGUAUAUAUUUAUCAACUAUUUGAUAUGCCAAUGCAUUCUUAAUAUCUGGACUUGAUGCAGGGACGUCAUGUUGGUGGUGAAGCCAGUAACGAGAUCAAUUUUAGCUAAAGUGGUUAAAGGCGCCAUUGUCAGACCACUUACCAGGACUCUGAAUUACCACAUAAAUUUCGAUAAAUAUGUGAAAGAAUUCGAAGACGCUGAACGUAUUUUGGUAGACCAACUGAAAGAUAUUGAAGCUCAAAAGCAAGAACAGCUUCGUUAUGUGGGAAGAAUGUUAGCGCCUGAAGUUGAAGUUUGGCUAAAACGUGCACGGAUGGUUCUUAAUGACGCCCAAUAUGUUACAGAUGAGAUCAGGAAAGGGAAAUAUAUGUUGCGUUCUAUUGUAGGGAAGCAUGUUGUAAGACUAACUCUGGAAAUGAAGGAUUUGUGUGAACAUGGUUCGUUUGAGAGGAUGUCGUCUUAUGCUGCUUCCUCUGCAAUGACUUCAUUGCCAACAACUGAUAUUGUAGGUAUUUCUCGUGAAGAGGAAAUUUGCAAUUAUUUGAUGAAGCAGGAAGUUAGAAUGCUUGGAGUGUGGGGGAUGCCUGGACUCGGGAAAACCACCAUAAUGAAGCAUAUUUACAAUAAAUUGAUGGAAGGCAAUAAAUUUAGUAAAAUGAUUUGGAUAACGGUAUCCGAAGGUGCUGAUAUCCGUAGGCUACAGAACGACAUUGCACGCAUAUUAAGUAUUGACUUGUCAGAUGAUGAGGAUACAAAUGUACGUGCAAAAAAGCUAUAUGAAGAGCUGAUGAAAACAGGGAGCUACCUAUUAAUACUUGAUGAUGUAUGCCAGAGGAUUUCUCUUGAGGAUGUUGGAAUCCCUAAGCCAUCUGCAGAUAAUGGACGCAAGAUAGUAGUGACAACGCGUGACAGAAAGGUUAUUCAAAAGAUGAGUUGUAAGGCAGUCGAAGUGCGGUUUCUUUCUGAUGAUGAGUCCUUCCAGUUACUCUUAAGCAAAGUUGGAGAAGAUGUGUUGGCUGAUCCAACCAUAAAACCAAUUAUGAAAGCUAUACUUAAGGAAUGCGGUGGUCUUCCGCUCAAAAUUGUCACAGUAGCUAGUUCAUUGAAAGGAGUACUUGAUCGUGAUCGUUGGGUGCAUGCAUUAGACCAGUUGAAAAGAAGCAGAGAUUUACUGAAAACCAGAUAUGAUGAUCUAGCAGGAACAGAUAAAGAUUGUUUCUUACACAGUGCACUAUAUCCUGCAGACUAUGCAAUCCCAAAAGAGGAUAUUAUUGAAUAUUGGAUAGAAGAAGGACUUGUAGAUGAAAUGGAGAGCAGAGAAGAAAGGAAGAGUAAGGGCCAUGCUUGUUUGCAAAGGAUUUUAGACAGUAGCUUGCUACUAGGGGCCGAUGGCAAGAACAUUGUAAUGACGAGUAAAGCCGGGAGAGAUAUGGCACUAUCUUUGAUAGCAAAAGAGUUUCCGUGUUUUGUGAAAGCUGGUAUGAAAUUGAAGGAGCUACCAAAUGAACUAGAAGAGGCUCUAGAUAUAAAGAAGGUUUCCUUGAUGGAGAAUUUCAUAUCUAAAAUACCUCCAGAAAUUUCUCCAAAGAGUAAAAAGCUCACGACCUUGUUAUUGUCAGGUAAUGCCUUGGAAGAAAUCCCUGAAUCUUUCUUCACCCAUAUGCAAGCACUCAAGUAUCUUGACCUUUCUAGAAAUCCAUUCAAAAUUUUGCCAAAUUCCAUCUCAAAUUUGGAGAAUCUGACUGCAUUACUUCUUUCGGAAUGCAAAAAUUUAGAGGAGGUUCCAUCUUUAUCAAAACUUCUAGCUUUAAAGAAGUUGAACCUUGAAAAAACAAGAAUCAAAGAGGUUCCUCAAGGUAUGGGAUUCUUGGUAGAUCUAAGGUAUCUCAAUCUUAGAUUCAUCUCGUGUUUAGAAGAGAUCCCGCAAGGUCUUUUGCCGAAACUCCAACGUCUUCAACACUUGGCAAUACAUCCAACACUGUCAAGAGCAAAGGAGAUAAUGGAAUUGAACAAGUUGGAAAAUUUUGAAGGUAGGUUUGCUGAUCUGCAAGACCUAAGCAAAUAUGUUGACUUUCUUCGGAAACAAAGUCAAAGGACCAUCAAGUACUUCAUUUUGGUGGGCAAGACUGUUGAGUAUAAGUUACGUUCUUGUACCAACUCUGUCAUAGUAAAAGAUUGUAACACCGAAGGCAGUCAUGUGCUUCCUUGGGAUGUCGAGGAAUUCGGAAUUGAGAAGUGCAAUAACUUGAGCAGCUUAAAUGGAGUUUCUGGACUGCAAGAGGCAACCCUUUUGAAAAAAUGCAGAAUUGAGGAAUGUGAAAGACUGGAGUCUGUUUUUUCCUCUAGCUGUCCACCACUUAAAAGCCUCGAGUCCCUAGUUCUUCGGCAUUUGAAGAAUCUGAAUGUCCUAGUUGCAUAUCCAGAACCAUUCCUCCAUGCCUUUUCCUCUCUUAAAGUACUUUUCUUAGUUAAAUGUCCGAAAAUAAAGAUUCUGUUCUCAACUAAGCUGCGGCUGCUACAACAUCUCAUCAACUUGGAACAAGUCAUUAUUUGGGGUUGUGAUCAAAUGGAGCAAAUAAUAGAAGAAGAAGAAGAAGAAGAAAUCCUUAGCGAUGCCACUGAAUUUACCUUUCCAAAAUUAAAGGAACUGGGAUUAUGGCAUCUACCAGAAUUGAAGAGCAUUUGCAGCACCAAAGGAGUAAUGCUUUGUAAAUCUCUCCAAAAGCUAGAGAUAUGGAAUUGUCCCAAGUUAAAGAGGAUUCCUCUGAAGCUGGAUAUUUCCUUUGAGAAUGGCAAAGUAUUUCACCAUCCUCCUCUAAAAGACAUCAAGAUGAAAUCAAAUGAAUGGAAAUCCAUCGAGUGGGACCAUCCCGAUGCUAAAAAAGCCCUUUUACCAUUAGUGAGGAUCAUGUAGCAGUAUCUUAUAGUGGAGUCAAUGAUCCAAGGCAAGCCCUGUCAUCUCCCUUACAAUUUAAAUGGUUCCAACUUAAUUUCUUCUAUUUAUACUUUAACAUUUAUGUUGUUUUCAGCUUUUCAUAACUCUCUACAUCACUGGCAUCAGAAGCAAACUCCAGGCCGAGUGGAGAAACAGAACUCUUGAACCAAAAAGAAAUAAAGUUGCAUGGCUUGAACCAUGACUAUGGAUUGCAUCGAUCAUCUUUCUGUAUUGUAAUUUAUUUUUAUCAUCCCGACUUUAGUCUUUAAUGCUAGUUUGUAUUUGUUUGGAACCUUUUUUUUCUUUUUCUUUUUUUUUUUGUGAAGCUCUAUUCGUUCCCUGGAAAAGGGUCUUUAUGUUGUAGCAUCUGAACAAGAAAUUAUGCUUCUGUUUGUACAAGUUCAGUUGAAGUUGGUACGGUAACUUUAUACCAGAACCAUUGUCUUCAAUUUUCGUAUACCAGUUGAUUUCCUUCGCAGAAAGUAAUAUGACUUUCUGAAUGUUCUUAUAUUUUUGUUAUUUGGUAUAAUGAUAUAUUUUACUCUUCAAUUUUAUAAAAAAUAUCAUUUUAGUUAUUAAUUUAAUUUUUCCUUUAUUUUAAUCUUUGAAUUUGUGUUUUUUUAAUCAAAUCACUCUAAAUUAGAUGAAAAAGUUAAAUUACCAUCCUUCAGUAUCCAUGAAAAUUACUGUCUUGUUGGGCCUCCUUCACCAGCGAAAAUCAUAAGAAUGGACCAAAAAUUACGGUUUAGAUAGCCAUGCACUAUGCAUUAUAAAUUGCUUUCUUCUUCUUCUUCUUCUACCAAAUGCUAUCAUGGCCUUAUAUGCAUGCUUGAUAUUUUGAGUAAACCAUGUAUACCUGCCUAACACUUUCUCACCUUGACAUUGACAUGCAUUAUCUUGCAUGCGUUUCAUGUGAUUACGUGUUCUUUUUAAUGCAAUUUUAAAUUUCUUGCAUUAUGAAAUUCAAAAUAUUUUCCACGUCUUUUAUUUAUCCAUGACUAAAGAUUAUAAGUUCUGAUCAUAUUUGUUAUUUUUAAGAUAAUGCCUAGAGCUAUCCAUAGUCUAUUCUCAACCCAUAAAUAGGAGGAUAAUACGCUUUAGUGCACUCAAACUCACGUUCUCCUGUAUUGACAACAAUGCUCAUGCCAAUCAAGUUAAGACUCAAUCAACUUCAAUAGGUGUCUUUUUUGAAUAAUCACAUUUCUUAAAUAAAUAUAGUUAUUCAAGAGAUACAACUAUUCAAGUAAUAUGUCAUAAAUAAAUAUAACUAUUCAAGUGAUAUUACUUGAAUAGUUAUAAUUCUUUGUUAAAAAAUCAAGUGAUAUAACUCUUCAUAUUUAACAAACAUAAUAACUAUUCAAGUGAUAUUGCUUGAAUAGUUAUAAUUCUUUGUUAAAAAAUCAAGUGAUAUAACUAUUCAUAUUUAACAAACAUAACUCAUUAUUAGAUCUGAUCAUGGGCCAAGCCAUCUACCCAUGCCCAAUAGCUCGCCUAAAAAGUGAGAGAGUUAAGGCAAAUAUAUAGGCUUAAAAAAUGGAUUUAAACAAAAAAAAGGCUUGUUUAGAAAAUAGGCAAGCCUUAGGCAAUAUUUUCUUUGCCCGAGCCUAGCCUGAAUUUGACAAAAAAUUUGUUGUUAUUUGCUUUUGUUUACUGUUGUUAUGUUGUUAUUUUGCUACCAUUCACUAUUAUAUUGCUACUAUUUUAUUGUUAUUGUUUGGAUAUUUUAUUACUCUUAUUUUAUUAUUAUUUUUGUUAUUAUUUUAGAGGUAUUUGUUUGUUAAGUUGCAGCCAUGUUAGUUUUAUUUUUUAUAUGUAUUUUCAAUUUGUUGAAAAACAUUUAUUUUAAUGUUUUUUACCUAUUUGAUGUAUUAUAUUUUUUAAACUUAUUUUUAUAUAAAAAAAAUAAUGCAAGCGGGUUGAGCUAGGCUUAGGUUUAGUAUUUUUAUCCAGAUUGGGCUUGAGCAAAAAUUUAAACUCAUUUUUUCGGGUCAGACCAAGCUCGGGUCUAAAAACUGGGCUUGCUUUUUUGUAUUGACCCGGUCUAGCCCAUGAUCAGCUUUACUCAUUAUUUAAGAAUAGUCAUAACUCUAUUAAGAACUAAAAAUUAUAACCUUCAAUUACAUACAAUUUUUCGUUUAUAGUUAUUGAAACAUCAUAAAUAUUUGGAAAUGUUCCAAUAAUAGGACAAAAGAUUCAUCCUAGAUGACAUGGUAUCAUGAUCCAGAGUAAAUUUACUUACUAACGCGAGAUGGAGGCUAACUUUCAAAACCUCAAAAGCUUAAGCUUUGUCUUAAGAGUUGACGUUACCGAAUUGGUUCUCCAAGGCAAAUUCUUUCAAACUCAAGGUGAUAAUCUAGGUUUGAGCAACUCAUGCGUUUUCAAGUUCAACUUCAACAAUCAAACUGAACCUGAUGACAGAUUUAAGCAACCUGCGUACCCUCAUUCUGUUCUAAAAGUAUCUAUUUGUUCAAAUCCAAUCUCAAUUUAACUCUUUACAACAGCUAUUUCCAGGCUAUAUUAAUGACAUAAUUCUCAGAGCGAUGGAAGUCAAAAUUCUAAAAAUACAAAGCAACCAACUAAAUUAGUAGAUUUGUUGAUGGUCAAACUAUCAAAUUAAAUCGAAUAUUUGUUCGAAAUAUGAUACCUGGAAUGUGGGCUUAGGGAAAAAACUCAAAAUCCUAUCAUAUAUCCAUUUCAGCCUUUGCCUUCAUUUCCACUUUCAAUCAUUUUCAUGUCCACCUUCAACCAUCAGCCAUCACUCACCAUUGCUUAAGCUAUUUUGCAGUUUAGACCAUAAAUUACUGAGUUGAAAACUGUAGUGUCGUUCUGCAGCCCUUUUUGUUUCAGGCUGAAAACUGUAGUGUCGUUCUGCAGCCUUUUUUGUUCCAGGCAGGGCAGGCUGGGCUCAAAAUUUGGGUCGACCUUAAAUAAAACAUUUAAACCCGUAUUUCAUAUUACGCAAGUGUUAAGUUUAGUUCCCAUGCAAAGGUGGCCAUGCACGACAUGCAAAGGUGGUCAUGCUUCUGGAAUCGCAGCAGGCAGUGGUGCCAUGGUGUGCAGCAAGCUGAAGCUAUCCAUUUAGUUUCCUUAAUUGAAUGUUUUGUAUUUAGUUAGGAUCAAACUUAGUUGGUAGCUGCAUUUUGAUGUAAUUAGGUGCUGAAUGACAAGUUUAGGUAGAAGCUUUUUGUUUUUCAAUCAAGUUUACCAAGUUACUAGGCAAUUUAGUGGUGUUAGGUAUGUUAUUAGGUGAUUACUUGUUUGUUUUACUUGUUGACUGAUAUAUGUAAUGGCUUAAUGCCUUGUUGGCUUGCUUAAUGAAAGAUAUCAGCUCAUUUUCAUUCAAUCUUUUUCUCUCUUUUUCUGUUUUUCACUUGCUAGCUUCAUCUUUCUGUUUUCUGCUUCUGAGUUUGCUUCUUCACCAAGCCUCGAGGCUUACUACUCAAGCAAGACUAGAAACAGCUUGCUGCUGCCUCUUGCACCAACAAUUGGUAUCGAGAGCUCUUGUCUUAGUGGACCUGUUGCUUCAAAACAAAGAACUUGAUGGCUUCUUCAGGAUUUUCACCAGCAGCCCCACCAGUCUUCAAUGGAGAAGGCUUUCACAUAUGGCUGGUCAAGAUGAAGACUUACCUACAGGCCUUCGAUCUGUGGGAAGUUGUCAACACAGAUACUGAGCCAGCACCACUGAGGGCUAAUCCCACAGUAGCUCAGAUUAGGCAACAUGCUGAUGAGAGGACCAAAAGGCACAAAGCCAUGUCCUGCAUCCAGAACUGUGUGUCAGAUGUCAUCUUCACCAGAAUUAUGGCCUGUGAGACUCCAAAACAGGCCUGGGAUAAGCUCAAAGAGGAGUUUCAAGGCACUGAGAGAACAAGGCAACAGCAGCUGUUAAACUUGAGAAGGGAUUUCGAGAAUUUGAAGAUGAAGGAAGAAGAAACAGUGAAGCAGUACUCAGAUAGAAUUAUGGCAGUGGUUAACAGCAUAAGGCUCCUAGGUGAGCACUUUGAUGAGGCAAGAAUUGUGGAGAAAGUCCUCUCCACUUUGCCUGAGAGAUAUGAGGCCAAGAUAUCCUCUCUAGAGGACUCAAGAGACCUUGCUAGCAUCUCUUUGACUGAGCUAAUCAACACCUUUUAUGCUCAGGAACAAAGAAGAGCUAGCAGAGCUGAAGAUCACCAAGAAGGUGCAUUUCAAGCCAAGGCCAGAGAAACCUCGAGCACUAAUGCUCAAAGAGGCAAAAGGCCUUGGAAAAACAGGCCUAAGCCUGAUGCUGCAAGGAGCAAUGACCAGCCCUGCAGAUAUUGCAAGAAGCCUGGCCAUCCAUAAGACAGAUGCUGGUUUAGGCCAGAUGCAGUAUGCCAACACUGCAAGAAGAAGGGCCAUGUUGAAAGGGUCUGCAAAAACAGAAGUAAGCCAAGGCAGAAUCAAUUUCAGCAGUCAAAGGUUGAAGCUCGAGUAGCUGAGGACAGUAGUGACCAAGAAGAACAGGUCUUUGCUGUUUCCUGUGUAGCUUCUGAGAAGAAAUGCUCUAAAGGCUGGUUGCUGGACAGUGGUUGCACUAACCACAUGUCACCAGAUGCCUCCUUGUUUAAAACCUUGGACAAAAGUUAUAAAACCAAGGUCAAGGUUGGAAAUGGUCAGUUUAUAAGGGCUGAAGGAAGAGGAGAAGUGCUGAUAUGUACUCCCACAGGCAACAAGAUCAUUCCAAAUGUGCUGUUGGUACCACAGAUUGACAGAAACCUUCUCAGCAUAGCUCAACUGCUCGAGAAAGGUUAUUCUGUUGUGUUCAAGGAUAAACAAUGCCAUAUUACUGAUCCAAGUGGAUCAAGCCUUAUGACAGUCACAAUGACUGAUAAAUGCUUUGAGGUUCACUGGGCAAAUGACUCAAACUCAGCAUACACAGCCUCUGUUGAAGACUCCAAGCUUUGGCAUCAAAGGCUUGGACAUGCCAACUUCAGAUCAAUGGCUCGAUUGGCCAAAGAGGGCUUGGCAGAGAACUUCAUCAGCUCAGUGGAGCAUGAUGAUGUGUGUGAAGUUUGCCAAAUGGGGAAACAGGCAAGACUGCCAUUUCCUACAAAUUCAGCUUGGAGAGCUACUGAAAGACUGCAGCUGGUGCACUCUGAUGUAUGUGGCCCGAUGAGGACUGAAUCACUCAGCAAAAAUAGGUAUUUCAUCCUCUUUAUUGAUGACCUUACAAGGUUUUGCUGGAUUUUCUUUUUAAAACACAAGUCUGAGGUAGCUCAAGUGUUUGUGAAGUUUAAAAAUGCUGUAGAAACAGAAACAGGUUGCAAGCUGAAAUCGAUAAGGACUGAUAAUGGCACUGAGUACACUUCAGCUCAGUUUCAAGCCAUUUGCAAUGAUGCUGGUAUCAAACAUCAGCUUACAAAUGUCUACACACCUCAGCAGAAUGGGGUAGCUGAAAGAAAGAAUAGAAGUCUGAUGGAUAUGGCCAGAUGUCUGCUGUUUGAGAAGAAACUGCCCAAGACCAUGUGGGCUGAGGCAGUAAACACUGCUGUUUACCUUCAGAACAGGCUUCCUACUAAAGCUCUUGCAUCCGAGACACCUUUCGAGGCUUGGUCUGGUUUCAAGCCUUCCUUAGCACAUCUGAAGGUGUUUGGUUGCCUGUGUUAUGCACAAAUACCAGCAGCAAAGAGAGACAAGCUCUCUAAAAGGGCUCAACCAGGUGUUCUAGUAGGCUACAGCUCAGUCAAGAAGGGCUACAGGGUUCUGGAUCCCUUGAUAAACAAAGUCCAGGUGAGUAGAGAUGUCAUCUUUGAUGAAAAAGCCUGCUGGAAUUGGGAGAAAAAUGAGCCAGAAGCAGUUUCAGAAGACCUAGUGCCUAACCAAGCUGAACUUGAGCAGCUAGGACCUGAAAUGGAUGUUGAUGAUGUGCCUGUGAGAGGCACAAGGCCCCUAGAUGAUAUUUAUGAAAGGGCACAGGUUGCAAUAGCAGAACCUAGCAGUUUUGAAGAGGCUGAGGCAGAUGAAGGCUGGAAACGAGCUAUGAUCAAUGAAAUCAACAUGAUUGAAAAGAACCAGACAUGGGAGCUUGUUGAUAAACCUGCUGGAAAGAAGACCAUUGGAGUAAAAUGGGUCUAUCGAGUAAAACAGAAUGCAGAUGGCAGUCUGAACAAGCUAAAAGCCAGGCUUGUUGUCAAAGGAUUUAGCCAAAGGUAUGGUCUGGACUACCUGGAGACAUUUGCACCAGUAGCCAGGCUUGACACAGUUAGAAUGAUAGUUGCCUUGGCUGCUCAACAUCAGUGGACCAUUCAUCAGCUUGAUGUUAAGUCUGCAUUUCUCAAUGGCUUCCUGGAAGAAGAGAUCUACAUCGAGCAGCCUCAAGGAUUUGUGAUCACUGGCAAAGAACACAUGGUGUACAGACUGAAAAAGGCUUUAUAUGGCCUGAAACAGGCUCCUCGAGCCUGGUAUGCUCGAAUUGACUCUUACUUGCUCAGUUUGGAAUUUGAAAGAAGUCCCAGUGAACCAACACUGUAUGUGAAGAAGAACCAAGCUCAAACUCAGCUUAUUCUGUCACUCUAUGUUGAUGAUCUAUUGAUAACUGGAGGAGAUGGAAGAAUGCUGGAAGAUUUCAAAAGAAAAAUGAUGGAAAUGUUUGAAAUGUCUGAUUUAGGCAGAAUGAACUACUUCCUUGGAAUGGAAGUGAACCAAACAGAAAAGGGAAUCUUUCUUUGUCAGAGUUCUUUUACUAUGAAGAUCCUGGACAAGUUCUCUAUGAAGAACUGCAAGCCAACAAGCACACCAAUGGCUGUUGGAGUGAAGCUUUCGAGGCAAGGGAGUGGUGAACCAAUUUGUGAGACCAUGUACAAGAGUCUCAUUGGUAGUCUGUUGUAUUUGACUGCCACAAGGCCCGAUAUCAUGUUUGCUGUUAGUGUGCUAUCAAGAUACAUGAAUUGCUGCAAUGAUCAGCACUUUCGAGCAGCUAAAAGAGUGCUGAGAUACAUCAAAGGCACCAUUGGUCAUGGUGUAUUGUUCAAAAGGGCCAAAAACAUGAAGUUAAUAGGCUAUGUUGAUAGUGACUGGGCUGGAUCAAGUGAUGACAUGAGAAGCACAUCCGGAUAUGCAUUCAGUCUUGGCUCAGGCAUGUUUUGCUGGAGUUCUAAGAAACAAAGUCUGGUGGCACAGUCAACAGCAGAAGCUGAAUAUGUUGCUGCUGCAUCUGCUGUGAACCAAGCCAUAUGGCUUAGAAAAAUCUUGACUGAUUUAAACCAAAACCAAAAGGAGGCAACAAAGAUUUAUUGUGACAACAAAUCUGCUGUUGCAAUUGCAAAAAAUCCCAUUUUUCAUGGCAGAACCAAGCACUUCAAUAUUAAGUUGCAUGUUAUAAGGGAGAUGGAACAAGCUCAUGAAAUCGAGCUGAUUCAUUGCAAUUCAGAAGUGCAAAUUGCUGAUAUCUUCACAAAGGCACUCAAUGUGUCUAAAUUUGUUAAAUUCAAAAGGGAAUUAGGUGUUACUAGCAUGGAAACUAAGGAGGAGUGUUAAGUUUAGUUCCCAUGCAAAGGUGGCCAUGCACGACAUGCAAAGGUGGUCAUGCUUCUGGAAUCGCAGCAGGCAGUGGUGCCAUGGUGUGCAGCAAGCUGAAGCUAUCCAUUUAGUUUCCUUAAUUGAAUGUUUUGUAUUUAGUUAGGAUCAAACUUAGUUGGUAGCUGCAUUUUGAUGUAAUUAGGUGCUGAAUGACAAGUUUAGGUAGAAGCUUUUUGUUUUUCAAUCAAGUUUACCAAGUUACUAGGCAAUUUAGUGGUGUUAGGUAUGUUAUUAGGUGAUUACUUGUUUGUUUUACUUGUUGACUGAUAUAUGUAAUGGCUUAAUGCCUUGUUGGCUUGCUUAAUGAAAUAUAUCAGCUCAUUUUCAUUCAAUCUUUUUCUCUCUUUUUCUGUUUUUCACUUGCUAGCUUCAUCUUUCUGUUUUCUGCUUCUGAGUUUGCUUCUUCACCAAGCCUCGAGGCUUACUACUCAAGCAAGACUAGAAACAGCUUGCUGCUGCCUCUUGCACCAACAGCAAGCUUGAGCAAAAAUAACAGUUAGCAAUACCUUGUCUAAGCCUGGGCCAAAUCCGGCCUAUCAGAUAAAGCAUUCAGAUUGAACUACCGGUAACAUUAUGAGUUUAUGGUCCAUCCUUCAUGGGGAUGCAAAGAACAAAAUUAGCUAACUUUUGCCACUAUAGAAUGUUUGUUCAACUAAAUAAAAUAAAGAUUGUCCUAUAAUUCUAGUUCCAUUCAAGUUAAAACUUCUUCAGGCAAGAUAAUAGUAACAUAAUGCUAAAAGAACCAGCACAACCACCACAGCAGGAGCCGCCCAUAUCCAAUAGUUCGUCGACUUCUUACGUUUUAGUAUGGCUUUUGGGAGGGACUCGGUUCUUUUGGUUUGAUUCCUGUACCUACUAGUAUUCUCCUUUGGUACUUUACCCUUCAUUGAAACGGUAGCAGGAACAGGUGCAUCAGCAUUAACAUCGACCUUCUCGGGUUCUGAAUCUUGUGCCACAGCUUCAAUCAGUUCCUCGGGAUUCACAGCAUUUGUCGAUCCUGCCACCUUCUUCUUAGCUCUCUUUUCACGCUCCCGAAAAAGAUCGAAAGAGUUUCAGUUUCAACCCACAAACUAAUGACCGACAAAGCGAAACCAGAUAAGGAAGCGAAUGAUUUCCUUGAGCUUCUUUUCAGCUUCCAUUUGGGCUCUUCUAGCUGCUUUGGCUGCUGCUUUUUCAGCCAACUUCUUUUUUUCUUUCCAUGGCUUGCUUUGCUUUCGCUAUUUCCUCUUCUCUCUUCAAUUCUUUUGGUUUUGCUGCAUCGACUUCCUUGUUCUUUUGCAAUUUUCCGGAUACCAAAAUUUCCUCUGCUACAACACUAAUAUCUGACAAAGGAUUUGACUCCAUUGCUAUAGUCUCGGCAUCUUUUGGGGCCUUUUUGGCUAGUUUAGUAUCUGGUUGGGGACCUGAUUUGGCCUCUUCCUUUGGUUGUCUUACACUAGGUCUCAGGAUUGUUUCGGUUUCAGAAUCCACUGGUCUCUCGGGUGCAACCAGUGGUUUCUCAUCAGGAUUCCUUAUCCGACCAUCCCGACUCAAUAGCCGACUGUCCAGGGAUAGCAGAAUUCUUUUCUCAUAAUCAUCCCUGAAGGCUUUAUUGCCAUUCCAGAGAGCCAUAAACUUCUCAACCUAAAAGGAAUAUAAAAGAUAAGUGAGCGGCUAAUUAUAAAGCAAAUGAGAUACAUUGGAAGUAACAUUAACAAGCAGUCUGUUGAAAGCUGGACUGCAAUGCAACAUGGAGCCAGAAGCAUGCUACUGUCGAGACCCGCAGCUAUCGAGCUCAGCUCAUUUUACUUGGCGCGCACGAAUGGUUUUUGGACCAAAUGAAGCAACUGACAUUGCUGUUUUGUUUUGAUGUAAUUUAGUUUAGUUCAACUUUAACUAGUUUCCAAAGUUAGUUGGAUUAAGUUUGUGAUUGGAUUGAUGAUGUAAAAGCUGAUAUGUCAGCUUAUUUUGUAUUUGACUUAAGCUUGUAUUAGUUUAGUUUAAGUGGGAGCAGUUAUGUCAUUAGGUAACUGUCAAAUGAAUCAAAAUUUGUAACUCUUUUAUAUAUUCAAAUUUUGAAUGAAAAUUGGUAAUGUUCAGUUACAACUUUGCUGAGUAUUCAAUUUUGUUCAUUGCUUUGCUUUUUCUUUGCUUCGAUUCUUCUUGCUUCAGUCUUACAAAUACAGUUCUGUAACUCUGUUUGAUGUUUGCUGCUGCCUUUGUUCCAACACAGUCUCAACAAACCUCCACAAUUGAUAACUCCUCAAGAGCCUUUAUAUCUUUUUGUGCAGCAAGCAGUUUGGCGUUGUGUACAAUGGUACGGCUCUGGUAAAAGUGAGAAUUCUGAAAUUUUGAGAAAGAAAGUAAUUAAAACGAUUCAUUAGUAACAUCAUGCACAGUAAUAUCUUAAGUGCCACUAGUUAUUCAUGCAUAAAUGAAAAUGUUCCAACAUGGUCAAGUAUAUAUACGAAACAGAUAUCUUAAGAGUUGAAGCAAAGAAAAGGCGAUACCCCCUGAUCACUUUGUUUCCUCAGCUCCUGAAUGUUUUCAAAAGCUUUGUCCCUCUUCAGGGCCACAGCUUUCAGCUCAUUUUGUAAAGACUCGAUUUUAGUCUCAGUUUCAUCCAAUUUAUCUUUAAUUUGCUUUUUCUUGGACCAGAUUGCAUGCUGCUCCUUCCUUACUCCAUUCAAAUCGACACCCAUAAGCUACAAUAAACAAAUAUAGCAAAUUUUUUUAGUGUAACACAAUGGUGCUCUAUAUUCACAGAUAAAAAGUGGAGCAAACUCCGAUGGAUAAAUAGAAUUAUCUUACUUUAACUUGAUCUUGAAUGUCUUCUUUCUGGCCUAAUGAAUCUUGAAUCUUUGAUCUCAUUGCAGCAUUAGCAAUAACUUUCUCGCGGGUUCCCUCCAGGUGUUUGAUUUCUUUAAGGAUUCGCUUCUCCUCAGUCAACGAGAUGCUUUCAUGCUGAAUGCGAUAUUGCAAGCUAUGAAUCUGCAAUUCAUAAAUUCCAUUGAAGUGACUAAAGGAGAAAAAGAAAAGCAUUAACUGCGGCAGAAAACAAUGAAUAAAUCUAAAUGCAGUCAAAGUUUAUAGAAGUAUCAUACAAUAAAACCGAGCUCUUCCUCAGAUGCACAUAAACUAAGUCGAUUAUCAACAUCUUUAUUUUGCGAAGCUUGCCUAAAGCCUGCUGCAGUGGUUCUAUUUCCAUCUUUUUCUCAUCUAAAAUCGUCUUAAAUUGCUCAAAAUCAACAUUCAGCGCUCUCACUUGCGAAAGCAUAUCUGACCGUUCUGCCUGCAUUAGCAUAAAGAUAAUCACAAUUUAGCCAACUGACGGCGCCAUUAUUUUUUACUUCUUUCACAUUUUUUCUCAAAUUCUGAAGGCAAACACAACAAUAACGAAUCAUUAUACCAAUAGGAUAUCUGUAAGUGUCAUUACGUUUCAAGGACAUAAAUUUCAAACAUUCAAAUAAAUGCUUCCGGGUUUAAUUCCCCUACAUUCAUCAUAUUACAAUAAGCACACCGUAAUGACAUAAUGAUAGGGCUAAUAAUUAUCUUAAAAGUAUGACAAUUAAUGGCUACCAUGCUAUACAUCUAAUUGAAAUUAUUAACUUUUCACUCACCCUUUUUGCUUUUAAUUCGUCGGUAAGCUUAAACCGGCUUUAUUCCACUUUUGUAUCUCUUUAUCAGCCUGAUCAAGUUUGGCUUUUAUAGCCGGAUCUUCGUAGAAGCGAUACCUAAUAAAAUGAAAAGAGUGGAUCUGCUUAGGUGCAGGCCACUCGACGACCGCAUCCUUCGGAAAGUCGGGAUCGGAUGCACCAUUCUCUUCUCCUUAUCAGGUUCCUCACUAUGUGAAUCAACUUCAAUGGGGUUAUUAUAAACUGGAUCCUUAUCCAGUUUCCCAUUUUCAUGAAGAAAUGAUUUGUCUACUUCAGUCACUUUGUCAAUAGACAAUUGUGCCAGGUCUGAAUCAACAACCUCAACACCCAUUAAACACAAAAUUGAGCUACCUGAAAACAUCCAAAGACAAAGAUUAUGACACCAUAUAACAACAAAUAUAAAUAUAAAAUAUUAUUUCAUUCAUAAAAUAAAAAUUUUAAAACAGACACCUGAUAGACAUGUAUAAAACAAUAUAUAUUAAAUAAAUAAAUUUUAAAGAACAGUGUAGCCAAUACAAUUUGAAAUGGUGCAAUCUAAAGUCAUUCCUUUAGCUAGUUUUCUCAUUAAUCAGAUCAAAAGAGUGAACAAACAGUAGAAUUGCAAAAAUAUAUGUAUAUAUUCUAAAUAAAUGAUAAACUAUAAUGGAGAAAAACAAUAAUCAGAUAAAAUCUAGAUCAAAAACUAAAUUAUAAGAACAUUAGCUCAUGCUAUAACAAAAGAUCAAGCCUUUAUCCGUCAAGAAAAUUAACAUGCAAAAUCAUAUGACACCAAUGGAAAAGAAGGAAAAAAAACCCAGAAAUUUACAAACAUGAGAUAAAAUGAAAAACAAACAAAAAAAACCCAGAAAUAAAAACACGAGAAAUAAUUAUGUAGUUUGUAAGCCCAGAAAGUUUAUAUUUUUAAAAUGAAAACGUCAAAAUAGGAUGUUUUUGUUGUCGAGAGAGGCAUAGAUACAAAGGUUCUGAGAUUCUGGAUAAAAAAAAAAACUUCAACUUUUUUUAUUUUACAUUGGCAUAAUGCCCAAAUUUUAUAAAUUCUAGUUGUUAAACAUGUCAAGUAAUUUGAUUUGGUAUGGUGGUUAAGUGCCUUGAAUGUUUGCUUUAGGUCUUGGGUUUAAAUUUAUUUUGUUAAAUUUACCCUAUUUAUUAUGGUAUUAUGUUCAACUUGAGCCUUAGGGCUUCUCUUAUUUUCAAUGAUGAAUCUAAUGAUUCACUGGUAAGAUUUUAGCUUAUCACUAAUUAAAAUUUAUAAAAUCUGGUAAGUGGAAUUUAGAUUAACAUAAAAAUUUUUAUUUAUUUAUUUUAAUUUAAUUUUACUAAAUCUCUAUUUUCACUCAUUGUUUCAACCGUUCACACUCUCACCCCACUUUGUACGCUACUUUCUUUUGUUUCCCUAUUCUACCGUUUUAUCUUCUUUUCUCUUCCUUCUUUCUCCUCUUUGAUUGUUCCUGAAUAAUACCGUUUAUUUUAUGAGUUCUAUCACUUGGAUCGUAUUCUGUUUGCAGUGUAAGUUUCAUUUGGUUACUUUUGUUCUCUUCCCAUUAAUAGUUUAGUUUUAUUUCGUUUCUUGAACAAGCUAAGUUUGUGUUAGUAGUUUCUAUUCGUUAUCAUGAUUAGUAUUUUUGUGGUUCUCGAUUAGGCAAAAGGUGUGAGAAUCCUAACCCUCCAGCAAAGUAGUCACAAUUUUCAAUGUUGUUUUGGAGAACUAAGAAUUCGAAUUCUAUUUUAAGGGCUGAAAUUUUGAUUCAACGAUGUUAUUUUGGAUAAGUAUUGUUAGUUAAUCCGUGUGGUUUGAUGAACGUUUAUAGGAUUCGUGAGUUCCAAUUGAGCGGUUGAUCAAAUCAGCAAUAGGUGUAUGAAAUUAACCUGAUAACUCAAUCGAAACUCGAGAAAAAUAAGGGCCACACGAUUAUGUGGGUAUUUUGGCCAAUUUUAAGCCCCAAUUAGGGGCCGAUUAAAGGACUCAAAUAUUGGGUCCAUAGCCAUCAUAUAAGCCCAAAAAAAUGUAAGUUUUAGUAUGUAUAUAUACAUGGCUAAGCUUAGGAGGUAUGUUAAGUAGGUUGUAUAUAAAUCAUAUGCUAUGUUAUGUUCCUUAUAAAAAUAUGUGUAUGCAUGUCAUACGACUUAUGAUAUAUGUAUUUAUGAUAUUAUAAUUAUGAUUAUGCUUAUGUUUUGGGAUGGGUUAUGAUAUGAUGGAGGAAGUGUUAUAUGAUAGUUUUUAUCGCAAUUAUGGCGGCUAGACUAUAAAAUUUCUAUCUAACAGCUCAGUUGCAUAUUUAUGAGUGACAUACCGCCACAUAUUGGUGUGAUUGGAUGGAUGGACUCUUGUAGUCCUAAUUGGUGAUAUUGCUUGGACGGAGAUGGUAUAUAGCAACUGGGGGUAUGAUAUGAUAUGAUAUGAUAUAGGAUAUGGUAUAAUAAGAUAAGAUAUGAAACAUGCUAUAACAUGAUAUGAAAACUGAUAUGAUAUAAGAUAUGCUUCGAUAUGCUAUGAUACAUUCUGAUUUAUAUAUAUACUACAAUGUGUGGGUCAAAUCACAUACUGGAUGUUAAGCUCACACGUUUGUUUAUUUUGUUUCAGGUGAUCUUUAGACCUAGGAUUGGAAGAUGAAUCUAGAGCUCGUAUUUCACUCUUUCGGUUUAAGUAUGCAUUGGACUCUCUUUUGUUUAUAUGGACCUUUUGAGCGUUGGAUAUUUUAAAUUUAUUUGGGACGCUAAAAAUUAUUUUGGCAUUUAUUUUUCAAAAGUUUUAACUUUUACUGAUACUUAAAUCAAGACAACUAAAAAUAAACCAUAGUUAUAAGGUAAAUUUGCUAUAAUGCAUUCUGUUGCAAGUUUUAAGGUCAAUUUGCUAUAAUGUUGUCCACUGCAAGUUUUAUUGAAAUUUGCUAAGAUGUUUUAUCUCACAAACAGAGUAAGUAAAUUAAAUACAUUUUGGUAAAAUUAACAAAUAUGACUUUCUUCAAUGUACUCACGGGUUUUCAAAAAUGGUACAUCUUCAACGGGUUAAUCAAAUUUGUUUUCUUUUGAGUUAAAUAGUUUUUGCCAAAAUGAAGUAAUAUUGUUUUCACACGCAAUGUAAUCUUCACAAUCUGACUGUAACAUCUAGGACAUGUUUGGGAUGUUAGAAUUAGAGUUUUAAAAAAUAAUUAUUUUUUUCUUUUAGAAAUUAAUGUCAUUGUAGGGUUUGAUGGGUUAUCUUCAACUUUAACAGUUAGGUUUCCAAAGUCGGUGAUCCUAUUUAAAUAUAUAAAAAAAUCUUUAAAUUUAAAAGGUGUUCUUAUAAGGAAACAAAGAUGUUAUAUAUGAUUGUUGUCGUGACAUAUAAGCAUUUAAUUAAUAUUUUAAAGUUUUAAAAAAUAAUAAUAAAUAUAUUUUUAAUAAUUGUAAAUUUUAAAAAAUAAGUUAUAUAUUUUUAAAACCUUAAAGUUUUUUUAAAAGCUAAUGUAUCAUCCAUAACAAAUUAUACAUCAUUAACACAUAUUGGGGCAUGGGAAAGAUUUUAAAAAAUUGAACUCAAAGAGUGCUGGUUCAUCAAGGCAUGGCAAGUAAGUGAUAGCUGAAGCAAUUUGUGUCAUGAUUGCCUGUAUUUCUUUCAUAAUUUCUUUAUCACUCUGUACCCCUAGCACACGGCAAAAUCUCCUACAUUUCAAAUUAACUGAUGUGAAGUAAAACAUUAAAGCAGAAGAGGAUCAACUAUUACCCUCACUAUUUGUUUCAAUGCUAAAAUUCCACCUCUCCUCUCCAACACCUCAUUGGUAGCCUUAAUCAUCAUAACCAACACAACCCUAAACUUGAGUUGUCAUAUUCAAAUAUUUAUUUGCACCCUAAGCAAUAGUUUUAGAACAAUUAAAUUUGCAUAAAAUAACAAGUUUUUUACUUGACGUUAAGACUGAGUUAUUAUUCAUUGAUACUGCUUUAGAACACUUAUAGUAAUAGUUUUAGUCUUUCAACUUCAUCAAUUAAUCUUUUAAAGUUAUGUGUUACGAUUGCCGUCAUAGGCCAGCUAAAAUUUUAAUUACGGUAAGUGCAUUUAUUAAUUAAAGAUAUAGUUACUGUGAACAAAGAUAUCAUUCUCACGAAGACUAAAAGUACUAGUAAUUAUCGUUUUUCUAUUAUUUAACUGACAAAUUGGAGUGAUUGAUUAAAGCUAAAAUUAACUAAAGAACACAACAAAGAGUAUAUCAUAAUAAUAAACUAUUAACAACCAAUAAGUGAGACAAUACCUAGGAAAGAAUCCACCUAAACUUCAUCUGUCAUGAUCAAUCUAAAUCACACAAUUUCUUCACUUUGUAUCUUAAUACGGAGAAAUCCCUAAAUUAUGCUAAUAUCUCUCUUUAAGACUAAAAGCUACUGAUUCUAGAUUGAUUAAUUGAAAUUUCUUUCUAAUUAAAAUCCCUAUUAUUGCAUUAACCCGAUCUAUAGAUCCUUCUAUUAGAUUUGACUCUAAUCCAAUAGAUUUAUGUCAUCUUAUCUAAGAUUGCAUGCAAUUCCACUCAAUUAUACUACAUCUACUCUUAAACAAUGUCUAUUCCUCCUCUGAUUUAAGUACAUAAAACAUGGAUCAAUAGUCUAGAAAUAUUAAACCAUGAAUUAAGCACACAUAAUUUAGAACAAGAUUUAAGUAUUUGUUGCAUAAAAAUAAAAAAAAAUAAUAGAAUUCAUCCUAAGGUUUAUCUCCUUAGGUAUUUGGAAAAAAUUAGUUCAUAUAGUAAAUAAAAACAUCUCAAAGAUAGUAUAACCAUAAGGAAUAAAGAAAAUCAUAAUAAACUUUAAAGAAAUCACAAGGAGAACUUCAAUUUUGAUGGAAAUAUGCUUCAAAGUCGGCUUCAAUGGAAUUUUUUGAGUUUUUUUUCUUCAAUAUUAUAUGACAACUCACUUCCCUCUUCUUAUAUUUUUCAUACAUGUCUUAGAAUACAUGAAAAACUUAAAAAUUACGAUUUUCUGUGUGUCUAGAGUACAAUUUGUUCUUUCCACAUGGUUUGACACAUUGUUGUGUGGCAACUCGUAUGGCUCACUCGAUCGUGUGGAAUGACCUAGUCCGUGUGGCUCCUGAAGCUUGUUCUAAUUUUCUAAUUUUUGCUCUUUUUAUUCUCAAAAGCUCUCUUAAGUAUAGAAACAUGAAAUUAACGGAUUGGAAGCAUAAAAUUCACCAUUAGCAUUGAAUAAUCACCCAAAAACGCAUUAAGAUUGAGAUGAAAACAUGUUACUUUUAGAAUCUAUCAUGUAUAUAUAUAUACAUGUCUUCUUAGAUCAUUUGCUAUUAAAUAUAUAUAUAUUAGAGCAAACUCCGGUGAGGAAAAUUUUGAACAUACGAAUGAAACUCGCAUAGAAAAUGAAGCCGAUAUAUAUAUCAAACCAUAUUUUUAAAGUUAUACCCGCUCUCACCUAUAUUCGGUGUUCAAAAUAAUUUCAAGCAAAUUAACCUUGAGAAUACAAUGAAGCCUAUGACUAUUUACAGGAAUUUUUAUGUCUUUCAUAGAGACAUCUUUCAAUAGUUAUUUUUUUAAUAAUAACAUCUUUAAAAAGACAUAUAAUUAUUCAUCUAAUAUUAUAAUUAUUCAAAAAAAUAAUUCUUUUUCAAAAAUUAAGUGAUAUAAUUAUUGACCAAUGACCAAAAGAUUUAACUUUUGAUUAAUUACAACAAAUUUUUAUAAUUAAAUAUAUUGAAUUUACAAAUUAAUGGAAGAAAAUAAUUAAUGGAUUUUAAGAUUUAAGGUUAAUAGUUUGGAAUUUAUCCCAAGUCUAACUUAAAGUUCAACUCUUAUCUAAUUGCGUUGAAAAAAAAAAGCCAAAAGAAAAAUUCCUAUCUAAUUUCAGCAAUUUAAAAAAACUUUAAAUUAAACUUAAAUUUUUAAGAUUCUAAUAAUAUAAAAAAUUAAAUUGAAAUUUUUUAAAAGAAUAUAUUAAAUAAAUAAUUUAUAAUUAAAUAAGAAAUAAAUAUUUUUUACUCUUCUAAAAAAAUCUUUUCUUAUUUUCAGUCUUCCAAUUUUAAAAAAAAAAAUUAUCACUCUUCUUCCUCCUUGGGUUUAUCUACUACGGGUAGAAGAGGAAGGCGAAAUGGGAUAGAACCCAGAUCGUGUCGGGUUGGCAUAGGAAAUGGGUUGUAUGAAGAUCAAGGUUUUUAGGGUUUUUGCAUUGGAGAAGAAGAAAGGUGGAGAAAAAAAGACAAAGAAAAAAAAAAGGUGAAUUUUUUUUUUCUGAAAAACUGAAAUCAGAAAGGAAGGGCUUUGCUUUCUAGGAGAUAGUGUAUUUUAAUGGAAUAUUAUGUAUUUAUUAUAUUGCUCUUUAAUUGCUGGGCUGCAAUUGCAUGCAUGCAUGGACGAUGUAUGUGAGUUGUGUAUCUUUUUUGCUGGAUUUUCUAUAUUGUUUUCCUCCUCCAUCUAUCUUUUUUUUUUUCAUUUUAAUUGAUUCAAUGGGUUUUGUUGAUUCAAUUAGAAUCAUUUGAUUUUUAAUUUGCUGAUUCAAUGGGUUUAUUGAUUCAAUGAGUAGUAGUAUCACUUGAUUUAUUUGCUUAGUGAUUCUUCUCUCAUUUUGACCCAACAAAAAUUGUCUUCGUGGAUGAAAAAAAUGGGAUAACUUUGCUCGCAUUAGGGGUUGACAGGACGAAAUUUCAAGUUUAAAUGGGAGCCAAAACUAUUAUGGAAGAAUUAAAACUAAAAAAAAAAAAAACUUGAGAUUAUUUUGAAUUAUCAGAAGAACCAUGGGGAGAGAUUGAAAAGUAGAAAAGGAGUUUCAUGGAUGUGAUGACUAGAAUUGAAUGUGUGAAAGUUACAGCUCAAAAUAUUUAAACCUCGCCAUGCUAGGUCUGGCUAGACAGUCCAAACCCAAUUAAUGACUGUAGGACAUUCCCACUAUAAAUUAUCCAACUACACUUCGUGUAAAAAGACGAAACACAAAAAAGCUAAAAGAUAGGAAUUCUUCCUAGUAAUUCUGCCUUUGUGGAACCUACCUCGGAAUUUUGCCUGUUUUUAUCUGAACUUUCUUCUUCGUUUUGGCUAUUGUACCCACAACAUUCUUUCUUCUUUACUGUUUUUAAUUUCUUUUGAUUUCCAAGGUCUAUCACAAAAUUUCAAGCAACCAGUCAAGGAAAUUUUCUUUCAUUUGCUUAAUCCGUAACAUGCUUUUCUUUGCUUAAUUCAUGACUUUGCAAUGAUUGUUUCUGGUUAUCUGCUACUCUUAGCAGCUAGCUUUGUAAGACAGUCAACUUCACUGCUUCAUUUUCAGUUCUAUUCUCUCAACACUUUUCAGCCACUAAGUCAGGUAAUAAGAUCUGAAGCUAUGAUUUCCUCCACUGAUUAUCAACAGUUUUAGAUUUUAAGACAAGUUUAUCAGCAGACAUAAGCUACUCUACAUUGAAAUUAAUACAGAAAGAGCUACCCGGAAGCACUAUAAUGUUGAAAUCUCAUACUUAACAUUUUAACUCUUAAUAUUCUGUAAUGAACUGUUGCACACUUGAAUCUAGCAUUUUAUAUACAUUAAGAGCUUAAUUCUGGUGACCAGAAUUUCAUCAUGUUUCUGUCUGCCACCCAUCCAUAGCUCCAUCUAAUAAACGCCAUUGCUUGAAACUUGCAAUCAUGUUUUCCUUUUCAUGCUUACACUGACAUAUCAAUACUUCAUAAAAUAUCCAAUUCAUUCUCUGCUACUGUUAUCUAUGAUUGCAUUGCAGGGACAUAGCAAUGGAGUACGUAGAGCCUGUUGUUGGCAUUGCAAUUUGUCUCGGCACUCCUGUUUGUAAAUAUUUGCAAUAUCACAGAAAGCUGAACGACUAUGUGAGAAACUUCAAGAGGAUCAGAGAUGAGUUGAAUUGCAAAAUGGAAGAUAUAGAGCUGCAAUUGAAAGCAGAGCUUCUUCGGCCUCUGGGGAAGAUACCAAAGAAGGGAGUUGAAAAUUGGUUGAAAGAUGUGAAAGAGAUGAUUCGGGAAGCACUACUUGUUGAAAACAAAGUCAGUAACGGGAGAUAUCUCUGUCGUGCUUGCAACGGGAAGCUGGUUGAUGUAAAGACUCGAGAAAUGAAGGAAUUUCUUGAUAAAGCUCCUAAAGCCUCUGAAGGUCUUGCCAUGGAUGGUCCAAGUGGUGGGUUGCCGCUGCCAACAUCAGAACUAGUCGGAGAGGAAGCUGUCAGAAAUGAGAUUUGGGCAUGUUUGAUGCAGGAGGAGGUGAGCAAGAUUGGAGUUUGGGGGAUGGGCGGUGUGGGUAAAACCACUAUCAUGAAGCACAUCCACAAUGAUCUUUUGAAAGAACAAAGAUUCGAAAGGGUAAUCUGGGUUACCAUAUCAAAGGAGUUCAAUGUAAUGAAGGUACAAGAUAAUAUUGCAAGUGCGUUGAAGGCGAAGGAAUAUUUAGACAAAGAAGAGGACAAGGUCAGACGAGCAGCAAUCUUGUCAGAAAUGCUGAAGAACGCAGGAAAGCAUGUUCUAAUCCUAGAUGAUGUGUGGGAUAAAGUCUCUCUAGAGGAAGUUGGGAUCCCCAAGGCAAGUGGCGGCAAUGGCUGCAAGUUGGUGUUGACAACUCGUUCGGAGCAUGUCUGUAAGUAUACGGGUUGUAAGGUGAUAAAAGUGAGGCCCCUUUCAGAAGAAGAGGCAUUGAUACUAUUCUUGAGUAAAGUUGGACCUAACAUAGUUCAAUGUCCAACUAUAAUGCCAACUCUGAAGCUUGUUGUCAAGGAAUGUGCGGGUCUACCUCUUACAAUUGUCGUGGUAGCUGGUACCAUGAAAGGAGAAUAUAACCCUCGUAUUUGGAAAAAUGCACUCAAAGAUUUGAAAGAGAGAAUAGGGAAAGUGGAAGGAGUGGAAGCUGAGGUAACCGAGCGCUUGAAAUUCAGUUUCGAUCACUUGAAAGAUGAGAAAGUAAAAGAUUGCUUCUUGUAUUGUGCAUUAUAUCCUGAAGAUUAUGAAAUUCGUAAGGUUGAACUAAUCGAGUGUUGGAUUGCUGAGAUAUUCAUAGACGAGAUGGACACAAGACAAGAAAUGGAAGAUAAAGGCCUUACUAUUUUGAAAAGGUUGGAAGAUAACUGCUUGUUGGAAAAUAAUACCACUCAAUUUGGUUUAAAUGGUAUAAAGAUGCAUGAUGCAGUGAGAGACAUGGCAUUGUCGAUCACAAGAAUGAAUCCUCGAUAUAUGAUACAAGCAGGUUUGCAAUUAGAAGAGUUACCAGAAAAGGGGCAAUGGAGUCCGGAUAUUGAGAAAGUGUCACUUAUGUAUAACUCCAUAUCAGAAAUUUCCAUAGAUGUGCUGCCCACAAAAUGUCAACUGCUCACAACCUUGUUAUUGCAGCAUAACCCUAUAAAGAAGAUUCCAUAUUCUUUCUUCAUAAACAUGCCCUGUCUUUGUGUCCUAAAUUUGUCCUAUACAGAGAUCGAGAGUUUACCAAAUUCCAUCUCUGAACUAAAGAACCUCACAAUAUUGUUGCUUUGUGAUUGUGAAGAAUUAAGAGAUCUACCAUGUCUUUCGAUGCUUCAAGAAUUGAAGAAGUUGGAUCUAAGUUGGACUAAAAUUGAGGAAGUCCCUGAAGGAAUGGAUAUGCUGAUAAAGCUAAGAUAUCUUGAUCUUAGAGUGCACACUCUGAAAGAGAUACCCGCUGGACUUUUACCAAAACUCGUUCACCUUCAGCACUUGGGUUUUUAUGAGAACAAUGAAAAAACAAGUCUAAAAGCAGAGGAGUUGGAACCAUUGAUGAAGUUGGAGUGCUUUACCGGACGUUUCGAAGAUAUCAAUGAAUUCAAUAAGUUCAUCUCCUCAAUGAAACAAAGUAAGAAAAAUCUCAUCAAGUACCAUUUACAGGUGGGCUCAUCUUUUAUGCUUGCUACAAGAGAUAAAACAGUAACAAUUGGAGGAGUCCAGAAUUGGGAAGGUGAGUCAAUUAUGCACCCAAUUGAAAUUCAACAGUUGAAUAUUUCAAGUUGCAACUAUUUGAGAAACUUAGUCGAUGAUAAUUCUUCCUUCAAAAAAGUGAUUGGCUUGAGGGUUUGGGUUUGUGAAGGGAUAGAGUGUGUUGUUUCCCUGUCCUCUUUUGCCUCUUCUUCCACUCAUCCAUUUCAAAGCCUCGAGGUGUUAGAUCUUGGAGAUCUGCUAAAGUUGAGUGCCCUUAUUAUGAAAGAUGCAGGAAUUGGUUCAGCAACAACAUCAACAUCGGCUCCGUCUGCCACCUUUUCCCAUCUUAAGGAAAUUAGGAUAUACAAAUGCUCAGGUAUGAAGACGUUGCUUCCACAUUGGUUGCUUCCAAACCUCCAAAGCCUGGAAGAAAUACAUGUGGGUGCUUGUAGUCAGCUAGUAGAAAUAUUGGGAGCAGCAACAUCAAAAGUUGAAGAAAGAGGGAGUGAUGCAUUAAUCAAAUUCCAUCUUUCCAAAUUCAGAGUAUUGAGACUAAAUAAGUUACCAAAUUUGAAGAGCAUAUGCAGCAAAAGUGGAGUGAUGGUUUGUGAUUCUCUCCAAGUUAUCAAAGUUUUUGGAGAUUGUGAUAAACUGAAGAGAAUUCCUCCAUUUGUUCCCCUUGUUGGCAAUGGGCAGCCAUUUGUAUAUGCUCCACCUUCUCUUACAAUCACGUCAGACACAGAAUGGUGGGAAUCGUUGGAGUGGGAUGAUCAUCCAAACUUUAAAAAUGUUCUUCAACCCCUUUGGAAGCUUUUAAGGUAUCAACCAUUUAUAGUUUAGUUUAUUCGAUUUAUUUUAUAAAUCUAAUUUCUCCAUUUUAAUACCAUUUCAUUAAUCCAACUUCUCCAAGUUAUCCAAGUUAUCCAACUUAUCCAAGAUGCUGGAGACUGUUAUAAACUGAAGAGAAUUCCUCCAUUUGUUCCCCUUGUUGGCAAUGGGCAGCCAUUUGCAUAUGCUCCACCUUCUCUUACCAUCGGGUCAGAGACAGAAUGGUGGGAAUGGUUGGAGUGAGAUGACCAUCCGAACUUUAAAAAUGUUCUACAACCCCUUUGGAAGCUUUGAAGGUAUAUGAACCAUUAUAGUUUAGUUUAUUUUAUUUAUUUUAUAAAUCUAAUUCCUCCAUUUUAAUACCAUUUCAUGUUAUAUUUUAUUUUUGUUUGAAGAUGAUGUGGCCUCCAUUGGUGCGAAAGAAGUAGAAGAGAGUAGCAGGGCGGAGGAUGGUGCAAAAGAGAGGAUAAAAAAUGUGGGAAUAAAAGGAAUGAUGGAUGAGGAAUUGAGCAGCCACCAUAAUAAUUGACUCCUUUUCCAUUGAAUCAAAUAUUAUUAUGUUCUAUUAUUUAAAAAAUCUUUAUAUGUUCUUAAACAGAGAUGUUGCUUUUAAAAUUAUUUGUCUGUAAAAUUAUUAAACUUAUUAUUCUUCUAUCAAUCAUUUAUGCAUUUUUUUACUAAUGAUUCUAAUAAAAAUUUUAACAUUCAAAAGCAUAUAAGUUGAAAUAAUUUUUUUCAAUUUUAAAAUAUGCAACUUAAAAAAGUACUCCAUUAUUUUCUUAAAAUAAUAUCAAAUAAAAUAAAAAAUUUAGUUUAAAUAUCAUUAUUUCUUCUUUCAACAAUCAUUCUAUUCUAAAAAUAAAAAUAAAAUAAAUAAACAAAAAAACUUUAUUAUAUAAUUUAAUCAGUUAAAUUUAAUCCGUUAAAAUAAAUAAAAAGUAAGACUUGAUGAAACACUAUAUAUAUAACUUAAUCAGUUAAAUUUUAUUAUUAAUUUUUGUAUUACGUUGUGUAUUUAAUUUUUAUAUUUUAAUUUGAUUAUUUUUAAUUUUUAAUUUUUUAAAUUUUAAAAUUUCAUGUGGUAAUAAUUAAAUUUAUUAAGUUAAAUUAUACUAUUUCUAAAAGGGUUAAUGCACUAUUUACCCUUAAAAAUUGUACUCAACUAUCACCUUGAUACUUAAAGAAUUUUUUAUACCAAUUUUGUACACGGAGUUUCUAACUAUGAAUCACUUUACCUUACUUGUUAACUGCAUUAAAAAAAAGAUGAUGUGGCGUGCUCUCAGCAUAUUACGUGAUUCAAUUCUUAUUUUCUCAAAAUAAAUUCUAAAAAAAAUGAGAACAAUAAAUAAUAAUAAUAAUAAUUGAGAAUUUUUCUCAAUUUUUUUAAAAAUAAAAAAAUAUGCAAAUUUAUAGCAAAUUCCUAAAAUUGAAAAACUAUUUACAUUUUUUUAAGUACAAAAAAUUAAAAAAAAAACAAAUAAAAUCUAUAAAAUUUUAACAAAUAAAAAAUUGGAAAGUUGUAUAAAAUUUUCAAAAUAAAAAAAUAUUUCUCUUUUUUAAAAAUAGAUAAAAAUACAAAAAAGAAAAAGAAAAAAAUACAAGAAUUUCAAAUUUUUCAGAAAAAGCUUAAAACAAUUGAAAAUCAGAAAAAGACAAAUAUAAUUUUAAAAUAUAUGAAAUAUAAAAAAAAUUUAUUUGGAGAUAAAUACGGAAGGUUUAGGGGUUGAGCCUCUAGAACAUAUGAACUGAUAUCUGAGCGAUCAAGGCGAGGAAAGCGAAGUUUCAUAAUAACCACCAGAGAGUCCCCUUCAAUCUCCACAGAACCAAACCCCAUCUCCCUUGCGAAUCAAAUCUCUUCCACACUCACCCAUGCCUUCGCUGCCAAAGGGGUUGAAACAUACUCCAUCCAGAAGCAGGUUGCCCACAUUAGAAGGCCUAAAUGAUUCAAAGUCAUGACCCCCGCACGUGCAACCGCCCAAAUCCCUAUGAAACCCGGUAUCAAAAUUGAGUCGCAUACAAGGAUCGACUGACAGUCACCAUGUUCGGAAGGUUGAGUCUUUCCGUCGACCAUGCACAUCGAGUAAGCAUCCCAGCCUUCAGACAUGACCCAAAAUAAAGGUAAGAAGCUCUGAAUUUUAUUGUCACUUGCCCUCAUGCACCAAAAGAUUUCUCAAAUACCAAACUGCCUAAAAGGUGACAAUUAUUGUUAGACGUUGUGCAGGAGAACUACCACAAAGCAAAUCCCAACAAAGCAAGGAGUCGUUAACCUCAUCCACAUGCCAAGUGAAACCAAGGCUCAACCAAACCGAGAGCAGAAAUGGACAAUCACGACAAGCAUGAAGAGAUGUUUCACCACACGCACCACAUCGAGGGCACAUCGAGUCACCUCGAAGGUGUUGCAUGAAAAGAUAAGCAUUGGUAGACACAUAGUUGUUUAGGAAUUUUGACACUAUAAUUUGGAUAUUUUCCUAUGCAGAAAUCUACCAAGGAGUUCUAUAAAUGUCCUUGAUGUCUUGACCCACAUUAAUGUACUUGUCCUUCAUCGAACUAGGAAAACCAUGCAAAAGGAGUCAAUAGCCACUCCGAACCGUGUACUCUCGAGAACCUUCUAAGCACCAAUGCAACUGUCAGAGGCCCCCUACUGCGGCAAAGGAAUGAAGAGGAUCGUACGAGCCUCUAAGGCAUCAAACGUUGAUAGAACAACAUCCUCAUUCCACAUAUUCAUAUUUGUGUCAAUCAAAUCAGCAACCUAAUUAAUACCAUUGACUCGUUGUAACUCCACCAGAAAUGGUCGAUCACUAGAGCAUCAUGACAUGUCACAAACUAAAAUCUCAUUCUCAUUCCCCAUCAGCCAACUACAACCUUUGACGAGUAGGCCUUUCGCCGCCCAGAUGCUCCUCCUAAUAAAAGAAGUUUUGCUCCCUAAUGUCGACUGUAGGAAAUCAUCACGCAAAAAAUAUUUCACCUUAAGAACCCUUGCCAUUCACAAAAAUUAUCCCUAUUUAAAAUUUUCUUAGUAAAAAUGUUAAUAAGAGGAUUAUAAGACAUAUUUGAACUGAAAAAAAAUAAAGAUUCAUUAAUUACUAUAUUUGUAUUAAGCAAAUAUUUUUAUUUCAGCAACAUAUCAAGAAUGCAGUAUGAUGCAUGCGUCUUGUAUUAAAACCUUGAAAAUAAUUUUUUUUUGUUGCUAUGAUCAUUUUCACACCCAUCAAUCAUGUCGCUUUGGGGUCCAUGAUUAACUAGUAAGAACAUGGAAUACAUCCAAUCAGUUCAUGAAUCUUAAUUCUCAAGACUCCAUAGGAACCAAUGAUCGUUUAACGUUUAGCCAUCAUCUCUAGCUUAAAUAUUGUUUUUUGGGAAACUAUUUCAUAAGAGAAGAUUUUAAGUAUGUAACCAUUGACUCAACACCCAUCAUGAACAUGCUUUCAUUUAUGAGUCAUCUUGGGACAAUUUCACUAAGAUUCAUGCACAACUACUUAUCCUGAAAAGUAAAUCUUAUCUAGUGAACCCACAUGAUAAAGUUUAUCUUGAGACAAUUGUUUUUUCUUUUAUCAUGCUAUCACUUAAUACCAUCAAUGGAGGUCGCAGGUCUUGUUAAAGGACCUUCUCCCACUCAAUAUUUUAAAAUAAUAUGAAAGGUUUUUUUAUCUCAUGUUUAAAAAAUGAUCAUACAAUAGUCCUAGUGACAUUCUUAUCUAAUUUAUAUGACAUGCUUCCCAUAUAUGCAUGACAUGCUAUGACAAUUUUAUAAUAUUCACAUUCAUUUAUUCAUAAGAAUCAAUCAAUCAUAAAACAAACAAUUUUGAUUCUCUAUAGUUUUUCCUUUGAGGGAAAACUGAAUAAGUGAAUGUGAACCGUGCACCAAGUAGGGUCUUAGGAAAGGGAGGUGAAUCAAAGUUGACCACUUAAAAACCAAGCCUUCUAAUACCACAUUUCUCACGGUAAUCGAAUAACCUAAAGUAGUGAAUAGAACAAUACAACACAUGCAUUUUCUCAUUACCACACUUCUAAUUUUUUUUAAUCGAUCAACUGCCGAUCAUCUCAUAUAUAUAUAUAUCACAAUUGUAACAUUACAUGAUAUAAAUAUUAAAAUCAAUUAUAAAACAAAAAUAUAAGGAGGUGAGUAAUUAAAAUAAAAUUGUCAACCAAGGUUUCCAUGGUUUUAUUCUAGAAAAUAAAAGAAAAAAAUAAAAUUACACAGUUAUUGGCCACAAGGUAUUCUUUGGGUCUUCAACUGCCAUCGCUCUAUCUUUUCCUAAUCAUGGACUCCUUUCGGUAGAACUACAUUUAACCCUUAUGUCCGUUUUCGGAUCAAGAAUUCUAUGAAUUAAAAAAACAAUCCUACAUGAAGAUGAUAGUCCACGGUCUAUUUCCUAAGAACCAUAACAUUGACAAAGCAAACAAUUAGAUAAUAAAUAUAUAAUAUCGCAUUCAUUCUCAUAUAUAACACAAAAAUAUGUAUAAGAUCUAAAGAAUGUCACUUUCUAUGUAAUCAAAUCAUUCAAGAAGAAGAGAAUUUUAUUUUGGUUAUCUAUUUAUACUUAUAGAUAGAGCAAAACCUGAUUUUAAUACCAAUUGUUCAAAAACGAGUUUGGAAAAUGCAGCGAAAAAUCAAUAUAGGGAAAAACCUAAGUUUUAAAAACUUAUAAAAUAAGAAUUUAGUUGUGAUAUCAAAAGUAAUAAACACUUAAUAAAAAUUAUACCAUUUGCAUAUGCUCCACCUUCUCUUGCCAUCAAGUCAAGCACAGAAUGGUGGGAAUCGUUGGAGUGGAAUGACCAUCCAAACUUUAAAAUGUUCUUCGCUUCAACCCCCGUGGAGGAUAAGAGGUAUGAACCAUUUAAGAUUUUGUUUAUUUUUUUUAUUUUUAUAAAUCUAAUUUCUCCAUAUUAAUAAAAUUUGAUGUAUAUUUGUGAUGAUGUUGAAGAGAAAGAUAGAAGGGUUGGUGGGAAAGAAGUAGGGGGGAGGAUAGUGCAAAAGAGAGGAGAAAAGGAAUGAUGGAAGAGCAUGGAGACUGAGAGGCAAAGGUAAAUAAGAAAUCAAACUGCCUCCCCUUUUUAAACAUUUUUCCUCUCUUACCAUUCCUUCUAUUCUCUUCUAAUAUAUAUAUGUACAUCCCAAAAUAACCUUCUAAAUAUUUAUUAUUAAAUUAUUUAUAUUAAUCAAAAUGAUUUAAGGUGAGACAAAACUACGACCAUAGUUUUAUUUCCAAUAAAAGUUAGGAAAUUGUUGUAAAAAGACAUAAUAUUUUUUAAUUUCUAUGUAAAAUUUCUGGAAACAUUACGAUUUAAAAAAUAAUAAUAUAGUUAGAAAUUAAUGCCAAAAGAGCUACCCAGAAGCAAUAUAAUGUUGAAAUCGCACACUGUUGAACAUUUUACCUCUUAAUAUUCUGUUGCACACUUGAAUCCAGCAUUUUCUAUACAAUGAGAGGUUAAUUCUGGAUAUACAAAUUUCAUUGUGUUUCUGUCUGCCACCCAUCCAUAGCUCCAUCUAAUAGACGCCAUUGCUUGAAACUUGCAUUCAUGCUUACACUGACAUAUCAAAAAGCCAAUACAUUCACAGAUUUUCAUUAUCUGCUACUGUUAUAUAUGAUUGCGUUGCAGGGACAUAGCAAUGGAGUACGUACAGCCUGUUCUUGGCAUUGCAAAUUGUCUCGGAACUCCGGCUUGUAAAUACUUGCAAUAUCUCAGAAAGCUCAAUGAUUAUGUGAGAAACUUCAAGAGGAUGAGAGAUGAGUUGAAUUGCAAAAUGGAAGAUAUAGAGCUGCAAUUGAAAGCAGAGCUUCUUCGUCCUCUGGGGAAGAUACCGAAGAAGGGAGUUGAAAAUUGGUUGAAAGCUGUGAAAGAGAUGAUUAAGGAAGCACAAGUUGUUGAAAACAAAGUCAGUAACGGGAGAUAUCUCUGUCGUGCUUGCAACGGGAAGCUGGUUGAUGAAAAGACUGGAGAAAUGAAGGAAUUUCUUGAUAACGCUCCUAAUGCCUCUGAAGGUCUUGCCAUGGAUGGUCCAAGUGCUGGGUUGCUACUGCCAACAUCAGAAUUAGUUGGAGAAGAAGCUGUCAGAAAUGAGAUUUGGGCAUGUUUGAUGCAGGAGGAGGUGAGCAAGAUCGGAGUUCGGGGGAUGGGCAUAAAAAAUUAGUAAAAUAGAUCAUUGCUAAUUCUCUCUUUUCUUAAUCGGUAAGUUUCUCUCUUCAAAUCCUUUUAUUUCUUUAUUGAAUCCAUCGCAAACCGAUUUCUGUACAGUUUGUUUGUUCAAUUUUUCUUUUUCCAGUUUUUUUUUUUUUUUUUUUUGGAUUUAGAUGGAAGAUUCUUUUGUCGCAUUUGAAGAGUUUCUAAAGACUUUAGGGUCUUCCUAAAUCUAACUUUCUUGACACCACGUGCGCGUAUAAAUUUCUUUCGUGGAGAUUAUUUAUCAUGUUUGUGUGUUUCGUCUCUUGAGGUUGAGCUAUUUUUCUUUUCAAAAAUAAAUAUUUAUUUUCUUUUGCAUUUAUUUCUAAUAUCACCAUAAAUUGUUUAGGGUUGUCGAUUUUGGGGAUUUUGGGUUUUGGGUGGUCUAAUUUGGGGAUCUUGAGUAAGGGUUUUGAUUUUAGGAAUUUUUAUUUAGGGUUUUUAAUUUUGGAGAUUUUGGGGAUUUCUCACACCGCCCUCCUCAUCAGCUUCAAAGCCAACAAAUCUACAUCUAGGCUCAUGCGAAAAGUCACUAGAACCCAUGUUUGAAACCCCGGGUCACUUCCGCCAUGCAAAUUGCAUCGAACUGAUCAACGACUCUAUCAAAGAGCUCCAAAAAUCUAUAUGUAAAAUUUUUUCAUAUCAGAUGCUCCAACUUUGUGCUCAUGAGUGAUCUUCAAACCUAGGUUAAUGCUGCUCUAACGGAUGAAGAUACUUGCAUGGAUGGAUUCUCAAGCAGGGCUAUGGAUGGGUAUGCAAAGAUGAUGGUGAGGAAACGAAUUAUUAAGAUCACACGUUUGACGAGCAAUGUUUUGGCUCUCAUUAAUAACUAUGCUUCAUCUCAAAUCCUUCAUAGAUUUUCUUGAGAAAACUUUGAUGGCAAGGAAAGCAACUUUGAUGGAAAGGAAAGCAUUGUGUUUCAUGGAUUUAUGUUCAAUAUGAGAUUUUAUGGUUUUCAAACAGGGCACAAGUUUUUAAGGUACUGUAGAUUGUGUUCUCAACUCUAGGUUUGUGGUUCUUGAUUUUUGCAAUUGUAUCAAUUUGAAUAUGAAAUUUGUGUUCGUGUAUGUUUAGGGUUUUUAUUAUUUUUUUAAUAAUUUUAAAAUCAUUUGCUGACAUGGUAUAUAAGAGAAAAUAAUGUUAUGUUAGUAUUUAAAUUCAUUUGGACCAUCAUGUCAGAGGUUAAUGUUGACCAUUAGACAACUAACGGCCACAUCACCUUCUAUGUUAAAAAUAAACCAAUUUGUUAGAAAUUUAAAUUUUGCACUAUAAAAUUAAUUUUUAAAAUUAACUAUUCAAUUUGUAAUUGAUUUUAUUAAAUUAAAUUAUUCACUAAUGUUUGAAAAUGUUCUCCAUGUUAAUUAUACACUUGAUUUUUUUUAAAAUUAUUUAAGAAUUCAGUUAAAUGGUAAUCAAUUUAUAUUAAAAUAUCAGUUUUAUUGGUUGUAUUAUUUCAUUAACAUUCUUAUAAUAUUAUUUCAUUUUUAUUUAUAGACACCAACUUCAAAAUCAAAAGAGGAUUAAUUCACGAGAAGAUAUGGCUCAUACUGUAAACGAUAAAUAAGAUAUUAUAAAUUGAUAUGAUUAAAAUUUAAAUAAUAUACAAAGAGUAGCAAAAUAAAUUGAAAGCAUUUUAUAUGAUCUAAAUGAACUAUAAUAAAAGGAUUAUAUAUUUCCUAUCAAUCCUACUAUAUUGUCUUUUAUAAAUAAUUUCCUAUCAAGCAAGUUGACAGCUAAAGGGUGCAAAUUUGACUUUGCUAAAUUCUCUAGCAUCAAAGAGGCAAGAUAUUUUGCAAACAAGACAUAAACCAAUAUCAACAUGGUGAUUCCAAAAUUCAAAACACACUAAACCCCUACUUUUGUAUGAUAGAGAAAAUAUGAUGUAUAAAUUUAUAGUCAUGGAAUGCAUUAGGUGCAUUGAAGAUAACUCAGUGUUAGAAUCAAAUAAAUUUAUCGUUAUUUUUGUGAAUUGUAAAAUUGUGCAUCAACUGGAAAAAAUGUUUGUCUGGCAUUACAAGAAUUUCUUUAAAGUUAAUAGUAUGUUUGUCUGCCAUUACAAGAAUUUCUUUAAAGUUAAUAGUUUGAGAGAUUAUUUUAAGGAGGAAUUGGAAGGCAUUGCUAUAAGGAGAAUCUCAAGAAAGCAAUUUGGUUUUGAGUUUCAAGUGAAAGGAAUGAAAGAAAGGUUAAUUAAAUAAAUACGGGAUUGGAUAUUGAGCUGUUUUGAAUAGUUGGAGCGAAGGACACAUGGACCAUAUGAAAUUCAAGUCUACCAAAGUAAUGCUAAUCAGAUUCCUCUUUGGAAAUGAUAACUUUUUAAAACAUUGUCAAUCUACCUUGAAAGGUGGCAUCGGUAAAAGAAUCAAUCAUGAAAUAUUAAAAUUAUACUAAAAUAACUAUACAGAUUUAUUUCCCUUAUAAAUAAACAUUUUCUUAUUCUUCCUUAAAAAUUAACAUGAUUUUAUCUUAAUAUACAUGUAUAUAUAUAUUUAUGUCUCAAAAUAGCCUUCUAAAAUAUUUAUUUUAAAAAAAUAAUUUAUAUAAUACAUAUAACAAUUAAUUAUAAACUUAUUUUCAUAUGAUGUCAAAAUUAAAUAUUAUAAUGGUCCUUUAUCACAUUCAACACUAACUUUUAUUUUAUAAUUUUUUUUAAAAUAAACUUUAAAUUUUAUAAUAAAAAGCAAACAUAGGCUUCAAAUUUUAAGUUAAAAAUAUGGGAUACUAGUUGACUAUAGACUCAUCCAUGGGCCCUUGACCAGAGUCGGGUCUAUAUAGAUAAAGUUUUUUAUAAUUCGGGUCGGUCCAACUAAAAUUUAAUUUAAAUAAUACAAAAUUAUUUUUAAAAUUUAAAUUUAAUUAUAAAAAUAUACUUUUAUUUUUUUUGAACAUUGAAACGAGCUUUUUAGGUAGAUCGAGUUGGGUCAAAAACUGGCUUGGACUUGAAAAUUUUUAGAUUAUUUUUAAGAGAAUAACAAUAUCAAGGAGUCUAAGAAUUAAAAAUUUUAAAUUAAAAUUUUAUUGUUUGAAAUCUUCUAAUAACAUAAAAAAAAAUUAAACUAAAGUUUUUAAAAGAAUUCAGGGUAAAAUACACCAUUAGUCACUCAACAAAGGGUCAAUUUUCAUUUUAGUCACUUAACUAAAAUAAGAUACAAUUUGGUCACUAAUGUUUCUAGAAAAAAAUUUUGGUCACCCGACUGUUAAGUGGCGCUUACUUUAGCUGGUAUGAUAACAAUUUUUGUCACAUCCCAAAAACCAGUUUAGUAGAAAUUGAGUUAGUGAAACCAAGAGUGGUCACGUCCUAUUUUUGAGUUAAGAUUGUGAAAAUUAUGUUAAGUAAAUUGAUUUGGUUAAGUGGUUAAGUGCUUUGGAUGUGUGUUUAAGGUUUUGUGUUCAGAUCUUUUCCCUUAAAUUUUCAUUAUUUUGUCCUAACUUCCAUCUCUAAACAUCUAGCUUAUAUAUUAUUUUUGUUCAAUUGAUUAUAAGAAUGAGUUUGCUGGUUUAGUGGUAAGACUUUAGUUUACUUAGAGUUCUUAUGUUUGAAUCUUAUGUGUGUAAAUUUAAACUCUGAGAAUUUUUUUAUAAGGAUAACUAAUCAAAUUGAGUGGAGAAGUUUUCCAUUUUCCUACAAAACUUCCCCAAAUUUUGCCUCAUUCUGUCGUCCACUUCUUGCCACAUUGUUCACGUUUUCUUUUCCCUUUUUUUUCCAUCUAAUGAUUUCUAUUUUCUUUUUGCUUUAGUAGUUUUGCUGCUUUCCUUUCUCAUCUUUACUCUACUAUUUUCUUUUGUGUUAUUCUAUUGGUAUGCUAUUGAAUCUCCGUUAUUCCUUUGAGUAAGUGUUGGUUAUUUGUUUUAUAUAAAUGUGGUGUUGGGUUAAUCUUUCAAGUGAUUGAUGGUUUCAAGUUUGAUCUUUGCAAUGUGUUGUUAGGAGAAGAUCGAUGGACUCGUGAAUUGUCUCCAGCGAUUUAAGUGCAGGAAAGGGUUGUUGUUUUUGCAAGGGUAAGUGAUUAAAGUUUUCAAUUGGAGGUUGAUUCGGUUGCUUAGGCUAAGUGUUUAGCAUUUGCAAUCGAAUUAGUGACUUGGAUUUAGCAUAUUACUAAUAAUUCUUACGUUCUAAAAUGUCGGUUUAGGUCUGAAAUCUUCGUAGUGGUGUUAGCAUAAAAACCGACCAGGUGUGUAACAGAAAUAUUAAAAAAUAGUGAACGACACGAUGUCGAAAAACCCACUAUCGACGUCACACAUCCAUGUGUCAGGUUAUGUGGGUCAUACGGGCUGGGUUAUUUGGGCCGUGUGGGCUACACGAGUGUAUGUUAGGCUGUGUGUCUGGCCGUGCAGGCCAUACGGGUUGGGUCAGUUAGGCUGUGUGGGCCCAUUUUUCGUAAAAUUCUGUCAGGGUCGUAUUCGAAGUGUGAUUUGAAAUUAGUCACUUAGUAGGUUUUGAUAUGUGUUAUGUAUGCAUUAUGGAUACGAAAUUUGAUAUUUUUUUCUAUUAAUGUGAUUUUGAAAGCAUAUUAUUCAAUAUUGACAUUGUACGUGUAACAUUCGAAAGCAUGACUGUGGUAUAAUUUAUGAUUCUGAUCUAUAAUUUGAGAAUCUAUUUAAGCAUGAUUCAUUUAUGUGCAUCUAAGUAUGUAAAAUGUUUUGACAUGUGCAUUGGGGUGGGAUGAUGAUGUGAUGGAUGAAGUGUUUUGGCAAUUUAACUGUAUACUGAUAUUUAUAAGUCAUCGUUGUCAGCCAACUCGGGAUAACUUAAUUUGUGGUUUAAACACAUAUCUAAUAUGGUAGCUUGACCACACUUAUUGAUUUUGGCAGAAUACCGCAUUAUUUCUGGCAGCUUGACUACGCUAUUCUAAAAAGUGAUAUUCGCUCACUUAUUGGUGUGACGGAUGGAUAGGCUCUUAUAGUCCUAUUUGGUCUGUAUUGGUGGCACGGAGAUGGUGUGUAGUGGAUGGGCGUAAGAUCUAUUUUUUUGUCUAUAUUUGCAUUUGUAUUUGUAUAUGUAUCUAAUCCUGUAUAUGAGAUUGCAUUUGUAUCUGAAACUGAAAUUAUAUAUGUAAUUGAAUUAUAUCAAUUUCUAUAACUAUUACUGUAUUUGAGUCUAUUCGGCCUAUUUGGGUUGAGUUACACACUAAGCCUAUAAGCUCACCCAAGUUCUUUGACUUCUCAGGUAAUCGGCAUACUUAGGACCAAAUGACGUGCAGAAGCUUAGAUUGGGUUCUCAGUUAUUUAAGUAUGGUGGUUCAUGUUUUUAAAUUAUUUUGGACUUUCUAGAUUUUUUAGGGGGUUGUAAAUCUAUUUCUGUAUUUUGCUUUACAUUUUGGUUUGCUUAGUUGAACUUAGUAAUUAUUAAUUAAAACUACAAAGUUUUGUGUUUUGCAAAUUACAAUUUUUUUUUGAAAGGUCUUAAUAACACUAAAAAUCUUAUCACACACAUAUGCAUGUGGAAAUCACGUAUUUAUAACACAGACUUAUGUUCAAAAAUAACAUACAAUGAAUAUUGAAAAGUAUGAUUUGGAACUAAUUAAUAAUAACACGUGAAAUAUGUAUGAUAUUAAAAUAAAAAUUAGAUUAAAUUGAGAAUAAAACAAAUCUAAACACAAAAACACAUCAUAUUAAGAAUACUAAAUGAAUGCAAAUGUUUAUCAUUAUUUUGUCUUCAAUCCCAAGUUGGUGAUGCUAAAUCAAUAACAUUAUUUACAUACAUAAAUAUAUAAAAAUUUAGAACACAAAUGUUUGUCUGUUAUAAAAGCAUGUAUGACAUGUAUAUUUUUGACAUUUGUUAAUUCUGCAUGUGCAUUAGGAUGAGAUUUGUGUUUAGGAGGAAGGGUGGGAGUUUAAUUCAUUUUCCACAUUUUGUGGCUCAGCCACACAUAUUUCUGCAUUUGGCGAUGAAUCACCUAAUGAUCUGGCAACUAGGCUGCGAAUAUUUUGAAAAGUUUCAUACCGGUACUAAGCAGUGUGUAGGGUUUGAUGGGUAUUUAAUACCCUAUAUGGUGUGUAGGGAUAGUCGGAGAUGGUGUGUAACGGAUCGGAGUAGGAUUGUAAUCUACAUUUAAUAUGUUUCGAUUCUGUUUCUGUAUAUGAUAUAUGUCUAAUUGACUUCCUAAAGCACGUUUGAAAAUUAUAUCUGAUAUUUUUACUCUUAUAAGUUACAUAUUGAGCUUGCAAGCUCACUCUCAGUUUCUCUUAUUCUUAAGUAAUCCUUAGACUUAGGUGGGUCGGUGCGACUGGAGCUCGAUUAAUUAUCUUCUUGUUAUAUUUGUUAUUUUAAUCUGGUUUAUUCUGUUUUGGUUUUGAAUUGUUUUUAAGUUUAGGUUUAUUUUCGUUUUAUUUAUUUAUUUAAACAUUUUUGGUCGAUUUAAAUUCAAUCUACAAAAUGUUAAAUUAUAUGGCAACAAAUUGUGUUUUCAAAUUUGGACUCAAUUAAGAAUUUUCGCUACAAACAUAAGUGUUUUACUAGUAAAUAAUUGAAAAUUUUAUCGAAAUGGUUAAGAAGGAUAUUUUCCCCAAAUAAACUCGAAUUUUACUUAAUAAGAGCUAGCAUUGAUUUAUAAGUUGAACGGAUUCUGGAUUUUCAAAUAAAUUGUAGUAACAUCUCCAGAUUUUCCCAUAACGUCUAGGCCAGGUUUGGGGUGUUACAGAGCCUAUAAGCUCACCAGGUUUGGGGUGUUACAGAGCCUAUAAGCUCACUCAGUGUUUCUAACUUCUCAAUUAAUCAACAUAUUUAGGACCAAACGACGUGCAGAAGAUCAGAUUGAAUUCUCAAUUAUUUAAGUAUGAUGGUUCAUGUUUUUAAAUUAUUCUGGACAGUCUGAUUUUUUUGGGGGGUUGUAAAUCUUUUUCCGGAUUUUGCUUUGCUUAGUUGGAUUUAGUAAUUAUUACUUAAAACUACAAGAUUUUAUGUUUUACAAAUUAAGUCAUGGUUUUCAAAUUUUACUACUCUAAAAUUUCCACUACAAAAUAAAGUAAUCACUUAAGGUUUUUCUAUAACAAAAUAAAUAGUUUUAAUGAUUGUUUUCUUAAAAAUUGAAAAGCGAUUCGCCAGAAUUAAUAUUGUCAAAACACACAAUUUUAAAUUUAUUUUCUAGGUUUUUAAACAAGUUAAUGUAAUUCCUCCAGAUUCGAUCAUAACGUAUAAAUCAGGUUUGUGGCGUUACAAUUUUUGUUCUCAAUUUACAUAUAUUUAUCAAUUUGACCCUGCUUUUAUAUAAAAAAAUUAAAAUCAUUUAUAAAAUAGAACAAUGUAUAUAAAAUUCUAGAAAAAUAAAAUGUUGAAUAUAUUGUCGAAGAACUAAAAUGUAUGAGAAAUAAAGAAAAGUAUCAUUCAAUAGAAUCCAAUAACAAAUUAGAAACAAAACGAAAUAAAAAAGUUCAGUUUCAUGCUCUUGAAGAACGUCUAGGACUGAUAUUAUAGACUUAUAAAAUCAACCCGACUGUCAUUUUUUUGGUCAAAAGAAUACAAAAUAUACCACAAAAUUUUUUUCAAACUCAGUUCAAAUUUUAAUUACAUUUAAAUUAUUUUUCAAAACCCAAAUUGUAAAAACAAAAUGUGUUUCUUCUUCGGUUGAGUUGGGCUUAGACAAGGUUUUUAUCUCACGAGCUGUUCCAAUUCCAAUUCAAUUUAAAUAAUAAAAAAUAUUUUUAAAUUUUAAAUUUAAUUAAGAGUAUAAAAAUAUUUUUUAACAUAGUAUUAUUUUUUGAACUCACAAAUGGACUUUUCUAGGUUGACUAAGCUUGGUUAAAAAUGGGUUAGGCUUGAAAAAAUUUUAGAUUAUUUUUAAGAGUAUAUCAAGGAGUCUAAUAAUUACAAUUUUUUUAAAAGGUUUUAAUAACACUAGAAAUCUUAUCACACGCAUAUAUCUUACUUUGCAAAUAAAAUAGUAUUUUUGGUAAUUUUCUUAUUGAGUUGGGACUCGAUUGAUGAGUGACACUAACUCAGUAAAAUGUUUAAUACAUAGUAUAGAUAAAACAAUUCUAAACUAAAAUUUUUAAAAGAAUUUAGGGUAAAAUUCAACUAUGGUUAAGUUUUCAUUUUGGUCACUUAAUUAAAAAAAUGUUACAAUUUAAUCACUAAUAUUUUCAAAAUUAUUUUCUUUUUGUCACCCGACUGUUAAGUGGCACUUGUUUUAGGUGGUAUAAUAAUAAUUCUAGUCAUCAGUUUUUAUAUUUUCUAUCAAUUUGACUCUGAUUGUGUAUAAAAAAUUAUUUAAAAAACUCAAAAUAUUUAUAAAAUAGAAAAAUGUAGAUAAGAUUUCUGGAAAAAUAAAAUCUUGAAGUUGUUGAAUAACUAAACUGUAUGAAAAAUAAAGAAAAUUAUGAUUUAAUAAAAUCCAAUAACAAAUUGAAAACAAAACAAAACAAAGUUACAUUUUGCACCUUAUACUUGUUCAUAAUAGCUAAUAUUCACAUAAUUUUUCAAUUCAGACCAUUUUAGUGAUGAAUUCACUAAAUUCUAGUUAUAGCUAAACAUAUAGAUGAAAUCAAGUACAAUUUACACAUAAUAUAAAACCAGAUAGUAAGUUUCAUAUUUAAUGUCACACCCUAAUUCAACUCAUUGCUAAUACAACUCAUUGACUUGUAUAUUUAAUUUCAAGUUGUAUAUUUAAUACUGACAACUUCAACAAUGCAAAUGAUUUAGUAAUGGGGUGCGAAUAACUAUACCUAAUGCAACUCCUUUACUUGUAUAUUUAAUUUCAAGUUGUAACUUAUAAUUAUGCAUUCUUAUACCCUGCCGUCCCAACUCUUAUUUUUAUUAAAUAUUAUUUAUUGCCAACUUCAAUGAUUUUGUUUUGAUGUCCAAGGUCUAUCCCCAAAUUUCAAGCAUCCUGUCAAGCUAAUUUUCUUUCAUUUGCUUAAUCCAUCACAUGCUUUUCUUUGCUUGAUUCAUGACUUUGCAAUUUCACACCCUAAUACAACUCAUUCCUAAUACAACUCAUUGACUUGUAUAUUUUAUUUCAAGUUGUAACAUAUGAUUAUGCAUUCUUAUACCCUGUUGUCCCAUACUUUUCGAUUAAUUAUUAGAUUUAAUGAUAAAUUUAGCCUUUAACGUUUGAUUAUUUUAUUAAAAUGGCCCUAAUUGUGUUUUUGAAGUUUUUUUUUUUUUUGGCUAUCAACCUUUGUUCUUUUUUUCACUCUUCUUUUUUAAAUAGAUUUAAUGAAAGUAUCUUAAAAAAGUUAACCGCGAUUAUGUGAAAUUUCAUAUGUCGAAUAUUUUUAAUGAGAUAUAAUUUAUUAGUUAGAAAACCCAAUAAGAUAUUUAUAUUCUUGUGAAAAAAAAUAAUACAUUAAAGUGAAAAAAAAAUCUUAAUUUAAAGAAAAUAAACUUAAUUAUUUUUUAAAAAAAUUAACUCAGUAGAAAAACUUUUCAGUAAACAAACAUAUGAAAGAUUGAAAACUUUUGAAAGGAAAAAAAAUAUUGAAACAAAUGCUGAUGGUAAAGAAAAGCUCAAAAAUAGAAUUAGGGCCAUUUUGACAAAACAAGCAAAAAUUAGUAGUCUAUUUUGCCUAAAAAUAGAAAAGCCUAAAAAAUGCCGCUAAAAGUCUAUUUUACUACAGUAGUCUCGAUUCCUUCUUAAUGCUACAUCGGUUUGAAGAUCUGCGUUAAUAGUCGAUCAACAAUAAUGAAUGCUCACUAACCAAGCUAAGAGGGUUCGGUCAAUGGGUGAGAAAUAAUGAUGACAAGAUGAGACUUAGAUGGGGCAGCAAUGCAGAAAUUAUGAAGGCAACAAAAACUUCAAUGUGCAACAACAGGAGAAGGAGAAUUGGACAUCAAUGGAAAAUCAAAAAUGGUAGAAACUUCUAAACAAAAUAUUGAUAUUAAAAAGGCAAUGAUUCAGCCAAAUAAAUUGGAGAAGUGAUAGGCAAAGGGGCAGCACAAAUAGAAAAUAAAACUUGUGUUUUAGGUUGCAAUAAUGGUGGGUUAUGAGAGAAAAUUGAAGAAUAAUGGCAAGGAAAAAUGAAGGGGACGACAAUAGCUUGAGAAAAAUAAAUAAAAUAGGCUAAACAUAAAAUAAAAUGCAAUUUAUACCUAGGUUAAAAAGGGCUUGGAAGGCAACAAGGUUUUAAGGAGCAGAAACGUUGAAAAAAUAAAAAUUUACAAGGGAAGGGAAUCAAACUCAAGUCUUAAGGUCAAUUUCACUAACUCUUUACCACUAGGCCAAUUAAUCAUUCUUUUCAUAAACGCUCAAACAAAACCUUAAAAAUUAGGGCAAGACAACUCUCAGUUCACUAAACCGAUUUCUUCCUACCCAAUUCCUUCUGACCCAAUUUUUGGGACAUGACAAAACUAUUAGUAAGUUUACGUUUAGUUUUAGUCACUUAACUUCAAAAGGUUACAAAAUGGUCAAUAAACUAUUCAAAAGUUUUCAUUUAAGUCAUUGGUUUGUUAAUGUUUUUUUUAAGUUUAACUAAUGAGCUUCAAGCGAUGAUUCGACAAUUGAUGUAGUGAAUCUAUACCCAUUGAUGAGUGGAGCAUAUCUUAGAUCCAAGUUAACAUGCCAUUUAGUGUAGAAGAUUGGAGAAAAAAAGUUGUUUGAAAUUUGGUUCACAGAUUUGUGACGUUCAAAACUGUUUUAUGAAAUGAAAUUAUGUUGUAAAAGAGAAGGGAAACGUGAGCUUUCAAUUGAUACAAACGGUGCAAACAAAGGUCAUAUAGUAACAAUUUUAAAAGCUUGAUGACUUAAAUGAAAAUUUUUGUAUAGUUCAGUGAUCAUUUUAUAAUUUUUUGAAAUGAACUAAAACAUAAACUUAUUAAUAAUUUAAUGACCUUAAUUGCCAUUUACCCAUAAAACUAUUAAGACCAUUAAUGAUCAUUAUUCUAAAAAGUGAUGCAUUAAUUAUAUCUUUUUAUCUUUUAUAUAUUAUUUCGAUUAAUACUUAAAUUAUUUGUACGAAAAAAAAAUCAAAAUGAAAUGCAACAUGUUCUGAACUUUUAUUAAAGCUCAUCAUUUUGUUGAAGAUACCCCAAUCCAUGAUUUCAACAUUGGAAUUUUUGAAAGUCCCUAGUAAUAGUAUGAAUUAUGAAAUUUCAAAAAAGCAUAUUCUUAUUUAUUGUUAAUUUCAAGCUAAUUUUAAUAGGUAUGCUUACAUCUGUCUUUAGAAUUUGCAAAACAAAUAGAAAAUUCACUUUAAAUGUAUAAAAAUGAAUAAAGAAAACCCAUCUUCAUUUCUGACAGCAAAUAAGAAAUAGGAAAAAAAAACUAAAAAAGAAAUACAUAUUUUCUUGAUAGACGCUUCAAAUGAAACAAAUAUGAAAAACAUAGUUGUAGGAGUGUUCAAUUGCUUAAUCGAUCCAUUAACCAAAUCGAAUUAGUAUUAACAAAAUCGAAAUUAUCAUGAAAAAACUCAAACUUAUAAAUCCCUAUCCCGAAAAAAAAAACUGAAGCAUCCAGAAAAUACAUCAAGCAUUGAACUACAAAAGAACAUAUCACUAUUCAUAGUUGUAGAGGAGGAUUAGACACUGCUGCUAACGAUGGGUGAAGAAAUAUGCCAACCAAAGACAUAUUGUUGUGUCUGGCGGGGUUAUUCUACCUAUACCAAAAACAUGUUAUUUCAACAUUACAAUGAAAAUUCUGAUACAGUGACAAUAUAAUGAAAUAAAUUUUAUCAUGUUCCGAAGAAGAAUUAAUAAGGGGAAUUUCUAUUGCAUUCUAUAUUUUUCAUAAUCUUUACAUGUAGUAUACUCCACUAUAUAUAGAAAGAUUAGACUCUUCAUAUUCUAAGACAUAAAUAAGAAAAAAGGGUUAUAAGGAGAUGAAAGUUUAAAAAUUAAAGAAAAUGAAAGAUUAAGGUCAAGAGAGAUGAAAGGUGAAAGGUUAAACAUCCACUUAAUAAUAUUAAUAAUAAAUAUUUUAAAUGUAACAAAAAUCAUAAAAAUAAUAGAAACACCGCUCCAAAUGAACCAAUUCCACUCAAGCAAUUACUGAAACUUCAAGUAAAACAUGAGAGCAUAGAUUGUUUAUUUUUUAAUAAGUUAAUUGCACCAAAUAUUUUUAAAUUAUUACCCGCAUUCUAUAUUAAUGCACUUUCGAAAUAUUGUGAUUAAUUGCUCACUUUCGAAAUUGGUAGGGAUUAAAUUGUUUCGGUUUUUUUAGAGGGAUCAAUUUGCUGAAUAUCAAAAUUGAGAGGGACUAGAGAGGUCGUUUUACCUAGUUUAAUAAUUAAAUGACAUGUUAAAUCUUAUGUGACAUAAUUUAAAAUGAAAAUUAAAAAAAAAGGAAGAUUGUAAAAAUAGUUGUUUUAAAAAUCAUGGUUUUGAAGUUUUUACACCAUUUUUAUUGUUCGUUUUUUUUAAAUUUCAGUUUAUAUAAUUUUAGCUUCUUUAAAAUUAUUAUUUUAAAAUUAGCUAUAUAAAAUUUAACGUGUCAUUUAAUGAUUUUAAUAAUAAAAUGACCUGAUUAAUAUAAUAUCAAUAGUUUAGAAAUGUAAUUAGAUCAGUUUGAAGUUUGAAAAUAAAUUUAAAAUAAUUGUCAUAAUUUAGGGGUGGUUGAUGCAAUUAACUCAUUUCUAAUGGUCAUAAUUUAGGACAAAGUGAGAAAGUGGAAAGCAGAGUUAAAAUAUGACCCAAAGACUCACCUUUUUAUAAGUCGUCUCCUAUCAUAAUUGCAGACUCACCUUUUUAUAAGUCGUCUCCUAUCAUAAUUGCAUAAUAAAUGGAUGGGGCAAUUACCAAACGAUGAAGCAAAAGAAAAAGGCUAAAAGAAAAAGUAAUAAAAAUAGGAUUUCUUACUAAUAAUUCUGCCUCUGUGGAUCCUACCGGAGACUUCAUAAUUUCCCUGUUUUUAUCUUCACUUUCUUCUUACUUCUUCACUGCUUUUAAUUUGUUUCGAUGUCCAACGUCUAUCACAAAUUUUGAAGCCUCCAGUCAAGGUAAUUUUCUUUCAUUUGCUUAAUUCAUCACAUGCUUUUCUUUGCUUUUGAUUAUCUGCUACUGUUAUAGCAGCUAGCUUUGUAAGAUUGUCAAGGAACUCAACUUCACUGCUUCCUUUUCACUUCUAAUCUCUGUACACUUUUCAGCCACUAAGUCAGGUAAUAAGAUCUGUUGCACUGAUUUCCUCUACUAAUUAUCAACAGUGUUAGAUUUUAAGAGUGGAUGACCAGCAGACAUAAUCUACUAUAGAUAGAAAUUAAUACAAAAACAGCUACCCAGAAGCAAUAUAAUGUUGAAAUCUCAAACUGUUCUGUAAUGAACUCUUGCACACUUGAAUCUAGCAUUUUAUAUACAUCGAGAGCUUGAUUCUGGUGACUAGAAUUUCAUCAUGUUUCUGUCUGCCACCCAUCCAUAGCUCCAUCUAAUAGACGCCAUUGCUUGAAACUUGCAUUCAUGUUUCCUUUUCAUGCUUACACUGACAUAUCAAUACUUCAUCCAAUACAUUCACAGAUUUUCAUUCUCUGCUACUGUUAUAUAUGAUUGCAUUGCAGGGACAUAGCAAUGGAGUACGUAGAGCCUGUUGUUGGCAUUGCAAAUUGUCUCGGAACUCCUGUUUGUAAAUACUUGCAAUAUCACAGAAAGAUGAACGAUUAUGUGAGAAACUUCAAGAGGAUGAGAGAUGAAUUGAAUUGCAAAAUGGAAGACAUAGAUCUGCAAUUGAAAGCAGAGCUUCUUCGUCCUCUGGGGAAGAUACCAAAGAAGGGAGUUGAAAAUUGGUUGAAAGAUGUGAAAGAGAUGAUUAGGGAAGCACAAGUUGUUGAAAACAAAGUCAGGAACGGGAGAUAUCUCUGUCGUGCUUGCAACGGUAAGCUGGUUGAUGAAAAGACUCGAGAAAUGAAGGAAUUUCUUGAUAAAGCUCCUAAUGCCUCUGAAGGUCUUGCCAUGGAUGGUCCAAGUGCUGGGUUGCCACUGCCAACAUCAGAACUAGUUGGAGAGGAAGCUGUCAGAAAUGAGAUUUGGGCAUAUUUGAUGCAGGAGGAGGUGAGCAAGAUUGGGGUUUGGGGGAUGGGCGGUGUGGGUAAAACCACUAUCAUGAAGCACAUCCACAAUGAUCUUUUGAAAGAACAACGAUUUGAAAGGGUGGUUUGGGUUACUAUAUCAAAGGAGUUCAAUAUUGUGAAGUUACAAAAUGAUAUUGCAAGUGCAUUGAAUGGAAAGAUGCCCGAAGAAGCAAACAAGGUCAGACGAGCAGCAAUCUUGUCCGAAAUGCUGAAGAGAGCAGGAAAACAUGCUCUAAUCCUAGAUGAUGUGUGGAGUGAAGUCUCGUUGGAAGAAAUUGGGAUCCCUAAGCCAAGUAGCAGCAAUGGGUACAAGUUGGUGUUGACAACCCGUGUGGAGCAAGUUUGUAAGUCUAUGGGCUGUAAGGUGAUAAAAGUGAAGCCCCUUUCAGAAGAAGAGGCAUUAAUACUAUUCUUGAGUGAAGUUGGACCUAACAUAGUGCAAAAUCAAACUAUAAUGCCUACUCUAAAGCUUGUUGUCAAGGAAUGUGCGGGUCUACCCCUUACAAUUGUCGUCAUAGCUGCUACAUUGAGAGGAGAAGAUGACCCUCUUAUUUGGAAAAACACACUCGGAAUUGAAAGAGAGAAUAGGGAAAGUGAAAGAAGGGGAAGAUAAAGUGAUCGAGAGUUUGAAAGUUAGCUUCAAUCACUUAAAAGACGAGAAAGUGAAAUAUUGUUUCUUACAUUGCGCAUUAUAUCCCGAAGAUUUUGGAAUUAAAAAGGAUGAACUAAUUGAGUGCUGGAUUGAAGAGGGAUUCAUAGAUGAUAUGAGUACAAGACAAGAAAUGAAAGAUAAGGGCCAUGUUAUUUUGAAGAAAUUAGAAGAUAAUUGCUUGUUGGAAAAUGUCUCGAGUGAAAGAGUGAGAAUGCAUGACGCAGUGAGAGACACGGUAUUGUCGAUCACAAGAAUGAAUCCUCGAUAUAUGAUACAAGCAGGUUCGCAAUUAAAAGAGUUACCAGAAAAGGAGCAAUGGAGUCCGGAUAUUGAGAAAGUGUCACUUAUGUAUAACUCCAUAUCAGAAAUUUCCAUAGAUGUGCUGCCCAUAAAAUGUCAACUGCUCACAACCUUGUUAUUGCAGGAGAACCCUAUAAAGAAGAUCCCACAUUCUUUCUUCACAAACAUGCCCUGUCUUAGUGUUCUCAAUUUGUCCUCUACGAAGAUCAAAAGUUUACCAAAUUCCAUCUCUGAACUAAAGAACCUCACAACAUUGUUGCUUUGUUGCUGUGUAGAAUUAAGAGACCUGCCAUGUCUUUCGAUGCUUCAAGAAUUGAAGAAGUUGGAUCUUUAUGGGACUAACAUUGAGGAAGUCCCUGAAGGAAUGGAUAUGUUGAUAAAGCUAAGCUAUCUUGAUGUUACAGUGUUCACUCUGAAAGAGAUACCCGCUGGACUUUUACCAAAACUCGUUCACCUUCAGCACUUGAGUUUUGCUGGGAACAAUGAAAAAAUAAGUCUAAAUGCAGAGGAGAUGGAACCAUUGAAGAAGUUGGAGUGCUUAACCGGACAUUUCGAAGACAUCAGUGAAUUCAAUAAGUUCGUCUCCUCAAUGCAGCAAAGUAAGAAAAAUCUCAUCAAGUACCAUUUACAGGUGGGCUGAUAUCUCAUUCCUCUGUGUGUGACUCCUGAAAUAGAUAAAAUAGUAGCAAUUGGAGGAGUCGACAAUUGGGAAGGUGAGUUAAUUAUGCACCCAAUCGAAAUUAAAGAGUUGCAUAUUAUUGAGUGCGACUAUUUGAGAAGCUUAGUCGAUGACAAUUCUUCCUUCAAAAAUGCGAUUGACUUGAGGGUUUGUGGGAUUUGGGGGUGUGAAGGGAAGUGUGUUGUUUCCCUGUCCUCUUUUGCCUCUUCUUCCGCUCAUCCAUUUCAGAGCCUCGAGGUGUUGGAUCUUCAAUUUCUGCCAAAGUUGAGUGCCCUUAUUAUGAAAGAUGAAGGAAUUGGUCCAGCAACAACAUCAACAUUGGCUCCGUCUGCCACCUUUUCCCAUCUUAAGGAAAUUACGAUAGUCAGCUGCUCAAGUAUGAAGACGUUGCUUCCACAUUGGUUGCUUCCAAACCUCCAAAACCUGGAAAACAUACACGUGGAGGAUUAUAGUCAGCUAGUAGAAAUAUUGGGAGCAGCAACAUCAGAAGUUGAAGAAAAAGGGAGUGAUGCAUUAAUCAAAUUCCAUCUUCCCAAAUUGAGAGAACUGAAAUUGUGGAUUUUACCAAAUUUGAAGAGCAUUUGCAGCAAAAGUGGAGUGAUGGUUUGUGAUUCUCUCCAAGUUAUCAUAGUUUUUGGAGAUUGUGAUAAACUGAAGAGAAUUCCUCCAUUUGUUCCCCUUGUUGGCAAUGGGCAGCCAUUUGCAUAUGCUCUACCUUCUUUUACCAUCAGGUCAAGCACAAAAUGGUGGGAAUCGUUGGAGUGGGAUGACCAUCCAAACUUUAAAAAUGUUCUUCGCUUCAACCUCCGUGGAGGAUAAGAGGUAUGAACCAUUUAUGGUUUAGUUUAUUUUUUUAUUUUGAUAAAUCUAAUUUCUCCAUAUUAAUAAAAUUUGACGUAUAUUUGUGAUGAUGCUGAAGAGAAAGAUAAAAGUGUGGGUGGGAAAGAAGUAGGGGGGAGGAUAGUGCAAAAGAGAGGAAAAAAGGAAUGAUGGAAGAGCAUGGAGAGUGAGAGGCAAAGGUAAAUAAGAACUCAAACUGCCUCCACUUUUUAAACAUAUUUUCCCUCUCUUACUCCUAUUCUCUUAUUCUUCUCUAAUAUAUACAUAUAUAUAUAUAAUUCCCAAAAAAACCUUCAUAUAUUCAUAUUUAUAAUUAAAACAUUUAAGUUAUAAACGUAUUUUGAUAUGAUAUCGAAUCAAAUAUUAUUAUGGUCUUUUAUCACAUGCAACACUAGUCUAUUAUUUCGUAAAUUUCAAAGUUUAUAUAAAAAUAUAUACACGCUUCCAAUUUUAAAGUAAAUAAUAUGGAAUAGAAGUUGACUAUAGACCUCACCAUAUCUCGAGUCAAUCCAACUUAAAUUUAAUUUAAAUAAUAUAAAAUUAUAAAUUAACUAUUUAUAAUUAUAGAACUUGUAGUAUAACUAUAUUUUAAUUUAUAAAAUAGGGUAUGUAAUUAUUAAAUUAUUUUUAUACUAUCAGUCAUUACUAUUAUAUCAUAUUUACAGAAAAUUGUCUAUUUUAUAUAUUUGAAUUCGAUGACCCAAAUAUUAAAAUUAUAUAUUUGAACUCGUGAUAAUAUGUAUUAUAAAUUCCUCGAUUGUUGGGCCAAUAGACACAUUACUUGCCAAAUCACAAAGUGAAAUUUAUACAAGUCAACUACGAAGAAAAACACUAUCGCUAACACAUUAUUAAAAAAGAUAAAAAGGAAUGAAUUUCAAUAAUCUCAUAAGUCAUUGUAUAUUCUCAAGUCAAUGACUACCAUCCAUCAAACUACAAAGUGAAGUUCAUAUAAGCCAGACGAAAGCACCCUCCAUCAAUAUGCCAAUAAAAAAAUUUAAGUCAAGACUUGGAUUCAGUUCAGUAGUACAAUCCACGGUAUGACUCAUAAAGGUAUUUAUCCACAGUAAAGGCACCCUUCCAGCAAGGGUUCAUUUUCAUUUCCCUAAAGAUCAUUUAUUGAAUGGUAGCUCGCUUUAUUACAAUUCUAAAUAUUUGUAAAUUACCACAAUUUUUAUAAGAAAAAUACAAGUAAAUAGUUCUUGUUCACAACCAGAGGUGCUCAUGGGCCGCCUAGCCCGACGGCCUGCCCGAAAUAUGGGAGGGUUUGGGUAAAAAUAUAGGUCUGAAAUAUGGGCUUGGGCAAAAAAACGAGGCUCGUUUAAAAAACGGGCCGGGCCUCGGGCACCACUUUUUUGGCCCGGGCCUGGCCCGGCCCGAUAUAACAAAUAUAUAUUUUUUAAUUUUAAAAUAUUUUUUACAUACUUUUUUAAUUUUUUUUAAUUUCAAAAUAUUUUUAAAAUACUUUUUUUUAAUUUUUUUUAAUUUUAAAAUACUUUUAAAAUACUUUUUUUAAUUUUUUUAAUUUUAAAAUAUUUUAAAAAUACUUUUUUUAAUUUUUUAAAAUUAUUAAAAUAAAAAUGGGCCGGGCCCGGGCUUAUGAUUUUUUUCCCGAGCCUAGCCUGGGCAAAAUCUUAGGCCCAUUUUUCGGGCCGGGCCGGGCCCGGGCCUAGGACCCGGGCAGAAAUUUUUUAUGGGCCCGGCCCGAACCCGGCCCGGCCCAUGAGCACCUCUAUUCACAACACAUGUAAGAUCAUUUAUCGAACGGUAGCUCGCUUUAUUAUAUUAGCAUAGUGUUAAAUAGUUUCUAUCGCCUCCGAGAUUAGUUUGAUUUCAAACGAUUGCUUUACCGUCAACGUUAGCAUAAUUUAAAUGGUAAUGAACAAUUGCAAUGCGCCAACACAAUUCUAAAUAUUUGUAAAUUAUCACAAUUUUUAUAAGAAAAAUACAAGCAAAUUGACCUCGUCCACAACACAUGUAAGAUCUGAUUUUACCUCAGAUUUUUGAAAAACAGAGAAUGAUUUAAACUAAAUGAAAAAAAAAAAAAACCUCGAGAUAAUGAUUUUUUGUAUUUAAGAUGAGAGGAAGUAAUUAUCCGACAACUUAACAACACUAAUAGUUAUUUAAGAAUUUAGGUAUAGGUAUAGGUAUAGGUAGUUGACUGUUAGGAUUUGUUAAAUUAAUGUUAUCUUAUAUCUGUUUCUUUUUGGAUUAAAUCCUGAACUGCAUAAAGCAAAAACAUGAGACAAAUUAAUGUUAGCUUGUGGUCCUUCAACUUUUUCCACUUCCAUCUUACUCUGAUUUCAACAUUUCAUUACCACUCUCUAUUAUUUAUAUCUCCUUCUCCUGCAAUGGAAGCUGCAGGUUUCAGAGCUGCCAUAAAUAAGGAUUUCAUAGCUCAAGAACUUGACAAUGACAGGGAAGAUGACCAAGAAGAAGAAGGGGUUGCUAUGGGAAGGUAGGGUUCAGUGAUGGCUUGUCACAGCCUUCUUCUCAAGUGGAAAAAUCCAAGCUCAGUUCAUCGGAUGCAUUUGCCCGCAAUCAAAAGGGAGUCAUUGCAGACAUAAUCAGCUUAUGCUACCAAUCUUAAUAUAAGAACCAAAACAUCAACUUACUAUACUAUGAUGAAGGAUUUUAUAACAACGUCAGGUAUAGGAAUUAAAAUUCAAUUAUCCAAGGGAAUCUAAGGGAUAACAUCUGAAGGAAAUUCAGAUUGUUCAACAACAAAUUUGAAAUGUCAUGGCAGAUUAGGUAUCCAAUCAGCUGAACCGCUAAAGCGAUUGAAAGCUUGGUAGAAUAUUAUGUUCCAGUGCUACAAAUUCAACUUUAGUUUCCUUCAUUACUGUUUGCCUAUGUAUAGAAAGCUUAGGAUACCACACAAAAUAUGCAUAACAUUCUAUCCAACAUAAGAAAGGUACAAAAAAGAGUUCGUUAUCAUACGGAAACAGGUGAAGUUGCCACACUUACAGAUCACUAAAAUUUCACAACAAUGAUGGAAAUGUCAUCCUCAGUUAGGUGCUUUGCAGCAGAUCGAGCAUCCUUAAUGCCUUUGAUAGCAUCGACAGCUUCUUGGUUUGACAUUACCUGGAAUUUAAGGAACGGACCAUUAAAUCUCAGGUUCAACACGCAGGUUCAAUAAAGGAAAAAUGUGAUUAGGUAGGGCUUACCUUCCAUAAACCAUCACUAGCCAAUAUUAUGAGGUCAGUAUCAUCGUCGAUUGUUUCAGUGCUCACAUCUGGCUCCGAAGUAAGAUGUUUCUUUAAAAUCUUGUCACCAAAUGCUCUCGCCACCGCAAGCUGGCCGUCAACACACGCGACAUCCCCUGAAACAAAAACAAUAUCAGGAAAAGCUGGUGUAACCUUGAGCGUCAUCCCCAAAAGAUCAGGCACCCAUUACCUGGAAAGUUCGAAACAAAACCACCUCUAUUUUCAAUGCUCUCCCUUUCAGAAGCGGGCUCAUGAUCAACUGAAAGCUGCUUAGCCACACCGUUCUUAGAAAUCACAGCCCGGGAAUCGCCAACAUUUGCUAUUACUGUUGGAACAAUGGCAGCAGCAAACAAAGUUGCAAGCAGGAACAAACAAGAGUGAUCGAGCCAAAAGAAAAAAAAAACAAGCAAAAACAGCAAAAUGUAACUUGAAUGCUCAGCAAAAUUUGUAACUGAACUACUACUUUCAUUCAAAAUUCAAAAUGUAUAUAUAAGUUACAAUAUGCAAUAUGACAGUUACCUAAUAAUCUAACUGCCUCCACUAAUGCACAACUAAUACAAGCUUAGACAAAUACAAAGAUAAGCUGUCAUACCAGCUUUUACAUCAAAGAUCCAAUCAAAACUUAAUCCUACUAACUUUAUAAACUAGUUACAAAGCAACUAAGCUAGAUUACAUUACAACAAGAUAAUUAAAAAACUGGUUGCUUCAUUCGGUCGAUUUUCAUUCUUGCGCACCAAGCAAAUUUGUUGAGCUCAAUAGCUGCAGUUGUUUGCUGCUGAUCUCGACAGUAGCUGGCUUCAUGUUGCAUUGCAGUCCAGCUCUCAACAAUUACCAGCUUCUGGCAGUUGAUCAAUAUUGCUGUCACUGCCGUUGAACCCCCUUUGCCCAAAUCAAUGCCUUGUUCCAAUAUAUUUGUAUCCGUUAAACGAUACGCUUUCCUAAUCGCAUUCUCUGGUUCCGACCAAAAGUCGGGCUGCUCGCAUAAAAAGAAACAGAGGCGCUUGGUUAAAACUACAAGCAAAACACUGUCAAUGCAUAGGAAAAAGAUGCCGUAAGAUCCAGCUUAUUAUAGAUUACCUCAUUCAAGAUAUUGUUAAACAAGUUCGCCUUCAAAUAUUCGGGAAUAACAUGGCUCAAAUGGCCAUCGAAUAUGGCAAAUAAACCGAGCUCACUGCCAUUGACUUGCUUAAACUCCGCGAAAACAUAGUCCUCCAUUGGAUGAUUCGCUUUCCCCUUCACUAAAUGAUAACCAUGCGUUAUAUUCUUCGACAUCUUACUCUUCCCUUUUCCAGAUUCAGCAUUAUGAGAAGGGUUUAAGCCAACUUUUUCUUGAACUUUCUGCUGCAGUGAUGAAGAAAAACAUGCCAUCACCCGUAAAGCAUUGUGGUGGAAAUGGGUUAAUUCUUUUCCAAAAUGCAGUUAAUUGAUUCAAAACUUUUUAACAAUUUCAUUUUCUUGGGAAAUUAUUGAGGUCAAAUCAUCCAAAAACAUCCAAUUCUUCCCACAAACUAGUUCUUGGAAACAAUUUACUCCAAUUUCCAAAUUUCCAAGAAAAAACAAUCAUAAUCAAACCCCAUAUAUAAUAAAUCCAAAAUCAAUCACUUCAAGAUGAUGCAAAUGGGUUCUUUCAAAGAUAAAUCAUAACCCAUUUUUUCAGGAUUUUGCUUUGCUUAGUUAGAUUUAGUAAUUAUUACUUAAAACUACAAGAUUUUGGAUUUUAUAAAUUAAGUAAUAGUUUUAGUACUCUAAAAUUUUCGUUCCAAAAUAAAGUAAUCAAGUGUUUUUUUUAUAACAAAAUAAAUAGUUUUAAUAAUUGUUUUCUUAAAAAUUGAAAAGCGAUUUGUCAGAAUUAAUAUUGUCAACACACAUAAUUUUAAAUUUAUUUUUUGGAUUUUUAAACAAAUCAAUGUAAUUCCUCCAGAUUCGGCCAUAAUAAACCAAUUGGCGUUACAAUUUUUAUCCUCAAUUUAUAUAGAUUAUCAAUUUUUCCUUUAUUUUAUAUAAAAAUUUAAAAUCAUUUUUAAAAUAGAAAAGUGUAUUAAAAUCUUGAAUAUGUUGUUGAAGCUAAAAUGUAUGAGAAAUAAAGAAAAGUAUUAUUCAAUAGAAUACAACAACAAAUUAGAAACAAAAUGAAAUAAAAAAGUUUAGUUUCAUGCAGAACAUCUAGGAUUGAUACUACAAAGACUUAUAAAAUUGGCCUGGAUGUCAUUUUUUUGUCAAAAAAUUACAAAAUAUACCACAAAAUACUUUUUUCAAACUCAGUUCAAAUUUUAAUUACAUUUAAAUUAUUUUUCAAAACCCGAAUUGUAAAAACAAAAUGUGAUAAGUUACAUAUUCUGAAACGGUUUUUAGAAUAAACCGUUUUGGAAGUAAUUCAAGCUUCCAUUUUUUCAAUGUUCUUAAAACCGCAAGGGUUUCAAGUUCGUGAACUGGAUAUCUUUGCUCUGUACCAGAGAAAGAGCCAUUCGCGUAGUUUGAUAGCAAUUCGACGCGUGACCAUCGUUUGCUUGUCAUUAGAGCCUUUAAUCGCUCUAGGAAACCUAUAUCCUUCUAUGGUAAUUGUAACCAUUUCGGCUAUCCAUUUUAGGUAAAUUACUGAUCCAUCAGCAAUUUUUACUGGUUGAGGGUUCAAAGCCUCUUGCCAUAAAUCCUCUGGUAAGAGAUUUUUCUUACAGAGUGUUACACUAGCACCCGUAUCUAUAUAAGCAAAUACAGUUUUACCAUGUAAUUGUACCUGUAUGAAGGUACUAUUCGGAUUCUGACUCCGUUUUUGACUCAUAAUCUAUCUCUAGAUCACUUAGGCCAAAUGAUUCGUCUUCACUAGACGUUUCUAUAGGUUCAAACCCUAAAGAUAAUACCUUAUUAAGGACUUUUAGCUUUCCCGGCCCUUGUCCUUUCUUUUUGCAUUCUGAUGCAUAGUGUCAUUCUUCGUGGCAAAUCCAACAUGUUAACAUUAAUGGGAGACAACAUUAAUGGCAAACAAUACAAAGUGGUGCAAGUUUAGCACCCUAAAGUUGACUUUGAAAAAGUGGCAUGGGAUAAUUUUUUUUUGGUCCUUGAGAUAAUGGGCUAUUUAUUGUUUGGUCCUUAAACCUCAACUAUAAAUAGGCUUUCUCAUUUCUCAUUUCAAUUCAUCCCAACCAAUCUUUCUCUCUUAGUUUUCUCUCUUCUCCCAUUUGAGAAUUCUUAAGGAAUUCUAUUUGUUUGUAAUACUUUGGAGAUAGUAAAGUUAUCAUCUGGUGUUAGUGCCCGAGGACGUAGGUAUAAUUUACCGAACCUCGUUAAAUCUCUUGUGUUCUUUCUUGUCCUAUUUUUCUUUCAAUAUUUGAGGGUAUAAUAGUAGUAUUUAAUUGUGCUAUUAAAUUACUAUAGAAGAGAUAUUCUGUCUAAGGAAAGACUUGGUAUUUAAGAGAUCCAUGUGAUCCACCUCUCUUCCCUGGGAAUUGAACUUUGUGUGAUUUUUUAGUACAAUAAUUUACACGCUUCCGACCCUAUUGGAACAACAAGUGGUAUCAAGAGCCGAAGGUUAAUCGUAGUAUGCUCUGUGGUUGCAGUUUGAACUGAUCUUCCACAUCAGAAAAGAUUUCCUUAGGUAUAUUGAAAGAUUUUGGAGAAAACGGUCGGUGUAGGAGCUUCAACAUCGUCCAUGUGGACAAGACCGACAAUUGCAAAUGCAAGAUUGGCCGUGGAGAUCUUUGAUGGCACGGGCCAUUUUGGUAUGUGGCAAAGUGAGGUUCUAGAUGCCCUUUUUCAGCAGGGUCUAGACAUUGCCAUUGAUGAAGAGAAACCAGAUGAUGUACAGGAGAAAGAUUGGAAGGCGAUCAAUCGGUUGGCAUGUGGCACAAUUCGAUCAUGCCUUUCUCGAGAGCAGAGGUAUGCUUUUUCAAAGGAGACUUCUGCAAAUAAGUUGUGGGUGGCACUUGAAGAAAAUUUUUUGAAGAAAAACAGUCAAAAUAAGCUCCACUUGAAGAAAAGACUGUUUCGCUUCACAUACGUCCCAAGUACCACAAUGAAUGAUCACAUCACCAAAUUUAAUCAGUUAGUCACUGAUUUGCUGAAUAUGGAUGAGACAUUCAAAGAUGAAGAUUUGGCUUUGAUGCUGUUGGGGUCACUUCCUGAGGAGUUUGAGUUCCUAGAAACUACUCUACUUCAUGGCAGGAGUGAUAUAUCUCUGAGCGAAGUCUGUGCGGCCUUAUACAGUUAUGAACAGAGAAAGAAGGACAAACAGAAAAACUCAAUCAGAGAUACAGAAGCUUUAGUAGUCCGAGGUCGUUCAUACACUCGGAAGAAAACUCAAAAGGGGAGAUCAAAGUCAAAGUCCAGACUCGGGAAAGAUGAAUGUGCUUUUUGUCAUGAGAAAGGCCACUGGAAGAAAAAUUGUCCAAAGCUGAAGAAUAAGGGAAAAGCUGCUGUAGAUGCUUGUGUUGCUAAGCAUGAUACUAGUGACUCUGAACUAUCACUGGUUGCAUCAUCAUCGUCGUUCCAUUCAGAUGAGUGGAUAUUGGAUUCGGGUUGUACCUAUCAUAUGUCCCCUAACCGGGAGUGGUUCUCUGAUUUAGUAGAACUAAAUGGAUGAGUUGUUUAUAUGGGCAAUGACAAUGCCUGUAAAACUGUUGGGAUAGGUUCAAUCCAAUUAAAGAAUAAAGAUGGAUCAACCAGAGUUCUGACUGAUGUUCAGUACGUGCCCAGUUUGAAGAAAAAUCUCAUCUCAUUGGGAGCCUUGGAAUCCAAUGGUUCAGUUGUUACUAUGAGAGAUGGGGUUUUGAAAGUGACAUCUGGCGCACUUGUGAUAUUGAAGGGCAUCAGGAAAAAUAACUUGUAUUACUACCAAGGUAGUACAGUUAUUGGAGCAGUCGCUGCAGCUUCCGGUAACAAAGACUUGGACUCAAUGCAGUUGUGGCAUAUGAAGUUGGCAGCGAAAAAUCCUUGCAAAUUCUGGCAAAGCAAGGAUUGUUGAAAGGUGCAAAGGCUUGCAAAUUAAAAUUUUGUGAGCACUGUGUUCUGGGAAAGCAAAAGAGAGUGAAAUUCGGCACUGCUAUCCAUAAGACAAAAGGUAUUUUGGAAUAUAUUCACUCAGAUGUGUGGGGGCCUUCCAAAACACCUUCGUUGGGAGGAAAACACUACUUUGUUACUUUUGUUGAUGACUUUUCCAGAAGAGUUUGGGUGUAUACCAUGAAAACUAAAGAUGAAGUGCUUGGAGUUUUUCUUAAAUGGAAAACUAUGAUCGAAAACUAGACUGGCAAGAAAAUCAAGCGGCUUAGGACGGACAAUGGAGGGGAAUAUAAAAGUGAUCCGUUCUUCGAUGUGUGCCAAGAGUAUGGUAUUGUUCGACACUUCACAGUUAGGGAUACACCACAACAGAAUGGAGUGGCAGAGCGUAUGAAUCGAACAUUGCUGGAGAAAGUUCGAUGUAUGUUGUCCAAUGCUGGGUUGGGCAAGCAAUUUUGGGCUGAGGCUGUGACAUACGCUGGCCAUCUUGUUAAUCGUUUGCCAUCAUCUGCAUUAGAAAGAAAAACUCCUAUGGAGGUAUGGUCUGGAAAACCGGCUACAGAUUAUGAUUCCUUACAUGUGUUUGGAACCACUGCAUAUUACCAUGUGAAGGAGUCAAAGUUAGAUCCGAGGGCAAAGAAAGCUCUCUUUAUGAGAAUCACUUCUGGAGUGAAGGGAUUUCGACUUUGGUGCUUAAGCACAAAGAAAAUGAUCUGUAGCAGAGAUGUUACCUUUGAUGAAUCUGCCACAUUGAAAAAGGUAGCAGAUAAAGAUAUUCAGACGAGCAAUACUCCACAGCAGGUGGAAUGUACUCCAAAACAGGUGGAGUUUGAGCAGAUGGGGAUUUGCCCAGUUAAUAAGUCUAAUUCUCCAGCCACAAUGGAGGAAUUAGAGGUUGAAGAGGUUCUGACCCAAGAACCACUAAGUACACCAGAACCAGUUGCAGUUGCAAGGCCACGGAGAGAAAUUCGUAAACCUGCUCGAUUUACUGAUAUGGUGGCCUACGUCCUUCCCGUUGUUGAUGAUAUUCCUAUCACUUAUCAAGAAGCAAUGCAAAGCUUAGAAAGUGAUAAAUGGAAAAGCGCCAUGGAUGAAGAAAUGCAGUCUCUCCGGAAGAACAAUACUUGGGAGUUGGCGCAAUUACCGAAAGGUAAAAGGGCAAUCGGAUGCAAGUGGGUAUUCGCAAAGAAAGAUGGAUCUCCUAGCAAGAAGGAUAUUCGCUACAAGGUAAGAUUGGUAGCUAAAGGCUACGCUCAGAAGGAGGGAAUUGACUACAAUGAUGUAUUUUCCCCUGUUGUGAAGCAUUCCUCCAUUAGAAUUUUGUUGGCCUUGGUAGCACAGUUGAAUUUGGAGCUAGCUCAACUUGAUGUUAAGACAGCUUUCUUGCAUGGUGAGUUAGAAGAGGAGAUCUAUAUGACUCAGCCCGAAGGAUACACAGAUGCUGGUGGUAGAAAUUGGGUUUGUAAGCUGAACAAAUCGCUAUAUGGAUUGAAGCAAUCCCCGAAGCAGUGGUACAAGCGAUUUGAUAGCUUUAUGAGAAGACAGAAGUACACAAGAAGCAAAUAUGACAAUUGUGUAUAUUUGCAGAAGGCUGCAUGAUGGAUCUUUCAUUUAUCUACUCUUGUAUGUUGAUGAUAUGUUAAUCGCUUCGAAGAGCCAAAAUGAGAUAGAUAAGCUGAAGGCUCAGUUGAAUCAAGAGUUCGAGAUGAAAGAUCUAGGUGAGGCCAAGAAGAUUCUCGGCAUGGAGAUAAGUAGAGAUAGACCGAGAGGCAAUCUCUGUUUAAAUCAGAAGCAAUAUCUGAAAAAGGUAUUACAAUGUUUUGGUGUAAAUGAAAACACAAAACAUGUAAGUACCCCACUUGCUUCUCAUUUGAAACUUAGUGCUCAAUUAUCUCCGAAAACUGAAGAAGAAAGAGAAUAUAUGGCGAAAGUCUCAUAUGCUAAUGCAGUUGGGAGUUUGAUGUAUGCGAUGGUGUGUACGAGGCCUGACAUUUCACAAGCUGUUGGAGUUGUGAGCAGGUAUAUGCAUGAUCCUGGAAAAGGACAUUGGCAAGCUGUGAAAUGGAUUCUACGGUAUCUUCGAAAAACUGUAGAUGUUGGUUUAAUUUUUGAACAGGAUGAAGCACUUGGUCAGUUUGUAGUUGGAUAUGUUGAUUCCGACUUUCCUGGUGAUUUAGAUAAACGUCGUUCAACUACGGGGUAUCUGUUUACUCUUGCGAAAGCCCCAGUGAGUUGGAAGUCUACCUUACAGUCUACAGUAGCUGUGUCUACUACAGAGACAGAAUAUAUGGUAGUUACAGAAGCUGUUAAGGAGGCUAUUUGGCUUAAUGGAUUGUUGAAAGACUUAGGAGUUGUUCAAAGUCACAUAAGUUUAUAUUGUGACAGUCAGAGCGCUAUUCAUUUAGCGAAAAAUCAAGUCUAUCAUUCAAGAACCAAGCAUAUCGACGUAAGAUAUCACUUUGUGCGGGAAGUCUUUGAAAAAGGAAAAAUUCUACUUCAGAAGAUUCCGACAGCAGAUAAUCCCGCAGAUAUGAUGACCAAGGUGGUAACAACAAUCAAGUUUAAUCAUUGUUUGAACUUGAUUAACAUCCUGAGAAUUUGAGCACCUUCAGGUGUAUGGCGCUCGAGAGUGCAUUUGUAGGCACUACAAAAGAUAGCUUUAUCGAAUUUGGGGAGUUGAAGGAAGUGUGUGAAGAUGUGAUUAUCCUAAUCAAAUCUUCAAGGUGGAGAUUGUUAACAUUAAUGGGAGACAACAUUAAUGGCAAACAAUACAAAGUGGUGCAAGUUUAGCACCCUAAAGUUGACUUUGAAAAAGUGGCAUGGGAUAAUUUUUUUUGGUCCUUGAGAUAAUGGACUAUUUAUUGUUUGGUCCUUAAACCUCAACUAUAAAUAGGCCUUCUCAUUUCUCAUUUCAAUUCAUCCCAACCAAUCUUUCUCUCUUAGUUUUCUCUCUUCUCCCAUUUGAGAAUUCUUAAGGAAUUCUAUUUGUUUGUAAUACUUUGGAGAUAGUAAAGUUAUCAUCUGGUGUUAGUGCCCGAGGACGUAGGUAUAAUUUACCGAACCUCGUUAAAUCUCUUGUGUUCUUUCUUGUCCUAUUUUUCUUUCAAUAUUUGAGGGUAUAAUAGUAGUAUUUAAUUGUGCUAUUAAAUUACUAUAGAAGAGAUAUUCUGUCUAAGGAAAGACUUGGUAUUUAAGAGAUCCAUGUGAUCCACCUCUCUUCCCUGGGAAUUGAACUUUGUGUGAUUUUUUAGUAUAAUAAUUUACACGCUUCUGACCCUAUUGGAACAACACAACAUUUGCAACUUUUCUUUCUUUCAGGACAGAAUUUUUUAAUGGCGUAAUUGCCUGUUUUCUUUCGAAAACGAUUUUUCUUCUUAAAACCCUUUCUAUGGCUUUUAAAUUUUUUCUCUUUAUAGAUUUUUUUUCUUUUUCUUUUUCUCGUAGACUGGUUUGCAACCAAAUCUUUGAGGUACAUCUUCAAAUGAAUUACAACAUUUGAUUGACAUUUUUAUUGCCUUUUUAGCAGUUUUCUUAGCACAUUCUUCUGCUAUAUAUUUUCUUACUUCAGCAGCCAUCGAUCCUAACGAUGAAGGCUGGUCUGAGUCUUUUACAUACCUUUCCCUAAUAAUAUUAUUAAUGGGAUAUGGUAGUUUAUUAAUAAAUAUAUCUUCAUACAUAUCCGUUUCUAUAGUCGGGAUUUGGUAGAAGUAUUUGCUAUAUUGACAGAGAAAUUCUUCAAAAUACAAAGGUUACAUCAUUGUAUAUUUGUUAAGACAUGUUUAGUCACAUCUUUGUUGGUCAUUUCGGCGAUCGCUUGCCCUGGGACCCAUUUUAUACCACAAAAUUCUUGUAGUAUAUCUCUAGUUGUUUCCCUAAGAACUUGGGCAUUAUCGAAUGCUCCAAUAUGAUUGUUUCUAGAUAUUAAAUAUCUAUGAACAUUACCAGUGGUUUUAUAUAAGACAAAGUUGUAAUAACUAAGUCCAUCUGUUUCACUUAAUUCUUUAUUAAGGGUUAGCGCUAAUAGCAUUCUAUUAUACCAAUUUUGCACUAUAUUAAGUUUAUUAAUUGUGCAGUCUAGGUAUAAUAGUUCUCCUGUACUAGAUCCCUCUUUAGGUCUGUAUAAUCCUUGUCCAGGUCUUAGUCUUCCAUUUUUAUCUCUGACAUAAUCAGAGGUUGGAACUUGUUCAAAAUUACUUCCUGAGCUUUCGCCCGGUAAAUUUUGAGAUUCAGUAUUACCUGUAGGUUCAUCAGCCAUAUUUACCUGAUCUUCAUCUGGAGGAUUUUCAUCUCCUAGAAUGAAUUCAUUGGUUUCUUCAAUUAUGGGUUGAAGAUUAUCACUUAGAUCUUAUUGAUCUAGUAUUCUCCCAAGUUCUUCAACUUGAUUAUCCGUUUGAUAUAGAUGAUCAAACGAGUCAUGACUCUGUGGACAAGUCAUUGCUUCUACCAUUUCUGUUGGUAGGUUUGUCGUUUGUGCCGACACUUCUUUUGGGCCUUUUUGGGAUGGUCUGCUCCAGAGUUUAUCCCUUAGGGACAGAGGCUCAACAGAUUUCUUUCUAAGGAAACCCUUAGAAAUUUCUAACUUUAAAGAGACACAGAAGCGAAAGCUUCAACAAACUCGUUUUGAGAGAAAACGUCCUUCUUUUACCCUGAUUAAAACCCUCGAUUGAGGCUCCUUAUAUAGAAAUCCUCAAUACAAAAGAAAUGAUCCUAAAUCCGACACGCCAACCGUUAGUACAAUACGCGUGAAAGGAUAUAAUAAAAAAUAUUUUUAAAAUUUAAAUUUAAUUAAGAAUAUAAAAAUAUUUUUAAAAUUUUAUUAUUUUUGAACUCUCACAUGAACUUUUCUGAGUUGACUGAGCUGGGCUAAAAAUAGAUUAGGCUUGAAAAAAUUUCAGAUUAUUUUUAAGAGUAUACCAAGGAGUCUAAUAAUUACAAUUUUUUUUAAAAAGUUUUAAUAACACUAGAAAUCUUAUCACACACAUAUGCGUGUGAAAAUCACGUAUUUAGAAUACAUAGUUUGUGUUUAAAAAGAACAUAUAAUAAAUAAUGAAGAGUAUGAUUCGGAACUAAUUAAUAAUAACACAUGCAAUAUGUAUGAUAUUAAAAUAAAAAUUAGAUUAAACUGAGAGUAAAACAAAAUUUAAAUACAAAAAUAGAUGAAUAUUAAAUGAAAACAAAUGUUUAUCAUUGUUUUGUCUUCAAUACAGAGUUAGUGUCAUGUUCAUUUGUGACGCUAAAUCAAUUACAUUAUUUACAUAUACAAAUAUAUAAAAAUUUAGAACACAAAUAUACUUAUUAAAGUUUCAAGGAAAACUUUAAAUUGUUUUAGUUAUAAUGUAAAUGAAAAAGCUUUAUAUGCAUGGUGUCCCCUAGUUCAAAUAUCAUUAUGGGUAAUUUUUUAUUGAUUUAUAAAAAAAAUAUAAAAUGAUGAAAACACCCUCAUAAACGUAUAUCUUACUUUGCAAAUAAAAUAGUAUUUUUGGUAAUUUUCUUAUUGAGUUGGGACUCGAUUGAUGAGUAACACUAACUUAAUAAAAUGCUUAAUACAUAGUAUAGAUAAAACAAUUCAAAACUAAAAAUUUUAAAAGAAUUUAGGGUAAAAUUCAACUAUGGUUAAAUUUUCAUUUUGGUCACUUAACUAAAAAUGUUACAAUUUGAUCACUAAUGUUUUCGAAAUUAUUUUCUUUUUGUCACCCAGCUGUUAAGUGGCACUUGUUUCAGUUGGUAUAAUAAAAAUUCUAGUCAUCAAUUUUUAUAUUUUCUGUCAAUUUCACUCUGAUUGUGUAUAAAAAAUUAUUAAAAUUAUUAGAUUUAGUUAUUAGAUUUAAUUUCAAGUUGUAACAUAUGAUUAUGCAUUCUUAAACCCUGUUGUCCCAUACUUUUCGAUUAAUUAUUAGAUUUAAUGAUAAAUUUAGCCUUUAACGUUUGAUUAUUUUAUUAAAAUGGCCCUAAUUGUGUUUUUGAGUUUUUUUUCUAUCAAUUUUUGUUCUUUUUUUCAAUCUUCUUUUUUUUUUAAAUAGAUUUAAUGAAAGUACCUUAAAAAAGUUAAACGUGAUAAUAUGGAAUUUCAUAUGUCGAAUAUUUUUAAUGAGAAGUAUGAAAGAUUGAAAACUUUUGAAAGAAAAUAAAUAUUGAAACAAAGGUUGAUGGUAAAGAAAAGCUCAAAAAUAGAAUAGGGUCAUUUUGACAAAGCAAGUAAAAAUUGGUGACCAAAUUUAUAAUUAAACCUAAUUAUUAUUAUUAUUAUUAUUAUUUAAUGCCAAUUAUAAUGGGUGACAGCAAAGAAAAGAGUCAAAAAAGAUGGAUUUCUUACUCGUAUCCACAACAUUCGUCUUUUUAUACAUGUAAUUAUUAAUUAUUUUCUCUUUCUUCUUCUUCUUCUUCACAUACUUUCCCAUUAAUUCCUAUCACAAUUUUGCUUAUUUCUAUUUUCACCUUCUUCUUCACUCUUUUUAAUUUCUUUUCAUCUCCAAGGUCUAUCACUAAUUUUCAAGCAUCCAGUCAAGGUAAUUUUCUUUCAUUUGCUUCAUUCAUGACUAUACAAUGAUUGUUUUUUAUUAUCAGCUACUGUUAUAGCAGCUAGCUUUGUAAGAUAGUCAAGGUAAUAAGAUCUGAAGCAAUGGUUUCCUCUAGUGAUUAUCAACAGUUUUAGAUUUCAAGACUGGAUGAUCAGCAGACAUAAUCUACUAUAGUUAGAAAUUAAUUCCAAAAGAGCUACCCGGAAGCAAUAUAAUGUUGAAAUACCAAAAUGUUGAACAUUUUACCUCUUAAUAUUCUGUUGCACACUUGAAUGUAGAAAAAUCUUUUCUUAUUUUCACUCUUCUAAUUUUUAAAAAAAAUUACCACUCUUCUUCCUCCUUGGGUUUAUAUACUUUGGGUAGAAGAGGAAGGCGAAAUGGGAUAGGACCCAGAUCGGGUCGGGUUGACAUAGGAAAUGGGUUGUAUGAUGAUCAAGGUUUUUAGGGUUUUUGCAUUGAAGAAGAAGAAAGGUGGAGAAAGAAAAGACAAAGAAAAAAAAAAGAAAAGGUGAUUUUUUUUUUCUGAAAAACUGAAAUCAGAAAGGAAGGGCUUUGCUUUCUAGGAGAUAGUGUAUUUUAAUGGGAUAUUAUGUAUUUGUUAUAUUGCUCUUUAAUUCCUGGGCUGCAAUUGCAUGCAUACAUGGAUGAUGUAUGUGAGUUGUGUAUCUUUUUUGCUGGAUUUUCUAUAUUGUUUUCCUCCUCCAUCUAUCUUUUUUUUUUUUUUUCAUUUUAAUUGAUUCAAUGGGUUUUGUUGAUUCAAUUAGAAUCAUUUGAUUUUUAAUUUGCUGAUUCAAUGGGUUUAUUGAUUCAAUGAGUAGUAGUAUCACUUGAUUUAUUUGCUUAGUGAUUCUUCUCUCAUUUUGACCCAACAAAAAUUGUCUUCGUGGAUGAAAAAAAUGGGAUAACUUUGCUCGCAUUAGGGGUUCACAGGACGAAAUUUCAAGUUUAAUAGGAGCCAAAACUAUUAUGGAAGAAUUAAAACUAAAAAAAAAAAAAAAACUUGAGAUUAUUUUGAAUUAUCAGAAGAACCAUGGGGAGAGAUUGAAAAGUAGAAAAGGAGUUUCAUGGAUGUGAUGACUAGAAUUGAAUGUGUGAAAGUUACAGCUCAAAAUAUUUAAACCUCGCCAUGCUAGGUCUGGCUAGACAGUCCAAACCCAAUUAAUGACUGUAGGACAUUCCCACUAUAAAUUAUCCAACUACACUUCGUGUAAAAAGACGAAACACAAAAAAGCUAAAAGAUAGGAAUUCUUCCUAGUAAUUCUGCCUUUGUGGAACCUACCUCGGAAUUUUUCCUGUUUUUAUCUUAACUUUCUUCUUCGUUUAGGCUAUUGUACCCACAACAUUCUUUCUUCUUCACUGUUUUUAAUUUCUUUUGAUUUCCAAGGUCUAUCACAAAAUUUCAAGCAUCCAGUCAAGGAAAUUUUCUUUCAUUUGCUUAAUCCGUAACAUGCUUUUCUUUGCUUAAUUCAUGACUUUGCAAUGAUUGUUUCUGGUUAUCUGCUACUCUUAGCAGCUAGCUUUGUAAGACAGUCAACUUCACUGCUUCAUUUUCAGUUCUAUUCUCUCAACACUUUUCAGCCACUAAGUCAGGUAAUAAGAUCUGAAGCUAUGAUUUCCUCCACUGAUUAUCAACAGUUUUAGAUUUUAAGACAAGUUGAUCAGCAGACAUAAUCUACUCUACAUUGAAAUUAAUACAGAAAGAGCUACCCGGAAGCACUAUAAUGUUGAAAUCUCAUACUUAACAUUUUAACUCUUAAUAUUCUGUAAUGAACUGUUGCACACUUGAAUCUAGCAUUUUAUAUACAUUAAGAGCUUAAUUCUGGUGACCAGAAUUUCAUCAUGUUUCUGUCUGCCACCCAUCCAUAGCUCCAUCUAAUAAACGCCAUUGCUUGAAACUUGCAAUCAUGUUUUCCUUUUCAUGCUUACACUGACAUAUCAAUACUUCAUAAAAUAUCCAAUUCAUUCUCUGCUACUGUUAUCUAUGAUUGCAUUGCAGGGACAUAGCAAUGGAGUACGUAGAGCCUGUUGUUGGCAUUGCAAUUUGUCUCGGCACUCCUGUUUGUAAAUAUUUGCAAUAUCACAGAAAGCUGAACAACUAUGUGAGAAACUUCAAGAGGAUCAGAGAUGAGUUGAAUUGCAAAAUGGAAGAUAUAGAGCUGCAAUUGAAAGCAGAGCUUCUUCGGCCUCUGGGGAAGAUACCAAAGAAGGGAGUUGAAAAUUGGUUGAAAGAUGUGAAAGAGAUGAUUCGGGAAGCACUACUUGUUGAAAACAAAGUCAGUAACGGGAGAUAUCUCUGUCGUGCUUGCAACGGGAAGCUGGUUGAUGUAAAGACUCGAGAAAUGAAGGAAUUUCUUGAUAAAGCUCCUAAAGCCUCUGAAGGUCUUGCCAUGGAUGGUCCAAGUGGUGGGUUGCCGCUGCCAACAUCAGAACUAGUUGGAGAGGAAGCUGUCAGAAAUGAGAUUUGGGCAUGUUUGAUGCAGGAGGAGGUGAGCAAGAUUGGAGUUUGGGGGAUGGGCGGUGUGGGUAAAACCACUAUCAUGAAGCACAUCCACAAUGAUCUUUUGAAAGAACAAAGAUUCGAAAGGGUAAUCUGGGUUACCAUAUCAAAGGAGUUCAAUGUAAUGAAGGUACAAGAUAAUAUUGCAAGUGCGUUGAAGGCGAAGGAAUACUUAGACAAAGAAGAGGACAAGGUCAGACGAGCAGCAAUCUUGUCAGAAAUGCUGAAGAACGCAGGAAAGCAUGUUCUAAUCCUAGAUGAUGUGUGGGAUAAAGUCUCUCUAGAGGAAGUUGGGAUCCCCAAGGCAAGUGGCGGCAAUGGCUGCAAGUUGGUGUUGACAACUCGUUCGGAGCAUGUCUGUAAGUAUACGGGUUGUAAGGUGAUAAAAGUGAGGCCCCUUUCAGAAGAAGAGGCAUUGAUACUAUUCUUGAGUAAAGUUGGACCUAACAUAGUUCAAUGUCCAACUAUAAUGCCAACUCUGAAGCUUGUUGUCAAGGAAUGUGCGGGUCUACCUCUUACAAUUGUCAUGGUAGCUGGUACCAUGAAAGGAGAAUAUAACCCUCGUAUUUGGAAAAAUGCACUCAAAGAUUUGAAAGAGAGAAUAGGGAAAGUGGAAGGAGUGGAAGCUGAGGUAAUCGAGCGCUUGAAAUUCAGUUUCGAUCACUUGAAAGAUGAGAAAGUAAAAGAUUGCUUCUUGUAUUGUGCAUUAUAUCCUGAAGAUUAUGAAAUUCAUAAGGUUGAACUAAUCGAGUGUUGGAUUGCUGAGAUAUUCAUAGACGAGAUGGACACAAGACAAGAAAUGGAAGAUAAGGGCCUUACUAUUUUGAAAAGGUUGGAAGAUAACUGCUUGUUGGAAAAUAAUACCACUCAAUUUGGUUUAAAUGGUAUAAAGAUGCAUGAUGCAGUGAGAGACAUGGCAUUGUCGAUCACAAGAAUGAAUCCUCGAUAUAUGAUACAAGCAGGUUCGCAAUUAGAAGAGUUACCGGAAAAGGGGCAAUGGAGUCCGGAUAUUGAGAAAGUGUCACUUAUGUAUAACUCCAUAUCAGAAAUUUCCAUAGAUGUGCUGCCCACAAAAUGUCAACUGCUCACAACCUUGUUAUUGCAGCAUAACCCUAUAAAGAAGAUUCCAUAUUCUUUCUUCUUAAACAUGCCCUGUCUUUGUGUCCUAAAUUUGUCCUAUACAGAGAUCGAGAGUUUACCAAAUUCCAUCUCUGAACUAAAGAACCUCACAACAUUGUUGCUUUGUGAUUGUGAAGAAUUAAGAGAUCUACCAUGUCUUUCGAUGCUUCAAGAAUUGAAGAAGUUGGAUCUAAGUUGGACUAAAAUUGAGGAAGUCCCUGAAGGAAUGGAUAUGCUGAUAAAGCUAAGAUAUCUUGAUCUUAGAGUGCACACUCUGAAAGAGAUACCCGCUGGACUUUUACCAAAACUCGUUCACCUUCAACACUUGGGUUUUUAUGAGAACAAUGAAAAAACAAGUCUAAAAGCAGAGGAGUUGGAACCAUUGAUGAAGUUGGAAUGCUUUACCGGACGUUUCGAAGAUAUCAAUGAAUUCAAUAAGUUCAUCUCCUCAAUGAAACUAAGUAAGAAAAAUCUCAUCAAGUACCAUUUACAGGUGGGCUCAUCUUUUAUGCUUGCUACAAGAGAUAAAACAGUAACAAUUGGAGGAGUCCAGAAUUGGGAAGGUGAGUCAAUUAUGCACCCAAUUGAAAUUCAACAGUUGAAUAUUUCAAGUUGCAACUAUUUGAGAAACUUAGUCGAUGAUAAUUCUUCCUUCAAAAAAGUGAUUGGCUUGAGGGUUUGGGUUUGUGAAGGGAUAGAGUGUGUUGUUUCCCUGUCCUCUUUUGCCUCUUCUUCCACUCAUCCAUUUCAAAGCCUCGAGGUGUUAGAUCUUGGAGAUCUGCCAAAGUUGAGUGCCCUUAUUAUGAAAGAUGCAGGAAUUGGUUCAGCAACAACAUCAACAUCGGCUCCGUCUGCCACCUUUUCCCAUCUUAAGGAAAUUAGGAUAUACAAAUGCCCAGGUAUGAAGACGUUGCUUCCACAUUGGUUGCUUCCAAACCUCCAAAGCCUGGAAGAAAUACAUGUGGGUGCUUGUAGUCAGCUAGUAGAAAUAUUGGGAGCAGCAACAUCAAAAGUUGAAGAAAAAGAGAGUGAUGCAUUAAUCAAAUUCCAUCUUUCCAAAUUGAGAGUAUUGAGACUAAAUAAGUUACCAAAUUUGAAGAGCAUAUGCAGCAAAAGUGGAGUGAUGGUUUGUGAUUCUCUCCAAGUUAUCAAAGUUUUUGGAGAUUGUGAUAAACUGAAGAGAAUUCCUCCAUUUGUUCCCCUUGUUGGCAAUGGGCAGCCAUUUGUAUAUGCUCCACCUUCUCUUACAAUCACGUCAGACACAGAAUGGUGGGAAUCGUUGGAGUGGGAUGAUCAUCCAAACUUUAAAAAUGUUCUUCAACCCCUUUGGAAGCUUUUAAGGUAUCAACCAUUUAUAGUUUAGUUUAUUCGAUUUAUUUUAUAAAUCUAAUUUCUCCAUUUUAAUACCAUUUCAUUAAUCCAACUUCUCCAAGUUAUCCAACUUAUCCAACUUAUCCAAGAUGCUGGAGACUGUUAUAAACUGAAGAGAAUUCCUCCAUUUGUUCCCCUUGUUGGCAAUGGGCAGCCAUUUGCAUAUGCUCCACCUUCUCUUACCAUCGGGUCAGAGACAGAAUGGUGGGAAUGGUUGGAGUGGGAUGACCAUCCAAACUUUAAAAAUGUUCUACAAUCCUUUGGAAGCUUUUAAGGUAUAUGAACCAUUUAUAGUUUAGUUUAUUUUAUUUAUUUUAUAAAUCUAAUUCCUCCAUUUUAAUACGAUUUCAUGUUAUAUUUUAUUUAUGUUUGAAGAUGAUGAGGCCUCCAUUGGUGCCAAAGAAGUAGAAGAGAGUAGCAGGGCGGAGGAUGGUGCAAAAGAGAGGAUAAAAAAGGUGGGAAUAAAAGGAAUGAUGGAUGAGGAAUUGAGCAGCCACCAUAAUAAUGGACUCCUUUUCCAUUGAAUCAAAUAUUAUUAUGUUCUAUUAUUUAGAAAAUCUUUAUAUGUUCUUAAACAGAGAUGUUUUUAAAAUUAUUUGUCUUUAAAAUUAUUAAACUUAUUUAUUAUUCUUCUAUCAAUCAUUUAUGCAUUUUUUUACUAAUGAUUCUAAUAAAAGUUUUAACAUUCAAAAGCAUAUAAGUUGAAAUAAAUUUUUUCAAUUUUAAAAUAUGCAACUUAAAAAGGUACUCCAUUAUUUUCUUAAAAUAAUAUCAAAUUAUGACUACCUUUAAAGUAUAAUUGAGUGGAUAAAUCACACCGUUGGUCAUUUUAAACUAACAUUAUUUCUAUUUUGGUCACUCUAUAAUUGCUCGAAUUAGUUGGUCAUUUUAAACUAACAUUAUUUCUAUUUUGGUCACUCCAUAAUUGCUCGAAUUAGUCAAUGACAUUGACAUUUUUUUAUUUUGGACUAAAGCUAGGGACUUUUAUGUAAUUAGCCCAAAACAUUUGUUUUUGUUUAUUUUGCAACAUAAGAACCACAUGUCACCACUCAUCCCUUGCUUUCCAUUGCUCCUCACUGCACAAUAAGAGCCACGUUUCAUCACAAUGGUGUACAAAGAGUGUUGGCUGUGUUUUGACUAUCGUACAAAUUAGUGUAGAAAUACAACUGAACAAACUUUCGAGUGGAUACUAUUGGGAAAUUGUAGGUAAAGUUGGAGCGAAAAACACAACCACGUCUCUUUUAUGGAAAAUGGCCUGAAAAAAGCCUAAUAAACCCAGUUGUGUAUUCAACAAAUGGGUUUCAACCCUCCUUUCCAGCCACUCCCACCGCUGAUAAAUUGAAAUUAUUUGUAAAUUUUAAAAGUUAAUCUUUUAAAAUUAUAAUUAAAUCGAUAUAAUAUGUAAAAGUUGAGAAAUAAAUUUAUUAUUAUAUUAAUUUUUUAACUAAUAUAUCAUCCUCUCAUUAGAGAGGUUUAAGGCACUUAAAGGAAAUAGAUAAAAAAAUAUCUCGAUUAAUUGAGUGAUCAAACUACAAAAAUUAAUAAUUGAAUGAUGAAAAGGAAAAGAGAUAAUGACUAGAUGUAAUUUACCCAUAUUUUUAAAAAGCGUAUAAAAAAUACAGAGGAAUGGGCUGGUACUUUGAAUGGUCCAAUUAGAGUAGCAAUUGGUGGCUCCGAUGCUAAUUUAAUUUCUACACCAUAACAUGGAAUUUUGCACCAAAGCUGAUCCCACGGUCAUCUCAAAAUAAUGCUCAUCAUAUUUUAAUUUAUCACACUUGGAAUUACAGACGCUGCACUUUCAUAAGAUAAAUUUUUAAGAAUUUGGAAUGUUAUCAUUAAGUAACUAAAUUUAAGUAAAUUAAAAUAUUUAAUAUAAAAAUUAUAAAAUUAUAAUGUCAAAAAUUUGUGAGAAGUGUAUUACAAUUAUGGGAUAUUUUUAAUCUUUUUGAGAUAAAAUUGUUCUUUCAAUAUGAUCCCAUUUUUCUCAUGGUAACUAUGUGAUCCAUGACAGUGUUUACUUCUCAUUUAUCAUGUAAUGCUGAUGAGAGAAUAUAAUUUACCUUUUAGUUGAGCUAUGAAUUUCAUUGUUGAUGAAUGAUGCUACAUACUAUAAAGGUCAUAUACCUAAUGCACCAACUUUCAGUUCCUUAUCUAUUUAAACUCAGACUUUCGUUUACAUCAAAGUAUACGAAUCACACAUACAUAGUCCAUCAUCUACUCAGGAUUAAAGUAUGUCACACCAUGAACGUCACAAAUGAAUAAAUCUACAAGUGAGUUACAUCUAUGUCUCUAUUUUCUAAGACUCAAUCUCUCCAGUACCGAAGAUAAAGUAUUUCCUUAAUUGGAUUGGAUAGAUAACAUGUUAUCAUUUCAAUCAGUUUGCUCUUUUUUUAUUAGACUAAGGACAUUUUUAGAUUAUCUAUUAAUAUAAAUUGUUUUUCCAUAUUAUGAUCCAACCAUGUAAUACCGUUUGGUAUUAGUUAAAUGUUAGAUAAUUAUUGGGUCAAUAUUUGUUUUGCGUGCAAAAAUCAUAAAGAAUAAUAUACAAAGGAUAUUAAUGUAAUGAAUGAAUAUUUUAUUAAAUCAAUUUGUUCAAAAAAUAUAAGUAUAUAUUGACGAAAAUAUUAAAAUAAAGACACUAGAUCUAACAGUCUCCCAUUUGACCUAGAGAAGUAGAUAAGUCAUAUUUCGAAUUCCCAUAUUUUCUACACGUUUCUCAAAACUCCUAGCCACCAAAGUCUUGGUCAAUGGAUCCGUAAGGUUGUCCUCUUAUAUGACUUUGACUACAUCCACUAUUUCAUUUGUUAUUGCCUCCUUUAUGAUAUGAUACUUUCUAUCAAUAUGUUUUGUCCUUUUGUGGUUUCCAGUUUCCUUGGUGUUAGCUAUUGUCGCACUAUUAUCACAAUACAGUGUGAUAAUUUUUUCCAUACCAUGAACAACUUCAAGACUCGUAAGGAAUUUCCAAAGUCAUAUUACUUAUUUUCUUGCCCCAAAAGCAACCACAUAUUUGGCCUUCAUAGUGGAUUCUAUAGUGUAACCCUAUUUGACACUUCUCCACACUAUGAACCCAUCGCCUAGGACAAAGUUAUAAACCGAUUUGGAUUUGCUAAAAUCUCGAACACAUUUGGAAGUCAAGAUCGAUAUAACAAAUAAGAGUGAGAUCUCUUCCAAAACAUACAAGCAUAUAAUUCAUCAUUAUUCGUAAAUACUUGAGUAUAUGCUUUAUUAAUUGCCUGUGUCUUGAGUUGGGAUUCACCUAAUAUCAACUCACCACCUAUUAUGAAAAAAAUAUCUAGACGUGUGUGUCACAAUAUACAUGAGGCUUCCUAUUGCCAAAGCAUAAAUAACAUUUCUCAUGUAUUCUCUUUCUUAAAGAGAGAUGAAAACUUGAUAUAGAAGAUUGAGAUCUCUUCUUGGAAUUUGUCGCUGCAAAACAUUCCAUUAUCUUAUCUAUGAAUGAAACUUUUGAUAAAGUUAUCACUUUGUUCUUUCAAUCCCUUAAUAUUCAAAUGCCCAGAACAGAGUUAGUUUCUCCCAAAUCCUUCAUUCUAAAUUGUUGGGUUAACCAUAAUUUAACCAAUGACAAUGUCUCUACAUAAUUCCCAAUGAAUAAAAUAUCUUUGACAUAUAAAAUAAGAAAUAUCACCUUUCCAUCCUUAAUACUUUUAUAAAUAAUAGGUUGAUCAAUAUUUUUCUCAAAUCUUAAAGUUUUGAUGGCUUGAUCAAAUCUUUGAUUCUUUAAGCGGGAUGCUUGCUUAUGUUAGUUGACAACCAUGAUUUUAAUAACCUUAAUAGUUAAUAAUUAAGGAUAACAAUAAUUUUUAAAGAUUCAAUUGAUAUUAUUUCAUUAUUUAUCAUAACAAUUUCUUUAUAUAAACAUGAACAUAUUUUAGAAUUAUGAAUGAAAUUGAGUGAUUAUUUCCUCAACAUUACAUAGAAUCUUUCUCUAAUUCUGAACAUGGUAUCAGAUUUAGGUUUGAUUUAGGGAAUUUUUUUUUCAAUUUUUUUUUGAAACCCUAGAACCAAAAAAUCUCAUCAAGUAUCGAUUACAGGUGGGCUCAACUGAUUGGCGUUCUACUGUAAAUUAUAAAGAAGAUAAAGUUUUAUGACUUGUAGAAGUGGGAAUUUUUAGAACCAAGUUAAUUAUGCUCCUGAUGGAGAUUCAGGAGUUACACAUUUCGUACUGCCACAAUUUGAGAAGCUUCAGCGAUGAUGUUUUUUCCUUCAAAAAUUCUAGUGACUUGAAGGUUUGUACAAUUGAGCAUUGUGAUGGGAUAUAAUGUGGUGUUGUUUUUUUCCUCUUCUUCCUCUCAUCCACUUCAGAGCCUUAGGUGUUGUUUCUUUACAAAUUGUCGACGUUGAGUGCCCUUAUCAAAGUUAACAGAUUUGGUUCAGCAACAACAUCAAUAUUGGCUUCGUCUGCUACCUUUUCCUAUUUUAAGAAAACUCACUUACCCAACUGCUUCACUAUGAUGAUGUUGCUUCCAUAUUGGUUGCUUCCCAACCUCCAAAAUCUACAACUAAUAAAAGUGAGAGGUUGUGAGCUAACAGAUACAUUGGGAGGACCAACAUCAAAACAUAAAGAAAAAAAGAAGUGAUGGAUUAAUCAAAUUCCAUCUUUCUUAAUUGAAAAAGUUGGUAUUGCAAGAGUUGCUAGAACUAACAAGCAUCUGCAAUAAAAGUGGGGUAUUGAAGAGCAUCUGCCGUAAGUUAGAAUUCCUUCAUUUGCUCCCCUUGUUGCAAAUGGACAGCCAUAUGCAUAUGCUUCACCUUCUCUGAAGCUUGAAUCAAUUUCAACAUGGUGGGAAUUGUUGGAGUGGGAUAAUCGUCCAAACUCUAAGAAUGUUAUUCAACCCCAUUGGCAUAAAUUGUGUAAUGUCAACAUUUUUAUUUAUUUGUACUUUAUAAUCUCAUUUCUCUAUUUUAAUGCAAAUUCUUGUAUUGUUUUAAGGUGGUGAUGAGAAAGUUGCUCCAUUGCAGCUUCAUUUGGAUACCUCUCAAGUUGUUUAGGAUGGAGAUGGCGGAAAACGUGGGGGAUAGUGUUGAGGACACCUUGAAUGGUGCUUAAGGGAGGGCCUGCUUUACCGUGCCGGGAGGGUCUUAAUUGUUGGAUCUACAAAAUUCAAGGGAGAAGUGCUAUCAUAGUACAUAUGAACAAUUAUAAAGCUCAUCUUGGGUACGGAGACUCGAAUCGCCAACUUAAAGCUUAUACUGCUUAGCUGCAUCCAUAAUACCACGUGGGCUAUUUACCAAACACCGGCUAUCGGCAAAGUAUGAGAGACAAAACCCUCACCGGGGAUAAUACCUUUGGUUGUUGAGAGAUUGAUUGACUACCCAACAGACGACACUUUAAAAGCUUCUCCCAAAGACUUUGACCUCUCUAAAAAUAUGUUUCAACCCAAGUAACUUAUGAUCCUAAGUGUCCCGAAAAAUAUUUUAUUCCUUGAUAUUCCUAAACCAUAGUUAAUACGGAUGGAACCAUUCAUCUGAUCGCUAUUAGCUUCAACAAUCUGCUCUGGUGGCAUCCACCAUUAAUAAUUUAAUGUUGCAGCAAAUAUGACUCCCAGGUUUGGUUCAUUUUGUCUUGUUUUUUUCUUUGCACUCAAUGUCUUAGAUCUCCAAAACACAUCAAGGUAGGCCCUGGAGGAGUAUAAAAAUUUUUGAAUCCAUGGCAACGUGAAACAACUUGACCUUUAACCUAUAAGAGCUAUCAAAACGUUUAGCCUAAAAAUAAACCAUGAGACUGUUUAUUGCUUUAAUCAUUUAAGUUUCAAUUGGUUCAGAAUUUUGAUUAAUUCUUUUGUUUCUCAAAUUCAUGUGGAUAUCAUUUAUAUAAUAUAUACUCAACACGAGUAUAUUUAAUAAAUCAUUCUUAUGUCCUGCUUUCCCAUAUUUUCAAGUCACUUGCAACAAUUUUUUUUACUCUAACUUAGGCUUCACACCAAACUAAACUAAUUGAUUUGAAACCUAUUUGGAAUAAUUGGUUACAUUAUUACUUGAACAAAUAACGUUUUUAAUGUCUUUAUUUUAUUUUGGCCCUUAAUUUUUUUUUUGUGUUUUAUCCCAACUUUUUAGAAUUUUUUUGUAAGUGACUUGAAAGGGAGUACUCUUUUUUCUCAUUUUAAUCUCACAUGGGCUAGCCGAUGGGUUAUACGUACAAGGCUAAAAUGAUUGUUUUAAAAAUUUUAUAUGUUUAAUUUUUAGAGUUAGAAUUAAAUUCACAAAUUUUGUAAAUUUUGAGGUCAAAUUUGUUGAAAUUUUUAUAUUUAGGAUCAAAUUGAUCAAAUGUGUAAACAUUAGAGGGCUAAUUUUGUUACUAGACCAAUAAAAAAGGCCACAUUAGUUUAGAGUGACUAAAAUAUUUAAUUUUAAAAAGUUUAGUGACUAAAUCAAAAAAAAAAAUAAUAGUUGAGUGACCGAAAUAGAAUAAAAAGCGUAGUUGGACAACCAUUUUUACAGUUUACGCAUAAAAAAUAGUUUUCAAGAUGUCCACGUAAUCUUUUAAUAGAUAAAAUUUAAUGGAGAAACUAAUUUACACGUUUUAAAAUGAAUAAAUGUCAAUUUACUCGUUUUUUCAAUAAAGAAAUGGAAAAGCAAUCCGCCCUAAGCGCAUCAACCUUCCUAAUACUUUUACCUUUGAGAUCCCUUAUAUUGUUCUGACAUUCAAGUAUGCAAAUCCAACUAUUUCCCCCUUUUAGGAUUUCUUAAAAUUUGUUUCCCACAUUCAAGGAUGCAACUGUAAACAUUUCCCCUCUUAGGAUCCCUAAAAUUUAUUUCCCCUUUAAAUAAACAAUUUCUUAUUCUUCCCUAAAAAAUAACUUGAUUUAUUUUAAAAUAUAUAUACUUCAAAAAGUAACCUUCUAAAAUAUUUAUUUUUAAAAUAUUAUAAUUAAUAUAUAUAUAUAAAAUUACAUUAUAAACUUAUUUUGAUAUGAUGUUGAAUCAAAUAUUAUCAUGAUCCUUUACCACUUUCAACAAUAGUAUUUUAUUUCGUAAAUUUUAUGUUAAGUAAACUUCAAAUUUUAUCAAAAAACAUAUAUAUGGUCCAAUUUUAGUAUGUGUUUAGAUAUGAUAGAUUGAUUGGAUGAAAGUUUAAUUACUAUUGUAAUAAUUGCACCCUCUUGUAAUUACAAAGAAUUAUAAUUUUCUAGACAUAUUUGGGUGACAGAGUGUAAUUACAUAUGAGAUAUUACAACGUCUAAAUGAAUAACAAAAAUUAAAAUAAAAUAAUCAUAUACAAUAUGUUAUUCCAAGGUAGUUGAUAAUACGAUUAAAUACCAAGGAAAAAUAAAUUUCAUAUGCAAUUUUGUCUAAUCUCUCUAGUAUUUAUUGUUGGGUUACAGGGACAAGCCAAAAGUUUUAUCUUUGUGAGGCCAAUUAAAUUACAAACCUUUAAAUGAGUCAAAUUACAAUUUUAUCUUUGUUAAUGCUUGUUAUUUUAGAAAGGUAAAGGGUUUAAACUGGAAUUUUUUCCAUCUUUGGAGGGCCAAACUGCAUUUUACCACUAAACUAACUUAUAAUUUUAAAAAUUUCAAGGGACUAAAAUGACAGUUUUUUAUUUUAAGGGGAUAGGGCCUCUACCUAACCCCCCCUUGGCACUAUCCCUAUGGGGUUAUUUGAUCUUUUAACAUUUAACAUAUACUCUAUUGCUCUUUUUCAUCAACAAUUGGUCGCUGAGUUUAUUGUCAUGUAAAUCUGAAUUCGUAUUUGUGUCAUUAAGAUUAUAACGAUCUUAUUCUAUUUACUUUUUAAUGGAUCGUCUCAAUUCCACCUACAAAUGAGGUUAUGAGAUAUGCAACAUGCUAAUGUAAUCCAACCUUAUUUUUUUAUACUAUAUCGAAUCAAUGUUAUUAAUAUAAAAAUCUUUUUUAGAAUAAUAUUAUAUCUCUACUUCAACUUGGACCCAGUUGGACCCUCCAAUGGGCCACUCAAGGCUUAUUAAGUAACAUAAUUAGGUAAGAAUCUUCACUCAGUUAUAAAUGCCCAAAGGUACCAACAUUAUUAUAGUGGUCCUCUCUAGACUCAAAGUUUGAAAUAUGCUAAACAUUCAUAUUGAGGCCCUCUACUUGACUGAUUCUUGGUCCUAGAAUGGGUGAAUCGGUCUUCCUCGACACCACCCCCUCCUCCUUCUCCACUCCCAUUAAUACUGUGUAUCAACAAUGAUAGAGGUGACGGUGGAUCGAACAUGCGCAAAACCCUAGAAAUUCACCCUCUCAAUAUACAAAGAAAAAAAAACCAAAUUUUAGGUUCAAAGAGCUUGUAUUUGUUGCCAAAAGAUUUGGAGAUUGAAAAAUACAUAGCUUUUGACACGAUUCAUGGUAGUUGGAUAUUUGUGGGCAAUCUAUUUUUAUUUCGGUAGUAUAUGGUAUGUGCUUGCAUUUUUCUUUUUCUUUUCGGUUGUGGUGCAUUGGUCUUUGAGUGGGGUUUUAGAAUAGAUAAUUUUCUCUGUGUACGAAUUUUAGUGGAAUUUGGGGUUUGAUUCUUUGAUCAUGGUUUUCCUGUUGUGAUAGUUGAUGGGGUUCAAGUGUAUUGUUGCAUGGUAAGAAUUUCAUGAUGUUUGCUUGUGGUUCGUCUCUUGUUUUAUUAUAAUUCACCGGUUUACUUUGUCAUUCAAGGGCUGGAUCCGAGGUUGUUUCAUUGAUUGAACUUCUUGCUGAUUCUUAGAGAGCUCGUAUGUUUGUAUAACAAAUGUAUUGCCUCUAUAGUACAUAAAAUAAAAGCAUAAUAGGGGGAUGUUAGACAUGGUCAUGCUGAUUCCACUCAAUUAUACAUUAAAGUAGAACAUGUCCUAAAUACACAAACAUAACGUAUGUUAUGUACUUGCUAAAACAUGUAUAAAUGUAGAAUAUCCUGAAAAUAGAAAUUACAAGAGUUGCCAGGUUCGGAAGAUAGGGAAUAAUGAGCUUCUUUCUGAUAACAUGCUGUUUGACUUCAACAUAAGUUAGUGUGGCUUGCAAAUAAUGCACCAAACAUGUGUUAAAAUUGCUUAUUGCUUUUAAUGUGAUUCACCACUAUUCUAUUGUACAUGCAAAUGCAAAAUAUGGUUUGCUCAUUACUUGUUCAUAGCUUCUCGGCUAACCUUUACAACCAUCAUUAAUUUUUUUUUAAUUUCCUUUUUAUAUUGUUGGCUUUUAUAUUACUGAAUGUUUCACUGAAUGUCAAAUGUUAGACUAAGUUAUAAUUCGAAGUUUUUGUUAUUUUGUGUGUGCUUUAAAUAUGUUUGGCUCAUUUUCUCCAGUAUGAUUGUUAGUCUAGAAUAAUUAAAUCUCUGGAAGCUAUGCUUGUUUAUGCAUCUCACUGCAACCAAUAUCACUGCAGUUUAAAUUACCUAUAGCUUGUGUUUUUUUGGUCAUCUACAGCCUUUGGUGACUAUCAAGUAAGACAUGAUACACAAUAACAUUAUUGCAACUCUUUAUCCCAGAGGUGUAAUCCCCUGUGUAUGUAUGUAUAUCAGCAGAGUGCAACACCCAUGCAUGUGUAUGUUUAUUAUAAAAAAGAAAGAUGGUGGUGAAUUAGAGGGACCUGCGAAGGUUCCCACUAGGUUUCUUGCAUAUGUGUUAUUAACAAUAAGAAAAUGAAUGGAAGGGGGAACCCUCCCACGGGCAUAGCCCUGCCUAUGUGUAUAUGUAUAUAUAUAUUAUUUUAUUUAAAAGAGAGAGAAUGAUGAUUGAAAGCUUUCCAUGGACAAUUACACUUCACGAACAGUAAUUACUCGACAUCUUUGCUUUUACACUAACAGGCGAUUAUACCUCCGUAGAUAGUAAACACUCGGUAUGGUUAUUUGUACUUAUCUAUACAUGAAAAUCUAUACGAGUUUGAGAAAGGGAACCUAUGAGGGGUUCCCACGAGUGGUUCUACCACCUUGCAUAUAUGUAUAGUCAUGUGGUAUAUAUGUUACACAAAGGGAACCCACGAAAGACUCCUACGGAUGAUUACUUGUUGUCUACAUUUAUGUAAUUCUACUUCCAUUAUGUAAACCCAAGUCGAGUAAACUUGGUCGAAGGUUGUGAUUUGACGUGGCAAGGCCUUACACUCCACGUAAUUCUGGCCUGCGAGAGCCACGAUAGUGUGAUCGACCUGUGAUUCUUACUGUAAGUCUCCCCCCAUGUGUUUAGGAGCAGGAUCUAUCAUAAGCCUUCCGCUCUAAGUGGAGAAAGCACCACCAUUUUUCCAUAAGUCUCCCCCCUUGCAUAUUGGAGCAGAGCCUUUAUUACCACUUUUCGUAAGCCUCCCUUAAUGUGUCUUGGAGUAGGACAUUCGCGCCCUUCUGUGAACCCUUUGGGCUCUUGAUGGAGGUAAGACAUAUCUUCUACAUUUCAGCCCGUUUGUGAACUCUUUGGGCUCUCGACAGAGGUGAGGCAUAUCUUUUACAUUCGGGCCCCUCCAUGAACCCUAUAAUGACUCAAUUUUCAAUGGUGUCAAAAAAUUUGAUUUUAGAACCUCAUUUCUAUAAACUGAGUUCAUAACUAUUAAAUAUGGAUAUUUACAGAGUUAGUAUAUAGAUGUAUUGCAAUUUAUUAAAUAAUUUAGUUGAAAAUGUGGUUAAUUAAGGCCUAGAGGCUAAAUUGUAAAAAGUUAAAUCACUAUAGAGUUUUAAUUUGAAAAAGGCUUAGGGACUUAGAUAAAAAUUAUCCAAAGGACUAAAAUGGCUAAUAGACGAAUUUUAAAUAGAUAAUAGUGGGAUGUGAUCUUGAAUGUCAUUAGAUAAUAUUAAUUAAAUAUUAAUGUUAAUUAAACACGAUUAAAGUAAUUAAUUAAGCUUAAUUAUAAGCUAACCUAGCUAUAUAAACCAAAUUUAGUGGAGGGAGAGAUGAAUAUUCAUCUUCUCCAACUAGCCAAAGGAGUAAAGCCAAGUAGAAACCCCAUUGUUGAGACCUUGUUCAUUCGACCAACAUUUACAAGUAAGUCUCUAGCCAUUUUUUUAUAUAGAUUUUUUUAUCAUGAGAGCUUGAUUAAGCUAGCUUAUGUAUCAAUUUGUUCAAUUGGUGAAAUUUUGAUAAGUUACCAUUGUUGAGAAUUGAAUGAAUUAGGCUUGAAAUUGAUAGAAAUUAAGCUUAGGUUAUCGAAAUGACUAAAUUGCAAAACUUAAUUCUUAGCCUUUUACAUUAGGGGCAAAAUUGAAUAAAAUGAAUUUUUUAUAAAAUUAUGGUAGGAAUAGAAAGUAUAAGGUCCCUAAUGAAUACAUGUGAAAUCAAAUUUUAUUCCGAAGCUUUAAAUCGAAAGUUUUGCUUAUCUAAAGUUUAGGACUAAAUUGAAUAAAUUGUAGAAUAUGCAUGAUUUGGUAUUUGAUUGUGAAUUGGAUGAAAAUUGAUAGUGUUAUAUGUUUUGUGAUUGUACGUAGCUAACGUCAGCACUGUGCCUUCGAAAGGAAAAAGAAAAGUGAGAGUUGUCGACGAGUGACGCAAGCCUACAAUUUGUACUUUUAUGAUUCAGGAUCGUAUUAUUUGUUUGCAUAUACAUUGUUUAUUGAAUGAGGAAAUGUCAAGGUGAGUAUAUAAUGAAAAUGUGAAUUGUUGUGUUAGGCUUGAUAUGAAAUAUUGAGAUAGAAGACUAAAAUUAAUAAAAUGGAAAAUCGCAUGAAUUACUUUGAAAUGUGAUAUGUGACAUGGAAAAUUGAGUAGAAAUAUGUUAUAUGGAAUGAGACAUAAUGUGUAUUGAUAAUGAAUUGGAUUGUGACUAAGGUUGUGAUUGUGAAAUGAUAUAUGUAUUGAAUUUUAAAAUAAAAUUGAACGUUGGUACCUUAUUAACUAGUCUAGUUGAGCCAGAUAGUUAACAUGUCAUAGGAUUAGAUUGUCUAUGAGUUUGUGCACCUAUGCGCCAGGAUGCACCUCGUGUGCCAAGAUGCAUUUUAUGUUCCAGUAUGCACUUUGUGCAUCAAGAUGCACAUUGUUUGCCAGUAUGUGUUUUGUGCGCCAGGAAUGUGCUUCAUGUGCCAAUAUGCACUAUAUGUGUCAAUUUCGUUACUUCAGUUUAUUUGAUUAUGCACUUCGGUGCUAGUUUGGUGUGUUGCUUGGACGAUCUGUGUAUUCGUUUGAGUCCUAUUAAUAGGGAUUAUAAGUGGUAAACUUGGUAAAUGAUAUCAAAAUGAAAUGGUAUGAUGAUAUGGAACCACUUGUGUACUGAUGUAAAUCAAAAUGAAGAAUUAUGUAAAUGGUUAUGCAAAACAGUUGAAUACGAGCCUUGGGGGCCAAAGCAAAUGUGAAUGACUCAAUAGACUUCAGAAAAUUUUUAUACGAAUCGUGUCCUUGGUUCAAAUUUCAUUAUGGAUAAUUUUUUAUUGAUUUAUAAAGAUAUGAAAGAUGAAAACACCAUCACAAUCAUAUAUCUUACUUUAUAAAUAAAAUUAUUUUUUCGUAAUUUUCUUACUGAGUUGGGACCAAUUGAUGGGUAAAACCAACUCAGUAAAAGACUUAAAAAAUAGUAUAGAUAAAAAGGUUUUAAACUGAAUUUUUUAAAAGAAUUUAGGGUAAACGACACCAUUAAUCACUCAAGUAUGGGUAAGCUUUCGUUUUGGUCACUUAACUAAAAAAGAGUUACAAUUUGGUUACUAGUGUGUUUCAAAUUGUUUGUUUUUCUGUCACCUGACUAUUAAGUGGCACUUGUUUUAGUUGAUACAAUAAUAAUUUUAGUCCUCAAUUUUUAUAUUUUCUAUCAAAUUGACCUUGAUUUUGUAUAAAAUUAUAAAAAAAAACUAAAAAUAUUUAUAAAAUAAGAAAAUGUAUAUAAAAACUCUAAAAAAUAAAAUCUUGAAUAUGUUGUUGAAUAACUGAAUUGUAUUGAGAAAUAAAGAAAAUUAUCAUUUAAUAGAAUCCAAUAACAAAUUAAAAAUAGAACAAAUCUAUGUUUCUUAAAAUCAAAUUAGUACUAUUUUCAAGUUGAAUUACAUGCCCUAGAAGAAUAUCUAAAACUGAUAUUACAAAGGCUUAUGAAAUUGACCUCGAUGCCAUUUUUUUAAUCAAAAGAAUACAAAAUAUACCAUAAAAAAUUUCUUUUUCAAACUCAAUUCAAAUUUUCAUUAUAUUUAAAUUAUUUUUCAAAAUCAAAAUUAUAAAAAUAAAUUAUAUUCAGAAUUUUAUAGUUUCUUAUAAUGUAAAAGCUACGUCAAGAAAUAGAAGAGGUAAAAAAACAGAGACAUGUCAUUUUUCUUAAUUUUUUUAUAUAUAUAUUUUAAAGAAUGGGUAUUGGAUAUUUUUAUAAAAAUAAUAUAGAGAAAUUUUGAAGGGUUUAAAACAAUUAUCCUCAUUUUCUCUCACUUUAUUUAAUUUUAAAAAUUUUAUCUACUUUUAUUUAAUUUUUAAAUUUAUAAUGUUCUAAAAUUUUAAAAAUAAUUUACUAAUGGGGUGCGAAUAACUAUACCUAAUGCAACUCAUUAUUAAAUAUGCAUUCUUAUACCCUGCCGUCCCAACUCUUAUUAUUAUUAAAUAUUAUUUAAUGCCAACUUCAAUGAUGUCCAAGGUCUAUCACCAAAUUUCAAGGUAAUUUUCUUUCAUUUGCUUAAUCAAUCACAUGCUUUUCUUUGCUUGAUUCAUGAGUUUGCAGUGAUUGUUUCUGAUUAUCUGCUACUCUUAGCAGCUAGCUUUGUAAGACAGUCAACUUCACUGCGUCAUUUUCAGUUCUAUUCUCUCAACACUUUUCAGCCACUAAGUCAGGUAAUAAGAUCUGAAGCUAUGAUUUCCUCUACUCAUUAUCAACAGUUUUAGAUUUUAAGACAAGAUGAUCAGCAGACAUAAUCUACUCUAGAUUGCAAUUAACACAGAAAGAGCUACCCAGAAGCAAUAUAAUGUUGAAAUCUCAAACUGUUAACAUUUUAACUCUUAAUAUUCUGUAAUGAACUAUUGCACACUUGAAUCUAGCAUUUUAUAUACAUCGAGGGCUUAAUUCUGGUGACCAGAAUUUCAUCAUGUUUCUGUCUGCCACCCAUCCAUAGCUCCAUCUAAAAAACGCCAUUGCUUGAAACUUGCAUUCAUGUUUCCUUUUCAUGCUUACACAGACAUAUCAAUACUUCAUCCAAUACAUUCACAGAUUUUCAUUAUCUGCUACUGUUAUAUAUGAUUGCAUUGCAGGGACAUAGCAAUGGAGUACGUAGAGCCUGUUGUUGUCAUUGCAAAUUGUCUCGGAACACCUGUUUGUAAAUACUUGCAAUAUUACAGAAAGCUGAACGAUUAUGUGAGAAACUUCAAGAGGAUCAGAGAUGAAUUGAAUUGCAAAAUGGAAGAUAUAGAGCUGCAAUUGAAAGCAGAGCUUCUUCGUCCUCUGGGGAAGAUACCGAAGAAGGAAGUUGAAAAUUGGUUGAAAGAUGUGAAAGAGAUGAUUAGGGAAGCACAAGUUGUUGAAAACAAAGUCAGUAACGGGAGAUAUCUCUGUCGUGCUUGCAACGGGAAGCUGGUUGAUGAAAAGACUCGAGAAAUGAAGGAAUUUCUUGAUAAAGCUCCUAAUGCCUCUGAAGGUCUUGCCAUAGAUGGUCCAAGCGGUGGGUUGCCGCUGCCAACAUCAGAACUAGUUGGAGAGGAAGCUGUCAGAAAUGAGAUUUGGGCAUGUUUGAUGCAGGAGGAGGUGAGCAAGAUUGGAGUUUGGGGGAUGGGCGGUGUGGGUAAAACCACUAUCAUGAAGCACAUUCACAAUGAUCUUUUGAAAGAACAAAGAUUCAAAAGGGUAAUCUGGGUUACCAUAUCAAAGGAGUUCAAUGUAAUGAAGGUACAAGAUAAUAUUGCAAGUGCGUUGGAGUCAAAGGAGUAUUUAGACAAAGAAGAGGACAAGCUCAGACGAGCUGCAAUCUUGUCAGAAAUGCUAAAGAACGCAGGAAAGCAUGUUCUAAUCCUAGAUGAUGCGUGGGAUAAAGUCUCUCUAGAGGAAGUUGGGAUCCCUGAGCCGAGUGGCAGCAAUGGCUGCAAGUUGGUGUUGACAGCCCGUUCGGAGCAUGUCUGUAAGUAUAUGGGUUGUAAGGUGAUAAAAGUGAAGCCCCUUUCAGAAGAAAAGGCAUUGAUACUAUUCUUGAAUAAAGUUGGACCUAACAUAGUUCAAAGUCCAACUAUAAUGCCUACGUUGAAGCUUGUUGUCAAGGAAUGUUCGGGUCUACCUCUUACAAUUGUCGUGGUAGCUGGUACCAUGAAAGGAGAAGAUAACCCCCGUAUUUGUAAAAAUGCAGGGGAAUUGAAAGAGGAAUAGGGAAAGUGGAAGGAGUGGAAGCUGAGGUAAUCGAGCGCUUGAAAUUUAGCUUCGAUCACUUAAAGGACGAGAAAGUGAAAUAUUGUUUCUUACAUUGCGCAUUAUAUCCCGAAGAUUUUGGAAUUGAAAAGGAUGAACUAAUUGAGUGCUGGAUUGAGGAGGGAUUCAUAGAUGAUAUGGGUACAAGACAAGAAAUGAAAGACAAGGGCCAUGUUAUUUUGAAGAAGUUAGAAGAUAAUUGCUUGUUGGAAAAUGUCUGGAGUGAAGAAAUGAUAAUGCAUGAUGCAGUGAGAGACAUGGCAUUGUCGAUCACAAGAAUGAAUCCUCGAUAUAUGAUACAAGCAGGUUUGCAAUUAGAAGAGUUACCAGAAAAGGAGCAAUGGAGUCCGGAUAUUGAGAAAGUGUCACUUAUGUGUAACUCCAUAUCAGAAUUUCCAUAGAUGUGCUGCUCACAAAAUGUCAACUGCUCACAACCUAGUUAUUGAAGGAGAACCCUAUAAAGAAGAUCUCAAUUUCUUUCUUCACAAACAUGCCUUGUCUUAGUGUUCUGAAUUUGUCCUCUACGAAGAUCAAAAGUUUACCAAAUUCCAUUUCUGUACUAAAGAACCUCACAACAUUGUUGCUUUGUUAUUGUGAAGAAUUAAGAGAUCUACCAUGUCUUUCGAUGCUUCAAGAAUUGAAGAAGUUGGAUCUAAGUUGGACUAAUAUUGAGGAAGUACCAGAAGGCAUGGAUAUGCUGAUAAAGAUAAGAUAUCUUGGUCUUCAAGUGUUCACUCCGAAAGAGAUACCCGCUGGACUUUUACCAAAACUCGUUCACCUUCAGCACUUGAGUUUUGAUGUGGACAAUGAAAAAACAAGUCUAAAAGCAGAGGAGAUGGAACCAUUGAAGAAGUUGGAGUGCUUAACCGGACGUUUUGAAGACAUCGGUGAAUUGAAUAAGUUCAUCUCCUCAAUGCAACAAAGUAAGAAAAAUCUCAUCGAGUACUAUUUACUGGUGGGCCCAUAUAUUAUGGGUCGUGGAAGGGAGAAAACAGUAACAAUUGGAGAAGUCGAGAAUUGGGAAGGUGAGUUAAUUAUGCACCCAAUUGAAAUUCAACUGUUGAAUAUUGUAAACUGCGACUAUUUGAGAAGCUUAGUCGAUGAUAAUUCUUCCUUCAAAAAUGCGAUUGACUUGAAGGUUUGUGGUAUUUGGGGGUGUGAAGGGAUAGAGUGUGUUGUUUCCGUGUCCUCUUUUGCCUCUUUUUCCGCUCAGCCAUUUCAGAGCCUCGAGGUGUUAUAUCUUCGAGAUCUGCCAAAGUUAAGUGCCCUUAUUAUGAAAGAUGAAGGAAUUGGUUCAGCAACAACAUCAACAUUGGCUCCGUCUGCCACCUUUUCCCAUCUCAAAAAAUUAAGAUAGUGAGCUGCUCAAGUAUGAAGACGUUGCUUCCACAUUGGUUGCUUCCAAACCUCCAAAACUUGGAAGAAAUAUUAGUGGAUCAUUGUGAUGAGAUAGUAGAAAUAUUGGGAGCAGAAACAUCAAAAGUUGAAGAAAAAGGGAGUGAUGCAUUAAUCAAACUCCAUCUUCCCAAAUUGAGAGAAUUGAGUCUACGUAGGUUACCAAAUUUGAAGAGCAUUUGCAGCAAAAGUGGAGUGAUGGUUUGCGAUUCUCUCCAACUUAUCCAAGUUGAUAGAGACUGUUAUAAACUGAAGAGAAUUCCUCCAUUUGUUCCCCUUGUUGUCAAUGGGCAGCCAUUUGCAUAUGCUCCACCUUCUCUUACCAUCAGGUCAAGGACAAAAUGGUGGGAAUCGUUGGAGUGGGAUGGCCAUCCAAACUUUAAAAAUGUUCUUCAACCCCUUUGGAAGGAUGAAAGGUAUGAACCAUUUAUAGUUUAGUUUAUUUUUUAUUUUGAUAAAUCUAAUUUCUCCAUAUUAAUAAAAUUUGAUGUAUAUUUGUGGUGAUGUUGAAGAGAAAGAUAAAAGGGUUGGUGGGAAAGAAGUAAGGGGGAGGAUAGUGCAAAAGAGAGGAGAAAAGGAAGGAUGGAAGGAAGAGGUUAAGAGCAUGGAGACUGAGAGGCAAAGGUAAAUAAGAAAUCAAAAAUAUUUAUAUUAAUCAAAAUGAUUUAAGGUGAGACAAAAUCAUAGUUUUAUUUCCAAUAAAAGUUAGGAAAGUAUUGUAAAAAGACAUAAUAUUUUUUAAUUUCCAUGUAAAAUUUCUGGAAAUUUAAAAAAUAAUAAAUGCUUGUUUUUUUAGAACAUAAUAUUUAUUUAAAAAUAUAAUUGGAUUCAUUCAUAUGUAAACGUAAUGAUAAAGAUUAAAACAAUAAUGUACUUUCAUAAAAGUAUGAUUUUAGAAAUUAAAAGUGGAAAUUAAAUAAGAUAAAUUCCUUUUCUUAACUAAUAUAAAAAUUGUAGGGAUUAACAUAGUUAAUAAUAUUAACAUAUUUCUAAUAUUAAAUAAUAUUUUAAUUUAUCAGGACUAAAUGAGAAAAUUAAAAAGGUGAAAUCCCUUUUAAAAUAAAUUUAAAACAUUAAGGGUAUUAUGUUGCAAAUAACCCCUCCACGUUCCCAUAUAUAAAAUACAUUUUCCUUUUUCUUUUAAUUUGUGAUGAAUAAGUUGGAAAAUAAAAUAAAAAUAAAAAAAACUUAGUUUGCUUCUUUUUUUUCGAAGCUGAAGGUUUAAAGUUUUUUGGUCUUAAAUACAAAAAAUAUCAUAGGUUCUCAAUAAUUAUGUAGUUUGUAACGCCAGAAAGUUUACAUUUUUAAAAUAUCAUAGGGACACUAGCGUGUGUCCAGACCGUGUGUGACUAUGUUAGUGUAGGGUUCACACAGGCCAAGGAUAGGAACGUGUGUCCAGGUCAUGUAACUCACUAUUUACAAAAUAAGGAUCACACGGACGGAUGACACAGCCGUGUGUUAGGCCAUGUAAGACACACGGGCAAGCAAACAGGCGUGUGUCAGGUCGUGUGAGGCUACAUGGGUGUGUGGGCCAGUUUACGAAAUUUUUCAUUUCCCGAACUUCAUUUGAAAUGAAUACAAGCCUUCUGUGAGGCCGUAUGAACUGAAUUAAAUUGUAUAAAUUGAUAUUCUAUGAUCUGAAAUUGAGUACUAAUAAUUUGCGUGUGUAUUGUGUAUGACCUAUAUUAAUAGUAUCGAUCUACUGUAUUCAAGCAUGACUUGUAUCUGAAUAUUCGCAUUUGUAUUAACUGUCAUGUGAAGUCUGCAUAUGCAUUGGGUGGAAAUUGAGCAAGAAGGAAGUAUUCUGUUCUGGCAUAAUGAUUAAUUCACUGUCAUAUGUACUCUGAUAUGGCAGCUAGACUGCAAUUUUUGAAACGUGUCAGACUGACCAUAUAUGGUGUGUAGGGUUAGAUGGGUUAUAAGUACCCUAUUUCAUGUGUUAGGUUUGUCGGAGAUGGUGUGUAACGGCCGGGAUUAAGAAAAUUGCAUAUGUUCUGUUAUGUUCUGUAUCCGAUUAUAGUUUGAUUUGAUAUCUGUUUGUAUAGUUCUGAUCCGUAAAUGAAUGAGCUAUUUCCUAAGUCUAAAUCGGCAUUUGAACUUGGACAUCUACUGGUUUAAUCCACACUCUAUUGAAUAUGUAUAUUGUUGGUUUCUUUAUGAGAUAUUAAAUCAUUUUGUUGUUGAAUGAAUUACAGGUAAAUCACAGGCUUAGACGAGUCAGUGGAUGGGAAGCUCAGUUUCACUAUUUUAAACUGUUUAGUAGUACUAGUAUUGUUAGUUGUUAUUCGUAUUUUCAAUUUAGUUGGACGAUAAACCAACUUUCUUGCCUUGUUAGUUAUUUAAAUCUUAAAUGACUCUGAAGGAUUUUAAAGCUAAGUUAUGAAGUUGCUUUAUUAUUAUAGUUCGUUGUAACCCUCCAGGCUUGGCCUUGUCGUCUAGACCGGGUAUGAAUUGUUACACUCCUUUAUAAUAUUUAGCAAUGCCAACAAUGUUAAAAUUUGGCCCACACGAGGUUAAAACGCUUGCAAUUAAUUUUGUUUUCAAAUUUCAUUGCAUACUUGCUUGACCUGAUAGGAUCGAAAAAGUUUUUCAUCUAUCAAAACUAGUGUUUUAAAAAUUAUAUCGGAUCAGCCAAUUGGAUAUUAAAUCGGUCUAGAGAUAGGAGUUGAAUUGGUUGACUUGCGAGCCAAUACAAAUAAGUUGACCCAAGCUAAGGAAACCAAUUGAACCAGUUCUCUCUAUUUUUUAAUUUUUUAUGAAAUUUUAAUAUUUUAAAUUUAGAUAAAGAAAAUAUUAUCUUUUUAUCUUUUUUUUACAUGAAAAGUUUUAAUUGAUUAUUUUUAAAAAGAAAUAGGCUUAACAGUUUGCGUAACAACAAAAGUACCAACUUGGGAAAAAUAUAGUUUAGGUAGUACUUUUAACCAAAAAAAUAUUCAGGUACCAAAAUGAGAAAAAUGAUAGAGUUUAGGUACCAAUUUAUGAGUUAAACCUUUUUUUUAAAUGAAUUUAACGGUUUGACUUACUAUUUGACUAACGAAAGUAUCAACUUAAGAAAACAAAAGUAGUUUAUAAACCACUUGUGAGAAAAAAAAACUUUAAAUAUCAAGAUAAAAAAAAAUAUAUAUAUAAUUUAAAUAUCAAUUGAUAAAUUAAUUAUAUUCAAAAUAAUGGUAUUUUAGAUAGCAAAGGUAUUGAAAAUUUAAAGUGAUAAAUUACCUUUAUCAUUAUAAAUAAAUACCACAAUUUUUUUAAAUAAAAUAAAAAAUUUAGUUUAAAUAUCAUUAUUUCUUCUUUCAACAAUCAUUCUAUUCUAAAAAUAAAAAUAAAAUAAAUAAACAAAGAAAACUUUAUUAUAUAAUUUAAUCAGUUAAAUUUAAUCAGUUAAAAUAAAUAAAAAGUAAGACUUGAUGAAACACUAUAUAUAAUUUAAUCAGUUAAGUUUUAUUAUUAAUUUUUGUAUUACGUUGUGUAUUUAAUUUUUAUAUUUUAAUUUGAUUAUUUUUAAUUUUUAAUUUUUUAAAUUUUAAAAUUUCAUGUGGUAAUAAUUAAAUUUAUUAAGUUAAAUUAUACUAUUUCUAAAAGGGUUAAUGCACUAUUUACCCUUAAAAAUUGUACUCAACUAUCACCUUGAUACUUAAAGAAUUUUUUAUACCAAUUUUGUACACGGAGUUUCUAACUAUGAAUCACUUUACCUUACUUGUUAACUGCAUUAAAAAAAAGAUGAUGUGGCGUGCUCUCAGCAUAUUACGUGAUUCAAUUCUUAUUUUCUCAAAAUAAAUUCUAAAAAAAAUGAGAACAAUAAAUAAUAAUAAUAAUAAUUGAGAAUUUUUCUCAAUUUUUUUAAAAAUAAAAAAAUAUGCAAAUUUAUAGCAAAUUCCUAAAAUUGAAAAACUAUUUACAUUUUUUUAAGUACAAAAAAUUAAAAAAAAAACAAAUAAAAUCUAUAAAAUUUUAACAAAUAAAAAAUUGGAAAGUUGUAUAAAAUUUUCAAAAUAAAAAAAUAUUUCUCUUUUUUAAAAAUAGAUAAAAAUACAAAAAAGAAAAAGAAAAAAAUACAAGAAUUUCAAAUUUUUCAGAAAAAGCUUAAAACAAUUGAAAAUAAAAAAAAAUAUAUUUUUAAAAUAUAUGAAAUAUAAAAAAACUUUUAUUUGGAGAUAAAUACUGAAGGUUUAGGGGUUGAGCCUCUAGAACAUAUGAACUGAUAUCUGAGCGAUCAAGGCGAGGAAAGCGAAGUUUCAUAAUAGCCACCAGAGAGUCCCCUUCAAUCUCCACCGAACCAAACCCCAUCUCCCUUGCGAAUCAAAUCUCUUCCACACUCACCCAUGCCUCCGCUGCCAAAGGGGUUGAAACAUACUCCAUCCAGAAGAAGGUUGCCCACAUUAGAAGGCUUAAAUGAUUCAAAGUCAUGACCCCCGCACGUGCAGCCCCUCAAGUCCCUAUGAAACCCGGUAUCAAAAUUGAGUCGCAUACAAGGCUCGACUGACAGUCACCAUGUUCGGAAGGUUGAGUCCUUCCGUCGACCAUGCACAUCGAGUAACCAUCCCAGCCUUUAGACAUGACCCAAAAUAAAGGUAAGAAGCUCUAAAUUUUAUUGUCGCUUGCCCUCAUGCGCCAAAAGAUUUCUCAAAUACCAUACUACCUAAAUGGUGACAAUUAUUGUUAGACGUUGUGCAGGAGAACUACCACAAAGCAAAUCCCAACAAAGCAAGGAGUCGUUAACCUCAUCCACAUGCCAAGUGAAACCAAGGCUCAACCAAACCGAGAGCAGAAAUGGACAAUCACGACAAGCAUGAAGAGAUGUUUCACCACCCACACCACAUCGAGGGCACAUCGAGUCACCUCGAAGGUGUCGCAUGAAAAGAUAAGCAUUGGUAGACACAUAGUUGUUUAGGAAUUUUGACACUAUAAUUUGGAUAUUUUCCUAUGCAGGAAUCUGCCAAGGAGUUCUAUAAAUGUCCUUGAUGUCUUGACCCACAUUAAUGUACUUGUCCUUCAUCGAACUAGGAAAACUGUUGCGGAAAGGAUCGAUUCGAGAACUCCGAUAUGACUACAAGUAAAUUGACCGGAACGAAAAAUAAAGUGAACACAAGGAUUUACGUGGUUCGGCUUUAAUGCCUACGUCCACGGGCAGAGGCGAAAAGAAAUUUCACUAUAACAAGAUGAAGAUUACAAGUGUUUUACACUCAAGACACAACCCGAGAACCUCACAACUCUCAACCCCUAUAGAAAACCCGAAAGCUAAAAUCCUAGCUUUCAAAGAACAAGCUUUGCUCUCUCUUGGUUUGGGAUGAUGAAUAUGGCUAAUGAACCUCUCUAUUUAUAAGAGAGUUCAAGGACAUAAUUGUCCAAAACUUUGGCAAAGAUUUGUGGUUGAAAAUGGACACCAACAACCAUCCACUAAUCCACUACCACCAACAACCCACUACCAACAACAACAAUCCACUACCAAUUUUAAGCCAUUUCUUAACAAAUCUCCACCUUGGCUUGAAAUUUACCAAGCUGAACAUCAUAGUGAAUUCCUCGAACUGGAUCACCUCUUCCAAACGCCUCUCUGGCGCUAAUCAAUCCCGAAUACCUAUCAAGUCCAAGCAAUGCUUGAACUUAUAUGCAGGGAUCACCUUAGUUAACAUAUCUGCAGGAUUCUUCUCGGUAGCAACCUUGCUGAUAACAAUGUCACCUUGCGUAACAUGUUCCCGAACAAAAUGAUAUCUGACAUCAAUGUGUUUGGUCCGUUCAUGAAACAUCUGAUUUUUAGUCAGAUGUAUGGCACUCUGGCUAUCGCAAAAUACAACAGUGAAAUCCUGUUGUAAACCCAAACUGCUUACUAGACCUUUCAUCCACAAUGCUUCUUUCACUGCUUCUGCUAACGCCAUAUAUUCCGCCUCAGUCGUAGAUAAGGCUACGGUAGACUGUAACACAGCUUUCCAACUAAUGGCUCCUCCAGAAUAAGUGAAAACAUAACCCGUCAGAGAUCUUCUUUUGUCCAGAUCUCCAGCAUAAUCAGAGUCCACAUAGCCCGUGACACUGCUAGUGCAGUCACUCUGAUCAUAUACCAAGCAUAAAUCUGCAGAACCUCUCAAGUACCUGAGAAUCCAUUUCACGGCCUGCCAGUGUUCCUUGCCAGGACAACUCAUGUAUCUGCUGACCACACUAACUGCAUGUGAAAUGUCUGGACGAGUGCAAACCAUUGCAUACAUCACGCUUCCAACUGCACUCGAGUAUGGAAUGUGAGACAUUUGCUGCUUUUCUUCAUCAGAUUGUGGUGACAACUCUGCAGAGAGUUUGAAAUGUGGUGCCAACGGAGUACUCACAGUUUUCGCUUUAUCCAUGCCGAAGCGUUGAAGAACCUUUUCAAUGUAGUUCUUCUGCGACACACGAAGCUUGCCCGCCUUGCGAUCUCUGUGAAUAUCCAUGCCCAAAAUUUUCUUGGCAGCACCCAGAUCCUUCAUCUCGAACUCACCACUCAACUGCGACUUUAACUUGUUGAUUUCCGACAUGUUUUUGGAAGCAAUUAACAUGUCAUCAACAUACAGCAACAAAUAAAUGUGCGAACCAUCUGAGAGCUUCCGAUGAUAGACACAAGCAUCAUAGUCACAUCUUGUGUAACCAUGCUGAAUCAUGAAGCUAUCAAACCGCUUGUACCACUGCCUUGGGGAUUGUUUCAAUCCAUAUAAAGACUUCUUUAAUAGACAGACAUGGUCUUCUUUACCAGGAACUGUAAAACCCUCUGGUUGACGCAUGUAGAUUGUUUCCUCGAGCUCACCAUGCAAGAACGCCGUUUUUACGUCAAGCUGCUCAAGUUCUAGAUCAGACUUGGCCACCAUGGCAAGUAAUACACGAAUGGAAGAAUGCUUUACGACUGGGGAGAAAACUUCAUUGUAGUCAAUCCCCUCUUUCUGAGUGAAGCCUUUAGCAACCAAUCGUGCCUUGAAUCUAGUUGCUUCAACCCCUAGGAUGCCUUCCUUUUUCUUGAAGACCCAUUUGCAACCAACUAUCUUCUGGUUACUUGGCGGCUUAACCAACUCCCAAGUAUGGUUCUUGUGAAGAGAUUCUAUCUCCUCACUCAUAGCAAUUGCCCACUGUGCCGACUCAUCACACGUGACAGCCUCAUUAUAACUGGAAGGUUCUAUACCAAUGGACUCCGCCACACUGAGCGCGAAAGACACCAGAUUAGCGUAACGCGGAUUUGGUUUGAUUUGUCUCUUCGUUCUUCCAGUGGCAAUGCUAUAUGGUUUUUCUUGAGGUGACUCAUCUUCAUCGGAAUCUUGCACCUCAACUUGAUCAUCCUGGACUGAAGUACCUUCCGUAGGAAUUGGAGCGUCCACCUGACACUCCACCUGCUUCUCAACACCGUGAUCUCCCAUUCUAUCUGACUCCUCCUUUUCCCGGGAAUUUGUGGUGGAUCGAAGCAUGGAUGACUCAUCAAAAGUCACAUCUCUGCUGAUGAUGAACUUGGACGAAACCGGAUCAGGACACCACAACCUGUAUCCUUUCACCCCUUGGCCGUAUCCAAGAAAUAUGCAUUUCUUCGCCCUCGGUUUGAGUUUUCCCUCAUUUACAUGAGCAUACGCAGGGCAGCCAAACACUCUUAAACCAGAGUAAUCAGCAGGAGAACCAGACCAUACUUCCUCAGGAGUCUUCAGCUCAAUAGCUGUUGACGGAGAUCUGUUAACCAAAUAACAAGCAGUAUUAACAGCUUCAGCCCAAAAUUCUUCACCGAGCCCAGCAUUUGAUCGCAUGCAACGAGCUCGCUCCAAGAGAGUUCUAUUCAUGCGUUCUGCAACUCCAUUUUGUUGUGGUGUUCGACGAACAGUGCGGUGUCUCACUAUUCCUUCAUUUUUGCAGAACUCAUUGAAUUCACCUGAGCAAAACUCCAAGCCAUUAUCCGUCCGGAAUCGCUUGAUCUUCUUUCCUGUUUGAUUUUCGAUCAAAGCUUUAAAUUGCUUGAAGUUGAUGAGAACCUCAUACUUGCUCUUCAGAAAAUACACCCAAACCUUUCUCGAGUAAUCAUCGAUAAAGGUAAGCAGAUAUCUGUAACCACCUUUAGAAAUUGUCGGAGAAGGCCCCCAAAGGUCAGAAUGGAAGUAAUCCACUGUGCCUUUUGUCUUGUGAAUCCCAGUGCUGAACUUUACCCGAGUCUGCUUACCGAAGACGCAGUGCUCACAGAAAUUCAACUUUCCUGUACACUGCCCAGACAAUAAUCCUCGUUUGCUUAGCACCGAUAAGCCUCUCUCGCUCAUAUGCCCGAGCCGCAUAUGCCAUAACUUCGUGGUGUCAGAAUCUAGAUCAUCUGAUGAUGACACUCCCGCAACACCUGUAACCGAGGAACCAUCGAGGAAGUAAAGGCCCCGCUCCAAAUUACCACGUAUCACAGUCAAAGCACCCGAGAAUACCUUGAGAACUCCACCUUCAGCAGAGUACCGAAAGCCUUUCUUGUCCAACGUACUCAAAGAGAUCAAAUUUUUCUUCAUUUCUGGAAUGUGCCGAACAUCAGUUAGAGUUCUAACAAUACCGUCAAACAUCUUUAUACGAACUGUGCCAAUCCCCAUGACUUGACAUGCGUGGUCAUUUCCCAUUAGUACUGAACCAGAAUGCUUCUCGUAUGUUGAGAAUGCAUCUUUCGAAGUACUUAUAUGAAAUGUAGCUCCCGUAUCAAGAAUCCAUCUCCCACCAGCGUAAGAGUCGGAUACUGCAAGAACGAUCUCGGCAUCACUUGAAGAAUCUGCAUCAGCUACAUUCGCACGAUCAUUUUGUUGCUCCUGUGAUUCUGAUUUCUCCUUCCUUUUCGGACAAUCUACCUUCAUGUGCCCGUACUUCUUACAGUAGUAGCACUGUAUUCUCUUCUUGGACUGCGAUCUAGGAUGGCUUUUACUUGAACUUCCACCCUUUGCCUUGGAUCUUCCUCGAGCAACCAAGCCUUCGCCUUCAUUGUUUUCGACCACCUUACCAGUGAUUUUCUUCCUCAACUCACUGGAACUUAAGGCAUUUUUCACCUCCUCUAGAGUCAGGUCAUCACGACCGUACAUCAUUGUAUCAACAAAAUUCUCAUACGAGGGAGGCAAAGAACACAAAACAAUUAUUGCUUGGUCCUCAUCAUCGAUUUUGUUAUCGAUAUUAUUCAAAUCCAUGAUAAUGGAAUUGAAUUUAUCCAGGUGCUGGGAAACAGGUGUACCUUCCUCCAUCUUCAGGGCAUAGAGUCUUUGCUUGAGGUAGAGCCGGUUCGUCAAUGACUUCGUCAUGUACUUGCUCUCUAACCGGAGCCACAAACCGGACGCGGUUUUCUCAUCCGCUACUUCUCGUAGCACUUCAUCUCCUAGACAUAGCAGAAUAGCACUAUGUGCUCUUUCUAGCAUGUCAUCCUUUUGCUCUUCCGAAAGCGUGCUUGGUAAUUUAUCUUUACCAGACAAUGCUUUUAGCAAUCCUUGUUGAACCAGCACUGCCCGCAUCUUGAUGCGCCAUAAACUGAAACUAUUUUUCCCGGUAAAUUUCUCGACAUCAUACUUAGUCGAUGAAACACUUGUAGCCAUAAUUUGGAACCUUUGAAUGAAUGAUAAUAUUUUCUUCCUGAUGUGAAAGAUCAGACAAAGCUGCAGUCACAGGGCAAUUCAGAAAAUAUUAUCACUCCUUCAACUACGCUCUGGUACCAAUUUGUUGCGGAAAGGAUCGAUUCGAGAACUCCGAUAUGACUACAAGUAAAUUGACCGGAACGAAAAAUAAAGUGAACACAAGGAUUUACGUGGUUCGGCUUUAAUGCCUACGUCCACGGGCAGAGGCGAAAAGAAAUUUCACUAUAACAAGAUGAAGAUUACAAGUGUUUUACACUCAAGACACAACCCGAGAACCUCACAACUCUCAACCCCUAUAGAAAACCCGAAAGCUAAAAUCCUAGCUUUCAAAGAACAAGCUUUGCUCUCUCUUGGUUUGGGAUGAUGAAUAUGGCUAAUGAACCUCUCUAUUUAUAAGAGAGUUCAAGGACAUAAUUGUCCAAAACUUUGGCAAAGAUUUGUGGUUGAAAAUGGACACCAACAACCAUCCACUAAUCCACUACCACCAACAACCCACUACCAACAACAACAAUCCACUACCAAUUUUAAGCCAUUUCUUAACAAAAACCAUGCAAAAGGAGUCAAUAGCCACUCCGAAUCGUGUACUCUCGAGAACCUUUUAAGCACCAAUGCAACUGUCAGAGGCUUCCUACUGCGGCAAAGGAAUGAAGAGGAUCGUACGAGCCUCUAAGGCAUCAAACGUUGAUAGAACAACAUCCUCAUUCCACAUAUUCAUAUUUGUGUCAAUCAAAUCAGUAACCUAAUUAAUACCGUUGACUCAUUGUAACUCCACCAGAAAUGGUCGAUCACUAGAGCGUCAUGACAUGUCACAAACAAAAAUCUCAUUCUCAUUCCCCAUUAGCCAACUACAACCUUUGACGAGUAGGCCUUUCGCCGCCUAGAUGCUCCUCCUAAUAAAAGAAGGUUUGCUCCCUAAUGUCGACUGUAGGAAAUCAUCACACAAAAAAUAUUUCACCUUAAGAACCCUUGCCAUUCACAAAAAUUAUCCCUAUUUAAAUUUUUCUUAGUAAAAAUGUUAAUAAGAGGAUUAUAAGACAUAUUUGAACUGAAAAAAAAUGAAGAUUCAUUAAUUACUAUAUUUGUAUUAAGCAAAUAUUUUCAUUUCAGCAACAUAUCAAGAAUGUAGUAUGAUGCAUGCGUCUUGUAUUAAAACCUUGAAAAUAAUUUUUUUUUGUUGCUAUGAUCAUUUUCACACCCAUCAAUCAUGUCACUUUGGGGUCCAUGAUUAACUAGUAAGAACAUGGAAUACAUCCAAUCAGUUCAUGAAUCUUAAUUCUCAAGACUCCACAGGAACCAACGAUCGUUUAACAUUUAGCCAUCAUCUCUAGAUUAAAUAUCGUUUUUUGGGAAACUAUUUCAUAAGAGAAGAUUUUAAGUAUGUAACCGUUGACUCAACACCCAUCAUGAACAUGUUUUCAUUUAUGAGUCAUCUUGGGAUAAUUUCACUAAGAUUCAUGCACAACUACUUAUCUUGAAAAGUAAAUCUCAUCUAGUGAACCCACAUGAUAAAAUUUAUCUUGGGACAAUUUUUUUUCUUUUAUCAUGCUAUCAUUUAAUACCAUCAAUGGAGGUCGCAGGUCUUGUUAAAGGACCUUCUCCCACUCAAUAUUUUAAAAUAAUAUGAAAGGUUUUUAUCUCAUGUUUAAAACAUGAUCAUACAAUAGUCCUAGUGACAUUCUUAUCUAAUUUAUAUGACAUGCUUCUCAUAUAUGCAUGACAUGCUAUGACAAUUUUACAAUAUUCACAUUCAUUUAUUCAUAAGAAUCAAUCAAUCAUAAAACAAAUAAUUUUGAUUCUCCAUAGUUUUUCCUUUGAGGGAAAACUGAAUAAGUGAAUGUGAACCGUGCACCAGGUAGGGUCUUAGGAAAGGGAGGUGAAUCAAAGUUGACCACUUAAAAACCAAGCCUUCUAAUACCACACUUCUCACGGUAAUCGAAUAACCUAAAGGAGUGAAUAGAACAAUACAACGCAUGCAUUUUCUCAUUACCACACUUCUUAUUUUUUUUAAUCGAUCAACUGCGGAUCAUCUCAUAUAUAUAUAUCACAAUUGUAACAUUACAUUAUAUAAAUAUUAAAAACAAUUAUAAAACAAAAAUAUAAGGAGGUGAGUAAUUAAAAUAAAAUUGUCAACCAAGGUUUCCAUGGUUUUAUUCUAGAAAAUAAAAGAAAAAAAAUAAAAUUACAUAGUUAUUGGCCACAAGGCAUUCUUUGGGUCUUCAACUGCCAUCGCUCUAUCUUUUCCUCAUCAUGGACUCCUUUUGGUAGAACUACAUUUAACCCUUAUGUCCGUUUUCGGAUCAAGAAUUCUAUAGAUUAAAAAAACAAUCCUACAUGAAGAUGAUAGUCUACGGUCUAUUUCCUAAGAACCAUAACAUUGACAAAGCAAACAAUUAGAUAAUAAAUAUAUAAUAUCGCAUUCAUUCUCAUAUAUAACACAAAAAUAUGUAUAAGAUCUAAAGAAUGUCACUUUCUAUGUAAUCAAAUCAUUCAAGAAGAAGAGAAUUUUAUUUUGGUUAUCUAUUUAUACUUAUAGAUAGAGCAAAACCUAAUUUUAAUACCAAUUGUUCAAAAAUGGGUUUGGAUAAUGCAGCGAAAAAUCAAUAUAGGGAAAAACCUAAGUUUUAAAAAGUUAUAAAAUAAGAAUUUGGUUGUGAUAUCAAAAGUAAUAAACUUAAUAAAAAUUAUACCAUUUGCAUAUGCUCCACCUUCUCUUACCAUCAGGUCAAGCACAGAAUGGUGGGAAUCGUUGGAGUGGAAUGACCAUCCAUACUUUAAAAAUGUUCUUCGCUUCAACCCCCGUGGAGGAUAAGAGGUAUGAACCAUUUAUGGUUUUGUUUUUUUUUUUAUAAAUCUAAUUUCUCCAUAUUAAUAAAAUUUGAUGUAUAUUUGUGAUGAUGUUGAAGAGAAAGAUAGAAGGGUUGGUGGGAAAGAAGAAGGGGGAAGGAUAGUGCAAAAGAGAGGAGAAAAGGAAUGAUGGAAGGAAGAGGUUAAGAGCAUGGAGACUGAGAGGCAAAGGUAAAUAAGAAAUCAAACUUUUUAAACAUUUUCCAUCUCUUACCAUUCCUUCUAUUCUCUUCUAAUAUAUAUAUGUACAUCCCAAAAUAACCUUCUGAAUAUUUAUUAUUAAAAUAUUUAUAUUAAUCGAAAUGAUUUAAGGUGAGACAAAACUACCAUAGUUUUAUUUCCAAUAAAAGUUAGGAAAUUAUUGUAAAAAGACAUAAUAUUUUUUAAUUUCUAUGUAAAAUUUCUGGAAACAUUAAGAUUUAAAAAAUAAUAAUAUAGUUAGGAAUUAAUACCAGAAGAGCUAUCCAGAAGCAAUAUAAUGUUGAAAUCGCACACUGUUGAACAUUUUACCUCUUAAUAUUCUGUUGCACACUUGAAUCCAGCAUUUUCUAUACAUUGAGAGGUUAAUUCUGGAUAUACAAAUUUCAUUGUGUUUCUGUCUGCCACCCAUCCAUAGCUCCAUCUAAUAAACGCCAUUGCUUGAAACUUGCAUUCAUGCUUACACUGACAUAUCAAAAAGCCAAUACAUUCACACAUUUUCCUUAUCUGUACUGUUAUAUAUGAUUGCGUUGCAGGGACAUAGCAAUGGAGUACGUACAGCCUGUUCUUGGCAUUGCAAAUUGUCUCGGAACUCCGGCUUGUAAAUACUUGCAAUAUCUCAGAAAGCUCAAUGAUUAUGUGAGAAACUUCAAGAGGAUGAGAGAUGAGUUGAAUUGCAAAAUGGAAGAUAUAGAGCUGCAAUUGAAAGCAGAGCUUCUUCGUCCUCUGGGGAAGAUACCGAAGAAGGGAGUUGAAAAUUGGUUGAAAGCUGUGAAAGAGAUGAUUAAGGAAGCACAAGUUGUUGAAAACAAAGUAACGGGAGAUAUCUCCGUCGUGCUUGCAACGAGAAGCUGGUUGAUGAAAAGACUCGAGAAAUGAAGGAAUUUCUUGAUAACGCUCCUAAUGCCUCUGAAGGUCUUGCCAUGGAUGGUCCAAGUGCUGGGUUGCCACUGCCAACAUCAGAACUAGAUGGAGAAGAAGCUGUCAGAAAUGAGAUUUGGGCAUGUUUGAUGCAGGAGGAGGUGAGCAAGAUUGGGGUUUGGGGGGUGGGCAUAAAAAAUUAUUAAAAUAGAUCAUUGCUAAUUCUCUCUUUUCUUAAUCGGUAAGUUUCUCUCUUCAAAUCCUUUUAUUUCUUUAUUGAAUCCAUCGCAUAUCAUUUGCAAACCCAUUUCUGUACAGUUUGUUUGUUCAAUUUUUCUUUUUCCAAUUUUUCUCUUGAUUUAGAUGGAAGAUUCUUUUGUAGCAUUUGAAGAGUUUCUAAAAAUUUUAGGGUUUUCCUAAAUCUAACUUUCUUGACACCAUGUGCGUGUAUAAAUUUCUUUCGUGGAGAUUAUUUAUCAUGUUUGUGUGUUUCGUCUCUUGAGGUUGAGCUGUUUUUAUUUUCAAAAAUAAAUAUUUAUUUUCUUUUGCAUUUAUUUCUAAUAUCACUAUAAAUUGUUUAGGGUUGUCGAUUUUGGGGAUUUUAGGUUUUGGAUGAUCUAAUUUGGGGAUUUUGAGUAAGGGUUUUGAUUUUAGGAAUUUUUAUUUAGGGUUUUUAAAUUAGGAGAUUUUGGGGAUUUCUCACACCGCCCUCUCAUCAACUUCAAAGCCAACAAAUCUACAUCUAGGCUCAUGCAAAAAGUCACCAGAACCCAUGUUUGAAACCUCAGGUCACUUCCGCCAUGCAGAUUGCAUCGAACUGAUCGACGACUCUAUCAAAGAGCUCCAAAAAUCUUUAUGUAAAUUUUUUUUCAUAUCAGAUGCUCCAACUUUGUGCUCAUGAGUGAUCUUCAAACCUAGGUUAAUGCUGCCCUGACGGAUGAAGAUACUUGCAUGGAUGGAUUCUCAAGCAAGGCCAUGAAUGGGUAUGCAAAGAUGAUGUGAGGAAACGAAUUAUUAAGAUCACACGUUUGACGAGCAAUGUUUUGGCUCUCAUUAAUAAUUAUGCUUCAUCUCAGAUCCUUCAUUGAUUUUCUUGAGAAAACUUUGAUGGCAAGGAAAGUAUUGUGUUUCAUGGAUUUAUGUUCAAUAUGGGAUUUUAUGGUUUUCGAACAGGGCACAAGUUUUUCAGGUACUGUAGAUUGUGUUCUCAACUCUAUGUUUGUGGUUCUUGAUUUUUGCAAUUGUAUCAAUUUGAAUAUGAAAUUUGUGUUCGUGUAUGUUUAAGGUUUUUAUUAUUUUUUAAUAAUUUUAAAAUCAUUUGUUGACGUGGUAUAUAAAAUAAAAUAAUGUUAUGUUAGUAUUUAAAUUCAUUUGGACUGUCAUGUCAGAGGUUAAUGUUGACCAUUAGACAACUAACGGCCACAUCAGCCUCUAUGUUAAAAAUAAACCAAUUUGUUAGAAAUUUAAAUUUUGCACUAUAAAAUUAAUUUUUAAAAUUAACUAUUCAAUUUGUAAUUGAUUUUAUUAAAUUAAAAUAUUCACUAAUGUUUGAAAAUGUUCUCCAUGUUAAUUAUACACUUGAUUGUUUUUUUUAAUUAUUUAAGAAUUCAGUUAAAUGGUAAUCAAUUUAUAUUAAAAUAUCAGUUUUAUUGGUUGUAUUAUUUCAUUAGUGUUCUUAUAAUAUUAUUUCAUUUUUAUUUAUAGACACCAACUUCAAAAGCAGAAGAGGAUUAAUUCACGAGAAGAUAUGGCUCAUACUGUAAACGAUAAAUAAGAUAUUAUAAAUUGAUAUCAUUAAAAUUUAAAUAAUAUACAAAGAGUAGAAAAAUAAAUUGAAAACAUAUUAUAUGAUCUAAAUGAACUAUAAUAAAAGGAUUAUAUAUUUCCUAUCAAUCCUACUAUAUUGUCUUUUAUAAAUAAUUUCCUAUCAAGCAAGUUGACAGCUAAAGGGUGCAAAUUUGACUUUGCUAAAUUCUCUAGCAUCAAAGAGGCAAGAUAUGUUGCAAACAAGACAUAAACCAAUAUCAACAUGGUGAUUCCAAAAUUCAAAACACACUAAACCCCUACUUUUGUAUGAUAGAGAAAAUAUGAUGUACAAAUUUAUAGUCAUGGAAUGUAUUAGGUGCAUUGAAGAUAAUUCAGUGUUAGAAUCAAAGAAAUUUAUCGUUAUUUUUGUGAAUUGUAAAAUUGUGCAUCAACUGGGAAAAAUGUUCGUCUUCCAUUACAAGAAUUUCCUUAAAGUUAAUAGUUUGAGAGAUAAUUUUAAGGAGGAAUUGGAAGGCAUUGCUAUAAGGAGAAUCUGAAGAAAGUAAUUUCGUUUUGAGUUUCAAGUGAAAGGAAUGAAAGAAAGGUUGCUUAAAUAAAUACAGGAUUGGAUAUUGAGUUGUUUUGAAUAGUUGAGCGAAGGACACAUGGACCAUAUGAAAUUCAAGUCUACCAAAGUAAUGCUAAUCAGAUUCCUCUUUGGAAAUGACAACUUUUCAAAACAUUGUCAAUCUACCUUGAAAUGUGGCAUCUGUGAAAGAAUCAAUCAUGAAAUAUUAAAAUUAUACUAAAACGACUAUAACGAUUUAUUUCCCCUAUAAAUAAACGUUUUCUUUUCUUCCUUAAAAAUUAACAUGAUUUUAUCUUAAUAUAUAUAUCUAUACACGUCUCAAAAUAGCCUUCUAAAAUAUUUAUUUUAAAAAAUAAUUUAUAUAAUACAUAUAACAAUUAAUUAUAAACUUAUUUUGAUAUGAUGUCAAAAUUAAAUAUUAUAAUGGUCCUUUACCACAUUCAACACUAACUUUGAUUUUAUAAUUUUAAAAAAAGAAUUAAACUAAUAACAUAAAAAAUUUAAACUAAAGUUUUUAAAAGAAUUUAGGUUAAACUACACCAUUAGUCACUCAAAAAAGGGUCAAUUUUCAUUUUGGUCACUUAACUAAAAUAAGAUACAAUUUGGUCACUAAUGUUUCUAGAAAAUAAAUUUGGUCACCCGACUGUUAAGUUGCAUUUACUUUGGCUGGUAUGAUAACAAUUUUUGUCACAUCCCAAAAACCAAGUUAGUAGAAAUUGGGUUAGUGAAACCAAGAGUGGUCACGUUCUGUUUUUGAGUUAAGAUUGUGAAAAUUAUGUUAAGUAAAUUUAUUUGGUUUAGUGGUUAAGUCCUUUGGAUGUGUCUAAGGUCUUGCGUUCAAAUUUUUUCCCUUAAACUUUCAUUAUUUUUGUCCUAACUUCCAUUUCUGAACAUCUAGCUUAUAUAUUAUGUUUUCUCAAUUGAUGAUAAGAAUGAGUUUACUAGUUUAGUGGUAAGGCUUCAGUUUACUUAGAGGUCUUGUGUUUGAAUCUUAUGUAUGUAAAGUUGAAUUAUUUUUGUUUUUAAACUCUAAGAAAUUUUUUUAUAAGGAUAACUAAUCAAAUUGAGUGGGGAAAAUUUCCCCAAAAUUCUCCUCAUUCUGUUGCUCACUUCUUCCCACAUUGUUCACUUUUUCUUUUCCCUUUUCUUUUUACAUUUGAUUUCUUCUUCUUUUUUUUUUGCUUUGGUAGUUUUGCUGCCUUCCUUUCUCAUCUUUUCUCUACUAUUUUCUUUUGUGUUAUUCUAUUGGUACGCUGUUGAAUCUCUGUUAUUCCUUCGGGUAAGUGUUGGUUAUUUGUUUUAUAUAAAUGUGGUGUUGGGUUAAUCUUUCAAGUGAUUGAUGGUUUCAAUUUUGAUAUUUGCAAUGUGUUGUUAGGAGAAGAUCGACAGACUCUUGAAUUGUCUCUAGCGAUUUAAGUGCAGGAAAGGGCUGUUGUUUUUGCAAGGGUAAGUGAUUAAAGUUUUCAAUUGGAGGUUGAUUCGGUUGCUUAGGCUAAGUGUUUAGCAUUUUGGAUUGAAUUAGUGACUUGGAUUUAGCAUAUUACGAAUAAUUCUUACAUUAUAAAAUGUCAAUUUAGGUAUUGAAAUCCUCGUAGUGGUGUUAGCAUCGAAAAUCAACUUGGUGUGUAACGGAAAUAUCGAAAAAUAACAAACGACACGAUGUUGAAAAACCCACUAUCGACGUCACACAGCCAUGUGCCAGGUUAUGUAGGUCAUACAGGCUGGGUUAUUUGGGUCGUGUGGGCUACACGGGUGUGUGUUAGGCUAUGUGCACGAGUUGGUCAGUUGCGUCGUGUGGGCCCAUUUUUUGUAAAAUUCUAUCAAGGUCGUAUUUGAAGUGCGAUUUUAAAUUAGUCACUUUGUAGGUUCCGAAAUGUGUUAUGUAUGCAUUCUGGAUACGAAAUUUGAUAUUUUGUUUCUAUUAAUGUGAUUUUUGAAGCAUAUUAUUCAAUAUUGACAUUGUACAUGUAACAUUCAAGAGCAUGUUUGUGGUAUGAUUUAUGCUUCUGAUCUGUAAUUUGAGAAUCUAUUUAAGCAUGAUCCAUUUAUGUGCCUCUGAGUAUGUAAAAUGUUUUGACAUGUGCAUUGGGGUGGAAUGAUGAUGUGAUGGAGGAAGUGUUUUGGCAGUUUAACUGUAUGCUGAUAUUUAUAAGGCAUCGUUGCUGGGCAACUCGGGAUAACUUAAUUUGUGGUUUAACCACAUAUCUAAUAUGGUGGCUUAACUAGACUUAUUGAUUUUGGCAGAAUACCGCAUUAUUUUUGGCAGCGUGAUUGCGCUAUUCUAAAAAGUGAUAUAUGCUCACUUAUUGGUGUGACAGAUGGAUGGGGUCCUUGUAACACCCCUUACCCGAGACCAUUGUUGGAAUCGAGCACGAAGCAUUACCUAACUUAACUUACUAAUUCGGAGCAUAAAAAUUUGCUUUUAAAAUUAAUUCGCUCACGUUUAAUCAAUAUGUUCCUAAAAAGGAUCCUCGAGACCCUAAAACAUGCAAUGAAAUCAAUUCGGGUCCAAACCAGGAACAUUAAAAAAUUUUCAAUUACUUAAACAAGUCAAAAUGAUUUAUUUUACUAUCCACAAUAAAAUUUCCACCUACGCAAUAGUCACUAAAUUUUUUAUAACUCAAGUUACGAAAUUUAAAAUUUAGAUCCGUCAAUUUUCCCUGAAACUAGACUCAUAUAUCUUCUUUACUUACUCUCUUACUCGUUUACUUACUUGCCUGCUUAGACAAUUCAUGUUUAUAACUUACUCAUUCCUUGCUGAAAUUUCUUUUCUCAACUGAUAACUGAGAUACUCUUAAUCUUAUUAACUCACCUGAACUUGUCUAUUAGGCUUUUACCUGAACUUUCAUGUAACAUCGUCUAUUUACUAGCCCUUUGAAUCACUUGGAAUACUAAGGAUACUCGGGUCUCUUGUCUGAAUAUUAUAGCCAAAGCUAUGUCCCAAACAUAGUCUUCCAUGAGAUGUUUCUUGUAUUGCCAAUGCCAUAUCCCAGAUAUGGUCUUACAUGAGAGUUCUCAUAGAGGUGCCACUGCCAUGUCCUAGACAUGGUCUUACGGGGGACAUUUCAUCUCAGUGCCAAUGCCAAGUCUCAGACAUGAUCUUACAUGGGACCUCUCAUCUUGGUGCCAACACCAUGUCCCAGACAUGGUCUUACAUGGGAUCUCAUUCCCCAAAUGUCAUGACAUUUGUAUCUAUUACAUUCCCAAUGUUUCAACGGGGCUUUUAUCACUGAUUCUCUGUCAUCUAAUACUUGAGUCAACAUUAGAUAUUUUCAUGAAAUAAAUACAUAAUUGCUGAAAAAUAACAGCAUUAAUAAUAAUUAUUGAAAUAUUGCAUUUAUUUACCGUAAACUUACCUUGGUACAAAAUAUGAUCAAAUCAGCACUUUAGUCCUCAACAUUUUUCUUUCCCCGAUCUAACUCCAAAUUUAGUUCUUCUUGAUCUAUAAUAGAAAAUUUGGCUUAUUUAAUACUCACAUUCAUCAAAACAGUCCUUGACUUGAACUUUGACAAAAUUACGUUUUUCCUUAAACUUUUGCAUAUUUACACUUUUGUCCCAAAGCUCAGAAAUUAAACUUCAUCCCUUAUUCUUAUGUUUUAUGACAUGCUGAACAUUUUUCCCUUCUAUGGAAACAUCAAAUUCUCAAUCUAACACUUACUUAUGAACAUUAGGUAUUUUUACCGAUUAUGUCAAUUUACUCGUUUUUACUUAAAAUCGACUAGCAAAAGUUGUUUAACAUAGUUCCAAGCUUCAUAUUCUACCAUAAAACAUCAAAAUAAACACAUUUCACGUAAGGGUAUUUUUCCAAAGAUGAACCCUAGAUUAAAUUAUUGCUAGAAUAAGCUAAAUCAAGUUACCGGAACUCUAAAAACGUAAAAAACAUUAAAAACGGGGCUAGAACGAACUUACAAUCGAGCUUGGAAGCUUGAAAAAACCCUAUUCAUGGUUUACCCUUGUGAAAUUCGGCCAUGGGGUUGAAGAUGGACAAAAUUUGGCUUUUAAUUUGGCUUUUAAUUCAUUUUAAUAACAAAAUAACCAAAAUGCCCUUAAUGAAAAACUUUGGAAACAUGCCUAACCAUGUCCAUUUUUGUCCACCAACUUAACCAAUGGUCUAAUUACCAUAUAAGGACCUCCAAUUGAAAAUUUCAUAACAAUUGGACACCUCUAACAUGUAGAACUCAACUUUUGCACUUUUUACAAUUUAGUCUUUUUGAAUAAAUUGGGUGCCCAAACGUCAAACUUUCCAAACGAAAUUUUCACAAAAUCAUUUCGUGAAAUCGUAGACCAUAAAAAUAUAAUAAAAAUAAAUUUUCUCACGUUAAAUUUGUGGUCCUGAAAUCACUAUUCCGACUAGGCCCAAAAUCAGGAUGUUACACUCUUAUAGUCCUAUUUGGUGUGUAUUAGUGGGACAGAAAUGGUGUGAACUGGAUGGAGGUAGGAUCUAUUUCUGUGUCUGUAUUUGCAUCUGUAUUUGUAUAUGCAUCUGAUUCUGUAUAUGAGAUUGCAUCUUUAUCUGAAACUGAAAUUAUUUAUGUAAUUGAAUUGUAUCUAUUUCUGUAACUAUUACUGUAUUUGAGUCUAUUCUGCCUGUUUGGGUUGAGUUACACACUAAGCCUAUAAGCUCACCCUAGUUCUUUGUGUAACACCCUUAGCCCGUAUCCAUCGCCGGAUUAGGGUUAUGAGGCAUUACUACACGAAUCACAAUUCAGAACAGAGUUUUGCUACAUUUAUUGUUUCAUAAUUUAAACUCAUCAGAACACUUAUUCCAUUCGAUUUUAAACUUAAAAUUUCUAUACUAAUAUCAUAAUUAUAUUUAAGAUUAUUCGAUUAUAUAUAUACAUGUGUCAUUACGCAACAUAUACCAACAUACAUGAUAACAAAUUUUUCAUAAGCUAAUCCUCAAACAUAACCUUUUUAUAGUCUAAGCAUAUUCACAUAUUAAAAUCGAUUAUCAAUCAUACAAAAAUACAACUUUGAUUAACCAUUAUGGUCGAAUAUACUAAUUGUUAGAAUUGUGUGACCCAAAUUCUAAGAGAUUGCUUGCAAGUCAAGUUAAACAAAAAUAUAUUUUCUUUCUAGAAGAUUUAGUAUUUAUUAGUAUAAUAUAUUUAGCAUUUAUUAGUAUAGUUUAUUUGACUUACUAAUUUAGCCUAUAAAUAGGCUCUUUACAAUCUUAGAAUUAAGACACACCCAUUAGAUUAGAACUCAUAAUACAUUCAAAGAAUUUUGUGUUUACGUUUUCGGGUUCUUUGUUUUCGGGUUUUCGGGUUUAGUUUUUAUCUCCAUCUUUUGUACUCUUCAUUCUUUUGCCAUUAUAGUAAAAUUUCUUUGCCCGUGGUUUUUUAUCCUCUUUAAAGGGAUUUUUCCACGUUAAAUUUGUGUGUUCAUCUUCUUAAUUUCUUCUGCUAUUUUUACUUGUUUGUUGUUUAAUCGGGACGAUCCUAACAAGUGGUAUCAGAGCUAGUUUAACUUUCAUAGAUCAGCCCAUUCAGAGAUGGCAGCAACAAGGUUUGAAAUUGAAAAGUUCGAUGGUGAGACAAAUUUCAAUUUGUGGCAAGUUUGAAUGAUGGCAAUUCUAGUUCAAAAUGGCUUGAAAAAGGUUGUUACAGGGAAAAAGCCUGAGAAUCUAAAUCAAACAGAAUGGGAAGAGCUUGAUGAAAAGGCCUUGUCUGCAAUCCAGUUGUGCCUCGCGAAUACAGUAUUGCAGGAGGUAUUGAUGGAGAAGACCUCAUUCGCCUUGUGGAAAAGGUUAGAAACUCUUUAUGCGACUAAGUCUCUGGCUAACCGAUUAGUGUUGAAACAACGUCUAUUUACGUUUCGCAUGAACGAAGGUGAGCUUCUUAAAGAUCACAUCAGUCAAUUCAUUACUCUUUUAAAUGAUUUAAAGAACGUUGAGGUUCAUAUUGACGAUGAAGAUCAAGCUAUGCUAUUAUUGUGCUCUUUACCCUCUUCAUACAAGUCUUUCAGGGAGACCCUGAUUUAUGGCAGAGACAAACUCUCGUUUGAAGAUGUGAAGGGUUAUUUGUUGAGUAGAGACAAACUCGACAAUGAGUUUGGUUUGAAUAGCAAAGCAGAUAGGCAAGCUUCCGUUUUGGUAGCAUCAAAGAAACGAGACAAAAGGUGUCGUUAUUGUAAAAAGUUAGGUCACGUCAAAGCAGAUUGUUAUAAACUGAUAAAUAAAAGAGAUGCUGAGAGUAACGAGGAAGAUGUAGCUGGUGCUAAUUUGGUCGAUGAAGGCGAUGAUGAUUUCUUGUUAGUGUCAACGAGCGAUAAUUCCAAGCUUACGUCUGAGUGGAUCCUAGAUUCAGGAUGUUCUUUCCACAUGUGUCCCAAUAGAGAAUGGUUCUCCACAUACAGUUCAGUUGAAGGUGGAGUUAUGCACAUGUGAAACGAUUCAUCUAGUAAAAUAAUCGGUAUUGGUACUAUUAAAAUUAGGAUACACGAUGGGACGAUUAGGACACUCUCAGAUGUCAGGUAUGUACCUGAUUUAUGAAAGAAUCUCAUCUCCUUGAGUAUUUUAGACUUGAAAGGAUGCAGAAUCAACAUCGAGUCGAGCGACAUUAAAGUACCUCGUGGAGCUCUUAUUUUGUUAAAAGGUAAAAGAACCGGCAGUCUUUAUGUUCUAGAAGGUUCUACAGUGACCGGUGAAAUCGGACGUCCCUCGUCCGUUACGGAGUCAAAGUCAACUCAUUUGAAGCGGAGGCAACUUGGUCAUAGGAGGGAAAAAGGUAUGACCGUUUCGUUGAAGAGAGGUUCUCUUUUGGAUGCAGGUUUUGAAAAGUUAGGGCACUGUAUUCGUGAAAAUCAGACCUGGGUUAGUUUUGAUUUGGCAGGGCACAAGUCGAAGGCUAGAGGUCUUCCAGCUUCUAAUCAUAGAUUCGACUCAAUUAAUUCCCUGCAUAGUUCAAGAUAGGCCCGUGGCGGGUUUUGGAAAAGAUGGCAUUGAAAGAAUUCGUGUCAAGGUGGAGAUUGUUAGAAUUGUGUGACCCAAAUUCUAAGAGAUUGCUUGCAAGUCAAGUUAAACAAAAAUAUUUUUUCUUUCUAGAAGAUUUAGUAUUUAUUAGUAUAAUAUAUUUAGCAUUUAUUAUUAUAGUUUAUUUGACUUACUAAUUUAGCCUAUAAAUAGGCUCUUUACAGUCUUAGAAUUAAGACACACCCAUUAGAUUAGAACUCAUAACACAUUCAGAGAAUUUUGUGUUUACGUUUUCGGGUUCUUUGUUUUCGGGUUUUCGGGUUUAGUUUUUAUCUCCAUCUUUUGUACUCUUCAUUCUUUUGCCAUUAUAGUAAAAUUAUCUUUGCCCGUGGUUUUUUAUCCUCUUUAAAGGGGUUUUUCCACGUUAAAUUUGUGUGUUCAUCUUCUCAAUUUCUUCUGCUAUUUUUACUUGUUUGUUGUUUAAUCGAGACGAUCCUAACACUAAUGAUUAACAUCAACCAUGAUGCGUAUUUAAGUUCAAACAAUAUGGACCAUAUCACAUAAUUAAGUAUCACUCAUUUAAGUAGCAUUGCACACAUUUAAAAUAACAUGAUUUAAAACUGAACAUGUUUCUCCAUCAAUUAUAAAACCAUGCACAUAUGACCUUGUUAUCUUAAGUAAAUUUGGGCACAAAUAACAGUUAAGAUUACACAUCAUUCGCAUGCCAAUAUAUAUGCAUUAGAUCGUGCCAAAAAUUUCAUUCAUACCACAAGCUAAGUUAUUCCACAAUCAGACAAUCAUUAUAACCUAUAAUACAUAAUAUAUUUAUUUAAAUGUUAUAAAUCAAAUAUCAUGCUUAUCAUUUUAGCAUCAUAUCCUUAGCCUUAUAAACAUAUUCAUUUUAAUUAUCAACUAAAACAAUCAUAUGACAUAUUCAUAUUUAUCUUUUACCAACCAUACCUAAUUAACCAAUCAUUUAAGCAUGAUAUAUAUGCAGACAUUACCAAUACAAACCGAAUCAAAAUAACCUAUACACAUUCGAACUAUAAUCAUCCUUUUACCCCACUACUAAGCCGAAUUAUAAAUAUACAUCAAACAUCACAAACAUUUAUAUAUUCAGUAUUAAUCUUGCUAAUUUAAUCUAUAAGCAUAUACUAAGUGCACACACACAUAUAUGACGUGCAUAAUACUUAAUUCAUAUAUUAAAAUUUUAUAUAUAUCAUUUCUCAUUUUCCAACUCAAAUUCAUGUACUCAUUUAUAGCAUAAAACACACUUCAAAAAUAGACCUAAAUCAUGACUGAAUAUAUAUAUAUAUUACUUUCGAUACAAGCUUAAUCCAUGACUUAGUUCAAUCGAUCAUUAACAAAACAUAUUAAACAAGUCACACAUAAUCAUACCAUGACCGAAUCUAAAUAACUUAAGCAUCAAAGAAUCUAUUAUAAUCAUAGGCAUAGAAACUAAGCUUAAUCAAAAGAAAUAAGCCAUUUUUUCAUGGCUUAAAAUUAUAACCCAAAAAUCUAGCAUUUCAGCUAUGCUAUACAUGCCAUAAGAUCGAAUUUAAUCUUAACAAAAUACCAAAAGGAGUCAAUAGUGUGAUAGCCUUCUUCGAUGAUCCCCGAGCUCGUAACCGACUUCCAAAAUCUAUAAAACAAAGAGUAAACAUGCACACAGUAAGCUUCCACAGCUAAUAAGUCAUAAACGAACAUUAAUCAUAUGAACAUUAACACUAAAUCAAACAGCCAAGUCAAUCCAAACCUUAGUUAAAUAUACAUAUAUCACACUCACAAGUUUAUAUGUUACCAAAAAUAAAUUAGCAGUUAUCAUCAUAUAACUAAAUGCACAAAUACUCAUAAACAUAUAUAAUUAUCACUUUUAAAUAUUUAACUAAGGUUUAUAAAACAAAGAGUAAACAUGCACAUAGUAAGCUUCCACAGCUUAGUAAGUCAUAAACGAACAUUAAUCAUAUGAACAUUAACACUAAAUCAAACAGCCAAGUCAAUCCAAACCUUAGUUAAAUAUACAUAUAUCACACUCACAAGUUUAUAUGUUACCAAAAAUAAAUUAGCAGUUAUCAUCAUAUAACUAAAUGCACAAAUACUCAUAAACAUAUAUAAUUAUCACUUUUAAAUAUUGCAACGAUAUCAUUAUGCCAAAUCACUUAUAAUAUUACAAAUACACCAAUAGACCAAAUCACUUAUAUGCUCAAUUAUGCUAACACGUAAUUCAUAUCUUACAUAGCUUCAAAUCAUCAAUUCAAAUAUACAACUUACCUUAAUUUCAUAACAUAGUAUGAAUACAUACUUGAACCUUUUAAUUCGAUUUCACAUUCUAUCUUUACUUCACAUUGCCCCAUGAACCGUUCGGAACAAAAAGGAUACGCGGAUAUUCAAAAGGCUCGUACAAUGCCAACGUCCCAGACAUGGUCUUACAUGUAAUCAAAUAUCGAUGCAACUGUCCCAGACAUCGUCUUACACGUAAACACAAGUUGAUGCCAACGUCCCAGACGUGGUCUUACACGAAAACACAUAUCGAAAAUCCUAUGUCAUGACAUAAGUAUCCUAUCUAUUCCUAGGGUUCGUACGGGACUUCCAGACAUUGAUUAUCGAUCAAAUCAAACUCAAAAUAAAUCCCUAUUCCAAGAUCAUAUUCGGCCAAUCAUUUAAUAAACCAAAUAAUUAAUUUAUCACAUAUUAUUUACAUAUUCAUUAAUUUAACAACAUUUAAAAGCUUAUUGACUUACCUCGGAUGUUAUCAGACGAUAUAAUUGACUAUUCGAUUACUUUCGAUUACCCCCGAUCUAAUUUCGUUUUCUUUCGUUCUCGAUCUAAAUAAAUUCAAAUUUAACUAAUUUAAUCACACAUUCAUUCAAUUUAAUCCAAAAACACAUAAAUGAGCAAAUUACCAUUUUACCCUGACAUUUUACACUUUUUGUAAUUUAGUCCCUAUUGCAUAAGACACAAAAUACACAAAAUUUGCAUAUACCAUAGCUAGGCCGAAUCUUCCUAUAGUCCCUCUAAGUCCACAGAUUUUAUUCAUUUCACAUUUUAAUCUCUAAAAAUAUUAUUUUUGCAAUUUAGCCGUAAUUACUCAAUUUCAUCAAAAAUUCCAAUACAAAACAUAUUAAUCUAAAACAUAUAUUUCAUUAUUCAUCAUCAAAUAUCACAUAACACAAAUGUUCAUCAAUGGCACAACUCAAAAUAUUCAUCAAAAUAAAAAAUUCAAAUAUGGAUCGGAUAGUAUUCGAAGCAACGAUCUUAAAAAGGUAAAAAUUAUCAAAAACCAAACAAAGAACUAACCUUAAUCAAGCUUCAAAAUGGCCGAAUAUUGCUUGGCUUCUUUUCUUUUUCUUUUGCAUGAAUUCAGCUAAGGAAGAUGAUAAUAACCUUAAUUUUUUUUUAUGUUUUUAUCUAACAUAUAUUAUAAUAUAUUUUUAAUUUACUAAUAUAACCUUAUAUAAAUAAAUAUAACUUAUAUAUAUUUUAAGGUUAACAUUGUCCUUAGCUGUCCACUAAUACUAGCUAUGGCAUAAUUUCAACAUAAGUGCGUCAUAUUAUAAAGACAAGUUCAAUUACGCAAUCACACAUUUAACUAUCAAAUUUUUAUUUUACGCGAUUAAGCCGUUUUCUUUAAUCAAUCAUUCAAACGAUAAAAUUUAAACACGAAAAUUUCACACAAUCAAAUUCACACAUUAUAAACACACAAAAUAAUAUUAAAAUAUUUUUCUGACUCAGAUUUGUGGUUCCAAAACUACUAUUUCGAUUAGGGUCAAAAUUGGGCUGUUACACUUUGACUUCUCAGGUAAUUAGCAUACUUAGGACCAAACGACGUGCAGAAGCUCAUAUUGGAUUCUCGAUUAUUUAAUUAUGAUGGUUCAUGUUUUUAAAUUAUUCUGGACUUUCUAGAUUUUUUGGGGGGUUGUAAAUCUGUUUCUGUAUUUUGCUUUACAUUUUGGUUUGCUUAGUUAAAUUUAGUAAUUAUUACUUAAAACUACAAAGUUUUGUGUUUUGCAAAUUAAGUCGCGAUUUUUGAAAUUUAAUACUCUGAAAUUUCCGCUGCAAAAUAAAGUAAUCAUUUAAGUGUUUUUCUAUAAUAAAUUAAAUAGUUUCAACGAGUGUUUUCUUAAAAACUGCAAAGUCAUUUGUCAUAAUUAAUAUUGCCAAAACAUACGAUUUCAAAUUCAAUUUCUAGGUUUUUUAAAUAAGCUAAUGUAAUUCCUCCAAAUUUGACCAUAACAUCUAGGUCGUGUUUGGGAUGUUACAAUUUUAGUCCUUAAUUUUUAUAUUUUUAUCAAAUUGACCCUUAUUUUAUAUAAAAAUUAUAAAAAAAACUCAAAAUCAUUUACAAAAUAGUAAAAUGUAUAUAAAAUUCUAGAAAAAUAAAAUCUUGAAUAUGUUGUUGAAGAACUAAAUUGUAUGAGAAAUAAAGAAAAGUAUCAUUCAAUAGAAUCCAAUAACAAACUUGGCACAUAACAAAAUAAAAAAUUUAGAUCAUUACAUACUUCCUCAAUGUGUCUCGAAACCAAAUUAGUAGAAUUAUCUAGUUGAGUUUCAUGCUCUUGAAGAGCAUUUAGAACCAGUAUUACAGAGGCUUAUGAAAUCGACCCGGAAGUCAUUUUUUUUAGUCAAAAGAUUAAAAAAUAUCCCACAAAAUUUUUUUCAAACUCAAUUCAAGAUUUAAUUAUAUUUAAAUUAUUUUCCAUAACCCAAAUUGUAAAAACAAAUUAUGUUUCUUCUUCCAUGGUCGAGUUGGGCUUGGACAAGGUUUUUAUGUCUUGAGCCGUAACAACUUGACUUCAAUUUAAAUAAUAAAAGUUAUUUUUAAAAUUCAAAUUUAAUUAAUAAUAUAUAUUUUUUUAAUAUUUUAUUAUUUUCUAAACUCACAAAUGAACUUUUUGGAUUGACCAAGCUAAGCUAAAAAUGGGUUAGGCUUGAAAAAAAUUAGAUUAUUUAUAAGAGUAUAUCAAGGAGUCUAAUAAUUACAAUUUUUUUUGGAAGGUCUUAAUAACACUAGAAAUCUUAUCACAUGCGUAUGCAUGUAGAAAUCACAUAUUUAUAACACAGACUGUGUUUAAAAAUAACAUACAAUGAAUACUGAAAAGUAUAAUUUGGAACUAAUUAAUAAUAACACGUGAAAUAUGUAUGAUAUUAAAAUAAAAUUAGAUUAAAUUGAGAGUAAAACAAAAUCUAAACACAAAAACACAUCAUAUUAAUAAUACUAAAUAAAUACAAAUGUUUAUCAUUGUUUUGUCUUCAAUCCCGAGUUGGUGAUGCUAAAUCAAUAACAUUAUUUACAUACACAAAUAUAUUAAAACUUAGAACACAAAUGUUUAUCUGUUAUAAAGCAUGUACGACAUGGACAUUUCUGACAUUUGUUGAUUUUGCAAGUGCAUUAGGAUGAGAUUUGUGUUUACGGAGGAAGUGUGGGAGUUUAAUUCAUUUGCCAUAUUUAGUGGCUCAACCAUACGUAUUUCUGUAUUUGGCGAUGAAUCACCUAAUGAUUUGGCAGUUAGAAUGCGAAUAUUUUGAAAUAAUGUUUCAUACUGGCACUAAGUGGUGUGUAGGGUCUAAUAGGUAUUUAAUACCUUAUAUGGUGUGUAGGAAUGGUCGAAGAUGGUGUGUAACGGAUCGGAUUAGGAUUGUAAUCUACACUUGAUAUUUUCUGAUUCUGUUUCUGUAUAUGAUAUAUGUCUAAUUGACUUCCGAAAGCACGUUUGAAAAUUAUAUCUUAUAUUUUUACUCUUAUAAGUUACACAUUGAGUUUGUAAGCUCACUCUCAAUUUCUCUUAUUCUUAGGUAAUCCUUAGACUUAGGUGGGUCGGUGCAACUGGAGUUCGAUUAAUUAUCUACUUGUUAUAUUUGUUAUUUUAAUAUGGUUUAUUCUGUUUUGGUUUUGGACUAUUUUUAAGUUUAGGUUUAGUUUCGUUUUAUUUAUUUGAACAUUUUUGGUUAGUUUAAAUUUGAUCUACAAAAUGUUAAAUUAUAUAGCAACAAAUCGUGUUUUCAAAAUCGGACUCAACUAAGAAUUUUCGCUGCAAACGUAAGUGUUUUAUGAGUAAAUAAUCGACAAAUUUAUCGAAAUGGUUAAGAACGAUAUUUUCCUCAAAUAAACUCAAAUUUUACUUAAUAAGAGCUAGCAUUGUUUUAUAAGUCGAACAGAUUCUAGGUUUUUAAAUAAAUUGUAGUAAUAUCUCCAGAUCUGGCCAUAAUAUCUAGGCCAGGUUUGGGGUGUUACAGAGCCUAUAAGCUCAGCCAAUGUUUCUAACUUCUCAAUUAAUCAAUAUAUUUAGGACCAGACGACGUGCAAGAGAUCAGAUUGAGUUCUCAAUUAUUUAAGUAUGAUGGUUCAUGUUUUUAAAUUAUUCUGGACAUUCUGAUUUUUGGGGGGGGGUUGUAAAUCGUUUUUCGGAUUUUGCUUUGCUUAGUUGGAUUUAGUAAUUAUUACUUAAAACUACAAUAUUUUGUGUUUUACAAAUUAAGUCAUGGUUUUCAAAUUUUAGUACUCUAAAAUUUCCACUACAAAAUAAAGUAAUCACUUAAAUACUUUUCUAUAACAAAAUAAAUAGUUUUAAUGAUUGUUUUCUUAAAAACUGAAAAGUGAUUUUCUAGAAUUAAUAUUAUCAAAACACACAAUUUCAAAUUUAAUUUCUGGGUUUUUAAACAAGUUAAUCUAAUUUCUCCAGAUUUGACCAUAACGUAUAAACCAAGUUUGUGGCGUUACAAUUUUUUUCCUCAAUUUAUAUAUAUUUUUAUCAAUCUAACCCUGAUUUUAUAAAAAAAUUAAAAUCAUUUAUAAAAUAGAAAAAUGUGUAUAAAAUUCUAGAAAAAUAAAAUCUUGAAUAUGUUGUUGAAGAACUAAAAUGUAUGAGAAAUAAAGAAAAGUAUCAUUCAAUAGAAUCCAAUAACAAAUUAGAAACAAAACGAAAUAAAAAAGUUCAGUUUCAUGCUCUUGAAGAACGUCUAGGACUAAUAUUAUAGAGACUUAUAAAAUCGACCCGACUGUCAUUUUUUUGGUCAAAAGAUUACAAAAUAUACCAAAUUUUUUUUUUCAAACUCAAUUCAAAUUUUAAUUACAUUUAAAUUAUUUUUCAAAACCAAAAUUGUAAAAACAAAAUGUGUUUCUUCUUCCAUGGUUGAGUUGAGCUUAGACAAGGUUUUUAUGUCACGAGCUGUUCGAACUCCAAUUCAAUUUAAAUAAUAAAAAAUAUUUUAAAAUUUUAAAUUUAAUUAAGAGUAUAAAAAUAUUUUUUAACAUUUUAUUAUUUUUUGAACUCUCAAAUGGACUUUUCUAGGUAGACGGAUUUCUUAUUCGUCUUUUUAUACAUGUAAUUAUUAAUUAUUUUCUCUUUCUUCUUCUCCUUCACACACUUUCCCAUUAAUUCCUAUCACAAUUUUGCUUAUUUCUAUUUUCACCUUUUUCUUCACUCUUUUUAAUUUCUUUUCAUCUCCAAGGUCUAUCACUAAUUUUCAAUUAUCCAGUCAAGGUAAUUUCCUUUCAUUUGCUUCAUUCAUGACUAUACAAUGAUUGUUUUUUAUAUCAGCUACUGUUAUAGCAGCUUGCUUUGUAAGAUGGUCAAGAUAAUAAGAUCUGCAGCAAUGGUUUCCUCUAGUGAUUAUCAACAGUUUUAGAUUUUAAGACAGGAUGAUCAGCAGACAUAAUCUACUAUAGAUACAGAUUAAUACGAAAAGAGCUAUGCUUUGUAAGAUAGUCAAGGUAAUAAGAUCUGAAGCAAUGAUUUCCUCUACUGAUUUUCAAUUUUAAGACAGGAUGAUCAGCAGAUAUAGUCUACUAUAGAUACAAUUUAAUACGAAAAGAGCUACCCAGAAGCAAUAUAAUGUUGAAAUCUCAUGCUGUUGAACAUUUUACCUCUUCAUAUUCUGUAAUGAACUCUUGCACACUUGAAUCUAGCAUGUUGUAUAGUUUGAGGGAUUGAUUCUGGAUAUACAAUGGUGACCAGAAUUUCAUCAUGUUUCUGUCUGCCACCCAUCCAUAGCUCCAUCUAAUAGACGCCAUUGCUUGAAACUUGCAUUCAUGAUUUCCUUUUCAUGCUUACACCGACAUAUCAAUACUUCAUAAAAUAUCCAAUUCAUUCACAGAUUUUCAUUCUCUGCUACUGUUAUAUAUGAUUGCAUUACAGGGACAAAGCAAUGGAGUACGUAGAGCCUGUUGUCGGCAUUGCAAAUUGUCUCGGAACUCCUGCUUGUAAGUAUUUUAAAAAAAUACUUAUUGCAUUGAUUGUUGAUUGCAAAUUGUCUCGGAACUCCUGUUUGUUAUAUAUGUUUAAUUCAUAGAUGAUAUGGGUACAAGACAUUAUAAUGAUGCAAUAGUUUAAAAGAAAGUAAAUAGGAGGAGUAAAAUUGUGGAGGGAAAAUAUUUAAAAAAAAAUUGAAGGGGGGAGGGUUUGGGGUAGAUGAGAGGUGGGAUGGGAAGGGAAUAAAAGUUUUAGGGGAAAAGUGGGAGGGAGUAAAAAUUUUGGGAGAAAAUAAAAGGUUUUGAGGGUUUUGGGGAGUAAAAUUUUGAGAAAAAGUAAAUGGGAGAGUAAAAUUUUGGUGGGAAAUGGAUUUUGGGUAGAUUGGGGGGUUGGGAGGGGAGUAAAAGUUUUGGGGGGAAAGUAGGAAGGAGUAAAAGUUUUGAGGGAAAAGUAAAAAGGUUUGGGAGUUGGGGUGAAAAUGUAAAAUAUUAUAGUUUGAUAUUCGAAUUAUUCGAAUUAUUAGAGUUAUUCGAAUUCGAAAACUCAACUCGAUUCGAACUCGAAAUUUGAAAAAAAAAUCGAGUUGAUUCGAAUAACUCGAUUAACUAGAAUAACUCGAUUCGUUUAACUCGAAAUCCGAAUUUUUUUUAAAUUUUUUCGAGUAGAAUCGAGUUUUGCUCACCCCUAAUAUAUAUCCUGAACUUGAGUUGUCAUAUUCUAAUAUUUCUUUGCUCAGUAUUUACUUGAUUGUAUACAUUAGAUUUGCACCCGAAGUAAUAGUUUUAGAAUACUUGCAGUAAUAGUUUGUCUUUCAACUUCAUCAACUAAUCUUUUAAAGUUAUGUGUAUCGAUUGCGGUCGUAAAUCAACUAAAAAUCUAAUUAAGGUAAAUGUACUUAUCAAUUAAUAUUAUAGUUACGAUGAGCAAAGAUAUCGUUCCCACGAGGGCUAAAAGUGCUAGUUAUUAUUGUCUUUCUUUUAUUUAACCGACAAAUUGGAGUGAUUGAUUAAAACUAAAAUUAACUAAAUUAAUUAACUAAAGAACAUGACAAAGAACAAAUUAGAAAAAUAAACGAUUAACAACCAAAAAAAGUGAGACAAUACCUAGGAAAGAACCCACCUAGACUUCAUCUGUCAUUAUCAAUCUAAAUCACGCAAUUUCUUCACUUACUAUCUUGAUCCGUAGAAAUCCCUAAAUUAUGCUAACAUCUCUCUUCAAGACUAACAACAACUAACUCUAGAUUGAUUAAUUGAAUUUUCUUUCUAAUUAAAACCCCUAUUAUCGUAUUAACUUGAUUUAUGGAUCAUUCUAUUAGAUUUGACUCUAAUCCAGUAGAUUUAUGUUGUCCUAUUUUUAGGAUUGCAUGCAACUCCACUCAAUUACGCUAAAUCUACUCUUAAACAGGGUCUAUUCCUCCUCUGAUUUAAGCACAUAAUACAUGAAUCAAUAGUCUAAAAACAUUAUGAAUUAAGCACACAUAAUUGAGAACAAAAUCUAAGUAUUUAUUGCAUAAAAAUUGAAAUCAAAUAAUAUAAUCCAUCCUAAGGUUUAUCUCCCUAGGUAUUUGGAAAAUUAGUACAUAUAGUAAAUAAAAACAUCCCAUAAAUAGCAUAAUUACAAGAUAUAAAGAAACUCAUAAUAAACUUCAAAAAAAUCAAAAGGACAACUUCAAUCUUGAUGGAAAUAUACUUCAAAGUCGGCUUUAAUAGUAUUUUUCGAGUUAUUUUCUUCAAUAUUAUAUGACAACUCACUCUGCUCCUCUUAUCUUUGUCAUAUAUAUAUUAGAAUGCUCGAAAAAUCUAAAAAUUACAAUUUUCUGCAUGUUUAGAGUGCAAUUUGCGAUUUCCACACGAUUUGGCACAUGAUCGUGUGACAGCCUGUGUGGCUCACUCAACUGUGUGUCCAGACCGUGUGCAAUGGCCCAACCCUUGUGGCUCCUGAAACUUGCUCCAGUUUUUCGAUUUUCGCUCCUUUUUGCUUCUAAAUUCUCUCUUAAGUAUAGAAACAUGAAUUCAAAGUAUUAGAAGCAUAAAAUUUACCAUUAACACAUUUUCUCUGUAUAUUUAGCAUAUAUUCAAACUUCGAGGCUCUACUUUGGAGUUUAGGUUCAAAAAUAUGAACCCAUGUUUUCAAAGGUCUAAUUUUUCCAUGAACUGCUGGAAAUGAAAAGAAAAAACAAAUAUUUAAAAAAAUGAAAAAGAAAAAUGAAAAUAUAGUUUAAUGAGACUUACAUAAAUCCCGAGAUUGAGAAAAUGAUUGUCUAAAGAGAAGCAGAAAUUUGGCCGUCCAAGCCAUCUUAUUCAGUUCACCGAUGCAAGUUUCUCCGCUUAGCCGCCGCUGCUCUGAAAAUGAUGAAGGACUAAUUAGUUUAACAACAGUACCAGUACGAUGUCGUAAGGACGUAUCCUACGUGGCAGUCGUGUCAUCUAGCUAAGUCAAACUACGACGCUACAGUUGGACUUCGAUUUCAGUUGGGUUUGGUUUCUUAGCUGGAGUUCUAUUUAAACUUGGGUUUUGUUUUUGGUUAAAUUACCUUAUUAGUUACUAAAUUAUAGGUUGCUUUUGUUUUGUUCACUUAACUAAAAAAAAUUACAAUUUGGUUACUGAAGUAUUCGAAUAUUUUCAUUUAAGUCACUAAAACAAGAUCUUUUUAAAUAAGAAAUAAAUAUUUUUUAUAGAGAAAUUUUAUAUAUAUAAAAAAUGAAAUACUUUAAUUUAAAAGGACAUUUUGUUUAAUCACUUUAAUAGCUUUUGGAGUGAUGAAAAGUCUAAUUUCACUUUGCACCUAAAAUGAUUUUUUUGGUAAUUUUCUUACAGAGCUGGGACUCAAUUGAUGGUUUACGCCAACUCAGUAAAAGGCUUUAACACAGUAUAGAAAAAAAAAGUUUUUAACUAAAAUUUUUAAAAGAAUUUAGGGUAAACUACACCAAUCAUCCAACUAUAAUAUAGAGAAAUUUUGUAGGGUUUAAAAAUAAUUAUCCCUAAUUUUCUCACUUUAUUUAUUUUUAAAAUUUUUAUUUUACUUUUAUUUAUUUUUUAAUUUUAUAAUGUUCUAAAAUUUUAAAAAUAAUUUCAACUUUUUAUCAUUUUAUAUAUUAUCAAAAUGAAAUUCACCGAAAGUAUACAAAUUUAGGACUAAAAUUUUUAUUAAAUCAUUUAAAAAGUUCCACUUAACAGUUGAGUGACAAAAAAAUAAUAAUUUCAAAAAAAAUUAGUGGUGAAAUUGUAACUUUUUUUAAUUGAGUGAUUAAAACAAAAAAUAGCAAUAGUUUAGUGACUAAUAAUGUAACUUUUUUUGGUACAAUGAUAAUUCGAAAUUUGGCUAUUCUUAAAAAGGGUGAACAUCGGAUCAUAUUUAUUCACAUAUUACAAACAUCCAUAAGUAAGCAAUUCUCCCGAAUUAAAAUCAAAUUUUAAUAUUAACAACUUCAACAACUCAUAAAUAGGAAGAUAAUAUGUUUCGGUACACUUGAAACCACAUCCUUCUACAUUAACAACAAUUACUAUGACAAUGAAACUAAGACUCAAUUCACAAUGAAUAUAUAUUUUUGUUAUACCUAAUUAAAGUCAUUUACCAGUAUAUUAAACAUUCUUAUACCCUAGUUUCCCAUACUUUCCCAUUAUUGUCGUGAUGAUGAUGAUGAUGUUACAAUUGAGCACCAAGAUCACUGUAAUACUUGUUUUAAUUGGUAUAAUAAUAAUUUUAAUCUUUUUUUUUAUAUUUUAUAAUUAUAAUUUUAUACGAUACCGUAAAUUAAAUUGAUAAUAAAAAUAAUUAUAAUGCUAUCUGUAAUGGAAGACAGCAAAGAAAAAGGCUAAAAGAAAACGUAAUAAAAAUAGGAUUCCUUGCUAAUAAUUCUGCCUCUGUGGAUCCUACCAGAGACUUCAUAAAUUCCCUGUUUUUAUCUUCACUUUCUUCUUACUUCUUCUUCACUGCUUUUAAUUUGUUUCGAUGUCCAAGGUCUAUCACAAAUUUUCAAGCAUCCAGUCAACGUAAUUUUCUUUCAUUUGCUUAAUUCAUCACUUGCUUUUCUUUGCUUUUGAUUAUCUGCUACUGUUAUAGCAGCUAGCUUUGUAAGAUUGUCAAGGAACUCAACUUCACUGCUUCCUUUUCAGUUCUAAUCUCUCUACACUUUUCAGCCACUAAGUCAGGUAAUAAGAUCUGAAGCAAUGAUUUCCUCUACUAAUUAUCAACAAUUUUAGAUUUUAACAGUGGAUGACCAGCAGACAUAAUCUACUAUAGAUAGAAAUUAAUACAAAACAGCUACCCAGAAGCAAUAUAAUGUUGAAAUCUCAAACUGUCAACAUUUUAACUCUUAAUAUUCUGUAAUGAACUCUUGCACACUUGAAUCUAGCAUUUUAUAUACAUCGAGAGCUUGAUUCUGGUGAUCAGAAUUUCAUCAUGUUUUUGUCUGCCACCCAUCCAUAGCUCCAUCUAAUGGACGCCAUUGCUUGAAACUUGCAUUCAUGUUUUCCUUUUCAUGCUUACACUGACAUAUCAAUACUUCAUACAAUAUCCAAUUCAUUCACAGAUUUUCAUUCUCUGCUACUGUUUUAUGAAGAGAAAGAUAAAAGUGGGGGUGGGAAAGAAGGAGGGGGGAGGAUAGUGCAAAAGAGAGGAGAAAAGGAAUGAUGGAAGGAAGAGGUUAAGAGCAUAAACUGCCCCCAGUUUUUAAACCCCUUUGGAAGGAUGAAAGGUAUGAACCAUUAUAGUUUAGAGAAAGAUGAAAGGGUUGGUGGGAAAGGAGGAGGGGGGAGGAUAGUGCAAAAGAGAGGAGAAAAGGAAUGAUGGAAGGAAGAGGUUAAGAGGCUCCACGUUGUAAACAUUAACCCUCUCUUACAAUUCCUUCUAUUCUCUUUUUAUAAUGUAAAAGCUGAAGAGGUAAAAAAAUAAAUAAAUUUGCUUCAUAUUUUUUCUAUGUUUGUUUUGAAAGAAUGAGUGUUGAAUAUAGAUAAUAUAGAGAAAUUUUGUAGGGUUUAAAAAUAAUUAUCCCUAAUUUUCUCACUUCUUUUUAUUUUUUUAAUUUUAUAAUGUUUUAAAAUUUUAAAAAUUUUCGACGGUGGCCACAUGUAAAUUUCAGACUGUUUUCCGUUAAUGCCUAGAAUUUAUUAGUUAUUUGGGGUUUUUGAUGUAUAUUCUGAACUAUGGAUUGGUUGGCUUUAAAUUUGGGAUUUUAUAUUAUUUUUUAUGAUUUUUUUUUAAAAACUACAACUCCACAAAACACGGUUUUUUCUAAAAACUAAGGAUUUUCGUAAAUAGAAACGAUUUUCCCUAAAUUAAUUGGUUACAAAAGUUUCCCCUAAGAGACAAAUUUUAAAUUAAAUCAAUAAGUUUUUUUUCUGAAUUAAAUAAAAGCUAACUUACUAUAACAAUUUUUAAACUCGACAAUCUUGUCUUCAAAUCCCUUUCCAUGUGACAUCGUCAGAUUCGGCCAUAACGUCUAGGCCGAGUUUGGGAUGUUACAAAAUUAAUCAUACUUGAUUGGAUUAUGAGAGUGAAUUUUAAUGAAAGAUAAUAUGUGAAGAAAGGAGACACCAAAAUAUAAAAAUAGAAAAUCAAUAUAUAAAAAUAGAAAAUCAAUGGCAAAUUGCUUCAAAUGCAAUAGAUGCAAGAAUGUGCUAAAUUGUCUUUUUAAAUUUAAAAACCUUUAUAUACCGAUCUCAGAGAGCGAAUUUCACAUAAUUUUACUCCUAGAAUCAUGCUUAACAAGCAACCACUAAAUCAAAAUUGUCUAAAUAUAGAAUUUGUCAAAGUAAAAAAUCUAAUAUUUUUUAUCAGCCCAAAAAUAAUUUGCAACUUUCAAUUCAACCCCCAACUUGUUUUUUGUUCCAAUUUAGCUCGAUCUGUUUGUUUUUGAACUUCGACACUCCAAUUGUGUCCAUGAUAAAAUUCAGGCAAUAAAUCAUAAGUUUAGUAGAAUUCUAUUAAAAAGUUUACCAAAAUUGUGUAUAUUAAAUAUAUAAAAUUAACCUGCUAUCAAAUUUGGAACUAAUUAAUAAUAACAUAUGAAAUAUGUAUUAUAUUAAAAUAAAAAUUAGAAUAAAUUGUGAAUAAAACGAAAUCUAAACAAAAAAACACAUCAAAUUAAAAAUACUAAAUGAAUACAAUUGUUUAUCAUUGUUUUGUCUUCAAUCCUGAGUUAGUGUUGUGUUUAUUUGUGACACUAAAUCAAUAACAUUUUUUAAUAAAUAAAAAAUUAGAAUACAUAUACUUAUUAAAGUUUAGAGUGAAAAGUAAAAAGUAAAAAUUGCUUUAGUUCAAAAGUAAAUGAAAAAUAUUUACAUGCAUGGUGUCCUUGGUUCAAAUCUUGUAAUGGAUAAAUUUUUAUUGAUUAAUAAAUAUAUGAAAAGAUGAAAAUACCCUCAUAAUCAUAUAUCUUACUUUGCAAAUAAAAUCUUGAAUAUAUUGUUGAAUGGCUAAAUUGUAUGAGAAAUAAACACAAUUAUCAUUCAGUAGAAUCCACUAUCAAUUUAAAAACAAAACAAAACCAAAUUAGUAAUAUUAUCAAGUUGAGUUUCAUGUCUUUGAAGCACAUCUAGAACUGAUAUAACAGAAGCUUAUGAAAUUGAACUUGAUGCCAUUUUUUAGUAUCAAGAAUACAAAAUAUACCACCAAAUUUUCUUUUUCAAACUCAAUUCAAAAUUUUAUUACAUUUAAAUUAUUUUUCAAAACUCAAAUUAUAAAAAUAAAUUAUAUUUAGAAUUUUAUCUUUUCUUAUAAUGUAGAAGUUAUGUUAAGGAACAUAAGAGGUAAAAAAACAGAAAACAAAUGAUUUUGCUUAAUGUUUUUUUUUCUAUAUUUCUUUUGAAGAAUGGAUAUUAGAUAUUUCGAUAUAGAUAAUAAAGAGAAAUUUUAGAGGGUUUAAAAAUAAUUAUCCCUCAUUUUAUUAAUUUUUGAAAUGUUUGUCUACUUUUAUUUAAUUUUUAAUUUUAUAAUAUUCUGAAAUUUUAAAACAGUUUCAAAUUUUGGUACAAUGAUAAUUUGAAUUUCGGCUAUUUCUAAAAACAGUGAACACCCCGUCAAUAAACCACAAUUUGGAUUUAAAAGUGUAACUUAUGAAGGAAUUUAUAUGUACUUGAAUAGAUUGAUUCACAUUAUUCACGUGUUACAAACAUCAUAUGUAAGAACAACUAUAUUUUUUUUGCAGGAUGCCGACUAGUAUAUUUAAUUUCAAGUUGUAACAUGUAAUUAGGCAUUCUUAUACCAUACUUUCCCAUUAUUAUGCUGCUGCUGCUACUGCAGAUGUUGUUGUUACAAUUGAGCACCAAGAUGACUGCAAAACUUGUUAGUAAUGUCCAGAAUGAAGGGAAAGGACAUGGCAGAUUAGUGAAUUAUUACAGAUUUAAAGAAGAAUCAAAUUGUAAAUCAGCUGAUAGAUACAACUGCUGAGAAUCAAAUACCCAAAAUGCCAACUAUAAUGGCAGAAGCAAAGGAAAAGUACAAAAAGAUGGGAUUCCUUACUUAAUACUUCUGCCUUUCUACCCACAACAUUAUUCUUUCUUCUUUCACAAAAUUUCAACCUGCUUUUCUUUCAUUUGCUUCUUUCAUUACAUGUUUUUCUUUGCUUAAUUGUUCUGCCUUUCUACCCACAACAUUCUUUCUUCUUCACUGUUUUUAUUUUGUUUUCAUCUCCAAGGUCUAUCACCAAAUUUCAAGCAUCCCGUCAAAGGUAAUUUUCUUUCAUUUGCUUCAUUCAUGACUAUGCAAUGAUUGUUUUUUAUUAUCUGCUAGCUUUGUAAGAUAGUCAAGGAAGUCAACUUCACUGCUUCAUUUUCAGUUCUAAUCUCUCAACACAUUUCAGCCACUAAGUUAGGUAAUAAGGCAAUGAUUUCCUCUACUGAUUAUCAACAAUUUUAGAUUUUAAGACAGGAUAGGAUGACCGGUAAACAUAAUCUGGCAUAGAUAGGAAUCUCAAACUGUUGAACAUUUAUUCCGUAAUGAACUGUUGCACACUUGAAUCUAGCAUUUUAUAUACAUUGAGAGGUUAACUCUGGUGACCAGAUUUUCUCAUCAUGUUUCUGUCUGCCACCUAUCCAUGGCUCCAUCUAAUAAAGGCCAUUGCAUUUAUGCUUCCUUUUCAUGCUUACACUAACAUAUAAAAAAUUAUUCAAAAAUCCAAUACACUAACAUAUAUGAUUACGUUGCAGGGGCAGAGCAAUGGAAUACGCAGAGCCUGCUGUUGACAUUGCAAAUUGUCUUGGACCUUCUGUUUGUAAAUACUUGAAAUAUCACAAAAAGCUGAAUGAUUAUGUGAGAAACUUGGGGAGGAUCAGAGAUGAAUUGCAUUGUAAAAUGGAAGACGUAGAGAUGCAAUUGAGAGCAGAGCUUCUUUCUCCUGGGGGGAAGAUACCAAAGCAAGGAGUUGAAAAUUGGUUGAAAAAUACGAAAGAGAUGAUUGCGGAAGCACAGGAUGUGGAAAAUAAAGUCAGAAACGGGAGAUAUCUCUGUCGUGCUUGGAACGGAAAGCUGGUUGAUGAAAAGACUCGAGAAAUGAAGGAGUUUCUUGAUAAAGCUCCUAAUGCCUUUGAAGGUCUUGCCAUGGAUGGUCCAAGUGCUGGGUUGCCACUGCCAACAUCAGAAUUAGUUGGGGAGGAAGCUGCCAGAAAAGAUAUUUGGGCAUGUUUGACGCAAAAGGAGGUAAAAAAGAUUGGGGUUUGGGGGAUGGGCGGUAUGGGUAAAACCAAGAUCAUGAAGCACAUCCACAAUGAUUUUUUGAAAGAACAAAGAUUCGAAAGAGUAACCUGGGUUACCAUAUCAAAGGAGUUCAAUGUAAUGAAGGUACAAGAUAAUAUUGCAAGUGCGUUGGAGGCGAAGGAAUAUUUAGACAAAGAAGAGGACAAGCUCAGACGAGCAGCAAUCUUGUCAGAAAUGCUGAAGAAAGCAGGAAAGCAUGUUCUAAUCCUAGACGAUGUGUGGGAUGAAGUCUCUCUAGAAGAAGUUGGGAUCUCUGAGCCGAGUGACAGCAAUGGCUGCAAGUUGGUGUUGACAACCCGUUCGGAGCAUGUCUGUAAGUAUAUGGGUUGCACGGUGAUAAAAGUGAGGCCCCUUUCAGCACAACAGGCAUUGACACUAUUCUUGAGUAAAGUUGGGCCUAACAUAGUGCAAAAUCAAACUAUAACGCCUACUCUAAAGCUUGUUGUCAAGGAAUGUGCGGGUCUACCUCUUACAAUUGUCGUCGUAGCUGGUACAUUGAAGGGAGAAGAGGACCCUCUUAUUUGGAAAAACGCACUCAGGGAAUUGAAAGAGAGAAUAGAAAAAGUGGAAUGAGUGGAAGCUAAAGUGAUAGAGCGUUUGAAAUUUAGCUUCGAUCACUUAAAGGACGAGAAAGUGAAAUUGUUUCUUACAUUGCGCAUUAUAUCCCGAAGAUUUUGAAAUUGAAAAGGAUGAACUAAUUGAGUGCUGGAUUGACGAGGGAUUCAUAGAUGAUAUGGGUACAAGACAAGAAAUGAAUGACAAGGGUCAAGUUAUUUUGAAGAAGUUGGAAGAUAAUUGCUUGUUGGAAAAUGCCUCGUGUGAAAAAAUGAAAAUGCAUCAUGCAGUGAGAGACAUGGCAUUGUCGAUCACAAGAAUGAAUCCUCGAUAUAUGAUACAAGCAGGUUUGCAAUUAGAAGAGUUACCAGAAAAGGAGCAAUGGAGUCCGGAUAUUGAGAAAGUGUCACUUAUGUAUAACUCCAUAUCAGAAAUUUCCAAGGAUGUGCUGCCCACAAAAUGUCAACUGCACACAACCUUGUUAUUGCAGCAUAACCCAAUAAAGAAGAUCCCAUAUUCUUUCUUCAUAAACAUGCCUUGUCUUUGUGUCCUCAAUUUGUCCUAUACGGAGAUCGAGAGUUUACCAAAUUCCAUCUCUGAAUUAAAGAACCUCACAACAUUGUUGCUUCGUGGUUGUUCUACAUUUAGAGAUCUACCAUGUCUUUCGAUGCUUCAAGAAUUGAAGAAGUUGGAUCUUAGUGGGACUAAAAUUGAGGAAGUCCCUGAAGGAAUGGAUAUGCUGAUAAAGCUAAGAUAUCUUGAUCUUGGAGUGCACACUCUGAAAGAGAUACCCGCUGGACUUUUACCAAAACUCGUUCACCUUCAGCACUUGAGUUUUGAAGUGGACAAUGAAAAAACAAGUCUAAAAGCAGAGGAGAUGGAACCAUUGAAGAAGUUGGAGUGCUUUACCGGACGUUUCGAAGACAUCAAUGAAUUGAAUAAGUUCAUCUCCUCAAUGCAACAAAGUAAGAAAAAUCUCACCAAGUACUCUUUACAGGUGGGCUCAGUUAUUCUGGGUGGUGUAAGAGAUAAAAGAGUAACAAUUGGAGGAGUCCAGAAUUGGGAAGGUGAGUUAAUUAUGCACCCAAUUGAAAUUCAAGAGUUGAUUAUUUUUUUGAGAAGCUUAGUCGAUGAUAAUUCUUCCUUCAAAAAAGCGGUUGACUUGAGGGUUUGGAGGAUUUGGGUGUGUGAAGGGAUAGAGUGUGUUGUUUCCCUGUCCUCUUUGCCUCUUCUUCCGCUCAUCCAUUUCAGAGCCUCGAGGAGUUAGAUCUUAGAAAUCUGCCAAAGUUGAGUGCCCUUAUUAUGAAAGAUGAAGGAAUUGGUUCAGCAAUAACAUCAACAUCGGCUCCGUCUGCCACCUUUUCCCAUCUUAAGCGAAUUGAAGUAUGGAGCUGCUCAAGUAUGAAGACGUUGCUUCCACAUUGGUUGCUUCCAAACCUCCAAAACCUAGAAGAAAUACAUGUGGUUACUUGUAGGCAGCUAGUAGAAAUAUUGGGAGCAGUAACAUCAGAAGUUGAAGAAAAAGGGAGUGAUGCAUUAAUCAAAUUCCAUCUUCCCAAAUUGAGAAAGUUGGAAUUGUGGGGAUUACGAAAUUUGAAGAGCAUAUGCAGCAAAAGUGGAGUGAUGGUUUGUGAUUCUCUCGAGUUAAUCGAUGUUACUAGUUGUGAUAAACUGAAGAGAAUUCCUCCAUUUGUUCCCCUUGUUGGCAAUGGGCAGCCAUUUGCAUAUGCUCCACCUUCUCUUACCAUCAGGUCAUGGAAAGAAUGGUGGGAAUCGUUGGAGUGGGAUGACCAUCCAAACUUUAAAAAUGUUCUUCAACCCCUUUGGAAGGAGAAGAGGUAUGAACUUUGAACCAUUUAUGGUUUAGUUUUUUUAUUUUAUUUUCAUAAACCUAAUUUCUCCAUUUUAAUACAAUUUCAGGUAUAUUUUUGAUGUUGGUGAAGAGAAAGAUGAAAGGGUUGGUGGGAAAGGAGGAGGGGGGAGGAUAGUGCAAAAGAGAGGAGAAAAGGAAUGAUGGAAGGAAGAGGUUAAGAGGGUCCACUUUGUGAACAUUGUCCCUCUCUUACCAUUCCUUCUAUUCUCUUUUUCUUAUAAUGUCAAAGCUGAAGAUGUAAAAAACAAAUUAAUUUGCUUCAUAUUUUUUCUAUGUUUGUUUUGAAAGAAAGAGAAAUAUGGUAGGGUUUAUAAAUAAAAUAUAAUUUAAAUAUCAAUUAUUCAAAAUAAUGGUAUUUUAGAUAGCAAAGGUAUUGAAAAUUUAAAGUGAUAAAUUACCUUUUUAUCAUUAUAAAUAAAAAAAAUAUCAUUAUUUCUUCUUUCAACAAUCAUUCUAUUCUAAAAAUAAAUGAAACCAAUAACCCCAAAUAAAGUAUUAAUGAUAUUUUUAAAUAAAAUAACUUCAAAAAGUUUUAAAAAGUAAGACUUGAUGAAACACUAUAUAUAAUUUAAUCAAUUCAAAUAGCUUUGGAGAUUCGAUCAUAACGUAUAAAUCAGGUUUGUGGUGUUACAAUUUUUGUUCUCAAUUUAUAUAUAUUUAUCAAUUUGACCCUGCUUUUAUAUAAAAAAAUUAAAAUCAUUUAUAAAAUACAACAAUGUAUAUAAAAUUAUAGAAAAAUAAAAUCUUGAAUAUGUUGUCGAAGAACUAAAAUGUAUGAGAAACAAAGAAAAAUAUUAUUCAAUAGAAUCCAAUAACAAAUUAGAAACAAAACGAAAUAAAAAAGUUCAGUUUCAUGCUCUUGAAGAACGUCUAGGACUGAUAUUAUAGAGACUUAUAAAUUCGACCCGACUGUCAUUUUUUUGGCCAAAAGAAUACAAAAUAUACCACAAUUUUUUUCAAACUUAGUUCAAAUUUUAAUUACAUUUAACUUAUUUUUCAAAACUCAAAUUGUAAAAACAAAAUGUGUUUCUUCUUCCAUGGUUGAGUUGGCCUUAGACAAGAUUUUUAUGUCACGAGCUGUUCCAACUCUAAUUCAAUUUAAAUAAUAAAAAAUAUUUUUAAAUUUUAAAUUUAAUUAAGAGUAUAAAAAUAUUUUUUAACAUUUUAUUAUUUUUUUGAACUCUUAAAAGGUUGACUGAGCUCGGCUAAAAAUGAGUUUUGCUUGAAAAAAAUUUAGAUUAUUUUUAAGAGUAUAUCAAGGAGUCUAAUAAUUACAAUUUUUUUAAAAGGUUUUAAUAACACUAGAAAUUAGUCACACGCAUAUUUCUUACUUUGCAAAUAAAAUAGUAUUUUUGGUAAUUUUCUUAUUGAGUUGGGACCCGAUUGAUGAGUGACACCAACUCAGUAAAAUGUUUAAUACAUAGUAUAGAUAAAACAAUUCUAAACUAAAAUUUUUAAAAGAAUUUAGGGUAAAAUUCAACUAUGGUUAAGUUUUCAUUUUGGUCACUUAAUUAAGAAAUGUUACAAUUUGAUUACUAAUAUUUUCAAAAUUAUUUUCUUUUUUGUCACCCGACUGUUAAGUGGCACUUGUUUCAGUUGGUACAAUAAUAAUUCUAGUCAUCAGUUUUUAUAUUUUCUAUCAAUUUGACUCUGAUUGUGUAUAAAAAAUUAUUAAAAAUCUCAAAAUAUUUAUAAAAUAGAAAAAUGUAGAUAAAAUUUCUAGAAAAAUAAAAUCUUUAAGUUGUUGAAUAACUAAACAGUAUGAAAAAUAAAGAAAAUUAUGAUUUAAUAAAAUCCAAUAACAAAUUGAAAACAAAACAAAACAAAGUUACAUUUUGCACCUUAAUACAACUCAGUUCAUAAUAGCUAAUAUUCACAUAGUUUUUCAAUUCAGUCCAUUUUAGUGAUGAAUUCACUAAAUUCUAGUUAUAGCUAAACAUAUAGAUGAAAUCAAGUACAAUUUACACAUAUUAAUAUAAAACCAGAUAGUAAGUUUCAUAUUUAAUUUCACACCCUAAUACAACUCAUUCACUUGUAUAUUUAAUUUCAAGUUGUAACAUAUGAUUAUACAUUCUUAUACCCUACUGUCUCAUACUUUUCGAUUAAUUAUUAGAUUUAAUGAUAAAUUUAGUCCUUGAUGUUUAAUUAUUUUAUUAAAAUGGCCCUAAUUGUGUUUUUGAGUUUUUUUUUGCUAUCAACCUUUGUUCUUUUUUUUUUCACCCUUCUUUUUUAAAUAGAUUUAAUGAAAGUACCUUAAAAAAGUUAACCGUGAUAAUGUGGAAUUUCAUAUGUUGAAUAUUUUUAAUGAGAUAUAAUUUAUUAGUUAGAAAAUCCAAUAAGAUAUUUAUAUUCUUGUGAAAAAAAUAAUACAUUAAAGUGAAAAAAAAUUAAUUUAAAGAAAAUAAAUGUAAUUAUUUUAAAAAAUUUAACUCAAUAGAAAAACAUUUUAGUAAACAAACAUAUGAAAGAUUGAAAACUUUUGAAAGAAAAAAUAUAUUGAAACAAAUGCUGAUGGUAAAGAAAAGCUCAAAAAUAGAAUUAGGGCCAUUUUGACAAAACAAACAAAAAUUAGUGACCAAAUUUAUCAUUAAACCUAAUUAUUAUUAUUAUUAUUAUUCAAUGCCAAUUAUAAUGGGCGACAGCAAAGAAAAGAGUCAAAAAAGACGGAUUUCUUAUUCAUAUCCACAACAUUCGUCUUUUAUACAUGUAAUUAUUAAUUAUUUUCUCUUUCUUCUUCUCCUUCACACACUUUCCCAUUAAUUCCUAUCACAAUUUUGCUUAUUUCUAUUUUCACCUUUUUCUUCACUCUUUUUCAUUUCAUUUCAUCUCCAAGGUCUAUCACUAAUUUUCAAGCAUCCAGUCAAGGUAAUUUCCUUUCAUUUGCUUCAUUCAUGACUAUACAAUGAUUGUUUUUUAUUAUCAGCUACUGUUAUAGCAGCUUGCUUUGUAAGAUGGUCAAGAUAAUAAGAUCUGCAGCAAUGGUUUCCUCUAGUGAUUAUCAACAGUUUUACAUUUACGAAAGGAUGCUCAGCAGACAUAAUCUACUAUAGAUACAAAUUAAUACGAAAAGAGCUAUGCUUUGUAAGAUAGUCGUAAUAAGAUCUGAAGCAAUGAUUUCCUCUACUGAUUAUCAAUUUUAAGACAGGAUAAUCAGCAGACAUAGUCUACUAUAGAUACAAUUUAAUACGAAAAGCGCUACCCAGAAGCAAUAUAAUGUUGAAAUCUCAUGCUGUUGAACAUUUUACCUCUUCAUAUUCUGUAAUGAACUCUUGCACACUUGAAUCUAGCAUGUUGUAUAGUUUGAGGGAUUGAUUCUGGAUAUACAAUGGUGACCAGAAUUUCAUCAUCUUUCUGUCUUCCACCCAUCCAUAGAUCCAUCUAAUAGACGCCAUUGCUUGAAACUUGCAUUCAUGUUUUCCUUUUCAUGCUUACACCGACAUAUCAAUACUUCAUAAAAUAUCCAAUUCAUUCACAGAUUUUCAUUCUCUACUACUGUUAUAUAUGAUUGCAUUACAGGGACAAAGCAAUGGAGUACGUAGAGCCUGUUGUCGGCAUUGCAAAUUGUCUCGGAACUCCUGUUUGUAAGUAUUUGCAAUAUCACAGAAAGCUGAACGAUUAUGUGAGAAACUUCAAGAGGAUCAGAGAUGAAUUGAAUUGCAAAAUGGAAGAUAUAGAGCUGCAAUUGAAAGCAGAGCUUCUUCGUCCUCUGGGGAAGAUACCGAAGAAGGGAGUUGAAAAUUGGUUGAAAGCUGUGAAAGAGAUGAUUAGGGAAGCACAAGUUGUUGAAAACAAAGUCAGUAACGGGAAAUAUCUCUGUCGUGCUUGCAACGGGAAGCUGGUUGCUGGUUGAUGAAAACACUCGAGAAAUGAAGGAAUUUCUUGAUAACGCUCCUAAUGCCUCUGAAGGUCUUGCCAUGGAUGGUCCAAGUGCUGGGUUGCCGCUGCCAACAUCAGAACUAGUUGGAGAAGAAGCUGUCAGAAAUGAGAUUUGGGCAUGUUUGAUGCAGGAGGAGGUGAGCAAGAUUGGGGUUUGGGGGAUGGGCGGUGUGGGUUAAACCACUAUCAUGAAGCACAUCCACAAUGAUCUUUUGAAAGAACAAAGAUUCGAAAGGGUAAUCUGGGUUACCAUAUCAAAGGAGUUCAAUGUAAUGAAGGUACAAGAUAAUAUUGCAAGUGCGUUGGAGUCGAAGGAAUAUUUGGACAAAGAAAGGGACAAGCUCAGACGAGCUGCAAUCUUGUCAAAAAUGCUGAAGAACGCGGGAAAGCAUGUUCUAAUCAUAGAUGAUGUGUGGGAUAAAGUCUCUCUAGAGGAAGUUGGGAUCCCUGAGCCGAGUGGCAGCAAUGGCUGCAAGCUGGUGUUGACCACCCGUUCGGAGCAUGUCUGUAAGUAUAUGGGUUGUAUGGUGAUAAAAGUGAAGCCCCUUUCAGAAGAAGAGGCAUUGAUACUAUUCUUGAAUAAAGUUGGACCUAACAUAGUUCAAAGUCCAACUAUAAUGCCUACUUUGAAGCUUGUUGUCAAGGAAUGUGCGGGUCUACCUUUUACAAUUGUCAUGGUAGCCGGUACCAUGAAAGGAGAAGAUAACCCUCUUAUUUGGAAAAAUGCACUCGGGGAAUUAAAAGAGAGAAUAGGGAAAGUUGAAGGAGUGGAAGCUGAGGUAAUCGAGCGCUUGAAAUUUAGCCUCGAUCACUUAAAGGACGAGAAAGUGAAAUAUUGUUUCUUACAUUGCGCAUUAUAUCCCGAAGAUUCUGAAAUUGAAAAGGAUAAACUAAUUGAGUGCUGGAUUGAUGAGGGAUUCAUAGAUGAUAUGGGUACAAGACAAGAAAUGAAAGGCAAGGGUCAUGUUAUUUUGAAGAAGUUGGAAGAUAAUUGCUUGUUGGAAAAUGUCUCGAGUGGAGAAAUGAAGAUGCAUGAUGCAGUGAGAGAUAUGGCAUUGUCGAUCACAAGAAUGAAUCCUCGAUAUAUGAUACAAGCAGGUUUUCAAUUAGAAGAGUUACCAGAAAAGGAGCAAUGGAACCCGGAUAUUGAGAAAGUGUCACUUAUGUAUAACUCCAUAUCAGAAAUUUGCAUAGAUGUGCUGCCCACAAAAUGUCAAUUUCUCACAACCUUGUUAUUGCAGCAUAACCCUAUAAAGAAGAUCUCAAUUUCUUUCUUCACAAACAUGCCUUGUCUUAGUGUUCUCAAUUUGGCUUUUACAAAGAUCGAGAGUUUACCAAAUUCCAUCUCUGAACUAAAGAACCUCACAACAUUGUUGCUUCGUGGCUGUUCGAAAUUAAGAGAUCUGCCAUGUCUUUCGAUGCUUCAAGAAUUGAAGAAGUUGGAUCUAAAUUGGACUAGAAUUGAGGAAGUACCUGAUGGCAUGGAUAUGCUGAUAAAGCUGAGAUAUCUUGAUCUUGGAGUGCACACUCUGAAAGAGAUACCCGCUGGACUUUUACCAAAACUCGUUCACCUUCAGCACUUGGGUUUUGAUGUGGACAAUGAAAGAACAAGUCUAAAAGCAGAGGAGAUGGAACCAUUGAAGAAGUUGGAGUGCUUAACCGGACGUUUCGAAGACAUCAAUGAAUUCAAUAAGUUCAUCUCCUCAAUGCAACAAAGUAAGAAAAAUCUCAUCAAGUACUCUUUACAGGUGGGCUCAUCUUUUAUCCCUCAUAGAAGAGAUAAAAGAGUAACAAUUGCAGGAGUCCAGAAUUGGGAAGGUGAGUUAAUUAUGCACUCAAUUGAAAUUCAAGAGUUGAAUAUUUUAAGUUGCGACUAUUUGAGAAACUUAGACGAUUGUAAUUCUUCCCUCAAAAAUGCGAUUGACUUGAGGAUUCGUGAAUGUGAAGGGAUAGAGUGUGUUGUUUCGUUGUCCUCUUUCGCCUCUUCUUUCGCUCAUCCAUGUCAGUGCCUCGAGAUGUUGUAUCUUCAAGAUCUGCCAAAGUUGAGUGCCCUUAUUAUGAAAGAUGAAGGAAUUGGUUCAGCAACAACAUCAACAUUGGUUCCGUCUGCCACCUUUUCCCAUCUUAAGGAAAUUACGAUAUACAGCUGCUCAAGUAUGAAGACGUUGCUUCCACAUUGGUUGCUUCCAAACCUCCAAAACUUGGAAAAAAUACACGUGGAGUAUUGUAGUCUGCUAGUAGAAAUAUUGGGAGCAGCAACAUCAGAAGUUGAAGAAAAUGGGAGUGAUGCAUUAAUCAAAUUCCAUCUUCCCAAAUUGAGAGAGUUGUCAUUCUUGGAUUUACCAAAUUUGAAGAGCAUAUGCAGCAAAAGUGGAGUGAUGGUUUGUAAUUUUUUCGAGUUAAUCGUUGUUGUUGAGUGUGAUAAAUUGAAGAGAAUUCCUCGAUUUGUUCCCCUUGUUGGCAAUGGGCAGCCAUUUGCAUAUGCUCCACCUUCUCUUACCAUCAGGUCAAGCACAGAAUGGUGGGAAUCGUUGGAGUGGGAUGACCAUCCAAACUUUAAAAAUGUUCUUCGCUUCAAACCCAUAGAAUAAUGAAAGGUAUAAAUCUAAUUGCUCCAUAUUAAUAAAAUUUGAAGUAUAUUUGUGAUGAUGAUGAAGAGAAAGAUAAAAGGGUUGGUGGGAAAGAAGGAUAGUGCAGAAGAGAGGAGAAAAGGAAUGAUGGAAGGAAGAGGUUAAGAGGCUCCACAUUGUAAACAUUGUCCCUCUCUUACCAUUCCUUCUUUUCUCUUUUUCUUAUGAUGUAAAAGCUGAAGAGGUAAAAAACAAAUAAUUUUGCUUCAUAUUUUGUCUAUGUUUGUUUUCCAAGAAUGAGUAUUGAAUAUAGAUAAUAUAGAGAAAUUUUGUAGGGUUUAAAAAUAAUUAUCCCUAAUUUUCUCACUUUUUUGUAUUUUUUUAAUUUUAUAAUGUUCUAAAAUUUUAAAAAUAUUUUUUAACAUUUUACCAUUUUAUAUAUUAUUAAAAUUAAAUUGACCGAAUAAUUAUAUCACUUAUUAUCAUUGAAUAAAACAAAACAUAGCUAAUAACCAUUGUUAAGUACCAGUUUCAGCUUUUAUGAAUUCUCAAUUCCUCCUUUUUUUUUUUUUUUUGAAGAUAAUCGAAUUCCAUUUAUGGUAUAUAUAUAAUUGUUAACAAGAAUAAAAAUGCAUAAUGCAUUUUAGGUUAUUGAGAGAAUUCCAUCUUCCCAAAUUCAGAGAAUUGAGACUAAGUUACCAAAUUUAGGUUAAAGUAUUCGAGAGGUUCAUGUAAUAUAAGGAUUGUAUUAAGUUAGUCUUUUUAUUAUUAAAUAGAUCAAUUUUGUUCUUAUACUAUUAAAAAAAUUAAAUAAGUCCAAAUCAUAAUGAAAUUAACAUUUAAUAAUGUAUAAAAAAUGUCUUGACAAACAAAAAGAUUUCAUUUACUUCAUCAUAAAAACUUUAAAAAUAUUAACUUUAUUAAACAUUAAAUGUUAACUCUAUUUCAAUUUGACCAUAUUUAAUUUUUUACAACAAUAUUAAAUUGAUCCACCUAAUAGUAAAAAAAUAUAAUCAAAUCCCUAUAAUAAAAACACGUCUCGAAUACAUUCACCCUUCAAUUAAACUAUUCAUCAUGAUACCUUAACAUCAUUAUCCGGCUCAAUUGCUUCACCAAAAUUUGUUAAUCCCAACAUUUUAUUUUCACUUAAGUAUCACUAUCCGAGAAGUAUUUGAACAUGAUCAUAAAAAUGCAAUCCUUUAAAUAAAUUUAAAAAAUACUUAUGCUCAACUCGAUAAAAAAAUUUUUAAAUUCUGAUAAUUUAAACGAAUUAAUUUUAAAUGUAAAGAUGCUAGCAAAGGAGAGAGUUCCAUGAGAUAGAUAGCUUAUAAUUUUGUUUAUAGUCGAUUGAGUCUUAAUUCAAUUGGCAUGAGUAUUAUUACCAGUACAAGAGAAUGUGGGUUCGAGUUCGCUGAAGAGCAGGUUUGAGUUCGCUGAAGAGCAUCAUCUUCCUAUUUAUGGGUUAUAAGUAAUUCUAAAUAUUGUCUCAAAAAGAGCAUAUAUAAUCAAAAUCUAUAAUAAAAUUAUUAAAAAACAAAAACUAUGUCUAUUAGAUAUUUAUAUUCAAAAUCGAAUAACACGGGUAACAUAAAGUUUUAUAUAUAGCAAGAAGAAGCUUUUUUUUUUUAAAUCAAGUCAUGGAUUCUGGGAUUGUUUGGCUUCAAGAGAUUUCUCAUAUUCUUCAAUGGAUUUGAAGAGCUCAGAAAAGUUGCCUUUCCCAAAACCACCACAUCCACCUUUUUGGUAUUGCUUUCCUUCUUCAUCCUUCACCAUGCACCCAAUUCCUUGUAUUAUCUCUAUGAAGAUGGUUGGACUCAAAAUAAAAGGUUCCCACUUUAGUUAACCAAACAAGAAAUAAUAUACAUAUAUGCCGAAGAGAAGUUUGAUUGAAUGACAAGGUUGAAGCUUUGAAAACUUUACAACAUAUGUAAAUGUAUGCGUGGUCAUCUAGAUUUAUUGUUGAUUGGUUAGUUUGUUAAGUUAAAUUAGUAGUCAAUUCUCAUUCCAUUAUAUGAAAUAUUGUUGAUAGGUUAGUUUGUUAAAUAUAUAGUGCAUGCUUGUAGUAAGCUAGUAGAAAUAUUGGGAGCAGCAACAAAAAUAAAUUUUGUGAUGUUGGUGAAGAGAAAGAUAAAAGUGUGGGUGGGAAAGAAGUAGGGGCCGGGGGAGGAUAGUGCAGAAGAGAGGAGAAAAGGAAUGAUGGAAGGAAGAGGUUAAGAGGCUCCACAUUGUAAACAUUGUCCCACUCUUACCAUUCCUUCUACUCUCUUUUUCUUAUAAUGUAAAAGCUGAAGAGGUAAAAAACAAAUAAAUUUGCUUCAUAAUUUUUCUAUGUUUGUUUUGAAAGAAUGAGUAUUGAAUAUAGAUAAUAUAGAGAAAUUUGGUAGGGUUUAAAAAUAUAAUAUAAUUUAAAUAUCAAUUAUUCAAAAUAAUGGUAUUUUAGAUAGCAAAGGUAUUGAAAAUUUAAAGUGAUAAAUUACCUUUUUAUCAUUAUAAAUAAAUACCAUAAUUUCUUUUUAAAUAAAAUAAAUAAAUAUCAUUAUUUCUUCUUUCAACAAUCAUUCUAUUCUAAAAUAAAUAAAAAUAAAAAUGAAACCAGUAACCCCAAAUAAAGUAUUAAUGAUAGUUUUAAAUAAAAUAACUUGAAAAAAUUUUAAAAAGUAAGACUUGAUGAAACACUAAAUAUAAAUUCCUUAGUCAUUUAAAAAGUAAGCUUUGGAGGUCUUAAAAAAAGGGCAAAUUACCAAAAAAGCCCUUUUUUAAAAUUUACUGAAAUGGGCCCGAUAUUUUAUUAUUUAUCGGAAUGGGCCAUUUUCCCCGAAUUCGGGUCCACGUCAGCGCGAUGUCAAGGGACGUGUCAGAACAUCGCGUCCACAUCAGCACGCUUUACUUACGUGGACACAAAUCGUGCCUACGAGGACGCGAUUUGCUGACGUGGAUGAACAGUUUAUGUUUUUUAGCUUGGAAAACUUUGAAAGGCCAUAAUUUUUCGCUCGGUUGUCCGAUUGAGACGAUUUUUUUAUUUCGAAUAACUUUUCGAGAUCUACGCGCUGACAAACAGCCGAAGGUGGUUUGCCGCAUUUUUCGUCAAAAAAGAUCCUUUUUUGCCCCUAAAUUUUGAUUUUUUUGGUUUAAAAUUAAAUUUUGAAACAUUCAAAUCAUUAUUUUCCUUAUUUAUUUGAAGUAACACCGGAUUUUUUUAUAGAAUUGUUGUAGUAUUUUUUCUGAUUUGACACGUGUAUGGAAUAGGUUCGAUAAAUCGUUAGAACGUAAGUAAUAUAAUUAAGAUAAUAACAGUUUUUCUAUAAUAUGUCAAUUAAUUAGUUUAGUUUAGUUGGUUAAGAUGCUUGCUCUUUUCCCUUAGUACCUUGGUUCAAAUCUUGUUACCAAAAAAGAUUCAAAAUUGUUACCAAAAAAAUCCAGUAUUUACUAAAACAAAAUUAAUCGGGGAAUAAUGUAAAUAAAACAAAAUAAGGGCCAAUGUGCAAUGCGCGAAUGACAUGGAGGGUUAAUUUGGAAAUAUUCCCAACCCUCCAGAACGCUGUGUUGCAACAUGGACUAAAAUAAAACGAAAAACGAAUUAAAGGGCGAAAUUUAAAAAAAGAAAAGAACUUAUUUGAACACGCCACUAAAGAGAGAGGACCACUUGCGCAAAUUUACCCCUGGGACAAAACACGUGGAUCCUCCCCUCGGGUUGGGUCACACGGGUCACUGAUUGGUGUGGCAGUAUAUGACGUUGUUUUGGGGCUACUGAAGUAGGCCCUAAACGACGUCGUUUUUAUUACCUUAUAAAAUCCCCCAAAUUAAACCCUAAUCAGAAUUUUCGCCACGUUUACAGAAAAUAAAACCAAAAAAAAAAAAUAAAACCCUAGGUUUUUUUCUCUCUGCCGCUUUGGAAAUUCAGGCCGUUUUGAGGCUUCUCGAACCUCGCAAGGGCUCCGAUCGUGACGGAGUAGGCAGAGAUUCAACACUUCAGGUAAUUUCUAUUUUCUAAUUGAUUUUAUUUUACACACAACGAAUAAACAAUAAUAAUAAAAAGAAACAGAGAAAUUGAAAGAGAAAAGAAAAUCACCUUAAAAACUCACUGCUAUAAUUUUUUAUUGAUUUUUAAUCGAUUUUCGUAUCCCCCUUUACAAAUCCAUGUUUGGCUUUAUAUAGCCAAAAAGAAAAAUCAAAAUCCCUCUUUUUCUAUUUUUUUAUGUUUUUAUCUCCCCUUACAAUUUUCGCUGUAAAUCUGUUAUUUUCUUUGUUGUAAGUUCGUUUCUUCUUUUUGCUGCUUUGGUUUAUCGUUUGUUGCAGGGAGAAUGUGCAUAGUGUGAAGGCGACGUGCUGCGAUGUGCGGGAAGGCGUGCGAGGGAGCCUUGCUGAAUUACGGUGCUCCCUAGGGUUUCUGCCUCCUUUGUUGCUGAAAACAUGUUGUGGGCGUAUUGGGCUAGGGUUUUUUGUAAUUUGGGAUGUUUGGAUUUGUAAUUAGGGCUGGACGCUUAUAGUUUUAAUUUAUUUUAAUUUGGUGUUGGGCCUGGGCUUAAAAUUGGGUAUUACAGUAUUAAUUUUAAAAUAUUGAAUUAAUUAUCACUAUAGUUUAGGGUAUAUGGUUUAGAGUUUAAGGCUUAUGAGUUAUUAUUUUAAGGUUUAUGGAUUAUGGGUUUAAGGGUUAUGGUUUAUGGUUUAAAGGUUGGGAUUUAAAGUUUAGAGGAUAUGUGUUAAGGGUCUAGGAUUUUAUGGUUUAGGUUUAGGGUUUAGGUUUAAGGUUUAGAUUAACUAGUGUUUUCUAAUUUAUAUAUUAAUUAAUUUAUUAUAUAAUUGUAAAAGAGACAAUAUUAAUUUGGUUCUUCAAAAUCUUGUGAAGAUUUGGUUCUCCAAAAUCGUUUCAGUGUAUUUAAAACUGUUAAAGCUGCAUUAUUUUUGUUGAGGGAAUAAGAAAACAGAAAUACUAUUAUUGAGUUUUUAAAUAUUUUCAAAGAAUUUGAUAUUAAAUAGUUUCACAAUAUUUUAAUAAGUACAGGGUUAAUUUUCAUUUUUAUUCUGCUCUAGGGAUAUUGUUGUUAUUUAAAUUGUUGUUGUAUGAACUUAUCGGUUUGCAUCAUCUACACCAAUUUAAAUUUUGACUUUUUACUAGUAUAUUUUUUUUCUCUAAAUUGUUAAUGGUUGCUUUUAGUUUUUUUACUAGUAUUUUUUUCUCUUGCGUCAAUGCUAGUUGGUAGUUGUUACUUUGUAUUAAGAAGAAAGUAUUCUCACAUUGAAUUUGAAAAUGCAGUCGAGCCUUUUUUGACAAGAGGAUCUCACAGGAAGUCAAUGGUGAUGCCUUCGAUGAGGUAUGUUUCCAAGUUACCUUUAGCUUUUCGUUCACUGCCUCAAGUUUCUGCUGGUGCAUCUGGACUUCAUAACUGCAAUUUGCUCACCCCUUAAUUAUCCUUCAACAGGAGUUUAAGGGCUAUGUAUUCAAGAUCAUAGGAGGCUGUGAUAAAUAAGGUUUUCCAAUGAAGCAAGGAGUUCUCACUCCUGGAUGUGUUCGUCUUUUGCUUCACAGAGGUCUGUGGACUCUGAAAUAUUUUUCCUUGUUCUUAUUUGUGUAGAAAUGUUUUUUUUUUGUUAAUUAAAUGUCUUCUUUUCUAAUCUUUGAAUAGGUACUCCCUGCUUCCGUGGAUAUGGUAGAAGAAACGGAGAGCGUAGGAGGAAGUCAGUUCGUGGAUGCAUUGUUAGUCAGGAUCUUUUAGUUUUGAACUUGGUUAUUGUGAAAAAGGGUGAAAAUGAUCUUCCUGGACUGACUGACACUGAGAAACUAUUGGAAAUUGGCCAACCAUGUUGCUGUUACAUUUUGUGGUUGAAGUGCAUGCAGCUUGAUGACAUGCUGCAGCACAUAUGCUUGCUGUAACAGCAAGGUUUCUCUUUAGUUUCAUUCUAAUUAAUCUAGUUUAAAAUGGACAAGUUGAUGACAACUUGAUGCAUUAGGUGUUGAAUGACUAGUUUAGGUGGCUUGUUUAUGUGUACAAGCAAUGUUUUAAUAGUCCCAAUGCUGAUUAGUGGGGUUAGUUGACUAUUUGGUGAUGUAUUUGACUAUAAAUGUAUGUUUCUUCUAGUUGAAUGAAUGAGCUGAAUGAGCUAUCAGCCAUUAGCUCCCUUGCUGUACAUUUGUGAGCAAGUAAAAAUGCUUCUUGCACCUUGUUUCAUGUUCUGUGCUCUUGUUCUCUCUUUUGUUGCUGCCUCUUGCACCAACAAUUGGUAUCGAGAGCUCUUGUCUUAGUGGACCUGUUGCUUCAAAACAAAGAACUUGAUGGCUUCUUCAGGAUUUUCACCAGCAGCCCCACCAGUCUUCAAUGGAGAAGGCUUUCACAUAUGGCUGGUCAAGAUGAAGACUUACCUACAGGCCUUCGAUCUGUGGGAAGUUGUCAACACAGAUACUGAGCCAGCACCACUGAGGGCUAAUCCCACAGUAGCUCAGAUUAGGCAACAUGCUGAUGAGAGGACCAAAAGGCACAAAGCCAUGUCCUGCAUCCAGAACUGUGUGUCAGAUGUCAUCUUCACCAGAAUUAUGGCCUGUGAGACUCCAAAACAGGCCUGGGAUAAGCUCAAGGAGGAGUUUCAAGGCACUGAGAGAACAAGGCAACAGCAACUGCUAAACUUGAGAAGGGAUUUCGAGAAUUUGAAGAUGAAGGAAGAAGAAACAGUGAAGCAGUACUCAGAUAGAAUUAUGGCAGUGGUUAACAGCAUAAGGCUCCUAGGUGAGCACUUUGAUGAGGCAAGAAUUGUGGAGAAAGUCCUCUCCACUUUGCCUGAGAGAUAUGAGGCCAAGAUAUCCUCUCUAGAGGACUCAAGAGACCUUGCUAGCAUCUCUUUGACUGAGCUAAUCAACACCUUUUAUGCUCAGGAACAAAGAAGAGCUAGCAGAGCUGAAGAUCACCAAGAAGGUGCAUUUCAAGCCAAGGCCAGAGAAACCUCGAGCACAAAUGCUCAAAGAGGCAAAAGGCCUUGGAAAAACAGGCCUAAGCUUGAUGCUGCAAGGAGCAAUGACCAGCCCUGUAGAUAUUGCAAGAAACCUGGCCAUCCAGAAGACAGAUGCUGGUUUAGGCCAGAUGCAGUAUGCCAACACUGCAAGAAGAAGGGCCAUGUUGAAAGAGUCUGCAAAAACAGAAGUAAGCCAAGGCAGAAUCAAUUUCAGCAGUCAAAGGUUGAAGCUCGAGUAGCUGAGGACAGUAGUGACCAAGAAGAACAGGUCUUUGCUGUUUCCUGUGUAGCUUCUGAGAAGAAAUGGUCUAAAGGCUGGUUGCUGGACAGUGGUUGCACUAACCACAUGUCACCAGAUGCCUCCUUGUUUAAAACCUUGGACAAAAGUUAUAAAACCAAGGUCAAGGUUGGAAAUGGUCAGUUUAUAAGGGCUGAAGGAAGAGGAGAAGUGUUGAUAUGUACUCCCACAGGCAACAAGAUCAUUCCAAAUGUGCUGUUGGUACCACAGAUUGACAGAAACCUUCUCAGCAUAGCUCAACUGCUCGAGAAAGGUUAUUCUGUUGUGUUCAAGGAUAAACAAUGCCAUAUUACUGAUCCAAGUGGAUCAAGCCUUAUGACAGUCACAAUGACUGAUAAAUGCUUUGAGGUUCACUGGGCAAAUGACUCAAACUCAGCAUACACAGCCUCUGUUGAAGACUCCAAGCUUUGGCAUCAAAGGCUUGGACAUGCCAACUUCAGAUCAAUGGCUCGAUUGGCCAAAGAGGGCUUGGCAGAGAACUUCAUCAGCUCAGUGGAGCAUGAUGAUGUGUGUGAAGUUUGCCAAAUGGGGAAACAGGCAAGACUACCAUUUCCUACAAAUUCAACCUGGAGAGCUACUGAAAGACUGCAGCUGGUGCACUCUGAUGUAUGUGGCCCGAUGAGGACUGAAUCACUCAGCAAAAACAGGUAUUUCAUCCUCUUUAUUGAUGACCUUACAAGGUUUUGCUGGAUUUUCUUUUUAAAACACAAGUCUGAGGUAGCUCAAGUGUUUGUGAAGUUUAAAAAUGCUGUAGAAACAGAAACAGGUUGCAAGCUGAAAUCGAUAAGGACUGAUAAUGGCACUGAGUACACUUCAGCUCAGUUUCAAGCCAUUUGCAAUGAUGCUGGUAUCAAACAUCAGCUUACAAAUGUCUACACACCUCAGCAGAAUGGGGUAGCUGAAAGAAAGAAUAGAAGUCUGAUGGAUAUGGCCAGAUGUCUGCUGUUUGAGAAGAAACUGCCCAAGACCAUGUGGGCUGAGGCAGUAAACACUGCUGUUUACCUUCAGAACAGGCUUCCUACUAAAGCUCUUGCAUCCGAGACACCUUUCGAGGCUUGGUCUGGUUUCAAACCUUCCUUGGCACAUCUGAAGGUGUUUGGUUGCCUGUGUUAUGCACAAAUACCAGCAGCAAAGAGAGACAAGCUCUCUAAAAGGGCUCAACCAGGUGUUCUAGUAGGCUACAGCUCAGUCAAGAAGGGCUACAGGGUCCUGGAUCCCUUGAUAAACAAAGUCCAAGUGAGCAGAGAUGUCAUCUUUGAUGAAAAAGCCUGCUGGAAUUGGGAGAAAAAUGAGCCAGAAGCAGUUUCAGAAGACCUAGUGCCUAAUCAAGCUGAACUUGAGCAGCUAGAACCUGAAAUGGAUGUUGAUGAUGUGCCUGUGAGAGGCACAAGGCCCCUAGAUGAUAUUUAUGAAAGGGCACAGGUUGCAAUAGCAGAACCUAGCAGUUUUGAAGAGGCUGAGGCAGAUGAAGGCUGGAAACUAGCUAUGGUCAAUGAAAUCAACAUGAUUGAAAAGAACCAGACAUGGGAGCUUGUUGAUAAACCUGCUGGAAAGAAGACCAUAGGAGUAAAAUGGGUCUAUCGAGUAAAACAGAAUGCAGAUGACAGUCUGAACAGGCUAAAAGCCAGGCUUGUUGUGAAAGGAUUUAGCCAAAGGUAUGGUCUGGACUACCUGGAGACAUUUGCACCAGUAGCCAGGCUUGACACAGUUAGAAUGAUAGUUGCCUUGGCUGCUCAACAUCAGUGGACCAUUUAUCAGCUUGAUGUUAAGUCUGCAUUUCUCAAUGGCUUCCUGGAAGAAGAGAUCUACAUCGAGCAGCCUCAAGGAUUUGUGAUCACUGGCAAAGAACACAUGGUGUACAGACUGAAAAAGGCUUUAUAUGGCCUGAAACAGGCUCCUCGAGCCUGGUAUGCUCGAAUUGACUCUUACUUGCUCAGUUUGGAAUUUGAGAGAAGUCCCAGUGAACCAACACUGUAUGUGAAGAAGAACCAAGCUCAAACUCAGCUUAUUCUGUCACUCUAUGUUGAUGAUCUACUGAUAACUGGAGGAGAUGGAAGAAUGCUGGAAGAUUUCAAAAGAAAAAUGAUGGAAAUGUUUGAAAUGUCUGAUUUAGGCAGAAUGAACUACUUCCUUGGAAUGGAAGUGAAUCAAACAGAAAAGGGAAUCUUUCUUUGUCAGAGUUCUUUUACUAUGAAGAUCCUGGACAAGUUCUCUAUGAAGAACUGCAAGCCAACAAGCACACCAAUGGCUGUUGGAGUGAAGCUUUCGAGGCAAGGGAGUGGUGAACCAAUUUGUGAGACCAUGUACAAGAGUCUCAUUGGUAGACUGUUGUAUUUGACUGCCACAAGGCCCGAUAUCAUGUUUGCUGUUAGUAUGCUAUCAAGAUACAUGAAUUGCUGCAAUGAUUAGCACUUUCGAGCAGCUAAAAGAGUGCUGAGAUACAUCAAAGGCACCAUUGGUCAUGGUGUAUUGUUCAAAAGGGCUGAAAACAUGAAGCUAAUAGGCUAUGUUGAUAGUGACUGGGCUGGAUCAAGUGAUGACAUGAGAAGCACAUCCGGAUAUGCAUUCAGUCUUGGCUCAGGCAUGUUUUGCUGGAGUUCUAAGAAACAAAGUCUGGUGGCACAAUCAACAGCAGAAGCUGAAUAUGUUGCUGCUGCAUCUGCUGUGAACCAAGCCAUAUGGCUUAGAAAAAUCUUGACUGAUUUAAACCAAAACCAAAAGGAGGCAACAGAGAUUUAUUGUGACAACAAAUCUGCUGUUGCAAUUGCAAAAAAUCCCAUUUUUCAUGGCAGAACCAAGCACUUCAAUAUUAAGUUGCAUGUUAUAAGGGAGAUGGAACAAGCUCAUGAAAUCGAGCUGAUUCACUGCAACUCAGAAGUGCAAAUUGCUGAUAUCUUCACAAAGGCACUCAAUGUGUCUAAAUUUGUUAAAUUCAAAAGGGAAUUAGGUGUUACUAGCAUGGAAACUAAGGAGGAGUGUUAAGUUUAGUUCCCAUGUAAAGGUGGCCAUGCACGACAUGCAAAGGUGGUCAUGCUUCUGGAUUCGCAGCAAGCAGUGGUGCCAUGGUGUGCAGCAACUGAAGUUUGAAGCUGCCAAUCUAUUUGCUGUUUUUAGUUCCAUUUUGAUUGUUUUUGUAAUCUAGUUCAUGUUGAACUAAGUAGGUAAAUGUUUUGAUUUUGAUUGACUGAAAAGUCAGCAAUGCAAGUUGUACAAGCUAAUCUUGUAAGUUUCAAUGCAAAUUAGUGGAGUUAGGUAGUUGAUUAGGUGAUUACUUGUUUGAUUUACUAGUUGACUGAUAUAUGUAAUGGCUUAAUGCCUUGUUGACAAUGUUAAUGAAAGUUAUCAGCUCAUUUUCAUUCAAUCUUUUUCUCUCUUUCUAUGUUUUCACUUGCUAGCUUCAUCUUUCUGUUUUUCUGCUUCCGAGUUUGCUUCUUCACCAAGCCUCGAGGCUUACUACUCAAGCAAGACUUGAAACAGCUUGCUGCUGCCUCUUGCACCAACAAUUGGUAUCAUGAGCCUAUGUCUUACGGGACCAUUGAUUUUGCUUCCCCUACUUGUUGAAAAGAAAGAAGCUGUCAAAGCACAAGCAAGUCAUUAAGGACUGCUUGUAGAGAAGAUAAUAUCGGCUCAAACUUAUAAGAUCCCCAAACUAGCUUGAAUAAGCUGAAGGAGGAGUUUAAAGGAAAGGUGUGAGCUUUCCAAAUGUGCAAGCUUAGCAAGAUGUCAAAGCUGCAAGCUUAGCAAAGUGCGAGCCUGAUGAAGACACCUGUUGAAGACAAUAUGCAAAGAUGUGAGUCUGUCAAAGGUGUGAGCUCAGCAACAUGUGGAAGCUCAAUGCGUGUUGUAUAGUUGCAAGCCUCUUGAAGACAGUAAGCAAAGUGUGAGCCUGUCGAAUUGCAAGCCAAAAUGGCAGAAUGAAGGCAAGCAACUAUACUCACGAACUGUUUGUGCAAGAAGAAAAUGAAUUGGUCAGCUUGAAUCAAAGCAUCUAAGAGCUGCCAAGUUCAAAAAACUUGAUGAAUGACUGGUAUUUGCAGCAUGGAGUCCAAGGAGGAGUAUUGGAAAUUGGCCAACCAUGCUGCUGUUACAUUUUGUGGUUGAAGUGCAUGCAGCUUGAUGACAUGCUGCAGCACAUAUGCUUGCUGUAACAACAAGGUUUCUCUUUAGUUUCAUUCUAAUUAAUCUAGUUUAAAAUGGACAAGUUGAUGACAACUUGAUGCAUUAGGUGUUGAAUGACUAGUUUAGGUGGCUUGUUUAUGUGUACAAGCAAUGUUUUAAUAGUCCCAAUGCUGAUUAGUGGGGUUAGUUGACUAUUUGGUGAUGUAUUUGACUAUAAAUGUAUGUUUCUUCUAGUUGAAUGAAUGAGCUGAAUGAGCUAUCAGCCAUUAGCUCCCUUGCUGCACAUUUGUGAGCAAGUAAAAAUGCUUCUUGCACCUUGCUUCAUGUUCUGUGCUCUUGUUCUCUCUUUUGUUGCUGCCUCUUGCACCAACAGAAACCAAGAAUAAGGGGUCCGAAGAGAGCAUCAAAAAUCAGGAAGUUGUUCAACCUGUCUAAGGAGGAUGGUGUUCGGAAGUAUGUUUAUUAAGCUGUGAGUUUAUUAAGCUGCUUUUAUGAUAAAAUUCAAUGCAUUUUCUGAGAGCCAUUUGUUCUUUCUUUGGUACAAAGUUUGCAACAAUUCUAAGCUACAAUUUUUGUUAAGCUUAUCAUGGAUUUCGUUAUUUGCAUUUCAUGGUAGCUCUUUUCUUCUUUGUUUGAUGCUUCACAUCUGUUUUGAACAUUUUCAGGAUGCAGUUGAUAACAGGAAUGCUGCAGUAAAUUCUAGGAAGCCAGAAGUUAAAAAUGAUGUAGAAAAAGAGAUGUCUGUGAAGCAUCUGACAAGGAAGAAAAGAGUCAUUUGUGAAUUGCAAAUUCAACAGGUUAACCCCAAACUUGUUGGCCAUUCAAAGAAGAAAUCCAAUCACUUUCGUGCUCGUAGCUGUAAAGCAGCAAUUGAGGGGUAUAGCCAGCUUUCUCUGCCAAAGAAGUUUGUACCCUUCAAUCUAAUAAUUGCUCAUUUAGUAACCAUGUGAUUUGUAUUUAUAUAUGCAAAGCUACAUGACUUGUUUUUAUCGAGUGAUAAGUUCAGUGGGACUAAUAAGCACCAGUUACUUUAAAUUUUCAUGAACCCAUGGUAUCAUAAUAAAGCGUACAUUCUGGAAAUGCUUAAAUGUGUACUAUUGAGUAUAUAUUCAGCGGCUUUGAUCACUGAACCUUAACAAAUUCAAUAUCUGAGACUUGUUAUGUAGCAUAGAAGAAUUGGAUGAUAGAAUUUGCGGUAGUCUAGUCUGGUCUGUUAUAAGAUCAAAAUCUGCAAUUAGAAUGAAACUCAAGGAAAAUUUUAUCAUAGAAUCUAACCUAUGAUUAAGAAGAAAAAUCAAGGUAAAAGCUUGUGGUUUUUUUGUCUUUCCGUUCCUUCUCUAUCCACUGUACGGGUUUCAGAAAAAGAGCUUCGCUCGCUCUUGCUAUUAAAGUCGGGUUAGUUUCAUCUUUGAUCUUCUAAUUUUCCUUCUUUGAUUCGUGUUUUUUUGUGUUAAAGUGCCUACAAUUUUGUUUGUUUUUGGAGAAAUCUGGGAUUAUUGUUGUAUUUUCUGAAACUGAUCUAUUAUUGAUGGAAGUCAACCCCUACAGUUGUUGGUGAUAAACACAUAAAUUUGAAUGUUGAUAAAUUAUUGAAUUAUUAAUUUCUGUUAAUUUAUUGCAUAUAAUCAUUGAAUUGUUUAUUUUUACUAAUUAAUUAUAUAUAAAUAAUUAGAUAGUUGAUUUUCGAGCAAUAUUCUUUGAUUGGCUCAUUUUUUGUAUGACAAUGUAAAGAGAUUAAUAAUUGUACUUUUUUUUUUAAAAAUGUCCCCUGACCAACUAUAAAAUUAAAGUUAAUCAAUUGAAAUAGAUGUAGAUCAUAAGCUAUUCAAGCUGCUGCAAUGAGUAGUAUGUUUAGUUUACUAGAGUUUCUUUGGACUUUGGUUUGAUUCAAUUAUCAAAUUUUUCGCUCAGCAUUUGAUUGGUCAGGACUCGAGUUUUCAAAGUUCCCCAAUCAUUUUCUUCCUUUUUUUUCAGAAUCAGAUUUGCUUUUUUGCUUGAAUCUUGACUUUAUAGUCAAUUUGGUGGGUCGGGUUUCUUGAAGCUUUAAGGUUGUAUGGUCGUGGCUAGCGCCAAAUAGAAGGUAAGUGCACAAUGAGUUGAACUGAUUUACUUAUCUUUGCCAUGUUCACUAUGGUUUGAACAAUUUAAGUUACUCUUAUUUUCAUGCAGAGCAUGUAGGCACUAAAUCUGCAGUUCAAAUUCGAAGCCAUGCUCAAAAGUUUUUCUCUAAGGCUCAUUGCUUUGAGUUCAUUACAAGAUUUCCUUGAUUAAGUAAAUGUAUUAUAUCUUUUAUUACCAAGAUUUACUUGAUUAAGAAAAUGCAUUGUAUGUUUUAUUACCUUGCAUAUGUAUUAUUUAUUUUAGUUUUGAUUCUAAAUUUUUAUUUUUACUUUAAUAUUUACGCUAACUUAGAGUUCUAACUUUUGAAUUUUAAUUGUGUUAUUAAUUUAUUAUUUUAAAUUCUAAAUUUAAAUUCAUUCUUUUUUAUAUUUAGUUUUAAAGUCAGAAUAUUUGUAGUAAAUUUAAUUUAAAUAAUAUUUUUUAUUUAUCCUUAAAACAUAAUAUAAUAUUUAUCAUAGAAAUAAAUAUUAUUUGAUAAAAAUGAUUUUUUUUAAAGAUAUGUUUUUAGCGGCGUUUGUGUGAAAAGCGUCGCUAAAGGUCUAUCCAUGUUCUUUAGCAGUGAUUGUGGUAAAGCACCACUAAAAGUCAUGAUCUAUAGUGGCACUUAUAAUAAAAACGUCGCUAAAGGUCAUGUUCUUUAGUGGCGUUUGUGGUAAAAUGCCGCUAAAGGUCAUGCUCUUUAGCGGCGUUUUUGUCAAAAGUCCCGCUAAAGGUCAUGUUCUUUAGCAGCAUUUUUUCAUAUAAACGCCACUAAAACUAGCGACGUUACAAGCACCGCUAAAAGUCUGUUUUGCUGUAGUGGUCUCGAUUCCUUCUUAAUGCUACAUCGGUUUGAAGAUCUACGUUAAUAGUCGAUCAACAAUAAUGAAUGUCACUAACCAAGCUAAGAGGGUUCGAUCAAGGGGUGAGAAAUAAUGAUGACAAGAUGAGACUUAGAUGGGGCAGCAAUGCAGAAAUUAUGAAGGCAACAAAAACUUCAAUGUGCAACAACAGGAGAAGGAGAAAUGGACAUCAAUGGAAAAUCAAAAAUGGCAGAAACUUCUAAACAAAAUAUUGAUAUUAAAAAGGCAAUGAUUCAGCCAAAUAAAUUGGAGAAGUGAUAGGCAAAGGGGCAGCACAAAUAGAAAAUAAAACUUGUGUUUUAGGUUGCAAUAAUGGUGGGUUAUGAGAGAAAAUUGAAGAAUAAUGGAGAGGAAAAAUGAAGGGGACGACAAUAGCUUGAGAAAAAUAAAUAAAAUAGGCUAAACAUAAAAUAAAAUGCAAUUUAUACCUAGGUUAAAAAGGGCUUGGAAGGCAACAAGAUUUUAAGGAGCAGAAACGUUGAAAAAAUAAAAAUUUACAAGGGAAAGGAAUCAAACUCAAGUCUUAAGGUCAAUUUCACUAACUCUUUACCACUAGGCCAAUUAAUCAUUCUAGGCCAAUUAAUCAUUCUUUUCAUAAACGCUCAAACAAAACCUUAAAAAUUAGGGCAAGACAACUCUCAGUUCACUAAAUCGAUUUCUUCUGACACAAUUUUUGGGACAUGACAAAACUAUUAGUAAGUUUAUGUUUAGUUUUAGUUACUUAACUUCAAAAGGUUACAAAAUGGUCAAUAAACUAUUCAAAAGUUUUCAUUUAAGUCAUUGGUUUGUUAAGGUUUUUUUUUAAGUUUGACUAAUGAGCUCCAAGCGAUGAUUCGACAAUUGAUGUAGUGAAUCUAUACCCAUUAAUGAGUGGAACAUAUCUUAGAUCCAAGUUAACAUUCCAUUUAGUGUAGGAGAUUGGAGAAAAAAAGUUGUUCGAAUUUUGGUUCACAGAUUUGUGACGUUCAAAACUGUUUCAUGAAUAUAAAUUAUGUUGUAAAAGAGAAUGGAUAUGUGAGCUUUCAGUUGAUACAAACGGUGCAAACAAAGGUCAUAUAGUAACAAUUUUAAAAGUCUGAUGACUUAAAUGAAAAUUUUUGUAUAGUUCAGUGAUCAUUUUAUAAUUUUAAUAAGCAUACUUACAUUUGUCUUUAGAAUUUGCAAAACAAAUAGAAAAUUCACUUUAAAUGUAUAAAAAUGAAUAAAGAAAACUCACCUUCAUUUCUGAUAGCAAAUAAUAAAUAUGAAAAAAAAAACUCUACCACUUUAAUAUUAACUCUACCACUUUUCCCUUAGAUAUGCAAUUGCAAUGGGUGAUUUUGGGAAACUAAACCAAAGGCCUAUCUUAAGGCUUGCUAAACUUCAUCAGAUACUAUAAAUCAACUGUACAAGGAAAGAUUUCUUAUGUGGAAUUAAUUAAUCAUCUAUAAGAAUUAACUCAACAUCUGUAGAAAAGAAAAUUAAAAUAUCUAAAUUUUUUUUCCCAAGAAACAAAUAGAAAAAAAUAAAUGGAAUAUAAGGGUUUUAAAGUUGAGGAAGGGAAAGAGUGGUGAAAAAAAUUGUUUACUGUUAGUGUCAAACAACAAAAAGAAAAUUGGGUUGAAGGAAGAAGAAGAAAAAGAAAGAAGGAAAAGAUAAGGAACAUCAAAAAAAUGUCGUAAAUUUAAAUGGGUUAAACUUAGGGAUCGGUUUAGUUGAUGGAAAAAAAAAAGUUCGAGACAAAAAAACAUAAAUAUCAAUUUGAGAGAAGUGGAUAAGUUCAGAUACUAAUUUAAUAUUUAAUUGUUAUAAAUAUUAUAGAUUAAGUUACUGGACCAGCAGUGGGCCUGACUUGCGAUUGGUAUGGAGGUGACCCACUUUGUUUGUCGAAAACCUACAUUUUCAGCUAUAGCAAGUCUCAACGGCACAACCAAGUCCAAACGUAUUAAAAUUAAAAUUUAAUAAUUUAAUAAUAUUUUUUCUCCCAAUAAAAUAAUAAAAUAAUAAAUACAUGUAUUAUCAUUCAAAAUGGAAGUAGGUAAUUGGAAAAAAAUAAGAGUGGGAACAUAUUUAUGAGAAAUGGGCAACCGCGUUUUGGGUUGGGUCCUAGACUUUUUCUUAAUUUGUUUGAACACUCCUAACAGGUAACAGCUCUUGAGGGGCCAAGCCAAUAGGCAUCGUGUUUGACCCAAUUCAAUUUCUGGCUUACAAAACUCAACCAAUUUUACUGAUUUAUGUAAAUUUACAAUCACUCAACUAAAUGAAGUUUUUUGGUUUAAUCAAUUUUUUAUAUGAUGAUCCAAGGCAUCGAAUUAGAGCCUUUGGUAAAAGUAAAGAAAAUUUCAAAGUAAAAAAUAAUUUUCAAGAAAUGGGGCCUUAAGAUGUGGACUGCAAAGCUGCGUAGGGGAUGGGAUAAUAAGGCAAAUUAGAGAGCAAAAGUUGGAAGCCCCUCAUUUUGGGCAUAUGUUUCAGCACUUAUCCAUUUUCAGACAAGGAAAUUAUUUAAUAAAGAAAAAGAAAAAUGCCCACCUUUGAGUUAUGAAAGACUGGGGUAGAUGGAAGUAAUUAUGAAAGAUUGGCUGGAAGGACGCGGAUUGGCAAGGACCACUUCACCCAUAUCUUCAUACUUGCUUGGUUAAUCAAUGGUUAAUAAUUAUUCCACCAUUUUAUUUUCGAGAUAUCUCAAUUAACUUUGUUAAAAGAAUAUCUACUUUGCUUGGUCGUUACAUUUCUUUAAGCGCGUUCUAUCUUCGUCCUUAAUAGCUCUUAUUUAUUCACAGUUUAAACCCCAGAUUCUGGUUCGAUUUUAGUAUCAUCCUUAGUCCAUUUAAUUUAUUUUUUUAUUAUUAUUUAUUUUAAAAACUCUUUUAUUAUUAUUUGUUUUAAGUUUUUUUAUUUAUCAUUUAUUGUAAACUGUUUUACAUGCUAUUUAUUUAAUUCUUUUAAUAUGUUAUUCAUUUUAAACCAUUAUAUUUAUAUAAUCUUUUAAAUUCCUAUAUAUGUAUUUUUUUUUAAAAAAAUGUUGUAUGUCUUUUAUUUAUUUGUUUUAAACUAUUAUUAUUCACUUUAAGUUUUUAUAUAAUGUUUAUUUGAAGCCUUUUAUUAUUUAUUUUUGAAUUGUUCUUGUAAAUUAUUUAUUUUAAAUUAUUAUUUGCUUUAAACUGUUUUGCAUAAUAUUUUGUUUUGUUUUCUUCGAUUGUUAAUGUUAGUAUUAAAAAUGAUAUACAUUGUGCGAUUAUUGCCGUCAUGUGUACUAUAAUUAGCUUCUUGGUGUUUUCAUAUUAUUGUCUUUCAUCAAUGUAACAUUUUAUUCAUAAAUCGUUAUUUCAUGUUAUACAUUAUCAUUCCAUUUCAUUUCAUCACUUCGAAAGUUGCAUUCAAUUUUUAUAUACCCAUAAUAAACCGUUCUAUUUUAUCACAAAUAAAACAAAUGCACCUCGUUCUAGUAUUGUACUCGCUAUGAUUCAAAAAAAGGGAAAAGUUUUUUAAUAAGGCAAUAUUUCACGCUUUGGAGAUUCAAGAAAUUGUACCCUAACUUACGGGGUUUCAAUUUUCUCGUUAAAUCUAAAUAGCAAAAUAUCUUUUUAAAUUUCAAGAUAUACGAGAUUUCAAUAAAAAUUAAAGGCAAGCUUUCUCUAAGGUUCCAAAUAUCGUGUCCUAACUUACGGGACAUGACAUUUCGUUACCUCGAGACAAGUGGGUCUUUAACUCUCUUUGCGAUUUAUUCAAGCGUUUUUUUAUUAACAUUAAUAAAAAAGGGAUCAUAUUUUAAAAUAUUUUUAAAAUUUUAACUUUCGACAUUAAGACAUUAAUUAAUCAACUAGGUACCAAUUUUGGGCAUAUCGAGGGUGCUAAUCAUUUCUCGUGCGUAACCGACUCCCGAACCCAUUUUCUGGAUUUUGUAGACUAAAAAUUACCGUUUUAGUAAAUUUAAACUUUUAUUAAAAUUAUUAAAUUAUAAGGUGAUCCGAUCACACCUAAAUAAAAAGGAUUGGUGGCGACUCCAUUUUUAUUUUUAAAUAAAAAGGUUACCCUUUUUUCAAAAAAAUGGUUUCGACUACCCUUAUGUCCGUUUUCGGAUCACAAGAAUUCUAUAAAUUAAAAAAAUAAUCUUACAUGAAGAUGAUAGUCCAUGGUCUAUUUCCUAAGAACCACAACAUUGACAAAGCAAACAAUUAGAUAACAAAUACAUAAUAUUGCAUUCAUUCCCAUAUAUACCACAAAAAUAUGUAUAAGAUCUAAAGAAUGUUACUUUCUAUGUAAUCAAAUCAUUCAAGAAGUGAAUUUUAUUUUGAUUAUCUGUUUAUACUUAUUGAUAGAGCAAAACUUGGUUAUGAUACUAAUUGUUCAAAAAUGAGUUUUUGAAAAUGCAGCAAAAAUCAAUAUAGGGAAAAGCCUAAGUUUAAAAAAAUUAUAAAAUAAGAAUUUAGUUAUAAUAUCUAGAGUAAUAAACACUUAAUAAAAAUUGUACCUUUUUGAUUCGUCUAUGAUGAAUGUUUCAUUGAGUAGUCUUUUCUAUUAUCCUCAAGCUCACGUUUGCCGAGUCACAAUAACAUUAAACAAGUGCAACAACUAAACCAAUGUUGAUAGCACUUAAAGGCAAUGGCUGAAGCAAACAACAAUUGAAAAAAAAAUGAAAGAAUCGAUGUUGCAAAUUUUUAAGAUUAGCACAAUGGCCACAAGGUAAUUGACGGCUAUAAUAAAGGGCUGAUCGACAAGUGCACAGCAGGCUAAAACAACAAGAAAUUGAAGCUAAUCAGCACCCAAAUAGCAGGUAGCACAUUUAGAUGGCAAACAGUACGAGGUUAAGCAACAAAAUUGAAGCAAAUUAAAUAGCAAGUCAGUAACAAAAGGAACCAGUAGCAGCUAAUUGGAAGUUGAUCGAUAAGUAUUUGGUAAAACAAUGUUAUUCGGCCAACAUGCAAAAUAGUACACAUGCAUACACCACUCACAAUUGAUUUGAAUCCCACACCUCAAUUACAAUCCAUAGAACAUUAACAAUUGACCUGAGCACCACUACAACUCGGAUUCGUCUGGAUUCCUUUUUAACGCUACACCGGUUUGAAGAUCUGCGUUAAUAGUCGAUCAACAUCAAUGAAUGUUCACUAACCAAGCUAAGAGGGUUCGGUCAAGGAGUGAGAAAUAAUGAUGACAAGAUGAGACUUAGAUGGGGCAGCAAUGCAAAAAUUAUGAGGGCAACAAAAACUUCAAUGUGUGACAACAGGAGAAGGAGAAAUGGACAUCAAUGGAGAAUAAAAAAUGACAGAAAAUUCUAAACAAAAUAUUGAUAUUAAAAAGGCAAGGAUUCAGCCAAAUAAAUUGGAGAAGUGAUAGGCAAAAGGGCAGCACAAACAGAAAAUAAAACUUGUGUUUUAGGUUGCAAUAAUGGUGGAUUAUGAGAGAAAAUUGGAGAAUAAUGAGAGGAAAAAUGAAGGGGAUGACAAUAGCUUGAGAAAAAUAAAUAAAAUAGGCUAAACAUAAAAUAAAAUGCAAUUUAUACCUAGGUUAAAAAGGGCUUGGAAGGCAACAAUAUUUUAGGGAGCAUAAACAUUGAAAAAAUAAAAAUUAGCAAGGGAAGGGAAUCAAACUCAAGUCUUAAGGUCAAUUUCACUAACUCUUUACCAGUAUGCCAAUUACUCAUUCUUUUCAUAAAUGCUCAAACAAAACCUUAAAAAUUAGGGCAAGACAACUCUCAGUUCACUAACCCGAUUUCUUCCGACUCAAUUCCUUCUGACCCAAUUUUUGGGACAUGACAAAACUAUUAGUAAGUUUAUGUUUCGUUUUAGUCACUUAACUUCAAAAUGUUACAAAAUGGUCAAUAAACUAUUUAAUUCAUUUAAGUCAUUGGUUUGUUAAAUUUUUUUUUAAGUUUGACUAAUGAGCUCUAAGCGAUGAUUUGACGAUUGAUGUAGUGAAUCUAUACCCAUUGACGAGUGAAACAUAUCUUAGAUCCAAGUUAACCUGCCAUUUAGUGUAGGAGAUUGGAGAAAAAAGUUGUUUGAAUUUUGGUUCACAGAUUUGUGACGUUCAAAACUGUUUCAUGAAUAUAAAUUAUGUUGUAAAAGAGAAGAGAAAUGUGAGCUUUCAAUUGAUACAAACGGUGCAAACAAAGGUCAUAUAGUAACAAUUUUAAAAGCCUGAUGACUUAAAUGAAAAUUUUUGUAUAAUUCAAUAAUCAUUUUAUAAUUUUUUGAAAUUAACUAAAAUGUAAACUUAUUAAUAACUCAAUAACCUUAAUUGCCAUUUACCCGUAAACUAUUGAGACCAUUCUAAAAAGUGAUGCAUUAAUUAUAUCUUUUAUCUUUUAUAUAUUGUUUCGAUUAAUACCUAAAUUAUUUGUACGAAAAAAAAAUCAAAAUGAAAUGCAACAUGUUCUGAACUUUUAUUAAAGCUCAUCUUUUUGUUGAAGAUACCCCAAUCCAUGAUUUCAACAUUGGAAUUUUUGAAAGUCCCAAGUAAUAGUAUGAAUUAUGAAAUUUCAAAAAAGCAUAUUCUUAUUUAUUGUUAAUUUCAAGCUAAUUUUAAUAGCUAUACUUACAUUUGUCUUUAGAAAAUAGAAAAUUCACUUUAAAUGUAUAAAAAUGAAUAAAGAAAACUCAUCUUCAUUUCUGACAGAAAAUAAGAAAUAUGAAAAAAAAAACUAAAAAAGAAAGACAUAUUUUCUUGAAAGACGCUUCAAAUGAAACAAAUAUGAAAAACAUAGUUGUAGGAGUGUUCAAUUACUUUAUUGAUCGUUAACCAAAUCAAAUUAGUAUUAACUAAAUCGAAAUUAUCAUGAAAAAGUGAAAAAGUCAUAAUUUAGGGGUGGUUGAUGCAAUUAACUCAUUUCUAAUGGUGCUAAUAAUUAAGUCUGCUAUAGGGAAAGCGAAGUUAAAAUAUGACCCAAAGACUCACCUUUUUCUAAGUCGUCUCCUAUCAAAAUUGCAAAAUAAAUGGAUAGCAGUAAACCAAAUACUUUGCUACUAAACCAAGAAAACCUUAAGAGUUCAUAUUUGUGAAGGUUUCUUAACAUUUUAGUGCAACCUUGAUUUUUAUUUUUAUUUAUUUCCUUUCCCUUAUAAAGAAGAAAAGACCUUCAACUUUUUUUCUUUUUUCUUCUUCAGUUUUGCUUACUUUCUUUUGCUCCCAAAAACCAAAAACAUAUCCCUUCAAAUCCCAUUUGAUCGUCUUGAAGUAGCAAGGAUCUUCUCAGCACCUAGUCUAGUUUGAUUUUGAAGUUCCCAAGUGAGGUCAAUGUAUUUAUGUAUCCUUAAUUUCUUUAUUUUUGAUUUUUUUAUAUAUAAAUUUGUUAUAUAUUUCUUCAUCUAAUAUUAUAUUUUUAUGUUUUGCUUGAACUAAAUCAGAGCAAAAUAGACUGUUUGGAUUUGCUCUUUUUUUUCACACUCAAAUUCUUGGAAUCAUUGCUUCAUUUUGAAGGGGUAAGUGGGUAUGUUUAUUAUGUUUUCCAUCAUUAUAUGCAUAAUAUUAAAUGGAUGGGGCCAUUACCAACAUCAAUAAUUUAGAUCCCGAUUUUGUAUAAAAUUAUUAAAAAAAACUCACAAUUAUUUAUAAAUAGAAAAAUGUAUAUAAAAAUUCUAGAAAAAUAAAAUCUUGAAUAUGUUGUUUCAUAACUAAAUUGUAUGAAAAAUAAAGAAAAUCAUCAUACAAUAACAUCCGAUAACAAAUUAAAAUAAAAACAAAACGAUUAUUAUAUGUUUCCUGAAUAUUUCUCGAAACCAAAUUAGUAGUAUUAUCAAGUUGAGUUUCAUGCCCUUGAAGAACAUCUAGAACUGAUAUUACAAAAACUUAUGAAAUUGACCUUGAUGCCAUAUUUUUAGUCAAAAUAAUACAAAAUAUACCAUAAAUUUUCUUUUCCAAACUCAAUUCGAAAUUUCAUUACAUUAGAAAUUAUAUUCAGAAUUUUAUCUUUUCUUAUAAAGUAAAAGCUAUGUCAAGUAACUGAAGAUGUAAAAAACAAAUGAAUUUGCUUAAUAUUUUUUCUAUGUUUGUUUUUAAAGAAUGAGUAUUGAAGUAAUAGAUAAUAUAGAGAAAUUUUCUUCCUUUUUUUCUGUGUCAGGACUCGGGUCUUUAAAGUUCCUCAAUCAUUUUCUUCUUUCUUUUCAGAAUCAGAUUUGCUUUUUUUGCUUGAAUCUUGACUUUAUAGUCAAUUUGGUGGGUAAGGUUUCUUGAAGCUUUAAGGUUGUAUGGUCGUGGCUAGCGCCAAAUAAAAGGUAAGUGCACAAUAAGUUUUUAUAAUUUUCUUUUUCAAACUCAAUUCAAAAUUCCAUUACAUUUUAUUUUUUUUUCAAAACCCAAAUUGUAAAAUGAAAAUAUAUUCAGAAUUUUAUCUUUUCUUAUAAUGUAAAAGCUUUGUCAAGUAAUUGAUGAGGUAAAAAAGCAUAGAGCAAAUAAAUUUGCUUCAUAGUUUUUUCUAUCUGUUUGUUUUAAAAUAAUGAGUGUUGAAUAUUUCAAUAUAGAUAAUAUAGAGAAAUUUUGCAGGGUUUAAAAAUAAUUAUCCCUAAUUUUCUCACUUUAUUUAUUUUUAAAAUUUUUAUUUUACUUUUAUUUAUUUUUUAAUUUUAUAAUGUUCCAAAAUUUUAAAAAUAAUUUCAACUUUUUAUCAUUUUAUAUAUUAUCAAAAUGAAAAUUCACCGAAAGUAUAAAAAUUUAGGACUAAAAUUUUUAUUAAAUCAUUUAAAAAGUUCCACUUAACAGUUGAGUGACAAAAAAAAAAUAAUUUCAACAGCAUUAGUGGUGAAAUUGUAACUUUUUUAAUUGAGUGAUUAAAAAAAUAUUAGCAAUAGUUUAGUGACUAAUAAUGUAACUUUUUUUUUGGUACAAUGAUAAUUCGAAAUUUGGCUAUUCCUAAAAAGGGUGAACAUCCGAUCAUAUUUAUUCACAUAUUACAAACAUCCAUAUGUAAGCAAUUCUCCCAAAUUGAAAUCAAAUUUUAAUAUCAACAACUUCAACAACUCAUAAAUAGGAAGAUAAUAUGUUUCGGUACACUUGAAACAAUAUCCUUCUACAUUGACAACAAUUACUAUGACAAUGAAGCUAAGACUCAAUUCACAAUACCUAUAUAUUUUUGUUAUACCUAAUACAAGUCAUUUACCAGUAUAUUAGACAUUCUUAUACCCUACUUUCCUAUACUUUCCCAUUAUUAUCUUGAUGAUGAUGAUGAUGGUCUUACAAUUCAGCACUAAGAUCACUGUAAUACUUGUUUUAAUUAGUAUAAUAAUAAUUUUAGUCUUUUUUUAUAUUUUCUAUCAAUUUGACUCUGAUUUUGUAUAAAAUUAUUUAAAAAAAACUCAAAAUUUUAAAAAUAGAAAAAUGUUUAUAAAAUUUCUAGAAAAAUAAAAUCCUGAAUAUGUUGUUGAAUAACUAAAUUGUACGAGAAAUAAAGCAAAUCACCAUUCAAUAAAAUCUGAUAACAAAUUGAAAACAGAACAAAACCAAAAAAAGCUUCAUCAAUGUUUCUUGAAACCAAAUUAGUAAUAUUAUCAAGUUGAGUUUCAUCCCCUUGAAGAACAACUAGAACUCAUAUUACCAAGGCUUAUGAAAUUGACGCUAAUGCUAUUUUUUAGUCAAGAUAUAUAACAAAAUUUCCUUUUUCAAACUUAAUUCAAUUUUUCAUUACAUUUAAAUUAUUUUUCAAAACUCAAAUUAUAAAAAUAAAUUAUAUUUAGAAAAAAAAUUUAUAACAUAAAAGCUAUGUCAAGGAACAGAGAACAAAUAAUUUUACUUAAUGUUUUUUCUACGUUUUUUACUAAAGAAUGUGUAUUGGAUACUUCGAUACAAAUAACAUAGAGAAAUUUUGUAGGGCCCAAAAAUAAUUAUCUCUCAUUUUCUCACUUUAUUUAUUUUUGAAAUUUUUAUCUAAUUUUAUUUAAUUUUUUAUUUUAUAAUGUUCUAAAAUUUUAAAAAUAAUUUUAAUUUUUUUACAUUUUAUAUAUUUUCAAGAUCAGAUUGACUGAAAGUAUAAAAUUUGAGGAUUAAAAUUGUUAUUAUAUCGAUUAAAAAAGUAUCACUUAACAUUUGAGUGACAAAAAAAAAACAAUUUCAAAAGCAUUAGUGAUGAAAUUGUAACUUUUUUAAUUAAGUGACCAAAACAAAAAUACCCAUAGUUUAGUGACUAAUAGUGUAGUCUUUUUUUGGUAAAAUGAAAAUUUGACCCUGAUUUUGUAUAAAAAAAACUCAAAAUUAUUUAUAAAAUAGAAAAAUGUAUAUUAUUCAACAUAGUGAUUUUUUACCCAAAUCAUAUAAAAAAUAAUUAAUUAUGAAAAUGGUAUGGAAAAUAAAUUAAUUACAAAAAUAAGGCAUUUGGUACAAUGUUUUGCUGGUGUUGCCUGACAUAUUGGUAGCACUAAAUUAAAAUGUGAUGACCUAAAAAUAUUCAAGGACUUAAUGUAACGCCCAAAAUUUUAAUUUUGGGUAUUGUGAUUGUGUAACAUAAAUAUCUAUCAACUUUAGUGGUUAUGUGUUCUGAAAGUCUUUGAGAGGUCCUAAGUUUAAGUCAAGAUUUGGGCAAAUUUUAAUAUGUAAAUUUCAAAAAUAUUCAAAGACUUGAUAUGUAAAUCUCUCAUUUUGAUUGGCUGUUGAAAAUAAACUCUAAAGAUGUUGUGUGACAGUGUGGUGGCACAAAAUCUUAAAUAGGCUCUAAAGAUUGUUUAUUAUUAUUUUUUAUCCCCUUCAACACCAAAAUUACAAAGGUUUCCUACCUAUUAAUCAAGUUCAAAUUAUGUAUAGCAUAACCGUUAACAUUGUUGAUAGUAAUUUUCUUUGGCUCAUAUAUAUAUAUAUAAUAAAAUUUUUCUAAAAUUUUUAUAAUUAUAAUUUAUACAAUACCGUAAAUUAAAUUGAUAAUAAGAAUAAUUAUAAUGCUAUCUGUAAUGGCAGACAGCAAAGAAAAAGGCUAAAAGAAACAGUAAUAAAAAUAGGAUUCCUUACUAAUAAUUCUGCCUCUGUGGAUCCUACCAGAGACUUCAUAAUUUCCCUGUUUUUAUCUUCACUUUCUUCUUACUUCUUCUUCACUGCUUUUAAUUUGUUUCGAUGUCCAAGGUCUAUCACCAAUUUUCAAGCAUCCAGUCAACGUAAUUUUCUUUCAUUUGCUUAAUUCAUCACAUGCUUUUCUUUGCUUUUGAUUAUCUGCUACUGUUAUGGCAGCUAGCUUUGUAAGAUUGUCAAGGAACUCAACUUCACUGCUUCCUUCUCAGUUCUAAUCUCUCAACACUUUUCAGCCACUAAGUCAGGUAAUAUGAUCUGAAGCAAUGAUUUCCUCUACUAAUUAUCAACAGUUUUAGAUUUUAAGAGUGGAUGACCAGCAGACAUAAUCUACUAUAGAUAGAAAUUAAUACAAAAACAGCUACCCAGAAGCAAUAUAAUGUUGAAAUCUCAAACUGUCAACAUUUUAACUCUUAAUAUUCUGUAAUGAACUCUUGCACACUUGAAUCUAGCAUUUUAUAUACAUCGAGAGCUUGAUUCUGGUGACCAGAACUUCAUCAUGUUUCUGUCUGCCACCCAUCCAUAGCUCCAUCUAAUAGACGCCAUUGCUUGAAACUUGCAUUCAUGUUUUCCUUUUCAUGCUUACACUGACAUAUCAAUACUUCAUAAAAUAUCCAAUUCAUUCACAGAUUUUCAUUCUCUGCUACUGUUAUAUAUGAUUGCAUUGCAGGGACAUAGCAAUGGAGUACGUAGAGCCUGUUGUCAGCAUUGCAAAUUGUCUCGGAAUUCCUGUUUGUGAAUAUUUACAAUAUCACAGAAAGCUGAACGAUUAUGUGAGAAAAUUCAAGACGAUCAGAGAUGAAUUGAAUUGCAAAAUGUUAGAUAUAGAGCUGCAAUUGAAUGCAGAGCUUCUUCGUCCUCUGGGGAAGAUACCGAAGAAGGGAGUUGAAAAUUGGUUGAAAGCUGUGAAAGAGAUGAUUAGGGAAGCACAAGUUGUUGAAAACAAAGUCAGUAACGGGAGAUAUUUCUGUCGUGCUUGCAACGGGAAGCUUGUUGAUGAAAAGACUCGAGAAAUGAAGGAAUUUCUUGAUAACGCUCCUAAUGCCUCUGAAGGUCUUGCCAUGGAUGGCCCAAGUGCUAGGUUGCUACUGCCAACAUCAGAACUAGUUGGAGAAGAUAUUGGUGUAAGACGCAGUAGCAAGCUGCUUUGCACUUGCUUGGACAACAAGUGUCGAGCCUUGCUGAAGAAACUAUCGAAGAAGAAGAAGAAGAAAGUUUUGCAAUGGAAAAACAGAAAAGAAAGAGAUCAUUUUGAAUGAAAAUGAGCUGAAUUUUUUCAUUAACAUUACAAAAGGCAUAAAAGCCAUUACAUAUAGGAGUUAACAAUCUUAAAACAAACAAGUUACUACCUAAACUCAUACCUAACACCACUAGUUUACCUGGUAACUUGAUAAACUUGCUUGAGUAUCAUAACAAGCUACCUAAACUUGUUUUAUUUUAUAAAUUUUUAUUAGUUACUGAUUGAUUGAAAUAUUGUGUGAAAAUAUGGAUAAAAAAAUUUUAAUGCUUUAGUGCUUAAUUGAAUUUUUAGGACUAAAUUGAGAAAAAUGCAAAGUGUGUCUAAUUAGUGAUUAAAUGACUUAAUUGAAUUAUUGCAUGAAAUUGGAAGUUUUUAUGUGGCAAUUAGACCAUGAAUUAGUGUUAUGGACACAAAAGGGUAUUUCUAGAAAAAUAUCUAAGUAAUGGGUCAAGGGCAUUUUUGUCCAAAUUGAAUAAAAGACAAAAUAAAGAUGAAAACAAGUGUUCAUCUUCUUAAAAUCAGACGUUUGCUGCCAAAAAAAUUCAUGUCACCAUAGCUAGGGUUCUUGAACUUUCUAAGCUCAAUUGUAAGUGAUUUCUUGCCCCGUUUUUAAUUAUUUUCGUAUUUUUAUGCUUAUUGAAGCUUGAAUUUCAUGUUUCUACCAUUUAAUUUAAAUGAAAUUAAAGUUUAAAAAUUGAUCCAUUCAUGAUAUAAUUGUAAAUUGAUUAGUGAUGUUAGAUAAUGAAUGUUUGAAGUGUUAAUUACAAGUUUUACUAGAUGAAUUUUGAUGAAAAUGUUGAAAAAGGGCUAAAUUGUGAAAGAUGGUAAAGUAUGCAUAAAGUUGUGAUUUUGUGAAAUUGAGGGCUGUUAUGAGCAUGAAAUAUGAUUUAGUGAAGUUUGAAAUUUAAAAAUUUAGUGAAUUUUAUUUUUACGAGCUUAGGGACAAAAGUGGAAUUUUUGAAAAGUUUCGGGGAAAAAUGUAAAUUUGCCAAAAUGUUGUGUAUGAAUUGUAUUUGAAUGAAAUGUUGAUAAAAUGUAUUAAAUUGUGUUAAUAUAGAUCAAGAAAGAAGAAAUAGUGGAAAUGAUCGGGGAAAAGAGAAAGUUAUCGACUAAAUUACAAAAAUAGUCGUUUUGCAUCCGAGGUAAGUUACGUGUAAAUAAUAGUUAUAUUUUUAUAAAUUAUGAAUUAUAUUUGAUAUGUGAAUUAAUAUUCAACGUGGAACGAAAAUUAUUCAUGAAUUAUUCAAGUGUUAAAGUGUUAAAAAUAAAGUGUUAAGUGUAAAUUCCCGGUUGAACUUAGGAAUAGAAGUGGAUACAAGUGACAUGUCACUAGAGAUCAGUGUUACAGUGUUACAGUGAGUCCCGGGUGCUGGGUGAUCUAGCAUGUGUUGCAGACACCUGACAGCUUGUGUGAGCAGGCCCGUGGACAUUUCCAGUGUUAUUGAUCAGUGGUAGCUUCGGCUACGUUUCAGUGGUAGCUUCGGCUACAUAACAGUGGUAGCUUCGGCUACAUAUCAGUGUUGCACUUAUGUGCUAAAUCUCUACGUAUCUGUGUAUAUUCCGAGUGUUCAACGGGAUUAAUAAUGAGUUAAAGUGAAUAUGAAAUGAAGUGUGUAUGCAGGUACAUUUGAAAAGAAUGAGCAUAAGUGAUAAAGGUUAAGUGUGAAAAUGUAUAUGCAAGUGAAUUUGGUAAGAUUGUGCAUGUGUAAGUGAUUGAAAUUGCUAAGAAAUGUUUUGAUUAGUUAUAUGUUAAAAGUGUUAAUUAUUAAAUGAGUAAUUAUUGUUUACAUGUAACUUACUAAGCUAUUAGUAGCUUACACCUUCCUUCUUUUCCUUUGUUUUAUAGUGAUUUGAACUUGAUCGAAUUGGGGAUCGUCGGAGCUCGUAUCACACUAUCAUAAUCAUCUCGGUAUUGUGUGAUUUUCAAAAUAUUUAAAACUAUGGCAUGUAUAGAGUCUUAAUCAUUUUGAGUAUGUUCAUAUGAUAUGGCUAAGAUUAGCUAUUGAAAUGGUUAGUAAAGAUUAUGUUUUGGUAUUAUGUAUGUGUAAAUGGUAACUAAUUCAAAGAAGCAGUUUCUUUGACAGCAGUAGUGACGUGAAUGUAAAAAUUCACCAUAAAUAGUAGAAAUGGAAUUAGAGAGUGAAUUAUAUAUGGAAUUAAAGCUUAUCAAGUCUAUUUUUAUAUGAAAGAAACGGUGUAGGCAAAGGAAUUCUGUAUUUUGAGAUAUUUUAAUUUUAGUGAGACAGGGUCAGAAUGGUUUUUGAAGUCCCCUGUUUUGACUUUAGAAAAUCACUAUAAAUUGUACAGAAAUAAUUAUAGGUCAUAAUUUAUAUGUGUAGAUUCCUUAGUGAGUCUAUUUUCAAAAUAAAUAAACAGUAACCUUAUAUGAAUUCUGUCCAAUGAUAUAAUUGAUUUCUAGUGCCAAGAGGUCAGACCUGUCGAGCAGUGAAACAGGGGAUACUUUAAUGAAUAAACUGUACUAAUUGGCUAAGUCAAAAAUUCUUAAAAUUUUAUGGUAAGUAUUAAUAUGAGUCUAGUUUCAUGGAAAAUUUACAGAUUUAAAUUUCGAGUCUCGUAACUCGAGUUAUAAUUAAAUUAGUGACAGUUGCGCAGGUAGACAGUUUUGCUGUGAGUAGUGAAUUUAAUUUUAAAAGCAAAUUUUUAUGCUCCGAAUUGGUAAGUUAAAUUGGAUGACAUCUCGUACUCGAUUCCGGCAACGGUCUCGGGUAAGGGGUGUUACAAGUUUGGCGUUGUGUACAAGGGUAAACUACAAAAAUAGUCACUUUUUGUUUACAUCAGGUUACAUUUUAGUCAUUUAUGUUUAAAAUAUUACAUUUUAGUCACUUAUGUUAUUAUUUUGUUACGAAGUGAUCACUCUUCCGUUAAGUUCUGUUAUCUCACUAACGAUAAUCUUACGUGGCAGUCCAACUAGAUUUUAAGUGCCAACUUAAAUUUUCUAAUGGAAUGAGAAUAAAUUUUUUAAUUAAAUAAAUUUAAUUAAUUAAAAAUUUUAAACUCUAAAUCUUAGUUAAAAAAAAUUCAUCUCCCCCUUUUUUUAGUUUUCUUUUUCAGUAUACCCUUCCUCGGAACUAUUGUGACUGUGUUCCUCCUCAUGCCCGGUUGUUUCAGAUGUUAAAAAAAUCAGAACUUAAACUACUUUCCCUACCCUUGUCUUCAAGCAACUCGGCAAAUAUUCCCAUUUGAACCCCAUUCUCACUAAAGCUUUCAUUUUUCUCUUUAAUGAGUCCUCCUUUCUCAACCAAACCCUCCAUUUCAAUUUGCUGUUCUUCAAAAGGACCAGGUGAAGGACAAAACACAGAGUGAUUUACUAUCAUACCACUAUACUCUAACCUCUGUGAGCAACACACAUUGGACUCCAUAGCUUUGUAACACAAGCUUCUAAAAGAUUUUGAAACCCAAAAGCUCUUAGCUUUUAGCUUUGGCGCAGGCAUUCAAAGCUUCAACUGGUGAUAUUGUUGUUGUUGCUGCUGUUUGGUAGAGCUAUUUACUCUUGGUUGGUGAAAGCUCCUCCAUCCAUAAGGUCGCCAACAUGUCUACUUCAAUGGGUUAAAGUGGAAGCAAAAAAAAAAAAAAAAAUGCAGAGAAAUUUGGUGUGGGGUUUUCCUUCUUUUUCCUUUUAUCUUUUUUAUGUUACAGAAAAAAGGCAGAAGCUUUAUGUUCUUAAAUAUAUGGAGUCAAGCUAUUGAUGAUUACUGAGGCCUGCUCAAAGACAUGACUGCUUUCUUAGUCAACCGAAAAAUAAAACUUAAAAAAAAAAGAGAUGAACUGUUUUUUAAUUAAGAUUUAGGGUUUAAAAUUUUUAAUUAAUUAAAUUUAUUUAAUUAAAAAUCUAUUCUUAUCCUAUUAGGAAAUUUAAGUUGACACUUAAAAUCUAGUUGGACUGCCACGUAGGAUUACCGUUAAGGAGAUAACAGAACUUAACGGAAGAGUGAUCACUUCGUAACAAAAUAAUAACAUAAAUGACUAAAACGUAACAUUUCAAACAUAGGUGACUAAAAUGUAACCUGAGGCAAACAAAAGUGACUAUUUUUAUAGUUUACCUUUGUGUACAAUGGUACGGCUCUGGUAAAAGUGAGAAUUCUGAAAUUUUGAGAAAGAAAGUAAUUAAAACGAUUCGUUAGUAACAUCAUGCACAGAAAUAUUGGAAGUAGACAUAAUAUGUAUCAUUUAAUAUCUUAAGUGACACUAGUUAUUCAUGCAUAAAUGAAAAUGUUCCGACAUGGUCAAGUAUAUAUACGAAACAGAUAUCUUAAGAGUUGAAGCAAAGAAAAGGCGAUACCCCCUGAUCACUUUGUUUCCUCAGCUCCCGAAUGUUUUCAAAAGCUUUGUCCCUCUUCAGGGUCACAGCUUUCAGCUCAUUUUGUAAAGACUCGAUUUUAGUUUCAGUUUCAUCCAAUUUAUCUUUAAUUUGCUUUUUUUUGGACCAGACUGCAUGCUGCUCCUUCCUUACUCCAUUCAAAUCGACACCCAUAAGCUACAAUAAACAAAUAUAGCUCUUUUUUUUUUUUUAGUGUAACACAAUGGUGCUCUAUAUUCACAGAUAAGAAGAGGAGCAAACUCCAAUGGAUAAAGGCAGAAAAUAGAAUCAUCUUACUUUAACUUGAUCUUGAAUGUCUUCUUUCUGGCCUAAUGAAUCUUGAAUCUUUGUUCUCAUUGCAGCAUUAGCAAUAACUUUCUCACGGGUUCCCUCCAGGUGUUUGAUUUCUUUAAGGAUUCGCUUCUCCUCACUCAACGAGAUGCUUUCGUGCUGAAUGCGAUAUUGCAAGCUGUGAAUCUGCAAUUCAUAAAUUCCAUUGAAGUGACUAAAGGAGAAAAAGAAAAGCAUUAACUGCGGCAGAAAACAAUGAAUAAAUCUAAAUGCAGUCAAAGUUUAUAGAAGUAUCAUACAAUAAAAUCGAGCUCUUCCUCAGAUGCACAUAAACUAUGUCGAUUAUAAACAUCUUUAUUAUUGUGAAGCUUGCCUAAAGCCUGCUGCAGUGGUUCUAUUUCCUUUUUUUUCUCAUCUAAAAUCGUCUUAAAUUGCUCAAAAUCAACAUUCAGCGCUCUCACUUGCGAAAGCAUCUCUGAUCGUUCUGCCUGCAUUAGCAUAAAGAUAAUCACUAUUUAGCCAACUGACAGCGCCAUUAUUCUUUACUUCUUUCACAUUUUUUCUCAAAUUCUGAAGGCAAACAUAACAUUAAUGAAUCAUUAUACCAAUAGCAUAUCUGUAAGUGUCAUUACAUUUCAAGGACAUAAAUUUCGAACAUUCAAAUAAAUGCUUCCGGGUUUAAUUCCCCUACAUUCAUCAUAUUACAAUAAGCACACCAUAAUGACAUAAUGAUAGGGCUAAUAAUUAUCUUAAAAGUAUGACAAUUAAUGGCUAUCAUGCUAUACAUCUAAUUGAAAUUAAUAACUUUUCACUCACCCUUUUUGCUUUUAAUUCAUCGGUAAGCUUAAACCUGGCUUUAUUCCACUUUUGCAUCUCUUUAUCAGCCUGAUCAAGUUUGGCUUUUAUAGCCUGAUCUUCGUAGAAGCGAUACCUAAUAAAAUGAAAAGAGUGGAUCUGCUUAGGUGCAGGCCACUCGACGACCGCAUCCUUCGGAAAGUCGGGAUCGGAUGCACCAUUCUGUUCUUCCUUAUCAGGUUCCUCACUAUGUGAAUCAACUUCAAUGGGGUUAUUAUAAACUGGAUCCUUUUCCAGUUUCCCAUUUUCAUGAAGAAAUGAUUUGUCUACUUCAGUCACUUUAUCAAUAGACAAUUGUGCCAGGUCUAAAUCAACAACCUCAACACCCACUAAACAUAAAAUUGAGCUACCUGAAAACAUCCAAAAACAAAGAUUAUGAUACCAUAUAACAACAAAUAUAAAUAUAAAAUAUUAUUUCAUUCAUAAAAUAAAAAUUUUAAAACCAGACACCUGAUAGACAUGUAUAAAACAAUAUAUAUUAAAUAAAUAAAUUUUAAAGAACAGUAUAGCCAAUACAAUUUGAAAUGGUGCAAUCUAAAGCCAUUCCUUUAGCUAGUUUUCUCAUUAAUCAGAUCAAAAGAGUGAACAAACAGUAGAAUUGCAAAAUUAUAUGUAUAUAUUCUAAAUAAAUGAUAAACUAUAAUGGAGAAAAACAAUAAUCAGAUAAAAUCUAGAUCAAAAACUAAAUUAUAAGUACAUUAGCUCAUGCUAUAACAAAAGAUCAAGCCUUUAUCCGUCAAGAAAAUUAACAUGCAAAAUCAUAUGACACUAAUGGAAAAGACUCGGAAAUUUACAAACAUGAGAUAAAUGAAAAACAAAAAAACCCCAGAAAUAAAAACAUGAGAAAUAAUUAUGUAGUUUGCAAGGCUAGAAAGUUUACAUUUUUAAAAAGAAAAAGUCAAAAUAAGAUGUUAUUGUUGUCGAGAGAGGCAUAGAUACAGAGAUUCUGGAUAAAAAAAAACUUUCUAACUUUUUUAUUUUAUAUUCGCGUAAUGCCCCAAAUUUUAUAAAUUUUAGGUGUUAAACAUGUCAAGUAAUUUGAUUUGGUGUGGUGAUUAAGUGUAUUGAAUGUUUGCUUUGGGUCUUGAGUUCAAUUUUUUUGUUAAAUUUGUCUUAUUUAUUAUGGUAUUUGUUAAAUUUUUCCUAUUUAUUAUGGUAUUAUGUUCAACUUGAGCCUUAAGUCUUAUCCCUUAUUUUCAACGAUGAAUCUACUGAUUCAAUGGUAAGACUUUAGCUUAUCACCAAUUUAAAUUUUAUAAAAUCUGAUAAGUGAGAUUUAAAUUAACUUAAAUCUUUUUAUUUAUUUAUUUUUAUUUAAUUUUACUAAAUCUCUAUUUUCACUUAUUGUUUCAACCGUCCACACUCUCACCCCACUCUGUACGCUACUUUCUUUUGUUUCCCUAUUCUACGGUUUUAUCUUCUUUUCUCUUCCUUCUUUCUCCUCUUUUGAUUAUUCCUGAAUACUACCAUUUAUUUUGUGAGUUUUGUCACUUGGAUCGUAUUCUGUUUGCAGUGUAAGUUUCAUUUGGUUACUUUUGUUCUCUUCCCAUUAAUAGUUUAGUUUUAUUUCGUUUCUUGAACAAGUUAAGUUUAUGUUGGUAUUUUCUGUUCAUUAUCAUGAUUAGUAUUUUUGUGGUUCUCGAUUAGGCAAAAGGUGUGAGAAUCCUAACCCUCUAGCAAAGUAGUCACAAUUUUCGACGUUGUUUUGGAGAACUAAGUAUUCGUAUUCUAUUUUAGGGGUUGAAAUUUUGAUUCAACGAUGUUAUUUUGGAUAAGUAUUGUUAGUUCAUCCGUGUGGUUUGACGAACGUUUAUAGGAUUCGUGAGUUCCAAUUGAGCGGUUGAUCAAAUCAGCAAUAGGUGUAUGAAAUUAACCUAAAAACUCAAUCGAAACUCGAGAAAAUUAAGGGCCACACGACUAUGUGGGUAUUUUGGCCAAUUUUAAGCCCCAAUUAGGGGCCGAUUAAAGGACUGAAAUAUUGGGUCCAUAGCCAUCAUAUAAGCCCAAAAAAUGUAAGUUUUAGUACGUAUAUAUACAUGGCUAAGCUUAGAGGUAUGUUAAGUAGGUUGUAUAUAAAUCAUAUGCAAUGUUAUGUUCCUUAUAAAAAUAUGUGUAUGCUUGUCAUACGACUUAUGAUAUAAGUAUUUAUGAUAUUAUAAUUAUGAUUAUGCAUGUCAUAUAUGAUUGUUGUCAUGAUAUACAAGCAUUUAAUUAAUAUUUUAAAGUUUUAAAAAAAUAAUAAAUGUUUUUAAAUAAUUUUAAAAUUUUAAAAAUAAGUUAUAUAUAUUUUUAAAACCUUAAAAAUUAUUUAAAAACUAAUGUAUCAUCCAUAAUAAAUCAUACAUCAUUAACACAUACUGGGGCAUGGGAAAGCUUUUAAAAACUGAACUCAAAAAGUGGUCUACAUGGUUCAUCAAGGCAUGGCAAGUAAGUGAGUUGAAGCAAUUUGUGUCAUGAUUGCCUGUAUUUCUCUCAUAAUUUCUUUGCCACUCUGCACCCGUGAGACACUGCAAAAUGUCCUACAUUUCAAAUAAACUGAUGUCAGGUAAAACAUUAAAGCAGAAGAGGAUCAACUAUUACCCUCACUAUCUAUUUCAAUGCUAAAUUUCCACCUCUCCUCUCCAACACCUCAUUGGUAGCCUUACUCAUCUUAACCAACACAACCCUUUCUUUUUCCAAUACAUUUCCAGAAUGUACACUUUUAUUAGAAGAAAAUAUCCAAAAACAUUUUACCAGAAAGCUGGGCUGUGGGGUUGGAAAUGAAGGAUUUUACACCUUCAUCUUGGGGAAGCCCAUAUUUCUUCACUUUGGCAAAACUCUCUUCUGGGUCGAUUCUACAAAAUAUUUAUUAGCUCAUUUUGUGAAAGAGGUAAUUGUGAGAUGAUUGAUCAUUUUGUUUCUACAUUAUAAGAAAAAACUGUAAUAUAUAUCAUGAACUUGAGUUGUCAUAUUCUAAUAUUUCUUUGCUCAAUAUUUACUUGAUUGUAUACAUUAGAUUUGCACCCGAAGCAAUAGUUUUAGAACACUUACAGUAAUAGUUUUAGUCUUUCAACUUCAUCAACUAAUUUUUCAAAGUUAUGUGUAUUGAUUGCGGUCGUAAACCAACUAAAAAUCUGAUUAAGGUAAAUGUACUUAUCAAUUAAUAGUAUAGUUACGAUGAACAAAGAUAUCAUUCCCACAAGGGCUAAAAGUAUUAGUAAUUAUUGUCUUUCUAUUAUUUAACCGACAAAUUGGAAUGAUUGAUUAAAACUAAAAUUAACUAAAUAAAUUAACUAAAGAACACGGCAAAGAACAAAUCAGAAAAAUAAAUGAUUAACAACCAAAAAGCGAGACAAUACUCGGGAAAGAAUCCACCUAGACUUCAUCUGUCAUUAUCAAUCUAAAUCACACAAUUUCUUCACUUACUAUCUUGAUCCGUAGAAAUCCCUAAAUUAUUGUAAUAUCUCUCUUCAAGACUAAGAGUAACUGACUCUAGAUUGAUUAAUUGAAAUUUCUUUCUAAUUAAAACCUCUAUUAUCACAUUAACUUGAUUUAUGGAUUAUUCUAUUAGAUUUGACUCUAAUCCGGUAGAAUUAUGUAAUCCUAUUUUUAGGAUUGCAUGCAACUCCACUCAAUUACGCUAGAUCUACUCUUAAACAGGGUCUACUCCUCCUCUGAUUUAAGCACAUAAAACAUGAAUCAAUAGUCUAAAAAAAUUAAACUAUGAAUUAAGCACACAUAAAUGAGAACAAGAUCUAAGUAUUUAUUCCGUAAAAAUAGAAAUCAAAUAAUAGAAUUCAUCCUAAGGUUUAUCUCCCUAGGUAUUUGGAAAAUUAGUACAUAUAGUAAAUAAAAACAUCCCAAAAAUAGUAUAACCAUAAGAAAUAAAGAAACUCAUAAUAAACUUCAAAAAAAUCAAAAGGAGAACUUCAAUAUUGAUGGAAAUCUACUUCAAAGUCGGCUUUAAUAGUAUUUUCUGAGUUGCUUUCUUCAAUAUAUGACAACUCACUGAUCCCCUCCUCUUAUCUUUGUCAUAUAUAUUUUAGAAUGCUCAAAAAACUUAAAAAUUACGCUUUUUGCGUGUUUAGAGUGCAAUUUACGAUUUCCACAUGGUCUAGCACAUGGUCGUUUUGUAAUGACCCAAAAUUCACGGGCAUCGGAAAAGUAUAAUAUCAGGUCUCUGUCUUAGUAAAUUGAGUUUGAAAAUAAUUAUUAGAAAUAUUUACUAGACUAGUUGUGUGUUUAAUUAGGAUUUAGAUAGGUGAAUUUAGCUUAAUUAAGAGUAAUUAGCAAAAAAGAUUAAAUUACAAUAGAAGUGAAAGUUUAAUUAUAGAUUAAAAUAAAAUAAAGGGGAUUAAACAGGAAAUUAUGCCAAUUGCCAAAUUUGAGGCGGCAUUGUUAAAAUAUGUUAUUAAAUUAUUAUUAUUAUUAUUAUUAUAUUAUGAAAUAAAUAAGAUGGUGACAAAUGUAUGGCAAUAAAAUUAGUACAUGUGUAAAACAUGUAUUUAAACACUUGUAUUAUAAUGAUAUAUUUUCUUAAAUUUUAAGUAAAGGUAUUGUCGAAACCAUUUUUUUUUGAAAACAAAAAUUUAGUUGUAGACUUUAAAAACAAAAAUUAGAGUCCCCACCGAUCUUUUAUUAAGGUGCGAUCGGCUCACCGUAAAAUUUUAGUCUACGAAGUCUUAGAAAAACAGGUUCGGGAGUCAAUUACGCACGAGGAAGGGUUAGUGCCCUCGUAACGCCUAAAAUCGGUACCAAAUUAAUUAUUUUAUGUCUUGGUGUCGAAAAUUUGAAAAGAUUUUAAAAGAAAACUUUUUUACUCGAGAAUGAAUUAAAAUAAUACAAACAUUCCUAUUUUAAAGAAACAAAAUAUCACACCCAGUUAGUUAGGGCACAAUAUUUUUAAAUUUUCAAAAUUAAGUUUGUCUUUUGAUUUUAAAACUCACACGGUUAAAUCUAAGAAGGGUAUUCGAUUAUUUAGAUCAAAUAAAGAAAAAUCGAAACCUAGUAAGCUAGGGCACAAUUUCUCAAAAUUUCAAAUACAGAAUAGCACCUUUUGUUUUAAAAAAUCUUAUUUCGAGAAGUCAAAAUAUCAGGACCAGUAAGUUAGGACCCGUAAUUUUAGAUUCCCGGGAACAAGCCUUUAUUUGAAAUUUGUGUGAAUUUAUUGCAAAAUAAAUACUCGACUUUCUAAAUUCGUCGAAAAAUAAUCGCGAUCCAGUAAGUUAGGACACGAUCUUUCUCGAGAAUCAUGAAUGCCAAAUAUUUUGAAAAUUUAUAAAUUAUGAUGAUUUUUAAUGCUUUGAUAAAGCCAAAAUAUAUUUUUCUUUAAAAGUAUGAUAAAAUGUUAAUGCAUAACAUGAAAUCAUUACUUUAAUUUAAAAUAUACCUAUAUAUGUAUACAAAAAUUAUAAAAAGAACAUAAUCAUAAAAUAUAUAAAGUUGACAUAAAAAUAAAAAUGUAAGCAUAAUAUAUUAAUAAUUACGAAAAUAUGGGUAUAUAUGUAUAUAUAAAAAUAUAUGAAAAAUGUAUUUAUAAAAGUUUUGAAUAGUAUAUGAAUAUAUUAUAAAAAAAACAUGUAUAAACAUAUAUAGAUUAUAAAAUAUGGAAAGCAUAAAUAUAAAAUAAAAAUGUAUAUACGAAUAAAUAUAUGUAUAUAUAUAUAAAAUAAUAAUAAAGUAUAUAAAAUGUAUAUGAAUUUAAAAAUGUUUAAAAUAUAAAUAUUAAUAUUAUCAUACAUAUCCGCAUAUAAUGUAGGUAUAAUAAUAAUUAUAUAAUAUAAUAAUAAUAAAUACUAAUAAUAAUACAGUAAUAAUAACAAUUUAACAGUAUAUAAAAAAAUUAAAAAUAACAAAUUAAGGAUUAAAUAGAAUUUAAAGGCUAAAUUUGAAAAUUGAAAACGUGAAAAAGAGCAAAUUAAAACGCGCAUAACAGGAGGAGGAUCUAAGAAGAAAUUUACCCAAACCUCCUGAAACGCUGCGCAGCAUUGGAUUAAAUUGUAGCAAAAGUAAUGUUUCAGGGAAAAAUUUAAAAAUAGCAGAACAGUAAUUUUGAAAUGAUGAAAACAUGAAGGGACUAAAUAAUAAAUAACCCAUCAAUACUUAAAACACGCGGAUCUGAUCAGGUUUUGGGUCGGGUCACGCUGGCAUUCGGGUUAUACCAAUACGCUGCCGUUUUGGGCCCUAUAAAAUCCCAUUUUAAAAACCCUAAAAUCGUUUUCCUUCUGCCCUUUGAAGUUGUGUCGUAGCCUCCCCUCCUCUCAGCCAUUCAAGCCCCAUUUCCGACCAUCAACGGCGAUGUGAGGGCACUCCGACGACAGCCCAACGAUAAGUCCUCUUUCCCUUACCCCUUUUGUUUAUUUUGUCUUUUAUAAAAUACCAGAAUGAAGGGAAAAAAACAAAUAGUAAAAUAAAAAUAGCAAAAAUAAACCCAAAGAACAAACCUUCAAAAUUGUUUUUGUUAUUUCUUGUUCCUGUCUUUUUUAAUCUCUGAUUGUGUGUGUAGUCUCUUUUACAAAAUAUAUUUGGCCUUUAUAUCCAAAUCCUUACAGGAAAAACCAAAAUAAACUUUUACAAUUUUUUCCUUUUCUUUUCGGUCCCUCUCACUGUUAAUGGUUUAUUGCAGGCGAGGAGAACGUGGAAACGAGUGUUGUGCUGGGUUGCUGAACGUGCGAGCAACGACGUUGGUAGUGGGACGAUUGCUGCGGCGCUCUGCUUAGGGUUUCUGUUACCUUAGGCCAAUUGGGCCUUGUAAUUGGGUCAAGAUUGACCCAAGUUUUAAUGGGUUUGGUUGUAUUUAAUUUGGGCCCCGAGCAACAAUUGGGUAUUACAGGUAUUUAUAUAUAUUAUAUGUGAAAUUAUUAUAUUAUUAUAUUAUAUUAAUAAAAAUAUCUAUAUUAGUUAAAUGUUAAAAUAAUAAAAAGUAAAUAAUAAAAGGAAAUAAAAACAAAAGAAAAGAAAAAAGAGAGAAGGAAGAAACAGAGGCAUUCGAAACAGAGCAGGAAAAAGAAAGAAAGAAAAGAAAAAGGAAAAAUUCAAGGUUUAAGGUUUAAAGCUUUGAUUGGUAAGUCAAUUGAGCCUUUUUUAUUUAGUUUUGAUGAUUUAGAAGCUUUAAAACAAAGUUUUGAUGAAAUUAAGUUGAUAUUUUGUAAGUUCAUAGGUUUUUAAGCACGGUUCAUGUUGAAUAAAUUGUUAAAUUAGGGAUUUAAUUGAAUGAAUUUUAAGUUAGAAUUGAUAAAAGAAUUAAAUUGUAAAAGAAACUAUAAGUUUUAUGUUUUAGGGACUACAUUGAGGGAAAUUAGAAAUUAGGAAAAGAUGCUGAAAUUUUAAUAGUUACAUUUGAGUUUGGAUGAAAUUUGAAUAGAAAUAGAGUGUGAAUUGAAUUAGGAAAGUAAGUGAACUUAGUUAGGAUUAAAUUGAGAAUAAGGAAGAAAUUGAAUAGAAAUUCAAUUAUUUAUCAUAAUUAGUGCUGAAAUUAAUAGUAUAAAUUAUUAUUAUUAUUUUCGUAGCUAGCAAAGAACCAGAAGCACCGGCACAGAAGGGAAAAGAGAAGAUUUUCGAGAAGUAAACUCGAGAAAAUUGCAGUUUGUAUUACUAUAAUUCAAGUUAUUUAUUAUUAAAUGUUAAAUUUUAAUUUAUGUGUUUGGUAAAUGAAAUGUGAGGUAAGUAUUAGUAUUAUUAUUGUCAUUAUUAUUAUUAUUAUUAUUAUUAUUAUUAUUAUUAUUAUUAAGAUGAGUGAGAAUUAAAUUGAAUAGUUGAUAUGAAUUAAUAUUUGAAUUGUUUGUUGAUUGAAAGUGGGAAGUGAAUUUGAAUCGAAUUGUGAUUGAUAUUAAAUUGAAUGGAAAUGUAUUGAGUUGUGAAAAUGUGUGAAUUUGUGGAUUAAUUAUUGAUUGAAAGGUGGAAAAAUGAUUGAAUUGAAAAUGUGAGAAAUUGUGAUUGAAUUGGGGUUAUAUGUGAUUUAAAUGCCCUAUUAACUAGUUGGGCUGAGUCAGAUAUAGUUGGCAUACCAUAGGAUUGGAAGAGUUCACGGAUGCUUCGACCUCGAGUCGAUGAGACACUGGGUGUCACUAUAUUUCUUCGGAUAGAUUCGAUGAGGUACUGGGUAACAACUUUCUUCGGCUUUGCCGAUGAGACACUGGGUGUCAACUAUUGCUUCGAACUAUCCGAUGAGGCACUGGGUGCCAAUCUGGUGUGUUUGGUUGGAUCCGUGUAUCUGACAAAGUCCGAGUUUUGUUAAUAGGGGUAAAUAAUGAAAUGAUAAACCGAAUGAGUUUGGUUAAUCGAGCUACUGAAAUGAGAUGAAAAAGUUGAAUUGUGAAUUGAAAUGUGAUACGAGAUUGAAGAAUGAACCUAAGGUUCAUGAUGUGUUCAAAGCUCAAAUUGUGGAUACAUGAUAUUAAUUGAUAAUUUUUUAUUGUUGUAUUAUGAAAUUUGAGUUUAAACUUGUAUGUAUGAUUUGUGCAUGAUAUGUUUGAUGAUUAUGUUUUAUUUUUAUUAUUAUAAUUUGAAUUAUGGUAAUACCACUGAGUUCGGAUACUCAGCGUAUGGUUGUUUCCGUGUGCAGGUCGAUAGAAGUCGAAGGUUUUCUGAUUUUCGCUCCUUUUGCUUCCAAAUGCUCUUCAAAGUAUAGAAACAUGAAUUUAAAGUAUUAGGAGCAAAAAAUUCACCGUUAACACAUUUUCUCUGUAUAUUUAGCAUAUAUUCGAACUUUGAAUUUCUGCUUUGCAGUUUAUAUAGGUUCAAAAAUAUGAACCCAUGUUUUCAAAGGUCUAAUUUUUCCAUGAACUGCCAGAAAUGAAAAGAAAAAAAAUAUUUAAAAAAAUGAAAGAAAAUAAAAAUGAAAAUAUAGUUUAAUGAGACUUACAUAAAUGUCGGGAUUGAGAAAAUGAUUGUCUAAAAAGAAGCAGAAAUUUGGCUGUCCAAGCCAUCUUAUUCAGUUCACCGAUGCAAGUUUCUCCGCUUAGCCGUCGCUGCUCUGAAAAUGACGAAGGCCUAACUAGUUUAACAACAGUACCAGUACGAUGUCAUAAGAAUGUAUCCUACGUGGCAUUCGUGUCAUCUAGCUAAGUCAAACUACGAAGCUACGGUUGGACUUCGAUUUCGGUUGGGUUUGGUUUCUUAGCUGGAGUUCUAUUUAAACUUGGGUUUUGUUUUCGGUUAAAUUACCCUAUUAGUUACUAAAUUAUAUGUUGCUUUUGUUUUGUUCACUUAACUAAAAAAAAAGUUAAAAUUUUGUUAUUGAAGUAUUCGAAUACUUUCAUUUAAGUCACUAAAACAAGAUCUUUUUAAAUAAGAAAUAAAUAUUUUUUAUACAGAAAUUUUAUAUAUAAAAAAUAAAAUACUUCAAUUUAAAAGGACAUUUUGUUUAAUCACUUUAAUAGCUUUUGGAGUGAUGAAAAGUCUAAUUUCACUUUGCACCAAAAAUGAUUUUUUUGUUAAUUUUCUUACCGAGCUGGGACUCAAUUGAUGGUUGACGACAACUAAAUAAAAGGCUUUAACACAGUAUAGAUAAAAAAAGUUUUAAACUAAAAUUUUUAAAAGAAUUUAGGGCAAACUACACCAGUCAUUCAACUAUAGGUAAGUUUACGUUUUAAUCACUUAACUAAAAAAAUUACAAUUUGAUUACUAAUGCUUUCGAAAUUAUUUUUCUUUUUUGUCACCCAAUUGUUAAGUCAUACUUGUUUUAGUUGGUAUAAUAAUAAUUUUAGUCCUCGGUUUUUAUAUUUUCUGUCUAUUUGACUCUGAUUUUGUAUAAAAAUAUAAAAAAAAUCACAAUUAUUUAUAAAAUAGAAAAAUGUGUAUAAAAAUUCUAGAAAAAUAAAAUCUUGAAUAUAUUGUUUCAUAACUAAAUUGUAUGAGAAAUAAAGAAAAUCAUCAUUCAAUAACAUCCGAUAACAAAUGAAAAUCAAAACAAAACAAAAAAAAAGUUAGAUUAUUAUAUGUUUCUUAUAUUUCUCGAAACCAAAUUAGUAGUAUUAUCAAACACAUUAAGAAUGAGAUUAAAAUAUGUUACUUUUAUAGCUUAUCAUACCCCUAAACCACAACUAAAAAGUUUAAUCUGAUAUGGUGGCAUCCACCAUUAGUAAUUGACUCUCAAUUUUGGUUCUUUUUGUCUUGUUUUCUCUUUGCACUCGUUGUUUUAGAUCAUCAGAGUCUUCAUGGUGGACCCUAGAGCUUAAAGGAGGCUAAAGAUGGUGGAAUCCAAGGUAGUGUGAAACAACAUGGUCUUGACUAGAGGUGUCUAUGGGCCGGGCCCAAAAAAAAAUUUCAACUCGCUUCCUAGGCCCGGGCCCGGCCCAGCCCGAAAUAUGGGCCUGAGAUUUUGUCCAAGCCCGGCCCGGGGAAAAAUAUGGAACCUGAGCCCGGCCCGGCCCGGCCCGUCCCAUGGACACCUCUAGUCUUGACCUACAACACUAAAAUUGCUUUAGCUUAAAUGAAAAUGAAAAUAUUUUGUAUGCAUGAUAUCUCUAGUUUAAAUCUUAUUAUCAACAAAUUUUUAUUGAUUUAUGAAAAGAUGAAAAUACCUUUGUAAUUAUAUAUCUUACUUUACAAAUAAAAUGUUUUUUUUAGUAAUUUUCUUACUGCGUUCGGACUAAUUGAUGGUUGACACUAUGGCAGUAAAAGGCCUAAUACAUAAUAUAGAUUAAAAAAAAAGUUUUAAACUAAAAUUUUUCAAACAAUUUAAUGUAAAUUAAACCAUUAGUCAUUCAACCAUGAGUAAGUUUUCGUCUUGAUCAUUUAACUAAAAGAAGUUACAAUUUAGUCACUAAUAUUUUUGAAAUUGUUUUUUUAUCACCUAACUGUUAAGUGGCACUUGUUUUAAUUGGUAUAAUAAUAAUUUUAGUCCUUUUUUAUAUUUUCUAUCAAUUUGACUCUAAUUUUGUAUAAAAUUAUAAAAAAAACUCAAAAUUUUAAAAAUAGAAAAAUGUUUAUAAAAAUUCUAAAAAAAAUCUUGAAUAUGUUGUUUCAUAACUAAAUUGUAUGAGAAAUAAAGCAAAUUACUAUUCAAUAAAAUCUGAUAACAAAUUAAAAACAGAACAAAACCAAAAAAAAUCUUCCUCAACGUUUCUCGAAACAAAAAAAAAAUAAUAUUAUUAAGUUGAGUUUCAUGCCAUUGAAGAACAUCUAGAACUCAUAUUACUAAGGCUUAUGAAAUCGACCCUAAUGCCAUUUUUUUAGUCAAAAGAAUACAAUAUAUAUAACAAAAUUUCCUUUUUCAAACUUAAUUCAAUUUUUCAUUACAUUUAAAUUAUGUUUCAAAACUCAAAUUAUAAAAAUAAAUUAUAUUUAGAAAAAAAAUUAUAACAUAAAAGCUAUGUCAAGAAACAGAGAACAAAUAAUUUUACUUAAUGUUUUUCUAUUUUUUACUAAAGAAUGUGUAUUGGAUAUUUCGAUAUAGAUAAUAUAGAGAAAAUUUGUACGGCUUAAAAACAAUUAUCUCUCAUUUUCACUCACUUUAUUUAUUUUUGAAAUUUGUAUCUACUUUUAUUUAAUUUUUAUUUUAUAAUGUUCUAAAAUUUUAAAAAUAAUUUUAAUUUUUUACCAUUUUAUAUAUUAUCAAGAUCAAAUUGACUGAAAGUAUAAAAUUUGAGGAUUAAAAUUGUUAUUAUAUCAAUUAAAAAAGUGUCACUUAACAUUUGAGUGACAAAAAAAAACAAUUUUAAAAACAUUAGUGAUGAAAUUGUAACUUUUUUAAUUAAGUGACCAAAACAAAAAUAGCCAUAGUUUAGUGACUAAUAGUGUAACCUUUUUUUGGUAAAAUGAAAAUUUGACCCUGAUUUUGUAUAAAAAAAAUUAAAAUUAUUUAUAAAAUAAAAAAAUGUAUAUUAUUCAACAUAGGGAUUUUUUACCGAAAUCAUAUAAAAAUAAUUAAUUAUAAAAAUGGUAUAGAAAAUAAAUUAAUUACAAAAAUAAGGCAUUUGGUACAAUGUUCUGUUGGUGUCGCCAGACAUAUUGGUAGCACCAGAUUAAAAUGUGAUGACAAAAAAUAUUCAAGGACUUAAUAUGGAAAUUUCUCAUUUUGAUUGGUUGUUGAAAAUAAGAUAUAAGAGUGUUGUGUGACAUUGUAAGCGGCACAAAAUCUUAAAUAGGGUUAAUUUCUUUGUAAACCGUUAUUAUUUAUUAUUUUGUUUUUAUUCUCCUUCAACACCAAAAUCAGAAAGGCUUCUUACGAAUUAAUUCAAGUCAAAUAAUGUCUAGCAUAACAGUUAAUACUAUUGACAGAAAUUUUUUUUGGCUCAUAUUAUAUCUAAGAAACUAUAGAUUUAACUAAUAAUUAUAAUUUAUAUAUAGUAAAUAUUUUUUAAAGUUUUUCUAAUUAUAAUUUUAUAUGUGCCCGUAAAUUAAAUUGAUAAUAAGAAUAUCUGUAAUGGCAGACAGCAAAGAAAAACCUAAAAGCAAAAGUAAUAAAAAUAGGAUUUCUUGCUAAUAAUUCUACCUUUGUGGAUCCUACCAGAGACUUCAUAAUUUGCCUGUUUUUAUCUUCACUUUCUUCUUAUUUCUUCUUCACUGCUUUUAAUUUGUUUCGAUGUCACAAAUUUUGAAGCAUCCAGUCAAGGUAAUUUUCUUUCAUUUGCUUUUGAUUAAUUCAUGACAUGCUUUUCUUUGCUUUUGAUUAUCUGCUACUGUUAUAGCAGCUAGCUUUGUACGAUAGUCAAGGAAGUCAACUUCAGUACUUCACUGCUUCAUUUUCAGUUCUAAUCUCUCAACACUUUUCAGCCACUAAGUCAGGUAAUAAGACCUGAAGCAAUGAUUUCCUCUACUGAUUACCAACAGUUUUAGAUUUUAAGAGUGGAUGACCAGCAGACAUAAUCCACUAUAGAUAGAAAUUAAUACAAAAACAGCUACCCAGAAGCAAUAUAAUGUUGAAAUCUCAAACUGUCAACAUUUUAACUCUUAAUAUUCUGUAUUGAACUCUUGCACACUUGAAUCUAGCAUUUUAUAUACAUCUAGAGCUUGAUUCUGGUGACCAGAAUUUCAUCAUGUUUCUGUCUGCCACCCAUCCAUAGCUCCAUCUAAUAGACGCCAUUGCUUGAAACUUGCAUUCAUGUUUUCCUUUUCGUGCUUACACUGACAUAUCAAUACUUCAUAAAAUAUCCAAUUCAUUCACAGAUUUUCAUUCUCUGCUACUGUUAUAUAUGAUUGCAUUGCAGGGACAUAGCAAUGGAGUACGUAGAGCCUGUUGUCGGCAUUGCAAAUUGUCUUGGAACUCCUGUUUGUAAAUAUUUGCAAUAUCACAGAAAGCUGAACGAUUAUGUGAGAAACUUCAAGAGGAUCAGAUAUGAAUUGAAUUGCAAAAUGGAAGAUAUAGAGCUGCAAUAGAAAGCAGAGCUUCUUCGUCCUCUGGGAAGAUAUCGAAGAAGGGAGUUGAAAUUUGGUUGAAAGCUGUGAAAGAGAUGAUUAGGGAAGCACAAGCUGUUGAAAACAAAGUCAGUAACGGGAGAUAUCUCUGUCGUGCUUGCAACGGGAAGCUGGUUGAUGAAAAGACUCGAGAAAUGAAGGAAUUUCUUGAUAACGCUCCUAAAGCCUCUGAACGUCUUGCCAUGGAUGGUCCAAGUGCUGGGUUGCCACUGGAAACAUCAGAACUAGUUGGAGAGGAAGCUGUCAGAAAAGAGAUUUGGGCAUGUUUGAUGCAGGAGGAGGUAAGCAAGAUUGGGGCUUGGGGGAUGGGCGGCGUGGGUAAAUCGACCAUAAUGAAGCACAUCCACAAUGAUCUUUUGAAAGAACAACGAUUUGAAAGGGUGGUUUGGGUUGCUAUAUCAAAGGAGUUCAAUAUUGUGAAGUUACAAAAUGAUAUUGCAAGUGCAUUGAAUGGAAAGAUGCCCGAAGAAGCAAACAAGGUCAGACGAGCAGCAAUCUUGUCCGAAAAGCUGAAGAGAGCAGGAAAACAUGUUCUAAUCCUAGAUGAUGUGUGGAGUGAAGUCUCGUUGGAAGAAAUUGGGAUCCCUAAGCCAAGUAGCAGCAAUGGGUACAAGUUGGUGUUGACAACCCGUGUGGAGCAAGUUUGUAAGUCUAUGGGCUGUAAGGUGAUAAAAGUGAAGCCCCUUUCAAAAGAAGAGGCAUUGAUACUAUUCUUGAGUGAAGUUGGACCUAACAUAGUGCAAAAUCAAACUUUAAUGCCAACUUUGAAGCUUGUUGUCAAGGAAUGUGCAGGUCUGCCUCUUACAAAUUGUUGUCAUAGCUGGUACAUUGAGAGGAGAAGAUGACCCUCUUAUUUGGAAAAACACACUCAGGGAAUUGAAAGAGAGAAUAGGGAAAGUGAAAGAAGGGGAAGAUAAAGUGAUCGAGAGUUUGAAAGUUAGCUUCAAUCACUUAAAAGACGAGAAAAUGAAGCAUUGUUUCAUACAUUGCGCAUUAUAUCCUGAAGAUUUUCAAAUUGGGAAGGAUGGGCUAAUUGAGUGCUGGAUUGAAGAGGGAUUCAUAGAUGAUAUGAGUACAAGACAAGAAAUGAAAGAUAAGGGCCAUGUUAUUUUGAAGAAAUUAGAAGAUAAUUGCUUGCUGGAAAAUGUCUCGAGUGAAACAGUAAAAAUGCAUGAUGCAGUGAGAGACAUGGCAUUGUCGAUCACAAGAAUGAAUCCUCGAUAUAUGAUACAAGCAGGUUCGCAAUUAGAAGAGUUACCAGAAAAGGAGCAAUGGAGUCCGGAUAUUGAGAAAGUGUCACUUAUGUAUAACUCCAUAUCAGAAAUUUCCAUAGAUGUGUUGCCCACAAAAUGUCAACUGCUCACAACCUUGUUAUUGCAGCAUAACCCUAUAAAGAAGAUCCCAUAUUCUUUCUUCACAAACAUGCCCUGUCUUAGUGUUCUCAAUUUGUCCUCUACGAAGAUCAAAAGUUUACCAAAUUCCAUCUCUGAACUAAAGAACCUCACAACAUUGUUGCUUUGUUGCUGUGUAGAAUUAAGAGAUCUGCCAUGUCUUUCGAUGCUUCAAGAAUUGAAUAAGUUGGAUCUUUAUGGGACUAACAUUGAGGAAGUCCCUGAAGGAAUGGAUAUGCUGAUAAAGCUAAGCUAUCUUGAUCUUACAGUGUUCACUCUGAAAGAGAUACCCGCUGGACUUUUACCAAAACUCGUUCACCUUCAGCACUUGAGUUUUGCUGGGAACAAUGAAAAAACAAGUCUAAAAGCAGAGGAGAUGGAACCAUUGAAGAAGUUGGAGCGCUUUACUGGGUGUUUCGAAGACACAAGUGAAUUCAAUAAGUUCAUCUCUUCAAUGCAACAAAGUAAGAAAAGUCUCAUCAAGUACCAUUUACGGGUGGGCUCAUAUUUUAUUCCUAUGUGGAGGACUCCUAAAAGAGAUAAAACAAUAGUAAUUGGAGGAGUGGACAAUUGGGAAGGUGAGUUAAUUAUGCACCCAAUUGAAAUUCAAGAGUUGCAUAUUAUUGAGUGCGACUAUGUGAGAAGCCUAGUCGAUGACAAUUCUUCCUUCAAAAAUGCGAUUGACUUGAGGGUUUGUAGGAUUUGGGGGUGUGAAGGGAUAGAGUGUGUUGUUUCCCUGUCCUUUUUUGCCUCUUCUUCCGCUCAUCCAUUUCAGAGCCUCGAGAUGUUGGAUCUUGAACAUCUGCCAAAGUUUAGUGCCCUUAUUAUGAAUGAUACAGGAAUUGGUUCAGCAACAUCAACAGUGGCUCCGUCUGCCAGCUUUUCCCAUCUUAAGGAAAUUAAGAUAAUGAACUGCUCAAGUAUGAAGACGUUGCUUCCACAUUGGUUGCUUCCAAACCUCCAAAACCUGGAAGAAAUUUGGGUGUCACACUGUGAUGAGUUAGAAGAAAUAUUGGGAGCAGCAACAUCAGAAGUUGAAGAAAAAGGGAGUGAUGCAUUAAUCAAAUUCCAUCAUCCCAAAUUGAGAAAGUUGGACUUGUGGGUAUUACCAAAUUUGAAGAGCAUUUGCAGCAAAAGUGGAGUGAUGGUUUGCGAUUCUCUCCAACUUAUCCAAGUUCUAGACUAUUAUAAACUGAAGAGAAUUUCUCUAUUUGUUCCCCUUGUUGGCAAUGGGCAGCCAUUUGCAUAUGCUCCACCUUCUCUUAUCAUCAGGUCAAUCACAGAAUGGUGGGAAUCGUUGGAGUGGGAUGACCAUCCAAACUUUAAAAAUGUUCUUCAACCCCUUUGGAAGGAUAAGAGGUGUGAACUAUUUAUGGUUUAGUUUAUUUUUUUAGUUUGAUAAAUCUAAUUUCUCCAACUCGAAUUUACUUUAAAUUAUAGAACUUGUAGUAAAAUUAUAUUUUAGUUUAUAAAAUAGGGUAUGUAAUCAAUAAAUUAUUUUUAUGCUAUCAGUCAUUACUAUUAUAUCAUAUUUACAUACAGUUAUCUAUUUUAUAUAUUUGAAUUUGAUGACCCAAAUAUUAAAAUUAUAUAUUUAGACAUCAAUACUAAUGAUUAGCCACCCAAUAGUUACUAAGAUGACAUGGCAUUGCUAAUCACUUGUCAAUAACUUGUGAAAUUGCCAUGUCAUCUUAUACGUUACAUAGCAUUUUAUUAUUUUUAAAUUAAAAAAAAGAUAAACUAUAAUUUUAACCAUUAAUUUUUCAAGAAGUUAUAUUUUAGUUAUCAAACUUUGAAAUUCAAAUUUUAGCUUAGCAGUUUUUUAGGUUUCUCAACUUUUCAUAUUCAAGUACCUUUGAGGCCCUCGGUGAACCAUUCAAUGGUUCUUCUUGGAGGUAAAACAUAUCUCCAAAAAUUGAUAGUUGGGUCUUUCCGUUAACCGUUCUACGACUUUCCACGAAUGUGAGACAUAUCUCUAAAAAUUAAUAGUCGAGGCCCUUCAUGAACCAUCCAGCGGCUCUCCAUAAAGGUGAUGCAUAACACCAAAAAUCGACAAUCAAGCCUCCCAUAAACUGUUUAGUCACUCUCCAUGAAGAUGAGGCAUAUCUCCAAAAAACGACAGUGAGAUGUAUAUAUCUCUAAAAAUAUAACUCUAGACCGUUCAAUCAACAAUUAUACAACUCGUGAUAAUAUGCAUUAUAAAUUCCUCGAUUUUUGGGCUAAUAGAUACACUACUCACCAAAUCACAAAGUGAAAUUUAUACAAGUCAGCUACGAAUAAAAACACUAUCGCUAACACAUUGUUAAAAUAGAUAAAAGGCAUGAAUUUCAAUAAUCUCAUAAGUCAUUGUACAUUCUCAAGUCAAUGACUACCAUCCAUCAAACUACAAAGUGAAUUUCAUAUAAGCCAGACGAAAGCACUAUCCAUCAAUAUACCAAUAAAAAAAAUUAAGUCAAGACUUGGAUUCAGUUCAGUAGUGCAAUCCACGGUGUGAUUCAUAAAGGUAUUUAUCCACAGUAAAGGCACCCUUCCAGCAAUGGUUCAUUUUCAUUUCACUAAAGAUCAUUUAUCGAAUGGUAGCUCGCUUUAUUACAAUUCUAAAUAUUUGUAAAUUACCACAAUUUUUAUAAGAAAAAAAAAAGCAAAUAGUUCUCGUCCAGGACGCAUGUAAGAUCAUUUAUCGAACGGUAGCUCGCUUUAUUAUAUUAGCAUAGUCUUAAAUAGUUUCUAUUGCCUCCGAAAUUAGUUUGAUUUCAAACGAUUGCUUUACCUUCAACGUUAGCAUAAUUUAAAUGCUAAUGAACAAUUACAAUACGCCAACACAAUUCUAAAUAUUUGUAAAUUAUCACAAUUUUUAUAUGAAAAAUACAAGCAAAUUGACCUCGUCCACAACACAUGUAAGAUCUGAUUUUACCUCAGAUUUUUGAAAAACAGAGAAUGAUUUAAACUAAAUGAAAAAAAAAACCUGGAGAUAAUGAUUUUUUGUAUUUAAGAUGAGAGGAAGUAAUUAGCCGAUAACUUAAAAACACUAAUAGUUAAUUAAGAAUUUAGGUAUAGGUAUAGGUAGUUGACUGUUAGGAUUUGUUAAAUUAAUGUUCUCUUACAUCUGUUUCUUUUUGGAUUAAAUCCUGAACUGCAUAAAGCAAAAACGUGAGACAAAUUAAUGUUAGCUUGUGCUCCUUCAACUUUUUCGACUUCCAUCUUACUCUGAUUUCAACAUUUCAUUACCACUCUCCAUUAUUUAUAUCUCCUUCUCCUGCAAUGGAAGCUGCAGGUUUCAGAGCUGCCAUAAAUAAGGAUUUCAUAGCUCAAGAACUAGACAAUGACAGGGAAGAUGACCAAGAAGAAGAAGGGGUUGCUAUGAGAAGGUAGGGUUCAGUGAUGGCUUGUCACAGCUUAUGCUACCAAUCUUAAGAACCAAAACAUCAACUUACUAUACUAUGAUGAAGGAUUUUAUAAAAACGUCAGGUAUCAGAAUUAAAAUUCAAUUAUCCAAGGGAACCUAAGGGAUAACAUCUGAAGGAAAUUCAGAUUGUUCAAGAACAAAUUUGAAAUUUAAUGGCAGAUUAGGUAUCCAAUCAGCUGAACCGCUAAAGCGAUUGAAAGCUUGGUAGAAUAUUAUGUUCCAAUGCUACAAAUUCAACUUUAGUUUCCUUCAUUAUAGUUUUCCUAUGUAUAGAAAGCUUAGGAUACCACACAAAAUAUGCAUAACAUUCUAUCCAACAUAAGAAAGGUACAAAAAAGAGUUCGUUAUCAUACGGAAACAGGUGAAGUUGCCACACUUACAGAUCACUAAAAUUUUACAACAAUGAUGGAAAUGUCAUCCUUGCUCUUUCUCUUUACAGCUUCCUCAGUUAGGUGCUUUGCAGCAGAUCGAGCAUCCUUAAUGCCUUUGAUAGCAUCGACAGCUUCUUGGUUUGACAUUACCUGGAAUUUAAGGAACGGACCAUUAAAUCUCAGGUUAAUGUGAUUGGAUAGGGCUUACCUUCCAUAAACCAUCACUAGCCAAUAUUAUGAGGUCAGUAUCAUCGUCGAUUGUUUCAAUGCUCACAUCUGGCUCCGAAGUAAGAUGUUUCCUUAAACUCUUGUCACCAAAUGCUCUCGCCACCACAAGCUGGCCGUCAACACGUGCGACAUCCCCUGAAACAAAAACAAUAUAUAUCAGGAAAAGCUGGUGUAACCUUGAGCGUCAUCCCCAAAAGAUCAGGCACCCAUUACCUGGAAAGUUCGAAACAAAACCACCUCUAUUUUCAAUGCUCUCCUUUCAGAAGCGGGCUCAUGAUCAACUGAAAGCUGCUUAGGCACACCGUUCUUAGAAAUCACAGCCCGGGAAUCGCCAACAUUUGCUAUUACCAGCUUCUGGCAGUUGAUCAAUAUUGCUGUCACUGCCCCAAAUCAAUGGCUUGUUCCAAUAUAUUUGUAUCCGUUAAACGAUACGCUUUCCUAAUCGCAUUCUCUGGUUCCGACCAAAAGUCGGGCUGCUCGCAUAAAAAGAAACAGAGGCGCUUAGUUAAAACUACAAGCAAAACACAGUCAAUGCAUAGGAAAAAGAUACCGUAAGAUCCAGCUUAUUAUAGUUUACCUCAUUCAAGAUAUAGUUAAACAAGUUCGCCUUCAAAUAACCGGGAAUUACAUGGCUCAAAUGGCCAUCGAAUAUGGCAAAUAAACCGAGCUCACUGCCAUUGACUUGCUUAAACUCCGGGAAAACAUAGUCCCCCAUUGGAUGAUUCGCUUUCCCCUUCACUAAAUGAUAACCAUGCGUUAUAUUCUUCGACAUCUUACUCUUCCCUUUUCCAGAUUCAGCAUUAUUAGAAGGGUUUAAGCCAACUUUUUCUUGAACUUUCUCCUGCAGUGAAUCAAUAUAAACAGCUCAAUAAGCAGUAAAUUUACACGUUUCCUAGAAAUCGCCAUUGAUGAAGAAAAACAUGCCAUCACCCGUAAAGCAUUGUGGUGGAAAUGGGUUAAUUCCUUUCCAAAAUGCAGUUAAUUGAUUCAAAACUUUUUAACAAUUUCAUUUUCUUGGGAAAUUAUUGAGGUCAAAUCAUCCAAAAACAUCCAAUUCUUCCCACAAACUAGUUCUUGGAAACAAUUUACUCCAAUUUCCAAAUUUCCAAGAAAAAACAAUCAUAAUCAAACCCCAUAUAUAAUAAAUCCAAAAUCAAUCACUUUAAGAUGCUGCAAAUGGGUGCAAAUGGGUUAUUUCAAAGAAAAAUCAUAACCCAUUUUUUCAGGAUUUUGCUUUGCUCAGUUGGAUUUAGUAAUUAUUACUUAAAACUACAAGAUUUUGGGUUUUACAAAUUAAGUAAUGGUUUUCAAAUUUUAGUACUCUAAAAUUUUCACUCCAAAAUAAAGUAAUCACUUAAAGUGUUUUUUUAUAACAAAAUAAAUAGUUUUAAUGAUUGUUUUCUUAAAAAUUGAAAAGUGAUUUGUCAGAAUUAAUAUUAUCAAAACACACAAUUUCAAUUUUAUUUUUUAGGUUUUUAAACAAGUCAAUAUAAUUCUUCUAGAUUCAACCAUAAUAAACCAGGUUUGUGGCGUUACAAUUUUUUUCCUUAAUUUAUAAAUAUAUUAUCAAUUUUUCUUUGAUUUUAUAUAAAAAAUUAAAAUCAUUUAUAUAAUAGAAAAAUGUAUAUAAAAAUCUAGAAAAAUAAAAUCUUGAAUAUGUUGUUGAAGAACUAAAAUGUAUGAGCAAUAAAGAAAAGUAUCAUUCAAUAGAAUCCAAUAACAAAUUAGAAACAAAACAAAAUAAAGAAAGUUUAGUUUCAUGCUCUUGAAGAACAUCUAGGACUGGUAUUACAUAGUGCAAAAUCAAACUUUAAUGCCAAUUUUGAGGCUCGUUGUUGAAGAAUGUGCGGGUCUACCUCUUACAGUUGUCGUCAUAGCUGGUACAUUGAGAGGAGAAGAUGACCCUCUUAUUUGGAAAAAUACACUAAGGGAAUUGAAAGAGAGAAUAGGGAAAGUGCAAGAAGGGGAAGAUAAAGUGAUCGAGAGUUUGAAAGUUAGCUUCAAUCACUUAAAAGACGAGAAAAUGAAGCAUUGUUUCUUACAUUGCGCAUUAUAUCCCGAAGAUUUUGGAAUUGAAAAGCAUGGGCUAAUUUGUUGGAACAAUGGCAGCAGCAAACAUCAAAACAAAGUUGCAACUCAGUGUUUGCAAGACUGAAGCAAGAAGAAUCGAGGCAAAGCAAAGCAAAAAUUUGGUAAAAAAAAAUCAAAAUACUCAGCAAUGUUGUGACUGAACAUACAUCAUUUUUCAUUCAACUUGAAAUAUAUAAAAGAGUUACAUUGUACAUUGACAGUUACCUAAUGUAUUUAACUGCCCCAACUAAUACAAACCUAAUCACUAGCCAAAAAAAUAAUCAAACAUAGCUGACCAAUCAGCCAUUACAUCAAAAGAUCUUGUCACUAACUUAAGUUUAACUAGUAUUACAAACAAACUAAAGUUGAACUGAACCAAAUUACAUCAAAACAAAGCAGCAAAGUUGGUUGCUUCAUUCGGUUCAAAAACCAUUCGUGCGCACCAAGCAAAAUGAGCUGAGCUCGAUAGCUGCUGGUCUCGACAGUAGCAAGCUUUUGGCUCCAUGUUGCAUUGCAGUCCAGCUUUCAACACUCCUCCUUGGACUGUAUGCAACACAUUCCAAUUGCACUUCUCAAAGAUUCAAAUCGAGCAGCCCCUAAGGGCUUGGUCAUUAUGUUAGCCAAUUGUGCUCCUGAGCUGCAAUGCACAAGGCUGACUUCCUUUGCUUGUUCAGCCUCUCUAACAAAAUGCAAUUUGAUCUUAAAAUGCUUAGUCUUGCAAUGGAACACAGGGUUCUUGGCUAUUGCAACUGCAGACUGAUUGUCCACCCAGAUUUCAGUUGCUUCAUCUUGAGUUUCAUUAAGGUCAUAAAGCAGCUUUCUUAGCCAAAUGGCCUGAUUAACUGCUCCUGCUGCAGCAAUGUACUCUACUUCAGCUGUGGACUGAGCAACAGUUUGUUGCUUCUUAGAACUCCAGCAAAACAUGCCCGAUCCAAUUGUGAAGAAGUAUCCAGAGGUACUCUUCAUGUCAUCGAGAGAUCCUGCCCAGUCGCUGUCAGAGUAGCCUUCUAGUUUCAGUUGGUUCUGACUUUCAAACAUUACACCAAAACUAGCAGUGCCCUUGAUGUAUCUAAGGAUCCUCUUUGCUGCCUUCAAAUGUGCCUCAUUGCAACAAUGCAUAAAUCUCGAUAACAGGCUGACACCAAACAUGAUAUCUGGCCUGGUUGCUGUUAGAUACAACAGACAACCAACUAGGCUUCGAUAGUGCCUCUCAUCAACCCUCUGCUGAUCACCACUGCUAGUCAGCUUUUCUCCUUGAGCCACAGGUGUGCUGACUGCUUUACAGUUAUGCAUGCAAAAUUUGUCUAGGAUCUUCAAAGCAAAUGAGUGUUGGCUGAUGAAGAUACCUCGAUCAGAUUGGUGCACUUCCAUGCCAAGGAAGUAAGUCAUGAUCCCCAAAUCUGUCAUCUCAAACACUUGCUGCAUUUGGACCUUGAACUGAUCAAUGAGCUCGAUUUUGCUCCCUGUCACAAGCAAAUCAUCCACAUACAAGGAGACUAUCAGCAAGGUUUCAUGUUCUGACUUUUUAACAUAUAGAGUAGGCUCACUAAGACUCUUUACAAAUCCAAGUUUGGUCAGGUAGGCAUCAACUCUGUCAUACCAGGCCCUUGGUGCCUGUUUCAGGCCAUAGAGGGCCUUUCUCAACUUAUACACUUUGUCUUCAUGUCCAACAACUUCAAAACCUUCAAGUUGCUCGAUGAAGAUCUCCUCCUUGAGAAAACCAUUCAGGAAUGCUGAUUUGACAUCCAAUUGGUGAACUCUCCACUGCUUCUGAGCUGCUAAAGCAAACAGCAGCUUAAUUGUAUCCAGUCUUGCCACUGGAGCAAAAGUUUCUAGGUAGUCAACACCAUACUGCUGACUGUAGCCCUUCACCACAAGCCUGGCCUUGUGCUUGUUCAGUGAGCCAUCAGCAUUGUACUUGGCCCGAUACACCCAUUUAACUCCUAUGACCCUCUUGUGUUCUGGUCUGCUCACCAACUCCCAAGUCUGAUUUUUGUUGAUCAUUUCCAACUCAGCUUCCAUAGCUUUCAUCCAGCUUCUGUUUUUAGCAGCCUCUUCAAAGUCUGAGGGCUCAAUCACAGCAACAUUGCACCUCUGAUAAACAUCAACCAAAGUUCUGGUGCCCCUCACUGGUAUAUCAUCGACAGCAUCAUUACUUGGUCCUUCUUCUGCAGGUUCAGCAACCAAGUUUAACUGGUCCAAUUCAGACAAGUCAGCCACAACACCAUUCCAAUUCCACACCUUUUCCUCAUCAAACUUUACAUCCCUGCUGACUAAAACCUUCUUUGCUGUAGGAUCAUACACUCUAUAGCCCUUCUUGUUGCUGCUGUAGCCAACAAAGAUUCCUGGAGUUGCUCUGCUCUCAAGCUUGGUCCUUUUCUCUACUGGAAUAAGUGCAUAACAUACACAGCCAAACACUUUUAAGUGUGUUACCACAGGUUUGACUCCAUGCCAAGCCUCAAAAGGAGUCUUAUCCUUGACUGCUCUAGUUGGCAGUCUGUUGAGCAGAUACACUGAGGUGUUGACUGCCUCAGCCCAAAACUGACUUGGAAGCUUGCCUUGAAACAAGAGGCACCUGGCCAUGUUCAGUACAGUCCUAUUCUUUCUCUCACAGACUCCAUUCUGUUGAGGAGUAUAGACUGUUGUGAGCUGAUGGUGAAUCCCAGCACUGUCACAAAGCUUCUGAAAUCUCUCAGACACAUAUUCAGAUCCAUUAUCAGUCCUCAAGGCUCUAAUUUUGCAGCCUGACUGAUUUUCAGCAUAAGCCUUGAAUUUGCAGAAGGCUUCAAACACUUCUGACUUUUGCUUCAAGAAGUAGACCCAGCACAACCUUGUUAAAUCAUCUAUAAACAAGGCAAAGUACCUGUUCUCACUGAUUGAAGGUGUUCUCAUAGGGCCACAAACAUCAGAGUGCACCAAUUCGAGCUUGUCUUGAGCUCUCCAAGCACUGUCAGCAGGAAAAGGUAGUCUAGCCUGCUUACCAAGCUGACAAACCUCACAAACAUUCCCACUAGCUUCAAUUUUUGAAAUGUCAUCAACCAGAUUCAGCCUAUGUAACAGAUCGAUGGAUCUAAAAUUUGCAUGGCCUAGUCUCCUAUGCCACAAGUCAGUGCUUUCAACAAGGCUGGUGUAUGCCUUUCUUUCUAUUUGGCUAACAUCCAGCAUGAAGCACCUAUCAGUCAUAGAGACUGUGACUAACUCCAGACCAUUCAUGUCUUGAACAAUACAGCAACCAUCCUUAAAAACCAAUGUAUAGCCCUUUUCAACUAAUUGGCCUACACUAAGCAAAUUCUGGUCUAAGUCAGGUACAAAAAACACAUCUGAGAUCAGCUUGUACCUGAACCAGUGCUAAUCAACACACUGCCCUUGCCUUUAGCCUCAAUCAGCCUACCAUCUCCAAUUUUAAUCCUCGAGUGGAAGCUUCUGUCUAGGCUUUUGAACAGCUUCUCAUCUGCUGCCAUAUGGUGUGAGCAGCCACUGUCUAGUAGCCAAUCAUUGCUGGCCUUGGUUGUGCCAACAAAACAAGUUGCUGUGAACACUUGCUCCUCCUGAGCUUGAAUGUCCUCAGCAGGUCUAGCUUGUUGCAGAGUAGCCUCCCUUGGUUUGCCCUUGCACACCUUCUCCACAUGGCCAAACUGUUUGCAUUUUCUACACUGAAUAUCUGGCCUAAACCAGCAAUACUUUUCUGAAUGUGUUGUCUUCUUGCAAUGAACACAUGGUGGGAACACCCUUUUUGCUUCAUCUCUUCCUGACUUGACCCUUCUAUUGUGCCAAGGCUUCUUGCCUUUUGCACUCACACUCGAGCCUUCACUGGCUUUAGCCUGGAAAGCAGCUUCAGGAUUCUCCUCCUGCCUAUUUGCCCUCCUUUGCUCAAGUGCAUAUAGGGAAUUUAUCAGCUCAGACAAUGAAAUGGCUGAUAAGUCCCUCGAGUCCUCAAGUGAAGAGAUUUUAGACUCAAAUUUCUCAGGGAGAGUUGUAAUAACCUUUUCAACAACUCUGCUCUCUGUGAAGUCCACUCCCAGGAGCCUAAUGCUGUUGACAAUGGCCAUUAUCCUGUCUGAGUACUGCUUGAUGGUCUCAGACUCCUUCAUCCUCAAAUUUUCAAAGUCUCUCCUGAGGUUGAUUACUUGCUGUUGCCUUGUCUUAUCAGUCCCCAUGAACUCCUCCUUCAGCUUCUCCCAAGCCUGCUUAGGUGAGCCACAGGCCAUGAUGCGAGUAAAUAUCACAUCAGAGACUCCAUUUUGCAAGCAGGCCAUAGCCUUAUGCUUCUUGGCUCGCUCCUCAGUAUGUUGCCUCAUCUGUGCAAUGGUGGGAUAGGCUCUCAAUGGAGGUGGUUCAGCAUCAUUCUCGAUCACACUCCAAAGAUCAUGUGCCUGGAGAUAAGUCUUCAUUUUAACUAUCCAAAUGUGAUAGUUUUCUCCAGUGAACACUGGUGGAGGUGGUGGAGUGAAACUCAUUCUGCUAAACUGAUUUUAAAUGCUUCAAUCUUACCAAAUUUUGAACUUGUUGUUGGUUUUGAUUCGAACACAACAGAUUGCAUACAAAAGCCCCUUAAAGACUCGGGCUCAUGAUACCAUUUGUUGGAACAAUGGCAGCAGCAAACAUCAAAACAAAGUUGCAACUCAGUGUUUGCAAGACUGAAGCAAGAAGAAUCGAGGCCAAGCAAAGCAAAAAUUUGGUAAAAAAAAAAUCAAAAUACUCAGCAAUGUUGUGACUGAACAUACAUCAUUUUUCAUUCAACUUGAAAUAUAUAAAAGAGUUACAUUGUACAUUGACAGUUACCUAAUGUAUUUAACUGCCCCAACUAAUACAAACCUAAUCACUAGCCAAAAAAAUAAUCAAACAUAGCUGACCAAUCAGCCAUUACAUCAAAAGAUCUUGUCACUAACUUAAGUUUAACUAGUAUUACAAACAAACUAAAGUUGAACUGAACCAAAUUACAUCAAAACAAAGCAGCAAAGUUGGUUGCUUCAUUCGGUUCAAAAACCAUUUGUGCGCACCAAGCAAAAUGAGCUGAGCUCGAUAGCUGCUGGUCUCGACAGUAGCAAGCUUUUGGCUCCAUGUUGCAUUGCAGUCCAGCUUUCAACAUAAUUGAUAGCUGGAUUAAAGAGGGAUUCAUAGAUGACAUGAGUACAAGACAAGAAACGAAAGAUAAGGGCCAUCUUGAGUGUAACAGUGAAAAUUCAUGAUGCAGUGAGAGACAUGGCAUUGUCGAUAACAAGAAUGAAUCCUCGAUAUAUGAUACAAGUAGGUUCGCAAUUAGAAGAGUUACCAGAAAAGGAGCAAUGGAGUCCGGAUAUUGAGAAAGUGUCACUUAUGUAUAACUCCAUAUCAGAAAUUUCCAUAGAUGUGCUGCCCACAAAAUGUCAACUGCUCACAACCUUGUUAUUGCAGGAGAACCCUAUAAAGAAGAUCUCAAGUUCUUUCUUCACAAACAUGCCUUGUCUUAGUGUUCUCAAUUUGUCCUCUACGAAGAUCAAAAGUUUACCAAAUUCCAUCUCUGAACUAAAGAACCUCACAACAUUGUUGCUUUGUGGUUGUGAAGAAUUAAGAGAUCUGCCAUGUCUUUCGAUGCUUCAAGAAUUGAAGAAGUUGGACCUUUCUGGGACUAAAAUUGAGGAAGUCCCUGAAGGAAUGGAUAUGCUGAUAAAGCUAAGAUAUCUUGAUCUUAGAGUGCGCACUCUGAAAGAGAUACCCGCUGGAGUUUUACCAAAACUCGUUCACCUUCAGCACUAGGGUUUUCAUGAGAACAAUGAAAAAACAAGUCUAAAAGCAGAGGAGAUGGAACCAUUGAAGAAGUUGGAGUACUUAACCAGACAUUUCGAAGACAUCAGUGGAUUCAAUAAGUUCAUCUCCUCAAUGCAACAAAGUAAGAAAAAUCUCAUCAAGUACUUUUUACAGGUGGGCUCAUAUAAUGUGUGUAUUGGAAGGGAGAAAACAGUAACAAUUGGAGGAGUCCAGAAUUGGGAAGGUGAGUUAAUUAUGCACCCAAUUGAAAUUCGAGAUUUGACUAUUACAAGGUGCGACUAUUUCAGAAACUUAGUCGAUGAUGAUUCUUCCUUCAAAAAUGCGAUUGACUUGAGGGUUUGUAGGAUUUGGGGGUGUGAAGGGAUAGAGUGUGUUGUUUCCCUGUCCUCUUUUGCCUCUUCUUCCGCUCAUCUAUUUCAGAGCCUCGAGGUGUUGUAUCUUCGUGAUCUGCCAAAGCUGAGUGCCCUUAUUAUGAAUGAUGCAGGAAUUGGUUCAGGAACAACAUCAACAUUGGCUCCGUCUGCCACCUUUUCCCAUCUCAAGGAAAUUAUGAUAGUGAACUGCUCAAGUAUGAAGACGCUGCUUCCACAUUAGUUGCUUCCAAACCUCCAAAACCUGGAAGAAAUAGAUGUGGAUGCUUGUAGUCAGCUAGUAGAAAUAUUGGGAGCAGCAACAUCAGAAGUUGAAGAAAAAGGGAGUGAUGCAUUAAUCAAAUUCCAUCUUCCUAAACUGAGAGUGCUGUCAUUCUGGGAAUUACCAAAUUUGAAGAGCAUAUGCAGCAAAAGUGGAGUGAUGGUUUGUGAUUCUUUCCAACUUAUCCAAGUUGCUGGAGACUGUUAUAAACUGAAGAGAAUUCCUCCAUUUGUUCCUCUUGUUGGCAAUGGGCAGCCAUUUGCAUAUGCUCCACCUUCUCUUACCAUCUUCUCAAGCACAGCAUGGUGGGAAUCGUUGGAGUGGGAUGACCAUCCAAACUAUAAAAAUGUUCUUUGCUUCAACCCCCGUUGAGGAUAAGAGGUAUGAACCAUUUAUGGUUUAGUUUAUUUUUUUUUAUUUUGAUAAAUCUAAUUUCUCCAUAUUAAUAAAAUUUGAAGUAUAUUUGUGAAGAUGUUGAAGAGAAAGAUAAAAGGGUUGGUGGGAAAGAAGUAGGGGAGAGGAUAGUGCAAAAGAGAGGAGAAAAGGAAUAAUGGAAGGAAGAGGUUAAGAGCAUGGAGACUGAGAGGCAAAGGUAAAUAAGAAAUCAAACUGCCUCCACUUUUUAAGCAUUUUCCCUCUCUUGCCAUUCCUUCUAUUCUCUUAUAUAUUCUUCUCUAGUAUAUAAUAUAUAUACUUCCCAAAAUAACCUUCUAAAUAUUUAUUAUUAAAAUAUUUAUAUUAAUCAAAAUGACUUAAGGUGAGACAAAACUAUGAUCAUAGUUUUAUUUCCAAUAAAAGUUAGGAAAGUAUUGUAAAAAGACAUAAUAUUUUUUAAUUUCCAUGUAAAAUUUCUGGAAACAUUAAGAUUUAAAAAAUAAUAAUAUAGUUAGAAAUUAAUACCAAGAUAGCUACCCAGAAGCAAUAUAAUGUUGAAAUCCCAAACUGUUGAACAUUUUACCUCUUAAUAUUCUAUUGCACACUUGAAUCCAGCAUUUUCUAUACAUUGAGAGGUUAAUUCUGGAUAUACAAAUUUCAUCAUGUUUCUGUCUGCCACCCAUCCAUGGCUCCAUCUAAUAAACGCCAUUGCUUCAAACUUGCAUUCAUGCUUACACUGACAUAUCAAAAAGCCAAUACAUUCACAGAUUUUCAUUAUCUGCUACUAUUAUAUAUGAUUGCGUUGCAUGGACAUAGCAAUGGAGUACGUAGAGCCUGUUCUUGGCAUUGCAAAUUGUCUCGGAACCCCGGCUUAUAAAUACUUGCUGUAUCACAGAAAGCUCAAUGAUUAUGUGAGAAACUUCAAGAGGACGAGAGAUGAGUUGAAUUGCAAAAUGGAAGAUAUAGAGUUGCAAUUGAAAGCAGAGCUUCUUCGUCCUCUGGGGAAGAUACCGAAGAAGGGAGUUGAAAAUUGGUUGAAAGCUGUGAAAGAGAUGAUUAGGGAAGCACAAGUUGUUGAAAACAAAGUCGGUAACGGGAGAUAUCUCUGUCGUGCUUGCAACGGGAAGCUGGUUGAUGAAAAGACUCGAGAAAUGAAGGAAUUUCUUGAUAACGCUCCUAAUGCCUCUGAAGGUCUUACCAUGGAUGGUCCAAGUGCUGGGUUGCUACUGCCAACAUCAGAACUAGAUGGAGAAGAAGCUGUCAGAAAUGAGAUUUGGGCAUGUUUGAUGCAGGAGGAGGUGAGGAAGAUUGGGGUUUGGGGGAUGGGCAUAAAAAAUUAUUAAAAUAGAUCAUUGCUAAUUCUCUCUUUUCUUAAUCGGUAAGUUUCUCUCUUCAAAUCCUUUUAUUUCUUUAUUGAAUCCAUCGCAUAUCAUUUGCAAACCCAUUUCUGUACAGUUUGUUUGUUCAAUUUUUCUUUUUCCAGUUUUUUUCUUGAUUUAGAUGGAAGAUUCUUUUUGUAGCAUUUGAAGAGUUUCUAAAAAUUUUAGGGUUUUCCUAAAUCUAACUUUCUUGACACCACGUGCACGUAUAAAUUCCUUUCGUGGAGAUUAUUUAUCAUGUUUGUGUGUUUCGUCUUUUGAGGUUGAGCUAUUUUUAUUUUCAAAAAUAAAUAUUUAUUUUCUUUUGCAUUUAUUUCUAAGAUCACCAUAAAUUGUUUAGGGUUGUCGAUUUUGGGGAUUUUAUGGAUAAAUUUUUUUUCAUAUCAGAUGCUCCAACUUUGUGCUUAUGAGUGAUCUUCAAACCUAGGUUAAUGCUGCUCUGACGAAUGAAGAUACUUGCAUGGAUGGAUUCUUAAGCAGGGCUAUGAAUGGGUAUGCAAAGAUGAUGGUGAGGAAACGAAUUAUUAAGAUUACACAAUUGACGAGCAAUGUUUUGGCUCUCACCAAUGACUAUUCUUCAUCUCAGAUCCUUCAUUGAUUUUCUUGAGAAAAUUUUGAUGGCAAGGAAAGCAUUGUGUUUCAUGGAUUUAUGUUCAGUAUGGGAUUUUACGAUUUUCGAACAGGACUUAAGUUUUUAAGGUAUUGUAGAUUGUGUUCUCAAUUCUAUGUUUGUGGUUCUUGAGUUUUGCAAUUGUAUCAGUUUGAAUAUGAAAUUUGUGUUAGUGUAUGUUUAGGGUUUUUUUAUUGUUCUUUUAAUAAUUUUAAAACCAUUUACUAACGUGGUAAAUAAGAGAAAAUAAUGUUAUGUUAGUAUCUAAAUUUAUUUGGACCGUCAUGUCAGAGGUUAAUGUUGACCGUUAAACAACUAACGGUCACAUCAGCCUCUAUGUUAAAAACGAACCAAUUUGUUAGAAAUUUAAAUUUUACACUAUAAAAUUAAUUUUUAAAAUUAACUAUUCAAUUUGUAAUUGAUUUUAUUAAAUUAAAAUAUUCACUAAUGUUUAAAAAUAUUCUCCAUGUUAAUUAAAAAAAUAUUUAAGAAUUCAGUUAAAUGGUAAUCAAUUUAUAUUAAAAUAUCAGCUUUAUUAGUUGUAUUAUUUCAUUAAUGUUCUUAUAAUAUUAUUUCAUUUUUAUUUAUAGACACCAACUUUAAAAUUAGAAGAGAAUUAAUUUACGAGAAGACAUGAUUCAUACUGUAAAUGAUAAAUAAGAUAUUAUAAAUUAAUAUGAUUAAAAUUUAAAUAAUACACAAAGAGUAGCAAAAUAAAUUGAAAACAUUUGAUAUGGUCUAAAUGAACUAUUUAAUAAAAGGAUUAUAUAUUUUGAAAUGGUGAUUUGAGAGACAACUAUAUAAUAAAAGGAUUAUAUAUUUUGUCUUUUAUAAAUAAUUUGUGAUCAAAGAUGACUCACAUAUGUUUUCCAAAGUUGUGGUAAAUAUAUAUAUAUAUUCCUAUCAAGCAAGUUGACAGCUGAAGGGUGCAAAUUUGACUUUGCUAAAUUCUCUAGCAUCAAAGAGGCAAGAUAUGCUGCAAACAAGACAUAAACCAAUAUCAACAUGGUGAUUCCAAAAUUCAGAAGACACUAAACCCCUACUUUUGUAUGAUAGAUGAAAUAUGAUGUACAAAUUUACAGUCAUGGAAUUAGGUGCACUGAAGAUAAUUCAGUGUUAAAAUCAAAGAAAUUUAUCAUUAUUUUUGUUAAUUGUAAAAUUGUGCAUAAACUGGAAAAAAUGUUUCAUUGCCAUUACAAGAAUUUCUUUAAAGUUAAUAGUUUGAGAGAUAAUUUUAAGUAAGAAUUGGAAGGCAUUGUUAUAAAGAGAAUCUGAAGAAAGUAAUUUCGUUUUGAGUUUCAAGUGAAAGGAAUGAAAGAAAGGUUGCUUAAAUAAAUACGGGAUUGGAUAUCGAGCUGUUUUGAAUAGUUGGAGCGAAGGACACAUGGACCAUAUGGAAUUCAAGUCUACUAAAGUAAUGCUAAUCAGGUUCCUCUUUAGAAAUGACAACUUUUCAAAACAUUAUCAAUCUACCUUGAAAGGUGGCAUCAGUGAAAGAAUCAAUCAUGAAAUAUUAAAAUUAUACUAAAAUUACUACAAAGAUUUAUUUCCCUAUAAAUAAACAUUUUCUUAUUCUUCCUUAAAAAUUAUUAACAUGAUUUUAUCUUAAUAUACAUGUGUUUAUAUAUAUUUACGUCCCAAAAUAGCCUUCUAAAAUAUUUAUUUUAAAAAAUAAUUUAUAUAAUACAUAUAACAAUUAAUUAUAAACUUAUUUUGAUAUGAUGUCAAAAUUAAAUAUUAUAACGGUCCUUUACCACAUUCAACACUAACUUUUAUUUUAUAAUUUUUGUUUAAAAAAUAAACUUUAAAUUUUAUAUAUAUAUAAAAAAGCAUGCAUAGGCUUCAAAUUUUAAGUUAAAAAUAUGGGAUAAUAGUUUACUAUAGACCCAUCCAUGGGCCCUCGACCAGAGUCGGGUCUAUAUAGAUAAAGUUUUUUAUAAUUCGGGUCAGCCCAACUCAAAUUUAAUUUAAAUAAUAAAAAAUAUUUUAAAAUUUAAAUUUAAUUAUAAAAACAUACUUUUAUUUUUUUUGAACAUUGAAAUGAGCUUUUUAAGUAGAUCGAGUUGGGUCGAAAACGGGCCCCUUUUACAAAAAUCGAUUGGCUUCUUUAUAGCCGAAUCUUUACAACCCAAAUAAUAUUUUUUUCAAUUUUUUCUCUAUUUCCCCCCCUUUUUUGCUUGAUGUUCGUGGUUUACUUGUUGCAGGUACAUGGAAACAGCAUGGGGGUUGCUACGACGUGGGGCGUGCACGGCGCUGGGGGUUGCUGUGACGUGGGGUGUGCACGACGCUGGGAGAGAAGGGGUUUCUAGAAUUAGGCUAACUGGGCUAGGCUAGAUUUGAGUUUGGGUUAUUGGUUGGGUCAAUUUUAAGUGGGCUGAGGCGAUUUGGGUAUUACAAACGCCACUAAAAAUUAAAGUUCUAAUAAAAAACGGCGCCGUUUUAUUAAGCUUUAAUGCAUAGUUCUGGCGUUUUUUGUAAAAACGCCACUAAAAAUUGAUUUACUUAAGUCAAACGGUUACGUUUUAAAAAAAUAAUUCUAAUCUUUUUAAGUAAUAUUUAUAAGAAUUAUAUAAAAUUAUAAAUUUUAGGUUUUUUUUUGUUUUUUGUUUAUUUCAUUUCUUAUAAUUUGGUCAUAUAUUUCCUAAAUAAAUAGUUAUACAUAAAUAUAUAUCCAUCCAUAUAUAUAUCAAUACUUUUUUUAACUUAUUUAUUAAUUCUAUUUAAACUAAUAUUUAAAUAUAUCAAAUCGCUUAGAUUAAAUUUUUAUAUUAUAAUUUUAAAAAAUAAUUAAUCUAAACCCAAAACCCUGAUCCGACCCUUGAAUUCCUAAACCCUAAACUAUUAACCUUUAACCCCUAACCCCUAAACUUUAAAUCUCAAACCCUAAGUCCAUACCCCCUAAUCCUUAAAAUAGUAAGCCCAUCCAAAAAAUCCCUAAAUCUUUAAUAAUCAUAAAUUAGUUAAAAUCGAUUAAACAUUAAUUAAUAGUUAAAAAUUUUGUAUAAAGUAGCAAUAAACAAUAUUAUCUUUAUAAUAUUUAUUUUUUCAUAUAAAGUUUGAAAUUUAUAAUAUUUUAUUUUAUUGAUAAAUGAAUAAAUUUCUCUAAUUAAGUAAUUUAUUAUAUUCUUUGUCAAAUAGAUAAAUGAAAACAACAAGGAGUAACAAGUAUAUGGGAUUUUUUUUAUUGAAGUGAUAAAAAUAGGAAUGAUAGCGAGUCAGGUAUAUGCAUAUUUUUGAAUGAUUUCAAUUUAAAUUCACAAAUUUAUUUAAGUAUUUAAAUGUUAUUCAUGAAUAAUUUGAGUAUUACUAUUCAAAUUCAAAUUUAAAUUAAAUAAUAUUAUCCAUCGAAUAUUUCAAUCCUAAAAAAAACCUAAAUUUAAAUUUUUAAUUUUUUUGUGGAUAUUUUCAAGUCCACAAAAACCUGAAUUUGAAUAUGGUAAAAUUAUUUUAAUAUAUAUAAUCACAAUUGUAAGAAUUUAGUAACUACUAGAUUUAUAUAUUUGAAAUUACAUUUGUUAUCUGAAUAAGAAAUGCAGAUUUAAAUAAUGGAUAUUCAAGGUAUCUUAUACCCACAUCCACUUCGAAUUCAUAUAGCAUAUAGCAAUUUUAAAAUCUGAAUCUAACUAUUAUUCCAACCUAAAAAAAAAAGUCUUAGAUCAUCAAUCUGAAUUUUCAUCUUUAACUAAAAUAUUCUUUAUUCCAUUAACAUAUGUAAGUGUCCACCGAGCUUUGUUCUUUAUUGUAAUAUUUAUUGAUUUUUUUCUAUUUCUUCAAGGAUUAUUUUUUUAUCGUGCUUUUAAUGUGGUGUUUUAUUAAUUUUUUUAGAUUUUGUUGGUUAAUAAUUUUUAUUUAUGUUGAAAAAUAAUGAAAAAAUAGUUGAUAUAUAUUGUUCGGAACCAAGAUAACUUGGUUGAAGAAAUGAAAGUGGGAGUGAAAGUGCAUUAUGAAGAAGCGUACUAUCUUUUACAAAUUUAUUAUCUCUUUUACAAUUAUAUACACAAACCAAAUCAUAUACCGAAACUAAAAACCCUAAACAAAUUUAUUAUUAUCUUUUUUACAAUUGUACAACCCAAUUUUGCCCAAAACCGGGCCCAUUACAAAACUCAAACAGACCAGCCCAAACCCGAACAACCCAGCAAACUCGGAGCCCAAUAGCUCAGGCCCAACAUCCUAAAAAAGUUGCUUAGGGUUUCAAAAAGUCUGAAACCCUAGCGCCGCAUCUAGGGUCUUUGACCCCUAGAUUUCAGCCGCCGCCGCCAUCGCCUUGCACCGCCACUGUCCCAUCGUCCCACUUGCGCCGUCACCUGCAAGGAAGAAAACAAAGAAAGCCACAGCAACCAAAGAGAGAGAAAUAAUAGAAUAUAAAAUACAUGUAAUUUUUGGGCUAUAAAAAGCUAGUGAUUAUCAUUGUAAGGGGUUCGGAUUCCCCUCUUUUACAAAUAUUUUCAAAAAUCAAAAGCAAACAAAGCGAUUGAAGGUGAUUUUCGCCUUUCACUUCUCUGUUUUUCUUACACUUUUCAUAAAAAUAUCAUUAUUUUUCGAUUUAUUUCUUUAAAAAACAAAAAAGGAGUAAAAAAUACCUUUUAGCGCCGCGCCGGAGGAAGAGGAGACGGACGGUUACUCCUCGUUUUGUGGGGUUAGGCUCGCCUUUUACAAGAUUCGGUGUUGGAUCCGUGUUUAGGAGGCCUUCGGCAUCAAAAAGGAACCGAAAAGGUUCCAUUUUGUACCUCCGGCCACCGCCUGCGGUGAGGAUACGACGGAGGUACGCCGGAGCGUUUGAUCGGAUCCAAGCCGGAGCCUUGAGAGGAGGAGGGGAGCUCUGUUGUUUUUUUAAAGAUGGGGGGGUUGAAAUGAGUUUUUAGAAAAUUUUUGGGCAUAAAUAGCCCUUUUAAAACGACGCCGUUUUGCCCUUAGGGGUCAGGUGACAAAACAACGCCGUUUUGGCCUUGACCCGCGCGGUGACCCGACCCAGGGGGAGGAUCCGCGUGUUUUCUUUAAAGGGUAUAAUUGCGCGCGCAGUCCUUCGACUCUGCAGCGCGUUUCAAUCAAGCCCCUUUUCGCUAUUUUCUUUUAUUUUCAAUCUAGCCCUAUAAUUUUAUUUUUGUUUCAAUUUAGUCCAAUGCAACGCCGCGUUUUUAGAACUCCGUCUAUUUACUAUUUUGGUCCCUCUCUGUUUGGCGCGAGUUACAAUUUAAUCCUUAUUUGUUUUUUUAUUUCGAUUUCGCCCAGUACUUUCGUUUUUAUUUCGAUUAAGUCCAUAUUUAGCAAUUUUAUUAUUAUUAUUAUUAUUAUUGUUAUUAGUAUAUUUAUUAAUAUUAUUGUCAUUAUUGUUAUGUUUUUUUAUUUCUAUUUUCUUAUGAAAGUUUUAGAUAUAUAUGUUUUAUUAUAUUAUUUUUAUUAUAUAAUUGUUUAUAUAUAUGCGUAUAUAUAUAUCUUCUUUUUUUAACUUAUUUAAUACAAAUACUCAUUUUUAUAUACAUAUCUAUCUUACAAUCUAUAUAUAUGCAUGUAUUUUUAUUAUCUUAAUAUAUACGUACAUGUUUUAGGAUAUAUAUAUAUAUACAAGUGUACAUUUAUCCCUUUGUUAGUAUUCAUGUACAUAUUUAUGUAUUUAUAUAUUUCCCUAAUAUAUACUAUAUUUUAUAUAAUAUGUUAUGUAUGUCCUAUAUACGUUCUAAUUUUCAUAUAUAUAUGUUUAAUAAUCUUAUAUAUGCAUAUUUUUAAUUUUCACAAAUACAUGCUUACAUAUUCUUAUAUGCACAUACGUAUAUUUUUAUGCUUUAUAAUUCUAAUACACACACAUACACAUACACAUAUAUAUAUAUACUAUAAUGUUAUCCAUUACUAUUGUUUCAUUUGGUGUUAAUUAAUUUAUUUAUCUACAUGCUUAUUAUUAUUAUUUGCUUAGGUGCUUUAAUUUUUAUUUGUUCAUUUACUUUUAUUUAUUGAUUUCUUUUUAUUAUAUGUUUGCCAUCUUAUUUAUUUAUCAAAAAAAACGGAAAAUUCAAAAAUAAAAACAACACUCGGUAUUUGGGAUCUUCGAGAGAAUCGAGCCCUAACGUAUUGGGUUUUGAUUUUCUUUGUUGAAUCUAAAUAAUCGAGAUUACCUUUUUUAUAAAAAAGACAUAAACGAAAACUCUUUACCGAGAAUUCAAUACGUCGUGUCCUAAUGCAUUGGACAUGAUACAUCGAUUUCUCGAGACGAGGAUUUUUCAAAAUAAUUGCAAUAUUCAAUGUUUAAUAUUUGAAGAAAUUGUACCCUAACGUAUUGGGUUGCAAUUUUUUCAUAUGACUUAAACAAUUAAACACUCUUUUAAACUUUUCUAUGCGAGUUUAGACUUGCUCAUUUCUGAAAAGGUAAGAUAUCGUACCCUAACGUAUUGGGUAUGACAUUUUCUCUUUCUGAAACGAAAAAGUCUUAAUAAGCAGCUCGAUUUUUAUAAAUUUUAUUUCAAAAUAAGGAUUGUAUUUUUAAAUUUCUUUAAAGUUCUCAGUUUUUCGACAUUAAGACAUUAACUAAUCAACUAGGUACCAAUUUUUGGGCGCUACGAGGGUGCUAAUCCUUCCUCGUACGUAACCGACUCCCGGACCCAUUUUCUGAAUUUCAUGGACCAAACUCGUUGUUUUUAAUAAAAUUAAAUUGUUUAUUAAAAACAACCAUUUUUCAAGGUGACCCGAUCACACCUCAUCAAAAAGAUCGGUGGCGACUCCCAUUUUUUUUCGUUUUUGUCAAAACCCAAGUUGACCCCGUUUUCAUCCCAAAAAAUGGUGUCAACAACAGUUAUAUAAGAACAUAUUUAAAAUAUAAAUUAAAAAACUAAUUAAUCUAAACCCAAUACCCUAACCCGACCCCUAAACCCUAGCUAAACCCUAAAUCCCUAACUCCCAACUCCCAACAUCUAACCCCGGCCCUAACCCCUAAACAUUAAAUCUCAGCCCUUAAACCAUAAUCCCUAAAUCCAUAUAUAUAUAUACUCCUGAUCAAUUAUAAUAACCUUAAAAUAGUAAUCCCUAAACCAACCUAAAAUAUUAAAUUAAUAAUUAUAUACCCUAAACCUAAAACCCUAAAUCAACAAUAGUGAUACUUAAUUCAAUAUUUUAAAUUUAAAUUAAUACUAUCUCUUUUACGAUUAUAUAAGAAUUUUUUUAAUAUAUAAAUUAAAAAAUAAUUAGGAAUCAUGUAACCAAAAAACUUUAAAAUUAUUUUAAAUAAUAGUCUUUUAAUUUUUCCAUGUGUUUUAUUUCAAAUUAAUUCUACGUGUUCUUUUUUUUCUGAAGAUUUUAAAUAUUCAAUUAGAAAUAAGUUGAAUUUUAUUUAAUUAAUAUAAAUAAUUAACCAAUUAAGGUAGAAUGUUUUUUGCGGCGCUUUCACAAAAACGUCGCUAAAAACACGAGCAUUAGCGGCACUUUUUCAAAUUGACCCUUAUUUUAUAUAAAAUUAUAAAAAAAAACUCAAAAUCAUUUAUAAAAUAGAAAAAUGUAUAUAAAAUUCUAGAAAAAUAAAAUAUUGAAUAUGUUGUUGAAGAACAAAAUUGUAUAAGAAAUAAAGAAAAAUAUCAUUCAAUAGAAUCCAAUAACAAACUUGGCAAAUAACAAAAUAAAAAAGUUAGAUCAUUACAUACUUCCUCAACGUGUCUCGAAACCAAAUUAGUAGUAUUAUCUAGUUGAGUUUCAUGCUCUUGAAGAACAUUUAGAACCGGUAUUACAGAGGCUUAUGAAAUCGACCCGGAAGUCAUUUUUUUUUAGUCAAAAGAUUACAAAAUAUACCACAAAAUUUUUUUUCAAACUCAAUUCAAGAUUUAAUUAUAUUUAAAUUAUUUUCCAUAACCCAAAUUGUAAAAACAAAUUAUGUUUCUUCUUCCAUGGUCGAGUUGGGCUUGGACAAGGUUUUUAUGUCUUGAGCCGUUACAACUUGAAUUCAAUUUAAAUAAUAAAAUUUAUUUUUAAAAUUCAAAUUUAAUUAAAAAUAUAAAAAUAUUUUUUAAUAUUUUAUUAUUUUCUAAACUCGCAAAUAGACUUUUUGGAUUGACCAAGCUAGGCUAAAAAUGGGUUAGGCUUGAAAAAAUAUUAGAUUAUUUAUAAGAGUAUAUCAAGGAGUCUAAUAAUUACAAUUUUUUUUGGAAGGUCUUAAUAACACUAGAAAUCUUAUCACACGCGUAUGCAUGUGGAAAUCACAUAUUUAUAACAUAGACUAUGUUUAAAAAUAACAUACAAUGAAUACUGAAAAGUAUAAUUUGGAACUAAUUAAUAAUAACACGUGAAAUAUGUAUGAUAUUAAAAUAAAAUUAGAUUAAAUUGAGAGUAAAACAAAAUCUAAACACAAAAACACAUCAUAUUAAGAAUACUAAAUAAAUACAAAUGUUUAUCAUUGUUUUUUCUUCAAUCUCGAGUUGGUGAUGCUAAAUCAAUAACAUUAUUUACAUACACAAAUAUAUAAAAACCUAGAACACAAAUGUUUAUCUGUUAUAAAGCAUGUAUGACAUGGACAUUUCUGACAUUUGUUAAUUCUGCAUGUGCAUUAGGGUGAGAUUUGUGUUUAUGGAGGAAGUGUGGGAGUUUAAUUCAUUUGCCAUAUUUAGUGGCUCAACCACACGUAUUUCUGCAUUUGGCGAUGAAUCACCUAAUGAUCUGGCAGUUAGACUGCGAAUAUUUUGAAAAGUUUCAUAUUGCAACUAAGUGGUGUGUAGGGUUUGAUAGGUAUUUAAUACCCUAUAUGGUGCGUAGGAAUGGUCGAAGAUGGUGUGUAACGAAUUGGAUUAAGAUUGUAAUCUACACAUGAUAUGUUCUGAUUCUGUUUCUGUAUAUAUGAUAUAUGUCUAAUUGACUUCCGAAAGCAUGUUUGAAAAUUAUAUCCAAUAUUUUUACUCUUAUAAGUUACACAUUUAGUUUGUAAGCUCACUCUCAAUUUCUCUUAUUCUUAGGUAAUCCUUAGACUUAGGUGGGUCGGUGCAACUGGAGUUCGAUUAAUUAUCUACUUGUUAUAUUUGUUAUUUUAAUAUGGUUUAUUCUGUUUUGGUUUUGGACUGUUUUUAAGUUUAGGUUUAGUUUUGUUUUAUUUAUUUAUUUAAACAUUUUUGGUUGGUUUAAAUUUGAUCUACAAAAUGUUAAAUUAUAUAGCAACAAAUCGUGUUUUCAAAAUCGGAUUCAACUAAGAAUUUUCGCUGCAAACGUAAGUGUUUUAUGAGUAAACAAUCAACAAAUUUAUCGAAAUGGUUAAGAAGGAUAUUUUCCUCAAAUAAACUCAAAUUUUACUUAAUAAGAGGUAGCAUUGUUUUAUAAGUCGACAGAUUCUGGGUUUUUAAAUAAAUUGUAGUAAUAUCUCCAGAUUUGGCCAUAACGUCUAGGCUAGGUUUGGGGUGUUACAGAGCCUAUAAGCUCACCCAAUGUUUCUAACUUCUCAAUUAAUCAACAUAUUUAGGACCAAACGACGUGCAAGAGAUCAGAUUGAGUUCUCAAUUAUUUAAAUAUGAUGGUUCAUGUUUUUAAAUUAUUCUGGACAUUCUGAUUUUUUUGGGGGGGGGUUGUAAAUCUUUUUUUGGAUUUUGCUUUGCUUAGUUGGAUUUAGUAAUUAUUACUUAAAACUACAAGAUUUUGUGUUUUACAAAUUAAGUCAUGGUUUUCAAAUUUUAGUACUCUAAAAUUUCCACUACAAAAUAAAGUAAUCACUUAAAUGUUUUUCUAUAACAAAAUAAAUAGUUUUAAUGAUUGUUUUCUUAAAAACUGAAAAGCGAUUUUCCAGAAUUAAUAUUGUCAAAGCACACAAUUUUAAAUUUAUUUUCUGGGUUUUUAAACAAGUUAAUGUAAUUCCUCCAGAUUCGACCAUAACGUAUAAACCAAGUUUGUGGUGUUACAAUUUUUGUCCUCAAUUUAUAUAUAUUUUUAUCAAUCUGACCCUGAUUUUAUAUAAAAAAAAUUAAAAUCAUUUAUAAAAUAGAAAAUGUGUAUAAAAUUCUAGAAAAAUAAAAUCUUGAAUAUGUUGUUGAAGAAUUAAAAUGUAUGAGAAAUAAAGAAAAGUAUCAUUCAAUAGAAUCCAAUAACAAAUUAGAAACAAAACGAAAUAAAAAAGUUAAGUUUCAUGCUCUUGAAGAACAUCUAGGACUGAUAUUAUAGAGACUUAUAAAAUCGACUCGACUGUCAUUUUUUUGGUCAAAAGAUUACAAAAUAUACCACAAAUUUUUUUUUCAAACUCAGUUCAAAUUUUAAUUACAUUUAAAUUAUUUUUCAAAACCCAAAUUGUAAAAACAAAAUUUGUUUCUUUUUCCAUGUUGAGUUGAGCUUAGACAAGGUUUUUAUGUCACGAGCUGUUCCAACUCCAAUUCAAUUUAAAUAAUAAAAAAUAUUUUUAAAUUUUAAAUUUAAUUAAGAGUAUAAAAAUAUUUUUUAACAUUUUAUUAUUUUUUUGAACUCUUAAAAGGUUGACUGAGCUCGGCUAAAAAUGAGUUUUGCUUGAAAAAAAUGUAGAUUAUUUUUAAGAGUAUAUCAAGGAGUCUAAUAAUUACAAUUUUUUUAAAAGGUUUUAAUAACACUAGAAAUCUUAUCACACGCAUAUUUCUUACUUUGCAAAUAAAAUAGUAUUUUUGGUAAUUUUCUUAUUGAGUUGGAACCCGAUUGAUGAGUGACACCAACUCAGUAAAAUGUUUAAUACAUAGUAUAGGUAAAACAAUUCUAAACUAAAAUUUUUAAAAGAAUUUAGGGUAAAAUUCAACUAUGGUUAAGUUUUCAUUUUGGUCACUUAAUUAAAAAAUGUUACAAUUUGAUCACUAAUAUUUUCAAAAUUAUUUUCUUUUUGUCACCCAACUGUUAAGUGGCACUUGUUUCAGUUGGUAUAAUAAUAAUUCUAGUCAUCAGUUUUUAUAUUUUCUAUCAAUUUGACUCUGAUUGUGUAUAAAAAAUUAUUAAAAAACUCAAAAUAUUUAUAAAAUAGAAAAAUGUAGAUAAGAUUUCUAGAAAAAUAAAAUCUUGAAGUUGUUGAAUAACUAAACUGUAUGAAAAAUAAAGAAAAUUAUGAUUUAAUAAAAUCCAAUAAUAAAUUAAAAACAAAACAAAGUUACAUUUUGCACCUUAUGCUUGUUCAUAAUAGCUAAUAUUCACAUAGUUUUUCAAUUCAGCCCAUUUUAGUGAUGAAUUCACUAAAUUCCAGUUAUACCAUGAAAGGAGAAGAUAACCCUCGUAUUUGGAAAAAUGCACUCGGGGAAUUGAAAGAGAGAAUAGGGAAAGUGGAAGGAGUGGAAGCUGAGGUAAUCGAGCGCUUGAAAUUUAGCUUCGAUCACUUAAAGGACGAGAAAGUGAAAUAUUGUUUCUUACAUUGCGCAUUAUAUCCCGAAGAUUUUGGAAUUGAAAAGGAUGAACUAAUUGAGUGCUGGAUUGAGGAGGGAUUCAUAGAUGAUAUGGGUACAAGACAAGAAAUGAAAGACAAGGGCCGUGUUAUUUUGAAGAAGUUAGCAGAGAAUUGCUUGCUGGAAAAUAUUACCAAUAAACGUGGUCAACCUUGCAUAAAGAUGCAUGAUGCAGUGAGAGAGAUGGCAUUGUCGAUCACAAGAAUGAAUCCUCGACAUAUGAUACAAGCAGGUUUGCAAUUAGAAGAGUUACCAGAAAAGGAGCAGUGGAGUCCGGAUAUUGAGAAAGUGUCACUUAUGUGUAACUCCAUAUCAGAAAUUUCCAUAGAUGUGCUGCCCACAAAAUGUCAACUGCUCACAACCUUGUUAUUGCAGGAGAACUCUAUAAAGAAGAUCUCAAUUUCUUUCUUCACAAACAUGCCUUGUCUUAGUGUUCUCAAUUUGUCUUUUACAAAGAUCGAGAGUUUACCAAAUUCCAUCUCUGAACUAAAGAACCUCACAACAUUGUUGCUUCGUGGCUGUUAUGAAUUAAGACAUCUGCCAUGUCUUUCGAUGCUUCAAGAAUUGAAGAAGUUGGAUCUUUCUGCGACUAAAAUUGAGGAAGUCCCUGAAGGAAUGGAUAUGCUGAUAAAGCUAAGAUAUCUUGAUCUUGGAGUGUUCACUCAGAAAGAGAUACCCGCUGGACUUUUACCAAAACUCGUUCGCCUUUAGCACUUGGGUUUUCAUGAGGACAAUGAAAAUACAAGUCUAAAAGCAGAGGAGAUGGAACCAUUGAAGAAGUUGGAGUGCUUAACUGGACAUUUCGAAGACAUCAGUGAAUUCAAUAAGUUCAUCUCCUCAAUGCAACAAAGUAAGAAAAAUCUCAUCAAGUACAAAUUACAGGUGGGCUCAUCUUUUAUGCCUGCUAGAAGAGAUAAAACAGUAACAAUUGGAGGAGUCCAGAAUUGGGAAGGUGAGUUAAUUAUGCACCCAAUUGAAAUUCAAGAGUUGCAUAUUAUUGAGUGCGACUAUUUGAGAAGCUUAGUCGAUGAUAAAUCUUCCUUCAAAAAUGCGAUUGACUUGAAGGUUUGUAGUAUUUGGGGGUGUGAAGGGAUAGAGUGUGUUGGUUCCCUGUCCUCUUUUGCCUCUUCAUCCGCUCAUCCAUUUCAAAGCUUCGAGGUGUUGGAUCUUCGAUUUCUGCCAAAGUUGAGUGCCCUUAUUAUGAAAGAUGAAGGAAUUUGUUCAGCAACAACAUCAACAUUGGCUCCGUCUGCCACCUUUUCCCAUCUCAAGGAAAUUAAGAUAGUGAGCUGCUCAAGUAUGAAGUCGUUGAUUCCACAUUGGUUGCUACCAAACCUCCAAAACCUGGAAGAAAUAUUAGUGGAUCAUUGUGAUGAGUUCGUAGAAAUAUUGGGAGCAGAAACAUCAGAAGUUGAAGAAAAAGGGUGUGAUGCAUUAAUCAAAUUCCAUCUUCCCAAAUUGAGAGAAUUGAGUCUACGUAGGUUACCAAAUUUGAAGAGCAUUUGCAGCAAAAGUGGAGUGAUGGUUUGCGAUUCUCUCCAACUUAUCCAAGUUGCUAGAGACUGUUAUAAACUGAAGAGAAUUCCUCCAUUUGUUCCCCUUGUUGGCAAUGGGCAACCAUUUGCAUAUGCUCCACCUUCUCUUACCAUCAAGUCAAGGAAAGAAUGGUGGGAAUCGUUGGAGUGGGAUGGCCAUCCAAACUUUAAAAAUGUUCUUCAACCCCUUUGGAAGGAUGAAAGGUAUGAACCAUUUAUAGUGUAGUUCAUUUUUUUAUUUUGAUAAAUCUAAUUUCUCCAUAUUAAUAAAAUUUGAAGUAUAUUUGUGAUGUUGAUGAAGAGAAAGAGAAAAGGGUUGGUGGGAAAGAAGUAGGGGGGAGGAUAAUGCAAAAGAGAGGAGAAAAGGAAUGAUGGAAGGAAGAGGUUAAGAGCAUAAAUAAAUAAGAAAUCAAACUGCCUCCACUUUUUAAGCAUUGUCCCUCUCACCAUUCCUUCUAUUCUCUUAUUCUUCUCUAAUAUAUAUAUACUUCCCAAAAUAACCUUCUAAAUAUUUAUGAUUAAAAUAUUUAUAUUAAUCAAAAUGAUUUAAGGUGAGACAAAACUAUAAUCAUAGUUUUUUCUUUUUCCAAUAAAAGUUCGGAAAGUAAUGUAAAAAGACAUAAUAAUUUUUAAUUUCGAUGUAAAAUUUCUGGAAACAUUAAGAUUUAAAAAAUAAUAAAUGCUUUUUUUUUAGAACAUAAUAUUUAUUAAACAAUAUAAUUGGAUUCAUUCAUAUGUAAACGUAAUCAUAAAGAGUAAAACAAUAAUGUACGUACUUUCAUAAAAGUAUGAUUUUAGAAAUUAAAAGUGGAAAUUAAAUAAGACAAAUUCUUUUUCUUAAGUAAUAUAAAAAUGGUAGGGAUUAACAUAGUUAAUCCACGUUUCCCAUAUAUAAAAGACAUUUUCCUUUUUCUUUUAAUUUGUGAUGGAUAAGUUGGAAAAUAAAAAUAAAAAAAACUUAGUUUCCUUCUUUUUUUUUUUUUCUUGCUUCAUUUUGUUGUCCGACUUUUAUUUUGAAGCUGAAGGUUUAAUUUUUUUUUAUUCUAAAUACCGAAAAUAUCAUAAGUUCUCAAUAAUUGUGUAGUUUGUAACGCUAGAAAGUUUACAUUUUUAAAAAAGAAAAAGUCAAAAUAGGAUGUUUUUGUUGUCAAGAGAGGCAUAGAUAUAGAGAUUCUGAAUAAAAAAAAAAACUUCGACUUUUUUUAUUUUACAUUGGCGUAAUGCCCCAAAUUUUAUGAAUUCUAGUUGUUAAGCAUGUUAAGUAAUUUGAUUGGGUGUGGUGGUUAAGUGCCUUGAAUGUUUGUUUUAAGUCUUGAGUUCAAUUUUUUUUUAAUUUUUCCUAUUUAUUUUGGUAUUAUGUUCAACUUAAGCCUUAGGGCUUAUCUCUUAUUUUGAAUGAUGAGUAGUGAUAAGGCUUUAGGUUAUCACCAAUUUAAAUUCUAUAAAAUCUGGUAAGUUGGAUUUGGAUUAACUUAAAUCUUUUUAUUUAUUUAUUUUAGUUUAAUUUUACUAAAUCUCUAUUUUCACUCAUUGUUUCAACCGUCCACGCUCUCACCCCACUUUGUACGCUACUUUCUUUUGUUUCCUUAUUCGGCCGUUUAUCUUCUUUUCUCAUCCUUCUUUCUCCUCUUUGAUUAUUCCUAAAUACUACAGUUUAUUUUGUGAGUUCUGUCACUUGAAUCGUAUUCUGUUUGCAAUGUUAGUUUUAUUUGGUUACUUUUGUUAUAUUUCCAUUAAUAGUUUUGUUUUGUUUUGUUUCUUGAACAAGUUGAGUUUGUGUUGGUAUUUUCUGUUCGUUGUCAUGAUUAGUAUUUUUGUGGUUCUCGAUUAGGCGAAAGGUGUGAGAAUCCUAACAUUCCAGCAAAGUAGACACAAUUUUCGAUGUUGUUUUGGAUAACUAAGUAUUCAAAAUCUAUUUUAGGGGCUGAAAUUUUGAUUCAACGAUGUUAUUUUGGAUAAGUAUUGUUAGUUAAUCGGUGUGGUUUGAUGAACGUUUAUAGGAUUCGUGAGUUUCAAUUGAGCGGUUGAUCAAAUCAGCAAUGGGUUGAUGAAAUUAACCCGAAAACUCAAUUGAAACUCGAGAAAUCUAGGGGCCACGCGACUAUGUGGGAAUUUUGGCCAAUUUUAAGCCCUAAUUAGGGGCCGAUUAAAGGACUCAAUUAUUGGGCAUCAUAUAAGCCCAAAAAACUAUAAGUUUUAGUACGUAUAUAUACUUGGCUAAGCUUAGAAGGUAUGUUAAGUAGGUGGUAUAUAAAUCAUAUGCUACGUUAUGUUUCUUAUAAAAAUAUAUGUAUGCAUGUCAUACAAAUUAUGAUAUAUGUAUUUAUGGUAUUAUAAUUAUGAUUAUGCCUAUGUUUUGGGAUGGGUUAUGAUAUGAUGGAGGAAACGUUAUAUGAUAGUUUUUACCGCAACUAUGACGAUAAUACUAUAAAAUUUUUAUCUGAUAGCUCAGUUGCAUAUUUAUGAGUGACAUACUGCCACAUAUUGGUGUGAUUGGAUGGAUGGAUUCUUGGAGUCGUAAUUGGUGAUAUUGCUUGGACGGAGAUGAUAUGUAGCAAUUGGGGGUAUGAUAUGAUAUGAUGUGGGAUAUGAUAUGAUAAGAUAAGAUAUGAAACAUGCUAUAACAUGAUAUGAAAACUGAUAUGAUAUAAGAUAUGCUCCGAUAUGCUAUGAUACAUUAUGAUUUAUAUAUGUACUGCAAUGUGUGGGUCAAAUCACACGUUGGAUGUUAAGCUCACAUGUUUGUUUAUUUUGUUUCAGGUGAUCUUCAGACUUAGGAUUGGACAAUGACUCUAAAGCUCAUAUUUCACUCUUUCGGUUUAAGUAUGCAUUAGACUCUCUUUUGUUUAUGUAGACUUUUUGGGCUUUUGGAUAUUUUAAAUUUAUUUGGGACACUAAAAAUUAUUUUAGCAUUUAUUUUUCAGAAGUUUUAACUUUUACCCAUACUUAAAUCAAGACAACUAAAAAUAAACUAUAGUUAUAAGGUAAAUUUGCUAUAAUGCUUUCUGCUAUAAUGUUGUCCUCCGCAAGUUUUAUUUCAAUUUGCUAUAAUGUUGUCCUCCGCAAGUUUUAUUGAAAUUUGCUAUAAUGUUUUAUCUCACAAACAAAGUAAAUAAAUUAAAUGCAUUUUGAUAAAAUUAAUAAAUAUGGCUUUCUUCAAUGUACUCACGGGUUUUCAAAAAUGAUACGUCUUCAAUAGGUUUUCACUUGAGUUAAAUAGUUUUUUGCCAAAAUGAAGUAAAAUUGUUCUUUUAAUAAUUUUAAAACCAUUUAUUGGUGGUAUAUAAGAGAAAAUAAUGUUAUGUUAGUAUCUAAAUUCAUUUGGGCCGUCAUGUCAGAGGUUAAUGUUGACCGUUAAACAAAUAACAGCCACAUCAGCCUCUAUGUUAAAAACAAACCAAUUUGCUAGAAAUUUAAAUUUUACACUAUAAAAUUAAUUUUUAAAAUUAACUAUUCAAUUUGUAAUUGAUUUUAUUAAAUUAAAAUAUUCACUAAUGUUUAAAAAUGUUCUCCAUGUUUAUUAUACCCUUGUUUGUUCUUUUUUUUUUUAAUUAUUUAAGAUUUCAGUUAAAUGGUAAUCAAUAUAUAUUAAAAUAUUAGUUUUAUUGGUUGUAUUAUUUCAUUAAUGUUCUUAUAAUAUUAUUUCAUUUUUAUUUAUAGACACCAACUUUAAAAUUAGAAGAGGAUUAAUUUACGAGAAAAUAUGGCUCAUACUGUAAACAAUAAAUAAGAUAUUAUAAAUUGAUAUGAUUAAAAUUUAAAUAAUAUAGAAAGAGUAGCAAAAUAAAUUGAAAACAUUUGAUAUGGUCUAUAUGAACUAUAAUAAAAUGAUUAUAUAUUUUGAAAUGGUGAUUUGAGAGACAACUAAUCAAUCCUACUAUUUUGUCUUUUAUAAAUAAUUUGUGAUCAAAGAGCCAUCAAAGAUGACUCACAUAUGUUUUCCAAAGAUAUGAUAAAUAUAUAUAUAUAUAUUCCUAUCAAGCAAGUUGACAGCUAAAGGGUGCAAAUUUGACUUUGCUAAAUUCUCUAGCAUCAAAGAGGGAAGAUAUGUUGCAAACAAGACAUAAACCAAUAUCAACAUGGUGAUUCCAAAAUUCAAGACAGUAAACCCCUACUUUUGUAUGAUAGAGAUAAUAUGAUGUACAAAUUUACAGUCAUGGAAUGUAUUAGGUGCAUUGAAGAUAACUCAAUGUUAGAAUCAAAGAAAUUUAUCAUCAUUUUUGUUAAUUGUAAAAUUGUGCAUAAACUGGAAAAAAAUGUUUUGAUUGCCAUUAUAAGAAUUUCUUUGAAGUUAAUAGUUUGAGAGAUAAUUUUAAGGAGGAAUUGGAAGGCAUUGCUAUAAAGAGAAUCUCAAGAAAGUAAUUUCAUUUUGAGUUUCAAGUGAAAUGAAUGAAAGGAAAGGUUGCUUAAAUAAAUAUAGGAUUGGAUAUUGAGCUGUUUUGAAUAGUUAGAGCGAAGGACACAUAGACCAUAUGAAAUUCAAGUCUACCAAAAUAAUGCUAAUCAGAUUCCUCUUUGGAAAUGACAACUUUUCAAAAAAUUGUCAAUCUACCUUGAAAGGUGGCAUCGGUAAAAGAAUCAAUCAUGAAAUAUUAAAAUUAUACUAAAAUAACUAUAAAGAUUUAUUUCCCCUAUAAAUAAACAUUUUCUUAUUCUUCCUUAAAAAUUAACAUGAUUUUAUCUUAAUAUACAUGUAUAUAUAUAUGUCUCAGAAUAGCCUUCUAAAAUAUUUAUUUUAAAAAAUAAUUUAUAUAAUACAUAUAACAAUUAAUUAUAAACUUAUUUUGAUAUGAUGUCAAAAUUAAAUAUUAUAAUGGUCCUUUAUCACAUUCAACACUAACUUUUAUUUUAUAAUUUUUUAAAAAUAAACUUUAAAUUUUAUAAUAAAAAGGCUUCAAAUUUUAAAUUAAAAAUUUUAAGUCAAAUUUUAAGUUAAAAGAACAUGUUCUUUAGCGGCGCUUUUAAAAAUAAACGCCGCAAAUGUUUGUGGCGUUGUCAUGAAGCGCCGCAAAUACUUUUAGUGGCGCUAAAAAGCGCCGCUAAAGGCUUAAAAAAAUGCCGCUAAAAACCUGUUUUGGUGUAGUGCCUUGACCAGAGUCGGGUCUAUAUAGAUAAAGUUUUUUAUAAUUCAUGUCGGUCCAACUCAAAUUUAAUUUAAAUAAUACAAAAUUAUUUUUAAAAUUUAAAUUUAAUUAUAAAAAUAUACUUUUAUUUUUUUGAACAUUGAAACGAGCUUUUUAGGUAGAUCGAGUUGGGUCAAAAACGGGUUUGGACUUGAAAAUUUUUAGAUUAUUUUUAAGAGAAUAAUAAUAUCAAGGAGUCUAAUAAUUAAAAAUUUUAAAUUAAAAUUUUAUUGUUUGAAAUCUUCUAAUAACAUAAAAAAAUUAAACUAAAGUUUUUAAAAGAAUUUAGGGUAAAAUGCACCAUUCGUCACUCAACAAAGGGUCAAUUUUCAUUUUGGUCACUAAACUAAAAUAAGAUACAAUUUGGUCACUAAUGUUUCUAGAAAAAAAAUUUUGGUCACCCGACUGUUAAGUGGCACUUACUUUAGCUGGUAUGAUAACAAUUUUUGUCACAUUCCAAAAAUCAAGUUAGUAGAAAUUGGGUUAGUGAAACCAAGAGUGGUCACAUCCUAUUUUUGAGUUAAGAUUGUGAAAAUUACGUUAAGUAAAUUGAUUUAGUUAAGUGGUUAAGUGCUUUAGAUGUGUGUUUAAGGUUUUGUGUUCAAAUCUUUCCCCUUAAAUUUUCAUUGUAUUGUCCUAACUUCCAUCUCUAAACAUCUAGCUUAUAUAUUAUUUUUGUUCAAUUGAUUAUAAGAAUGAGUUUGCUCGUUUAGUGGUAAGGCUUUAGUUUACUUAGAGUUCUUAUGUGUGUAAAUUGGAAUUAUUUUUGUUUUUAAACUCUGAGAAUUUUUUUAUAAGGAUAACUAAUCAAAUUGAGUGGGGAAGUUUUCCACUUUCCUACAAAAUUUCCCCAAAAUUUGCCUCAUUCUGUUGUCCACUUCUUGCCACAUUGUUCACGUUUUCUUUUCCCUUUUUUUUUCCAUCUAAUGAUUUCUAUUUUCUUUUUGCUUUAGUAGUUUUGCUGCCUUCCUUUCUCAUCUUUACUCUACUAUUUUCUUUUAUGUUAUUCUAUUGGUAUGCUAUUGAAUCUCUGUUAUUCCUUCGAGUAAGUGUUGGUUAUUUGUUUUAUAUAAAUGUGGUGUUGGGUUAAUCUUUCAAGUGAUUGAUGGUUUCAAGUUUGAUCUUUGCAAUGUGUUGACAUUUGUUAAUUCUGCAUGUGCAUUAGGAUGAGAUUUGUGUUUAGGAGGAAGUGUGGGAGUUUAAUUCAUUUUCCAUAUUUGGUGGCUCAACCACAUAUAUUUUUGCAUUUGGCGAUGAAUCACCUAAUGAUCUGGCAACUAGGCUGCGAAUAUUUUGAAAAGUUUCAUACCGGCACUAAGCAGUGUGUAGGGUUUGAUGGGUAUUUAAUACCCUAUAUGGUGUGUAGGGAUAGUCAGAGAUGGUGUGUAGCGGAUCGGAGUGGGAUUGUAAUCUACAUUUAAUAUGUUCUGAUUAUGUUUCUGUAUAUGAUAUAUGUCUGAUGGACUUCCUAAAGCAUGUUUGAAAAUUAUAUCUGAUAUUUUUACUCUUAUAAGUUACACAUUGAGCUUGUAAGCUCACUCUCAGUUCCUCUUAUUCUUAAGUAAUCCUUAGACUUAGGUGGGUCGGUGCGACUGGAGCUCGAUUAAUUACUUCUUGUUAUAUUUGUGAUUUUAAUCUUGUUUAUUCUGUUUUGGUUUUGAACUAUUUUUAAGUUUAGGUUUAUUUUUGUUUUAUUUAUUUAUUUAAACAUUUUUGGCUGGUUUAAAUUCAAUCUGCAAAAUGUUAAAUUAUAUGGCAAAAAAUCGUGUUUUCAAAUUUGGACUCAAUUAAGAAUUUUCACUGCAAACAUAAGUGGUUUAUGAGUAAAUAAUUGAAAAUUUUAUCGAAAAGGUUAAGAAGGAUAUUUUCCCCAAAUAAACUCGAAUUUUACUUAAUAAGAGCUAGCAUUGUUUUAUAAGUUGAACGGAUUCUAGAUUUUCAAAUAAAUUGUAAUAACAUCUCCAGAUUUGCCCAUAACGUCUAGGCCGGAUUUGGGGUGUUACAGAGCCUAUAAGCUCACUUAGUGUUUCUAACUUCUCAAUUAAUCAACAUAUUUAGGACCAAACGACGUGCAGAAGAUCAGAUUGAGUUCUCAAUUAUUUAAGUAUGAUGGUUCAUGUUUUUAAAUUAUUCUGGACAGUCUGAUUUUUUUGGGGGGGUUGUAAAUCUUUUUCCGGAUUUUGCUUUGCUUAGUUGGAUUUAGUAAUUAUUACUUAAAACUACAAGAUUUUAUGUUUUACAAAUUAAGUCAUGGUUUUCAAAUUUUACUACUCUAAAAUUUCCACUACAAAAUAAAAUAAUCACUUAAGUGUUUUUCUAUAACAAAAUAAAUUGUUUUAAUGAUUGUUUUCUUAAAAACUAAAAAGCGAUUCGCCAGAAUUAAUAUUGUCAAAACACACAAUUUUAAAUUUAUUUUCUAGGUUUUUAAACAAGUUAAUGUAAUUCCUCCAGAUUCGGUCAUAACGUAUAAAUCAGGUUUGUGGCGUUACAAUUUUUGUUCUCAAUUUAUAUAUAUAUUUAUCAAUUUGACCCUGCUUUUAUAUAAAAAAAUUAAAAUCAUUUAUAAAAUAGAACAAUGUAUAUAAAAUUCUAGAAAAAUAAAAUCUUGAAUAUGUUGUCGAAGAACGAAAAUGUAUGAGAAAUAAAGAAAAGUAUCAUUCAAUAGAAUCCAAUAACAAAUUAGAAACAAAAUGAAAUUAAAAAGUUCAUUUUCAUGCUCUUGAAGAACGUCUAGGACUGAUAUUAUAGAGACUUAUAAAAUCGACCCGACUGUCAUUUUUUUGGUCAAAAGAAUACAAAAUAUACCACAAAAGUUUUUUCAAACUCAGUUCAAAUUUUAAUUACAUUUAAAUUAUUUUUCAAAACCCAAAUUGUAAAAACAAUAUGUGUUUCUUCUUCCAUGGUUGAGUUGGGCUUAGACAAGGUUUUUAUGUCACAAGUUGUUCCAACUCCAAUUCAAUUUAAAUAAUAAAAAAUAUUUUUAAAAUUUAAAUUUAAUUAAGAGUAUAAAAAUAUUUUUUAACAUUGUAUUAUUUUUUGAACUCUCAAAUGGACUUUUCUAGGUUGACUGAGCUUGGCUAAAAAUGGGUUAGGCUUGAAAAAAUUUUAGAUUAUUUUUAAGAGUAUAUCAAGGAGUCUAAUAAUUACAAUUUUUUUAAAAGGUUUUAAUAACACUAGAAAUCUUAUCACACGCAUAUAUCUUACUUUGCAAAUAAAAUAGUAUUUUUGGUAAUUUUCUUAUUGAGUUGGGACCCGAUUGAUGAGUGACACAAACUCAGUAAAAUGUUUAAUACAUGGUAUAGAUAAAACAAUUCUAAACUAAAAUUUUUAAAAGAAUUUAGGGUAAAAUUCAACUAUGGUUAAGUUUUCAUUUUGGUCACUUAAUUAAAAAAUGUUACAAUUUGAUCACUAAUAUUUUCGAAAUUAUUUUCUUUUUGUCACCCGACUGUUAAGUGGCACUUGUUUCAGGUGGUAUAAUAAUAAUUCUAGUCAUCAGUUUUUAUAUUUUCUAUCAAUUUGACUCUGAUUGUGUAUAAAAAAUUAUUUAAAAAACUCAAAAUAUUUAUAAAAUAGAAAAAUGUAGAUAAGAUUUCUGGAAAAAUAAAAUCUUGAAGUUGUUGAAUAACUAAACUGUAUGAAAAAUAAAGAAAAUUAUGAUUUAAUAAAAUGCAAUAACAAAUUAAAACAAAACAAAACAAAGUUACAUUUUGCACCUUAUACUUGUUCCUAAUAGCUAAUAUUCACAUAGUUUUUCAAUUCAGUCCAUUUUAGUGAUAAAUUCACUAAAUUCUAGUUAUAGCUAAACAUAUAGAUGAAAUCAAGUACAAAUUACACAUAAUAUAAAACCAGAUAGUAAGUUUCAUAUUUAAUGUCACACCCUAAUACAACUCAUUCACUUGUAUAUUUAAUUUCAAGUUGUAUAUUGAAUACUGACAACUUCAACAAUGCAAAAAAUUUAGUAAUGGGGUGCGAAUAACUAUACCUAAUGCAACUCCUUUACUUGUAUAUUUAAUUUCAAGUUGUAACUUAUAAUUAUGCAUUCUUAUACCCUGCCGUCCCAACUAUUAUUAUUAUUAAAUAUUAUUUAUUGCCAACUUCAAUGAUUUUGUUUUGAUGUCCAAGGUCUAUCCCCAAAUUUCAAGCAUCCUGUCAAGCUAAUUUUCUUUCAUUUGCUUAAUCCAUCACAUGCUUUUCUUUGCUUGAUUCAUGACUUUGCAAUUUCACACCCUAAUACAACUCAUUCCUAAUACAACUCAUUGACUUGUAUAUUUUAUUUCAAGUUGUAACGUAUGAUUAUGCAUUAUUAUACCCUGCUGUCCCAUACUUUUCCAUUAAUUAUUAGAUUUAAUGAUAAAUUUAGCCUUUAACAUUAGAUUAUUUUAUUAAAAUGGCCCUAAUUGUGUUUUUGAGGGUUUUUUUUUUUGCUUAUCAACCUUCGUUCUUUUUUUUUUAGGUAUCUGAUCAGCUGAACCGCUAAAGCGAUUGAAAGCUUGGUAGAUUAUUAUGUUCCGAUGCUACAAAUUCAACUUUGGUUUCCUUACUUCAUUAGACAGUUUCAUUAUAGUUUGCCUAUGUGUAGAAAGCUUAGGAUACGACACAAAAUAUGCAUAACAUUCUAUCCAACAUUAGAACGGUACAAAAAAAAAGUUAGUUAUUAUGAUGGAAAUGUCAUCCUUGUUCCUCUUAACAGCUUCCUUAGUUAGGUGCUUUGCUGCAGAUCGAGCAUCCUUAAUGCCUUUGAUAGCAUCGACAGCUUCUUGGUAACGGACCAUUAAAUCUCAGGUUCAACAUGUAGGUUCAAUAAAAGAAAAAUGUGAUUAGAUAGGGCUUACCUUCCAUAAACCAUCACUAGCCAAUAUUUUAAGGUCGGUAUCAUCGUCGGUUGUUUCAAUGCUCACAUCUGGCUCCGAAGUAAGAUGUUUCUUUAAACUCUUGUCACCAAAUGCUCUUGCCACCGCCAGCUGACCAUCAACAGGCACGACAUCCCCUGAAACAAAAACAAUAUCAGGAAAAGAUGGUGUAACCUUGAGCGUCAUCCCCAAAAGAUCAGGCACCCAUUACCUGGAAUCCAAUAUAUAUUUUUUUGGACCCAUAUCAUGGUUUCAAACAGGUCAUUAGAAAAUUUUGUAAAACCUUAAAAAGAAUAACCAGUACCACACUAAGGUAUCUCUUGUUCUUAAAAAGAAUAAACAGUUCAUUGAAUAACUAAAUUGUAUGAGAAAUAAAACAAAUUACCAUUCAAUAAAAUCCGAGAACAAAUUAAAAACAAAAUAAAACCAAAAAAAGCUUCCUCAUUGUUUCUCAAAAUCAAAUUAGUAAUAUUAUCAAGUUGAGUUUCAUGCCCUUGAAGAACAUCUAGAACUCAUAUUACCAAGUCUUAUGAAAUUGAUCCUAAUGCCAUUUUUUUAGUCAAAAGAAUACAAGAUAUAUAACUAAAUUUCCUUUUUCAAACUUAAUUCAAGUUUUCAUUACAUUUAAAUUAUUUUUCAAAACUCAAAUUAUUAAAAUAAAUUAUAUUUAGAAACAAAAUUUUAUAACGUAAAAGCUAUGUCAAGAAACAUAGAACAAAUAAUUUUGCUUAAUGUUUUUCUACGUUUUUUACUAAAGAACGUGUAUUGGAUAUUUCGAUACAGAUAAUAUAAAUAAAUUUUGUACGGCUUAAAAACAAUUAUCUCUCAUUUUCUCUCACUUUAUUUAUUUUUGAAUAUUUUAUCUACUUUUAUUUAAUUUUUUAUUUUAUAAUGUUCUAAAUUUUUUUAAAAAAAUUAAUUUUUACCACUUUAUAUAUUAUCAAGAUCAAAUUGACUAAAAGUAUAAAAUUUGAGGAUUAAAAUUGUUAUUAUAUCAAUUAAAAAAGUGUCACUUAACAUUUGAGUGACAAAAAAAUAAUUUCAAAAACAUUAGUGAUGAAAUUGUAACUCUUUUAAUUAAGUGACCAAAACAAAAAUACCCAUAGUUUAGUGACUAAUAGUGUAGCCUUUUUUUGGUAAAAUGAAAAUUUGACCCUAAUUUUAUAUAAAAAACUCAAAAUUAUUUAUAAAAUAGAAAAAUGUAUAUUAUUCAACAUAGGGUUUUUUAUCCAAAUCAUACAAAAAUAAUAAUUAAUGACGAAAAUGAUAUGGAAAAUAAAUUAAUUACAAAAACAAGUCAUUUGUUUCGAUGUUCUGCUGGUGUUGUCUGACAUAUUGGCAACACCAGACUAAAAUGUGAUGACCAAAAAUAUUCAAAGACUUGAUAUGUAAAUUUCUCAUUUUGAUUAUCUGUUGAAAAUAAGCUCUAAGGGUGUUGUGUGACAGUGUGGCGGCUCAAAAUCUUAAAUAGUUUUAAUACUUGCAAAAUCAAUACUUCAUCCAAUACAUUCACAAAUUUUCAUUGGUUUUAUUUGUUUUGUUUUAGCUUCUUCUUUUUUUAAUUGUUUUAUUUUUAUUUUUAUUUUACUUUUUUUCCAUUUAUUAUCUUUUGAAUUAUAAUUUUAUUUUUAUGGUUGUUUCUAAAGUUGUAACCUUUUAAUCUUCUUCAGUAUUUGUGUUUAGUUUCUUGUUAGUUUGCUCAAAACUAUGCACUACACCUUCAGUUGCCUACAAUUCCAGUUUUGCAAUUUUAUAUAUAUUAAGGUAGUUUCAAUUUUCUCCCUCUCUUAUGAUAUUCUACUUAGUUUGUGUUUAUAUCUGGUUGUACAUUGAGCACAAUGUACAUUUUAAGUGUGGGGAGGUUAUUUAUAUAAUUAUUAGAAAAUUCUUGAAUUAUUUGUGGUACUUAAGUAAUUUUCUCAUGCUUCCAUUAGAAUGAAUUUUUAUCGAUUUGAGAUUUUUAUUGAUAUUGUUUUGGAUUAAUUUGUAGAUACUUGUGUAUUGGUUGAUUUAAACUUUAAGACAUAAGAGAAUCAAGCACGAUAAGUUAUUUUUUACAAAACAAAUUUCAGUUGUUUCCCUAAAUUUAAGUAUUAUUUUGAAGUUUGAGAUUUGCAAGUUUGACGUCAAAAACUAUGAUUUUUUUUUGAGAUUUUGAGAUUUUCAGCCACUAAGUCAGGUAAUAAGACUGAAGCUAUGAUUUCCUCUGCUGAUUAUCAACAGUUUUAGAUUUCAAGACUGGAUGAUCAGCAGACAUAAUCUACUUUAGAUAGAAAUUAAUACCAAAAGAGCUACCCAGAAGCAAUAUAAUGUUGAAAUCCCAAACUGUUGAACAUUUUACCUCUUUAAUGUUAAAACUCAUUGCUAAUACAACUCAUUGACUUGUAUAUUUAAUUUCAAGUUGUAUAUUCAAUACUGACAACUUCAACGAUGCAAAUCAUUUAGUAAUGGGGUGCGAAUAACUAUACCUAAUGCAACUCCUUUACUUGUAUAUUUAAUUUCAAGUUGUAACUUAUAAUUAUGCAUUCUUAUACCCUGCCAACUAUUAUUAUUAAAUAUUAUUUAUUGCCAUCUUCAAUGAUUUUGUUUUGAUGUCCAACGUUUAUCAUAACAUUUCAAGCAUCCUGUCAAGGUAAUUUUCUUUCAUUUGCUUAAUCCAUCACAUGCUUUUCUUUGCUUGAUUCAUGACUUUGCAAUGAUUGUUUCUGAUUAUCUGCUAUUCUUCGGAGCUAGCUUUGUAAGACAGUCAAGGAAGAAGUGAACUUCACUGCUUCAUUUUUAGUUCUAUUCUCUCGACACUUUUCAGCCACUAAGUCUGGUAAUAAGAUCUGAAGCUAUGAUUUCCUCUACUGAUUAUCAAUAGUUUUAGAUUUCAAGACAAGAUGAUUAGCAGACAUAUUCUACUCUAGAUUGAAAUUAAUACAGAAAGAGCUACCCAGAAGCAAUAUAAUGUUGAAAUCUCAAACGGUUAACAUUUUAGCUCUUAAUAUUCUGUAAUGAACUGUUGCACACUUGAAUCUAGCAUUCUAUAUACAUCGAGAGCUUAAUUCUGGUGACCAGAAUUUCAUCAUGUUCCUGUCUGCCACCCAUCCAUAGCUCCAUCUAAUAAACGCCAUUGCUUGAAACUUGCUUUCAUGUUUUCCUUUUCAUGCUUACACCGACAUAUCAAUACUUCAUAAAAUAUCCAAUCCAUUCAAAGAUUUUCAUUCUCUGCUACUGUUAUAUAUGAUUGCAUUACAGGGACAUAGCAAUGGAGUAUGUAGAGCUUGUUGUCAGCAUUGCAAAUUGUCUCGGAACUCCUGUUUGUAAAUAUUUGCAAUAUCACAGAAAGCUGAACGAUUAUGUGAGAAACUUCAAGAGGAUCAGAGAUGAAUUGAAUUGCAAAAUGGAAGAUAUAGAGCUGUAAUUGAAAGCAGAGCUUCUUUGUCCUCUGGGGAAGAUACCGAAGAAGGGAGUUGAAAAUUGGUUGAAAGCUAUGAAAGAGAUAAUUAGGGAAGCACAAGUUGUUGAAAACAAAGUCAGUAACGGGAGAUAUCUCUGUCGUGCUUGCAACGGGAAGCUGGUUGAUGAAAAGACUCAAGAAAUGGAGGAAUUUCUUGAUAACUCUCCUAAUGCCUCUGGAGGUCUUGCCAUAGAUGGUCUAAGUGCUGGGUUGCCGCUGCCAACAUCAGAACUAGUUGGAGAAGAAGCUGUCAGAAAUGAGAUUUGGGCAUGUUUGAUGCAGGAGGAGGUGAGCAAGAUUGGGGUUUGGGGGAUGGGCGGUGUGGGUAAAACCACUAUCAUGAAGCACAUCCACAAUGAUAUUUUGAAACAACAUAGAUUCGAAAGAGUAAUCUGGGUUACCAUAUCAAAGGAGUUCAAUGUAAUGAAGGUACAAGAUAAUAUUGCAAGUGCGUUGAAGGCGAAAGAAUAUUUAGACAAAGAAGAGGACAAGCUCAGACGAGCAGCAAUCUUGUCAGAAAUGCUGAAGAACGCAGGAAAGCAUGUUCUAAUCCUAGAUGAUGUGUGGGAUAAAGUCUCUCUAGAGGAAGUUGGGAUCCCAGAGCCGAGUGGCAGCUCUGGCUGCAAGUUGGUAUUGACAACCCGUUCGGAGCAUGUCUGUAAGUAUAUGGGUUGUAAGGUGAUAAAAGUGAAGCCCCUUUUAGAAGACGAGGCAUUGAUACUAUUCUUGAAUAAAGUUGGACCUAACAUAGUUCAAAGUCCAACUAUAAUGCCAACUCUGAAGCUUGUUGUCAAGGAAUGUGCGGGUCUACCUCUUACAAUUGUCAUGGUAGCUGGUACCAUGAAAGGAGAAUAUAACCCUCGUAUUUGGAAAAAUGCACUCAAAGAUUUGAAAGAAAGAAUAGGGAAAGUGGAAGGAGUAGAAGCUGAGGUAAUCGAGCGCUUGAAAUUUAGUUUCGAUCACUUGAAAGAUGAGAAAGUAAAAGAUUGCUUCUUGUAUUGUGCUUUAUAUCCUGAAGAUUAUGAAAUUCAUAAGGUUGAACUAAUCGAGUGUUGGAUUGCUGAGAUAUUCAUAGACGAGAUGGACACUAGACAAGAAAUGGAAGAUGAAGGCCUUACUAUUUUGAAAAGGUUGGAAGAUAACUGCUUGUUGGAAAAUAAUACCACUCAAUUUGGUUUACAUGGUAUAAAGAUGCAUGAUGCAGUGAGAGAGAUGGCAUUGUUGAUCACAAGAAUGAAUCCUCGAUAUAUGGUACAAGCAGGCUUGCAAUUAGAAGAGUUACCAAAAAAGGAGAAAUGGAGUCCGGAUAUUGAGAAAGCAUCGCUUAUGUGUAACUACAUAUCAGAAAUUUCCAUAGAUGUGCUGCCCACAAAAUGUUAACUGCUCACAACCUUGUUAUUGCAGGAGAACCCUAUAAAGAAGAUCUCAAUUUCUUUCUUCACAAACAUGCCUUGUCUUAGUGUUCUCAAUUUGUCCUCUACAAAGAUCAAAAGUUUACCAAAUUCCAUCUCUGAACUAAAGAACCUCACAACAAUGUUGCUUCGUGGCUGUCGAGAAUUAAGAGAUCUGCCAUGUCUUUCGAUGCUUCAAGAAUUGAAGAAGUUGGGUCUUUGUUGGACUAAAAUUGAGGAAGUCCCUGAAGGAAUGGAUUUGCUGAUAAAGCUAAGAUAUCUUGAUCUUGAAGUGUUCACUCUGAAAGAGAUACCCGCUGGACUUUUACCAAAACUUGUUCACCUUCAGCAUUUGAGUUUUGAUGUGGACAAUGAAAAAACAAGUCUAAAAGUAGAGGAGAUGGAACCAUUGAAGAAGUUGGAGUACUUUACCGGACGUUUUGAAGAAUUCGGUGAAUUGAAUAAGUUCAUCUCCUCAAUGCAACAAAGUAAGAAAAAUCUCAUCAAGUACUCUUUACACGUUGGCUCAUAUAGUAUGGGUUGUGAAAGGGGUAAAAGUGUAUCAAUUGUGUUAGAAAAAAACAGCAGCAACAAUGAACAACAAAGAGCAUAAGCUCAUGAAAACAGCAAGCAAAAAUUGAUAGGCUAAAAAAUAGCCGAAUGAGAAAGUCCACACUUUCAUUUCCAUUACAAAAUAUAUAAGAAUUACAAAAAUGGAAUGUUUACCUAACAAUUUCCACUAAAUUUGGCAACUUGCCAAUUAAUAAUUAAAAAGAUGAAAGCAUUAUAACUAUCAUUAUGAAAGCAUAUUAGUUAUCAUUAUGAAAGCAAAAGAUGAAAGCAUUAUAGCUAUCAUUAUGAAAGCAUAUUAGCUAUUAUUAUGAAACCAAGUUGCAUAUCAACUUGUUUCAAUUAUAGCUAUCAUUACAAAUAUUAAAAAUAAACAAAAUAAACAAAAUGCACCAAGUUGCUCCUUUGUUGCUUUACAGUCCAUGUUCAACACUCCUCCUUGGACUGUAGGCAACAAACACCAAUUGAUUUCCUUAGAAAUUCAAACCUGAUUGUGCCAAGAGGCUUUGUCAAAAUGUCAGCCAAUUGAUCUUGUGAGCUGCAAUGUAUUAGACUCACUUCUUUGGAUUGGACAACUUCUCGAACAAAGUAAAACUUGAGCUUAAAAUGUUUGGUUUUGCCAUGAAAAACAGGAUUUUUAGAGAUGGCAACUGCUGACUGGUUAUCCACCAAAAUUUCAGUAGGCUCGAGCUGUUCUUCAUUCAAAUCACAUAGCAACUUCCUAAGCCAAAUGGCUUGAUUCACUGCUGCAGCUGCUGCUAUGUAUUCGGCUUCAGCAGUAGACUGAGCAACAGUUUGUUGCUUCUUUAAACUCCAACUGAAAACUCCCGAACCAAGUGUAAAGAAGCAGCCUGAAGUACUUCUCAUAUCAUCAACUGAUCCACCCCAGUCACUAUCUGAGUAGCCAGUUAAUUUCAGCUCACUUCCUUUCUUGAACAUUACACCAAACUUCAAAGUACCUUUGACAUACCUGAGUAUCCUCUUUGCUGCUUUCAAAUGAGUUGAAUUGCAGCUGUGCAUGAAUCUAGACAGUAGACUAACUGAAUGCAUAAGGUCAGGUCUGGUUGCUGUCAAGUAAAGUAAACAUCCAAUCAGGCUUCUAUACUCCUUUUCAUCUACCUUUUCUUCAUUUCCAAAGCUGCUUAGUUUCUCUCCCACAGCUAAUGGUGUGCUCACUGGUUUGCUGUUUUCCAUAUGAAACUUAGUGAGAAUUUUCAAGGCAAAUGCAUGUUGGCUGAUAAAAAUGCCUUGAUCAGACUGGUCUACUUCCAUACCAAGGAAGUAAGUCAUGAUUCCCAAGUCUGUCAUGUCAAACAUGUCUUGCAUAUUCUUCUUGAACUCCUGAAUCAAAUCGACCCUGCUUCCAGUCACUAAUAGAUCAUCUACAUAUAUUGAGACAAUCAGCAAAGUCUCAUCUGUGAACUUCUUUAUAAACAAAGUUGGCUCACUCAAACUUUUCUCGAAAUUGAGCUUAGACAGGUAAGCAUCUAUCCUGUCAUACCAGGCUCGAGGAGCCUAUUUUAGUCCAUAGAGUGCCUUCUUCAGCUUGUAAACCUUGUCCUCCUUUCCUUGGACUUUAAAUCCAUCAGGCUGUUCAACAUAAAUCUCCUCUUUAAGGAAGCCAUUCAGGAAAGCUGACUUGACAUCAAGCUGAUGGACCUUCCACUGUUUCUGUGCAGCCAAAGCAAACAGGAGCUUUAUGGUGUCCAGCCUUGCUACUGGAGCAAAUGUCUCCUCAAAAUCAAUGCCAAACUGUUGAUUGUACCCUUUCACCACAAGCCUUGCCUUGUGCUUGUUCAAAGAGCCAUCAGCAUUGAAUUUGGUCCUGAAAACCCAUUUGACACCUAUGACCUUCUUCUGAUCAGGUCUGUCUACCAGAUCCCAAGUGUCAUUCUUAUGGAUCAUGUCGAUUUCAGCCUCCAUAGCCUUCUUCCAGCUCUUGCUUCUUGCAGCUUCUUCAUAGCUUGAAGGCUCAACAAUGGCCACAUUGCAUCUUUGGUAGAUAUCAGCAAUAGACCUGGUCCCUCUCACAGGAGUAUCAUCUAUAUUGGCAUUACUGACUUCAUUUUCUGCCAAUUCCAGAUUGUUGUCAAUCUGCUCUUCUUCAAACUGACUUGUGUUAGAGCCAUCUAGACUCCAAAACCUUCCUUCAUCGAAUUUGACAUCCCUGCUUACCAAAAUCUUCUUGGUUGAAGGAUCAAAUACUCUGUAGCCCUUCUUGCAGCUACUGUAGCCAACAAAUAUACCAGGAACUGAUCUCUUCUCAAGCUUGGUUCUUCUUUCUGCAGGGACAAGUACAAAACACAUGCAACCAAACACUUUUAAAUGGGAAACUGUUGGUUUAAGAUCAUACCAUGCUUCAAAAGGAGUUUUAUCAUUUAAAGCAUGUAUUGGCAGCCUAUUGAGCAGGUACACUGAGGUGUUGACACCUUCAGCCCAAAAAAUGUUUGGAAGCUUGCUUUGAAACAACAAACACCUGGUCAUGUUCAUCACUGUUCUGUUCUUCCUUUCACAUACUCCAUUUUGCUGAGGAGUAUACACUGUGGUCAAUUGAUGAUGAAUCCCAGCCUGCUCACAUAGCUUCUGAAAUCUUUCAGACAAGUAUUCAGAACCAUUGUCUGUCCUCAAGGCCUUAAUCCUGCAGCCUAUUUGAUUUUCUGCCAAUGCCUUGAACUUUCCAAAAACUUCAAACACUUCUGACUUUUGUUUCAUGAAAUAAACCCAGCAAAAUCUGGUCAGAUCAUCAAUAAACAGUAUAAAAUACUUACUGCCAUUCAGUGAAGGAGUCUUCAUUGGUCCACAGACAUCUGAGUGCACCAAUUCAAGUCUUUCUCGAGCCCUCCAUGCUUGGUUUACUGGAAAAGGCAACCUGGCCUGUUUACCAAGCUGACAUACUUCACAAACAGACUCAUUUACAUCAACCUUAAUCAUGUCCUCUGUCAAACUCAUCUUGUGCAGCAAAUUGAGUGACCUGAAAUUGACAUGGCCAAAUCUUCAAUGCCACAGAUCAGCAUUGUCAACUGAACUUGUAUAGGCUCUUCUCUCAAGUUGGCUCACAUCAAACAUAAAACACCUAUCUGCCAUGGGUGCUGAAACAACUUCUCUACCAAGAGUAUCAUUAAUAACACAAGAAUCAUUCUUGAAAACUAGAGAGUAGCCUUUCUUAACCAGCUGACCUACACUAAGUAGAUUUUGAUCUAUUUCAGGUACAUAAAGCACAUCUGAAAUAACCUUGUUACCUGAACUGGUGUUGAUCACAACAUCACCUCUGCCUUUAGCUUCAAUCAGAUUCCCAUUGCCUAUUCUGACCUUUGAAGCAAAACUCCUGUCAAGAUCCUUGAACAGGCUCUCAUUUGAUGCCAUGUGAUGUGAGCAGCCACUAUCCACAAGCCAACUGCAUUUGGAUUUGCUUGUGGUUGUAGAACAUGAGGCAGUGAAGACAUGCUCCUCCUGAGCUUGAAGAUCUUCAGCAGUCUUGGCUUGUACUGGCAGAGUUUGUGACUUUUCUUGAUUUCUACAAAUCUUUUCAUGAUGACCAUACUGCUUGCAGCUCUUGCAUUGGAUGUCUGGUUUGUUCCAGCAAUACUUCUCCAAAUGGUUAGUCUUCUUGCAGUGAACGCAUGGUGGAAACCUCCUUCUACCGACAUCUUUCUUUGAUCUUUCCCUCUUUUCAAACCAAGGCUUCUUAUAUUAAAAUUAUGUUAAAAUAACUAUAAAGAUUUAUUUCCCCUAUAUAUAAACAUUUUCUUAUUCUUCCUUAAAAAUUAACAUGAUUUUAUCUUACUAUUUAUGUAUAUAUAUAUUUACGUCUCAAAAUAGCCUUCUAAAAUAUUUAUUUUAAAAAAUAAUUUAUAUAAUACAUAUAACAAUUAAUUAUAAACUUAUUUUGAUAUGAUGUCAAAAUUAAAUAUUAUAAUGGUCCUUUACCACAUUCAACACUAACUUUUAUUUUAUUAUUUUUUAAAAAAAUAAACUUUUAAUUUUACAAUAAAAACCAUACAUAGGCUUCAAAUUUUAAGUUAAAAACAUGGGAUAAUAGUUUACUAUAGCCCCAUCCAUGGGCCCUCGACCAAAGUCGGGUCUAUAUAGAUAAAGUUUUUUAUAAUUCGGGUCAGUCCAACUCAAAUUUAAUUUAAAUAAUAAAAAAUUAUUUUUAAAAUUUAAAUUUAAUUAUAAAAUAAUACUUUUAUUUUUUUUAACAUUGAAACGAGCUUUUUAGGUAAGUCGAGUUGGGUCGAAAAUGGGCUUGGACUUGAAAAUUUUUAGAUUACUUUUAAGAGAAUAAUAAUAUAAUGGAGUCUAAUAAUUAAAAAUUUUGAAUUAAAAUUUUAUUGUUUGAAAUCUCCUAAUAACAUUAAAAAAUUAAACUAAAGUUUUUAAAAGAAUUUAGGAUAAACUACACCAUUAGUCACUCAAAAAAUGGUCAAUUUUCAUUUUGGUCACUUAACUAAAAUAAGAUACAAUUUGGUCACUAAUGUUUCUAGAAAAAAAUCUUGGUCACCCGACUGUCAAGUGGCGCUUACUCUAGCUAGUAUAAUAACAAUUUUUAUCACAUCCCAAAAAGUAGGUUAGUAGAAAUUGGGUUAGUGAAACCAAGAGUGGUCACGUCCUAUUUUUGAGUUAAGAUUGUGAAAAUUAUGUUAAGUAAAUUGAUUUGGUUUAGUGGUUAAGUGCUUUGGAUGUGUGUUUAAGGUUUUGUGUUCAAAUCUUUUCCCUUAAAUUUUUAUUAUUUUUGUCCUAACUUCCAUGUUUGAACAUCUAGCUUAUAUAUUAUUUUUGCUCAAUUGAUAAUAAGAAUAGUUUGUUAGUUUAGUGGUAAGGUUUUAGUUUAUUUAAAGGUCUUGUGUUUGAACCCUAUAUAAGUAAUGUGGAAAUUUUUUUUAUAGGGAUAACUAAUCAAUUUGAGUGGGGAAGUUUUCCAUUUUCCUACAAAAUUUCCCCAAAAUUCUCCUAAUUCUAUCGUCCUCUUCUUGCCACAUUGUUCACAUUUUCUUUUCCCUUUUCUUUUUCCAUCUACUGAUUUCUAUUUUCUUUUUGCUUCAGUAGUUUUGCUGCCUUCCUUUCUCAUCUUUGCUCUAAUAUUUUCUUUUGUGUUAUUCUAUUGGUACGCUGUUGAAUCUCUGUUAUUCCUUCGGGUAAGUGUUGGUUAUUUGUUUUAUAUAAAUGUGGUGUUGGGUUAAUCUUUCAAGUGAUUGAUGGUUUCAAGUUUUAUUUUUGCAAUGUGUUGUUAGGAGAAGAUCGAUAGACUCGUGAAUUGUCUCCAGCAGUUUAUGUCUGGGAAAGGGCUAUUGUUUUUGCAAGGGUAAGUGAUUAAAGUUUUCAAUUGAAGGUUGAUUUGGUUGCUUAGGCUAAGUGUUUAGCAUUUGCAAUUGAAUUAGUGACUUGGAUGUAGCACAUUACUAAUAAUUCUUAGGUUCUAAAAUGUCGGUUUAGGUACUAGAAUCCUCAUAGUGGUGUUAGCAUCGAAAACCGACCAAGUGUGUAACAAAAAUAUUAAAAAAUAGUGAACGGCACGAUGUCAAAAAACCCACUAUCGACGUCACACAGCCAUGUGCCAGGUUAUGUGGGUCAUAUAGGCUGAGUUAUUUGGGCCGUGUGGGCUACACAGGUGUGUGUUAAGCUGUGUGCUAGGUUGUGUAGGCCACAUGGGUUAGGUCAGUUAGGUCGUGUGGGCCCAUUUUUUGUAUAAUCUCGUCAAGGUCGUAUUUGAAGUGUGAUUUGAAAUUCGUUACUUCGUAAGUUCCGAAAUGUGUUAUGUAUGCGUUCUAAAUACAAAAUUUGAUAUUUUAUUUCUGUUAAUGUGAUUUUUGAAGCAUAUUAUUCAAUAUUGACAUUGUACAUGUAACAUUCAAGAGCAUUCUGUGGUAUAAUUUAUGCUUCUGAUCUGUAAUUUGAGAAUCUAUUUAAGCAUGAUUCAUUUAUGUACAUCUUAGUAUGUAAAAUAUUUUGACAUAUGCAUUAGGGUGGGAUGAUGGUGUGAUGGAAGAAGUGUUUUGGCAGUUUAACUGCAUACUGAUGUUUAUAAGCCACCGUUGUUUGGCAACUCGGGAUAACUUAAUUUGUGGUUUAACCACAUAUCUAAUAUGGUGGCUUGACCAGACUUAUUGAUUUUGGCGGAAUACCGCAUUAUUUCUGGCAAUUUAACUGCGCUAUUUUAAAAAGUGAUAUAUGCUUACUUAUUGGUGUGAUGGAUGGAUGGGCUCUUAUAGUCCUAUGUGGUGUGUAUUGGUGGGACGGAGAUGGUGUGUAGUGGAUUGGGAUAGGAUUUAUUUCUGUGUCUGUAUUUGCAUCUGUAUUUGUAUCUACAUCUGAUUCUGCAUAUGAGAUUGCAUCUGUAUCUGAAACUGAAAUUAUAUAUGUAAUUGAAUUGUAUCUAUUUUUGGAAUUGUUACUGUAAUUGAGUCUAUUCUGCCUGUUUGGGUUGAGUUACACAUGUAAUUGUUACUGUAUUUGAGUCUAUUCUGCCUGUUUGGGUUGAGUUACACACUAAGCCUAUAAGCUCACCCAAGUUCUUUAACUUCUCAGGUAAUCGACAUACUUAGGACCAAACGACGUGCAGAAGCUCAUAUUGGGUUCUCAGUUAUUUAAGUAUGAUGGUUCAUGUUUUUAAAUUAUUCUGGACUUUCUAGAUUUUUUUAGGGGUUUGUAAAUCUGUUUCUGUAUUUUUCUUUAUGUUUUGGUUUGCUUAGUUGAAUUUAGUAAUUAUUACUUAAAACUACAAAGUUUUGUGUUUUGCAAAUUAAGUCACGAUUUUCGAAAUUUAAUACUUUGAAAUUUCCGCUACAAAAUAAAGUAAUCAUUUAAGUGUUUUUCUAUAAUAAAAUAAAUAUUUUUAAUGAGUGUUUUCUUAAAAACUGGAAAGUGAUUUGCCAGAAUUAAUAUUGCCAAAACACACGAUUUCAAAUUCAAUUUCUAGGUUUUUUAAAUAAGCUAAUGUAAUUCCUCCAAAUUUGGCCAUAACGUCUAGGCCAGAUUUGGGAUGUUACAAUUUUAGUCCUUAAUUUUUAUAUUUUUAUCAAAUUGAUCCUGAUUUUAUAUAAAAAUUAUAAAAAAACCUCAAAAUCAUUUAUAAAAUAGAAAAAAUGUAUAUAAAAUUCUAGAAAAAUAAAAUCUUGAAUAUGUUGUUGAAGAACUAAAUUGUAUGAGAAAUAAAGAAAAGUAUCAUUCAAUAGAAUCCAAUAACAAACUAGGCACAUAACAAAAUAAAAAAGUUAGAUCAUUACAUACUUCCUCAACGUUUCUCGAAACCAAAUUAGUAAUAUUAUCUAGUUGAGUUUCAUGCUCUUGAAGAACAUUUAGAACCGGUAUUACAGAGGCUUAUGAAAUCGACCCUGAUGUCAUUUUUUAGUCAAAAGAUUACAAAAUAUACCACAAAAUUUUUUCAAACUCAAUUCAAAAUUUAAUUAUAUUUAAAUUAUUUUUCAUAACCCAAAUUGUAAAAACAAAUUAUGUUUCUUCUUCCAUGGUCGAGUGGCUUGGACAAGGGUGUUAUGUCUUGAGCCAUUACAACUUGAAUUUAAUUUAAAUAAUAAAAUAUAUUUUUAAAUUUUAAAUUUAAUUAAAAAUAUAAAAAAAUUUUAAUAUUUUAUUAUUUUCUGAACUCUCAAAUGGACUUUUUGGAUUGACCAAGCUAGGCUAAAAAUGGGUUAGGCUUGAAAACAUUUUAGAUUAUUUUUAAGAGUAUAUCAAGGAGUCUAAUAAUUACAAUUUUUUUUGAAAGGUCUUAAUAACACUAGAAAUCUUAUCACAUGAUUAUGCAUGUGGAAAUCACGUAUUUAUAACACAGACUUGUGUUUAAAAAUAACAUACAAUGAAUACUGAAAAAUAUGAUUUGGAACUAAUUAAUAAUAACACGUGAAAUAUGUAUGAAAUUAAAAUAAAAAUUAGAUUAAAUUGAAAGUAAAACAAAAUCUAAACACAAACAAAUCAUAUUAAGAAUAGUAAAUGAAUACAAAUGUUUAUCAUUGUUUUGUCUUCAAUCCUGAGUUGGUGAUGCUAAAUCAAUAACAUUAUUUACAUACACAAAUAUAUAAAAAUUUAGAACACAAAUGUUUAUCUAUUAUAAAAGCAUGUAUGACAUGUACAUUUCUGACAUUUGUUAAUUCUACAUGUGCAUUAGGAUGAGAUUUGUGUUAAUGGAGGAAGUGUGGGAGUUUAAUUCAUUUGCCAAAUUUGGUGGCUCAGCCACACAUAUUUCUACAUUUGGCGAUGAAUCACCUAAUGAUCUGGCAGUUAGGCUGCGAAUAUUUUGAAAAGUUUCAUACCGACACUAAGCGGUGUGUAGGGUUUGAUAGGUAUUUAAUACCCUAUAUGGUGUGUAGGGAUGGUCGGAGAUGGUGUGUAACGGAUUGGAGUAGGAUUGUAAUCUACAUCUGGUAUGUUUUGAUUCUGUUUCUGUAUAUGAUAUAUGUCUCUUAUUGACUUCCGAAAGCAUGUUUGAAAAUUAUAUCUGAUAUUUUUACUCUUAUAAGUUACACAUUGAGCUUGUAAGCUCACUCUCAGUUUCUCUUAUUCUUAGGUAAUCCUUAGACUUAGGUGGGUCGGAGCGACUGGAGAUCGAUUAAUUAUCUUCUUGUUAUAUUUGUUAUUUUAAUCUGGUUUAUUCUAUUUGGUUUUGAACUGUUUUUGGAUUGUUUUUAACUUUAGGUCUAUUUUCGUUUUGUUUAUUUAUUUAAACUUUUUUGGUUGGUUUAAAUUUGAUCUACAAAAUGUCAAAUUAUAUAGCAACAAACCGUGUUUUCAAAAUUGGACUCAACCAAGAAUUUUCGUUGCAAACGUAAGUGUUUUACAAGUAAAUAAUCGACAAAUUUAUCAAAAUGGUUAAGAAGGAUAUUUUUCCCAAAUAAACUCGGAUUUUACUUCAUAAGAGCUAGCAUUGUUUUAUAAGUUGAACGGAUUCUAGAUUUUCAAAUAAAUUGUAGUAACAUCUUUAGAUUUGGCCAUAACGUCUAGGCCGGGUUUGGGGUGUUACAGAGCCUAUAAGCUCACCCAAUGUUUCUAACUUCUCAAUUAAUCAACAUAUUUAGGACCAGACGCCGUGCAGGAGAUCAGAUUGAGUUCUCAAUUAUUUAAGUAUGAUGGUUCAUGUUUUUAAAUUAUUCUGGACAUUCUGAUUUUUUUCGGGGGUUGUAAAUCUUUUUUCGGAUUUUGCUUUGCUUAGUUGGAUUUAGUAAUUAUUACUUAAAACUACAAGAUUUUGUGUUUUACAAAUUAAGUCAUGGUUUUCAAAUUUUAGUACUCUAAAAUUUCCACUACAAAAUAAAGUAAUGACUUGAGUGUUUUUCUAUAACAAAAUAAAUAGUUUUAAUGAUUGUUUUCUUAAAAACUGAAAAGCAAUUCGCCAGAAUUAAUAUUGUUAAAACACACAAUUUCAAAUUUAUUUUCUGAGUUUUUAAACAAGUUAAUGUAAUUCCUCCAGAUUCGACCAUAACGUAUAAACCAAGUUUGUGGCGUUACAAUUUUUGUCCUCAAUUUAUAUAUAUAUUAUAUAUAUUUAUCAAUUUGACCCUGGUUUUAUAUAAAAAAUUUAAAAUCAUUUAUAAAAUAGAAAUAUAUAUAUAUAAAAUUCUAGAAAAAUAAAAUCUUGAAUAUGUUGUUGAAGAACUAAAAUGUAUGAGAUAUAAAGAAAAGUAUCAUUCAAUGGAAUCCAAUAACAAAUUAGAAACAAAACGAAAUAAAAAAGUUCAGUUUCAUGCUCUUGAAGAACAUCUAGGACUGAUGUUACAGAGACUUAUAAAAUUGACCCGGAUGUCAUUUUUUGUCAAAAGAUUACAAAAUAUACCAUAAUUUUUUUUCAAAGCCAGUUCAAAUUUUAAUUACAUUUAAAUUAUUUUUCAAAACCCAAAUUGUAAAAACAAAAUGUGUUUUCUUCUUCCAUGGUUGAGUUGGGUUGGACAAGGUUUUUAUGUCACUAGCUGUUCCAACUCGAAUUCAAUUUAAAUAAUAAAUUUUUUAAAUUUUAAAUUUAAUUAAGAAUAUAAAAAUAUUUUUAAUAUUUUCUUAUUUUUUGAACUCUCAAAUGGACUUUUCUGGGUUGACUGAGCUGGGCUAAAAAUGGGUUAGGCUUGAAAAAAAUUUAGAUUAUUUUUUAGAGUAUAUUAAGGAGUCUAAUAAUUAUAAUUUUUUUGAAAGUUUUUAAUAAAACUAGAAAUCUUAUCACAGGCAUAUGCGUGUGAAAAUCACGUAUUUAGAAUACAUAUUUGCGUUUAAAAAGAACAUACAAUAAAUAAUGAAAAGUAUGAUUCGGAACUAAUUAAUAAUAACACAUGAAAUAUGUAUGAUAUUAAAAUAAAAAUUAGAUUAAAUUGAGAGUGAAACAAAAUUUAAACACAAAAACAAAUGAAUAUUAAAUGAAUACAAAUGUUUAUCAUUGUUUUGUCUUCAAUACUGAGUUGGUGCCAUGUUCAUUUGUGACGCUAAAUCAAUGACAUUAUUUACAUAUACAAAUAUAUAAAAAUUUAGAACACAAAUAUACUUAUUAAAGUUUCAAAUGAAAACCUUAAAUUGUUUUAGUUACAAUGUAAAUGAAAAAGCUUUAUAUGCUUGGUGUCCCCUAGUUCAAAUAUCAUUAUGGGUAAAUUUUUAUUGAUUUAUAAAAAAAUAUAUAAAAUGAUGAAAACACCCUCAUAAACAUAUAUCUUACUUUGCAAAUAAAAUAGUAUUUUUGGUAAUUUUCUUAUUGAGUUGGGACUCGAUUGAUGAGUGACACUAACUCAGUAAAAUGCUUAAUACAUAGUAUAGAUAAAACAAUUCUAAACUAAAAUUUUUAAAAGAAUUUAGGGUAAAAUUCAACUAUGGAUAAGUUUUCAUUUUGGUCACUUAACUAAAAAAUGUUACAAUUUGAUCACUAAUGUUUUUGAAAUUAUUUUCCUUUUGUCACUCGACUGUUAAGUGGCACUUGUUUUUGUUUGUAUAAUAAUAAUUCUAGUAAUCAAUUUUUAUAUUUUCUGUCAAUUUGACCUUGAUUUUGUAUAAAAUUAUAAAAAAACUAAAAAAUAUUUAUAAAAUAGGAAAAUGUAUAUAAAAAACUCUAAAAAAUAAAAUCUUGAAUAUGUUGUUGAAUAGCUGGAUUUUAUUGAGAAAUAAAGAAAAUUAUCAUUUAAUAGAACGUAAUAAUGAAAAACAAAACAAAACAAAGUUACAUUUUGCAUCUUAUACUUGUUCAUAAUAGCUAAUAUUCACAAAAAUUUUCAAUUCAGUCCAUUUUAGUGAUGAAUUCACUAAAUUCUAGUUAUAGCUAAACAUAUAGAUGAAAUCAAGUACAAUUUAGACAUAAUAUAAAACCAGAUAGUAAGUUUCAUAUUUAAUGUCACACCCUAAUACAACUCAUUCACUUGUAUAUUUAAUUUCAAGUUGUAACAUAUGAUUAUGCAUUCUUAUACCCUGCUGUCCCAUACUUUUCGAUUAAUUAUUAGGUUUAAUGAUAAAUUUAACCUUUAAUGUUUGAUUAUUUUAUUAAAAUGGUCCUAAUUGUGUUUUUGAGUUUUUUUUUUGCUAUCAACCUUUGUUCUUUUUUUUUCACUCUUCUUUUUUAAAUAGAUUUAAUGAAAGUACCUUAAAAAAGUGAAAUUUCAUAUGUCGAAUAUUUUUAAUGAGAUAUAAUUUAUUAGUUAGAAAAUCCAAUAAGAUAUUUAUAUUCUUGUGAAAAAAAUAAUACAUUAAAGUGAAAAAAAACUUAAUUUAAAGAAAAUAAAUGUAAUUAUUUUAAAAAAAUUAACUCAGUAGAAAAACUUUUCAGUAAACAAACAUAUGAAAGAUUAAAAACUUUUGAAAGAAAAAAAAUUGAAACAAAUGCUGAUGGUAAAGAAAAGCUCAAAAAUAGAAUUAGGGCCAUUUUGACAAAACAAGCAAAAAUUAGUGACCAAAUUUAUCAUUAAACCUAAUUAUUAUUAUUAUUAUUACUAUUAUUUAAUGCCAAUUAUAAUGGGUGACAGCAAAGAAAAGAGUCAAAAAAGACGGAUUUCUUAUUCAUGUCCACAACAUUCGUCUUUUUAUACAUGUAAUUAUUCAUUAUUUUCUCUUUCUUCUUCUUCUUCACAUACUUUCCCAUUAAUUCCUAUCACAAUUUUGCUUAUUUCUAUUUUCACCUUCUUCUUCACUCUUGUUAAUUUCUUUUCAUCUCCAAGGUCUAUCACUAAUUUUCAAGCAUCCAGUCAAGGAAAUUUCCUUUCAUUUGCUUCAUUCAUGACUAUACAAUGAUUGUUUUUUAUUAUCAGCUACUGUUAUAACAGCUUGCUUUGUAAGAUGGUCAAGGUAAUAAGAUCUGCAGCAAUGGUUUCCUCUAGUGAUUACCAACAGUUUUAGAUUUUAAGACAGGAUGAUCAGCAGACAUAAUCUACUAUAGUUAGAAAUUAAUACCAAAAGAGCUAUACUUUGUAAGAUGGUCAAGCUAAUAAGAUCUGAAGCAAUGAUUUCCUCUACUGAUUAUAGAUUUUAAGACAGGAUGAUCAGCAGACAUAGUUUACUAUAGAUACAAAUUAAUACAAAAAGAGCUACCCAGAAGCAAUAUAAUGUUGAAAUCUCAUGCUGUUGAACAUUUUACCUCUUCAUAUUCUGUAAUGAACUCUUGCACACUUGAAUCUAGCAUGUUAUAUAGUUUGAGGGGUUGAUUCUGGAUAUACAAUGGUGACCAGAAUUUCAUCAUGUUUCUGUCUGCCACCCAUCCAUAGCUCCAUCUAAUAGACGCCAUUGCUUGAAACUUGCAUUCAUGUUUUCCUUUUCAUGCUUACACCGACAUAUCAAUACUUCAUAAAAUAUCCAAUUCAUUCACAGAUUUUCAUUUUCUGCUACUGUUAUAUAUGAUUGCAUUGCAGGGACAUAGCAAUGGAGUACGUAGAGCCUGUUGUCGGCAUUGCAAAUUGUCUCGGAACUCCUGUUUGUAAAUAUUUGCAAUAUCACAGAAAGCUGAACUAUUAUAAGAGAAACUUCAAGAGGAUCAGAGAUGCAUUGAAUUGCAAAAUGGAAGAUAUAGAGCUGCAAUUGAAAGCAAAGCUUCUUCGUCCUCUGGGGAAGAUACCGAAGAAGGGAGUUGAAAAUUGGUUGAAAGCUGUGAAAGAGAUGAUUAGGGAAGCACAAGUUGUUGAAAACAAAGUCAGUAAUGGGAGAUAUCUCUGUCGUGCUUGCAACGGGAAGCUAGUUGAUGAAAAGACUCGAGAAAUGAAGGAAUUUCUUGAUAAUGCUCCUAAUGCCUCUGAAGGUCUUGUCAUGGAUGGUCCAAGUGCUGGGUUGCCACUGCCAACAUCAGAACUAGUUGGAGAAAGAGCUGUCAGAAAUGAGAUUUGGGCAUGUUUGAUGAGGAGGAGGUGAUCAAGAUUGGGGUUUGGGGGAUGGGCGGUGUGGGUAAAACCACUAUCAUAAAGCACAUCCACAAUGAUCUUUUGAAACAGCAAAGAUUCGAAAGGGUAAUCUGGGUUACCAUAUCAAAGGAGUUCAAUGUAAUGACGGUACAAGAUAACAUUGCAAUUGAGAGAACUGAAAUUGUGGAGAUUACGAAAUUUGAAGAGCAUUUGCAGCAAAAAUGGAGUGAUGGUUUGUGAUUCUCUCCAACUUAUCCUGAUUAUUAGAUGUCAUAAACUGGAGAGAAUUCCUCCAUUUGUUCCCCUUGUUGGCAAUGGGCAGCCAUUUGGAUAUGCUCCACCUUCUCUUACCAUCACGUCAAGCACAGAUUGGUGGGAAUCGUUGGAGUGGGAUGACCAUCCAAACUUUAAAAAUGUUCUUCAACCCCUUUGGAAGGAGAAGAGGUAUUGUUAGUUAUUUGCUUAAGGAACGUUAGUUUGAUUUCUUGUUUAUUUGAAAUUCAAUAAAUUUGUUUCACAGUUAGAGCAUAUCCCUAUUUUGAAGGGAAUUGUUAGUAUUCUGAUUCUCAGAAUUGAUAUUUUUGGAAACAACCUACGUUGUAACUCAGCUAUUUAAAAGGCUGAAUACUGAAUAACUUAAAAUAUACAUAUAUACAAAUAAAAACUAUUCUCUGCAGUUUCUUCUCUGUUAAAGCUUUAAACUCUUUCUUGUAUUGCUGCAACUGCAUUUUUAUUAUUAUUUUUUAUUCCAUUUUCUUCAUUUGAAUCUUACAAUUGGUAUCCGAGCUAUUUUCUUAAGGGAUCUGUGUGUGAAAUGGAGACCGAAACCAGCUUUUCUCAAAUUGCUCCUCCUGUUUUUGAUGGUCAGAAUUAUCAUUUGUGGGCAGUAAAGAUGGAAACUUACCUUGAGGCUUUGGAUCUUUGGGAGGCCGUGGAAGAGGAUUACGAAAUACCUCCGUUGCCGAACAAUCCUACCAUGGUCCAAAUCAAAACUCACAAGGAAAAGAAGACCCGAAAAGCUAAGGCAAAAUCAACUCUGUUUGCUGCUAUUUCAACAAACGUUUUCACAAAAGUUCUCACUCUCCGAUUAGCAAAAGAAGUGUGGGACUAUCUCAAAGAAGAAUAUGAAGGAAAUGACCGAAUACGAGGAAUGCAAGUGCUAAAUUUAAUACGGGAGUUUGAAUUGCAAAGGAUGAAAGAGUCAGAAACAAUCAAAGAGUACCAAGACAGAUUGUAUGAAAUUGCCAACAAGGUAAGGUUACUUGGCACUAAAUUUCCAGAUUCUAGAAUUGUUGAAAAAAUUCUUGUAACAGUGCCUGAAAGAUAUGAAGCUUCAAUAACCACCUUGGAAAAUACAAAAGAUAUGUCUAAACUCAGUUUGGCAGAAUUGAUGAAUUCUUUGCAAGCUCAAGAACAGCGAAGACUCAUGAGGCAAGAACAAAUAGUAGAAGGAGCUUUGCUAGCUAGGCACCAGGAAGGAGGAAAGCACAAGAAGAAUACUAAGAGAAAAACACAAGUAACAUCUGCAGCAAAUUCUUCGAACACUCACACUCGAGGUAAGGGUAGAAAAUCAAAGAAAGACUAUCCGCCUUGUCAGCACUGCGAAAAGAAAGGCCAUCCACCGUUCAGAUGUUGGUGGAGACCAGAUGCUAAAUGUACCAAAUGCAAUCAACUUGGACAUGAAGCCGUGGUUUGCAGAAGCAAUAAGUUGAAGCUUGAAGAAGUCCAUGUGGCUGAUCAAGACGAGGAAGAUCAGAUAUUUGUCGCAGCAUGUUUUUCAACUAAAAGUUCUUCAGAAAGCUGGUUGAUUGACAGUGGUUGUACAAACCAUAUGACUCUGGAUAAAACUCUCUUCAAGGAUUUGAAGCCGAGAGUCAUGAAGGUCAAAAUUGGAAAUGGUGGCUAUAUUUCCGCAAAAGGGUCGGGAACCGUGGCAUUUACAACAAGUUCAGGUACAAAAACAAUCUCAGAUGUACUUUAUGUUCCUGAAAUUGAUAAAAAUUUGUUGAGUGUUGGCCAGCUUAUAGAAAAAGGAUUUAAAGUAUCCUUUGAAAAUUCCUAUUGCUGCAUUUAUGAUGUUGCUGAAAAAAGAGAUUUUAUGGGUUAAAAUAAGGGGUAAAAGUUUCUCAUUUGAUCCAAUGGAGGAGGAGCAAAUAGCCUACGUCAACAAAGUUUGCACUACGGAAAUUUGGCACAAAAGGCUUGGUCACUGUCAUCUUCAAAGAAUGCUGAAAAUGAAGAAGAAAGACAUGAUAAAAGGAAUGCCAGAACUUGAUGAUCAUCUUCCAACUUGUGCCGCCUGUCAAUUCGGUAAACAAAAUAGGCUGCCGUUUCCGAAAUCAACUUGGAGAGGUUCUCAAAAGUUGCAACUAAUUCAUACUGAUGUUGCCGGACCACAAAGAACACCAUCUUUACAAGGUAGCAUUUAUUGUAUUAUUUUCAUUGAUGAUUUUACAAGAAUGUGCUGGAUUUUUUUCUUGAAAUUCAAAUCAGAAGUGGCUGGUGUGUUUUGGAAGUUCAAGAAAAUGGUAGAAAAUCAAAGUGGCUGCAAAAUUCAGGUGUUGAGAUCCGAUAAUGGGAAUGAGUAUACUUCGGCAGAAUUCAAUUUAUUUUGCGAAGAAGCUGACAUUAAACAUCAGCUUACUGCUUCAUACACUCCGGAACAAAAUGGGGUCAGCGAGAGAAAGAACAGGUCCGUAAUGGAGAUGGCUAGAUGUAUGUUGCAUGAAAAGAAGUUGCCAAAGACAUUUUGGGCAGAGGCAGCCAACACGGCAGUUUUUUUACAGAACCGACUUCCAACCAAAGCUUUGGAAGACAAGACUUCAUUCGAAGCUUGGUACGGUUAUAAACCUUCACUUAGCUUUCUUAAAGUAUUUGGAUGCAUAUGUUUUGUUCAUGUUCCAAAGGUUAAACGUGACAAACUUGAUAAAAAGGCAAUUCCUAGCAUCUUCGUGGGAUAUAGUUCAGUUUCAAAAGCCUACAAGGUUUAUCAUCCUCAAACCGAAAAAUUGACAAUUAGCCGAGAUGUACAUUUCAACGAGGACGAGCAGUGGGAUUGGAUGAUUUCAUGAAAAAAAGAGAUGUCUCAAGAACCGAAAGGUGCUUUUGAAACAACCGACGAAUGGAUGAUGAUCCUCCAGUUAGAGGUACAAGGCUACUUUCAGAUAUCUAUCAAAGAUGCAAUGUGGCAGUUUGCGAACCAGCCAGCCAUGAUGAUGCAUUAAAAGAUCCAAAAUGGAGGAAAGCAAUGGAGGAAGAAAUGACAAUGAUUAACAAAAAUGAGACAUGGGAGCUGGUAGAAAAGCCUGAAGGGAGAAAAGUUAUUGGAGUCAAAUUGGUGUUCCGAACAAAGCUUAAUGCCGACAGCUCCGUCAACAAAUACAAAGCAAGGCUCGUCGUUAAAGGGUAUGCUCAAAUUUAUGGUGUUAAUUAUUCUGAUACGUUUGCUCCUGUUGCAAGAUUAGAUACGAUCAGAUUGUUGCUUGCAAUAUCGGCACAAAAAGGCUGGAAAGUGUUCCAAUUAGAUGUCAAAUCAGCGUUUUUGAAUGGCGAAUUACAAGAAGAAAUAUACGUGGAGCAACCUGAGGGAUUUGUGAAGCAAGGCGAAGAAGAAAAAGUUUACCUGCUCAAAAAGGCUCUCUAUGGCCUAAAACAAGCUCCAAGAGCUUGGUACAGCAAGAUCGAUGCUCAUUUGUUAAGUCUUGGCUUUGUUAAAAGCUUCUAAGAAUCCACUCUUUAUGUGAAACAUAAAGAAGUAGAUACUCUCAUUGUGUCACUAUAUGUUGAUGAUCUUUUGGUGACAGGAAAUAAUACAAGGCUGGUUGAGAAAUUUAAACAAGAAAUGAUGCAAGUGUUAUGGCUAAAAAAGAUAAUGUGUGACUUGCAUAUGGAGCAGAAAAACGAUACUGAGAUUUUUGUUGACAAUCAAGCAGCUAUUGCAAUCUCAAACAAUCCAGUAUUCCAUGGGAAGACCAAGCAUUUCAACAUCAAACUUUACUUCUUGAGGGAAGUACAACAGAAUGGUGAAGUUACUUUGGUUUACUGCAAGUCUGAAGAACAACUAGCAGACUUAUUUACAAAGUUGCUUCUAGCCAACAUGUUCGAGUAUCUAAGGCAGAGAAUUGGAGUUUGCAGUUCCUUAACCAAGGAGGAGUGUUAGUUAUUUGCUUAAGGAACGUUAGUUUGAUUUCUUGUUUAUUUGAAAUUCAAUAAAUUUGUUUCACAGUUAGAGCAUAUCCCUAUUUUGAAGGGAAUUGUUAGUAUUCUGAUUCUCAGAAUUGAUAUUUUUGGAAACAACCUACGUUGUAACUCAGCUAUUUAAAGGGCUGAAUACUGAAUAACUUAAAAUAUACAUAUAUACAAAUAAAAACUAUUCUCUGCAGUUUCUUCUCUGUUAAAGCUUUAAACUCUUUCUUGUAUUGCUGCAACUGCAUUUUUAUUGUUUUUUUUAUUCCAUUUUCUUCAUUUGAAUCUUACAGGUAUGAACUAUGAACCAUUUAUGGUUUAGUUUAUUUUUUUAUUUUGAUAAAUCUAAUUUCUCCAUUUUAAUACAAUUUCAGGUAUAUUUUUUAUGUUAAUGAAGAGUAAGAUGAAAGGGUUGGUGGGAAAGGAGGAGGGGGAGGAUAGUGCAAAAGAGAGGAGAAAAGGAAUGACGGAAGGAAGAGGUUAAGAGGGUCCACAUUGUAAACAUUGUCCCUCUCUUGCCAUUCCUUCUAUUCUCUUUUUCUUAUAAUGUAAAAGUUAUGCCAAGUAACUGAAGAGGUAAAAAAACAAAUAAAUUUGCUUAAUAUUUUUUCUAUGUUUGUUUUGGAAGAAUGAGUAUUUGAAUAUGGAUAAUAUAGAGAAAUUUGGUAGGGUUUAGAAAUAAGAUCAAGAUGAAAAAUAAAAUAUAAUUUAAAUAUCAGUUGAUAAAUUAAGUCUAUUCAAAAUAAUGGUAUUUUAGAUAGCAAAGGUAUUGGAAAUUUAAAGUGAUAAAUUACCCUUUUAUCAUUAUAAGUAAAUACCAGAAUUUCUUUUUAAAUAAAAUAAAAAAUAUCAUUAUUUCUUCUUUCAACAACCAUUCUAUUCUAAAAAAAAUAUCAUUAUUUCUUUUAGUGCAUUAAGGGGAAUUAUGAUUAUGGUAUGUUAGACAUCAGAAGAACCUAUAUAUUCUUAAAAGUAAAGAUAUGAAAAAGCAGAGUGUUGAAAUGACUAUUCAAUGACAUUUAAAAUAAUAUAUGGGUGUCCAAAAUUCAGAUUCAAUGGCAUAAGCAAAGCAAAUAACAAAGACAAUGUCACCACAGAAACUGUAAACUAAAUGAAAUAUCGUGCAAGGUUGAUCCAGAGAUAAAAAAUAAAAUCUUUAUUUAAAGUUCAAGGUCUUUGAAAUGAAGAUACCCAAGCAAGCAACAAGGUAUCUUCCAAAGCAAUACAUUGCAAAUGAUUCAUAGCAAUCAUGUAGAAUCGAACAAUCAACACUAACUGAUGGAUGCACCAAUGAUACAAACUGUUAAAAUAAUCCAGGUUAAUAAGACUGAAAAUAACAUAUAAUUACACUAAAUGCAUGGUGCAAAAUUAACAUGUUGCAUGUUGUGCCAAAACUAUACUCAAAACUUCAAUAGUAACCUAAGUUGAAUAUAGGUCAAUUUUUUUUGUAACAUAAAUAUGCUACUGCUGGUUUUUACUAAUUCCUAGCACAUAAGUUGCUGAACAGCUCAGUUUAACAAGAAGGUUUAACAGUGUUACUCAAUUGGACUAAUUUCGUUAUCUAUGUUUGUAUGAAAUUUUGCCUACAUACCAAAUCCUUUAAAAUGUUUUACUAAUUUUGAAUAAUAUUAUAAGACAUUGGGGUGAUAAAAAUUAAAUACAACUUUAUGUUUUUGUUAUACCUAAUUAAAGUAUUUUACCAGUAUAUUAGACAUUCUUAUACCCUAGUUUCCCAUACUUUCCCAUUAUUAUCGUGAUGAUGAUAAUGAUGAUGUAACAAUUGAGCACUAAGAUCACUGUAAUACUUGUUUUAAUUGGUAUAAUAAUAAUUUUAGUCCUUUUUUUUCUUAUAUUUUUUAUCAAUUAGACUCUGAUUUUGUAUAAAAUCAUUUAAAAAAAUCAAAAUUUUAAAAAUAUAAAAAUGUUUAUAAAAAUUAUAGAAAAAUAAAAAUAUAGAGAAAUUUUGUAGGGCCCAAAAACAAUUAUCUCUCAUUUUCUCACUUUAUUUAUUUUUGAAAUUUUUAUCUACUUUUAUUUAAUUUUUUAUUUUAUAAUAUUCUAAAAUUUUAAAAAUAAUUUUAAUUUUUUACCAUUUUAUAUAUUUUCAAGAUCAAAUUGACUGAAAGUAUAAAAUUUGAGGAUUAAAAUUGUUAUUAUAUCAAUUAAAAAAGUGUCACUUAACAUUUGAGUGACAAGAAAAAAACAAUUUCAAAAACAUUAGUGAUGAAAUUAUAACUUUUUUAAUUAAGUGACUGAAACAAAAAUACCCAUAUUUUAGUGACUAAUAGUGUAGCCUUUUUUUGGUAAAAUGAAAAUUUGACCCUGAUUUUGUAUUAAAAAAACUCAAAAUUAUUUAUAAAAUAGAAAAAUUAUAUUAUUCAGCAUAGGGAAUUUUUACCCAAAUCAUAUAAAAAUAAUUAAUUAUGAAAAUGGUAUGGAAAAUAAACUAAUUACAAAAAUAAAGCAUUUGAUAUAAUGUUCUGUUGGUGUUCCUGACAUAUUGGUAGUACUAGAUUAAAAUGUGACAACCUAAAAUAUUCAAGGACUUGAUGUAACGCCCCAAAAUUUUAAUUUUGAAUAUUGUGAAUGUGUAACAUAAAUAUCUGUCAACUUUAGUAGUUAUAUGUUCUAAAAGUGUUCGGGAGGUCCCAAGUUCAAGUCAAGAUUUGGGCAAAUUUUGAUAUGUAAAUUUAAAAAAUAUUCAAAGACUUGAUAUGUAAAUUUCUCAUUUUGAUUGGCUGUUGAAAAUAAGCUCUAAAGAUGUUGUGUGACAGUGUGGCGACACAAAAUCUUAAAUAGGGUUAAUUUCUUUGUAAACUAUCAUUGUUUAUUAUUUUGUUUUUAUCUCCCUUCAACACCAAAAUUACAAAAGUUUCCUACCUAUUAAUCCAGUUCAAAUUAUGUCUAGCAUAACCGUUAACAUUAUUGUUAGUAAUUUUCUUUGACUCAUAUAUAUAUAAUAAAUUUUUCUAAAAUUUUUCUAAUUAUAAUUUUAUAGGAUACCGUAAAUUAAAUUGAUAAUAAGAAUAAUUAUAAUGCUAUCUGUAAUGGCAGAAGACAGCAAAGAAAAAGGCUAAAAGAAAAAGUAAUAAAAAUAGGAUUCCUUACUAAUAAUUCUGCCUUUGUGGAUCCUACCACUGACUUCAUAAUUUCCCUGUUUUUAUCUUCACUUUCUUCUUACUUCUUACUUCUUCUUCACUGCUUUUAAUUUGUUUCGAUGUCCAAGGUCUAUCACAAAUUUUGAAGCAUCCUGUCAAGGUAAUUUUCUUUCAUUUGCUUAAUUCAUGACAUGCAUUUCUUUGCUUUUGAUUAUCUGCUACUGUUAUAGCAGCUAGCUUUGUAAGAUUGUCAAGGAAGUCAACUUCACUGCUUCAUUUUCAGUUCUAAUCUCUCAAAACUUUUCAGCCACUAAGUCAGGUAAUAAGAUCUGAAGCAAUGAUUUCCUCUAGUAAUUAUCAACAGUUUUAGAUUUUAAGAGUGGAUGACCAGCAGACAUAAUCUACUAUAGAUAGAAAUUAAUACAAAAACAGCUACCCAGAAGCAAUAUAAUGUUGAAAUCUCAAACUGUCAACAUUUUAACUCUUAAUAUUCUGUAAUGAACUCUUGCACACUUGCAUCUAGCAUUUUAUACACAUCGAGAGCUUGAUUCUGGUGACCAGAAUUUCAUCAUGUUUCUGUCUGCCACCCAUCCAUAGCUCCAUCUAAUAAACGCCAUUGCUUAAAACUUGCAUUCAUGUUUUCCUUUUCAUGCUUACACUGUCAUAUCAAUACUUCAUAAAAUAUCCAAUUCAUUCACAGAUUUUCAUUCUCUGCUACUGUUAUAUAUGAUUGCAUUGCAGGGACAUAGCAAUGGAGUACGUAGAGCCUGUUGUCGGCAUUGCAAAUUGUCUUGGAACUCCUGUUUGUAAAUAUUUACAAUAUCACAGAAAGCUGAACAAUUAUGUGAGAAACUUCAAGAGGAUCAGAGUUGAAUUGAAUUGCAAAAUGGAAGAUAUAGAGCUGCAAUUGAAAGCAGAGAUUCUUCGUCCUCUGGGGAAGAUACCGAAGAAGGGAGUUGAAAAUUGGUUGAAAGCUGUGAAAGAGAUUAUGAGGGAAGCACAAGUUGUUGAAAACAAAGUCAGUAACGGGAGAUAUUUCUGUCGUGCUUGCAACGGGAAGCUAGUUGAUGAAAAGACGCGAGAAAUGAAGGAAUUUCUUGAUAACUCUCCUAAUGCCUCUGAAGGUCUUGCCAUGGAUGGUCCAAGUGCUGGGUUGCCACUAGAAACAUCAGAACUAGUUGGAGAGGAAGCUGUCAGAAAAGAGAUUUGGGCAUGUUUGAUGCAGGAGGAGGUAAGCAAGAUUGGGGUUUGGGGGAUGGGCGGCGUGGGUAAAUCGACCAUCAUGAAGCACAUCCACAAUGAUCUUUUGAAAGAACAACGAUUUGAAAGGGUGGUUUGGGUUACUAUAUCAAAGGAGUUCAAUAUUGUGAAGUUACAAAAUGAUAUUGCAAGUGCAUUGAAUGGAAAGAUGCCCGAAGAAGCAAACAAGGUAAGACGAGCAGCAAUCUUGUCCGAAAUGCUGAAGAGAGCAGGAAAACAUGUUCUAAUCCUAGAUGAUGUGUGGAGUGAAGUCUCGUUGGAAGAAAUUGGGAUCCCUAAGCCAAGUAGCAGCAAUGGGUACAAGUUGGUGUUGACAACCCGUGUGCAGCAAGUUUGUAAGUCUAUGGGCUGUAAGGUGAUAAAAGUGAAGCCCCUUUCAGAAGAAGAGUCAUUGAUACUACUCUUGAGUGAAGUUGGACCUAACAUCGUGCAAAAUCAAACUUUAAUGCCAACUUUGAAGCUUGUUGUCAAGGAAUGUGCAGGUCUGCCUCUUACAAUUGUCGUCAUAGCUGGUACAUUGAGAGGAGAAGAUGACCCUCUUAUUUGGAAAAACACACUCAGGGAAUUGAAAGAGAGAAUAGGGAAAGUGAAAGAAGGGGAAGAUAAAGUGAUCGAGAGUUUGAAAGUUAGCUUUAAUCACUUAAAAGACGAGAAAAUGAAGCAUUGUUUCUUACAUUGCUCAUUAUAUCCUGAAGAUUUUCAAAUUGGAAAGGAUGGGCUAAUUGAGUGCUGGAUUGAAGAGGGAUUCAUAGAUGAUAUGACUACAAGACAAGAAAUGAAAGAUAAGGGCCAUGUUCUUUUGAAGAAAUUAGAAGAUAAUUGCUUGUUGGAAAAUGUCUCGAGUAAAAGAGUGAAAAUGCUUGAUGCAGUGAGAGACAUGGCAUUGUCGAUCACAAGAAUGAAUCCUUGAUAUAUGAUACAAGCAGGUUCGCAAUUAUAAGAGUUACCAGAAAAGGAGCAAUGGAGUCCGGAUAUUGAGAAAGUGUCACUUAUGUAUAACUCCAUAUUAGAAAUUUCCAUAGAUGUGCUGCCCACAAAAUGUCAACUCUCACAACCUUGUUAUUGCAGGGUAGCCCUAUAAAGAAGAUCCCAUAUUCUUUCUUCACAAACAUGCCCUAUCUUAGUGUUCUCAAUUUGUCCACUACUAAGAUCAAGAGUCUACCAAAUUCCAUCUCUGAACUAAAGAACCUCACAACAUUGUUGCUUUGUGGCUUCGAGAAUUAAGAGAUCUGCUCCAAAUGAACCAAAUCCACUCAACCUAUUACUGAAACUUCAAGGAAAAUGUGAGAGCAUAGAUUAAUUAUUUUUUCAUAAGUUAAUUGCACCAAAUAUUUAAAUUAUUACCUGCAUUCUAAAUUAAUUCAUUAAAUUUUAAAUCAUUUUAGUUACAUUUCUAAACUAAAGAGAAUAUAUCAAUUAAGUUUUUCUUUUUUUAAAACCAUUAAUUUAAUGAUAAAAGGACAUCUUCAGUCACUCUCAAUUUUAAAAUUGAGUAAAUUAGUCACUUUUAAAAAAAUUGGAACAAUUUAAUCUCUGUCAAUUUUGAAAGUGAGCAACAAAGGACAAUUAAUCACGAGGUUCAUGUCUUUCAUCAAUUGUGCAUAAUUUUGAUUGGUACAAUAACACAUUUAGCCCUUGAUGUUUACAUAUUUUGUUAGUUUGGUCUUAAUUCUAAAAAAAAUCAAUAAAUUCAGUCUCAACAUUUACACAUUUACGAAAAUAUGACGGGCUAAAUUUGUUAUCAUAUCAAUCAAAUUUAUGUAAAAUUGAUGAAAAACAUUAAUAUUGUGAUUAAUUGCUCACUUUCGAAAUUAGUAGGGAUUAAAUUGCUUCGAUUUGUUUAGAGGGACCAAGUUACUGAAUAUCAUAACUGAAAGGGACUAGAGAGGUUGUUUUACCUAGUUUAAUAAUUAAAUGACAUGUUAAAUCUUAUGUGACAUAAUUUAAAAUGAAAAUUUGAAAAAAAGAAGAAGGAAGAUUGUAAAAAUAGUUGUUUUAAAAAUCAUGGCUUUGAAGUUUUUACAAAUUUUUUAUUGCUCAUUUUUUUAAAAUUUCAGUUUUAUUUAAUUUUAGUUUCUUAAAAAUUUUCAUUUUAAAAUUAGCUAUAUAAAAUUUACCGUGUCAUUUAAUGAUUUUAAUAGUAAAAUGACAUGAUUAAUAUAACAUCAAUAGUUUAGAAAUGUAAUUAGAUAAGUUUGAAGUUUGAAAAUAGAUUUAAAAUAAUGGUCAUAAUUUAGGGGUGGUUGAUGUAAUUAACUCAUUUCUAAUGGUACUAAUAAUUAAGGCUGCUAUAGGACAAAGUGAAAAAGUGGAAAGCAGGGUUAAAAUAUGACUCAAAGACUCACCUUUUUCUAAGUUUGCCAUUACCAAACGAUGAAGCAAAAGAAAUGAAGGGCCAUUACCAGAAUUUCAUCAUGUUUCUGUCUGCCACCAAUCCAUAGCUCCAUCUAAUAAACGCCAUUGCUUGAAACUUGCAUUCAUGUUUCACUUUCAAUCAUUUUCGUGUCCACCUUCAACCAUCAGCCAUCACUCACCAUUGCUUAAGCUAUUUUGCAUUUUAGACCAUAAAUUACUGAGUUGAAAACUCUAGUGUCCUUCUGCAACCUUUUUUGGUCCAGGCAGGGCAGGCUGGGCUCAAAAAUUUGGGUCGACCUUGAAUAAAACAUUUAAACCCAUUUUUCAUAUUAGGCCAAGCUUGAGUAAAAAUAACAGUUAGCAAUACCUUUGUUGGAACAAUGGCAGCAGCAAACAUCAAACAAAGUUGCAAAACAGAAUUUGCAAAACUGAAGCAAGAAGAAUCGAAGCAAAGAAGAAACAAGCAAGCAAAGCAGUGAACAAAGUUGAAUACUCAGCAAAAUUGUAACUGUAACACUUUUCAUUCAAAAUUUGAAUAUAUAAAAGGUUACAAUUUUUGAAUCAUUUGACAGUUACCUAAUGACAUAACUGCUCCCACUUAGCUAAACUAAAACAUGCUUAAGUCAAAUACAAAAUAAGCUGACAUAUCAGCUUUUACAUCAUCAAUCCAAUCACUAGCUUAUUCCUACUUACUUUGUAAGCUAGUUACAAGAGAACAAAACUAAAUAACAUUAAAACAAAACAACAAAAACUGGUUGCUUCAUUUGGUCCAAAAAACCAGUCUUGCGCACCAAGCAAAAUGAGCUGAGCUCGAUAGCUGCUGCUGGUCUAAACAGUAGCUUGCUGCUGGCUUCAUGUUGCACUGCAGUCCAGCUCUCAACACUCCUCCUUGGACUGUAUGCAACACAUUCCAAUUUCACCUCUCAAUGAUUCAAAUCGAGCAGCCCCUAAGGGCUUGGUCAGUAUAUCAGCCAAUUAUGUCCCUGAGCUGCAAUGCACAAGGCUGACUUCCUUUGCUUGUUCAGCCUCUCGAACAAAAUGCAGUUUAAUUUUAAAAUGCUUGGUUUUACCAUGAAACACAGGGUUCUUGGCUAUGGCAACUGCUGAUUGGUUGUCCACCCAAAUUUCAGUUGCAUCAGCUUGUGUUUCAUUGAGAUCCUGAAGCAGCUUCCUAAGCCAAAUGGCCUGAUUGACUGCUGCUGAUGCAGCAAUGUAUUCUGCUUCAGCUGUGGAUUGAGCAACUGUUUGUUGCUUCUUUGAACUCCAGCAAAACAUGCCCGAUCCAAGUGUGAAGAAGUAUCCAGAGGUACUCUUCAUGUCAUCGAGGGAUCCUGCCCAGUCACUAUCAUAGUAGCCUUCUAGUUUUAGUUUCUUCCCACUUUCGAACAUCACACCAAGGCUAGCUGUGCCUUUGAUGUAUCUAAGAACCCUUUUUGCAGCCUUCAAAUGUGUCUCAUUACAGCAAUGCAUGAACCUCGAUAGCAGACUGACACCAAACAUGAUGUCUGGCCUGGUUGCUGUUAGAUACAACAGACAACCUACUAGGCUUCGAUAGUGUCUCUCAUCAACCCUUUGCUGAUCACCACUACUGGUCAACUUUUCUCCAUGAGCCACAGGUUUACUGACUACUUUACAGUUGUGCAUGCAAAAUUUGCCUAAAAUCUUCAAAGCAAAUGUGUGUUGGCUGAUGAAGAUACAUCGAUCAGACUGGUGAACUUCCAUGCCAAGGAAGUAAGUCAUGAUCCCCAAAUCUGUCAUCUCAAACACUUGCUGCAUUUGAACCUUGAACUCAUCAAUGAGCUCAACUUUGUUCCCUGUCACUAACAGGUCAUCCUAUACAAGGAGACAAUCAACAAGGUUUCAAAUUCUGACCUCUUAACAUAUAGAGUAGGUUCACUAAGGCUCUUUACAAAUCCAAGCUUGGUCAGGUAAGCAUCAACUCUGUCAAACCAGGCCCUUGGUGCCUGUUCCAGACCAUAGAGGGCCUUUCUCAACUUGUACACUUUGUCUUCAUGUCCAGCAACUUCAAAACCUUCAGGUUGCUCGAUGAAGAUCUCCUCCUUGAGAAAACCAUUCAGGAAUGCUGAUUUAACAUCCAAUUGGUGAACUCUCCACUGCUUCUGAGCUGCUAAAGCAAAUAGUAGCUUGAUUGUGUCCAGUCUUACCACUGGAGCAAAGGUCUCCAAGAAGUCCACACCAUACUGCUGACUGUAACCCUUCACCACAAGCCUGGCCUUGUGCUUGUUCAGUGAGCCAUCAGUAUUGUACUUGGCCCUGUACACCCAUUUAACCCCAAUAACCUUCUUAUGUUAUGGUCUGCUCACCAGUUCCCAUGUUUCAUUUUUAUUGAUCAUUUCCAGCUCAGCUUCCAUAGCAUUCAUCCAGCUUCUGUCCUUGGCAGCCUCUUCAAAGUCUGAGGGCUCAAUCACAGCAACAUUGCACCUCUGGUAGACAUCAGCUAAAGUUUUGGUGCCCCUCACUGGUGUAUCAUCAACAGCAUCUUCACUUGGUCUCUCUUCUGCUGAUUCAAUAACCAAGUCUAACUGGUCCAAUUCAGACAAGUCAGCCUCAACAUCAUUCCAAUUCCACACUUUUUCCUCAUCAAACUUUACAUCCCUACUGACUAAAACCUUCUUUGCUGUAGGAUCAUACACUCUAUAGCCCUUCUUGUUGCUGCUGUAGCCAACAAAGAUUCCUAGAGUAGCCCUGCUCUCGAGCUUGGUCCUCUUUUCCACUGGAAUAAGAGCAUAACACACACAGUCAAACACUUUCAAGUGUGUUACCACAGGUUUGACUCCAUGCCAGGCCUCAAAAGGAGUCUUAUUCUUGACUGCUCGAGUUGCCAGUCUGUUGAGCAGAUACACUGAGGUGUUGACUGCCUCAGCCCAAAACUGACUUGGAAGCCUGCCUUGAAACAAGAGGCACCUGGCCAUGUUCAGCACAGUCCUAUUCUUUCUCUCACAGACUCCAUUCUGUUGAGGAGUAUAGACUGUUGUGAGCUGAUGGUGAAUCCCAGCACUGUCACAAAGCUUCUGAAAUCUCUCAGACACAUAUUCAGAGCCAUUAUUAGUCCUCAAGGCUCUAAUUUUACAGCCUGACUGAUUUUCAGCAUAUGCCUUGAAUUUGCAGAAGGCUUCAAACACUACUGACUUCUACUUCAAGAAGUAGACCCAGCACAACCUAGUUAAAUCAUUAGACCCAGCACAACCUAGUUAAAUCAUCUAUGAACAGGACAAAGUACCUGUUCUCAUUGAUUGAAGGCAUUCUCAUAGGACCACAGACAUCAGAUUGCACCAAUUCGAGCUUGUUUUGAGCUCUCCAAGCACUGUCAGCAGGAAAAGGCAGUCUAGCCUGCUUACCAAGCUGACAAACCUCACAAACAUUCCCACUAACCUCAAUUUCUGAAAUGUCAUCAACUAAAUUCAGCCUAUGUAGCAGAUCAAGAGAUCUGAAAUUGGCAUGGCCUAGUCUCCUAUGCCACAAGUCAGUGCUGUCAGCAAGGCUGAUGUAUGCCUUUCUUUCUACUUGGCUAACAUCCAGCAUGAAGCAUCUAUCAAUCAUAGAGACUGAGAUUAACUCCAGACCAUUCAUGUCUUGAACAGUACAGCAACCAUCCUUAAAAACCAAUGUAUAGCCCUUUUCAACUAAUUGGCCUACACUAAGCAAAUUCUGGUCUAAGUCAGGUACAAAAAGCACAUCUGAGAUCAGCUUGUUACCUGAACCAGUGCUAACCAGCACACUACCCUUGCCCUUAGCCUCAAUCAGCUUGCCAUCUCCAAUUUUGAUCCUCGAGUGGAAGCUUCUGUCUAAGCCCUUGAACAGCUUCUCAUCUGCUGCCAUAUGGUGUGAGCAGCCACUGUCUAGUAACCAAUCGUUGCUGGCCUUUGUUGUGCCAACAAAACAGGUUGCUGUGAACACAUGCUCCUCCUGAGCUUGCAUGUCCUCAGCUGGUCUAGCUUGUUGUAGAGCAGCCUCCCUUGGUUUGCCCUUGCACACCUUCUCCACAUGGCCAAACUGCUUGCACUUUCUGCACUGAAUAUCUGGCCUAAACCAGCAAUACUUUUCUGAAUGUGUUGUCUUCUUACAGUGAACACAUGGUGGGAACACCCUUUUUACUUCAUCUCUUCCUGACUUGACCCUUCUAUUAUGCCAAGGCUUCUUGUCUUUUGCACUCACACUCAAGCCUUCACUAGCUUUAGCCUGGAAGGCGGCUUCAGGAUUCUCCUCCUGCCUAUUUGCCCUCCUUUGCUCAAGUGCAUACAGGGAGUUUAUCAGCUCUGAUAAUGAAAUGGCUGAUAAGUCCCUCGAGUCCUCAAGUGAAGAGAUUUUUGACUCGAAUUUCUCAAGGAGAGUUGUGAUGACCUUUUCAACAACUCUGCUCUCUGUGAAGUCCACUCCCAGGAGCCUAAUGUUGUUGACAAUGGCCAUUAUCCUAUUUGAGUACUGCUUGAUGGUUUUAGACUCCUUCAUCCUCAAAUUUUCAAAGUCUCUCCUGAGGUUGAUCACCUGCUGUUGCCUUGUCUUGUUUGUGCCCAUGAACUCCUCUUUUAGCUUGUCCCAGGCCUGCUUUGGUGUGUCACAGGCCAUGAUGUGAGUAAAGAUCACAUCAGACACUCCAUUUUGCAGACAGGCCAUAGCCUUGUGCUUCUUGGCUCGUUCCUCAGCAUGCUGCCUCAUCUGUGCAAUGGUGGGAUUGGCUCUCAAUGGAGGUGGUUCAACAUCAUUCUCGAUCACACUCCAAAGAUCAUGUGCCUAGAGGUAAGUCUUCAUUUUAACUAUCCAAAUGUGAUAGUUCUCUCCAGUGAACACUGGUGGAGGUGGUGGAGUGAAACUCAUCUUGCUAGACUAAGUUUAAGUGCUUCGAUCCUUUUUAGUUUUAAGCUUUGCUAUUGGUUUUGAUUUGAACUCAACAGAAUGCAAACAAAGGCCCCUCAAAGAUACGGGCUCAUGAUACCAUUUAUUGGAACAAUGGCAGCAGCAAACAUCAAACAAAGUUGCAAAACAGAAUUUGCAAAAUUGAAGCAAGAAGAAUCGAAGCAAAGAAGAAACAAGCAAGCAAAGCAGUGAACAAGUUGAAUACUCAGCAAAAUUGUAACUAAACAUUAACGCUUUUCAUUCAAAAUUUGAAUAUAUAAAAGGUUACAAUUUUUGAAUCAUUUGACAGUUACCUAAUGACAUAACUGCUCCCACUUAGCUAAACUAAAACAUGUUUAAGUCAAAUACAAAAUAAGCUGACAUAUCAGCUUUUACAUCAUCAAUCCAAUCACUAGCUUAUUCCUACUUACUUUGUAAGCUAGUUACAAGAGAACUAAACUAAAUAACAUUAAAACAAAACAACAAAAACUGGUUGCUUCAUUUGGUCCAAAAAACCAGUCUUGCGCACCAAGCAAAAUGAGCUGAGCUCGAUAGCUGCUGCUGGUCUAAACAGUACCUUGUUGCUGGCUUCAUGUUGCACUGCAGUCCAGCUUUCAACAACCUUGUCUAAGCCUGAGCCAAAUCCGGCCUAUGAGAUAAACCAUUCAGUAUGAGAUAAACCAUUCAGAUUGAACUACCGGUAACAUUAUGAGUUUCUGGUCCAUCCUUCAUGAGGAUGCAAAGAACAAAAUUAACUAACCUUUGCCACUAUAGAAUGUUUGUUCAACUAAAUAAAAUAAAGAUUGUCCUAUAACUCUAGUUCCAUUCAAGUUAAAACUUCUUCAGGCAAGAUAAUAGUAACAUAAUGCUAAAAGAACCAGCACAACCACCACAGCAGGAGCUGCCCAUAUCCAAUAGUUCAUCGACUUUUUCUGUUUCAGGAUGGCUUUUGGGAGGGACUCGGUUCUUUUGGUUCAAUUCCUGUACCUACUAGUAUUCUCCUUUGGUACUUUACCCUUCAUUGAAACGGUAGCAGAAACAGGUGCAUCAGUAUUAACAUCGACCUUCUCGGGUUCUGAAUCUUGUGCCACAGCUUCAAUCGGUUCUUCGGGAUUCACAGCAUUUGUCGAUCCUGCCACCUUCUUCUUAGCUCUCCUUUCACGCUCCUGAAAAAAAGAUCGAAAGAGUUUCAGUUUCAACCCACAAACUAAUAACCGAUAAAGUGAAACCAGAUAAGGAAGCAAAUGAUUUCCUUGAGCUUCUUUUCGGCUUCCAUUUGAGCUCUUCUAGCUGCUUUGGCUACUGCUUUUUCAGCCAACUUCUUUUUUCUUUCCAUGGCUUGCUUUGCUUUCGCUAUUUCCUCUUCUCUCUUCAAUUCUUUCAAUUCUUUCAGUUUUGCUGCAUUCGACUCCAUUGCUAUAGUCUGGGCAUCUUUUGGGGCCUUUUUGACUAGUUUAGUAUCUCUUUGGGGACCUGAUUUGACCUCUUCCUUUGGUUGUCUUACACUAGGUCUCAGAAUUGUUUCAGUUUCAGAAUCCACUGGUUUCUCGGGUGCAACCAGUGGUUUCUCAUCAGGAUUCCUUAUCCGACCAUCCCGACUCUAUAGCCGACUGUCCAGGGAUGGCAGAAUUCUUUUCUCAUAAUCAUCCCUGAAGGCUUUAUUGCCAUUCCAGAGAGCCAUAAACUUCUCAACCUAAAUUUAUAAAGCAAAUGAGAUACAUUGGAAGUAACAUUAACAAGCAGUCUCAACAAACCUCCACAAUUGAUAACUCCUCAAGAGCCUUAUAUCUUCCUGUGCAGCAAGCAGUUUGGCGUUGUGUACAAUGGUACGGCUCUGGUAAAAGUGAAAAUUUUGAAAUUUUGAGAAAGAAAGUAAUUAAAACGAUUCAUUAGUAACAUCAUGCACAGGAAUAUUGGAAGUAGACAUAGUAUAUAUCAUUUAAUAUCUUAAGCGAUACUAGUUAUUCAUGCAUAAAUGAAAAUGUUCCGACAUGGUAAAGUAUUAUACGAAACAGAUAUCUUAAGAGUUGAAGCAAAGAAAAGGCUAUACCCCCUAAUCAAUUUGUUUCCUCAGCUCCUGAAUGUAUUCAAAAGCUUUGUCCCUCUUCAAGGUCAUAGCUUUCAGCUCAUUUUGUAAAGACUCGAUUUUAGUCUCAGUUUCAUCCAAUUUAUCUUUAAUUUGCUUUUUUUUUGGACCAGACUGCAUGCUGCUCCUUCCUUACUCCAUUCAAAUCAACACCCAUAAGCUACAAUAAACAAAUAUAGCAUUUUUUUUAGUGUAACACAAUGGUGCUCGAUAUUCACAGAAAAAAAGAGGAGCAAACUCCGAUGGAUAAAGGCAGAAAAUAGAAUUAUCUUACUUUAACUUGAUCUUGAAUGUCUUCUUUCUGGCCUAAUGAAUCUUGAGUCUUUGAUCUCAUUGCAGCAUUAGCAAUAACUUUCUCGCGGGUUCCCUCCAGGUGUUUGAUUGCUUUAAGGAUUCGCUUCUCCUCACUCAACGAGAUGCUUUCAUGCUGAAUGCGAUAUUGCAAGCUAUGAAUCUGCAAUUCAUAAAUUCCAUUGAAGUGACUAAGGGAGAAAAAGAAAAGCAUUAACUGCGGCAGAAAACAAUGAAUAAAUCUAAAUGCAGUUAAAGUUUAUAGAAGUAUCAUACAAUAAAAUCGAGCUCUUCCUCGGAUGCACAUAAACUAAGUCGAUUAUCAACAUCUUUAUUAUUGCGAAGCUUGCCUAAAGCCUGCUGCAGUGGUUCUAUUUCCCUUUUUUUCUCAUCUAAAAUCAUCUUAAAUUGCUCAAAAUCAACAUUCAGCGCUCUCACUUGCGAAAGCAUCUCUGAUCGUUCUGCCUGCAUUAGCAUAAAGAUAAUCACAAUUUAGCCAACUGACAGCGCCAUUAUUUUUUACUUCUUUCACAUUUUUUCUCAAAUUCUGAAGGCAAACACAACAAUAACGAAUCAUUAUACCAAUAGCAUAUCUGUAAGUGUCAUUACAUUUCGAGGACAUACAUUUCGAACAUUCAAAUAAAUGCUUCCGGGUUUAAUUCCCCUACAUCCAUCAUAUUACAAAAAGCACACCGUAAUGACAUAAUGAUAGGGCUAAUAAUUAUCUUAAAAGUAUGACAAUUAAUGGCUACCAUGCUAUACAUCUAAUUGAAAUUUAUAACUUUUCACUCACCCUUUUUGCUUUUAAUUCAUCGGUAAGCUUAAACCUGGCUUUUUUCCACUUUUGUAUCUCUUUAUCAGCCUGAUCAAGUUUGGCUUUUAUAGCUGGAUCUUCGUAGAAGCGAUACCUAAUAAAAUGAAAAGAGUGGAUCUGCUUAGGUGCAGGCCACUCGUCGACCGCAUCCUUCCGAAAGUCGGGAUCGGAUGCACCAUCCUUUUCUUCCUUAUCUGGUUCCUCACUAUGUGAAUCAACAUCAAUGGGGUUAUUAUAAACUGGAUCCUUAUCCAGUUUCCCAUUUUCAUGAAGAAAUGAUUUGUCUACUUCAGUCACUUUGUCAAUAGACAAUUGUGCCAGGCCUGAAUCAACAACCUCAACACCCAUUAAACACAAAAUUGAGCUACCUGAAAACAUCCAAAAACAAAGAUUAUGAUACCAUAUAACAACAAAUAUAAAUAUAAAAUAUUAUUUCAUUCAUAAAAUAAAAAUUUUAAAACCAGACACCUGAUAGACAUGUAUAAAACAAUAUAUAUUAAAUAAAUAAAUUUUAAAGAACAGUGUAGCCAAUACAAUUUGAAAUGGUGCAAUCUAAAGUCAUUCCUUUAGCUAGUUUUCUCAUUAAUCAGAUCAAAAGAGUGAACAAACAGUAGAAUUGCAAAAAUAUAUGUAUAUAUUCUAAAUAAAUGAUAAACUAUAAUGGAGAAAAACAAUAAUCAGAUAAAAUCUAGAUCAAAAACUAAAUUAUAAGUACAUUAGCUCAUGCUAUAACAAAAGAUCAAGCCUUUAUCCGUCAAGAAAAUUAACAUGCAAAAUCAUAUGACACUAAUGGAAAAGAAGGGGGAAAGAAACCCAGAAAUUUACAAACAUGAGAUAAAAUGAAAAAAAAAACCCAGAAAUAAAAAUAUGAGAAAUAAUUAUGUAGUUUGUAAGGCUAGAAAGUUUACAUUUUUAAAAUGAAAACGUCAAAAUAGGAUGUUUUUGUUGUCUAGAGAGGCAAUAGAUAUAGAGGUUUUGAGGUUCUGGAUAAAAAAAAAACUUCAACUUUUUUUAUUUUACAUUGGCGUAAUGCCCAUAUUUUAUGAAUUCUAGUUGUUAAACAUGUCAAGUAAUUUGAUUUGGCAUGGUGGUUAAGUGCCUUGAAUGUUUGUUUUAGGUCUUGGAUUCAAUGUUUUUUUUGUUAAAUUUUUCCUAUUUAUUAUGGUAUUAUGUUCAACUUGAGCCUUAGGGCUUCUCUUAUUUUCAAUGAUGAAUCUACUGAUUCAGUGGUAAGAUUUUAGCUUAUCACCAAUUAAAUUUUAUAAAAUCUGCUAAGUGAAAUUUAGAUUAACAUAAAUCUUUUUAUUUAUUUAUUUUAAUUUAAUUUUACUAAAUCUCUAUUUUCACUCAUUGUUUCAACCGUUUACACUCUCACCCCACUUCGUACGCUACUUUCUUUUGUUUCCCUAUUCUGUCGUUUUAUCUUCUUUUCUCUACCUUUUUUCUCCUCUUUGAUUGUUCUUGAAUACUAUUUUUUAUUUUGUGAGUUCUGUCACUUGGAUCGUAUUCUGUUUGCAGUGUAAGUUUCAUUUGGUUACUUUUGUUCUCUUCCCAUUAAUAGUUUAGUUUUAUUUCGUUUCUUGAACAAUUUGAGUUUGUGUUGGUAUUUUCUGUUCAUUAUCAUGAUUAGUAUUUUUGUGGUUCUCGAUUAGGCAAAAGGUGUGAGAAUCCUAACCCUCCAACAAAGUAGUCACAAUUUUCGACGUUGGUUUGAGAACUAAGUAUUUGAAUUCUAUUUUAGGGGCUGAAAUUUUGAUUCAACGAUGUUAUUUUCAAUAAGUAUUGUUAGUUAAUCCGUGUGGUUUGAUGAACGUUUAUAGGAUUCGUGAGUUCCAAUUGAGCGGUUGAUCAAACCAACAAUAGGUGUAUGAAAUUAACCUGAAAACUCAAUCGAAACUCGAGAAAAUUAAGGGCCAUACGAAUAUGUGUAUUUUGGCCAAUUUUAAGCCCCAAUUAGGGGCUGAUUAAAGGACUCAAAUAUUAGUCCAUAGCCAUCAUAUAAGCCCAAAAAAAUGUAAGUUUUAGUAUGUAUAUAUACAUGGCUAAGCUUAGGAGGUAUGUUAAGUAGGUUGUAUACAAAUCACAUGCUAUGUUAUGUUCCUUAUAAAAAUAUGUGUAUGCAUGUCAUACGACUUAUGAUAUAUGUAUUUAUGAUAUUAUAAUUAUGAUUAUGCCUAUGUUUUGGGAUGGGUUAUGAUAUGAUGAAGUAUUAUAUGGUAGUUUUUACUACAACCAUGGCAACUAGACCAUAAAAUGUCUAUCUGACAGCUUAGUUGCAUAUUUAUGAGUGGCAUACCGUCACAUAUUGGUGUGAUUGGAUGGAUGGACUCUUAUAGUCCUAAUUAGUGAUAUUGCUUGGACGGAGAUAGCAUGUAGCAGUUGGAGGUAUGAUAUCAUAUGAUAUGAGAUAUGAUAGGAUAAGAUAAGAUAUGAAACAAGCUAUAACAUGAUCUGAAAAUCGAUAUGAUAUAAGAUAUGCUUCGAUAUGCUAUGAUACAUUCUGAUUUUGUAACGCCCCAAAAUUUUUAAUUUUGUUAUUGUGAAAAUAUGAUACAAAUAUCUGUCAACUUUAAUGGUUAUGUGUUUUGGGAGUGUUUGGAAGGUCCAAAGUUCAAGCUUUUGCUUGGGCAAAUUUUGGUAUUUUGAAUGAAUUAGGCUUUACUCUUAUUCAGUAGGCUUUUAUUUGAUUGCUGGGUAAAUUACAUUAGAAUGAGCUUAUUGGUCUAAUGGUUAAAUGGUGUGUUAUUAAGGUGGAGGUCUUGUGUUUGAAUCUCUAUGUAAGCAAGAGUAUUUUUUUUUUGCUCAGAUUUCGGGAUAGAGUUGUGUAAUAGGGAGAUUCUGAGUAGUGGAUCCUUAGUGGGAAUUAGGGGAGAAUAUUAAGGGAUUUUGGGGGUUAUCGGGAUUUUAAUUUAUUUUUUCCCAUAAUCGAACUCUCUUUUCCAAAAAAAUUCUGCCGUAUAUUCUUAUCCCUCUCCUCUUGCCAAAAUUCUCUGAGUUUUUUCAUCUUUCUCUUCUUUUUCUUCUUCUUGAUUUCUCCCUAAUCCAUUUAUUUUCCUUCGUUUUCGCACGCGGUUACUGCUCGCUUAGUUUCAGUAAGUGUUUCUCUUCGUUUCUGUCAUGAAUCUCCUAGCGACUGAAGUGGUAAUAUUUUUCUCUAUGAUUUGGACGUAGGGGGAGGCUCGAACUGGUGAAUUCAGUAUUCUCAUCUUAACAACAGUUAAACGGAGGGUUAUCGUUGGUUGUAAGUUGAGUUUUUGUUCGUUCUUGGUUGUCAAUUCGCUUGUAAAUCCAUUAAAUUGAUGUUGAGUAUCUUGAUUAUAGGUUUUGGAGUGCUUGAGGACUGUUUUAGCAUCAAACAAAACCAGGUGUGUACCCAAAACGCAAAAAAAAAGGAUUAGGUGAAAAGUCAAAAUUGCUUGCUAUUUAGACAAUAACAGUAGGCUAACUUUGAAAAAUCGACAUAAAUUGUGAAAAUCGAAUUAGAGGAUGAAAAAAAUAUGGAAUUAAAUUUUAUUUAGUCUAGUUUCUCAUAAAAGAAACAGUGUAAGUAGUUGAAUUCUAAAUCGUGAGAUAUAAUAAACUUUGUGAGACAAUGUCAGAAUGAAUUUAGGUUCCCCUAUUCUGACUUUGGAAAAUUAUCAAAACUGGGAGAAAAAUAAUUAGGGGUUAAAAUUUACAUGUUUAAAUUAUUAACGAGUCUGUUUUCAAUAGAAACAAAUGGGAACUUCAUCCAAAUUUGUACUAAGAGGUAAUUAAUUUUUAGCAAAGAAUGGUCGAAGUUGUCAGACAACAGAAUAAGGGUAAGUUUGAAGAUUUUACUGUACUUAUUGGCUGAACCAAAAAUUCUAAAAAUUUUAUGGUAGAAAGGUAUCUGAGUCUAUUUUCAAAGAUAUUAAGUGGAUUUUAAUUCGAAAUUCUAUAGCUCAAGAUAUAAAUAAUUUAGUAAUAGUGACUCAAGUAGACGGCUUUAAAGGAACACAUAAGUAAAUAGUGAAAAACAUAUAUAAAUAUUUAGCUAGCACGGGUUACAUUAAAAAUGGAUCACGCGGCCAAAGCCAAUUUGGGCUGAAUAAGCCACAUGGGCGUGUGAGCCCAUUUUUCUGAAAAGUUCUGUAAGGUUGCACGGGUCGCCCAAGUCGAUUGUGGAUCUACUGGAGGGUCGGUAAGCUCUACUUAGAACCCUAUAUGUGUGAUCUAUCUGACUGAUUUCUAUACUGAGCAUGACUAAUGAUAUCUGAAUGUAUGUACUAUUAAUUGCAUAAUGGCAUGACAUAUUUUGUAUGUUGCAUUGCAUCGGGGUGGGUUGAUGAUAUUUGGAGGAAGUGUCUGAAAGGCUAUUAAGCCUGUUAUCUGGCAGCUUAGCUACAACCUUUUGAUUAUAUGCUGCAUUUCGGUACAGCAUGGUGUGUAGGGAUGUGUGGCUUGAUUUAAUCCCCACAUGGUGUGUAGGGUUCGACGGAGAUGGUGUGUAGAGGCUAGUGGGUAGGAUUCUAAUUUACUGUAUCUGCAUUCUAUAUCUGAUAUGAGUCAAGGCCCUAAUGUAUUUUUGAGACUGUAUCUGAACGGGCUAAGGUCCAAAUUGAUUAUGUUGAUCAUCUAUAUGCAUGUUUUCUGUGAGGAUUACACACUGAGUUUGCGAAAACUCACCAGCAGAGGACUCGACGGUGGACACACGUAAAUUUUGGACUGUUUUCCGUUAAUGCAUAGAAUUUAUUACUUAUUUGAGGUUUUUGAUGUAUCUUCUGGACUAUGGAUUGGUUGGCUUUAAAUUUUGGGAUUUUAUACUAUUUUUUAUGGGUUUUUUUUUAAAUUACAACUCCACAAAACACGGUUUUUUUUCUAAAAAACUAAGGAUUUUCGUAAAUAGAAAUGAUUUUCCCUAAAUUAAUUGGUUACAAAAGUUUUCGCUAACAGACAAAUUUUAAAGCAAAUCAACAAGUUUUUUUUCUGAAUUAAAUAAAAGCUAACUUACUGUAAUGAUUUUUAAACUCGACAAUCUUGUCUUCAAAUCCCUUUCCAUGUGACAUCGCCAGAUUCGGCCAUAAUGUCUAGGCCGAGUUUGGGGUGUUACAAAAUUAAUCAUACUUGAUUGGAUUAUGAGAGUGACUUUUAAUGAAAGAUAAUAUGUGAAGAAAGAAGAGAACUAAAAGGGAAAUUGCACCAAAAUAUAAAAAUAAAAAAAUAAUGGCAGAUUGCUUCAAAUGCAAUAGACGCAAGAAUGUGCUAAAUUGUCUUUUUAAAUUCAAAGUGUGUAUUCAUGCCACAAUUAAAAACCUUUAUAUACCGAUCCCAGAGAACCAAUUUCACAUGAUUAUACUCCUAGAAUCAUGCUUAACAAGCAACCACUAAAUCAAAAUUUUCUAAAUAUAGAAUUUGUCAAAGUAAAAAAUCUAAUAUUUUUUAUCAACCCAAAAAUAAUUUUGCAACUUUCAAUUCAACCCCCCAACUUGUUUUUUGUUCCAAUUUAGCUCGAUCUGUUUGUUUUUGAACUUCAGCACUCCAAUUGUGUCCAUGAUAAAAUUCAGGCAAUAAAUCAUAAGUUUAGUAGAAUUCCAUUAAAAAGUUUACCAAAAUUGGGUAUAUUAAAUAUAAAAAAUUAACUUGCUAUCAGAUUUGGAACUAAUUAAUUAUAACAUAUGAAAUAUGUAUUAUAUUAAAAUAAAAAUUAGAAUAAAUUGUGAGUAAAACGAAAUCUAAACAAAAAAACACAUCAGGUUAAAAAUACUAAAUGAAUACAAUUGUUUAUCAUUGUUUUGUCUUCAAUCCUGAGCUGGUGUUGUGUUUAUUUGUGACACUAAAUCAAUAACAUUUUUUAAUAAAUAAAAAAUUAUAAUACAGAUAUACUUAUUAAAGUUUAAAGUGAAAAGUAAAAAGUAAAAAUUGCUUUAGUUCAAAAGUAAAUGAAAAAUAUUUAUAUGGAUGGUGUCCUUAGUUCAAAUCUUAUAAUGGAUAAUUUUUUAUUGAUUUAUAAAUAUAUAAAAAGACUAAAACACCCUCAUAAUCAUAUAUCUUACUUUGCAAAUAAAAUUUUGAAUAUAUUGUUGAAUGGCUAAAUUGUAUGAGAAAUAAAAGCAAUAUUUAUCAUUCAAUAGAAUCCACUAUCAAUUUAAAAACAAGACAAAACCAAAUUAGUAAUAUUAUCAAGUUGAGUUUCAUGUCUUUGAAGCACAUCUAGAGCUGAUAUAACAAACGCUUAUGAAAUUGAGCUUGAUGCCAUUUUUUAGUAUCAAGAAUACAAAAUAUACCACCAAAUUUUCUUUUUCAAACUCAAUUCAAAAUUUUAUUACAUUUAAAUUAUUUUUCAAAACUCAAAUUAUAAAAAUAAAUUAUAUUUAGAAUUUUAUCUUUUCUUAUAAUGUAGAAGUUAUGUUAAGGAACAUAAGAGGUAAAAAAACAGAAAACAAAUGAUUUUGCUUAAUUUUUUUUUGUUCUAUAUUUCUUUCGAAGAAUGGAUAUUAGAUAUUUCGAUAUAGAUAAUAAAGAGAAAUUUUAGAGGGUUUAAAAAUAAUUAUCCCUCAUUUUAUUAAUUUUUGAAAUGUUUAUUUACUGUUAUUUAAUUUUAAAUUUUAUAAUGUUCUGAAAUUUUAAAACAAUUUCAAAUUUGGGUACAAUGAUAAUUUAAAUUUCGGCUAUUUCUAAAAACAGUAAACACCCCGUCAAUAAACCACAAUUUGGAUUUAAAAGUGUAACUUAUGAAGGAAUUUAUAUGUACUUGAAUAGAUUUAUUCACAUUAUUCACGUCUUACAAACAUCAUAUGUAAGAACAACUAUAUUUUUUUACAGGAUGCCGACUAGUAUAUUUUAUUUCAAGUUGUAACAUGUAAUUAGGCAUUCUUAUACCAUACGUUCCCAUUAUUAUGAUGCUGCUGCUGCUGAUGUUGUUGUUACAAUUGAGCACCAAGAUGACUGCAAAAAUUGUUAGUAAUGUCCAGAAUGAAUGGAAAGGACAUGGCAGAUUAGUGAAUUAUUACAGAUACAACUGCUGAGAAUCAAAUACCCAAAAUGCCAACUAUAAUGGCAGAAGCAAAGGAAAAGUAAAAAAAAGAUGGGAUUCCUUACUUAAUACUUCUGCCUUUCUACCCACAACAUUCUUUCUUCUUUCACAAAAUUUCAACCUACUUUUCUUUCCUUUGCUUCUUUCAUUACAUGCUUUUCUUUGCUUAAUAGUUCUGCCUUUCUAUCCACAACAUUCUUUCUUCUUCACUGUUUUUAUUUUGUUUUCAUCUCCAAGGUCUAUCACCAAAUUUCAAGCAUCCCGUUAAAGGUAAUUUUCUUUCAUUUGCUUCAUUCAUGACAUGCUUUUCUUUGCUUCAUUCAUGACUAUGCAAUGAUUGUUUUUUAUUAUCUGCUAGCUUUGUAAGAUAGUCAAGGAAGUCAACUUCAAUGCUUCAUUUUCAGUUCUAAUCUCUCAACACAUUUCAGCCACUAAGUCGGAUAAUAAGGUAAUGAUUUCCUCUACUGAUUAUCAACAGUUUUAGAUUUUAAGACAGGAUAGGAUGACCGGCAAACAUAAUCUAUCAUAGAUAGGAAUCUCAAACUGUUGAACAUUUAUUCCGUAAUGAACUGUUGCACACUUGAAUCUAGCAUUUUAUAUACAUUGAGAGGUUAACUCUGGUGACCAGAUUUUCAUCAUGUUUCUGUCUGCCACCUAUCCAUAGCUCCAUCUAGUAAAGGCCAUUGCAUUUAUGCUUCCUUUUCAUGCUUACACAAACAUAUAAAAAUUAUUCAAAAAUCCUAUACACUAACAUAUAUGAUUGCGUUGCAGGGGCAGAGCAAUGGAAUACGUAGAGCCCGGUGUUGGCGUUGCAAAUUGUCUUGGACCUCCUGUUUGUAAAUACUUGAAAUAUCACAGAAAGCUAAAUGAUUAUGUGAGAAACUUCGGGAGGAUCAGAGAUGAAUUUAAUUUUAAAAUGGAAGAUAUAGAGCUGCAAUUGAAAGUAGAUCUUCUUUCUCCUAGGGGAAAGAUACCAAAGAAGGGGGUUGAAAAUUGGUUGAAAGAUGUGAAAGAGAUGAUUGCGGAAGCACAGAAUGUGGAAAAUAAAGUCAGAAACGGGAGAUAUCUCUGUCGUGCUUGGAACGAAAAGCUGGUUGAUGAAAAGACUCGAGAAAUGAAGGAGUUUCUUGAUAAAGCUCCUAAUGCCUCUGAAGGUCUUGCCAUGGAUGGUCCAAGUGCUGGGUUGCCACUGCCAACAUCAGAACUAGUUGGGGAGGAAGCUGUCAGAAAAGAGAUUAGGGCAUGUUUGAUGCAAAAGGAGGUAAAAAAGAUUGGAGUUUAGGGGAUGGGCGGUGUGGGUAAAACCACGAUCAUGAAGCACAUCCACAAUGAUCUUUUGAAAGAACAAAGAUUCGAAAGAGUAAUCUGGGUUACCAUAUGAAAGGAGUUCAAUGUAAUGAAGAUACAAAAUAAUAUUGCAAGUGCAUUGGAGGCGAAGGAAUAUUUAGACAAAGAAGAGGACAAGCUCAGACGAGCAGCAAUCUUGUCAGAAUUGCUGAAGAAAGCAGGAAAGCAUGUUCUAAUCCUAGAUGAUGUGUGGGAUGAAGUCUCUCUAGAAGAAGUUGGGAUCCCUGAGCCGAGUGACAGCAAUGGCUGCAAGUUGGUGUUGACAACCCGUUCGGAGCAUGUCUGUAAGUAUAUGGGUUGCACGGUGAUAAAAGUGAGGCCCCUUUCAGCACAACAGGCAUUGACACUAUUCUUGAGUAAAGUUGGGCCUAACAUAGUGCAAAGUCAAACUAUAAUGCCUACGCUAAAGCUUGUUGUCAAGGAAUGUGCGGGUCUACCUCUUACAAUUACCGUCGUAGCUGGUACAUUGAAGGGAGAAGAGGACCCUCUUAUUUGGAAAAAUGCAUUCAGGGAAUUGAAAGAGAGAAUAGAAAAAGUGGAAGGUGUGGAAGCUAAAGUGAUAGAGCGUUUGAAAUUUAGCUUCGAUCACUUAAAGGACGAGAAAGUGAAAUCUUGUUUCUUACACUGCGCAUUAUAUCCCGAAGAUUUUGGAAUUGAAAAGGAUGAACUAAUUGAGUGCUGGAUUGACGAGGGAUUCAUAGAUGAUAUGGGUACAAGACAAGAAAUGAAUGACAAGGGUCAAGUUAUUUUGAAGAAGUUGGAAGAUAAUUGCUUGUUGGAAAAUGUCUCGAGUGAAAGAGUAAAAAUGCAUGAUGCAGAGAGAGACAUGGCAUCGAGUGAAAGAGUUAAAAUGCAUGAUGCAGUGAGAGACAUGGCAUUGUCGAUCACAAAAAUGAGUCCUCGAUAUAUGAUACAAGCAGGUUUGCAAUUAGAAGAGUUACCAGAAAAGAAACAAUGGAGUCCGGAUAUUGAGAAAGUUUCACUUAUGUAUAACUCCAUAUCAGAAAUUUCCUUAGACGUGCCGCCCACAAAAUGUCAACUGCUCACAACCUUGUUAUUGCAGCAUAACCCAAUAAAGAAGAUCCCAUAUUCUUUCUUCAUAAACAUGCCUUGUCUUUGUGUCCUCUAUUUGUCUUAUACGGAGAUCGAGAGUUUACCAAAUUCCAUCUCCGAAUUAAAGAACCUCACAACAUUGUUGCUUCGUGGUUGUUCUACAUUUAGAGAUCUGCCAUGUCUUUCGAUGCUUCAAGAAUUGAAGAAGUUGGAUCUUCGUGGGACUAAAAUUGAGGAAGUCCCUGAAGGAAUGGAUAUGCAGAUAAAGCUAAGAUAUCUUGAUCUUGGAGUGCACACUCUGAAAGAGAUACCCGCGGGACUUUUACCAAAACUCGUUCACCUUCAGCACUUGAGUUUUGAAGUGGACAAUGAAAAAACAAGUCUAAAAGCAGAGGAGAUGGAACCAUUGAAGAAGUUGGAGUGCUUUACCGGACGUUUCGAAGACAUCAAUGAAUUGAAUAAGUUCAUCUCCUCCAUGCAACAAAGUAAGAGAAAUCUCAUCAAGUACUCUUUACAGGUGGGCUCAGUUAUUCUGGGUGGUGUAAGAGAUAAAAGAAUAACAAUUGGAGGAGUCCAGAAUUGGGAAGGUGAGUUAAUUAUGCACCCAAUUGAAAUUCAAGAGUUGAUUAUUUUUUGUUGCCACUAUUUGAGAAGCUUAGUCGAUGAUAAUUCUUCCUUCAAAAAUGCGGUUGACUUGAGGGUUUGGAGGAUUUGGGUGUGUGAAGGGAUAGAGUGUGUUGUUUCCCUGUCCUCUUUUGCCUCUUCUUCCGCUCAUCCAUUUCAGAGCCUCGAGGUGUUAGAUCUUAGAAAUCUGCCAAAGUUGAGUGCCCUUAUUAUGAAAGAUGAAGGAAUUGGUUCAGCAACAACAUCAACAUCGGCUCCGUCUGCCACCUUUUCCCAUCUUAAGCGAAUUGAAGUAUGGAGCUGCUCAAGUAUGAAGACGUUGCUUCCACAUUGGUUGCUUCCAAACCUCCAAAACCUGGAAGAAAUACAUGUGGUUGUUUGCUGGCAGCUAGUAGAAAUAUUGGGAGCAGCAACAUCAGAAGUUGAAGAAAAAGGGAGUGAUGCAUUAAUCAAAUUCCAUCUUCCCAAAUUGAGAAAGUUGGAAUUGUGGGGAUUACGAAAUUUGAAGAGCAUAUGCAGCAAAAGUGGAGUGAUGGUUUGUGAUUCUCUUGAGUUAAUCGAUGUUACUAGUUGUGAUAAACUGAAGAGAAUUCCUCCAUUUGUUCCCCUUGUUGGCAAUGGGCAGCCAUUUGCAUAUGCUCCACCUUCUCUUACCAUCAGGUCAUGGAAAGAAUGGUGGGAAUCGUUGGAGUGGGAUGACCAUUCAAACUUUAAAAAUGUUCUUCAACCCCUUUGGAAGGAGAAGAGGUUUGAACCAUUUAUAGUUUAGAGAAAGAUGACAGGGUUGGUGGGAAAAGAGGGGGGAGGAUAGUGCAAAAGAGAGGAGAAAAGGAAUGAUGGAAGGGAGAGGUUAAGAGGUUCCACAUUGUAAACAUUGUCCCUCUCUUACCAUUCCUUCUAUUCUCUUUUUCUUAUAAUGUAAAAGCUGAAGAGGUAAAAAACAAAUUAAUUUGCUUCAUAUUUUUUCUAUGUUUGUUUUGAAAGAAUGAGUAUUGAAUAUAGAGAAAUUUGGUAGGGUUUAAAAAUAAAAUAUAAUUUAAAUAUCAAUUAUUCAAAAUAAUGGUAUUUUAGAUAGCAAAGGUAUUGAAAAUUUAAAGUGAUAAAUUACCUUUUUAUCAUUAUAAAUAAAUACCAUAAUUUCUUUUUAUGCUGAAAUUUUUUUUUGAAAAUUUAUCAAUUUAUAUUGUUUUUUACAAAUAGAAAGGAAAACGCGUCUUAUAGGACAUGUUUUCUCUGAUCUUCCAGAGAAAACAUGAGACGCGUUUUAUUCUCUUUACUAAAAAGCGCUUUGUAGGAGCAACUAAGGACAAUUAAUCACGACGUUUAUGUCUUUCGUUAAUUGUGCAUAAUUUUGAUUGGUACAUUAACACAUUUAGCCCUUGAUGUUUACAUAUUUUGUUAGUUUGGUCUUGAUCCUAAAAAAAAUCAAUAGAUUCAGUUUCAACAUUUACACAUUUUCAAAAAUAUGACGGGCUAAAUUUGUUAUCAUAUCAAUCAAAUUUAUGUAAAAUUGAUGAAAACAUUAAUAUUGAAAUCAAUUGCUCACUUUCGAAAUUGGUAGGGAUUAAAUUGCUUCAAUUUGUUUAGAGGGAUCAAGUUGCUGAAUAUCAAAAUUGAAAGGGACUAGAGAGGUUAUUUUACCUAGUUUAUAUUGUUUUUUACCAUUCCCUCUCUUAUAGAAUGUUUGUUCAACUAAAUAAAAUAAAGAUUGUCCUAUAACUCUAGUUCCAUUCAAGUUAAAACUUCUUCAGGCAAGAUAAUAGUAACAUAAUGCUAAAACAACCAGCACAACCACCACAGUAGGAGCUGCCCAUAUCCAAUAGUUCAUCGACUUCUUACGUUUCAGGAUGGCUUUUAGGAGGGACUCGGUUCUUUUGGUUCGAUUCCUGUACCUACUAGUAUUCUCCUUUGGUACUCUACCCUUCAUGGAAACAGUAGCAGGAACAGGUGCAUCAGUAUUAACAUCAACCUUCUCGGGUUCUGAGUCUUGUGCCAAAGCUUCAAUCAAUUCCUCGGGAUUCACAGCAUUUGUCAAUCCUGCCACCUUCUUCUUAGCUUUCUUUUCACGCUCCUGAAAAAAAGAUCGAAAGAGUUUCAGUUUCAACCCACAAACUAAUAACCCAUAAAGCGAAACCAGAUAAGGAAGCAAAUGACUUCCUUGAGCUUCUUUUCAGCUUCCAUUUGAGCUCUUCUAGCUACUUUGGCUGCUGCUUUUUCAGCCAACUUCUUUUUUCUUUCCAUGGCUUGCUUUGCUUUUGCUAUUUCCUCUUCUUUCUUCAAUUCUUUCAGUUUUGCUGCAUCGACUUCCUUGUUCUUUUGCAAUUUUCCGGAUACCAAAAUUUCCUCUGCUACAACACUAAUAUCUGACAAAGGAUUCGACUCCAUUGCUAUAGUUUCGGCAUUUUUUGGGGCCUUUUUGGCUAGUUUACUAUCUGUUUGGGGACCUGAUUUGGCCUCUUCCUUUGGUUGUUAUUGGGAAUUAUCCAUAUUUAUGGAAAGUCAAAGAUAUGGGUAUCAAAUAUUGGAAAGUCAAAGAUAUGGGUAUCGAGAUAUUGGCAUUAUAAAAUCUGAGAUAUUUGCAAUAUAUGGUCCCUAAUUGUAAAGUGACUUUGCAAGUUGAUCCCUGAACCUCAACUAUAAAUAGGCAUAACCAUCUCUCAUUCUGUAUCUCAAACUUGCCAUUCUCUACUUAAGGCAUUGUUUUCUCUCUCUCUCUUUGUAAAUUCUCACUUGUAUUUUGGAGUGAAAUAUAUUUGGUAGUGCCCGAGGACGUAGGCAAAAUUUGCUGAACCUCGUUAAAUUCUUGUGUUCUUUAUUGUAUUAUUCUGCAUGAAUUGUGUGUGUGAUUGUAGUGAUUUAUUGUGCUAUUAAAUUACGAUUGAGGGAUAUUCUGGCUAGGAAAGACCUGGUACUUAAGCGAUCCUUGCGAUCCACCUCUCUUUCCUGGGAAUUGAACUUAGUGUGAUUUUUUAGUACAAUAAUUUUACUCUUUUACACGCUUCCGCACAACAAUUGGUAUCAGAGCUAGAUUCGUACUUGGGGAAUACGAUCGUUCACGGCACUGUUCACGUACUGUAGUUGGGAUUGAGGAGAAAAAAAUGGAAAAGUCAUCGUCAAAGACUACUAUGACCAAUGCGAAAUUUGAAGUAGAUAAAUUUGAUGGUACCAAUAAUUUUGGUAUGUGGCAAUGUGAGAUCCUGGAUGUCUUAUGUCAGCAAGAGCUGGAUAUAGCCCUUGAAGAAAAACCUGACAAGAUGGAUGACAAGGAGUGGGCCAAGAUCAAUAGACAGGCAUGUGGAACAAUUCGCCUAUGUUUGGCCAAAGAGCAGAAGUACUCUGUCAUGAGGGAGACAUCAGCGAAGAAGUUGUGGGAUACACUGGAAGAAAAGUUUCUAACAAAAAGUCUUGAAAAUAGGCUUUAUAUGAAAAAGAAACUUUAUCGAUUCACGUAUGCACCCGGUAUGUCGAUGAAUGACCAUGUGAACUCAUUCAAUAAAAUUUUAGCAGACUUGCUAAAUUUGGAUGAGAAAUUUGAAGAUGAAGACAAGGCAUUACUGUUGUUGAAUUCUCUUCCUGAUGAAUAUGAUCAUCUUACCACCACAUUGCUUCAUGGGAAGGAUACAAUCACAUUUGAUGCAGUCUGUAGUGCGUUGUAUAGAUCUGAGACUCGAAAGAAAGAUAAAAGAGAUCACAGAGAUACAACCGCAGAAGUCUUAACAGUAAGAGGUCGUUCACACAACAGCAAAUCUGGUAGAAGGGGAAAGUCCAAAGGGAGACUUGCCAAAGAUGAAUGUGCCUUUUGCCGUGAAAAAGGGCAUUGGAAAAAGAAUUGUCCUAAGCUACAAAAGGGCAAGGCUAUUUCUAAUGCAUGUGUAGUAGAGCAUGAUGAGGAGUCAGACUUUUGCUUGGUUGGCAUGGCAAUGGCAUGUCAUACAGAUGAGUGGAUUUUGGAUUCGGGAUGUACUUACCAUAUGUGUCCUUAUAAGGACUGGUUUUCUAGUCUUAAAGAACUAGAAGGUGGAGUUGUUUUUAUGGGCAAUGAUAGCGCUUGUAAUACAAUGGGAGUAGGUACAAUCUAAUUGAAGAAUCACGAUGGCUCAAUUCAAGUCUUGACAGAUGUUCGCUACAUACCUAGCUUGAAGAAAAAUCUUAUCUCAUUAGGGGUCCUAGAAUCUAAAGGGCUCACAAUCACUUUGAGAGAUGGAUUACUAAAGGUAGUAUCUGGGGUAUUGACGGUGAUGAAAGGCACAAGAAGGAAUAAUCUGUACUAUUUAAAUGGAAGUACAGUUAUUGGAUCAACAUCAACAGUUUCUACAAAAGAUGUAGAUUCAGAGGCUACCAGAUUAUGGCAUAUGCGAUUGGGACAUGCUGGUGAAAAAGCUUUGCAGACAUUGGUGAAGCAAGGCUUAUUGAAAGGUGCAAAUUCUUGCAAAAUGGAAUUCUGUGAACAUUGUGUUCUGGGCAAGCAGAAGAGGGUAAAAUUUGGUCUAGCAAUUCACAAUACAAAAGGAAUUCUGGACUACGUUCACAGUGAUGUGUGGGGACCUACCAAAGUAGCUUCUUUGAGAGGUAUGCACUAUUUUGUUACUUUUGUUGAUGAUUAUUCAAGAAAAGUAUGGGUGUAUCUAAUGAAAAGAAAAAGUGAAGUUUUGGAUGCAUUUCUGAAAUGGAAAAAGAUGGUGGAGACUCAGACUGGUCGAAAGGUCAAACGACUUCGAUCAGAUAAUGGUACUGAGUACAAAAACGAUCCAUUUCUACAAGUAUGCCAAGAUGAGGGCAUUGUGCGACACUUCGCUGUUCGGGAUACACAACAGCAAAAUGGGGUGGCAGAACGAAUGAAUCGAACUAUACUGGAGAAAGUUCGAUGUAUGUUGUCCAAUGCUGGAUUGGGCAAAGAAUUUUGGGCUGAGGCAGUUACAUAUGCGUGCCAUCUAAUUAACUGUUUGCCAUCAGCUGCAAUAAAUGGAAAAACUCCUAUGGAGAUGUGGACUGGUAAAUCUGCUACUGAUUAUGAUUCUUUGCAUGUAUUUGGUUCCACUGCAUAUUAUCAUGUAAAAGAAUCUAAGUUAGACCCAAGAGCAAAGAAAGCAUUAUUCUUGGGUAUAACUGAUGGAGUAAAAGGAUAUCGUCUCUGGUGUCCUGAUACAAGGAAGAUUGUUUUCAGUAGAGAUGUGACUUUUGAUGAAUCAACCAUGUUGAAGUACAAGGAUUCACAAAAGGAAGACAAAACCAGUAGUACUUUGCAGCAGGUGGAGCUUGAAAAGGUUAACGAUGAUCCAGCUAAUAUUGAAGGGACAAAUGAUGAAGAGGUUCCUACCCAAGAAUCUCUACAGCAACAAGAUUCAAUUGUAUAUAGAAGGCCAAGAAGAGAGAUUCGUAAGCCUGCCCGCUUUGAUGAUAUAGUGGCCUAUGCACUUCCAAUUACAGAUGAUGAUGUUCCUUCUACUUACACAGAAGUAAUAAGUAACCCUGAUGGUGUAAAGUGGAAGCAAGAAAUGAAUGAAGAAAUGCAGUCUCUUCAUAAAAAUAAGACUUGGGAGUGGGUGACACUACCCAAGGGAAAGAAGGCAAUUGGAUGCAAAUGGGUAUAUGCAAAGAAGGAAGGAUUUCCUGAUAAAAAUGAAAUUCGAUACAAGGCUAGAUUAGUAGCAAAGGGUUACGCUCAGAAAGAAGGAAUAGACUACAAUGAAGUGUUUUCUCCAGUUGUGAAGCAUUCGUCUAUUCGGAUUUUGCUAGCCUUGGUUGCGCAAUAUGAUCUUGAACUAGUUCAGCAUGAUGUGAAGACCGCGUUUUUACACGGUGAUUUGGAAGAGGAAAUCUAUAUGACUCAGCCAGAUGGAUUCAAGGUUGCUGAUAAAGAAAAUUGGGUUUGCAAACUGACAAAGUCGCUUUAUGGAUUGAAACAAUCUCCAAGGCAGUGGUACAAGCGAUUUGAUUAGUUCAUGAAAGGGCAAAGGUAUACAAGAAGUAAAUUUGAUCAUUGCGUGUAUUUUCAGAAGCUACAAGAAGGAUUUUUCGUAUACUUGCUCUUAUAUGUUGAUGAUAUGUUGAUAGCAUCUAAGAGUAAAGUUGAAAUUGAGAGAUUGAAGACUCAACUCAACCUUGAGUUUGAGAUGAAAGAUCUAGGAGAAGCUAAAAAGAUUCUCGGCAUGGAAAUAUGGAGAGAUAGAGCUCAUGAUAGAGUUAGCUUGUCUCAGAAGCAGUAUUUGAAAAAGGUACUACAGCAGUUUGGCAUGAACGAGCAGACAAAACCUGUAAGUACCCCGUUGGCUUCUCAUUUCAAGCUUUCUGCACAACUAUCUCCUUCGACGAAUACGGAACGAGAAUACAUGUUGCAAGUUCCGUAUUCUAAUGCAGUGGGUAGCUUGAUGUAUGCAAUGGUGUGUACAAGACCCGACAUUUCACAGGCAGUUAGUAUAGUGAGCAGGUAUAUGCAUAAUCCUGGAAAAGGACAUUGGCAAGCUGUGAAAUGGAUUCUACGAUAUAUUCAUAAGACCAUGGAUAUUGGAUUACUGUUCAAGCAGGAUAUUACACUUGGUAAAGGUGUUAUUGGGUACGUUGAUUCUGAUUAUGCCGGUGAUUUGGACAAACGAAGAUCAACCACUGGUUAUGUGUUUACUCUUGCUGGAGGACCAAUAAGUUGGAAGUCUACACUGCAGUCUACAGUUGCGUUGUCAACCACAGAAGCUGAAUACAUGGCUGUAACAGAGGCUAUAAAGGAAGCUAUUUGGUUACAAGGUAUGGUUAAAACCUUGGGAUUGGUUCAGGAGCAUAUUAAUGUGUAUUGUGAUAGUCAAAGUGCUAUUCAUUUAGCAAAGAAUCAAGUCUAUCAUGCACGUACAAAGCAUAUCGAUGUACGUUUCCACUUUGUGCGGGAAAUUAUUGAUGGGGGAAAAUUCACCUUCAGAAGAUUAAGACUGCAGAUAAUCCCGCAGAUAUGAUGACCAAGGUGGUAACAACAAUCAAGUUCGAACAUUGUUUGAACUUGAUCAAUAUUCUGCAUGUUUAACAAUUGAAGAAGGCACUAUCAAGUGUUGUUGACAAAGGCAGAGAGAAUUGUGUGAAGAUAAGAUUACUCGAAUCAAAUCUUCAAGGUGGAGAUUAUUGGGAAUUAUCCAUAUUUAUGGAAAGUCAAAGAUAUGGGUAUCAAAUAUUGGAAAGUCAAAGAUAUGGGUAUCAAAUAUUGGAAAGUCAAAGAUAUGGGUAUCGAGAUAUUGGCAUUAUAAAAUCUGAGAUAUUUGCAAUAUAUGGUCCCUAAUUGUAAAGUGACUUUGCAAGUUGAUCCCUGAACCUCAACUAUAAAUAGGCAUAACCAUCUCUCAUUCUGUAUCUCAAACUUGCCAUUCUCUACUUAAGGCAUUGUUUUCUCUCUCUCUCUUUGUAAAUUCUCACUUGUAUUUUGGAGUGAAAUAUAUUUGGUAGUGCCCGAGGACGUAGGCAAAAUUUGAGAGAUUGAAGACUCAACUCAACCUUGAGUUUGAGAUGAAAGAUCUAGGAGAAGCUAAAAAGAUUCUCGGCAUGGAAAUAUGGAGAGAUAGAGCUCAUGAUAGAGUUAGCUUGUCUCAGAAGCAGUAUUUGAAAAAGGUACUACAGCAGUUUGGCAUGAACGAGCAGACAAAACCUGUAAGUACCCCGUUGGCUUCUCAUUUCAAGCUUUCUGCACAACUAUCUCCUUCAACGAAUACGGAACGAGAAUACAUGUUGCAAGUUCCGUAUUCUAAUGCAGUGGGUAGCUUGAUGUAUGCAAUGGUGUGUACAAGACCCGACAUUUCACAGGCAGUUAGUAUAGUGAGCAGGUAUAUGCAUAAUCCUGGAAAAGGACAUUGGCAAGCUGUGAAAUGGAUUCUACGAUAUAUUCAUAAGACCAUGGAUAUUGGAUUACUGUUCAAGCAGGAUAUUACACUUGGUAAAGGUGUUGUUGGGUACGUUGAUUCUGAUUAUGCCGGUGAUUUGGACAAACGAAGAUCAACCACUGGUUACGUGUUUACUCUUGCUGGAGGACCAAUAAGUUGGAAGUCUACACUGCAGUCUACAGUUGCGUUGUCAACCACAGAAGCUGAAUACAUGGCUGUAACAGAGGCUGUAAAGGAAGCUAUUUGGUUACAAGGUAUGGUUAAAACCUUGGGAUUGGUUCAGGAGCAUAUUAAUGUGUAUUGUGAUAGUCAAAGUGCUAUUCAUUUAGCAAAGAAUCAAGUCUAUCAUGCACGUACAAAGCAUAUCGAUGUACGUUUCCACUUUGUGCGAGAAAUUAUUGAUGGGGGAAAAUUCACCUUCAGAAGAUUAAGACUGCAGAUAAUCCCGCAGAUAUGAUGACCAAGGUGGUAACAACAAUCAAGUUCGAACAUUGUUUGAACUUGAUCAAUAUUCUGCAUGUUUAACAAUUGAAGAAGGCACUAUCAAGUGUUGUUGACAAAGGCAGAGAGAAUUGUGUGAAGAUAAGAUUACUCGAAUCAAAUCUUCAAGGUGGAGAUUAUUGGGAAUUAUCCAUAUUUAUGGAAAGUCAAAGAUAUGGGUAUCAAAUAUUGGAAAGUCAAAGAUAUGGGUAUCAAAUAUUGGAAAGUCAAAGAUAUGGGUAUCGAGAUAUUGGCAUUAUAAAAUCUGAGAUAUUUGCAAUAUAUGGUCCCUAAUUGUAAAGUGACUUUGCAAGUUGAUCCCUGAACCUCAACUAUAAAUAGACAUAACCAUCUCUCAUUCUGUAUCUCAAACUUGCCAUUCUCUACUUAAGGCAUUGUUUUCUCUCUCUCUCUUUGUAAAUUCUCACUUGUAUUUUGGAGUGAAAUAUAUUUGGUAGUGCCCGAGGACGUAGGCAAAAUUUGCUGAACCUCGUUAAAUUCUUAUGUUCUUUAUUGUAUUAUUCUGCAUGAAUUGUGUGUGUGAUUGUAGUGAUUUAUUGUGCUAUUAAAUUACGAUUGAGGGAUAUUCUGGCUAGGAAAGACCUGGUACUUAAGCGAUCCUUGCGAUCCACCUCUCUUUCCUGGGAAUUGAACUUAGUGUGAUUUUUUAGUACAAUAAUUUUACUCUUUUACACGCUUCCGCACAACAGUUGUCUUGCACUAGGUCUCAGAAUUGCUUCGGUUUCAGAAUCCACUGGUUUCUCGGGUGCAACCAGUGGUUUCUCAUCAGGAUUCCUUAUCCGACCAUCCAGACUCAAUAGCCGAUUGUCCAGGGAUGGCAGA
rnacentral:lncRNA from 1 species